rnacentral:lncRNA from 1 species
AUAGUAACGACACAUAACAACAUACUCAUACAUUACAACAUAUUAUAGGUACAUAAUACACGUGAUGAUGAUGUGAUAUAUAUGGAUCAUGAAAGAUCAAUAUACGCCAAUUAUCUGCCUUGAUUAGGAUAUCUACUUAAUAUCCAUUACAUUCAUUUAUUCAUAAUGAUAAAUUUAUAAAUAUAUAGUACGCACAAGUGGUCACUUAUUGUUUUAUCUUACAAUAAACGUGACAGAAAUAUCAUACACAUAAGAGACCUUAAAAGAAUAGUGCAUUAAAAUCCCCAUAAUGCACCGAGUAUACAUGAGGCCUUCAAGUCGAUUAUUUUUCCGGAACGACGCAAGCCAGCCUAUUCCUAGUCCAACUAUGGCGACAAGUGUUACAAACUGUAAGUGGUUUACAAUCCUCAUUAGUUGUACAACGAUAGCCACACCUUUUCAAGGCUUUAAGAUCUGGGAGAAAAAUUUGCUCAAACACUUCAAAUUCAAGUGGUAGAUCUCGCAUAGCCAUCACUUUGAUGUUUGAUGUAUGAACUGUAACAUCUAUGCAUAAAGAAUUAUGAAAAACUCACAAUGUUAUACAUGAUCAUCAGUCAAAUUAUUGAAAAAAAAUAUAUAGUGAUAUAAUUAAGCUAAUCACUACUCCAAAAAAAAACAAACAGAAAUUUAGGAUGAACUAAUUUUGUAGCCAAGCAAUUUUUUUUUUGUUAGUUGUACUUAACGAAGGACUAUUUAAAACAUGUUAGCUGCGAGCAGUUUAGUAGAGUGAUAGAUUAGUAACGAAAUACAAAGCUAAUUUUUUUUUAAGUGAAGAAAGAUGCACUAUUAUAUAGCACUCCUACAAAGAGAAAGCCAAAAAAGCUAGCUAGAUUAUGUGAUUGAAACAUCCUAGAUAUUUUAGCACAAUUUGUAGUAGACUUUUUUUUUUUUUUUUUUUUUUUUUUAAAUUACCACAAACAAUUUAAUUGUGGUGGUUGGACUCUUUUUGUACUGUCCCUUGAGUUAUUAGAAACUAUUUGGAUCAUUAUAUCUUGCAAAUUAACUCCUCUUUAAACUUGUGAUGUAAUAUAGUACAUUAUGGACUUUUAUUGAGAGGUGGGGAGCAAAUAUUUUGUAAAAGUUUUAAAUUUUUAAUUAUUAUGAGUUACAAAUUUUUUUAUGUAAUUUUUAAAUAUGUAAAUUUUAUUUUUAUAAAAUUAAAAAUUUUAUGGCCAUAUUCACACAAAAAAUAUUAAUUAAUUUGAUCAUCAUACUUCAAAUCAAGCCAAACAAAUUAAAACAUGAAGAGUAACUUUUUGUGAUUCGUACAACAAAUCUAAGUGAUUUUUUUUAUUACAAAAAGUAACUUAAUGUCUUUGGUAACAUUAUGAUAAAAGUUGAAUACCCUUCUAUAAAAUCACAAUAGUUUAAGCGAUUGCAAUGAAAUCAAACACAUAUAAUUGCGUUUAAGUCUUAUGAUGAGUUGAAAUGAUCAAUACUAUGAAUACUCAUGAUAUGUGAUUUGACAUAUAUGAAGAAAAAACAAUAAUUAAUAACAUCCAACCACCUGUUGCUUUCUUAUGAUUUAUACUUUUUCAAAAUUUUGACAUAUAAAAUUAUAUCUCUUAAAACCUUUUACAAAUUAAUUACUCUCUUUAUUUAAAAAAAAUAAUCUAUUUUAAUUUGAAUUGGAGUUCAAAAAAAUAGAGAAGAUUUUUAAUUUUGUGAUCCUAAAUUAAAUUUAUGUCAAAUAUACUAAAAUAUUCUUUAAUUUUAUGAUUUUAAAUAUAUGAUAUGAAAAAUUAAAAUUAAAAUAUUAUCAAAAAGGGAUAAAGAUUAUUUUUUUUAAACGGAGUAAAAAAAAAAUAUUACUUAAUUUUUUUAAAAAACGAAGGGAGUAUAAUGCAUGUUUCACAUGUGCCAUCUGUACGGACACAUUUCAUUAUUGAAAAAGAAAGCACAACCAACAUUAGUCAAGUGAAAGGGCCACUAUACAUUUGGUCCUACCUAUCAAUAAUUUAAUAUUUUAUUAAGUGUACCAUUCAAUCUUUUUGGAGUAUGAUUCUAAUGCAGAUAGUACGAAUUCAAUCCUAAGAAUAUGUAAUUAUAAUACUCAUCUAGUUUAACCAAGAGAUUAUGAUUUAAUGUCCUCCAUAAUUUCUAUGUUAAUUUUUGUUGCUUGUGACAAGUCUAGGAAUCUAAGUAAACAAAAAUUUCGUCAAAAGGAAGUUGGAUGCAAGACUAGAAUGUCGUUAAGAAGGUAGAUUCCUAGAGAAUGGCUGAACACAGAUCUAUCAUUAUUAUGACGAAGAGAAUGAGCUUCGAGAGAAUGAUUCAGGAUUCUUGCAGAGUGGAACCAUGCAUUACAACACACGAGGUAGAUCUUGGAACCAUAAAGUAUCAGACAUGAGAUAGAUCUUCCAAAGAAUCAGGUCCGAUCCGAAGCUGACUUAAAACAUUUCAAGAGCGUGAGACUUUUGAAGGUUUACUCUGAUGGACCAAAAAAUAUGGAUUGUAACCCGAAAGAUUAGAUAGCUUUUAAUAUUAUCUUGUGAUUGUAGUAUUAUUUUGUAGACUGUACUAGUUUAUAUGCAUUCAUGAUUUAUGUUUGGUAUACUUUUAUCGGUCCUAUCAGAACAACCUCUCUACUUUAUCCGAGGUAGUGGUAUGAUCUGCGCACACUUUACCCUCCCCAAAUUCCACUAUGUGAGAAUACACUUGGGUAUUGUAUUGUUGUAACCCGAAAGAUUGUAGAUGUUCUUUUGAACAAGUCAGAAGGUUGGAAUUGCUAAAGGGUGAUGCAAACAUUUUAUGAAAGUUCUUUUCUGACAUGGGAAAGGGAGCAUUAAAGUAACUGGUAAAGUUAUUGUCAUGUGAUCAGGAGGUCAUAGAUUCAAGUCGUGGAUUUAGUAGUGCAUGAGCAUUAUCGAAAGGAGAUAAUUAAUACUAUCGGAUGUCGUUAUACAUUAUUUGCUUUUUAGUCCAUCUCAUAUGAUGCUAUUUACAUUAUUUUCUUUUUAAUCCGUAUUAAAAAUAUAUUACUUUAUUUUUUUCCUUUUUAGUCCAUCCCCCCAAAAAUAUUACCUUGCUCUAAUUAAAUAAUUUAAAUUUAAAAUUUCUCUUUUACUCUUAAUAAAAAAUUUAUAACCACAUAAAUAUAUAGAAAUUAUUUUAGACCGCAUGUUUCAAAAUUUUUUCUUUUUUUCUAAGCACAAAUAAAGUUAAAAUAAUUAAAAGAUCCCCGUAAUUGACCCUGAGCAUUAGAAUGAUACGCACAUCUAAAAAUAAUCUCUUUUUAAAUCUCGACAAUCUUCAAUACUAUGACCCUGAGCAUCAGAAUGAUACGCACAUCGUAAAUUAGGAUCAAAAUUUCUUGAACGCCGAUUAAGAGUGCACCCAAGGAGAGGAGUGAUCAUGCCCCAUUGUACCAAUCUCUGAAAUAAACUAGCAUACGACUCUCCAAUUGGUGUGAAGCUAUCUCUCGACUUCUGCCUCGUUUCAUCAUUGGGCUUGGAACGAAAAUCGGGCUUAGAAGGGUUUUGGUAUGUUUAUGGAGUUAGAGGACGGCUCUGAGGAGUUGGUGUGUUCCACUGUGGGUAAAAUAGGGGUUGAACAUAUGGCUGUGCGUUAUAUACUAGAUAUGGAGGUGGAGGAGCAGAGUAUAAUGGAUUUUGGGAGUGAUUAUGUGUUUGGGUAUGAACUUGGAUUUUUGCCUGAGAGUGACGACGACGGGGUCUUCUUGACCGUUUCCGCUAUCCAACUAUAAUAGUAGAUGCAUCUUCCUCAUUUUUUUCCUCCCCAACACUUCCUGAACCCUUUUGAAUUGCUUGAGUAGUCGCUUUUAAUGUUGCAAAACUCAUAAUGUUACCAGUCUUAAUUCUUUUUUCUAUCAUCUUCCCCAUUUUAAGGACCUCAAUGAACGGCUUGCCUAAUGCAGGUAACAAGUAUUGAUAAUAUGUUUCGUCCUGCGCUUCAAUAAAUACCUCAACUAUCUUACUUUCUUUCAUUGGCAGUUUCACCCUAGCAACUUGUUCACGCCAUCUGAUCGCCUACUUUCUGAAACUCUCAGUAUUCUUUUUUUUAUACUAGUUAGGGAUUUUUUGUCAGGGAUCAACCCCACAUUUUAUUGAAAUUGUUGCACAAAUUCAUUAGUUAGUUCAUCCCAACUAAUCCACUUGUCAAUGUCUUGGUCAACAAACCAUUUCGAAGCUAGGCCUGAAAGACUCUCCCCGAAAUAAGCCAUGAGUAGUUCUUCCUUCCCUCCAGCGCCUCUUAAUUGGUUACAAUAGCAUCUCAAAUGUGCCAAUGGGUCCCCAUGUCCGCCAUAUUUCUCAAACUUUGGCAUUUUAAAUCCAUGAGGAAGGUUGACACCUGGAAACAUGCAUAAGUCCUUAUAUGAGACACUUUUGUAACCCCCAAGUCCUUGCAAGUUCUUCACAGCCAGUUCCAAACUUCUCAAUUUUCUGGUUUUUUCCUCUUGUUCUUCUGUCAUAAUAGGCUUCUCAAUGUUAGGAGGAAAUUCAGGCGGGUGAGUGUCAUUAUAAAGACCACUCAACUUGAAUAUAGGCUCGAAAGUAUAAAGCUGAUCACCAGUAAUAUUCAAUACAGGCUCUCUUGUAGAGUAGGGGGGCACAACUUGUGGAUGAACAUCAAAAGUAGGAGCUUCAGGUGUGGGUGCGCUGCAAAAACAUGAACAAUAGGUGGAGUCGAGUAUGUGGUAGUCUUGGAUUGGGGAAUGAGAAAAUGAACAUUGGAAGUGGUUGGAUAUUAUUGCCUCGGAGUUGAUCCUGAUGCAUGUUGUGGCAUAUCAACAAAAAUGAAAAUUUAUGCAUGUGACACCAGAGGCAAGCUAGAAAGAUAUUUUAGAUUAUCAGUGGGAACUGGAGGAGGCGGCAACCCAUUAGCCCAAGCUCGAUGCAUUUCUAUCAUUUGUUGCCUUAAUUUCUGAAUCUCUUCAUUAGCUCCUAAAUUCUCAUUUUCCAAACUCCCUAUCUGAUUAGUGACAAUAAACUCGGUAUCUUUGUUGGCCAUAACCUUCUCUGUGACUUAGUGCAAUAUGGAGGACCAGCCAAAAUACCACAAACUAACCACCUCAAACCAACUGAACAAGAGAUAGCAAAUGCGUUAGAGUUCAAUACUUUCUCAAAAUCUUUUUUUUUCUUUUUAUUUGAAAAGAUCACCGAACCCAAGAAGGGCGCCUACUUAUCUCACUCCCGAAAGAGGAGAAUCAGGCGUGCGUAGUUCGUGAAGUCUUGCCAAAAUGACCAAUUAAACUUUUUUUCUUUUUCUUGAAAUUUUAAGAAGAAAAGAAAAAUGACAAAUUGUUAAAAGAAUAGACGAAAAUCUUUUUUUGAAUUUUUUAGCUUUAAUAACCUAUAAAAAAUGAAAUCUAUGAUUUCCAAAGAAACUCUUUUUGGGUUUUCAAUUUUGCACUUCAUACGAAAAUGAAACUUGAAGCUAUUAACAAAUAAUCUUUUUGUGAUUUUCUUUUAACGAUGUAUAGGAAACACCUACUUUAAAGGAAGAGUGAAGAAAAUCUUUUUUUAUUUUGAAUUUUUCAAAUAAGAUCCCCGAACCCACAAUAGGUUGUCUACGUAUCUCACUCCCGAGAGAGGAGAAUCAGGGGUGCGUGGUUCGUCCAAAUUGGACAAUUAAUAAUUAACUGACAGUCUGACCCUAACUUAAGAGACACAAUCAAAGACAGACGAAUAAAAACUCCUUCUUUUUUUUCCUUUUCUUUGAUUAGACACUUCAAAUAAAACGGACACCAACAAUUAUGAAGAAAAAAUCUUUUUGGUAUUUUUGCUAUAUGAAUGUACAAAACUUCUACCUUUUUUUCAUUUUCUUUUAUAAAACCUCCUAAAAUAUCUUUUUUGAAAUUUUCGAAUUAUGAAUACUUGCUAAAGAAACAAAGGAAAAUCUUUUUGUUUUUGGAUAAAUGAGUGCGAAAGGUAAAAACUCUUUUUUAAUUUUUUUUCUUAUUUUUGAAUUUUGAAUAUUGAAAAAUAAAAGCCAUAAAGAACUCUAAAAAUACUACAAAAUUCUCUCUUUUUUUCAAGCCUACACACCUUACUUCCAACACAUGCUUUUCUCAAAAUCAGUUCAUCAAAUGACCACGUUACCCUCAAAGAUACAACAUUUAGCACGUAGGGAUGCUUCAGAGGUCAGUCUCUUACAAAGGACCAAGUGGGUCCCGCUAGGUCUCAAUAUGAUGCAGAUAAACAUUACCUAAAGGCUGACCUACAUUGUGGUUCACUAACAAGGCCGUUCGGGGGAACAUAUGGUCGAUAGUGACUGCUUUGAUUUCGACCUACUCCAUACAUCCAACGGCUCUCCCUCCUAAAAUAAGGGUGACUCAACUAGAGUUCGUGUGCACGACGUGCACUCCGUGACUUGUUGCAGAAAAAAUUGACUCGGGUUAUGUACAUGAUGCCAAAUAUAAAACGGUAACACACAAGAGAAAAACUAUAAACAUGUAGCACUCAGCAAUGAUAAAAUAAACAACAAACGAUAACACAAACAAUGUUUAUACACCCAUAGUGUCAAAUUAAGCUGAUACAGCUCCAAAAAUAAGCUCGAAUUCUGAAAAAUCCCCAGCAGAGUCGCCAUAUCUGUCACGCUCUUUUUUUUUGAAUCCUAAAAAAAAGAAUUAGAUUUAAGUUUGAAAGGGUUUUUAUUGUUAAGUGACAAAAAGAUGAAAAUUUAUUUCAGAAAAGGAUUAUUUAUACUCAAAACUCAGAGUCGCCACUUGGCAUAACCGGGUGUGCCAAGUCACCUUUGAAAAAUCCUUUUCAAAAUAAUUUGACUCUUUAAACUGGUUUGCGAAUAGAGAUUCCGGCUAAGGAAUUCUGUUGACCAAGGGGAAGGUGUUAGGCACCCCUCGAUCCCGUGGUUUGACCACGGUUGCUUGGUGGAGAGUAUUGGCUAAUUUAACAUUAUAAAAUGUAUAAACCACAUAAACAAAUGAAACAAACAAACAAACAAAUCAAAUAAAAUUCAAAACCAAAAUAAUGUCUGGUCCGAAUUAUACAAUCCCAAAGAUAAAAAAAUACGAAAAUAUAAAUCCUAUUCUAGACUAAUCCUAAACUAUGCUCCAAUACUUUACCCAAUGCCUCGGGCCUUUAUCACGAAUGUCUUCCGCCAACAUAAUACAUCGGGGCAUUCCCCGGUGAGUAAAUACAAGUGAUUGCGGGGCAUUCCCCAAUCAAAUGAAUACAUUUUAAAAUACAAGAACUAAAACCCAAACCAUUCAACACAAAUUCCACAUUCACACAUUCAACAUGAAAACAUUUAUUCCUAAAUUUUUGCUAAGCGUAUCAUAAUUCUAUCAUGUUCCGACAAUAUUCAUACUUAUUCCGAAUAAAAUAAAACAAUAAAACAAAAAUUGAUCUAUAUUAAUCCCUUUUUGAAAUUUCUUAAUUCCACCCCUCCUAACUUCAUUUUUAUCAAUCAGACCAUCAAACUACUCAAGUUCGUUCCAUAUAUCAACAAAAUUAGCUCGUCAAGCACAUAAUCAAAACAUCAACAAGAUCCAUAUCCAACAAUCAUAAUCAUCCCACAUAAAAUAACAACAUCGAUAUACCAAAUUAAAAUGAAAUAAGGAACAAGAGUUGUAGAGAUGGACCUUUUGAUAAUCGACUUUCAUUGAUAAUAAUAAUCAAAGAAGACUCGGACUUUAGAAUCCCGAACAAAACCUCAACAUUGACGAACUCCAACUACGAUAUCGUAGAAUUUGAAACCUAAAACUGGUUGAGACAAAUGAAAAAUUAAACCCCAUAGUAGAAACAACACCCAGUGAAUCCCAAAGCCCGAUUUCGAUGAUGAAACUCAAAACAGAAGAAACCAAAACUCCAAUACACGAAAGAACCCAGAUUCAUGAUGAUUUUGAUGCGUUUUUGAUGAGUUUGCCACCGGAACAGUAACUCAACUUGCGAAUGCACGUUCCCUUAGCUGUCACGCCUCCUUUGCUUUGUUCUCUCUCUCAUUGUUUUGUCUCUCUCUGAUUAGUGUAUGUGUGUGAUAUUUUUGUGUGUAAGAGUAUGUGCAUAUAUUAGAGAAAAAAAGAAAAUCAGGUUCUCUUAUGGUCUAUUAGUGUAUGGUGUAUAUAUUCUCUCCGUGUUCUGUGAAGAAGAAACUAUAAAAAUGAAGUUUUCCUUUUUUUUUAAUUUUUUGGAAUCCCCUCUCUGGAAUUUUCUAUUCUCUCAAAAAGAAUAAGCAAUCAGAAGACUCAAGAUGAAUUUCUCCCCUCCCUCGUGUGUUCGUAUGGAGCCCUUCUUAUCACUGUGUCCAUUUCUAUAUUUCUGGAGAAGAAUGAGUAUCCAAGGGCUGCCGUCUGUGUAUUUGGUUAUCUAUUUUUCGGAAUUAUAUAUGGGUAUGUGUUGUUGUGAUGUGAAUAUAUGUUCAUUCUGAUGAAGAUGAUAAAAAAAAUGGGUCCCCUUUUUCUUUUCCUUUGUGAUCAAGAAAUGUGAGGAAAAAGGAGGGGGUGGGGGGUCACGUGAGUGGGGGUGAGGUGGUUUAUUUUGAUUGGGUAGGUUGUUAGGAUAAGAUAAAAUUAGUUAGAGGUUAUUAUUUUAUUAUUUUGUGGAGGGAUUAUCACAUGGGUGAGGGUGCGUAGUAAAAUGUGGGCUAAAAAUGAAUAAAAUUCAAUUUUGGGAGGGACAAAAUGAGGUGUCUACAUCAUACCCCCUUUGAAUGUAAACACGAAGUGUUUUCAGACAAAGAAGUAGACAACAAGAUAGAGUUUUGUCCCAACCAUUAUUCAAAGGAAUAAACAGAAAGAAGGAGAACAAUCGAGUUCUGACUUAGGAUAUCCUACCCACCCAAGUUAUGGAGGAAUCAAGUGAUGGGUAUUUCAAAAGAUUUAAAAGAGAGGGACAGUACCGAGUUGGAGAGUCGAGUGAGAUUCUAUUGAGGUUUUGAUCCGCGGCUCUGUCAUUACAUCAAAAUGAAAAUUAUAAGUUAAAACAUAAAUGAAAUUACAAAAUCCUAUCUAUACAGCUUCUGUUGGACUCCUGACUUAAGUUUCAUCACCCUAUUCUUCAAGCGGGCUGCUGACUUGCAAUUUCAUCACUUGUUACCUGGUUUUCAAUUGCUUCACCUUGUUGCUUAACUUUCCAUUUAUUCGCCCUGUGCUUCGGGCGGGUUCCUGACUUACUGUUUUUCAAUUUGUUAGCUUUCAACUUUUCACCUUGUUGCUUGACUUUCAACUUCUUCACUUUGUUGCUUGAGUUUUUAUUUCUUUACCUUUUUCUCCAGGCGGGCUCCUGAAAUCACAUCAAAACUAAAAAGAAAAUUAUCCCAAACAAAGAUUAUUAUAAAGAGGUUUUAUUUGCCAGAAAAGUGAAGUUCCAACACAAGAAUUAAAUUUUGCCCCAAUUUAUCAUCAAAGGACUUUUGCGAAAUUCACAUCAUUAUAGGAAUGAAGGAGAAUGACUCGACUAGAAGGUAUGUGUUAUAGGAAUCAAUGAAAAUGACUCAACUAAAAGGUACGUCUUCUAGGGGUCAAGGAGAAUGACUCGACUAAAAGGUACGUCUUAUAGGAAUCAAAGAGAGAUGGCUCGACUAAAAGGUACAUUUUAUAGGAAUCAAGGGGGAUGACUCGACUAAAAGGUACGUCUUCUAGGAUUCAAGGGAAAUGACUCGACUAAGAGAUACCUCUCAGGAGUCAAAGGGAGAUGACUCGACUAAAAGGUACGUCUUAUAGGAAUCAAGGGGGAUGACUCGACUAAAAGGUAAGUAUUCUAAGAGUCAAGGGGAAUGACUCGACUAAAAGAUACCUCUUAGGAAUCAAAGGGAUAUGAAUCGAUUAAAGGGUACGUUUUAUAGGAAUCAAGGGGCAUGACUCGACUAAAAGCUACGUCUUCUAGGGGUCAAGGGAAAUGACUCGACUAAAAGGUGCAUCUUAUAGAAAUCAAAGGGGAUGACUCAACUAAAAGGUACAUCUUCUAGGGGUCAAAGGGAAAUAACUCGACUAAAAGGUAUGUCUUAUAGGAAUCAAAGGGGAUGACUCAACUAAAAGGUACGUCUUCUAGGGGUCAAAGGGAAUAAAUCGACCAAAAGGUACGUCUUCUAAGAGUCAAGGCUCAAUUUAAGAAGUGUACCACCUGACAGAUGAAGACUAAAAUCCCUGGACAGAAAAGUGUGUCUCCAAGGGAUAUAGGCUAAUAAAUUUUACCAUGUCUAGAUUAUCAAACCCGUGCAGCAACAUUGCCUCUUGCCUUUGUAGAAGUCAGAAAUUAUGGCCUUUGUUGUUUAGGAUUAGAAAUCCUUAAUUUUAAGGUAACCUGUUCCUGUUUCAUACAAAGAAAACUUCUGAGUUUAAAACAUGGUGGAUGGUUUUUGGCUUUGUCUCUUGAGGCAAUCGCUCUUACCCCAAUCACAUUUAACCUUGAUUCUAACUAUUAGUAUAUGUCAUUGACUUACUGCAUCAUUGACUCAAACUUAGGUUAUUAAGAGUGACAGAAAUGAACACAGUAUCUCUGCUUUGCCAUGCUUCUCAGAUAGACCUUUGAACCUUGGUAUUUCCAUAAGUUCUCCGACUUCUCUGUUGACAAAACUUUCUAUAUACCCUUUUUGGCUCACAAUCAUGUCUCUUUCAUGUUCUAGCUUUUGUCUUGCUUUGUGCAAUUGAUGAAGCUGGUGGCUAGUUUUGAAAACUUUUCUCACUUGUUUUGAUGCGGACUUGACUCAAAGACAAGAAAACAAAACAGAAUGACAAUUUUUAUUUGGAUAACUGACUCAAGAAAGAUAAACAAAAAUAAAUAGAAGAAAGAAAAGACAAUGAAUGUCCCCAUUUGAAACAAAGAAAUGACAGAUUCAUUGAAAAAAUGACAGUCAACUCUAAUGAUUAUGCCAUGUAUUUUGGAUUGAGCAGCUUGAUCUUUUCAUCCAAACUUUUUACCAAUUGUUGUUGAGUUAACGGCCUUGAAACUAAGUUACUUCCUUAGGUCAGUUGCCUUUACGACCUCAUUCAGCUAGUGGCACCUUGAAGGGUUUUUGCCAACAAGCCUCACUCAUUUUUCUAUCGGCUCACCAUUGCCUUAUGGUGCCCGUGAGGGUUUUCACCAAUAACACUCUCUCAUUUUUAUUUAUCUCAACUUACUAUCCCCUUACGGUACCCGCGAGAGUUUUCACUAAUAAGACUCUCUCAUUUUUAUUUCUUUCUUGAUUCUUUAUCCUGAGGAAGACAAGUAGUUCCCAAAUGCAUCAUCAUAUCCCUUGCAUUAUUAGCCUUAACAUCCUCAAAGAUUGAUCUGAAGGUCUUUCUUUGGUUGUAACUUGGCUUUUGUAUAAGGUUAGAAAGAAAGGAUGACAUAAGUUCCAAUCGACACUUGAAGUGGGGUAGGACUUACAACUUUUGGAAUUGACUCAAACGAUGAGGAUAACCUAUGCCCCAGUUUCUUUUGACUGGGCAAUUAUAAAUUUAUUUAUUUGGUUGGACCGAGCCCAGCAUAGGGCAACCUACGUAUCUCAUCCCCGAAAGAGGAGAAUCAGGUCACGCGUAAUUUUGACAGCUUAUUCUUUUUUUGCUUGAUUCUGACUUAUUCUUCUCUUUUUUUACUCUUUUUUUACAUUGUGAUUUUUUUGACUCUAAUUUCUUGAAACUCUUUUCUUCCUUCGUGGAUAUAUUUUUCUUUUUUUUUUGAAACUUUCUGACUCUAUUGUUAGCUUUAUCUUGAUUCCAAAAGAGAGGUAUGAAAGAAAAUAACACUAAGGAUCAAAUGGGGUAAACAAAGGAUGACACAAUGUUUGGAUAGAAGAAUAAAAUGUCUUCAUCAUAUCAAUCCUUGAAAAUACUAGUACAUAGCGUGCAAUGUGAUAGUGCACGAUCAACAUCACUUAUGAUAUGUUUUACAACACUAACUUGCCCUGAGCAUGUGUAUCACCUCUUUUCCUAUACUUGUCGAACAUACAACUCCACCUUUAUUGUACAUCCCUCACAUUGAAUGACUCAUGCUUUCGUGGAGUUGGUUUUUGUUCUGUUCCUCGGGAGCACACAUCCGCCAUUUGACCUAAUUGAUCUAGGUUUUUCAAUUGAUGUCCAAGUUAUUCUUGUGAUUCUCAAAAUAAUUGCCUUAAUUUUCGAAGAAGGCUUCAACUUGUCACCAAAUUUCUCAGCACUCCACCUAUUUUCUCAGAUGCUUUUCCUAACUUUAGCCCUCUGAUUCAAUGUUUCAUGGUUAAGUUGGAUUUUAAGAUCUGGCUAAAAAUUUUGCUAGCAUGUCUUUCACUAGAAUCAAUAUAAAAUGCACUAUGUGAAGAAAAAAACAACAUAUAUUUGAACACAAAGGGAAAAAGGGACACUCUAUUUAAUUGAAAUAAAAGAUAGAGGGUUCGAACAAAAAUGACAAAGGGACAAAACAAGUUCAAUCCCAAACUACAACCCUGAAAUACUUUGGAAAACACUAAAAAAACAAAACAAACUACCAGACCUCUUCCUAGUAGGGAGAGGGGUGACUUCUCAAUUGCUCAGCCUGAUAACUUAGCCACUGGUUUGCCUAUCAACAUGACUAGAUCUUCCCUCACUGUUAAUGUUCUACACCAUGAUUGAUCCAUCUUGAAUCAUCUUUUCAAUUUCUCUUUUCAAAUCUCGAUAAUCUUCAAUAUUAUAACCCUGAGCAUCAGAAUGAUAUACACAUCAUACAUUAGGAUAAAAAUUUCUUGAAUGCCGACUAAGAGUGCACCCAAGAAGAGGAGUGAUCAUGCCCCAUUAUACCAAUUUAUGAAAUAAACUGGAAUACGACUCUUUAAUUGGUGUGAAGCUAUCUCUCGACUUCUGCCUCAUUUUAUCAUUUGGCUUGGAUCAAAAAUUAGGCUUAGAAGGGUUUCGGUAUGUUUGUGGAGUUAGAAGAUGGCUCUGAGGAGUUGGUGUGUUCCACUGUGGGUAAUAUGGGGGUUGAACAUAUGACUGUGCAUUAUAUACUGGAUAUAGAGGUGGAAGAGCAGAGUAUAAUAGAUUUUGGGAGUGAUUAUGUGGAGUUUGGGUAUGAACUUGGGUUUUUCCCUGAGAGUGAUGACUUCUUGACCGUUCCCGCUGUCCAACUACAAUAGCAGAUGCAUCUUCCUCAUUCUUUUUAUCCCCAACACUUCCUGAACCCUUUUGAAUUGAUUGAGUAGUCGCUUUUAAUGUUGCAAAACUCACAAUGCGACCAGUCUUAAUUCCUUCUUCUAUCAUCUCCCCCAUUUUAAGGACCUCAAUGAAUGGCUUGCCUAAUGCAGGUCACAAGUCUUGAUAAUAUGUUUCGUCCUACGCUUCAAUAAAUACCUCAACUAUCUUACUUUCUUUCAUUGGCGGUUUCACCCUAGCAACUUGUUCAUGCCAUUUGAUCGCAUACUUUCUGAAACUCUCAGUAUUCUUUUUUUUUUUAUACUAGUUAGGGAUUUUUUGUCAGGGAUCAACCCCACAUUAUAUUGAAAUUAUUGCACAAAUUCAUUAGUUAGGUCAUCCCAACUAAUCCACUUGUCAAUGUCUUGGUCAACAAACCAUUCUGAAGCUAGGCCUGAAAGAUUCUCCCCGAAAUAAGCCAUGAGUAGUUCUUCCUUCCCUCCAGCACCUCUUAAUUGGUUAUAAUAGCAUCUCAAAUGUGCCACUGGGUCCCCAUGUCCGCCAUAUUUCUCAAACUUUGGCAUUUUAAAGCCAUGAGGAAGGUUGACACCUGGAAACAUGCAUAAGUCCUUAUAUGAGACACUUUUGUAACCCCUAAGUCCUUGCAAGUUCUUCACAGCCAGUUCCAAACUUCUCAAUUUUCUGGUCGUUUCCUCUUGUUCUUAUGUCAUAACAGGCUUCUCAGUGUUAGGAGGAAAUUCAGGUGGGUGAGUGUCACUAUAAAGACCAGUCAACUUGAAUGUAGGCUCAAAAGUGCAAUGCUGAUCACUAGUAAUAUUCAAUACAGACUCUCUUGUAGAGUAGGGAGGCACAACUUGUGGAUGAACAUCAAAAGUAGGAGCUUUAGGUGGGGGUGGAGCCGUAAAAGCAUGAACAAUAGGUGGAGCCGAGUAUGUGGUAGUCUUGGAUUGGGGAGUGAGAAAAUGAACACUGGAAGUGGUUGGAUAUUGUUGCCCCGGAGUCGAUCCUGAUGCAUGUUGUGGCAUACCAACAAAAAUGGGAAAUUGUGCAUGUGACACGGGAGGCAAGCUAGAAAGAUAUUUCAGAUUAUCAGUGGGAACUGGAGGAGGCGGCAACCCAUUAGCCCAAGCUCGUUGCAUUUCUAUUAUUUGUCGCCUUAAUUUUUGAAUCUCUUUAUUAGCUCCUAAAUUCUCAUUUUUCAAACUCCCUAUUUGACUAGUGACAACAAACUCGGUAUCUUUGUUGGCCAUAACCUUCUCUAUGACUUGGUACAAUAUGGAGGACCAGGCAAAAUGCCACAAACUAACCACUUCAAACGAACUGAACAAGAGAUAGCAAAUCCGUUAGAGUUCAACACUUUCUCAAAAUCUCUUUUUUUUCUUUUUUCUUAAAAGAUCAUCGAACCUAAGAAGUCGCUUACGUAUCACACUCCCGAAAGAGGAGAAUCAGGUGUGCGUAGUUUGUGAAGUCUUGCCAAAAUGGCCAAUUAAACUCUUUUUUUUUCUUGAAAUUUUAAGAAGAAAAUAAAAAUGACAAAUUGUCAAAACAAUAGACGGAAUUUUUUUUUGGAAUUUUUCAGCUUUAAUAACCUAUAAAAAAUGAAACCUAUGAUUACCAAAGAAACUCUUUUUGGGUUUUCAAUUUUGCACUUCAUAUGAAAAUGAAACUUGAAGCUAUUAACAAAAAACUUUUUGUGAUUUUCUUUUAAAGAUGUAUGGGAAACACCUACUUUAAAGGAAGAGUGAAGAAAAUCUUUUUUUUUUUAAAUUUAUCAAAUAAGAUCCCCGAACCCAGAAUAGGCUGCCUACGUAUCUUAUUCCCGAGAGAGGAGAAUCAGGGGUAUGUAGUUCGUCCUGAUUGAAAAAAUAACGAUUAACUGACAGACUGAACCUAACUUAAGAGACACAAUCAAAGAUAGACGAAUAAAAACUCCUUCUAUUUUUUUGAUUAGAUACUUUAAAUAAAACGGACACCAACAAUUAUGAAGAAUUUUUUUUUUUUUUUGGCAUUUUUGUUAUAUGAAUGUACAAAACUUCUACCUUUUUUUCAUUUUCUUUAAUAAAAACUCCUAAAGAAUCUUUUUUGAAAUUUUUGAAUUAUGAAUACUUGCUAAAGAAACAAAGAAAAAUCUUUUUGAUGUUUUUGUUUUUGGACAAAUGAGUGCGAAAGUUAAAAACUCUUUUUUAAUUUUGAAUUUUGGAAAAUAAAAGCCAUCAUGAACUCUAAAAAUACUACGAAAUUUUCCACUUUUUUUCAAGCCUACACACCUUACUUCCAACACUUGAUUUUCCCAAAAUUAGUUCGUCAAAUAACCACGUUACCCUCAAAGAUACAACAUUUAGCACGUAGGGAUGCUUCAGAGGUGAGUCUCCUAUAAAGGACCUAGUGGAUCCCGCUAGGUCUCAAUAUGAUGCAGAUAAACAUAACCUAAAGGCUGACCUACUUUGUGGUUCACUAACAAGGCCGUUCGAGGGAGCAUAUGGUCGAUAGUGGCUGCUUUAUUUUCCACCUACUCCAUACAUCUAACGGCUCCCCCUCCUAAAAUAAGGGUGACUCAACUAGAGUUAGUGCGCACGACGUGCACUCCGGGACUUAUUGCAGAAAAAAUUGACUCGGGUUAUGCACAUGAUGCCAGAUAUAAAGAGGUAACACACAAAAGAAAAACUGUAAACACGUAGCACUCAAAAAUGAUAAAACAAACAACAAAUGAUAACACAAACAGUGUUUAUACACCCAUAAUGUCAAACUAAGCCGAUACAACUCCAAAAAUAAGCUCAAAUUCUGAAAAAUCCCCAGCAGAGUCGUCAGAGCUGUUACACCCCUUUCUUUGAAUAAAAUUUUUUUAUUGUUAACUGACUAAAAGAUGAAAAUUUAUUUCGAAAAAGGAUUAUUUAUAUUCAAAGCUCAGAGUCGCCACUUGGCAUAAUUGGGUGUGCCAAGUCACCUUUGAAAAAUCCUUUUCAAAGUGAUUUGAAUCUUUAAACUGGUUUGCGAAUAGAGAUUUCCACUAAGGAAUUCUGUUGAUCGAGGGGAAGGUGCUAGGCACCCCUCGAUCCUGGGGUUCGACCACGGUCGCUUGGUGGAGCGUAUUGGUUAAUUUAAUAUUAUAAAAUGUAUAAACCACAUAAACACACAAAACAAACAAACAAACAAAUCAAAAAAAAUUCAAAACCAAAAUAAUGUCCAGUCCGAAUUAUACAAUCCCAAAGAUAAAAAAAUACGAAAAUAUAAAUCCUAUUCUAGACUAAUCCUAAACUAUGCUCCAAUGCUUUACUCAAUGCCUCGGGCCUUUAUCACAAACGUCUUCCGCCAACAUAAUACAUCGGGGAAUUCCUCGGUGAGUAAAUACAAGUGAUCGCGGGGCAUUCCUCGAUCAAAUGAAUACAUUUUGAAAUACAAGAACGAAAACCCAAACCAUUCAACACAAAUUCUACAUUCACACAUUCCACAAGAAAACAUUUAUUCCUAAAAUUUUGCCUACUUGAACCUACUUUUGCCUAUUCAUUUCAGUGUAUCAUAAUUUUGUUAUGUUCCGACAAUAUUCAUGCUUAUUCUGAAUUAAAUGAAACAAUAAAACAAAAAUUGAUCUAUAUUAAUCCCUUUUUGCAAUUUAUUAAUUCCACCCCUCCUAACUUCAUUUUUAUUAAUCAGACCAUCAAACUACUCAAGUUCGUUCCACAUAUCAACGAAAUUACCUCGGCAAGCACAUAAUCAAAACAUCAACAAGAUCCAGAUCCAACAAUCAUAAUAAUCCCACACAUAAUAAUCCCACACAUAAUAACAACAUUGAUUUACCAAAUUAAAAUGAAAUAAGGAACAAGAGUUGUAGAGAUGGACCUUUUGAUAAUUGACUUUUGUUGAUAAUAAGAAUCAAAGAAGACCCGAACUUAAGAAUCCCGAAUAGAGCCUCAACAUUGAUAAACUCCAACUCCGAUAUUAUAGAAUUUGAAAGAAAAAUUGGUUGAGACAAAUGAAAAAUUAAACCCCAAAGCAGAAACAACACCCAGUGAAUCCCAAAGCUCGAUUUUGACGAUGAAACUCAAAACAGAAGAAACCAAAACUCCAAUACACGAAAGAACCCAGAUUCAUGAUGAUUUUGACGUGUUUCCGGUGAGUUUGCUGCUGGAACAGUAACUCAACUUGCGAAUGCGCUAUCCGUUAGUUCUCAUGCCUUCUUUGCUUCAUUCUCUCUCUCUUUCUCGUUGUUCCAUCUCUCUCAGGUCUCUGCGUGUAUGUGCAAUUUUUGUGUGUAAGAGUAUAUGUAUAUAUUGGAGAAGAAAGGAAAUCAGGUUCUCUUAUGGUCUUUCAGUAUAUGGUGUAUAUAUGCUCUCGUGUUCUGUGAAGAGGAAACCAUAAAAAUAAAGUUUUCCCGUUCUUUUUUCUUUUUGGAAUCCCUUCUCUGGAAUCGUCUCUUCUCUCAAAAAUAAAAAGCAAUCAAAAGGCUCAAGAUGAAUUUAUACCCUUUCUCGUGUGUUCGUAUGAAUCUAUGUUUCUGGAGAAGAAUGAGUAUCCAAGGGCUGCCGUCUGUGUAUUUAGUUAUCUGUUUGUGGGAAUUGUAUAUGGGUAUGUGUUGUUGUGAUGUGAAUAUAUGGUCAGUAUGAUGAAGAUGAUGAUAAAAAAAUGGGUCCCAUUUUUCUUUUCCUUUGUGAUCAAGAAAUGUGAGGGAAAAAGAAGGGGGGGGGGGGUCACGUGAGUGGGGGUGAGAUGGUUUAUUUUUAUUAGGUAGGUUGUUAGGAUAAUAUAAAAUUAGUUAGAGGUUAUUAUUUUGUUAUUUUGUGGAGGGAUUAUCACACGGGUGAGGGUGCGUGGCAAAGUGUGAGCUAAAAAUAAAUAAAAUUCAAUUUUGGGAGGUAUAAAAUUAGGUGUCUACAAUGUUGUGGGCCAAAAAUCAACCUAGGCAUGCCAGAGAGGUUGGGGAACAUCCAGUAUGGUAUAUUUGGGUGGGCAGGGCCAUUUGGGUGGUCAAAUAGGCAAAACGGCAUGAACGAGGCAUUUUUGGGCCAAAUCGUUGUGCUAUAACCCACGGUUCUUGGGGUAGUUAUGAGUCAAAAAUUAACUUGUGCAUUCCAGGGAGGUUGGGAAGCAUUCCAGUGUGGUCCGUUUGGGUGGGAGGGGCUAUUUGGGUUGUCAAACGGGCAAAAUGGUAUGAAUGGGGCAUUUUGGGGCCAAAUCAAUGUGCAAUAGCCUACGUUCCUGGGCUAGGCCCGAGGUCCGUGGGUGUUGUAGGCCAAACAUUGACUUAGGCAUUCCAGGGAGGUUGGGGAGCAUCCCAGUAUGGUCUGUUUGGGUAGGUGGGGCCAUUUGGGUUGUCAAAUGGGCAAAAUGGUGUAAACGGAGCAUUUUCGAGCAAAAUCGGUGGGCUAUAGCCCACGAUUCCUGGGAUGUGCAUGGGUUCUGGGCAUGUUGUGGGCCAAAAAUUAACUUGAGAAUUCCAAGGAGGUUGGGAAGCAUCCCAGUGUGGUCCAAAGGUUGUCGGGGCCAUUUGGGUGGUCAAACAUGUAAACUAGCGCGAAUGGAGCCUUUUCGGGCCAAAUCAGUGUGCUACUUGGGGUGGGAAAGGGUUCCAGGCAUGCUGUGGGUUGAAAAUUGACCUGGGCGUGACGAGGAGGUUGUAGAGCAUCCCAGUGUGGUCCGUUUAGGUGGCCAAAGCCAUUUGGGUGGUCAAACAGGCAAAAUAAUGUGAACGGGUUAUUUUUAAGCAAAAUCGAUGUGUUGUAGCUAAUGGUUCCUAGGGUGGGCCUGGGCAUGUUGUGGGCCAAAAAUUGACCUGCACUUACCACAGAGGUUGAGGAGCAUCUCAGUGUGGUAUUCUUGGGGGGAGGGUCUAUUUGGGAGGUCAAAUGUGAAAAAGUGGACCUUGGCAUGCUGUGUGCUUUGGGCCUAAAAUUGACCUUGGCGUGCUGAAAAUAAUGUGUACGAGGUUUUUGGAGCCUAAUCGAUGUGCUAUAUCCACGGUUCCUGGGGUGGUCCCGGGGUCUGGGCAUGCUGUGUGCUGAAAAUCCACCUAGGCAUGCCAGAGAGGUUGGAGAGCAUCCUAGAAUGGUCCGUUUGGGUGUGCGGGGCCAUUUGGAUGGUUAAAAAUGCAAAAUGGCACAAACGUGAUAUUUUUGGGCCAAAUAGGUGUGCUAUAGCCCUUGGUUCCUGGGGUAGGCCUAGGGUCCGGGCAUGCUAUGGGCCUAAAAUUAACCUAGGCAUACCAGGGAGGUUGGGGAGCAUUCCAGUGUGGUCCGUUUGGGUGGGCAGAGGCCAUUUGGGUAGGUAAACGGGCGAAAUAGCUCAAAUGGGGUAUUUUUGGACCAAAUAAUGUGCUAUAGCCCAUGUUUCCUAGGGGACCCGAGAUCCGGGUGUGCUGUCGGCCAAAAAUCAACCUGGGCAUGCCAGGGAGGUUAGGGAGCAUUCCAAUAUGGUCCGUUUGGGUGGGAGAGGCCAUUUGGGAGGUUAAACUGGUGAAACAAUGCGAACGAGAUGUUUUGGAGCCAAAUCGAUGUGCUAUAGCCCAUGGUUCCUGGGGUGGGCCUUUGGUUUGGGCGUGCUGUCAUCCAAAAAUUGACCUGGGAGUGUUAGGGAGGUUUGAGAGUGCCUCAGUGUAGUUCGUAUGGGUGGGCAGGGACUAUGGGUGGUAAUAAAGGCUAAACAGCACCAACAGGGCAUUAUUGGGCAAAAUUGGUGUGCUAUAGCCCGUGGUUCCUGGGGUGGGCUCGGGGUUCGGGCGUGCUAUGGGCCAAAAAUCAAGUUGGGCAUGGCAGGGAGGUUGGAGAAUGUCUCAAUGUGGUCUAGGGUAGGCCUAGGGUCCGAGCGUGACGUGGGUGAAAAAUCGACUUAGGCCUGCCAGAGAGGUUGAGGAGCAUCCCAGUAUGGUCUGUUUUGAUGGGCGGGGCUAUUUAGGUGGUCAAACAGGCAAAACGGCCCGAUCAAGGCAUUUUCGGGCAAAAUCAGUGUGCUAUAGCCCACGGUUCCUAGGGUAGGCCCAUGGUCUAUGCGUGCCGUGGGACAAAAAUUUACUUGUGCGUGCUAGGGAGGUUGAGGAGUGUCCUAGUGUGAUCCGUUUAUGUGGCCGGUGCCAUUUGGCUAGUCAAACGAGUGAAACGGGGUGAACUGGGCAUUUUAAGGCUAAAUCGAUGUGUUAUAGCCAAUAGCUCCUAGGUGGGCCUGAGGUUUAGGCGUGCCAUGGGUAAAAAAUUGACUUGAGAGAGCCAAAAAUAUUAGAGACCAUCCUAGUGAGGUCCGUUUGGGAGGGCGAGGCCAUUUGGGUGUUCAAACGGGUGAAAUAAUGUGAACGAGGCAUUUUCGAGCCAAAUCUGUGUGCAAUUGUCCAUGGUUCCUGAGGUGGGCUAGGGAUUUAGGCAUACUGUUUACCAAAAAUUGACCUGGACAUAUCGGGGAGGUUGGGGAGCAUCCCAGUGUAGUCCGUUUGGGUGGGUGGGACUAUUUGGGUGCACAAAUGGGUGAAAUAGCAUGAACGGAGAAUUUUUGAGCCAAAUUGGUGUACUAUAGCCUACGGUUCCUAAGGUGGGCCCGAGGUGCGGGCUCGGGGUCCGACCAUACUGUGUGCCAAAAAUUAAACUGGGCAUGCCAGGGAGGUUGUGAAGCAUCCCAGUGUGGUCUAUUUGGAUUGUCGAGGCCAUUUUGGUAGUUAAAAGGGUGAAAUAGUGUGAAUGGGGCAUUUUCGAGCCAAAUUGGUGUGCUAUCGCCCACGGUUCCUAGGGUGGGCUGGGGUCCGGGCGUGGUGUGGGUCAAAAAUUGACCUGGGUGUGCCAGGGAGGUUGGAAAGCAUCCCAGUGUGGUUCGUUUGGGUGGGCAUGCCAUUUGGGUGUCAAAUGGGUAAAACAGUGCGAAUGGGGCAGUUUCAGGACAAAUCAGUGUACUAUAGCCCACGGUUCUUGGGGUGGGCCUAGGGUCUGAGUAUGCUGUGGGCCAAAAAUAGACUUGGGCAUGCUAGGAAAGUUGGGAAGUGUCCUAGUGCCGUCUUUUUAGGUGGGCGGGGCCAUUUGGGUGGUCAAAUAAGCAAAAUGGCGUGAAUGGGGAAUUUUCGAGCCAAAUCGGUGAGCUAUAACCCAAGGUUCCUAAGGUGGGCUCGUGGUCCGGGCGUGCUGUUGGUUGAAAAUUGACCUGGGUAUGCCAUGAGAUUGGGGAGCAUCCUAAUAUGGUUGUUUUGGUUGGGUGGGACCAUUUGGUUGGUCAAACUGGCAAAAUGGCAUGAAGGGGGAAUUUUUGGGCCAAAUCAGUAUGCUAUAGGCUAUGGUUCUUGGGGUGGGCUCGGGAUUCGGAUUUGAUGUAAUCAAAAAUUGACCUGGGCUUGCUAGGGAAGUUAGGGAGUGUCCCAGUAUGGUCCAUUUAGGUGAGCGGGGCUAUUUGGGUGGUCAAACUGGCGAAACAGCAUGAACGGGGCAUUUUGGGGUCAAAUAGGUGUGCUAUAGCCCAUGGUUUCUGGGGUGAGCCCAGGGUUCGGGUGUGUUGUGGGCCAAAAAUUGACCUAGGCAUGCCAGGGAGGUUGGGGAGCAUGCUAGUGUGGUUUGUUUUGGUGGGUAGGGCUGUUAGGGUGGUCAAACUGGCAAAACGAUGCAAACGGGGCAUUUUUAUGCCAAAUCGAUGUGCUAUAGGCCACGGUUCCUAGAGUGGGCCCGGGGUUCGGGUGUGCUAUGGGUCAAAAAUUAACUUGAGCAUGCAAAGGAGGUUGGGGAGGGUCGAAGUGUGGUCCUUUUGGGUGUGCGGUGCUGUUUGGAUGGUCAAACUGGCAAAACAGUGUGAAUGGGGCAUUUUGGAUCUAAAUCGGUGUGCUAUACCCAUGGUUCUAGGGGUGGCCCCGGGGCUCGGGCAUGUGGGUGUCUAAAAAUUUACCUGGGCCUGUCAAAGAGAUUGGGGAGCGUUCUAAUGUGGUCCAUUUUGGAGGGCGCGGAUAUUUGGGUGGUCAAACUGGCAAAACGGCAUGAACAGGGCAUUUUGAGGCAAAAUUAGUAUGCUAUCACCCACGGUUCCUGGGGUGGGCCUGGGGUUCGGGCAUGCUAUUAGCCAAAGGUUAACUUGGACGUGCCAGGGAGGCUAAGGAGUAUCCCAGUAUAGUCCGCUUUGGUGUUCGAGGCCAUUUGGGUGGUCAAAUAGGCAAAAUAGCACGAAUGGGGCAUUAUUAGGCCAAAUCGGUGUUCUAUAGCCAAUGGUUCCUGGGGUGGGCCUAGGGUCCAAGGGUGUUGUGGGACAAAAAUUGACCUGGGCAUGCCAGGGAGGUUAGAAAGCAUCCCAGUAUGGUCCGUUUGGGUGGGCGGGGCCAUUUGCAUGGUCAAACGGGCAAAACGACUUGAACGGAGCAUUUUCAGGCUAAAUUGAUGUGCUAUAGAUAAUGGUUCCUAGGUGGGCCCAGGGUUCAAGCGUGUUGUGGGCCAAAAAUCAACCUGGGCAUACCAAAGAGGUUGGGGAGCAUCCUUGUAUGGUCCAUUUGGAUUUUUGGGGCCAUUUGGGAGGUCAAACAGGAAAAAUAAUUCAAAUGGGACAUUUUCGGGCCAUAUCGGUGUGCUAUAUCCUACGGUUCCUGGGGUGGGCUUAGUAUUCGGGUAUGCUGUGGGUCGAAAAUUGAUCUGGGCAUUCUAUGGAGGUUGGGUAGCAUUCCAGCGUGGUCGUUUUGCGUGACCGGGGCCAUUUGGGUGGUUAAAAGGGCAAAACAAUUCAAAUAAGGACUUUUCGGGCCAAAUUGGUGUGCUAUAGGCCAAGAUUCCUGGGGUGGGAUUGGGAUUCGGGUGAGCUAUAGGACGAAUAUUGACCUAGGUGUGCCAGGGAGGUAGGGAGCAUCCCUAUAUGGUCCGUUUGGGUGGGCGAGGCUAUUUGGGUGGUCAAACUGGCGAAACAGCAUAAACGGGGCAUUUUAGAGCCAAAUCGGUGUGCUAUAGCCUACGAUUCCUAGGGUGGGCUAGGCGUUCGGGCUUUUUGUGGGCUAAAAAUUAACCUGACCAUGCCAGGGAUUUUAAGAAGCAUCCUAAUGUGGUCAAUUUGGGUUGGCGGGGCCAUUUGUGUAGUCAAAAAUGCAAAAUGGCACGAACGGGGCAUUUUUGGGCUAAAUUGUUGGGCUAUAGCCCACGGUUCUUGGGGUGGGCCUGGGGUCCGGGCGUGCUGUGGUCCAAAAAUUGACCUGGGCGUGCUAUGGAGUUUGUGGAGCAUCACAGUGUGGUCCAUUUAGGUGGGCGGGGCCAUUUGGGUGAUCAGAUGGGCAAAACGGUAUGAAUGGUGCAUUUUCGGGUGAAAUCGGUGUGCUAUAGCCGAAGGUUCCUGGGGUGGGAUUGGGGUCCGAUUUGUAGUGGGAUAAAAAUUGACCUGGGUGUGUCAGGGAGGUCGGAGGGUUUCCCAAUGUGGUCGAUUUGGGUGGGUGGGACCAUUUGGAUGGUCAAACAGGUAAAACAGUGUGAACGGGGCAUUUUUGGGCCAAAUCGGUGUGCUAUACCCAAUGAUUCCUGGGGUGGGCUCGGGUUUUGGGUGUGCUGUGGGCUGAAAAUUGACCCGGGCAUACCGGGAAGGUUGGGGAGCAUCCCAGCGUGGUCUUUUUGGGUGGUCAAAGGUGCAAAACAACAUAAAUGUGGCAUUUUUGGGCCAAAUCGAUAUGUUAUUGCCCACGGUUCCUGGGGUGGGACCUGGAUUCGGGCUUGCUGUGAGCCUAAAAUUGACAUGGACAUGCCAGGAAGGUUGGGAAGCAUCCCAGUGUAGUUAUCUUGGGUGGGUGGGGCCAUUUGGGUGGUCAAACUAGCAAGACGGCGUGAACGGGGCCUUUACCUGGGUAUGCCAGAGAUGCUAGGGAACGUCCCAGUAUGGUCCGUUUGGGUGGGUAGGUCCAUUUGGGUGGUCAAACAGGCAAAACGACACAAAUGAGGCAUUUUUGGGCUAAAUCAACAUGUUAUAGCCAAGGGUUUCCCAAGGUGGGCUCCGGGUCCGGGCAUGCUGUGGGCCUAAAAUUAAACUAGGUAUGUUAGGGAGCUUGGAGAGCAUCCCAGUGUGGUGCGUUUGGGUGGGCGAAGGCCAUUUGUGUGGUGUAACGGGCAAAAUGGUGCAAAUGGGGCAUUUUUGGACCAAACAGAUGUGUUAUAGCCCACGGUUCCAGGGGUGAACUUAGGAUUCGAGUGUGCUGUGGGCCAAAAAUUGACCUGGGCCUAGGAUUCAGGCGUGCUUUUGGCUGAAAAUUGACUUGGGCGUGCCAAGGAGGUUGGGAAAUAUCCUAGCGCAAUUUCGUUUAGGUAUGCGGGGCUAUUUGGAUGGUCAAAUGAGCAAAUCAACGCGAACGGUGUAUUUUCGGCCUAAAUCGGUGUGCUAUAGCCCGAGGUUCCUGGGGUGGGCUCGGGGUCCAGUUGUGCUGUGGGAUAAAAAUUAACCUGGGCAUGCCAUAGAGGUUGGGGAGCAUCCCAAUGUGGUCUGUUUGGGUGGGUUGGGCCAUUUAGGUGGUCAAAAAGGCGAAACGGCUUGAACGGGGCAUUUUCGGACCAAAUUGGUGUGCUAUAGCAAACCAUUCCUGGGGUGGGCCCGGGGUUGGGUGUGCUAUAGGCUGAAAAUAAAACUAGGUGUGCCAAGGAGGUUGGGGAGCAUUCUAGUGUGGUCUAUUUGGGUGGGCGGGGCCAUUUGUAUGGUCAAACAGGCAAAAUGGCAUAAAUUAGGCAUUUUCGAGCCAAAUUAAUGUGCUAUAGCCCUCGGUUCCUGGGGUGGACCCAGGAUCCGAGCGUGUUAUGAGCCAAAAAUUAACCUGGGCAUGCCAUGGAGGUUUGGGAGCAGCCUAGUGUGGUCUGUCUGGGUAGGCAGGGCCAAUUGUGUGGUCAAAUUGGUGAAACAGCGUGAACGGGGUAUUUUGGGGCAAAAUCGAUGUGCUAUAGCCCACGGUUCCUGGUGUGGGCUUGGGGUCAGGGCAUGGUGUGGGCAGUAAAUUAAUUUUGGCAUGCCAGGGAGGUUGGGGAGCAUCUUAGUGUUGUCCGUUUAGGUUGGUCGGGCUAUUUGGGUAGUCAAAUAGGCAAAACGGCACGAACAGGGCAUUUUUUGGGCUAAAUUGGUGUGCUAUAGUUUACGGUUCCUAGCGUGGGCCAGGGGUUUGGGUGUGCUAUUGGUCAAAAAUUUACUUGAGCGUGCUAGGAAGGUUGGGAAGUAUUCUAGUGUGGUUCGUUUAGUGGGCGGGGCGAUAUGGGUGAUCAAACGGGCAAAACGACGUGAACGAGGAAUUUUGAGGCUAAAUUGGUGUGCUAUAGCCCACGAUUCCUGGGGUGGGUCCGGGGUCCGGGCAUGCUGUAGGCCAAAAAUUGACCCGGGCUUGCUAGGGAUGUUGGGGAAUGUCCCAGUGUGGUUCGUUUGGGUAUGUGGGGCCAUUUUGGUAGUUAAACGGGAAAAAUGGCGUGAACAGGGCAUUUUAUAGCAAUAUCGGUGUGCUGUUUGGGUGGAAAAACCGGUAAAAUGAUGAGAACGGGGCAUUUUUGGGCUAAAUCUGUGUGCUAUAGCCAACGGUUCCUUAGGUGGGCCUAGGGUCCGAGCGUGCUGUGGGCUUAAAAUUUACUUGGGCAUGCUAGGGAGGUUUGGGAGCAUCCCAAUAUGGUCCAUUUAGGUGGGUAGGGACAUUUGGGAGGUCAAACUGGUGAAACAGUGCGCAAGGGGCAUUUUCUGGCUAUAUCAAUGUGCUAUAGCUAACGGUUUCUGGGGUGGGCCCGGGCAUGUUGUUGGUCAAAAAUUAACCUGGGCGUACCAGAGAGGUCGGCGAGCAUCCUAGUGUGGUCUUUUUGGGUGAGAGGGUCCAUUUGGGAGGUCAAACAAGAAAAACGGCGCAAAUGAGACAUUUUUGGGCCAAAUUGGUGUGCUAUAGCCUACGGUUCCUGGGGUGGGCCCUGGAUUCAGGUAUGCGGUGGGCUAAAUAUUGAUUUGGGUGUGCCAGGAAGGUUUAAGAGCAUUCCAGUGUGGUUUGUUUGGGUGAACGGCACUUUUUGGGUGGUCAAACGGGCAAAAUAGAGCAAAUAAGAAAUUUUUAGGCCAAAUUGGUGUGCUAUAGCCCACUAUUCCUGGGGCAGACCCGGGAUCCGAGCGUACUGUGGGAAAAAAAUUGACCUGGGCAUGCGAUGGAGGUUGGGGAGCAUCCCAAUGUGGUCCGUUUGGGUGGCCAGGACCAUUCGGGUGGUCAAAAUUAUGAAACGGCAGGAAUGGGACAUUUUAGGUCCAAAUUGGGGUGCUAUAGCCUACGGUUCCAGGCGGGCCUGGGGUUCGGGCGUACUGUGGGUCAAAAAUUGACCUAGGAUUGCUAGGGAGGUUGGGGAGAGUCUCAAUGUGGUCCGUUUGGGUGGUCGGGGCCAUUUAGGUCGACAAGUAGCCAAAAUGGCACGACCGGGGCUUUUUUAGCCAAAUUGGUGUGCUAUAGCCCACGGUUACAAGGGUGGGCCUGGGGUCCAGGCAUGCUGUGGGCCAAAAAUUGGCUUGUGAGUUGCAGGAAGGUUGGGGAGCGUCUAUCUACAGUCCAUUUAGGUGGGCGGGGCCAUUUGGGUGGUCAAAUGUGCAAAAAGGUGCGAACGGAGCAUUUUCAGGGCAAAUCGGUAAGCUAUAGCCCAAGGUUCUUGGGGGGCUCGGGGUCCAGGCGUGCUGUAGGCUAAAAAUUGACCUGGUCAUUCCAGAGAGGUUUGGGAGCAUUCCAAUGUGGUCUGUUUGGGUGGACGGGGUCAUUUGAGUGGUCAAACGAGCAAAACGGCGCUAAUGGGGCAUUUUUGGGCCAAAUUGGUGUGCUAUAUAGCCAACGGUUCCUGGGGUGGGCUAGGGGUUUGGGCGUGCUAUGGGCUAAAAAUUAACCUAGGCAUGCCAGAGAGGUUGGGGAGUGUCCAAUUUUUGUCCAUUUAGUUGUGCGGGGUUAUUUGGGUGGUCAAACGGGUGAAACGACGUAAAUAAGGCAUUUUCAGGCUAAAUCGAUGUGCUUUAGCCAUGGUUCCUAGGGUGGGCCCGGGAUCCGGGCGUGCUACGGGUCAAAAAUUUACCUGGGCGUGCUAGGGAGGUUGGAGAGCAUCCCAUUAUGGUCUGUUUGGGUAGGUGGGGCUAUUUGGGUGUCAAAAUCAUGAAAUGAUACGAACGGGACAUUUUGGGGCUAAAUCAAUGUGUUAUAGCCCACGGUUCCUUGGGUGGGCCAAGGGUUCGGGCAUGCUGCGGGCUAAAAAUCAACCUAGGCGUUCCAGGCAGGUUGGGGAGCAUCCCAUUAUGGUCCAUUUGGGUGGUCAAACAGGUAAAACGGUGCGAAUAGGGCAUUUUUGGGCCAAAUCGGUGUUCUAUAGCCUACGGUUCCUGGGGUGGUGAUGUUGGGCAUAUUUAUACGUCUAAGCACCAUAACUUACCCAUGUUUUAGCCAAGUUUUGAGGAUAAAAUACAUAAUUCUUGCACUUUUAGUCUAUUUUUAGUUAAGUGAGCUGACCUAUGUGAUUAACAUGCUUUUCAGGUACUAAUGAGGAAGAUUACAGCACUUUGGGGACCUGUGGACAGCAAAGGAAACUUCACAUCAGCUUUUGGACUGAAUGUGAUGUAUGGAAACUUUUUCCCGGGAAAACUCAGUAUUUUUAAAUAGUUAAGGAUGCAGUAGCAAUUUAUUAGAGAAGGAAGUUAUUAAAAGCUUUAUGGCUGAAUUUUUAGGAAUUAUUCACAUUCUGUAUUUUUUUGAAAACAAGAGAAAGCGGCUUAGCUUGAGGACGGAGAGAGAAACGCUUUUCUCUCUUAUUUUCGCUAUUCAUCUUUACCACCAAGAUCGUUCUAAGUUUUGGUAUGAUGAAUAUUUCUAUUGUGAUUUCCGUUUUAUUCAUGAGUAGCUAAGUUUAUUUGUUAGGGUUAUGGAAACCUUGUAGUAUACUCUCUAUUGCUAUGGGUUUUUGAAUUUAUGAUGUGUUAAUCCACUUAUAUCAUUACUCUCUUCAUUUUGAUUGAAUUCUCGUGGUUGCAAACAUAGGGAAUGCGCCAUUAUAGCAAUAACUUGUUCGAUAGAAAAGUUACUAUUUGGAAAAGAGAGUGUGANNNNNNNNNNNNNNNNNNNNNNNNNNNNNNNNNNNNNNNNNNNNNNNNNNNNNNNNNNNNNNNNNNNNNNNNNNNNNNNNNNNNNNNNNNNNNNNNNNNNNNNNNNNNNNNNNNNNNNNNNNNNNNNNNNNNNNNNNNNNNNNNNNNNNNNNNNNNNNNNNNNNNNNNNNNNNNNNNNNNNNNNNNNNNNNNNNNNNNNNNNNNNNNNNNNNNNNNNNNNNNNNNNNNNNNNNNNNNNNNNNNNNNNNNNNNNNNNNNNNNNNNNNNNNNNNNNNNNNNNNNNNNNNNNNNNNNNNNNNNNNNNNNNNNNNNNNNNNNNNNNNNNNNNNNNNNNNNNNNNNNNNNNNNNNNNNNNNNNNNNNNNNNNNNNNNNNNNNNNNNNNNNNNNNNNNNNNNNNNNNNNNNNNNNNNNNNNNNNNNNNNNNNNNNNNNNNNNNNNNNNNNNNNNNNNNNNNNNNNNNNNNNNNNNNNNNNNNNNNNNNNNNNNNNNNNNNNNNNNNNNNNNNNNNNNNNNNNNNNNNNNNNNNNNNNNNNNNNNNNNNNNNNNNNNNNNNNNNNNNNNNNNNNNNNNNNNNNNNNNNNNNNNNNNNNNNNNNNNNNNNNNNNNNNNNNNNNNNNNNNNNNNNNNNNNNNNNNNNNAGGAGCAGGCUAGAUUAGCUGCAUUGGCAGCUGCGCAAGUAAAUCAAUAGAAUGCUGAUAACCCAGGUUGGGUACCAAAUCUAGAUGAUGAGGACCUGGGUGAUGAUGAGUUAUUAAAUCCAAGGCGUGCAGAUGAUGUGGCUGCACCAGUGAACAAUAAUGUCAACAAAGAUCAUCAAGCUAGGAUGAGACCUGAACGCCGAGCUGUGCAAGUUGCUUUUGAUGAUGAUGAUGAUGACUUGGAUGGGGCUGGUGCCACAGGGGCUAUUAUUCCUCUGGCCUUGGCACCUGGAGCCAAGUUCAAUAUCACUAGUACCAUGAUCCAGCUAUUGCAACUCAAAGGGUUAUUUGGUGGACUUGCAGGCGACGAUCCGAAUAUGCAUCUGAUUAAUUUUAUCUCAACAUACAAAUCAUUUGACAAUCCAGGGGUUGGACAAAAUGCGAUCCGUCUGCGCUUAUUUCCAUUGUCUCUAUCUGGAGAGUCAACUCUAUGGUUAAACGGGUUAACUCCUGACUCUAUUACCAAUUGGAGACAACUGAAAGAAGCUUUCCUAGAAAAAUUCUUUCCGCCAUCCAAGAGAGCAUAGUUAAGAGAUGAGAUAAGCAAUUUCAGACAACUUCCAACUGAAGCUGUCUACGAGACUUGGGAGAGGUUCAAGAAUAAGCUUAUGCAGUGCCCAAAUCAUCAGAUGACCAAUGUCCACCUGAUGGAAAUAUUAUAUAGGGCUUUGAACUCGGUGACUAAGCCAGUGGUAGAUAAUGCUGCGGGUGGGUCAUUCAUGGACCUUACUUUUAUUGAGGCAUGUGAGAUGCUGGAUCGUAUGACAAAGCAGAGUAGAGCUUGGCAUACUAGGGAUUCAGUCCAAAAGCUACUUUAAGAUGCUUUCCUUUUUAUGCGAAGUUUCCUUUGCUGUCCACAGGUCCCUAAAGUGCUGUAAUCUUCCUCAUUAGUACCUGAAAAGCAUGCUAAUCACAUAGGUCAGCUCACUUAACUAAAAAUAGACUAAAAGUGCAAGAAUUAUGUAUUUUAUCCUUAAAACUUAGCUAAAACAUGGGUAAGUUAUGGUUCUUAGACGUAUAAAUACGCCCAACAUCACUUGCUAUGGUCGAAAAAUUGACCUGGGUGUGGCAGAGGGGUUGGGGAGCGUCUAGUGUAUUCCAUUUGGCUGAGCGGGGUCAUUUGUGUGGUCAAAUGGGUAAAAUAGCACAAAUAGGGCAUUUUCAGGCCAAAUCUAUGUGCUAUAGCCCACGGUUCCUUGGGUGGGCUUGGGAUUCAGGCAUGCUGUGGGCUAAAAAUUGACCUGGGCGUGCCAGGGAGGUUGGGGAGCAUCCUAGUGUGGUUAGUUUGGGUGUACGGGGCCAUUUGACUGGUCAAACUAUCAAAAUGGUUUGAACGGGGCAUAUGGGGACAAAUCUAUGAGCUAUAGCCCACGGUUCCUGAGGUGGGCUCGGGGUCCGUGCAUGCUGCGGGCUGAAAAUCAACCGAGGCAUGCCAUACAAGUUUUGGAGUGUCCUAGUGUGGUCCAUUUGGGUGGUCAAACAGGAAAAAUGGCAUGAAUGGGUCAUUUUCAGGCUAAAUCGGUGUGCUAUAGCCCAUGGUUCCUGGGGUAGGCCUGGGGUCUGGGCAUGCUAUAGGUUGAAAAUCCAGUUGGACGUUCCUAGAAGGUUGAAGAGUGUUCUAGUAUGGUCUGUUUGGGCCGGCCGGCCUAUUUGGGUUGUGAAAUGGGAGAAACGACGCAAGCGAAGCUUCUUUUAGCCAAAUUGGUGUGCUAUAGCCUACAGUUCCUGGGGUGGGCCCAGAGUCUGGGCCGUGCUGGGGGACAAAAAUUGACCUGGGUAUGCUAGAGUUUAGGUGGGCGGGGCCAUUUGGGUGGUCAAAUAAUUAAAAUAGCAUGAAUAGGGUAUUUUUAAGAUAAGUCGGUGUACUAUCCCAAGGUUCUUGGGGUGGGCCCGGGGUCUGAGCGUGCUAUGGGUCGAAAAUCUAGUUGGGCAUGCCAGGGAGGUUGGAGAGCGUCUUAGUGUGAUCCAUUGGGGUGGAUGGGGCUAUUUGUAUGGUCAAACAGGUGAAACGGUGCAAGUGGUACAUUUUUGGGCUAAAUCUGUGUGCUAUAGCUCCUGGUUCCUAUGGUAGGCCUGGGGUCUGGGCGUACGGUGGGCAAAAAAUUUACCUGGCAUGCCAGGGAGGUUGGAGAGCUUCCCAGUAUGGUCCAUUUGGGUUGGCGUGGCCAUUUGGGUGAUCAAAAGGGCAAAACAGUGCGAACGGGGUAUUUUUGGGCUAAAUCAAUGUACUAUAGCCAACGGUUCCUGGGGUUGGCCCGGGGCUAGGCAUGUUGUUGUACAAAAAUUGACCUAGGCAUACCAGGAAGGUGGGGGAGAGUCCCAGUGUGGUCUGUUUGGGUGGACGGGGCCAUUUGGAUGGUCAAAUGGGAAAAAUGGUGCAAAUGGGGAAUUUUUAGGAAAAAUCGGUGUGCUAUAGCCCUCGGUUCCUAAGGUGGGCCUGGAAUCAGGGCAUGAUGUUGGUUGAAAAUCAACCUGUGCAUGCCAGUGAGUUUGGGGAGCGUUCCAGUAUGGUUCAUUUGGGUGAGCGAGGCCAUUUAGGUGGUCAAACGGGAGAAACAGUACCAAUGGGGCAUUUUCGUGCUACUUCGAUAUGCUGUAGCUCACAGUUCUUACGGUGGUCCCGGGAACUGGGUGUGCUGUGGGCUAAAAAUCGACCUAGACGUGCCAGGGAGGGUGGGCCAAAAAUGGACCUAAGUGUUCCAGGAAGGUUGGGGAGCAUCCUAAUAUGGUGUGUUUGGGUAGGCCGGGCUAUUUGGGUGGUCAAAAGGUCAAAACGGAGCGAACGAGACCUUUUUCGUCCAAAUCGAUAUGCUAUAUCUCAUGGUGCCUGGGGUGGACUCGGGGUUCGGCCGUGUUGUGGGCCAAAAAAAAAACCUGGGUGUGCCAAGGGGGUUGAGGAGCUUCUCAGUGCGGUCCGUUUAGGUGGGAGGGACCAUUUGGAUGGCCAAACGAGUGAAACAGCAUGAACGGGGCAUUUUCGAGGCUAAUUCAGGGUGCUAUAGCCUACGAUUCCUGGGGUAGGCCCAGGCUUCGGGCGUGUUAUAGGCUGAAAAUUGACCUGGUCAUGCCAAAGAGGUUUGGGAGCAUCCCAAUGUGGUCCGUUUGGGUGGGGGAGGACAUUUGAGUGGUCACACGGUCAAAACAAUGUAUUUUCAUGCCAAAUCAGUGUCCUAUAGCCAACGAUUCCGGGGGUGGGCCCGGGGUUCGGGCGUGCUGUGGGCCAAAAAUUGACCUGGGAAUUCCAGGGAGGAUGAUGAGCAUCCUAGUGUGUUAUUUUUAAGAGGUCGGGGCCAUUUGGGUGGUCAAACAAGCAAAGUAGCAUAAAUGAGGCUUUUUUGGGCAAAAUCGGUGUGUUACAGCCCAUGGUUCCUUGGGUGGGCUCGGCAUUUGGGCGUGAUGUGGGUUGAAAAUUGACCUGGGCAUGCUAGGGAGGUCAGGAGAAUCCUAGUGUUAUCUGUUUGGAUGGCGAGGACAUUUGAUUUGUCAAACUGGGAAAAUGACACGAACGGGGCAUUUUCUGGCCUAAUCGGUGUGCUAUAGCCUACGGUUCCUGGAGUAGGCCUUGGGUCCGGGUGUGCUAUGGGCUAAAAAUAGACUUGAGCAUGCUAGGAAGGUUGGGGAGCAUUACAGUGUGGUUCGUUUGGAUGGGCGUGGGUAUUUGAGUGAUUAAAUGGGCAAAACAGUGCGAACGGGGUAUUUUGAGGCCAAAUCUGUGUGCUAUAACCCACGGUUCCUAGGGUAGGCCCCGGGUAUGGGCAUGCUGUGGGCCAAAAAUUAACCUGGCCAUGAUAGGGAGGUUGAGAAGCCUUCCAGUGUGAUUUUUUUGUAUAAGUGGGUCUAUUUGGAUAGUAAAACAGGCAAAACGGCAUGAACAGGGCAUUUUUCAGGCAAUAUCGGUGUGCUGUAGCCCACGGUUCCUGGGGUGGGCCCGGGAUUCGGGAAUUCUGUGGGCUGAAAAUUAACUUGGGUAUUCCAAGGAGGUUUAAGAGUAUUCCAGUGUGGUCCUUUUAGGUGGGCGGGGCCAUUUGGCUGGACAAAUGGGCGAAACGGUGAGAACAGAGCAUUUUUGAGCCAAAUCAGUGUACUAUAACCAACCGUUCCUUGAGUUGGCUUUGGGUCCUAGUGUGCUAUGGGCUAAAAAUAUACUUGGGCAUGCCGGAAAGGUUUGGGAGUGUCCCAGUGUGGUCUGUUUGGGUAGCGGAGCCAUUGGGAGGUCAAAUGGGUGAAAUAGUGCGAAUGGGGAAUUUUCAAGCUAUAUCAGUGUGCUAUAGCUAACGGUUCCUGGGGGUGGGCCUGAGGUUCGGGCGUGCUAUGGGUCAAAAUUUGAACUUAGCAUACCAUAGUGGUUAGGAAACAUCCCAGUGUUGUCCUUUUGGGUGGGCAGGUCCAUUUGGGAGGUCAAAUGGGAAAAACAAAGCAAAUGGGAUAUUUUUAGGGCAAAUCAGUGUGUUGUAGCCCACGGUUCCUAGGGUAGGCCAUGGAUUCGGGCAUGAGAUGGGUCAAAAAUUGGUCUGGGCAAGCUAGAAAGGUUGAAGAGCAUGACAGUAUGGUCCGUUUGGGUGAACAGGGCUAUUUGGAUGGUCAAACGGGUGAAACAUCGCUAAUAGGGAAUUUUUGGGCCAAAUCGGUGAGCUAUAGCCCACUGUUCUUGGGGUGGGCCCAGGAUCCGGGCGUGCUGUGGCAAGAAAGUUGACCUGGGUAUUCUAGGAAGGUUAAGUAGAAUCCCAGUGUGGUUCGUUUUGGUGGACGGCACCAUUCAAGUGGUUAAACUGGUGAAACAGUGCGAACGGGGCAUUUUAGGGCCAAGUUGGUGUGCUAUAGCCUACAGUUCCUGGGCAGGCCAGGGGUUUGGGCGUACUGUGGGCUAAAAAUUGACCUGGUCUUACCACAGAUGUUGGGGAGCAUCUCAAUGUGGUCCUUUUGGGUUGGCGGGGACAUUUGGGUAGUCAAGCGGGCAAAACAACAUGAACGGGGCUUUUUGGGGGUAAAUUGGUGUGCUAUAGCCCACGGUUACUGGGGUGGGCCUAGGGGAUGGGCGUAUUGUGGGCCAAAAAUUGACCUGGUCUUGCAACGGAGGUUAGAAAGCAUCCCUGUAUGGUCUAUCUAGGUGGGCGGGGCCAUUUGGGUGGCCAAAUGGGCUAAACGGAGCGAAUGGGGCAUUUUCGGGCCAAAUCGGAGAGCUAUAGCCCAAGGUUCCUGUGGGGAUCGGGGUCCAAGCGUACUGUGGGAUGAAAAUUGACCUGGGUAUGCCAGGGAGGUUGGGGAGCUUCGUAGUGUGGUCUGUUUGGUUGGGCAGGGCCAUUUGGGUAGUCAAACUGGCGAAACGGCGCGAAUGAGGCAUUUUGGAGCCAAAUCGAUGUGCUAUAGACCACGGUUCUUAGGGUGGGCCCAAAGUCCGAGCAUGUUGUGGGCCAAAAAUUAACCUAGUAGGUUUUUUAGCAUCCCAGUGUAUUCCAUUUAGGUGGUCAAAUAGGCAUAACGGAGCAAUUGGGAUAUUUUUGGGCCAAAUCGGUGUGCUAUAGCCCACGAUUCCUGAGGUGAGCUGAUACGCCCAAAUUACAACUCUCGUUUGAAAGUGCAAGCGGUCGCUGUCAAAUAUAGAACCCAACUGGGUUGGGUGUCGAAUCCCACAGGGAAUACUAUGAUCACUUAGUAUUGCGAUUAUUAUUAGACUGUUGAUCGAAGGUUCCAAAGUAAAAGGGGGUUUUGGUUUAAGUACACAGUAAUACUAUCCGUGUAACAAUAAGAUGAUAUGUGUAAUUGUAUUUGAUUACAGAGAAAGACAAGUUAGGGUUAUUUCCACCUUGUAGUUUUUAAUAUUUUCUAACUAUGAGUAUUUAGAGCUCAUACAUGCAUGCACUUACAGAGAAACACAUUUAAAUUCAUAAUCCAAGUGUUUCUCAACCAACAAGGAUUAAUCCACUCUAGUUCUCUCAAAUCGAAAGUGUUGUUUAAUACUUAUGUGAAAUCUUCAAGUUGUUGAUCCUAUUAAGGCAUUAACGGAUAAAAUAGAGGUUAGAAACCCUAUUCUCUUGCCACUACUCUCUUUUCCCAACAUAAACUUUUCUAUCGAACAAGUUAUGUUUUAAUGGCAUAUUCCUUAUGUUUGCACCAUGAGAAUCCAAUCAUAACGAAUAGAGUAUAAUAUAAGUGCAUCUACACAUAAUGAAUUUAAAACCCAUAAAAAUAAAUAGUAUAUUACAAGGUUUCCAUAGCCCUAACAAUUAAACUUAGCUACUCAUGAAUAAAACGGAAAUCACCAUAAGAAUAUUCAUCAUACCAAAAACUAGAUGUCGAUUUUGGUAUCCAAAAAAUAGUGAAAUCAAGGAGAAACGUUUUUCUCUCUCCCUCUACACUAAGCCGCUCUUUCUUGCAUUUAAAAACCCAAAAACAGCAUAAUAUAUAAAAAUUCAGCAACAAGUCUUUUAAUAGCCUUCUCUCUCAUAAUUUCCUUCUAAGUCCUCAACUUAUUAUAAAUGACAAAUUGGCCCGGGAGAAAGUUCCCAUGCGUCCCAUUUGGUCCAACAACUGCUUUUCCUCUUGUGUGAGUUUUCCUCUGAAAUCUGCAGUCCCCAAAGUGUCUUUAUCUACUUCAUUAGACCUAAAAAUCAUGCUAAUCAUAUAGGUCAGCUCACUUAAAUCAAAGUAGAGUAAAAAUGUAAGAAUUAUGUAUUUUUGUUCUCAAAAUUUAGCUAAAAUAUGGGUAAAUUAUGGUACUUAGACGUAUAAAUACGCCCAAGAUCACCACCCCAUACUUAAAGCUUUGUUCGUCCUCAAAAAAAGUAUACAUCUAAGCAUAUACCAAAUUACAAACCUACAGAGGAAACACAAAAUGCUCAAAUAGGCUUAUACAACAAUUAGGCACAAGAGUUAGAUUCAUGAUUCAUUACUAGAAAAACUUGUCCUCAAGAAUAGACUCACUAGUUGACAAAUUCAUAUAUACUGUUUAAGCAAAGAAAUCAUAUAAAUUACCCAACCUUCAUCAACCAUAUGACCUCACAACAAGAAAUUUACCCAUAAUCACUCACAAUCAUGCAAUUUCUAACAACAUGGGUAUAAGAUUCAAGUUGCACUCACUCUCAAAAAGAAUUCUCAAAUUACAACUGAUGACCAUAUGCUUGCCCUUAGUGUAAUACUCCACUAAUAUCAGAAUGCUAAGAUUAGGAUCAAAUAGGUCUUUUACGGGUUGUAAUGUAGGCUAAAGGAUGGGCAGGAACUAUUUUGGCCAGAAAUAGUGACUAUCUUCCAUAAGCACUUUAAUACACUACAUUAUGCAAUUAAGACCAAUCUCUAACAACCAAUUUCCAAUUCUGCUAUCUUCACAAAUUUUCUUUUCAUCCCAACUCGUUAAGCUUAAUUAAUAACCCUAUGGUGGGAGUAUGCAACCCUUUUAUUUUUUUUGCACCCUUUUCAUGUUAUGCACCCCUAUAAUAGCGACCCUCAACUUAAGUGAUUUGCCUUAGUUGAGGUGCACAAUGUCCAAUAAGGACCGGGCCAAAACAGGUUCAUUGUAACAUGUCCGGGAUAAAAUUUGAAACUUUUUAACAACACUUUGCAACUCCCAACAACAACACUUUCACAUACCAAUAACUAGACUUUGGGCCUUAAUCUCACCUUUUUCCUCUUAUUUUUCAAACCCCUAACUCAAAUUUUUAUUUUACACUAAAGCGCUUAGGAGCAUUUGGAUCAAAUUACGAUCUGAAAAAAUAUGGAUAAGGCUACAUAUGAGGCUAACAAAAGAACAAGCUAAAGGCUCAACAGGGCUAGCAAAGAUAAAGCGUAAAGGUGGGUAAAAAGAAAAGGAUAUAAACAAUGGCUAUCAAAGAAAUACCUAAAUCAUUUCCUAAACUCACAAUCUUUAUUUCCCUUUGCACACACACCAGACAAGUUCUAGUAUCAGUUGCAACAAGGAAUAUACAACAGCCUUACACACUCAUGGCACAUGGUCAACUUACUUAGGAGCAUUAUAGAUUCUCGACCCAACACUUAAAUGAAUUCCAAUAUAGCCAACAAUCAUAACCAGAUUCACAACUAGAGCCUAAAUGUUUUAAACGUAAAGAUCCAUCGCAUACUUAUGUUAUAAUGCCAUGCGGUCCAUAAGUAGCAAUUUCAUGCAACCAAUGACUAAUUUUCUCUUAAGACGGUCGUCAUCCAUUCAUCAUUGAGAAACAAACGCCUACUUAUGAACUAACAAAACACUAAACUAGGUACACAAACAACAAAACAGAAAGUAACUAAUAAGCAAUCUAGAAGCAUUUCUAGUCCACCCCACACAUUCAAAGAAAACACUGUCCCCAGUGUAAAUGCAUAAAUAAAAACCUGGUUAGUCAACAAGAGCUCUUUCACACAAUGAGAUUUAUUUUCCCCAAUAAUAGAAAACUAACCAUAAUCUUAUCUUUAAGCACUAUUUCAAAACCCAAUUAACAACUAUGAGCAUACUAAUAAAAGAACUACAGAUAAUGAAAGAGAAAAACUUACUUGAUGAUGGAUUCUUAAUAAAAAGAGAAAGAGAGCUUGUAAGAUAAGUAGAGCAAAGAGAAGGGUUUUAAGAGAGGAGGGGUGGGUAGUGCUUAGGUGAAAGAAGAGUUGAAUAGAAUUUUAGGGUAGAGAUGGUAUUUAAAAGUUGGGACAUGGGUCGGGUUGAUCCACUCAAAAAUGGGUACUUAUAUUUAAAAAUUUUCACUAAUGUGCAACUCACCUUCAAUCGCAUAUGCUUAAGAAUGCGGCACAUAUCCUAUCGCCUAUAUUUACAUGUGCGGUGCAUAAGGUAUCGCCUAGUUAAGGUAGUGGGCAUAGGCGAUUAGAAAUACAGUGCAUACCCUAUCACCUAUAUUUACAUGUACAGCACAUAGGGUAUCGCCUAGUUGAGGCAGUGGGCAUAGGCGAUUAGAAAUGCGGCGCAUACCCUAUCGCCUAUAUUUGCAUGCGCGGCACAUAGGGUAUCGCCUAGUUUAGGUAGUGAGCAUAGGCAAUUUACAAUGUGGCGCAUAUCUAAUCGCACACCUUAAUAUAUGCGGCACAGUCUUGGUCGAAAAGGUCCAUACCGCAGGGGAUUCGGCCCCGCACCCCCAUCGAGGUCAGUGGUGGGCUUCAAGAUUGGGCCUAUUGGCCUGAUCCCUACUUUACUACCACAGACCUCAUUGAAAGUCACACCGUGAAAAUUUUUGGGUUGAAUUUACAUAAUUCGAGGCCCGACUCUAAUGCAAAUCAUACUUGAGCCUUACACAUUUGACCACUCCUCCUUAGUACUUCAUGCUCCUGCACUUAAUCAAAAACAACAAAAAUGAUUAGAAAGAUGGGUUGCCUCAUACCAAGCACUGUAGUUUUGGUCGUGGCUUGACUCAUAUUUUUGAAUUUUCAUUUACCAUAAACAAAAGCAAAGUAAAAUCAUGGGUUGCCUCCCAUGUAGCGCUUGAUUUACUAUCAUGGCAUGACUCAGCUAUCUCGAUUACUUAGAAUUUAUCUAGAUAUAUGUUGGCUAUACACUUUAUCAAGGCUGUUGGCUUGAUAUAUAGCUUCACCCUUUGUCUGUUCACCUUGAAGACAUUCCCGUCUUUAUUUUCUAGCUCAACUACUCCAGAUGAGUAGACUUGGUUAAUUUUGAAUGGACCAGACUAUUUAGACUUCAACUUACCUGGAAAUAGCUUCAUCCUAGAGUUGAAUAGGAGUACCAAAUCAUCCUUUUGAAAGUUUUGUUGCACAAUCCUCCGAUCAUGGUACUUUUUCAUCCUUUCCUUGUAAAGGUCUGCUCUUUCAUAUGCAUUGAGAUGGAAUUCAUCCAUCUCAUUCAAUUAGCCCAGUCUCAGCUUUGCUGCCUUAUCCCAGUUCAAGUUUAGCCUUCUGAGUGCCCAUAUGCUUUAUGCUCUAAUUCAACGGCAAGUGACAUGCCUUUUCAUACACAAGUUGGUAUGGUGACAUGCCAAUAGGCAUUUUAAAAGCUGUUCUGUAUGCCCAAAGAGCAUCAUCUAGCUUUCAUGACCAGUCUUGUCUAUUAGCAUUCACGGUUUUAGCAAGGAUGACUUUGAUUUCUCUGUUCGAAACCUCCACUUUUCCACUAGUUUGUGGGUGGUAUGGAGUUGCCACCUUAUGUUUCUUAACACCGUAUUUUGCUAAAGCAUUUCUGAAAACUUUAUUGUAGAAAUAGGAUCCUCUAUCACUUAUGAUUGUUCUUGGUACCCCAAAACGGGAGAACAUGUUCUUCUUUAGAAAUGCUAUAACUUUUUUUCCUUCAUUAUCAGCCAAAGCUACAGCUUCCACCCAUUUCGGGACAUAGUCCACAGCUACUAGGAUGUAUUUUAACCAAUAUAAGCUUACAAACGAGCCUAUAAAGUUGAUGCCCCAUACAUUAAACAACUCUACUUCCAUCAUUUUGGACAUCGGCAUCUCAUGGCGUUUGGAGAUUGAUCCUUGCCUCUAACAUUGAUCACAUCUUCGAACAAACUCAUAUGCAUCUCUAAAUGGCGUAGGCCAAUAGUAGCCACUCUGCAAUACUUUCUGAGCAGUACGAUCACCUGUAUAGUGACCACCAACAGGUGAAGUGUGGCAUGCUUCCAAAAUACUCAGCAUCUCUACCUCUGGGACACAACGCCUAAUAACACCAUCUAUACAUCAUCAAAAAAGAUAGGGCUCAUCCCAGAAAUAAUAGGUCACAUCAUGAAGGAACUUUUUCCUUUGGUGAAAGGAAAGAUUAUCUGACAUCACCUCACUUACCACGUAGUUUAUGAAAUUAGCAUACCACAGAAUCUGCUCGAGCUUCGCAGCUAGUAUCUUAUCAUCCGGAAAAGAAUCAUAAAUAUCUAACUUGUCCUUGAUUGCUUGUUCACAUUCAAGCCUAGAUAAGUGAUCAGCCACCUGAUUUUCACAUCCCUUACGACCCUUUACCUCAAAUUCAAAUUCUUGAACCAAUAAUAUCCACCGGAUCAAUCUUGGCUUCACAUUUUUCUUAGCCAUUAAGUACCUCAAAGAUGCAUGAUUCGUGUGGACCACCACCUUGGUUCCUAGCACAUACGCUCUGAAUUUCUCAAAGGUGUAAACUACAACCAGGAGCUCUUGUUCAGUGACAAUGUAGUUUUUUUGAGCCCCAUUCAGGGCUUUGCUGGCAUAGUAGAUUGGAUGAAACAGCUUAUCCUUUUUCUGGCCCAACACAGCUCCAAGCGCCACCCCACUAGCAUCACACAUUAGUUCAAACGACUUUGACCAGUCAGGAGUAAUAAUAACUGGAUCCUCCACUAAUUUUAGCUUAAUGCAUUCGAAUGCCUGCCUGCAAUGAUCAUCAAAAGAAAACUUGGCCUCCUUUUCAAGAAGUUUGCAUAAUGGGUUUGCAACCUUCGAGAAAUUUUUAAUAAAUCCGCAAUAAAACCCUCCAUGACCAAGAAAGCUACACACUCCUUUUACAGAAAUGGGGGGAGGUAGUUUCUCGAUGACCUCAACCUUGUCCCUAUCUACCUCAAUACCUUUCGCAAAAAUUUUACGACCGAGAACAAUCCCUUCCUUCACCAUGAAGUGGCAUUUUUCAUAGUUAAGUACCACGUUAAACUCUUCACACCGCUGUAAUGCUUGACUUAAGUUUAGUAAGCACAAGUCAAAAGAGUCUCCAACAACUGAAAAAUCAUCCAUAAACACCUCCAAGGUAUCUUCAACCAUAUCAGAGAAGAUCUACAUCAUGCACCUCUGGAAUGUGUCCGGUGCAUUACAUAAACCAAAAUGCAUCCUUUUAAAUGCAAAUGUUCCAUAUGGGCACGCGAAUGUCAUUUUAUCCUGAUCUUCAGGAGCAAUGGAGAUCUAAUUAUACCUGGAAUAACCAUCCAAGAAAUAAUAUGAACCUCUACCUGCCAAUCAAUUGAGCAUUUGAUCCAUGAAUGCCAUUGGAAAGUGAUUUUUUAGUGUCCACGAGUUGAGCUUUCGAUAGUCCAUACACACUCUCCACCCUGUGAUAGGCCUGAGUAGAAUUAACUCAUUCUCCUCAUUGGCCACUACCGUCAGACCCCCUUUCUUGGGCACACACUGUACAAGACUCACCCAUUUACUGUCUGAGAUUGGGUGCAUCAUCCCUGCAUCUAUCUACUUGAUGAUUUCUUUCUUCACCACCUCUUACAUAGGUGGAUUCAAGCGACGCUGAUGCUCAAUGGUGGGUACAAAAUCUUCUUCUAACUGAAUCUUGUACGUACAUAUACCAGGAGGGAUACCAAUAAUAUCUGCAAUAGUCUAACCAAUAACUCUCUUGUAUCUCUUAAGAACAGAGAUGAGAGCUUCCACCUGUUGUUCACCUAGAUCAGCAAUAAUACUAACCGGCAUUGUAUUUCCACUACCCAAUAACAUAUACCUCAAAUGACUGGGUAGCUCUUUCAAGUCUAACACCGGUGGCUCUUCAAUGGUUGGCUUCACCGAUGGUGAAGAUCGAUUCUUAAAGUCAAGAUCAAGCUUCUUGGGGUCAUAGAAUACAACCCUAUUCCUAUCAAAGCACAGACAGUUUCUUUGUACUCCUCCAUAUUCUCACGAUCAAAGUUCAAAAGCACAGCAACCAAUGGCUCAACAGUAAGCUACUCCUCCAAAGAUAAUUUCUGCUCAUCCUCAUAAUAUACAUCAACUAUAGAGAACACAUUCAUUUCUUUGUGUUCUUUCAUUGAUUUGCAUACAUCGAAAUAUACCAGUUUGUCAUUUAUACGAAAUAAAAGCUUUGCUCACAGAUCAAUCAACACACUUUCGAUUGCAAGGAAAAGCCGACCCAAGAUUAUGGGCACCUCGAAGUCUACCUUGCAAUCCAAAAUAACAAAAUCCGUAGGGAAAAUGAAGGUAGCCACCUUCACUAAUAUAUCGUACAGAAUACCGACAGGCUAUUUUAUCGACCUAUUUGCCAUCACGAGCCACAUAUUAGUUGGAGUAGGAUCUCUCAACCCCAACUUUUUAUAAAUGGAUAGCGGCAUCAAAUUAAUGCUAGCCCCCAAAUCACACAAAGCCUUAGCAAAAUCUAAAGAUCCAACCGUGCAAGAAAUAGUGAAAGCUCUCGAAUCUGCCUUCUUCUGUACUAAGGACCUUGUGGGAAUUGCACUACAAUAAUGGAAAUCAUCUGUCGGUUCAUAGCUUGCUGCCCUUUUCUUCGUCAAAAGGUCCUUUAUGAAUUUGGCAUACCUUGGCAUCUGCUCCAGUGCCGCUACCAAGGGCACAUUUAUAGUCAGCUGCUUCAGCAUGGUCAUGAAUUUACUUAACUUGGUGUCAUCAGCCUUCUUCUUCAGUCUCUGAGGAAAAGGGGUGGUGGCUUUGGGAGAGUUUUCUCCACCACUUUCUUUUCUUUGUUCUUCUCAUCUUCAAUCUUUUUAGAUUGGUGACAGCUGGGUGUAGUAUCAUGAAUGAUCUCAUCCUGGUACCACAGGCUUACCCACAGAUAGGUUUUCCAAUACCUUACCACUCCUAUUAGUAAUUGCCAGACAUGACAUAUCUUUUCUUAGAUUUUGCACUGUGUCACUUGGUAAGGUACCAGCCUUCCUUUGAUUAAAUACCACCGACAAUCGACUCAAUUACUGCUCUAAAUAUUUUAUUAAAGUGGAAUACAAGUCAACCAAUUGAUUCAUUGAAGACAAAUCAUUUUUUACCUCAGCUACUCGCGUGUUAGUUGCCUCAACUCCUUUCAAUAGCUUAGAUAUCAUAUCCUCCAUGGACAUCUUCCCGAAGCUAGCUGCAGUAGCUUCACGAUUUCCAGGUGGGAUAUACAAACCACUCCUGUUAUUCUUAUUCUUUUAAUUCCUUUGGUCUCAGUCCUUGUACCAAGAUUUUUCAUAGUAGUUCCAACCUUGGUUUCCUUGGACACUGCCUCAAAACCCCCCUGAUUAUUCAAGUAAUUUGCUUCCUUCUCAGAAUCGGAGUCAGCUCUUCCCUGUGUUGCAAUAGCUUUAACCUUCUCUGUCUUCCCUGAUAAUAAAUGCUUAGUAAAAAGGUCCAUCUGUAUUUUUAUGUGAGCCAUAUCUUGGUCACGUUCCUCUUCCCUUCGCCUCUAUUCUGCAGUCAUACCAAUAGAUACAGUAGAGCUUGCUACCUUAGAAUACCUGGUAUGCCAAGAUCUACUCUGCUUUGUCAUACGAUCCAACAUCUUCGAUGACUCAAGAAAGUUGAGGUCCAUGAAUGACCCACCCACAACAUUAUCUACCACUGGCUUGGUCACCGAAUUUAAGGCCCUAUUAAUAUAUCUAUCAAGUGGAGAUUGGUCAUCUGAUGAUUUGGGCACUGCAUAAGCUUAUUCUUGAACCUCUCCUAAGUUUUGUGGAGAGCUUCAGUUGGAAGCUAUCUGAAAUUGCUUAUCUCAUCUCUCAAUUAUGCUCUCUUGGACAACAGAAUAAUAUUUCUAGGAAAUCAUCUUUCAGUUGACUCCAAUUUGUAAUAGAGUCAGGAUUUAGCCUAUUUAGCCAUAGAGUUACCUAUCCAGAUAGAGACAAUAGAAAUAAGCUCAGUUGGAUUGCAUUUUUUUCGACCCCUGGAUUGUCAAAUGACUUGCAUAUUAAGAUAAAAUUAAUCAGAUGCAUAUUCGGAUCGUCACCUACAAGUCCACCAAAUAACCCUUUGAGUUGCAAUAGCUGGAUCAUAGUGCUAGUAAUAUUGAACUUGGCUCCGGGUGAAAAAAUGGAGGAAUAAUAGCCCCUGUGGCACCAGCCCCAUCCAAUUCGUCAUCAUCAUUAAAAGCAAAUUGCACAACACUGCGUUCGGGUCUCAUUCUAGCCUGAUGAUUUCUGUUGACAUUCCUAUUCACUGGUGCAGCCACAUCAUCUGCACGCCUUGGAUUUAAUAGCUCAUCAUCACCCAGGUCCUCAUCAUCAGGAUUUGGUACCCGACCUGGGUUAUCAGCAUUCUGCUGAUUUACUUGCAUAGCUGCCAAUGCGGCUAAUAUUGCCUGCUUCUGUUGAGCAGCUAUCCUUUCAGGGUCUCAUUGCGCAUACAUUCUACCAAUGAGAUGUGGUUCAAGAUUUAUAGGUAAUAAUAGUUGACCCGAUCUCCGUGUACUUGGCAUGUAUAAUAGUCAACCUGUUCAAAAAAAUAACAAUAAACAAAAAGUAAAGUUUGAGAAUCUUUGACCAAAGGGUCUAUUAACUAUCACAAACUUAGUUGAAAACCAUAUUCCCCGGCAAUGGUGCCAAAAUUUGAUACGCCUAAAUUACAACUCUCGUUAGAAAGUGGAAGCAGUCGCUGUCAAAUAUAGAACCCAACUGGGUUGGGUGUCGAAUCCCACAGGGAAUACUAUGAUCACUUAGUAUUGCGAUUAUUAUUAGACUGUUGAUCGAAGGUUCCAAAGUAAAGGUGGGGUUUUGGUUUAAGUACACAGUAAUACUAUCAGUGUAACAAUAAGAUGAUAUGUGUAAUUGUAUUUGAUUACAGAGAAAGACAAGUUAGGGUUAUUUCCACCUUGUAGUUUUUAAUAUUUUCUAACUAUGAGUAUUUAGAGCUCAUACAUGCAUGCACUUACAGAGAAACACAUUUAAAUUCAUAAUCCAAGUGUUUCUCAACCAACAAGGAUUAAUCCACUCUAGUUCUCUCAAAUCAACAGUGUUGUUUAAUACUUAUGUAAAAUCUCCAAGUUGUUAAUCCUAUUAAGGCAUUAAUGGAUAAAAUAGAGGUUAGAAACCCUAUUCUCUUGCCACUACUCUCUUUUCCCAACAUAAACUUUUCUAUCGAACAAGUUAUGUUUUAAUGGCACAUUCCUUAUGUUUGCAACCAUGAGAAUUCAAUCAUAACGAAUACAGUAUAAUAUAAAUGCAUCUACACAUAAUGAAUUCAAAACCCAUAGAAAUAAAUAGUAUACUACAAGGUUUCCAUAACCCUAACAAUUAAACUUAGCUACUCAUGAAUAAAAUGGAAAUCACCAUAAGAAUAUUCAUCAUACCAAAAACUAGAAGUCGAUUUUGAUAUUUGAAAAAUAGUGAAAUCAAGGAGAAAUAUUUUUCUCUCUCCCUCUACACUAAGCCGCUCUUUCUUGCAUUCAAAAACCCAAAAACAACAUAAUACAUAAAAAUUUACCAACAAGUCUUUUAAUAGCCUUCUCUCUCAUAAUUUUCUUCUAAGUCCUCAACUUAUUAUAAAUGACAAAUUGGCCCAGGAGAAAGUUCCCAUGCAUCCCAUUUGGUCCAACAGCUGCUUUUCCUCUUGUGUGAGUUUUCCUCUGAAAUCUGUAGUCCCGAAAGUGUCUUUAUCUACCUUAUUAGACUUGAAAAUCGUGCUAAUCAUAUAGGUCAGCUCACUUAAAUCAAAGUAGAGUAAAAAUGUAAGAAUUAUGUAUUUUUGUUCUCAAAAUUUAGCUAAAAUAUGGGAAAUUAUGAUACUUAGACGUAUAAAUACGUUCGAGCGUGCUAUGGGCCAUAAAUUGACCUGGGCGUGCCAGGGAGGUUGGAUAGCAUCUUAGUGUGGUCCGUUUAGGUUAACGGGCUAUUUGGGUAGGCAAAUGGGAAAAAUGGCAUAAAUGGGGCAUUUUCAGGAUAAAUCGGUGUGCUAUAGCUAACAAUUCCUGGGGUGGUCCCGGGGUCUGGGCGUGCUAUGGGCCAAAAAUAGACCUGGGCAUACCAAAGAGGCUGGGAAGCAUCACAGUAUGGUUCGUUUGGGUGGUCCGGGCCAUUUGGGAGGUCAAACAAGAAAAACAACAUAAAUGGGAAAUUUUUAGGCCAAAUCGAUAUGCUAUAGCCACGGUUCCUGGGGUGGGCACAAGAUUUUGGUUUGCUGUGGGCCAAAAAUUGACUUUCGUGUGUCAGGGACAUUGAUGAGCAUCCCAGUGUUGUAUAUUUGGGUGGACAAGGCCGUUGGGUGUUCAACUAGGCAAAACAUCACAAAUGGAGAAUUUUUAGGAUAAAUCAGUGUGAUAUGGCCCAUGGUUCCUUGAGAAGGCUUAGGAUUUGGGAAUGCUAUAGGACAAAAAUUUACCUGGGUGUGCCAUAGAGGUUGGGUAGCAUCCCAGUAUAGUCUUUUUGGGUGGGCGGGGCUAUUUGGGUGGUUAAAAUAGCAAAACGGUACAAACGGGGUAUUUUAGGGCCAAAUCAGUGUGCUAUAGCUUACCAUUCUUGGGUGGGCAGGGGUCCGAUCGUGCAGUGGGUCAAAAAUUAACUUGGGUAUACCAGGGAAGUUGGGGAGCAUCCCGUGAGGUUCUUUUGUCUGGGCAGGGCCAUUUGGGUGGUUAAAUAGGGAAAAUCGUAUAAACGUGGUAUUUUUGGGCCAAAUCGGUGUGCUAUAGUCCAAGGUUCCUAGGGUGGGCUUAGGGUCCGGGCAUGCUAUGUAUUGAAAAUUGACUUGGGCAUACUAGGGAGGUUAGGGAUCAUCUCAAUGUGGUACGUUUGGAUGGUCUGGGAUAAUUGGGUGGUCAAAUAGGUGAAACAACACGAACGAUGCAUUUUCGAGACAAAUUAGUGUUCUAUAGCCAAUGAUUCCUGGGGUGGGACCAAGGUUCGAGCGUACUAUAGGCUGAAAAUUAACUUGGUCAUGUAAGAGAGGUUGGUGAGCAUCCCAGUGUAGUCCAUUUGGUUGGAUGGGGCCUUUGGGUGGUCAAACGGGCAAAACAACAUAAAAGGGGUAUUUUCGGGACAAAUAGAGUUGCUAUAGCCCUCGGUUCCUGGGGUGGGCCUAGGAUAUGGGCGUGCUGUGGUCCAAAAAUUGACCUGGGCAUGUCAGGGAGGUUGGAGAGCAUCCCAGUGUGGUCCGUUUUGGUGGGAGGGGCUAUUUGUGUGGUCAAACUGGCAAAACAGCAUGAAUGUGGCAUUUUGAGGCCAAAUCGGUGUGCUAGAGCCCACAGUUCCUGGGGUGGGCUUGGGGUCCGGCUAUGUUGUGGGUUAAAAAAUAACCUAGCCAUGCCAGAGAGGUUAGGGAGUGUCCCAGUGUGUCCUGUUUGGGUGGGCAGGGUCAUUUUGGUGGUCAAACAGGCAAAACAGCGUGAAUGGGUCAUUUUUGGGAAAAAUAAGUUUACUAUAGACAACGAUUCUUGGGGUAGGCCCGAGGUUCGGGUGUUCUAUGGGUGAAAAAUCGAGUUGAGCACCCCAAAAAUAUUGUGGAGCAUCCCAAUGUGGUCCGUUUGGGUUGGCGAGGCCAUUUGGAUGGUCAAACGGCAAGAAAGUGGCAUUUUAAGGCCAAAUUGAUGUGCUAUAGCCCACAGUUCCUGGUGUGGGCACAGGUUUUGAGCGUGUUAUGGGCCCAAAAUUAACCUGGGCAUGCUAGAGAAGAUAGGGAGCAUCCCAGUAUGGUCCAUUUGGGUGGGCAAGGCUAUUUGGGCUUUCAAAUGGGUAAAACGUCACGAACAGGGCAUUUUCAGGCAAAAUUGGUGUACUGUUGCCCACGGUUCCCAGGGUGGGCAUGCUGUGGGUCAAAAAUUGACCUGGGUAUACUUGGGAGGUUGGAAGCAUCACAGUGUGGUCCGUUUAGGUGGGAGGGGCCAUUUUGGUUGUCAAACGAGCGAAAUAGCAUGAACAGGGCAUUUUUAGGCCAAAUCAGUGUGCUAUAGCCAACGAUUCUAGGGGUGGGCCUAGGGUUUGAGCGUGCUGUAGGCCUAAAAUUGACCUUAGCAUGCUAUAGAGAUUUUAGAUCAUUCAAGUAUGGUCCGUUUAGGUGAGCGGGGCCAUUGGGUGGUCAAGCAGGCAAAACGAUGCGAAUGGGACAUUUUUGGGCUAAAUCAGUGUGCAAUAGUUAACGGUUCUUGGGGUGGGCCUGGGGUUCGGGCGUGCUGUGUGUCAAAAAUUGAUCUGGGUGUACCAGAGAUGUUGGGGAUUAUCCCAUUGUGGUCCGUUUGGAAGGGUGGAGCCAUUUGGGAGGUUAAACAGGAAAAAUGGCACAAAUGGUAUAUUUUCGGGCUAAACUAGUGUGCUAUAGCUGACGAUUUAUGUGGUAGGCCCAGGAUUCGGGUAUUCUGUGGGCCGAUAAUCAAUCUGGGAAUGCUAGGGAGGUUGGGGAGAAUCCUCGUGUGGUCAAUUUGGGUGAACGAGACUAUUUGGGUGGUCAAACGGGCGAAAUGGUAAAAAUAAGGAAUUCGUGCCAAAUCACUGUGCUAUGCCCACACUUCCUAGGGUAGGCUUGGGAUUUGAUCGUGCUGUGGGACAAAAAUUGACCUAGGCUUUCCAGGGAGGUUGGGAGCAUCCUAAUAUGAUCCAUUUGGGUAGGCGGGGCUAUUUGGGAAGUCAAGCGGGCAAAGCGACCUGAACAGGGCUUUUUCGGGCCAAAUUGGUGUGCUAUAUUCCAUGAUUCCUGGGGUGGGCUAGGGGUUCGGGCGUGUCGUGGGCCGAAUGUCUACCUAAGAAUGCCAAGGAUGUUGUGGAGCAUCCCAGUAUGGUCUGUGUAGGUAGGCGGGGCUAUUUGGGUGGUCAAACAAGAAAAAUGGCACAAAUAGGGCAUUUUCGGGUCAAAUCGAUGUGUUAUAGCCCAGGGUUCCCAGGGUUGGUUCAGGGUACGGGUGUGCUGUGGGAUAAAAAUUGACUUAGGCGUGCCAGAAAGGUUUGAACGUGUCCCAAUAUGGUCCGUUUGUCUGGGUGGGUCUUUUUGUAUGGUCAAACGAGCGAAAUGGCGCUAACUGGGUAUUUUUAGGCCAAAUUAGUGUGUUAUAGCCAACGGUUCCUGGGUGGGCCUGAGGUUCGGGCGUGCUGUGGGUCAAAAAUUGACCUGGGCUUUCUAAGGGGGUUAGGGAGUAUCCCUGUGUGGUCUAUUUGGCUGGGCGGGGUCAUUUAGGUGGUCAAAAGGGCGAAACAGCCCAAAUAGGGCAUUUUUGGGCCAAAUUAAUGUGCUAUAGCCCUCGGUUCUUAGGGUGGGCCCUGAUUCGAGCAUAAUGUGGGGCAAAAGUUGACCUAGGCAUGCCAGGGAGGUUGGGGAGCAUCCCAAUGUGGUUUAUUUGAGUGUGCGUGGCGAUUUGGGUGGUCAAACUAGCAAAAUGGCAUGAACGAGGCAUUUUAGGACCAAAUCUAUGUGCUAUAGCCCACUGUUCCUGGGGUGGGCCCAGGGUUCGGGCAUGCUGUGGGCUGAAAAUAAUUCAACACAUAACUGAUAGGCUUUGGAGUGUCCUAGUUUUGUCUAUUUGGGUGGUAAAACAGGAAAAACAAUACGAACGGGGCUUUUUCAGGCUAAAUCCGUGUGCUAUAUCCCAUGGUUCCUCAGGUGAGCCCAGGGUCCAGGUGUGCUAUAGGCCAAAAAUCUAGUUAGACAUGCCUGAAAGGUUGGAGAGAGUCCUAUUAUGGUCCGUUUGGGUAGGCGGGGCUAUUUGGGUGGUCAAACGGGUGAAAUAGUGCUACAUAGCCCACAAUUACUUGGGUGGGCUCGGGGUCCGGUCGUGCUGGGGGCCAAAAAUUGACCUGGGCAUUCCAGGGAGGUUGAAGAGUAUCGCAUGCAGUCUGUUUAUAUGUCGGGGAUAUUUGGGUGGUCAAACAAGCAAAACGGGGUGAACAGGGUAUUUUCGAGCCAAAUUGGUGUACCAACCCAUAGUUUUUGGGUGGGCUCAAGGUUCGGGCGUGCUAUGAGUCAAAAAUCUAGUUGGGCAUGCUAGGGAGGUUGGAGAGCAUCCUUGAGUUGUCCAUUUGGGUGGGCGAGGCCAUUUGGGUGUUCAAAGAGGCUAAACGGUGCAGGUGGUACAUUUUUGGACCAAAUCUGUGUGCUAUAGCCCUCGGUUCCUUAGGUCGGCUCGGGGUCCGGGCAUGCUGUGGGCCAAAAAUUUACCUUGGCAUGCCAAUAAGUUUAGAGAGCUUCCCAGUGUAGUCCAUUUGGGUUGGAGGGGCCAUUUGGGUGGUAAAACGAGCGAAACAGUACGAAUGGGGCAUUUUCAGGCUAAAUCGGUGUGCUAUAGCCAACGGUUCCUGGGGAUGGCCCGGGGUCAGGCGUGUUGUGAUCCAAAAAUUGACCUGGGCAUGCUAGGAAGGUUGGGGAGAGUCCCAGUGUUGUCCGUUUGGGUGUUCGAGGCUAUUUGGGUGGUCGAACGAGCAAAAUAGUACAAAUAGGGCAUUUUCGGGCCAAAUUGAUGUGCUAUAGUCCUCGGUUCCUAUGGUGGGCCUGGGAUUUGGGCAUUCUAUUGGUUGAAAAUCAACCUGUGCAUACCAGUGAGUUUGGAGAGCAUCCCAGUAUGGUCCGUUUGGGUAGACGGGACUAUUUAUAUGGUUAAAGGUGAGAAAAGACACCAAUGGGGCAUUUUUGGGAUAAUUUAGUAUGCUAUAGCCCAUGGUUCUUGUGGUGGACCUAGGAACUGGGUGUUCUGCCUACUAAAAAUUGACCUGGACGUGCCAGGGAGGAUGGGCCAAAAAUUGACCUGGGCAUGCCAGGCAGGUUGAGAGCGUCCCAAUGUGGUUCGUUUGGGUGGGUGGGGCCAUUUGGGUGGUCAAAAGGUCAAAACAGCACGAACGAGAUAUUUUUAGGACAAAUCAGUGUUCUAUAGCCCAUGGUUCCUAGGGUGGGCUUGAGGUCCGGGCAUGUUGUGGCCCGAAAAAAUACCUGGGCAUGCCAGGGGGUUGAGGAGAAUCCCAGUGUGGUCCAUUUAGGUGGGCGAGGCCAUUUGGAUGGUCAAACGAGCAAAACAAGGCAAACGGGGUAUUUUCGAGGCUAAUUUGGGGUGCCACAGCCCACGGUUCCUGGGAUAGGUUCGGGUUCCGGGCGUGUUAUGGGCUGAAAAUUGACCUGGUCAUAACAGAGAGGUUUGGGAGUGUCCCAGUAUGGUUUGUUUCGGUGGACGGGGCUAUUUGGGUGGUCAAACAGGGAAAAUAGUGCAUUUUCAGGUGAAAUUAAUGUGCUGUAGACAAUGAUUUCUGGGGUGGGCCCAGGGUUCCGGAGUACUGUGGGCCGAAAAUUGACCUGGGCAUGAUAGGGAGGAUGAAGAGCAUCUCAGUAUGGUCCGUUUAGGAGGGCGGGUCCAUUUAGAUGGUCGAACAAGUGAAAAGUACAAAUGGGGCUUUUUCAGGCGAAAUUGAUGUGCUAUAGUCCACGAUUCCUGGGGUGGGCCCAAAAUUCGGGUGUGAUGUGGGUUGAAAAUCAACCUAGGUAUGCCAGGGAGGUCAGAGAGCAUUCCAGUGUGGUCUGUAUGGGUGGGUGAGUAUAUUUGGUUUGUAAUACAGACAAAACGAUGCAAACGAGGCAUUUUAGGGCCAGAUCGGUGUUCUAUAGCCCACGGUUCCUAUGGUGGGCUAGGGGUUCGGGCGUGCUGUGGGCCAAAAUUGACCUAGGCAUGCUAGGGAGGGUGGGGAGGUCCUAGUGUAGUCCAUUAAGGUGGGAUACGCUAUUUGGGUGGUCAAACAGGCAAAACGACGUGAACGGGGUAUUUUUAGGCCAAAUCAGUGUGCUAUAGACCAAGGUUUAUGGGGAGGGAUCAGGGUCUGGGCAUGGUGUGGGCUGAAAAUUUACCUACGCAUUCAAGGGAAUUUGGGGAUCGUCCUAAUGUGGUCCUUUUGGGUGGGCAAGGCUAUUUGGAUGGUCUAAAAGGCAAAACAACGCAAACCGGGCAUGGUUAGGCCAAAUCAAUGUGUUAUAGCCCAUAGUUCCUAGGGUGGUCCAUGGAUCUGAGCAUGUUGUGGGCUAAAAAUCGACCUGGGCAUACCAAAGAGGUUUAUUUUUAGGUGGGAGAGGACAUUUGGGUUGUCAAACGAGCGAAAUAAAUCGGUGUACUAUAGCCCACGAUUCCUGGGGUGGGCACAGGAUCCGAGCGUGCUAUGGUUGAAAAUUGAUAUGGGCAUGUUAGGGAGGUUGGGGAGCAUCCCAGUGUGGUCCUUUUAGGUGUGCGGGGCUAUUUGGGUGGUCAAACAGGUGAAACAACACGAACGAGGAGUUUUCAAGCUAAAUUGGUGUACUAUAGACGACGAUUCCUGGGUGGGCUUGGGGUUCAGGCGCGUUGUGGGCCAAAAAUUGACCUAGGCAUGCCAGGGAUAUUAGGGAGCAUCCCGGUGUGAUAUAUUUGUGUGGGAGAGGACAUUUAGAUAGUCAAACAGGCAAAAUGGUAGCUAAAUCGAUAUGCUAUAUCCCAUGGUUCAUGGGGUGGGCCCCGGGUCGGGUGUGCUGUGGGUAAAAAAUUAACCUGGGAGUGAUAGAGGGGUUGGAGAGUGUACCAGUAUUGUUCGUUUGGGUGGGCGGGGCCAUUUGGGUGGUCAAACGAGCAAAACGGCAUAAAUGGGGCAUUUUCAGGCAAAAUUAGUGUGCUAUAACCCAUGGUUCCUAGGGUGGGCCUGGGAUCCAGGCUUGUUGUGGGUCCAAAAUCGACGUAGUCAUGCCAUAAAAGUUGGGGAGCAUCCCAUUAUUGUCCAUUUAGGUGGGUGAGUCCAUUUGGGUGGUCAAAUUGGCGAAGCGGCGUGAACUUUGAAUUUUAGGGCCAAACCGAUGUGCUAUAUCCUACUAUUCCUGGGGUGGGCCAGGGGUCUGGGCGUUCUGUGGGACAAAAAUCAACUUGGUAGUGCCAUGGAGGUUUGGAAGCAUCCCAGUAUGGUUUAUUUGGGUGUGCAGGGUCAUUUGGGUUGUCAAAUGUGCAAAACAGUGUGAACGGGACAUUUUCGGGCCAAAUCGGCGUGCUAUUGCCCAUGAUUUCUGGGGUGGGCCCGGGUCUAGUGGUGCUGUAGGCCAAAAAUUGACCUGGUAUGCCAGGCAAGUUGGGGAGCAUCGCAGUAUGGUCCGUUUAGAUGGGUGGGGCUAUUUGAGUCAUCAAACAGGCAAACCGGCACGAAUGAGGCAUUUUUGGGCUAAAUCAGUGUGCUAUAGCCUAUUAUUCCCAGGGCGGGCCCAGGGUCCGAUCAUGCUGUAGGAUUAAAAUUGACUUGGGCAUGCCAGGAAGGUUGGGGAGCGUCCUAGUGUGGUCAGUUUGGGUAGGGAAGGCCAUUUGGGUGGUCAAACAGGCGAAAUGAUGCGAACCGGGCAUUUUUGAGCUAAAUCGAUAUGCUAUACCACGGUUCUAGGGGUGGCCUGGGGUUCGGGUGUGCUCUGGGACAAAAAUUGACCUAGGUGUACCAGGGAGGUUGGAGAGUAUCCAAGUAUGUCCCAUUUAGAAAGGUGGGGCCAUUUGGGUGGUCAAACGGGCAAAACAGCGUAAACGAGGCAUUUAGGUGGUAAAGGCCGUUUGUGUGGUCAAACUAGAGAAAUGGUGCAAACGGGGUAUUUUGAGGCUAAAUCGGUGUGCUAUAGCUCAUGGUUCCUGGAGUGGAUCCGGGGUUCAGGCGUGCUAUGUAUCGAAAAUCAAUUUGGGAUGCCAGGGAGGUUUUGCAGCAUCCCAGUAUGGUCCGUUUGGGUGGGCGGGGCCAUUUAGGUGGUCAAAUGGGCAGAAUAGCAUUAACGAGGAAUUUACGGGACCAAUCGGUGAGCUAUAGCCCAUGGUUCCUGGAGUGGGCUCGAGUUCGGGCGUGCUGUGGGCCUAAAAUUGACCUGGGCAUAUCAAGGAGGUUGGAGAGCAUCCUAGUAUGGUUUAUUUAGGUAGGCGGGGCCAUUUGGGUGGUCAAACUAGCAAAACGGCACGAACGGGGCAUUUUCGGGCCAAAUCGGUGUGCUAUAGCCAACGAUCCCUGGGUGGGAUCGGGGUUCAGGCAUAUUGUGUGUCAAAAAUUAACCUAGGCAUGACAGGGAGGUUGGGGAGCAUCAUAGUGUUGUCCUUUUUAGUAGGCGGGGCUAUUUGGUUGGUCAAACGGGCGAAAUGACACAAGCAAGGCAUUUUUGGGCUAAAUCAGCGUGCUAAAGCCAAUGGUUUUGGGGGUGGGCUCGGGGUUAGGGUGUGCCAUGGGUAAAAAAUUAACCUGGGAAUGCCAAGAGGGUUGGGGAACGUCUCAGUGUUGUCCGUUUUUUUGGGCUGGACCAUAUGGGUGGUGAAAUGGGAGAAACGAUGCAAAUAGGGCAUUUUCGGGCCAAAUCGGUGAGCAAUAACCUAUGUUUCCUGGGGUGGGCUCAGAAUUCGGGCGUGCUGUGGUCUAAAAAUUUACUAGGGCAUGCUAGAGAGGUUGAGAGUAUCCCAGUGUGGUCCCUUUGGGUGGGUAGGGUAAUUUGGGUGAUCAAACUAGCAAAAUGACGUGAAUGGGGCAUUUUGGGGCCAUAUCAGUAUGAUAUAUCCCAUAGUUCUUAUGGUGGGUUCAUGGUACGAGCGUGAUGUAUUCCAAAAAUCUACUUGGGCAUGCCAGGGAGGUUGGGGAGCAUCUAAGUGUGGUGUUUUUGGGUAGACGAGGCCAUUUGGGUGGUCAAACUGGCGAAAUGGCUAGAAUAGGGAAUGUUUGAGCCAAAUUGAUGUGCUAUAGCCAACGAUUCCUGGGGUGGGCUCGUGGUCCUAGGGUGCUAUGGGCCAAAAAUCAACUUGGACAUGACAGAGAGGUUAGGGAGAGUCCCAGUGUGGUCCAUUUUGGUGGGCGUGGUCAUUUGAGUAGCUAAAUAGCCAAAACAACACAAAUAGGGCAUUUUCAGGCCAAAUCGAUGUGUUAUAGCUCACGGUUCCUGGGGUGGGCCUGGGAUCCAGGUGUGUUGUGGGCGAAAAAUCAACCUAAGUAUGCUAGGGAGGUUAGGGAGCAUCCCAUUAUGGUUCGUUUUGGUGGGAGGGGAUAUUUGGGUGGUAAAACUGGUGAAACGGCUGGUACGAGUUAUUUUGGGGCCUUAUCGGUAUGCUAUAGCCCACGCUUCUUAGGGUGGGCCUGGGGUCCGGGCGCGCUGUGUGUCAAAAAUUGACCUGGGUGUACCAGAGAGGUAGGGGACCAUCCUAGUAUGGUCCGUUUGGAAGGGUGGAGCCAUUUGGGAGGUUAAUCGAGAAAAACGGCACAAAUGGGAUUUUUUCGGGUUAAAUCAGUGUGCUAUAACUGACAAUUUAUGUCGUAGGCUCGGGAUUCGAGCAUUCGGUGGGCCGAUAAUCAAUCUGGGAAUGCCAGGGAGGUUUGGGAGAAUCCUAGUGUGGUCUUUUUGGGUGAACGGGACUAUUUGGGUGGUCAAACGGGCGAAAUGGGAAAAAUAAGGAAUUCGGGCCAAAUUAGUGUGCUAUGCCCACGCUUCCUAAGGUGGGCCGUGGAUUCGCUCGUGCUGUGGGAUAAAAAUUGACCUGGGCUUUCCAGGGAGGUUGGGAGCAUCCCAAUAUGAUCCAUUUGGGCAGGCGGGGCUAUUUGGGAAGUCAAACGGGAAAAAUGACUUGAAUAGGGCUUUUUCGGGCCAAAUUGGUGUGCUAUAUCCUACGAUUCCUGGGGUGGGACAGGGUUCUGGGCGUGCUAUGGGUCGAAUAUCUACCUAGGAAUGCCAGGGAUGUUGUGGAGCAUCCCAUUAUGGUCCGUGUAGGUAGGUGGGGCUAUUUGGGUGGUCAAAUGAGAAAAAUAGCACAAAUGGGGCAUUUUCGGGCCAAAUCGGUGUGUUAUAGCCCAAGGUUCCCGGGGUUGGUUCAGGGUCCGGGUGUGCUGUGGGAUAAAAAUUGACCUGGGCAUGCCAUAAAGGUUUGGGAGCAUCCCAAUAUGGUCUGUUUGGGUGGGUGGGUCUUUUUGUAUGGUCAAACGAGCGAAACGGUGCUAACGGGGUAUUUUUGGGCCAAAUCAGUGUGUUAUAGCCAACGGUUUCUGGGGUGGGCCUGAGGUUCGGGCGUGCUGUGGGUCAAAAAUUGACCUGGGCUUUCCAGGGGGGUUAGGGAGUAUCCUUGUGUGGUCUAUUUGGCUAGGCGGGGUCAUUUAGGUGGUCAAAAGGGCGAAACAGCCCAAAUAGGGUAUUUUUAGGCCAAAUUAAUGUGCUAUAGCCCUCGGUUCCUAGGGUGGGCCCUGCGCAUGGUGUGGGCCAAAAGUUGAACUAGGCAUGCCAGGGAGGUUGGGGAGCAUCCCAAUAUGGUUUCUUUGAGUGUGCGUGGCCAUUUGGGUGGUCAAACUAGCGAAACGGCGCGAACGGGGCAUUUUGGAACCAAAUCUAUGUGCUAUAUAGCGCACUGUUCCUGGGGAGGGCCCAGGGUUCGGGCAUGCUGCGGGAUGAAAAUCAAUCGAGACGUAAUUGAUAGGCUUUGGAACGUCUUAGUUUUGUCUAUUUGGGUGGUCAAAUAGGCAAAACAAUACGAACGGGGCUUUUUCAGGCUAAAUCGGUGUGCUAUAUCCCAUGGUUCCUCGGGUGGGCCUGGGGUCUAGGUGUGCUAUAGGCCAAAAAUCUAGUUAGACAUGCCUGGGAGGUUGGAGAGAGUCCUAGUAUGGUCUGUUUGGGUAGGCGGGGCUAUUUGCAUGGUCAAACGGGUGAAAUAGUGCAAGUAGGGCUUUUUUGGGAAAAAAUGGUGUGCUAUAUAGCCCACAGUUCCUUAGGUGGGCUCGGGGUCCGGCCGUGCUGGGAGCUAAAAAUUUACCUAGGCAUGCCAAGGAGGUUGAAGAGUAUCGCAGUGCAGUCCGUUUAGAUGGCGGGGAUAUUUGGGUGGUCAAACAAGCAAAACGGGGUGAACGAGGUAUUUUCGAGCCAAAUUGGUGUACCAACCCAUGGUUCCUGGGUGGGCUUGAGGUUCGGGCAUGCUAUGAGUCAAAAAUCCCGUUAGGCAUGCUAGGGUGGUUGGAGAGCAUCCUUGUGUGAUCCAUUUGGGUGGGCGGGGCCAUUUGUGUGGUCAAAGAGGCUAAACGAUGCAGGUGGUACAUUUUUGGACCAAAUCUGUGUGCUAUAGCCCUCGAUUUCUUAAGUCGGCUCGGGUUUCGGGCAUGUUGUUGUCCAAAAAUUUACCUUGGCAUGCGAACGAGUUUAAGAGCUUCUCAGUGUAGUCCAUUUGGGUUGGCGGGGCCAUUUGGGUGGUCAAACGAGCAAAACAGUAUGAAUGAGGCAUUUUCGGGCUAAAUCGGUGUGCUAUAGCCAACGGUUCCUGGGGGAUGGCCCGGGGUCAGGCGUGUUGUGGUCCAAAAAUUGACUUGGGCAUGCAAGAAAGGUUGGGUAGAGUUCCAAUGUUGUCCGUUUGGGUGGUCGGGGCCAUUUGGGUGGUCAAACGAACAAAAUAGUACAAAUGGGGAAUUUUCGGGCCAAAUUGAUGUGCUAUAGUCCUCAGUUCCUAUGGCGGUCUUGGGAUUCGGGCAUGGUGUUGGUUGAAAAUUAACCUCUUCAUGCCAGUGAGUUUGGGGAGCAUCCAGUAUGGUCCGUUUGGGUAGGCGUGACUAUUUAUGUGGUUAAAGGUGAGAAACAGCACCAAUGGGGCAUUUUCGGGCUAAUUCGGUAUGCUAUAGCCUAUGGUUCUUGUGGUGGACCUAGGAACUGGGUGUUUUGCCUACUAAAAAUUGACCUGGACGUGCCAGGAAGGAUGGGCUAAAAAUUGACCUGGGCAUGCCAGGCAGGUUGAGAGCGUCCAAUGUGGUUCGUUUGGGUGGGUGGGGCCAUUUGGGUGGUCAAAAGGUCAAAACGGCACGAACGAGACAUUUUCAGGACAAAUCAGUGUUCUAUAGCCCACGGUUCCUCGGGUGGGCUUCAGGUUCGGGCGUGUUGUGGCCCAAAAAAAUACCUAGGCAUGCCAGGGGGGUUGAGGAGAAUCCCAGUGUGGUCCAUUUAGGUAGGCGAGGCCAUUUGGAUGGUCAAACGAGCAAAACAGGGCAAACGGGGUAUUUUCGAGGCUAAUUUGGGGUGCCAUAGCCUAUGGUUCCUGGGUUAAGCCCAGGCUUUGGGCGUGUUAUGAGCUGAAAAUUGACCUGGUCAUGACAGAGUGAUUUGGGAGCCUCCCAGUAUGGUUUUUUUCGGUGGAUGGGGCUAUUUGGGUGGUCACAUAGGGAAAAUAGUGCAUUUUCAGGCAAAAUCAAUGUGCUAUAGACAACGAUUUCUGGGGUGGGCCCAGGGUUCAGGAGUAUUGUGGGCCAAAAAUUGACUUGGGCAUGCCAGGGAGGAUGAAGAGUAUCCCAGUGUGGUCCGUUUAGGAGGGCGAGGCCAUUUGGAUGGUCGAACAAGUGAAACAGUACAAAUGGGGCUUUUUCGGGCGAAAUUGAUGUGCUAUAGUCCACGAUUCCUGGGGUGGGCCCAAAAUCCGGGUGUGAUGUGGGUUAAAAAUCAACCUAGGUAUUCCAGGGAGGUCAGAGAGCAUCCCAGUAUGGUCUGUUUGGGUGGGUGAGGAUAUUUGGUUUGUAAAACAGGCAAAACGAUGCGAACGAGGCACUUUGGGGCCAGAUCGGUGUUCUAUAGCCCACGGUUCUUGUGGUGGGCUAGGGGUUCGGGUGUGCUAUGGGCCAAAAUUGACCUAGGCAUGCCACAGAGGUUGGGCAGGUCCUAGUGUGGUCUAUUUAGGUGGGAUACGCCAUUUGGGUGGUCAAACAGGCAAAACGACGCGAACGGGGUAUUUUUAGGCCAAAUCGUUGUGCUAUAGACCAAGGUUCAUGGGGUGGGAUCGGGGUCCGGGCACGGUGUGGGCUAAAAAUGUACCUAGGCAUUCAAGGGAAGUUGGGGAUCAUCCUAAUGUGGUCCGUUUGGGUGGGCAGGGCUAUUUGGAUGGUCUAAAAGGCAAAACAAUGCUAACUGGGCAUGGUUAGGCCAAAUCAAUGUGUUAUAGCCCAUAGUUCCUAGGGUGGUCCACGGAUCCGAGCAUGUUGUGGGCUAAAAAUCAACUUGGGCAUACCAAAGAGGUUUCUAUUUAGGUGGGCGAGGACAUUUGGGUUGUGAAACGAGGGAAAUAAAUCGGUGUAUAGCCCACGAUUCCUGGGGUGGGCCUAGGAUCCGGGCGUGCUAUGGUCGAAAAUUGACCUGGGUAUUCUAGGAAGGUUGGGGAGCAUCCCAGUGUGGUCCGUUUAGGUGUGCAGGGCUAUUUGGGUGGUCAAAUGGGUGAAACAACACGAACGAGGAGUUUUCAAGCUAAAUUGGUGUACUAUGGACGAUGGUUCCUGGGUGGGCUUGGGGUUCAGGUACGUUGUGGGCCAAAAAUUGACCUAGGCAUGCCAGGGAUAUUGGGGAGCAUCCUGGUGUGAUCUAUCUGUGUGUGAGAGUCCAUUUAGAUAGUGAAGCAGGCAAAAUAGUAGCUUAAUCGAUGUGCUAUAUCCCACGAUUCCUGGGGUGGGCCCGGGCGUGAUGUGGGCCAAAAAUCAACUUAGGCAUGCCAGGGAGGUUGGAGAGAAUCCUAGUGCGUUCCAUUUAGGUGGGCGGGGCAAUUUGGAUGGUGAAACAGGUGAAACAAUACGAACGAGGCAUUUUUAGGCCAAAUUGGUGUGCUAUAGCCUUUGGUUCCUGGGGUGGCCUGAGGUUCGGGUGUGCUGUGGGAUAAAAUUUGACCUGGUCAUGCCAAAGAGGUUAGGGAGCAUCCCAGUGUUGUCCGUUUGGGUUGACAGGUCCAUUUAUUUGGUCAAACGAGUGAAAUAGCACGAAUGGGGCAUUUUUGGGUUAAAUUUGUGUGCUAAAGUCGGGGGUUCCGGAGGUGGGCUCAGGGUUCGGGCGUGCCGUGGGCCGAAUAUCAACAUAGGUAUGCCAAUAAGGUUAGGGAUCAUCAUAGCGUGGUCCUUUUGGGUGGGUAGGUCUAUUUGGGUGGUCAAGCGGGCGAAAUAACAUAAAUAGGUCAUUUUCGGUCCAAAUCAGUGAGCUAUAACCCACGAUUCCUGGGGUGGGCCUGAGAAUGGCAUGCUGUGGGCUGGUAAUUGACUUGGGCAUGCUAGGGAGGUUGGAGAGCAUCCUAGUGUUGUCUGUUUGGGUGGGCGGGGUCAUUUUAGUUUUCAAACUGGCAAAAUAGUGACAGUAGGGUAUCUUGGGGCCAAAUUGGUGUUCUAUAGCCCACGGUUCUUAUGGUGGGCUCGGGGUUCGGGCGUGCUGUGGUUCAAAAAUCUUCCUGGGCAUGCCAUAUAGGUUGGGGAGCACCUCAGUAUGGCCCGUUUGUGUGGGCGAGGCUAUUUAGGUGGUCAAACAUGUAAAAUGGCUCGAACGGAGAAUUUUUGGGCCAAAUCGGUGUGCUAUAGCCUAUAGUUGCUGGGGUAAGCCCGAGGUCCAGAUGUGAUGUGGGAAAAAAAUUUAAUUGGGUAUUCCAGGGAGGUUGAAUAGUGUCCCAAUAUGGUCCAUUUGGGUGGGCGGGGCCAUUUGGAUGGUCAAACGGCGCAAAUGGGGAAUUUUCGUACCAAAUCGAUGUGCUAUAGCCCACGGUUCAUGGGGUAGGACCAGGAUACGACUUGCUAUAGGCGAAAAGAGGCUAGGGAGCAUCCCAGUAUGGUCCGUUUGGGUGCGCGGGGCCAUUUGGGUGGUUACACUAGAAAAACAGCACGAACGAGGCAUUUUAGGGCCAAUCAGUGUGCUAUAGCCUAUGGUUCUUGUGGUGGGCUCGGGGUCCGGGCGUGCUAUGGGCCAAAAAUCAAGUGGGCAUGCCAAGGAUUAUUGAGAGCAUCCCAGUGUGGCCCGUUUGGGUGGGUGGGGCCAUUUUGGUGGUAAUACAGGCAAAACGGCGUGAUCGGAGCAUUUUAGAGCCAAAUUAGUGUGCUAUAUUCCACUGUUCAUGGGGUGGGCCCGGGGUUGGUUGUGCUGUGGGUAUAAAAUCAACUUGGGAGUGCUAGAGAGGUUGGAGAGUGUACCAGUAUUAUUUGUUUGUGUGGGCAGUGCCAUUUGGGUGGUCAAACGAGCAAACCGGUGUAAAUGGGGCAUUUUCGGACAAAAUCAGUGUGCUAUAACCCAUGGUUCCUGGGGUGGGCCUAGGAUCCAGGAAUUUUGUGGGUCCAAAAUUGACCUAGGCAUGCCAAAAAAGUUAGGGAGCAUCCCAUUACGGUCCAUUUAGGUGGGCGAGGCCAUUUUGGUGGUCAAAUUAGCGAAACGGCGUGAACUUUACAUUUUGGGGCCAAACCGAUGUGCUAUAUCCUACUAUUCCUGGGGUAGGCCAGGGGUCCGGGCGUGUUGUGGGGCAAAAAUCAACUUGGGAGUGCCAUGGAGGUUUGGAAGUAUCCCAGUAGUGUGAACGGGACAUUUUCGGUCCGAAUCGGCGUGCUAUAGCCCAUGAUUUCUGGGGUGGGCCCGGGUCCAGGGGUGCUGUCUGCCAAAAAUUGAACUAGGUGUACCAGGAAAGUUGGAGAGCAUCCAAGUAAGUACCAUUUAGGAAGGUGGGGCCAUUUGGGUGGUCAAACGGGGAAAACGGCGUGAACGGGGCAUUUUCGGGCAAAAUCGGUGUGCCAUAACCCGUAAUUCCUGGGGUGUGCCUUGGGUCCAGGCGUGUUAUGGGCUGAAAUCAACCUAGACGUUCUAGGGAGGCUGGGGAGUAUCCCAUUGUGGUCUGUUUAGGUGGGCGGGAGAAACGGCGCAAAUAGGGCAUUUUAGGUCUAAAUCGGUGUGCUAUAGCCCACAAUUAUUGGGGUGGGCCCUGGAUCCGAGCGUGAUGUGGGCCAAAAAUUGACUUGGGUAUGCCAGGGAGGUUUGGGAGUAUCUCAGUGUGGUCUGUUUAGGUGGGAAAGGCUGUUUGUGUGGUCAAAGUAGAGAAAUGGUAAAAACGGGGUAUUUUGAGGCUAAAUCGGUGUGCUAUAGCUCAUGGUUCCUGGGGUAUAUUCGGGGUUCAGGCGCGCUGUGCACCGAAAAUCAAUCUAGGAUGCCAGAGAGGUUUUGUAGUAUCCCAGUAUGGUCCAUUUGGGUGGGCGGGGUUAUUUGGGUGGUCAAAUGGGCAGAAUAGCAUGAAUGAGGAAUUUGCGGGACCAAUCGGUGAGCUAUAGCCUACGGUUCCUGGGGUGGGCUCGUGUUCGAGCGUGCUGUGGGCCUAAAAUUGACCUAGGCAUAUCAAGGAGGUUGAAAAGCAUCCUAGUGUGGUUUGUUUAGGUGGGCGGGGCCAUUUGGGUAGUCAAACUAGCAAAACGGCGCGAAUGGGGCAUUUUUGGGCUAAAUCGGUGUACUAUAGCCAACGAUCCCUGUGUGGGCUCAGGGUUUGAGCGUAUUAUGUGUCAAAAAUUGACUUGGGCAUGCCAGUGAGGUUGGGGAGCAUCAUAGUGUUGUCCUUUUCGGUGGGCGGGGCCAUUUGGUUGGUCAAACAGGUGAAAUGGCACGAGCAAGGCAUUUUUGGACUAAAUUAGCGUGCUAUAGCCAAUGGUUUUGGGGGUGGGCCCGGGGUUAGGGUGUGCUGUGGGUUAAAAAUUAACCUGGGCAUGCCAAGAGGGUUGGGGAAUGUCUCAGUAUUGUCUGUUUCUGUGGGCGGGACCAUAUGGGUGGUGAAAUGGGCAAAACGGUGCAAAUAGGGCAUUUUUGGGCCAAAUCGGUGAGCAAUAACCUAUGGUUCCUGGGGUGGGCUCAGAAUUCGGGCGUUCUAUUGGCCAAAAAUUUACCAGGGCAUGCCAGAGAGGUUGAGAGUAUCCCAGUGUGGUCCCUUUGGGUGGGCAGGGUAGUUUGGGUGGUCAAACUAGCUAAAUGACGUGAAUGGGGCAUUUUGGGGCCAUAUCGGUAUGAUAUAUCCCGCAGUUCUUAUGGUGGGUUCAUGGUUCGAGCAUGAUUUAUGCCAAAAAUCUACUUGGGCAUGCCAGGGAGGUUGGGGAGCAUUUAAGUGUGGUGUGUUUGGGUAGACGAGGCCAUUUGGGUUGUCAAACUAGAAAAAAAGCUAGAAUAGGGAAUGUUCGAGCCAAAUCGAUGUUCUAUAGCCAACGAUUCCUGGGGUGGGCCCGGGGUCCGGGGGUUCUGUGGGACAAAAAUCAACUUGGAUAUGCCAGGGGGGUUAAGGAGAGUCCCAGUGUGGUCCAUUUUGGUGGGCGUGGCCAUUUAAGUGGUAAAUGGCCAAAACAACGCAAAUAAGGCAUUUUUAGGCCAAAUCGAUGUGUUAUAGCCCACGGUUAAUGGGGUGGGCCUGGGAUCCAGGCGUGUUGUGGGCGAAAAAUCAACCUGAGCAUGCUAGGGAGGUUAGGGAGCAUCCCAGUGUGGUCCGUUUGGGUGGGAGGGGAUAUUUGGGUGGUUAAACUGGUGAAAUAGCUGGUACGAGUCAUUUUAGGGCCUAAUCGGUAUGAUAUACCCCGCGCUUCUUGGGGUGGGCCCGGGGUCCGGACGUGCUGUGGGAAGAAAAUCAAACUGACCGUGCCAGGGAUGAUUGGGAGCAUCCCAGUAUGGUCCGUUUGGGUGGAUGGGGCCAUUGGGUGGUGAUACAGGCAAAACGGCACGAACGGGGCAUUUUUGAGCCAAAUUGGUAUGUUAUAGCCAACGGUUCCUGGGGUGGGCCUGGGGACCGGGUGUGCUGUGGGUAAACAAUCAACCUGGGCAUGCUAGAGAGGUUAGGGAGUAUCCAGUGUGGUCCGUUUUGGAGGGCUGGGCCAUUUGGGUGGUCAAACGUGUGAAACGGCACAAAUAAGGCAUUUUCGGGCCAUAUCGGUGUGCUAUAACUCAUGGUUCCUUAGGUAGGUGAUACACCCAAAUUACAUCUCUCUUACGAGAGAGUAAACGGUCGUUGUCAAAUAUAUAAUUCAACUAGGUUGGUGUCUAAUCCCACAUGGAAUAUGGUGCUAAUUAAGUUGUAUGCAGAUUAGUUGACUUUUAAUCGUUUGUUUCCGUAAAAUAAAUAGUGGGAUUUGGUUCAGCUCACAAAUUAAAGGUUUUAGUUUAACAAGAUGAAAUAUGUGUAGUAGUAUUCAAAUUCAGAGAAAUAGCAAGCUAGGGUUAUGUCCACCUUGUAGUUUUCAAUACAUUCUAACUAUGGGCUUUAUGAAUUCAUACAUGCAUUGUGUUUACAGAGAAACGUAUUGUAUUUAACAACAUAAUCCUAGUGUUUCUCAACCAUCAAGGACUAAUUCACUUUAGUUCUCUCGAAUCAAAAGUGUUUACCAAAAACAAUACGAAACCUCCAAGUACUUAGUCCUGCUAAGGCAUUAACUUAUAAAAUAGGGGUUGGUAAUCCUAUUUUCUUGUCACUACUCUCUUUUUCGAACAUCAACCUUUAUUUCGAGGAAGUUACGUUUUAAGGCAUAUCCUCUAUGUUUGCAAUCACGAGAAUUCAAGAUAAGCGAAGAGAGUAUGAUGUAAACAAAUCAAUGCAUAAUGAAUUCAAAAACCUAAGUGAUAGAUUGUAUGCUACAAGGCUUCCAUAACUCUAACUAAUAAACUUAGCUACUCAUGAAUAAAAUGAAAAGCAUCAUAAAUAUAUUUAUCAUACCAAAAACUAGAAGACGAUCUUGGUGUGGAAAUAGUGGAACAAGAGAGAAACGUUUUCUCUCUCCAUCCUAAGCCGCUAUUCCAUUCUCAGAAUACUGCAGAAUAAUGAAUAAAAAUUCAGCAUUAAGCCUUUUAAUAAUUUUUUUCUCUCAUAAUUGCCUUCUAAGUCCUUGAACUAAUUAUAAUUGAAAAACUAGUCUUGGACAUAGUUUCUAGGUGCCAGAUUUGGUCCAGAUUGCUACUCUCUCUUGAGUCAUAUGCCAUCCUCAUUCCAUAGUCCCAUAAUGUCUUCAUCUACCUCAUUAAUACCUGAAAUCAUGCUAAUCACAUCGGUUAGCUCAAUUAUAUAGAAGUAGAGUAAAAAUAUAAGAAACUAGUCACUUUGUUCUCUAAACAUAGCUAAAAUAUGGAUAAAUUAUGGUGCUUAGGCGUAUAAAUACACCCAAGAUCACCACCCCACACUUAAAGCUUUGCUCGUCCUCGAACAACAUAUCUAUUUAUGCAUACUACACAAGCCUUAGCACCCACAAAGAAAAAAAAGAUGCUCAAAUAGGUUUACAAAACAAUUAUGAGCAAGAAGUAGCUUCAGGAAUCAUUCCUAGAUACAACCUACCCUCAAGACUAGACUCAUUAAGUUGGCAAUUUCGUGCAUAUCAUUCAAGAAAGGAAAUCAUAUAAAUUACCCAACCUUCAUCAACUAUGUGCCCUCACAACAAGAGAGUUACCCAUAAUCACUCACAAUCAUGCAAUUUCUAACAAAAUGGGUACAAGAAUUAAGUUGCCUCACUCUCACAAAGAAUUCUCAAAUUACAAUUGAUGACCAUAUGCUUUCCCUUAGUGUAAUACUUUACUAAUAUCAGAAUACUGAGAUUAGGAUCAAAUAGGUCUUUUACGAUUUGUAAUGCAGGCUAAAGGAUGGGUAGGAACUAUUUUGGCCAGAAAUAGUGACUAUCUUCCCUAAGUGCUUUAAUACACUACAUUAUGCAAUUAAGACCAAUAUCUAACAACCAAUUUCUAAUUCUUCUAUCUUUACAGAUUUGCUUUUCACCCCAACUCGUUAAGCUUAAUUAGUAACACUAUGGUGGGAGUAUGCAACCUUUUCAAAUAUAUUUUUUUCACCUUUUUCAUGUUACGCACCCCUAUAAUAGCCACCCUCAACUUAAACGAUUUGCCUUAGUUGAGGUGCACAAUGUCCAAGAAGGACCGGGGCCAAAACAGGUUCAUUGUAACAUGUCCGGGAUAAAAUUUUGAACUUUUUCAACAAUUUUAGCUACUCCCAACCACAUCAAUUGCUCACACCAAUAACUAGACUUAGGGGCAUCAAUUUCACCUUUUUCCUCUUAUUGUCAAACUCCUAACUCACAUUGAUUUUACAUUAAAGCACUUAGGAGCUUUUGGAUCAAAUUAUGGUCUAUUAAAGAACGGAAUAGGCUACAUAUGAGGCUAAUAAAAGAACAAGCUAAAGGCUCAAUGGGGCUAGUUAUGAUAAUAUACAAAGGUAGGUCAAAAGAAGGUACGAACAAUGGCUAUCAAAGAAAUGCCUAAAUUAUCUCCUAAACUUACAAUCUUUAUUUCGCUUUGCAUACACACUAGGAAAGUUCUAGCAUCAGUUGCAAUAAGGAAUAUACAAUAGUCUUACACACUCAUGGCAAAUGGUUAACUCAAUUGGAGCAUUAUAGAUUCUCAACAAGAGUCACAACUAGAGCCUAGGUGUUUCAAACGUAAUGAUCCAUCGCAUACUUAUGUUAUAAUGUCAUGUGAUCCACAAGAGCAGUUACAUGUAAUUGAAAGACUACUUUUCUCUUAAGACGGUCUUCAUCCAUCUAUCAUCGAGAAAAGCACCUAAUUAUUACUAAAUUACUAACAAAAUGAACAAAAUAACUAAUACUAUCCAGAAGUACAUUAAGGAGAAGGUCCUAUUUUCUUACAAAACAAGUAGCGAAGUAACCAGCCACCCCACACUUAAGCUCAGCACUGUCCUCAGUGCAAAUAACAAGAUAAAGAACAUGGAUAGUACUACUUCUCAUCCAUAUUAGGAGUCAUGCCACUUGCAUGGAGAUCAUCAUUGUAGCCAUUUUUCCUGUAUUCAUCAUAUCAUCCCCGUCAGCCACACAUAAUGAAACUAACUAUAAUUAAGAUGAGGGUGGUGAAGUCACCACCCCACACUUGAUUUUUUAGUAUCAACUUAUUAAGUAUUAUUGUCGGGUACUCAGACUUCACUGACAUACACUUUGACAUGGUGCACCACGUUAGUCAAAAUACAAUUCAUUCACUUUAAUUCUCCAAAUUCUAUUUCAAUGAAGAACUUUUUGAAUAGAAUCAUGCUCUACACUUUCAGCCAUGCAAAAUAUACAAAACACCUUCACUUUCACAACAUCGCCAUGGCAAGAAUUUAAUUUGUAAUCCUUAAGAAAUCAAUUAACAAUAACAUAGAGUCACAAUAACUAAGGAUUAAGAAAGUAAAACUUACCUUGAAGAUGGAAGAUCAAUGAAGGACAUUAUUGUAUGGCUUAAGGGUGAAAUAAGAAUGAAUUUGGGAAUUUAAGGUGUGAAGUCUCUUUAAAGAAUGAAAUCUGGGUCAGGUUGACCCAAAUGGAUUCUAAGUGUAUUUGGCUAAGUGUACGACACAUUCCUACUCGUAUACACUUAAGUGUGAGGCACAUUAUUCAUGGCAUUGUUGAGGCAGUAGGCAUUUGAGAAGAAGUAUGCGACGCAUACCUUAUCACACAGAUUUAAGAGUGUGGCACAUAGGGUAUCGUACACUUGAGGCAGUGAGCAUAUGCGGAGAAGUGGGGGACCGAUAUCUUAUCGCAUAUGUUAAAUUAUGCGACGCAUAAGUUAUCACACACAUCAAGGUGUGCGGCGCAUUAUGCAUCACAUAGUUGGUCCAAUGAGCAUGUAAGAUGGGACGUGCGGUGUACUCUUGGUCAGAAAGGUCCAUACCAUGGGGGCUUCGAGAUCGGGCCUAUCGGCCUGAUCCCUACCCUACCACCACAAACCUCAUUGAAAGUGACAAAAUAAAGUCGCACCGCAAAACUUUUUGGGUUGGAUUAACAUAAUUUGAGGCACGACUCUAAUUUAAAUAAUUCUUGAGCCUUACACAUUUGACCACUCCAACUUACCUGUAAUGUUCCCAUCACUCCUAAACUUACCACUAUUGACAUAGCUUAAUUCCAAAUCAAAUUUGGUACUAAUCUCCUCCUUAGUACUUCAUGCACAUACACUUACUCAAAAAUAACAAAAAUGAUUAUAAAGAUGGGUUGCCUCCCACCAAGCAUCGUACUUUCGGUCGUGGCUCGACUCUUCUUUUUGCAUUUUUGUUUAACAUGAUAAAGUGAAAAUAAAAUCAUGGGUUGCCUCCUAUGUAGCGCCUGAUUUAACGUUGCUACAUGACUCGAUUAUCUUAACUACUCAGACUUUAUCAAGAUACAUCGAUGAUACCAUUUGUAUCUCAUUUUUUGGAUCAAGACAAUGCUUUAUUCCUAGUUCAACCACUUUGAAAUCACUCACAUCCUUGUUUGCAAGUUCAACCAAACCAGCUAUGGUCUCUACAAAAGACAUAUCCUUAACUGGUACAUCUCGCUCAUCUUAGUAGAAUACAUCAACAAUCAAGAAAACAUUCAUCUUCUUUUGUUGUUUCAUAGACCGACAUACUUCAAAACUAACUUCUUUCUUAUUGAGCCUAAAUUUUAGCUCAUUCAUCUCCAUGUUAACUAACACUCUCCCAGUUGCUAAGAAUGGCCUACCCAAAAUUAUGGGUACUUCAAAGUCUACUUCACAAUCAAGAAUUACAAAGUCGGCAGGAAAUAUAAAAUCAACAACUUUUACAUGGACAUCAUGUAGAGUCCCAAUUGUCCUUUUUACAGAUCUAUCCACUAUUAAAAGUCACAUAUUGGUGGGCGUAGGAUCUACGAAACCCAGUUUCUUGAAAACUGUCAAUGGCAUAAGAUUUAUACUUUCCCCAAGAUCACGAAGGGCCUUUUCAAAAUUUAGCAAUCCAAUCGUACAUGGAACAGUAAAUGCUCUCGGAUCAGCUUUCUUCUGGACAAUAGAUCUUGUAGAAAUAGCACUACAAUGAUGAAGAUUGUCUACCAUUUCAUAGCUCACAGUCCUUUUCUUCGUCAACAGGUCUUUCAUAAACUUAGCAUAUCCGGGCAUCUGUUCUAGUGCUUCAACUAAGGGAACAUUCACUGUCGAGUGCUUUAACAUAGCCAUGAAUUUGCUAAACAUGCCAUUAUCUUUUUUCUUCUUUAAUAGUUGUGGAAAUAAGGGUGGUGGACUUGGGAUUUCAGUUGGAACAACUUCUACCUCUUUUCUUAUGCCUUGUUUCAUAUCACUAAUAUGUUGCUGCUUAGGUGGUUGUUCCAUUUCUGCACUCUUAUUUUCUGAACCUCCCAACUUCACAGGCACCACCGGAGAUUUAUCAACUAUCUCCCAAUCUAUUUUGAUCUUAUCAGUAUAAGAGGAUGCUCCCAAACCUAGACUAGAUAACAUCUUAACGCUUCUAGUGGUAAUGGCUAUACACAAUCCAUCAGUCUUCGGAUUCUAAAUUAUAUCACUUGGUAGAGUCCUAUUCUAUCUUUGGUUGAAUGCUGUGGAUAAUUGGCUCAUCUGCUGCUCCAGUUGUUUAAUAGCGAUUGAGUGCGAAUUUACUAGUUGAAUCAUGGAAGAUAUGUCACUCUUCAUAGUAGUCACCCCAGAAUUGGUCGCCUCAACUCCCUUCAAUAGUUUCUCCAUCAUGUCCUCCAGGGAUAUUUUUCCUGAGUUAGUGGCAGCAUUAUCAUGGCUUCCAGGAGGUACAUAUAGUCUACUCCUGUCACUUUUAUUCUUCUAAUCUCUUUGAUUGUUCCAACCUUGGUUUCCUUGACCACCAGUCUAGAAACCCCCUGGUUAUGCAAAUAGUUAGCCUCUUCCUCAGUGUUUGAUUUAGCUCCCUUACCGUGGGACCCCAUAACUUUUAUCUUUUUUAUAUUCCCUGACAGCAAAUGUUUUGUGAGCAAAUCCAUCUGGGUUUUUAUGUGAGCCAUAUCCUGAUCAUGCUACUUUUCUCUCCUAUGCUGCUCUGCUGUUAUUACACUAGACCCAGUAUUGCUUGCUACCACAAAAUCUCUAGUAUGCCAAGAUCUACUUGUCUUAGUCAUUAUUUCUAACAUGUCCACAACCUCAGUAAAGGUGAGCUCCAUAAAAGCUCCUCCUGCAACAUUAUCCACUAUUGGCUUUGUAAGUGAGUUCAAAGCUCAGUAGAGUAUUUCCAUCAAAUGUUCAUCAGUUAUUUUAUGGUUUGGGCAUUGAGUCAACUUCCUUUUAAACCUCGCCCAAGUCUCAUGAAAAUCUUCAUUAGCCAAUUGCCUAAAGUUGCUAAUAUCGUCCCUCAAUUGUAACAUUUUGGAGGGCAGAAAGAACCUUUAUAGGAAAGCUUCUUUUAAUUGCCUCUAGUUUGUUAUAGAAUCAGAAGUCAGCUCAUUCAACCACAUAGUUGCCUCUCCAGAUAGAGACAGUGGAAAUAAUCUUAAAUGAUUUGCAUUUUUUCCCACUCCAAGAUUAUCAAAUGACUAAUAAAUACUGAUGAAAUUCACCAAAUAUAGAUUUGGAUCAUCACCAGGUAAUCCACCAAAGAGUUCUUUUAGAUUCAGUAGCUGGAUCAUAGUACUGGUGAUGUUGAAUUUCACCCCAGGAGCUAGUGGUGGUAGAAUGAUUUCCCCUGUAGAUCCAGUUCCAUCUAAAUUGUCCUCAUUAUUGUCAACAUCAAAUUGUGUAGCUUGGCGGUCUAGUCUUCCUCUAAAUGGACAAUUUCAAUUUACAGGUGCAACUACCCCUGCUGUAUGCCUCCUAUUAGCUGGGUUAGUUAAAUCAUUAUCUCCUAGGUCCUUUUCAUCUAGAUUAGGUACCCGAACUAGGUUAUCUAUAUUCUAUAGAUUUAAUUGAGCAUUAGCCAAAGCAGCUAAUCUUUUAGCUUCCUGUUGGUUAGCCAUUCUUUCAAUGAGAUGAGAUUUAGGAUUGAAGGGUAAUAAUGGUUCUCCUAAACUUCUAGUUCCUGGCAUAAGCAAUAAUGAGCCUGUAACAAACAAAAACAACAAAUAACAUAAAACAAGGAAACUUGACAAAUAGUCAAUUAACAAACAUAAACUCAAUCGACAACCGUACUCCUCAGCAACGAUGCCAAAAUUUGAUACGCCUAAUUACAUCUCUCUUACGAGAGAGUAAGCAGUUGUUGUCAAAUAUAUAACCCAACUAGGUUGGGGUCGAAUCCCACAGGGAAUAUGGUGCUAAUUAAGUUGUAUGCAGAUUAGUUGACUUUUAAUUAUUUGUUUCCGUAAAAUAAAUAGGGGGAUUUGGUUCAGCUCACAAAUUAAUGGUUUCAGUUUAACUAGAUGAAAUAUGUGUAGUAGUAUUCAAAUUCAGAGAAAUAGAAAGCUAGGGUUAUGUCUACCUUGUAGUUUUCAAUACAUCUAACUAUGGGCUAUACAAAUUCAUACAUGCAUCGUGUUUACAGAGAAACGUAUUGUAUUUAACAACAUAAUCCUAGUGUUUCUCAACCAUCAAGGACUAAUUCACUUUAGUUCUCUCGAAUCUGAAGUGUUUACCAAAAACAAUACGAAACCUCCAAGUACUUAGUCCUGCUAAGGCAUUAACUUAUAAAAUAGGGGUUGGUAAUCCUAUUUUUUUGUCACUACUCUCUUUUUUGAACAUCAACCUUUAUUUUGAGCAAGUUGCGUUUUAAGGCAUAUCCUCUAUGUUUGCAACCACGAGAAUUCAAGAUAAGCGAAGAGAGUAUGAUGUAAACAAAUCAAUGCAUAAUGAAUUCAAAACCCAAAGUGAUAGAUUGUACGCUACAAGGCUUCCAUAACCCUAACUAAUGAACUUAGCUACUCAUGAAUAAAACAAAAAGCAUCAUAAAUAUAUUCAUCAUACCGAAAACUAGAAGACUAUCUUGGUGUGUGAAUAGUGAAACAAGAGAGAAAUGUUUUUCUCUCUCCACCCUAAGCCGCUAUUCCCUUCUUAGAAUACUACAGAAUAAUUCAAUAAUCAAUAAAAAUUCAGCAUUAAGCCUUUUAAUAAUAUUUUCUCUCAUAAUUACCUUCUAAGUCCCUGAACUAAUUAUAAAUGAAAAACUAGUCUUGGACAUAGUUUCUAGGCGCCACAUUUGGUCCAGAUUGCUACACUCUCUUGUGUCAUAUGCCAUCCUCAUUCCAUAGUCCCAUAAUAUCUUCAUCUACCUCAUUAACACCUGAAAUCAUUCUAAUCACAUUGGUUAUCUCAAUUACAUAGAAGUAGAGUAAAAACAUAAGAAACUAGUCACUUUGUUCUCUAAACAUAGCUUAAAUAUGGAUAAGUUAUGGUGCUUAGGUAUAUAAAUACACCCAAGAUCAGUAGGCCUGGGAUCCGGGCAUGUUGUGGGACGAAAAUCAACUUGGGCAUGCCAGAGACAUCGGGGAGCAUCCCUUUGUGGUCUAUUUGGGAGGGCGGGGCCAUUUGGGUAAUCAAAGUGGCGAAACAACGCGAACGGGGUAUUUUGGGGCUAAAUCGGUGUGCUAUAGCUCAUGAUUCCUGGAGUGGGCCCAGGGACCGGGUGUGCUAUAUUUAGGUUUUCAAAUGGGAAAAAUAGCAUGAACGGGGCAUUUUUGGACUAAAUCGAUGUGCUAUAGCCCACAAUUUCUGGGGUGAGCCCAGGGUUCGGCAUGCUGGGGUCAAAAAAUUUACCUGGGCAUACUAGGAAGGUUGAGGAGCAUCCCAGUGUGGUUCAUAUUGAUGGGCGGGGCCAUUAGUAUGGUCAAUCAGGCAAAAUGGCAUGAACGAGGUAUUUUUGGGCCAAAUCAGUAUGCUAUACCUACGGUUCCUAGGGUGGGCUCAGGGUCCGAACGUGCUGUAGGAUGAAAAUUAACUUGGGCAUGCCAGGUAGGUUGGAGAGCAUACAGUGUGGUCUAUUUGGGUGGGCGGGGUUAUUUGGGUUGUCAAACGGGAAAAACAACGAGAAUAGGGCAUUUUUUGAGCUAAAUCGAUGUGCUAUAACCACAAUUCCUGGGGUGGGCCUAGGGUUCGAGCGUACUGUGGUCAAAAAGUUAACCUGGGCCUGGAAGAGAGGUUGGGGAGUGUCCCAGUAUGGUUCUGUUUGGUGGGCGGGGCCAUUUGAGUGGUCAAACGGGUGAAACAGUGUAUAUGGGGUAUUUUCAGGCCAAAUUGGUGUGCUAUAGCCCACGUUCUGGGUGGGCCAGGGGUCCUACCAUUUUAUGGGCUGAAAAUUGACCUGGGCAUAACAGAGAGUUGGGGAGCAUCCCAGUGUGGUCUGUUUAGGUGGGCGGGGCUAUUUGUGUGGUUAAACGGGCGAAACAGCAUGAAUGGGGUAUUUUAAGCCAAAUCGGUAUGCAAUAGCCCACGGUUCCUAGGGUGGGCCUAGCGUUCGAGCGUGCUGUGCAUCAAAAAUUGAUCAGGGAGGUUGGGGAGAAUCGAAGUGUGGUAUGAUUGGGGGGGGGGGGCAUAGCUAUUUGGGAGGUCAAACAAGAGAAAUGGCAUGAACGGGGCAUUUUUAGGCCAAAUCGGUGUGCUGUGCCUACGGUUCCUUGGGAAAGCCCGGGGUUUGCGUAUGAUAUAUACCAAUAAUUAACCUGGACUUGGCAUUGAGGUUGGGGAGCAUCCCAGUAUGGUUAGUUUGGGUGGCCGGGGACUUUGGGUGGUCAAACAGGAGAAAUGACACGAACAUGAUAUUUUUGGGCUAAAUCGGUGUGCUACAACCUACGAUUCCUAGGAAGGCCCAGGGUUUGGGCCUGCUGUAGGCAAAAAAUUAACCUAGGCAUUCUGGAGAAGAUGGGGAGCGUCUCAGUAUGGUCCAUUUGGGUGGUCAAACGGGCGAAACGACAUGAACGGAGCAUUUUCGAGCCAAAUCUGGGUUCUAUAGCCCAUGGUUCUUGUGGUGUGCCAGGGUUUUGGGCAUACUGUAGGCUGAAAAUUGAUGUGGGCAUGCCAGGGAGUUCACAUGGGUAAAAUAGCAUGAACGAGACAUUUUUGGGCUAAAUUUGCACGCUAUAACCCACGGUUCUUAGGUGUGCUCGAGGUUCAGGCGUGAUAUGGGAGACAAAUUAUCCUGGGAAGGCUAGGGAUGUUGGGAUCAUCCCAGUGUUAUUAUUUUGGGUGGGCAGGUCCAUUUGGGAUGUCAAAUGGGUGAAAUGGAGAAUGAGACAUUUUCGAACCGAAUCGGUAUGCUAUAGCCCACGGUUCUUGGGGUGGGGCAGGGGUUAGGUCAUGCAGUGAGCCAAAAAUUAACCUUUGCAUUCUAGGGAGGUUGAGGAGCAUCCCAGUGUGGUCUGUUUAGGUGGGCGGGUCCAUUUGGGUGGUCAAACGGGCAAAACAGCACAAACGAGGCAUUUUCUGGCUAAAUCGGUGUGCUAUAGCCUAUUAUUCCUAGGUUGGCCCGGGUUCGAGCGUGUAGUAGGCCAAAAAUUAACCUGGUCAUACCAGAUAGGUUGGGGAGCAUCCCAGUAUGGUCUGUUUUGGUGGGCGGGGCCAUUUGGGUUGUCAAUCGGGCAAAAUAGCAUGAACGGGGUAUUUUCGAGCCAAAUUGGUGUGCUUAGCCACGUCUCCUAUGGUGGGCCCAGGGUCCAUACGUGUUGUGGGCGAAAUAUUAACCAGGGCAUUUUAGGGAGAUUGGGAGCAUCCCAUUAUGGCCCGAUUAGGUGAGCGGAGCCAUUUGUGUGGUCAAACGAGUGGAACAGAAUGAAUAAGGCAUUUUCGGGAUAAAUUAAUGGGCUAUAGCCCACGGUUCCUAGGGUGUUCUCGGGGUUUAAGCGUGAUUUAGGUGAAAAAUUGACCUGGGCAUGCCAUGGAGGUUAGGGAGCAUUCCAGUAUGGUUUGUUUGGGUAGGCGGGGCCCUUUGGGUGGUCAAACAGGUGAAACGAUAUGAAUGACACAUUUUUGGGCUAAAUCGGUGUACUAUAUACCACGGUUCUUGAGGUGGGCCUAGGGUCUGAGUGUGUUGUGGGCUAAAAAUUGCUUGGGUAUGCCAGAAAGGUUGGAGAGCAUCCUAGUAUGGUCCAUUUGGGUAGGUUGGGCCAUUUGUAUUGCCAAACGGGUGAAACAACGCGAACGGGGUAUUUUUGGGCCAAAUCGGUGUGCUAUAACCCACGGUUCCUGGGGAAGGCCCAGGGUCCAGGUAUGCUUUGGUCUAACAAUUACCUGGUCAUUCCAAGGAGAUUGGAUAGUGUCCUAGUGUGGUCCGUUAGGGUAGGCAGGUCCAUUAAGGUGAUCAAACGGGCAAAACGGCACAAAUAGGGCAUUUUUGAGAUAAAUUGGUGUGUUAUAGCCCACGGUUCCUGGGGUGGGCACGGGGUCCGGAGAUGCUGUGGGCGAAAAAUAUUCCUAGACGGUCCAGGAAAUUUAGUAAGCAUUUCAGUAUGGUCCUUUUGUGUGGUUGGAGCCAUUUGGAUGGGCAAACGGGCGAAACUGCAAGAAUAGGGCAUUUUCUGGCCAAAUCUAUGUGCUAUAGCCCACGGUUCCUGGGGUUGGCCUGGGGUCCGGGUAUAUUAUGAGCUAAAAAUCGACCUGGCAUAUUAGAGAAGUUGGGGAGCAUCCCGUGUGGUCCGUUUGAGUGGGAGGGGCCAUUUGGGUUGUCAAACAAGAAAGCAGGCACAAAUAGGGCAUUUUCGGGCCAAAUCGGUGUUAUAUAGCUUACAGUUUCUAUGGUUGGCCCAGGGUUUGGGUGUUUUGUGGGGAGAAAAUUGACUUAGGCAUGCUAAGGAGGUUGGGGAGUGUCCUAGUAUUAUACAUUUGGAUGGGCGGGGCCAUUUGGGUGGUCAAAUGGGAAAAAUAACACAAAUGGGGCAUUUUCGGGUUAAAUCAAUGUGCUAUAGCCCACGGUUUUGGGGGUGGUCCUGGGGUCUGGGCGUGCUGUGGGCCAAAAAUUGACAUUGGUGUGCCAGGGAGACUGGGGAGCAUCCCAGAUGGUUCGUUUAGAUAGGUGGGUCCAUUUGGGUUUUCUAACAGGCGAAACGGCCAUAGGGCAGUUUCGGGCUAAAUCGAUGUGCUAUAGCUUAUGGUUCCAAGGUUGGGCCUAGGGUUCGGACGUGCUUUGGGCUAAAAAUUGACCUGGGCAUACCAUAAGGGUUGGGGAGCGUCCCAAUAUGGUACUUUUAGGUGGGCGGGGCUAUUUUAGAGGUCAAACAGGCAAAAUAAGGUAAAUGGGGAAUUUUCAAGGCAAAUUCGUUUUUAACAACCCACAGUUCCAGAGGUGGGCCUUGGGUUCGGGCAUGCUUUGGGUUGAAAAUCAACCUGGGCAUGCUAGGGAGGUUGGGGAGCAUCCCAUUAUGGUUCUUUUGUAUGGGAGGUUCCAUUUGGGUGGUCAACUAAGAAAAAAGGGGCCAACGAGACAUUUUCAGGACAAAUUUAUGUGCUAUAGCCCACAGUACCAGGGUGGGCCUGGGGUCCAAGCAUACUAUUAGUCAAAAAUUUCCCUGGUAUUGCUAGGGAGGUUAAGGAGCAUCCCAUUAUUAUAUGUUUGGGUAGGCGGGGCUAUUUGGGUGGUCAAACGGGAGAAACAGCGCAAACAAAAAAUUUUCAGGCCAAAUUAAUGUGCUAUAGCCCACGGUUCCUAGAGGGGGCCCAGGGUAUGGGCGCGCUGUGGUCCAAAACUCAAACUAGGGAUGAUACAGAGAUUGGGGAGCAUCCUACUAUGGUCCGUUUGGGUGGGCGGGGCCAUUUGGGUGGUCAACGGGUAAAACGGGGUAAAAGGGGCAUUUUUGUACCAAAUCGAUGUGCCAUAUACAACAGUUAUAGGGAUGGGCCCAGGGUUCAAGCGUGCUAUGGCCACAAAUCAACCUGGGCAGGCCAAUGGGUUAGGGAGCAUCCCAUUGUGGUUCGUUUAGGUGGAAGGAGCCAUUUGGGUAGUCAAACGGGCAAAACGGCACGAGUGGGACAUUCUUCUGCCAAAUCGGUGUGCUAUAGCCCAAGGUUCUUGGGGUGGGCCCAGGGUCCGGGCGUGCUGUGGGCUAAAAAUUAACCUGGGCAUGCCAGAGGGGUGAGGAGCAUCCGAGUAUGGUCUGUUUAGGUAGGCGGAGCUAUUUGGGUGGUCAAACGGGUGAAAUAGUACUAAUGGGGCAUUUUCAGACCAAAUCGUGUGCUAUAGCCUAUGGUUCCUAGGGUAGGCCCGGGGUCCAGGCGUGUUGUGGGCUAAAAAUUAACCUGGGCAUACUGUGGGCCAAAAAUCAACUUAGGCAUGCUAGGGAGAUUGAGAAGCAUCCCAGUGUAGUUCGUUUGGGCAGGAGGGGCCAUUUGGCUGGUCAAUCGAGCGAAACAACAUGAACAGGGCAUUUUCAGGAAAAAUCGGUGUGUAAUAUCCCACAGUUCCUGGGGUUGGCUCAAGGUUUGAGGGUGCAGUAGGUUGAAAAUAGACUUGGACAUGCUAAGGAGGUAGGAAAGUGUCCCAGUGUGGUCCGUUUGGGUGUACAGGGCCAUUUGUAUUGAUAAAUGGGGGAAAACAGGGAAAACGAGGCAUUUUUAUACCAAAUCGAUGUGCUAUAGCCCACGGUUCCUAGGCUGGGCCUGGAGUCCGGGUGUGCUGUUGUCCGAAAUUGACCCGGGCAUGCUAGGGAGGUUAGUGAGAAUCCUAGUGUGGUCCGUUUGGGUGGGCUGGGCCAUUUGAGUGAUCAAACAAGCAAAACAUCACGAACGGGGCAUUUUCAGGCCAAAUUAGUUUGUUAUAGCCUAUGGUUUCUGGGGUGGGCCUGGGUUCUAAUCGUUUAGUGGGAUGAAAAUCAACUUGGGCAUGCCAGAGAGGUUGGGAAGCAUCCUUGUGUGGUUUGUUUGGGUGGGUGGGGCUAUUUGGGUGUUCAAAUGAGCAAAACGGCACGAACAUGCUUUUUUCGAGCUAAAUCGAUGUGCUAUAGCCCAUAUUCCUAGGGUAGGCCCGGGGUUCGAGAAUGCUGUGGGCCAAAAAUUGACCUGGGUAUGCCGUCAUAGUUUGAACGCAUCCUAGUGUGGUCUUUUUGGAUGGGUAGGGCCAUUUAGUGUCCAAACAGGCGAAACAUCGUGGAUGGAGCAUUUUUGGGCCAAAUCGAUCUAUUAUAGCCCACAAUUCCUUGGAUGGACCCGGGGUUUGAGCGUGUUGUAGGUUAAAAAUUGACCUGUGCAUGCCCAGGAGGUUAGGUAGUUACCCAUUGCGGUCUGUUUGGGUGUGCGUGUCCAUUUGGGUGGUCAAAAAGGUGAAACAGAGUGAACAAGGCAUUUUCAGGCUAAAUUGGUGUGCUAUAACCCACGGUUCCUAGGGUGGGCUUAGGGUCCGGGUGUUCUGUGGGCCAAAAAUCUACCUAGGCAUGCCAGGGAGGUUGUGAAGCAUCCCAGGUUUGUCCGUUUGGGUAGGCUGGGCCAUUUGGGUGGUCAAACGGGUGAAACGGCCAAAUGGGGCAUUUUUUGGCCAAAUCUGUAUGUUGUGGCCUAUGAUUCCUGUGGUGGGCUCGGUUCUAGGCGUCCUAUGGGUCAAAAAUUGACUUAAGUGUGCCAAAAAGGUAUAAGAGCAUCCUUGUAUUGUUUGAUUAGUUAUACGUGGUUAUUUAAGUGGUCAAACGGGCGAAACGGUACGUUGCCGGGCCAAAUUGGUAUGCUAUAGCCCACGGUUCCUAGGGUGGGCCUGGGGUCCAAGCAUGAUGUGGGUAAAAAAUUGACCUAGGCAUGUAAGAGAGGUUGGAGAGCAUCCCACUCUGGUCUGUUUGGGUGGGUGUUGCUAUUUGGAUGGUCAAGCGAGCGAAACAGCGUUAACGGGGCAUUUUUAGGACAAAUUGAUGUGCUAUAGCCCAUGAUUCCUAGGGUGGGCCUGGGGUCCGUACGUGCUGUGGGUCAAAAAUCAACCUGGACGUGACAGGCAGGUUGGGUAACAUCCUAGUAUGAUCCGUUUAGAUGGGCGGGGCUAUUUGGGUGGUCAAACGAGCAAAACGGCGUGAAUGGGGCAUUUUCAGGAUAAAUUGGUGUGUAUAACUCACGGUUCCUAUGGUGGUCCCGAGGUUCGGGCGAUCUAUGGGUCAAAAAUGAACUUGUGCAUGCUAGGGGGUUUAAGAAGCAUCCCAAUAUGGUCCGUUUGGUCAUUUGGGUGGUUAAAUGGGCGAAACGGUGAGAACGGGGCUUUUUUAGGCUAAAUCGGUUUGCUCUAGCCCAUAGUUCUUGGGGUGGGCUCGGGGUCUGGGUAUGCUGUAGGUUAAAAAUUGAGUUGGGCAAUCCAAGGAGUUUGGGGAAUACCCCAGUGUGGUCUGUUUGGGUGGGCGUAGCCAUUUGGGUGGUCGAACAGGUGAAACGAUGUGAACAGGGCGUAUACGGGCCAAAUCGCUGUGCUAUAGCCCACGGUUCCUGGGGUUCGGGCGUACUGUGGGCUAAAAAUUAACCUGUACGUGCUAGGGAGGUUGGGGUGCAUCCCAGUAUGAUCUGUUUAGGUGGACGGGGUCAUUUGGGCAGUAAAAUAGGUGAAACGGCGCUAACAGAGAAUCUUCGGCCCAAUCGAUGUGCUAUAGCCCACGGUUCCUAGGGUGGGCUUGGGGUUCGGGCAUGUUGUGGGACAUAAAUUGACAAGGACAUGCUAGAGAGGCUAAGGAGCAUCCCAGUGUGGUCCUUUUGGGUGGGCGGGGCCAUUUGGGUGUUCAAAAGGGAGAAACGGCGCGAACGUGGCAUUUUCAGGCCAAAUCGAUGUGUUAUAGCCUAUGGUUCCUGGGGUACGCCCGGGGUCCUGACUUGCUGUGGGCUAAAAAUUGACUUAGGCAUGACAAAGAGGUUGGGUAGAAUCCCAAUUAGGUCUGUUGGAGUGAGCGGGGCUAUUUGGGUGGUCAAACAGGGAAAACGGUGUGAACGAGGCAUUUUCAGGCCAUAUUGGUGUGCAAUAGCCCACGGUUCUGAGGGUGGGCCCGAGGUCCAGGCAUGUUAUGGACCAAAAAUUGACCUGGUCAUUCCAUGGAAGUUAGAAAGUAUCCCAGUAUAGUCCGUUUGGGUGGGCGGGGACAUUUGGGUGGUCAAACGGGCAAAACAGCAAGAACGAGGCAUUUUUAGGCCAAAUCGGCCAUGGGUAGGCCAAGGGUCUAGCCGUGCUGUAGUCCAAAAAUUAACCACGGCUUGACAGGGAGGUUGGGGAUCAUCUCCAUAUGGUUCUUUUGGGUUUGUGGGGCUAUUUGGGUGAUCAAACGGGAAAAAUGGUACAAAUGAUGCUCUUUUGAGCCAAAUCAGUAUGCUAUAGCCCAUUCUCUGGGCCAAAAAUUGACUUAGGCGUGCCAUAGGGGUUGGGGAGCAUCCCAGCAUGGUAUGUUUGGGUGAGUGGGUAUAUUUGGGCAGCCAAACUGGAGAAAUAGCAUGAACAGGGCAUUUUCGGGCAAAAUCGGUGUGCUAUAGCCCACGGUUCCAAGGGUGGGCCCAGAGUCUGGGCAUGUUGUGGGUAAAAUAUUGACCUGGGCAUGCCAGAGAAGUUUGAGAGUGUCCUAGUAUGAUUUUUUUGGGUGGGUUGGGCCAUUUGGUUGGUCAAACGGGAGAAACGGUACGAAUAGGGCAUUUUUAGGCCAAAUCGGUGAGCUAUAGCCCACGGUUCCUAGGGUGUGCCCAGGGUCCGGACGUGAUGUGGGAAAAAAUUUGACCUAGGCAUGCCACGGAGGUUGGGGAGCAUCAAGUGUGGUUCAUUUGUGUAGGCGGGGCCUUUUGGGUUGUCAAAAGGGCAAAACAGUGCGAAUGGGGCAUUUUCAGGCCAAAUAGGUGUGUAAUAGCCCACGGUUCCUAGGGUGGGCUCGUGGUUCAGGCGUGAUGUGGGACAAAAAUCAACCUAGGAAUUCUAUGGAGGUUGGGAAGUAUCUCAGUAUGGUUUAUUUGGGUGAGCGGGGCCAUGUGGAUGGUCAAACGGGCGAAACGACGCGAACAGGGCAUUUUCAGGAUAAAUUGGAGUGCUAUAGCAUAUGGUUUCUAGGGUGGGCCCGGGGUCCAGACGUGCUGUGGGUUAAAAAUAAACUUGGGCAUGGCAGGGAGGUUAGAGAUCAUUCCAGUAUGGUUUGUUUGGGUGGGAGGGGCAAUUUCGGUGGUCAAACAGGCAAAACAGUAUAAACGACACAUUUUCAAGCCAAAUUGGUGUGCUAUAGCCCAUGGUUCCUAGGUGGUCCUGGGUUCGGGUGUGCUGUGGGCCAAACAUUGAAUUGGGCAUGCUAGGGAGGUUAGGGAGCAUCCCAGCAUGGUUUAUUUUGAUGGGUGGGGCUAUUUGGAUGGUUAAACGGGCAAAACAGUGCAAAUUGGGCAUUUUAUGGCCAAAUCAGUGUGCUAUAGCCCACGGUUUCUGGGGUGGGCCUGGGGUCCAGAUGUUUUAUGGGCUAGAAAACCUCCUGGGCAUGCUAGGGAGGUAAGGGACUAUACUAGUAUGGUUUGUUUGGGUGGGCGGGGCCUUUUGUGUUGUCAAACGGGCAAAAUGGAGCAAACAGGGGAUUUUUGGGCCAAAUCGUUGUGCUAUAGCCCACGGUUCCUGGGGUCGGCACGGGGUCCCAAUGUGAUGUGGGCUGAAAAGCAAUCUGGCCAUGCUAGGGAGGUUCAGGAGUAUUUCAGUGUGGUUCGUUUUGGUGGAAGAGGCAAUUUAGGUGGUCAAACGGGCGAAACGAUGUGAACGAGGCAUUUUUAGGCCAAAUUGGUGUGCUAUAACCCUCGGUUCCAAAGGUGGGCCUAAGGUUCGAGUGUGCCAUGGAGGUUUGAGAGUGUCACAGUGGUUUCCGUUUGGUUUGGCUAGACUGUUUUGGUGGUUAAACGAGCAAACGACAAGAACGGGGCAUUUUUAGGUUAAAUCGGUGUGCUAUAGCCCAUGAUUCCUGGGGUGGGCCUGGGGUCCAGGCGUGUCAUGGGCCAAAUAUUAACCAAAGCAUUUCAGUAAGGUAGGGAAGCAUCCCAGUGUUGUUCGUUUGGGUGGGAUAGGCCAUUUGGAUGGUCAAACAGGCAAAAUGGUGAGAACGAGGCAUUUUUGAGCUAAAUCAUUGUGCUAUGGCCCACGGUUCAUGGGGUGGGCGUGCAGUCCGGGCAUGAUGUGGGUCGAAAAUCAACUUGGGCAUGCCAGGGAGGUUGGGGAUCAUCCCAGCGUGGUCCGUUUGGGUGGUCAAAGGGGCAAAAUAGCGUGAACAGGGCAUUUUUUGGCUAAAUCGAUGUGCUUUAGCCCACGAUUCCUUCUGUGGGCUCGAGGUCCGAUUGUGUUGUAGGCCAAAAAUUAACCUAGGAAUUCUAGGGAGGUUAGGGUGCAUCCAAGUGUGGUCCAUUUGGGUGGGCGUGGCCAUUUGGAUGGUCAAACGGGCAAAAUAGUGCCAACUGGGUAUUUUAGAGCCAAAUUAGUGUGUUAUAGCCCACGAUUCCUGGGGUGGGCUCGGGGUCAGAGCGUGCUGUAAGGCAAAAAUAAAACUGGCCAUACCAGGGGGGUUGAGGUGCAUCACAGUAUGGUUUGUUUGGGUAGGCGGGGCGGUUUAUGUGGUCAAACAGUCAAAAUGGUGCGAACGGGGUAUUUUUGAGCUAUAUUGGUGUGCUAUAGUCCAUGGUUCCUGCAGUGGGACCAAGGUUCGGGCGUGCUAGGGGGAUUAAAGAGCAUAUCAGUAUUGUCCAUUUGGGAAGCCGGGGAUAUUUGAGUGGUCAAACAGACAAAACGACGCGAACGGGGCAUUUUUGGGCUAAAUCAGUUUGCUAUACCCAUGGUUCCUAGGGAGGGCUCGGGGUCCGGGCGUGCUGCGGUCCAAAAAUUGACUUAGACAUGCCAGGGAGGUUAGAGAGUGCCUAGAAUGGUCCUUUUGAGUGGGCGCAAAAAUUUGGCUGGUCAAACAGGUGAAAAGACAUGAACGGGGUAUAUUUGGGCCAAUUCGGUGUGCUAGAACCCAUGGUUCCUAGGUUUGGCCUGGGGUUUGGGCGUGUUGUGAGCUGAAAAUUGACCUGAGCAUGCCAGGAAGGUUAGGGAGUGUCCUCGUAUGGUACAUUUGGGUGGGUGGAGACUUUUGUAUGGUCAAACAGGCAAAAUGGCGCUAACGGAGCAGUUUUAGGCCAAAUCGGUAUGUUAUAACCCAUGGUUCGAGCUCGGGGUUUGGGCGUGCUGUGUGUCAAAAAUUGAACUGGACAUGCUAGAGAGGUUGGGAAGUAUACCAGUGUGGUCUGUUUUGGUAGGAGGAGCUAUUUGGGUAGUCAUACGGGCAAAAUGGUACGAUCGGGUCAUUUUUGGGCCAAUUCGGUGUGCUAUAGCCCAUGGUUCUGGGGUGUGCUUGGGGUUCGAAUGUGCAUUGGGUUGGAAACUAACCUUGGCAUGCCAUAGAGAUUGGGAAUCAUCCCAGUCUUAUCUAUUUGAGUAGGCAGGGCCAUUUGGAUGGUCAAACUAGAAAAACGGCACAAACAGGGUAUUUUUAGGUCAAAUCGGUGUGCAAUAGCCCACAGUUCCUAGGGUGGACUCGGGGUCCAAGCGUGCUGUGAUCCAAAAAUCAACCUGGGUAUGCUAGGGUGGUUGGGUAUGUCCCAGUGUGGUGCGUUUGGGUGGGCGAGGCCAUUUGGGUGUUCAAACGGGCAAAACGGUGCAAACAGGGAGGUUUCUAGCCAAAUCGGUGUGCUAUACCCUACGAUUCCUGGAGUGGGCCCAGGGUCCUAGUGUGCUGUAGGCCUAAAUUUGACCUGGGCAGGGAACGGAGGUUGGGGAUCAUCCUAGUAUGGUCCAUUUGGGUAGGCGAGGCCAUUUGGGUGGUCAAAUGGGCAAAUGACACAAACGAUGUAUUUUUGAGCCAAAUUAAUGUGCUAUAGCCCACAGUUCCUGGGGUGAGCCCGAGGUCCAGGUGUGCUAUGGGUUAAAAAUAAUCCUGGGCAAGAUAGGGAGUUUGGGGAGUAUCUCAGUGUGGUCCGUUUGGGUGGGUGGUGCCAUUUGGACUGUUAAACGGGCAAAACAAUGCGAAUGGGGCAUUUUUAGGCUAAAUCGGUGUGCUAUAGCCCACGGUUCCCGGGGUGGGCCAGGGGUCCAGGCAUGCCAUGGGAUGAAAAACUAACUAAGCUUGCCAGGGAGGUUGGCGAGCAUUCCAGUAUGGCCCAUUUGGGUAGGCAGGGCCAUUUUGGUGGUCAAUCGGGAGAAAUAGAGCAAACGGGACUUUAUCAGGCCAAAUCAAAAAGCUAUAGCCCACGGUUCCUGGUGUGGGAUCGGGGUCCGGGCAUGCUGUGGGCUGAAAAUUGACUUGGGAGUUCCAGGGAGGUUAGGGAGAAUCCCAGUGUGGUCCGUUUUGUUGGAUGGAUCUAUUUGGGUGGAUGGGGCCAUUUGGGCGGUCAAGUGGGCGAAACGGCACGAAUGGGGCAUUUUCGGGCCAAAUUGGUGUGCUGUAGCCCACGGUUCGUGGGGUGGGUCCAGGUUUAGGCGUAUUGUGGGCUGUAAAUUAACUUGUGCAUGCCAAGUAAGUUGGGGAGCGUUCCAGUAUGGUCCGUUUGGGGGGAGUGGCCAUUUGGUUGGUCAAACUCUGGAAACGGCGUGAAAGGGGCAUUUUCGGGCCAAAUCAAUAGACUAUAUCCCACAGUUCUUGGGGUGGGCCUUGGGUCCUGGCGUACUUUUGGUCACAUAUCGAUCUGGGCGUGCCAGGGAGAUUAACUCUUUUAAGAACUUGUUCUGUUAGAACAUCUAUUUCAAUCUUAUGAUGUCUAGCUUUGUCUUCUCUGAUCUCUUCCUUGAGAGAAUUAACCUCUCCUAAAGGUCGCUGAUAGAAGGCUCUUAUCUUGAGUCAAAUCUCUGCAUAACUUAUUUCAUGCUAAAACUGAUUAUCGCUUUGCGAUGAAGCUUCAUCUAUUAAUUUCAUAACAUCAACUUUAUCCGGGUCACUAUCAAUUUCUAACAGGGCCUUUUGUAUCUUUUUUUUUAAUUCCCUCUUUGAGGGUGAUUUUUUGGUUGGAGUAUUCAGGAUGGACGUCGAUGAAUCCUUUGGAGCAGGAGACCAUCAUUUAAUAAAGACAUCCUUGGACAAGUAUUUGGUCCUGUCAAAUUCAUUAAUAGUGAAAGUCCAACUUAUAAUAUAAGAAAUUCUUUUUUGAAUAAAAUAUUUACACAAUUUAAUGUGUUCUGGUAAAGUAGAUAUAUCUUGAUCAAUUUGAAAUUGACCAAUUUUUUCUAAAAAAUUCUUUGACAAAAUAUUUUGAUUGCCUCUAAAAUAAUUCCACCAUUCAUAGAACCAUCUUGGGAUAACAAACUUUUUUAAUUCAAGACUAUACUUUACAAACCAUGUAUGUGUAGUAGGUUGUAAGUAUGGAAAAUUAAACCAUGUAGAUUUAUAAUCGUGCCAGUUGAAGAUUUGAGGCCUAUGUUCUCUUGAAAGAUUAAUAGGCGUAUGCAAAUGGUCUACUUGACAUUCAAAUGGGGUUAAAACUUUUUUGAUAGUAAAUUUGGAAUACGCAAUACUAUCAGGAUCUUUUUCAUCACUUGGAAUUCAAUCUGAAAAAACAAAGCUAGAUAAUAAGGCUUGCCAUCUAGCAUAUAUUUGUUUAGAAGCUAUAUUUUUAGCAUCUUUUUGUAAGAUGUCUUUGGCAGAUUUAAAAUGUACUAUAAUCAAGAAUUCUUUGUUAAUCAAAUCAUCUUGAAAUUUAGUGAUGAAUAAAACUAUAGAGAGAACUUCCUUCUUCACAGUACUAUAGUUUCUUUGGGCAGAAUUCUAAACUCCAGAGGUAUAACAAACUAAUUGUUCAGCAGAUUUGGGAGAUUCCCUUUGCUUAAGGAUUCCUCCAUAGCCGAUGUUAUAAGCAUCAAUUUCUACUAACAUAAAGAAUCUCGGAUUGGGGAUUCCAAGGCAAGGCAAAUGUUUAACAAUCUCUUUAACUUCGAUACCAGCCUUAGUUUGCUCUUCUUUCUAAGGAAGAGGAUUCCUUUUCAACCAGUCAUAGAGAGGUUUACAAAUUUGUGUUAUCAUCUCUAAGAAGCAGAAAAAUAGGAAUAUCUAAUCCUUUACGGAAAAGAGGUUUAACAGCACUUGAAUAAGUCCGAUUUGCAAAAAUUUUAAAUCCUUUCUAUAUUUAUUGAUAUCUUUUGCAAUUAACAACUUGAUAGUUUCAAGAGAAUUAUUAAUAGCAAUAGUUUACUCCAAGGUCUUAAUAUUAUAAUUUUUUACUAUGCUGAAAUUACCUAUUUGAUAAAUCUUUUUAAAAGGUUCUUUAGGAAUAGACCAGUUUUGUAAAUCAUGUUCUACUUUAGAAAUAAUUUGAGUAGACAUGUUCAUACGAUUAACACCAUUCUGAUGAUUAUUCAUGGAUGGACAAAAUAUGUCUUAGACUAAGAACUGAUUAUGUCUAUCAUAUUAACCAUGAAGUAAGCAAUUAAUAUGGUUAUCAAUAUUAUACUAAACAUAAAUAUCUAAAUCUCUGAUGUAAUGGUAAUAGUUAUCUUGGAUAUUACUCGAAAUUCAGUCUAUUCAUCUUGGCGCUAGGAACACCUUUGAUUCAAGCCUAUCUUUUUGGCGACCAUUUUUCUGGCUAUGACAACACCUAAAGCUGGAUAUUAAUCGGCACCCUCAUACUCAGAUAGAAUAACGAUACCUCACACUGUGUCCAUAAUUAGGGAGAGAGAUACUUAUGAAUAGUUAAAUAGAGAUAGCCAUAUUAAUCACUUUCUAAUAGUGAAUAGAUAAUCAUAAGUCCUUAGCCCAGACACAAAAAUUUAGCUAUUCAUGCUGAUGAAUAAUAACAGCAACAUGGCUUUGAUACCAUCACUACCCCUCAAGCCAUCGAACCCAAGAGAUCUCAGAUCGAUAGGGUUAUUCAAUUACCUGAUGGAUCUAUAAAUCUCAAGUUUCUUAGAUCCAACUCUAACAACCAAGCUUUUUCAAGUAGAAGAAUGUCUUCGGCCAGACCUUUUUCUUUUCAUCCCUUGUAAGAGGUUGAAACUAAUGCUUCCGCUGAAGAAAUCAACCAUGGAAAAUUCCCAGGCGUAGAUUUCUCUAAAACCAUUCCUAAGGUUUAUUACGAAGCCGCAACUGCUUCUGAUCCAGGAAUCCCAACACCUAGUGACAUACAACCUAAGGUGCACGCAAAAAAAAAACUCCAUUGAUGUGAUUACUACCAAUGACGUUGUUCCAAACAAAAAUGAAUUAAAUAGCCUGUAGAAUCUACCAGAACACUAGCAAAAGGUAAAAUGGUAUAAAGCUACUUAUUCCAGGAACCAACGAGUUUCUUUUAAAAAUAAGUGGUUUAAAGAUAUGACUAGAUUUGGAAUUGAAAUAGAAUUCUUCAAAUGGUUUGAAUAUUUAUGACAAAUUGAUGAUAAAAAAGAAUCUCUUCAAGUUUUUAUUAGCAAGUGGUACACCAAGAAUUAGGUUGGAGAAAGCACCAUUCCCCCUCUUGAAGGAAUCAGUAUCCCUUAUAAGGAAAAAGUUAUCCAAGCGGCACUUUUUUUAAAAAAGAUUGUUGGUAAAGAUACUAGUCUCAUAACCACAGCGGAUGUCAACAAAAUCUUGGAACAAAACAACUAUACUAACCAGUUGUUGUGUGUUAUUUCUAAGCAUGUUGAGAAUUCUAAAGGUACUACCUUGAUAGGAGAUAAGCCUAGUACCUCUAAGUAUAACCCCCCAUAUAGAGGUCAACCCUGUCUUUAAAAUUCCUGAAUUUUCUAGAGAAAAGUUCCCUAAGCUUACUAUCCAAUUCAGCAAUGUCCCAUUUCUUUUUGAAAAAAUCAAUGAUCAUCUUAUUAAGCUUAAGCUUACUGAAAACCCCAAUUCUUCUACUAGUAAGUUGGGAAUGAUUAAUCAGUCCAAAAAUCAGGUUCAUUAUAAUGGGAAAGACCAAUAUCAUAACAAAAAGAAUUAUUACUCUAGACCUUCUUUCCAAGACAUGCAGUUUGAGAAAAAUGUUUUUCUUUCAUCAUCUUCAAAUGAUGGAGGAAGAAUAACUGAAUGGAAUAUUGAUGGCCUUGCAGAGCAUCAAAUUUAAAAUAAACUCCAUGAAAUGGGAAUUUCCAUUACCACUUACAAACUCAGAAAUAGUUUUGAUAAGCAGUAUGCUAACAUGCUUAUAGCAGGGUUUAACGAGAUGUUAAGGCACUGUCGGGAUUAUUAUCUUACUAAAGAGGAUAAAACUAGUAUCUAAAAUGUGGACACCUGCCAACAAGCCAUAAAAAAUGAAAAUGGUAUAGAGGUAGCAACCACAGUAACCAUUAAAGAUGCUACUACUACAUUAUUAUACAACAUUGCUAAAUAUUUUAUUGGGGAACCUAAAAUCUUCCAACAUAGAAGUUUAGAAAUCCUCAACAAUCUCUACUCUAAAAGGCUAGGAGAUUUCAAAUGAUAUAAAGACAUGUUUAUUGCCAAGGUUAUGAUAAGAUCCGAUUGCAAUAAUGAUUUCUGGAAAUAAAGAUUUAUUAGUGAUCUACCCUUUUUAUUUACUGAAAAAGUACAAACAAAAAUCAAAGAUAGAUGUGAAGGAAGAUACCCUACAAUCAUAUUACCUAUGGUGAUCUCAUCAGUAUUAUUAAUGUCGUUGCAAUAGAUUAUGCACUGACUUAAAAUUGAAAGAGCAGCUCAAAAAGAGCAAAAAUUAUCCUCAUCAGAACUUGGAAGUUUCUGCCAAGAUUUUGAUUUUUCAAAACUCAUUCCUCGUUCUUCCAAAAGGAAAGAAAAGAAAACUUCAUCAAAAUCCUCAUCCUCCAGAAGACGAAGUUAGCAAAAAUAAAGAAAUUCUAAAAGGAGAUUUAAAAUGAAAAAUCUUCAAAUAAUUCCACUAAAGAUUCAUCCUCAGAUGAAUACUGGACAUAUGGUAAGCAGGGUCAUAAAACCAACCAAUGUCCAAGUAAUAACAAGAAAAAGAAGAAAAUCAAUCUUCUAGAAAUUGAUGAAGAAACAAAGUAAAAGUUAUGCUCUAUCAUCAAAGAACAAGAAUCAGAAUCAGAUUACUCUUUUGAAGAAGAAGAAGAUUGCUGCGACGAGGAAUUUAUCAAUGUCGCUAAUGAUUCGAAUUCUGAAAUCAAUAACUCAAAAUGCAAUUGCCAAGGGGCAUUUUGCUUUUGUGAUAGUAAAUCCAUUAGUGUUCUUUCUGAAAAUACUGCUAAAACUUUGUUCGCCACAAUUGAACAUAUUAAAGAUAACGAGGUAAAACAUAAGUACCACUUGGAAUUAUAAAAUCUUGUUACUCAUCAGCAGCAGAAUGAGAAACCUAAAAUUGUCCCUUUUAGCAUGAAACAAGUUAUGUAGAGAUUUGACUCAAGAAAAGAGCCUUCUAUUAGCAACCUUCAAGGAGAGGUCAAUUCUCUCAAGGAAGAAAUAAGAGAAGUCAAAGCUAGACAUCAUAAGAUUGAAAUAGAUGUUCAAAUAGAACAAGUUCUUAAAAAAGUUAAUCUCCCUGAAGAAGGAACUUUAGUAAGUAAGGACAUCUCUCUUCUAUAUACAGAUGACCAUGAAAAUAAGGGACGAGAGCCAGGUAUUGAUGUAAUAUCAAAGGUUAGGCCCCAAAGUUCUCACAUUUUGAUUAAUUAGUCAUUAAUGAUAAUUUGAUUAUUAAAAAAGUUUCCUUGUUCGACAGUGAUGCAGAUAGAAGCUGUAUAAUAGAAGGUCUUAUCCCCACUAAGUACCUACAAAAGGGUACAACAAAGCUCUAUGAUGCUAUAGGUGAAAGAAUUGGUAUUGCUUACAAAGUAACUAAAGCUCAUAUCUGUAACAAUGGAAUAUGCCUUGUUAAAGAUUUUGUUAUUACAAAAAACAUUACUGAAGAGAUUAUUAUUUUACUACUAUACGUACUACCAUUUUAGGAAAAGAACUUUCAUUUUCUCUUAUGAAAAUUCUUUCUUUAGAAGAAAGCAAAUUUUUACAUUAACGUACAACUUUCAAAAUAAAUCUUUUAAAAAAAUAGAUUUGUUUUCUCAAAGAUGACAUCAAAAUUAGAAAAAUUGAGAAAAUUUUAAAAACUCCAGAGAAGAUUGCAACUCUCCAGUGGACUUUCGAAAAAGAAAUUUGCUCUGAUUUUCCAAAUGCUUUUUGGAAAGAAAAAAGAAUGUUGUCGAUUUACCUUAUAUUGAUGGAUUCAAUGAAAGAGCCAUUUUUACUAAGGUAGAUCAAUUGAAAUGAACCAUGAAUUAAUGGAAAUUUCAAAAAAGGAGAUUAAUACUCUUUUAAAAAACAACAUUACUUGCCCUUCAAUAUCCCCUUGGAGUUGCUCAGCCUUUUAUGUUAACAAUGCAGCGGAGAAAGAACGAGGGUCUCCCAGACUUGUUAUUAAUUAUAAGCCUUUACAUAGCGCUUUAAAAUGGAUUCGUUACCCCAUUCCAAAUAAAACAUAUUUUAUAAAACGAACCUUUAAAGCUAAUAUUUACAGCAAGUUCGAUAUAAAAUCUGGCUUUUAGAAAAUCUAGAUUUUCAAAAGGGAUAAAUAUAAAACUACCUUCAAUGUCCCCUUUGGACAAUAUGAAUGGAAUGCCAUAUCUUUCGGUUUAAAAAAUUCUCCCUCAGAAUUUUAAAAUAUUAUGAGCAACAUUUUCAAUCAUAUUAGCCAUAUUUUGAUUGUUUAUAUUAAUGAUGUUUUAAUCUUUUCAUGGGAUAUUGAUUCUCAUUUUAAAAAUUUAUAUAUUUUUUUCAAAAUAGUCAAGCACAAUGGCCUUGUUGUAAGUGCUAAGAAAAUAAAGAUUUUUCAAACAAAAAUCAGAUUUCUUGGACAUGACUCGUAUCAAGGUUAUUAUAAACUAAUAUGCAGAGCCAUUGAGUUCUCAGAAAAAUUCACAAAUGUCAUUACAAACAAAACUCAACUUUAGACGUUUUAGGAAGCCUUAAUUAUGUUACGGAUUUUAUCCCCAAGGUAAGACAAAUUUGUAAAUCUCUCUAUGACAGGUGGAAAAGAAAUCCUCUUCUUUGGAACGAAGAGCAAACUAAGGUUGUUAUCAAAGUUAAAGAGAUGGUCAAACAUUUGCCUUGCCUGGGAAUCCCUAAUUCGAGCUUCUUUAUGAUAGUAGAAACUGAUACUUCUGACAUCGGUUAUGGAGGAAUUCUUAAUCAAAGGGAAUCUCCCAAAUCUACUGAACAAUUAGUUGUUAUACCUUUGGAGUCUGGAAUUCUGCCCAAAAAAUAUAGUACUGUGAAGAAGGAAGUUCUCUCUAUAGUUUUAUGCAUUACUAAAUUUCAAGAUGAUUUUAUUAACAAAGAAUUUUUGAUUAGAGUAGAUUGUAAAUCUGCCAAAGAUAUCUUACAAGAAGAUGUUAAAAAUUUAGUUUCUAAAUAAAUAUUCGCUAGAUGGCAAGCCUUGUUAUCUAGCUUUGAUUUUCAGAUUGAAUUCCUGAAGGGAGAAAAUAACUCUCUUCUGAAUUUUCUAACUCGUGAGUUUUUACAGGGAAAAACAUAAGGCCAACAAGAGUUAGGCCAAACAAAGGUCCCUUCAAAGGGAAAGAAGCAGGGAAUAAAAAACCAUCUGCCAAUUCUUUCAACGUUCGACCAUCAUUAAAUGGACAUAAUAACUUUUUAGUUUUAGUCCAGUUGCCACCUAUAAACCAUGCCCUAACCAUAAAUGCUUUCCCAGCUUUAUCAAGCUGAAUCUCCUCAAACUUUUUGGUAAUGAAGAAACCGUUUGCUAAAGAAUCUGAACCAUAUUCAUAUUCUCCUUCUAGAAAACCUAGAUUUUCCUCAGUACAAACUAAAGAAAGUUAUACCAUGAAUCCCCUGAGAGCUUUGCAACAGUAGUUGUAUCUUCAACAACAACGACACCAAAGGUUAAAUAAAACUUUAACAAUGUUUCAUUGCAGGUAUCUCCAAUCCUAGCUUUGGAAUAGAAGUAUAAGAAGUAUGAAAUCAAAUAUAUGGUACGAUCUUUGUACAACAACCGAAAUUAUGUGAAGACCGAGAUUCCAUUCAAAACAGGAAAUACUAUAAGUUCAUCUUAGUUGACAUCAGCUUUAUUGAAAUACAGGACAAAUUAAGUGAUGAAAAAGAUCUUGAUAGUAUUAGUAUUGCGUAUUCCAAAUUUACUAUCAAAAUUUUUUUAACCCCAUUUGAAUGGAAAGUAGACCAUGUGCAUAUGCCUAUUAAUCUUUCGAGAGAACAUAGGCCUCAAACCUUCAACUGACACAAUUAUAAAUCUGCAUGGUUUAAUUUUCUAUACUUACAACCUACUACACAUACAUGAUUUGUAAAGUAUAGUCCUGAAUUAGCAAAAUCUGUUAUCCCAAGAUGGUUCUACGAAUGGUGGAAUUAUUUUGGAGGUAAUUAAAAUAUUUUGCCAAAGAUAUUUUAAAAAAAUUCGAUCAAUUUCAAAUUGAUCAAGAUAUUUCUACUUUACCAGAACACAUUAAAUUGUGUAAAUAUUUUAUUCAAAAAGAAUUUCUUAUAUUAUUAGUUGGACUUUCACCAUUCAUGAAUUUGACAGGAUCAAAUAUUGUCCAAUGAGGUCAUUAUUAAAGGAUGGUCCUGCUCGAAAGGAUUCAUCGAAGUUCCCCCAGAAUACUCCAACUAAAAAAUCACCCUCAAAGAGUGAAUUAAAAAGAGGCUAAAAAAGGUCCUAUCAGAAAUUGAUAGCGACCCGAAUGAAGUUGCUGUAAUGAAAUUAUUAGAUGAAGCUUCAUUGUAAAGUGGUAACAAUGGUGAUAUGUUAAAACCACGCGAUUUAGCACAGUCUUACAUGUACCCAUUCUAUUAUUAAUCCUAAUUAAGUUUGUUAAAAACUGGAUUAUUUAGUCCCUUAGAUAGAGACUCAAAGAGUCGGAAUUAUCCAAAAGGUGAGAACAGAGAAUCAAAGAGUCAAAAUUAUUCUUGAUUAAUCACAUAGUGAGGGACCCAACUACCAUCUUCAGAAUGAAAAAAGUUUGUGGUAGAAAGAAAUAAGGAAAAGGUUGCUUUAUUAAAAUCCACCAACACAUUGGUCUACAUUGAGGGGCCAGCAAAGAGAUAAGGAAAUCAUAAAGUAGUUAAUCAGAAGGAAGCAAAAGGAUUCCCUUUUUUUUUUAUUUUAUCCGCUCAAGUCUAUAUAAAGGCUUCAGAUUAUCUUUUGUAAGGCAUCAAAAAAAUUUCAUAUUAAAUUUUCUCUUAGUCUUUCAUCAUCUUUGUAAACAAUGUGGAGUUUUUGUUCUCAGUUAAUGUAAACCAGUUUUUGUGAGUAAUAUUUUUUCCUAUUUAAAUAUUUACUUAAUAUACUUGUGAUCCUAUUUAUGGUAUCAGGUCAUACGAGAUAUUUGAUUUCAUAUUUCUCAUACUCCUUAUCCAAGAGAAUUAUUUAGUCAAGCCUAUCUCUUUGGCGAUCGGAGCAUCCCAGUGUGGUCCAUUUGGGUGGGUGGGGCAAUUUGAGUGGUCAAAUGGGAAAAAUGAUGAGAAUAGGGUAUUUUCUAGACAAAUUGGUGUGUAUAGCCCACGGUUCCUGGGGUGGGUUUGGGGUUCGGGUGUGUUGUGGGCUGAAAAUCUACCUGGACAUACCAGAGAGGUUGGGGAGCAUCCCAGUGUGGUUUGUUUGGGUGGGCGGGGACAUUUGGAUGGUCAAAUGGGUAAAAUGUGCGAACGGAGUAUUUUCGAGACAAAUCGGUGUGCUAUAGCCCAUAAUUCUUGGGGUGGACCCAGGGUUCGAGCGUACUGUGGGCCAAAAAUUGACCUGGGUAUGCCAGAUAGGUUGGGGAGCAUCCCAGUGGGAUCCGCUUGGGUGGAAGGGGCUAUUUGGGUGGUCAAAUAUGCAAAACGGCAUGAACGGGAAAUUUUCUAGCCAAAUUAAUAUUCUAUAGCCCACGGUUCCUUGGGUGGGCUCGAGGACCAGGCAUUUUGUGGGCCAAAAAUUGACUUGGGCAUGCCAGAAGGGCUGGGGAGCAUUCGAGUAUGGUCCGUUUGGGUGGGAAAUACCAUUUUUGUGGUAAAAAGUGCAAAACAGCAUGAACGGGGUAUUUUCAGGCUAAAUCGGUGUGCUAUAGCCCAUGGUUCUUAGGGGGCCCAGGUACCGAGCGUGUUGUGGGCUAAAAAUUAAGUUGGGCAUGCCAGGGAGGUUGGAGAGCAUUCCAGUAUGGUAUGUUUUGGUGGACAGGGCCAUUUGAGUGAUCAAAUGGGUGAAAGGCAUGAACGGGGUAUUUUCUGGCCAAAUCGGUUUGCUAUAGCCUACGGUUACAAGGUGGGCCCGAGGUACGGAUGUGCUGUUGGCCAAAAAUUGACCUGGACAUACUAGGGAGCAUCCCAGUAUGGUCCAUUAGGGUGGGUGGGGCCAUUUGAGUUGUCAAAAAGGAAAAACGGUACGAACGAGGCAUUUUCGGGAUAAAUCGGUGUCCUUAGGCCACGGUUCUUGGGGUAGGCCUGGGGUCCGUGUGUGUUGUAGGUUAAAAAUCUACCUAGGAAUCAUAGAGAGGUUUGGGAGCAUCCCAGUAUGGUUCUUUUGGGUGGGAUAGGUCAUUUGGAUGGUCAAAUGGGAAAACAACAUGAACGGGGCAUUUUGGGGCCAAAUCGGAGUGCUAUAUCCCAUAAUUUCUGGGUGGGCCCGGGGUCCGGGCGUGUUAUGGUCCAAAUGUUGACCUGGGCAUGUGAGGGAGGUUUUGGAGCAUCCCAUUGUGGUCCUUUUGGGAGGGAAAGGCCAUUUGGGUUGUCAAAUGGGCAAAACGGCACGAAUGGGGCAUUUUGGGCCAAAUCAGUGUGUUAUAGCCCACGAUUCUUAGGGUGGGCCUAGUUUUUGGGUGUCUUAGGGGGAUUGAAGAGCAUCCUAAUAUGGUCCACUUUUGUGGGCGGGGCCAUUUCAGUGGUCAAACAGGCAAAACAGCGUGAAAUGAGACAUUUUUAGGCUAAAUCUAUGUGCUAUAGCCCAUGGUUCCUGGGUGGGCCCGGGGUCCAAGCGUGCUGUGGGCCAAAAUUUUACCUGGGCAUGCCAAAGAGGUUGGGGAGCACCCAGAGUGGUCUUUUUGGGUGGGCAGGUCCAUUUGGGUGGUCAAAUAGGCAAAACGGCAGGAACGGGGCAUUUUUAGACCAAAUUAGUGUGCUGUAGCCCAUGGUUCCUAAGGUGGGCAUAGGGUUCGAGUGUGCUGUGGGUUAAAAAUUGACUUAGAAUCCUGUGGAGGUUGGGGAGACUCCCAGUGUGGUCUGUUUGGGUGGGAUGGGCCAUUUAGGUGGUCAAACGAGCAAAACAGGGCAUUUUCGAUCCAAAUCGGUAGGUUAUAGCCCACGAUUCCUAGGGUGGGCCCAGGAUCCGGCUAUGUUAUGGGAUGAAAAUUGACCUGGGCAUGUUAGGAAGGUGAGGGAGCAUCCCAAUAUGGUCUGUAUAUAUGGUUGGGGCCAUUUGGGUUGUCAAACGGGCAUAACAACAUGAACGGGGAAUUUUCAGGCUAAAUCGGUAAGCUAUAGCCCACGGUUCUUGUGGUGGGCCUAGUGUUUGGGCAUGUUGUGGGCCAAAAAUUGACCUGUGCAUGCCAAGGAGGUUGGGGAGCAUCCCAGUAUGGUCUUUUUGGGCGGGCGAGUCUAUUUGGAUGGUUAUACCGGCAAAACGGCACGAACGGGACAUUUUAGGGAAAAAUCAGCAAGCAAAACGGCAUGAAUGGGGCAAUUUUGGGCCAAAUCAGUGUGUUAUAGCCCACUGUUCCUGGGGUGGACCAGGGUUCCGAGUAUGUUGUGGGCCAAAAAAUGACUUGGGUGUGCCAGAGAGGUUGGGGAGCAUCCCAGUGUGGUCCAUUUGGGUGGGCGGAGCCAUUUGUAUGGUCAAAUAGGCAAAACGACAUGAACGGGGUGAUUUUAGGCUGAAUCGGUGUGUUAUUUCCAAUGGUUCCUGGGGUGGGCCUGGGUUCCGAGCGUACUGUGGACCAAAAAUUGACCUGGGCAUGCUAGGGAGGUUAGGGAGAAUCCCAAUGUGGUCAGUUUGGGUGGACGGGGCCAUUCGGUAGUUCAAACAGGUGAAACAGUUGGAAAUGGGCAUUUUUGGCCCAAAUAAUGUAUUGUAAGCCUCAGUUCCUAGGGUAGCCUGGGAUCUGGGAGUGUUGUGUGUCAAAAAUUGACCUAGCCAUCUCAGGACGGUUAGGAAGCAUCCUAGUAUGGUCCAUUUGUAUGGGCGGGGCCAUUUGGGUGGUCAAACAGGCAAACUAAUUCGAACGGGGUAUUUUCGGGCCAAAUCGGUGUGCUAUACCCCACGAUUCCUGGGGAAGACCCGGGGUCCAGGCGUGCUGUGUGGAAAAAAAUAACCUGGGCAUAUCAGGGAGGUUAGGGAGCAUCCCAAUGUGGUCCGUUUGGGUAGGAAAGGCCAUUUGGGCGGUUAAACGGAUGAAACGGUAUAAAUGGGCAUUUUCGGGCCAAAUUGGUGUGCUAUAGCCUGUGGUUCCUGGGGAGGGCUUGGGCUACGGGCGUGUUAUGGGCUAACAAUAGGCCUGGGCGUACCAGGGGGGUUGAGGAGCAUCCCAGUGUGGUCCGUUUGGGUGGGCGGGACCAUUUGUGUGGUCAAAUGGGUGAAACGGCGUGAAAUAGAGCUUUUUUAGGACAAAUCGGUGAGCUAUAGCCUACGGUUCCUGGGGUGGUCCCAGAGUCCAAGUGUGCUGUGGGCCAAAAAUUUACUUGGGCAUGCCAGAGAUGUUGGAGAGCACCCCAGUGUGGUCUGUUUGGGUGGGCAGGGCCAUUUGGGUGGUCAAAUGGGCAAAACGGCAUGAACGGGGCAUUUUUAGGCCAAAUUGGUAUGCUGUAGCCCACAGUUCCUGGGGUGGGCCUAGGGUCCGAGCGUGUUGUAUGCCAAAAAUCAACUUGGGCGUGCCUGGGAAGUUGGGGAGCAUCCCAGUAUGGUCCGUUGGGUUGGGUGGGACCAUUUGGGUGGUCAAAUAGGAGAAAUAUCACGAAUGGGGAAAUUUCGAGCCGAAUAGGUGUGCUAUAGCCCACGGUUCCAGGGUGGGACUGGGCGUGCUAUAGGCCAAAAAUUAAUCUGGGUAUACCAGGAUGUUGGGGAGUAUCCCAGUAUGAUCAAUUUGGGUGGGCGGGGCCAUUUGGGUGGUCAAACGAGCGAAACAGCACGAACGAAGCAUUUUUGGAUUGAGUUGGUGUGCAAUAGACUAUGAUUCCUGGUGUGGGCCCAGUAUUUGGGUGUGUUAUGUGUAAACAAUUGACUCAGGCGUGCCAGAGAGGUUGGGGAGCAUCAUAGUAUGGUUUGUUUGGGUGGGAGAGGCCACUUGGGAGGUCAAACGGGCGAAAUGGCACGAAUGGAGCAUUUCUUGGCCAAAUCGGUGUGCUAUAGCCCACGAUUCUAGGGUGGGCCAGGGGUUCGGGCGUGUUGUGCACCAAAAAUUGACCUAGGCAUGCUAAGGAGAUUGGGGAGCAUCCCAUUGUGCUUUUUUGGGGUGGGCAGGUCCAUUUGAGUGGUCAAAUGGGUGAAACGACGCGAAUGGGGAAAUUUUAAGCUAAACCGAUGUGCCAUAGCCCACAGUUCCUAGGGUGGGCUCGGGGUUCGGGCGUGCUGUAGGCUAAAAAUUAGCCUGGGUAUGCCAGAGGGAUUAAGAAGUGUCCCAGUCUGGUUCGUUUGGGUGGUCAAAUGGGUGAAACAGCGCAAAUGGGGCAUUUUGGGGCAAAAUCGGUGUGCUAUAUAGCCCACGGUUCCUAGGGUUGGCCAAGGGACCGGGCGUUCUGUGGAUCAAAAAUUGACCAGAGCAUUUCAGGGAGGUUGGGGAGCAUCCCAAUGUGGUCCGUUCGGGUGGGCGAGGCCAUUUGGGUGGUUAAACGGGCAAGACGGCAUGAACGGUAUAUUUUUGGGCUAAAUCGGUGUGCUAUAGCCCACGUUUCCAGGGGAGGACCUAGGGUUCGAACAUGUUGUGGGCCGAAAAUUAACCUGGGCAUGCCAUAGAGGUUGGGGAACAUCCCAGUAAGGUUCGUUUGGGUGGACGGGGCCAUUAAGGUGGUCGAAUAGGCGAAAUAGGGCAUUUUCAGGCCAAAUUGGUGUCCUAUUGCCUACGAUUCCUGGGGUUGGCCCAAGUUUCGAGUGUACUGUGGGCUAAAAAUUGACCUAGGCAUGCCAAGGAUGGUGGGGAGCAUAAAAAUAUGGCCCGCUUGGGUGAGAGGGGUCAUUUCACUACCAAACAUUACCCCUUUGGAAAUAGUUCGAAAUUCAUUUCAAUAGGUAUAAAAACCAUUGCCAUAGAGCUAACACAACGGUUUAGGCAUUGCAUAUGUGGGAGUUGGGAUAGGCCUAUUGCAACAACAUUUGCAACGGUUCAUCAAACCGUUGCAAUAGGUAAAUCUAUUGCAACAUUUUUGUCAAGUCCUAUUGCAACAGUUCAAAUUAUCUAUUGCAACAGUUCUUAACUGUUGCAACACAGUCUAUUGCAACGGUUACUAAACGUUGCAAUACAGUCUAUUGCAAUGGUUUCUAAUCUUUGUAAUAGACUUUAUUGCAAUAGUUGAGAGAUAUUGUAGUAGAUGCUAUUGUAACGAUGAAGAACCAUUGCAAUAGAUCCAAUUGCAACGACAAAAAGGCAUUGCAAUAGAUUCAAUUGCAACGGCAAAAGGGUGUUGCAAUAGCCCUAUUGCAACAAUUAUUGAUCAUUUGCAAUGGUUUUUCACUACCUAUUGCAACGGUUUUUGACACCUAUUGCAACGAUUUUUGUAUCUUUUACAAUAUUUUUUUGCCACCUAUUAUUACAGCUAGUUUAAAUACCAAUAUAUAUAUAUAUAUAGAGAGAGAAUUAUAUUAAUACACAAUUAUAUAUACACAUCACAAAAAAAUCUUUCAUUAAUAAUUCAAAUUAAAAUAUUCAACAAACUAGUAAUCUAAAUCCAAAAUAAAAAUAUUAAAGUUAAACGGUCAUUAGUUUUCCCAUAAAGUAUCAAGUUCGAGUGGCGCUAAGUUUCACAAAAUUCAAUAUAAAAAAGAUCGAUAAUAAAAUAUCUAUCAAUAAUUCAAAAAUUUUCUCAAGUAAGGUCAAUUUCUUCAUCACUUUCUUCAUCUCCUCCUUUAUUUUGAACAUCUAUAAAAAGAGAAAAAAUAAUCUCAAUUAGUACUUAAAUGAAAACAUAUUUAAUUUCAAUUAGAACAUAAAAGAACAUCUAUAAAUAGAGCAUAAACUCAAAAAACGCUACCAAAUCUUGGUUGAUUCAUACUUGAAUUUUUUUAAUUUAAAAUGAUAGAGAAAAUUUCAAGAGUUAUUGAGGAAACCUUGAUAUACAAUGACUGGCCUGCAUUACUUUGGAUUCAAGGCCCUUCUACACCUAAGUGAGAUCAAUGAUUAUGCCAGUUUCACCAAAAAAUGAAAAGCUGCAAAAACGUGCCAUUCCAUGUCUAUGUAAGGUGAUCAGUCCAAUCUUAGCUUUAACAAGUUUUCAUGGUUCUUCCAAAAUUACAAGUGUCAUUCCAUGUAUCUCCAAUAACGUUAACUGUAAUGCGUAAGUUACAUUCUUUAAGCAUUUAGAUAUUAGUAAUUAAAAAUUCUUUUCUAAUGUAAAUUUUAUUCUUUUCUAAUGUAAAUUUUUUUCUUUCUUUUCUUUCCACAACUUUAGUAACUGAAACACAGGAGGAAAACUAUGAGCACACAUCUGGAAGAAAAUAAAAAGUAUGACUUCUCAAUGACUCCUUAUAGGCUUAUCAUCUGGGAAUCGAAGAACGUCUCCUCCUUACUGCCUACAACGAGAAAGAAAUGUUUUCGAUUCUCAGAUAAAAGAUCCAAUCAAAUUACAUAGCCGUACAGAUAAACAAUAUGCAGGAAGAUAAUCCAACACUAAGGCCUGAUAUGCAUACUCAAAAUAAAUGUAUCUAACAGAGAUAAAGAGAAAUGCAAUUGGUUGGGAGAAUUCAUUAGUAAACUCCUGCGGCUUGGAUCUUUAACGUGUAAAUAGUAAGAUAUACAAAAAUAUGAAUGAUUUUCAAGUAAUACAGCUAUUAUUAGGUAGAUGAUCAAUAACACAAGGUGAUGAGAAGGAAUACUUUACAAGGGUAGAUGUACUCUAAAUGAACAGAAUUGAAUUUCGAGAAGGCUGAAUGCAACUAGCAAUAUCAAACUAGUUGUAUAACAUUUUUCUUCUGCUAUCAACAAUGAAGAAGGAUUUUCUAUGGGGUCCACGAGGUGUAUAUGAAAACUAACAGAGACAUUUGGAGCCCUACACCACCUCAGGACUCAGAUACUCAGCUGAUACCGGAAGAAACUAAAUUCUUUGAAGACUGAAAUGAUAUAGUGGUACACAAACAGAGCAUACAGGUUGAUGAAAAAUGGCAUAUACUAAGUUUCAAGUAGUUACAUUGCUAUGUUGGGUAUCGUAACUAGAUACAAGUGUCAUUCCAUGUAUCUCCAGAAACAUUAACUGUAAUGUGUAAGUUACAUUCUUUAAGCAUUUAGAUGUCAGUAAUUAAAAUUCUUUUCUAAUGUAAAUUUUAUUCUUUUCUAAUAUAAAUUUUUUUCUUUCUUUUUCUUUCCACAACUUCAGUAACUAAAACAUAGGAGGAAAACUAUGAGGACGCGUCUGGAAGAAAAUCAAAAGGAUGACUUCUCAAUGACUCCUUAUAGGAUUAUACAUAUAUCAAUUACCUCUAUUGUACUUCUUUUAUUGUAUAUGUAAAAUAAUGGUUCUGGACUUCAUCUUCAUGACAUCUGAGAUCCAUUUUUCAGUACUACUCCAAGCUUCAUAAAGUUAUUCAAGCUUUGUUUUGCGGAUGCCAACAUUGAGCAUAGUUAUAGUAGUUUCAUUACUUAAAAGUGGAAAACUAGGAAAAAUUAAAAAAAAACAGACAAAUUCUAAUGCUAAAAAAAGGAGGAAGAAGAAGAAGAAGAAAAGACAGGCCUUCAUUGUUACUCCCAGUAAAUAGACGAUUGAUUUGUUGAAUAGCAGCCUCUUCCCUUGAUGAAUGAGCAUUGAAUGUUAGAAUAUUAGGAUCAAGUGUUAAUCCUGAAUUGUGACGUUGCAAUUGUGCAAUGAUGUUCAUUGUAACAUCUCGUUCAAUGGCAUCUCUUUGAGCCAGCAUUCUUUGUUGUAUCCUCUCUUCCAGUUCAUCCAUUCUCUUUCCACCAAUUCAUCCACAACAAUAUUUGAAGAGGGUCCAGAAACACUUACUUUUUGUUUCAAAAAAGACUUGAUCAGCCCGCAUUCAUAUAGUCUUACUCGAAAGAGGUAGAGAGACUAUUUUCGAUAGACCCCCCGCUUAAGAUAAAACACAGUAUACACAAGCAUCAAAAGCAUAGACCACGGUCAUCAUAAAUGUAAGAUAGAAACAGAAAAAAACAUCAAAUUAUACCACAAGUCCAACAAAAUAUGCAUUUGAAAAAAAAAUCUAACAACAUAUGCAGGAAGAGUGAAUGCUGGAGAAACCCGUUUCAAAUAAGUUAAAACAUAUCCGAAAAUAACAGACAAGAAGAAACCUCAAAACCUAUAAGUAAUAAUUACAAUUAUAAUUCAAUCAAACUACACACAAAAUCGUGGCACAAAAUCAGUGCAUCAAAAUGAAGGUUUUCUUAAAAGCAAACAUUAAUCAAGAGUUAGGCUAUAUAGAAUAGAAAAUCGGGACAUUUUGGAGACCCAAAUACUAAGUUUCCUAAUUCGAUUCAUUUCCAUUAUUAAUGUAUAACAGAAACAGAAAACCAAAUCAAACCAUAACAAAAAUCUAAUAAUAUACAUUGAAAAUUUUUUUUAACAACAUAUGCAAGAAACGUGGCCGCUGGAAAUGACUAAAAAGGAAACCUACAAGUAACUAUUACAACUAUUAAAUUCAGUAAAAUUCUAUCUAACCACAAAUGAGGAAGAGUGGCUAUUGGAAAUGACCGAAAGGAAACCCACAAGUAGAGGUCUCAACUUUAAUUUAGUAAAAUUCAAUCUAAAAACAUAUGCAGGAAGAGUGACUGCUACUGCUGGAGAAACCCAGUCCGAGUAAGCAAAAAUGACCUACAAGGGAAAACCUACAAGUAAUGAUUUUAAUUAAAAUGAAGCAAAAUUAAAUCUAACAACAUAUGCAGGAGGAGUAACUACGGAAAAUGACUAGUACGGAAAACCUACAUGUAACGAUUUUCAACUAUGAUUCAGCGAAAUUCAAUCUAACAAGAUAUGCAGGAAGAGUGACGGCUGGAAAUCACCAAAAACGAAAAAACUAAAAGUAACGAUUACACCUAUAAUUCAGUAAAAUUCAAUCUAAAAAGGAAAAGUGAUUACUGGAGAAAAACUUUCUGAGUAAGUAAAAAUGACCAACAACGAAACCUUAAAACCUACAAAAUAACGAUAACAACUAUAGAAGUCAGCAAAAUCCAAUCAAACCACACACAAAAUUCAAAAAAAUUUAAUCUAACAACACAUGAAGGAAGAAUGAAUGAUGGAAAUGAAUGAAAAGGAAACCUACGAGUGACGGUUUAUAAUUUAAUUCAACAAUAUUCAAUCUAACACCAUAUACAUGAAGAGUGACUGCUGGAGAAAACUGUUCCAACUAAGGUAAUAUGUAUGAAAAUGACCAAAAAGGAACAACCUACAAAUAACAAUUUUCAACUACAAUUCAGUAAAAUUCAAUCUAACAACAUAUAUAAGAAGAGCGACUGAUGGAGAAACCAUGCCGAGUACACAUACAAAAAUGACCGAAACCUCAAAUUCUAAAAGUAAUGAUUUUUCAACUAUAAUUCAGCAAAAUUCAAUCUAACAAGGGAGAGUAACUUCUGGAGAAAACCAUUCCGACCACAUAUACAAAAAUGACCAAAACGGAAACCUAUACAUAACGAUUUCGAACUCUGGAAAAUUCAAUCUAACAUAUACAGGGAGUGAAAUUUGGAGAAAAUCAUCCCGAGAACAUAUACCAAAAUGACGAAAACAACAAAUAUAAAACUAACAACUUUCAACUAUAAUUCAGCAAAAUUCAAUCCAAUAAGGAAGAGUGACUGCUAGGAGAUAAUCAUUCCCAUUCCAAGCAAGCAAAAAUGAUCGAUAGGGAAAACUUACAAAUAAUGAUUCUAGCUAAAAACUUUAGAAAAAUUCAGUCGUCACUGCUGGAGAAAAGCAUUUCGAGUAAGCACAAAUGACCAACAACGAGCAGCUUCACUAACUAGCAGGAAGAACAGUUCCAGCUUCACUAGAAUUGCACUAGUUGUCACUACCUAUCCAUAUAAGGUAGAAAUCUUUUCAGAGAGUAAGAUAUCCAAAAUAUAGUGUUUAGAUUCAAUAUAUUUUUACUACAUUAUACAUGCAAAAGAAUUGGUAUCUCCUUGCACUUAAUUAUGACAAUCAUUUGCUUCAUCAUUUUAAUCAUCUGCAGUAAUCCAAAGACAUUUCCCAAUUUUACAAAGAGUAGAUACAGAAGUAGCCUAAAUAUUUAGGCAAAGAGUCCCUAGAUGUAUAUUUUGAUAUCUUUUAUAGGAUACCUUUCCCAGAAAGAACUGUGUGAUUACAUGGUUAAACUUUUUUGUUAGUUCUUUUGGGUUAAUUUAACACUUUAACUACUUUGCCUCAAACCAGUCUAUUAAAUGAAUGUUCAAACCCCAGUCUAUUAAAUGGACUCACAGAGAUUUAAUUAUUUUUUUAGUAUAUGAAGAGGAAUCUUACUAUGAGGAUUCAGCAACUAGAUCUGUGGUCGGAGCGAUGGUCGGAGCUGAGGUUAGAGAACCAAACGAAGUGACAAUCAGAGCAGCAGUAGGCUGUCGUAGUGACAAUUAGAGCAACGAUUUGCCAUUGGAAUGACAAUCCGAGCAGCAGUGGGCCCGUUGGAGCGACAAUGGAAGAGUGGUGAGAAAUCAGCGCAGUGGCAGUACAAGUAGUUAAUUAGGUUUGUUGAAUGAUAAGAGUUGAGAGUGAAUGUUAGUUUUGUAUUUUUUUAAUAUUUAUUAUAUAUUUGUUAAAGUUUUGGCAGAUUUUAUGGAAAAAUAGAGAGGGAAAAUAAAAACCGUUGUAAUAGCUUUUUUUUUUCAAAAACAAGCUGCAAUAGGUGACUUUAUAGAAAUGGUUAUUGAAACUGUUGCUAUAAUAUACCCUAUUGCAACGGUUAUUCAUUAAUAACAACAGUUAUAGAACUACUGAAAUAAUUUUUUUUUGCAACGAUUCCAACCGUUGUAAUAGACCAUCUAUCGGAACACUUCUGGAACUGUUGCCUAAAGAUUCAUUAUAAUAGGAGUAAUUUUUAGUAGUGUUUGGGUGGUCAAACAGGAAAAAUGGAGCGAAUGGGACAUUAUCGAACCAAAUCAAAGAGGUAUAGCUCACAGUUCCUGCGGUGGGCCCGAGGUAUGGGUGUGUUGUGGGCCAAAAAUUAACCUGGGCAUGCUAGGGAGAUUUAGAAGCAUCCUAGUAUAGGCCAUUUGGGUUAGCGUAGCCAUUUGAGUGGUUAAAUGGGUAAAACAAGGUGAAUGGGGUGCAUUCAGGCUAAAUCGGUGUGCUAUAGUCCACAGUUUCUGGGAUGGGUGAUACGCCCAAAUUACACCUCUCGUACGAGAGAGUAAGUGGUUGCUAUCAAAUAUAGAUCCCAAGCAGGUUGGGUGUCGAAUCCCAUAGGGAAUACUGUGUUACUAAGUAUUGUAGUUGUUACUGGAUUGUUGGUCAGAGGUUCCUGAAUGGGAGGUUUUGGUUUAAAUUUGAAAUGAUAGUUACAAUAUAACAGUAAAGCAAUAUGUGUAUUAAUAUUUGAUCACAGAGAAUGACAAGUUAGGGUUAUGUCAAGUUUGGGUUAUGUCCACCUUGUAGCUUUUACUUCUCUAUUAACUAUGAGUAAUAAGGAUUUAUACAUGCAUGCACUUAUAGAGAGAUGUAUUCUAAUUCUAAAUCCAAGUGUUUCUCAACCAUCAAGGAUUUAUUCACCUUAGUUCUCUCGAAUCCAAAGUGUACAACCAAUCAUACGAACUCUCCAAGUAGUUAAUCCUGCUAAGGCAUUAACGUGUAAAAUAGAGGUUGGAAACCCUAUUUUCUUGUGACUACUCUUUUUUCCAAAUAGUAACUUUUCUAUCAAACAAGUUAUUGCUAUAAUGGCAUAUUCCCUAUGUUUGCAACCAUGAGAAUUCAAUCAUUACGAAAAGAGUAAUGAUAUAAGUUAAUUAACACAUCAUAAAUUCAAAAACCCAUAGCAAUAGAGAGUAUACUACAAGGGUUCCAUAACCCUAACAAAUAAACUUAGCUACUCAUGAAUAAAAUGGAAUUCACAAUAGAAAUAUUCAUCAUACCAAAACUUAGAACGAUCUUGGUGGAGAAGAUGAAUAGCGAAAAUAAGAGAGAAAAAUGUUUCUCUCUCUUUCUCCUCAAGCUAAGCCGCUUUCUCUUAUUUUCAAAAUAAUACAGAAUGUGAAUCCCCAUAAAAAUUCAGCAACAAGUCUUUUAAUAGCCUUCUAUCUCAUAAUUUCCUUCUAAGUCCUCAACUUAUUAUAAAUGGCAAAUUUGCCCGAGAGAAAGUUCCCAUGCAUCACAUUUGGUCCGGAUUGUAGUUUCUAGGUGCCACAUUUGGUCCAGGUUGCUACUCUCUUUUGUGUCAUAUGUCAUCCGCAUUCCAUAGUCCCAUAAUGUCUACAUCUACCUCAUUAAUACCUGAAAUCAUGUUAAUCACAUCGAUUAGCUCAAUUACAUAGAAGUAGAGUAAAAACAUAAUAAACUAGGCACUUUGUUCUUUAAACAUAGCUAAAAUAUGUAUAAAUUAUGGUGCUUAGGCGUAUAAAUACACCCAAUAUCACCACCCCACACUUAAAGCUUUGUUUGUACUCGAACAACAUAUCCAUUUAUGCAUACUACACAAGCCUUAGCACCCACAAAGGAAGACAAGAUGCUCAAAUAGGCUCACACAACAAUUAUAAACAUGAAGUAGAUUCAGGAAUCAUUACUAGAGACAACCUACCCUCAAGAAUAGACUCAUUAAGUUGGAAAUUUCGUGCAUAUCAUUCAAGAAAAGAAAUCAUAUAAAUUACCCAACCUUCAUCAAUCGUGUCCUUACAACAAGAAAGUUACCCAUAAUCACUCACAAUCAUGCAAUUUCUAACGAAAUGGGUACAAAAGUCAAGUUGCGCUCACUCUCACAAAGAAUUCUCAAAUUACAACUGAUGACCAUAUGCUUGCCCUUAGUGUAAUAAUCCACUAAUAUCAGAAUGCUAAGAUUAGGAUCAUAUAGGUCUUUUACGGGUUGUAAUGAAGGCUAAAGGAUGGGUAGAAACUAUUUUGGCCAAAAAUAGUGACUAUCUUCCCUAAGCGCUUUAAUACACUACAUUAUGCAAUUAAGAGCAAUCUCCAACAACUUAUUUCCACUUCUGCUAUCUUCAAAGAUUUGCUUUUCACCCCAACUUGUUAAGCUUAAUUAAUAACACUAUGGUGGAAGUAUGCAACCCUUUCAAAUUUUUUUUUGCACCCUUUUCAUGUUAUGCACCCCUAUAAUAGCCACCCUCAACUUAAGUAAUUUGCCUUAGUUGAGGUGCACAAUGUCCAAGAAGGACCAGGGCCAAAACAGGUUCAUUGUAACAUGUCUGGGAUAAAAUUUUGAACUUUUUCAAAAAUUUUAGCUACUCCCAACCACAUCAAUUGCUCACACCAAUAACUAGACUUUGGGGCAUCAAUUUUACCUUUUUCCCCUUAUUGUCAAACUCCUAACUCACAUUGAUUUUACAUUAAAGCACUUAGGAGUUUUUGGAUCAAAUUACGGUCUAUUAAAGAGCAGAAUAGGCUACAUAUGAGGCUAACAAAAGAAUAAGCUAAAGUCUCAAUAGGGCUAGCUAAGAUAAUGUACAAAGGUAGGUCAAAAGAAGGCAUGAACAAUGGCUAUCAAAGAAAUGCCUAAAUCAUCUCCUAAACUCACAAUCUUUAUUUCGCUUUGCACACACACCAGGAAAGUUCUAGCAUCAGUUCCAAUAAGGAAUAUACAAUAGUCUUACACACUCAUGGCACAUGAUCAACUCAAUUAGGAGCAUUAUAGAUUCUCGACCCAACAAUUAUAUAAAUUCAGCUAAAACCAACAAUCACAACAAAAGUCAUAACUAGAGCCUAGGUGUUUCAAACGUAAUGAUCCAUCACAUACUUAUGUUAUAAUGUGAUGUGACCCAGAAGAAGAGUUACAUGCAAUUAAAUGACUAAUUUUAUCUUAAGAUAGUCGUCAUCCAUCCAUCAUCGAGAAAAGCACCUAAUUAUGACUAAAUAACUAACAAAAUGAAAUAAACAAAAUAACUAAUCCUAUCAAGAAGUAUAUUACGGAAAAGGUCCUAUUUUCUUACAAAACAAGUGGAAAAGUAACCAGCCACCCCACACUUAUGCUCCGCACUGUCCCGAGUGCAAAUAACAAGAUAAAGAACCUGGCUAGUAGUACUUCUCAUCCACAUUAGGAGUUAUGCCACCUGCAUGGAGAUCAUCAUUGGAGCAAAUAGCAAAGUUAUUUGGUACUAUUUUUCUUACAAAACAAGUAGCAAAGUAACCAGCCAGUGAGCAUAGGCAAUGGUACAAGCGGCGCCUAACCUAUUGCCUAUGUUGACAUAGGCGGCACCUAACCUAUCGCCUAAGUGAGGUAGUGAGCAUAAAUGAUUGGAAAUGCGGUGCACUCUUAGUCGGAAAGGUCCAUACCGCGCGGCCAAAUCCUUACACUACCACUGCAGACCUCAUUGAAAGCCACAAAAUAAAGUCGCACCGCGAAACUUUUUGGGUCAAAUUAACAUAAUUCGAGGCGUGACUCUAAUGCAAAUCAUACUUGAGCCUUACACAUUUGACCAAUCCGAAUUACCUAUAAUUUUCCCAUCAAUCCUAAACUUACCACCAUUGACAUGGCUCACUUCUAAAUCAAAAUUGGUACUAAUCUCCUCCUUAGUACUUCAUGCACCUACACUUAAUCAAAAACAACAAAAAUAAUUAGAAAGAUGGGUUGCCUCCCACCAAGUGCCGUAGUUUCGGUCGUGGCUCGACUCUUCUUUUCGUAUUUUGGUUUAACAUGAUAAAGUGAAAAUAAAAUCAUGGGUUGCCUCUUAUGUAGCGCCUGAUUUAACGUCGCGACACGACUCGAUUAUCUUGACUACUCAGACUUUGUCAAGAUACAUAGAUGAUACCAUUUGUACAUCAUUUGUUGGAUCAAGACAAUGCUUUAUUCUUAGUCCAACCACUUUGAAGUCACUCACAUCCUUGUUUGCAAGUUCAACCAAACCAGCUAUGGUCUCUACAAAAGACAUAUCCUUAACUGGUACAUCUCACUUAUCUUCAUAGAAUACAUCAACAAUCGAGAAGACACUCAUCUCUUUUUGUUGUUUCAUAGACCGACUUACUUCAAAACUAACUUCUUUCUCAUUGAGCCUAGAUUUCAGCUCAUUCAACUUCAUGUCAACUAACACCCUUCCAGUUGCUAAGAAUGGCCUACCAAAAUUAUGGGUACUUCAAAGUCCACUUUGCAAUCAAGAAUUACAAAAUCGGCAGGAAAUAUAAAAUCAGCAACUUUUACAAGUACAUUAUGUAGAAUCCCAAUCAGCCUUUUUACAGAUCUAUCCGCCAUUAGAAGCCGCAUAUUAGUGGGCGUAGAAUCUCCCAAACCUAAUUUCUUGAAAACCGACAAUGGCAUAAGAUUGAUACUUGCCCCAAGAUCACAAAGGUGCUUUUCAAACUUUAGCAAUCCAAUCGUACAUGGAACAGUAAAUGCUCCCGAAUCAGCUUUCUUUUGGACAAUAGAUCUUGUAGAAAUAACACUACAAUGAUGAAGAUUGUCUACCAUUUCAUAGCUCACAGUCCUUUUCUUUAUCAAUAGCUCUUUCAUAAACUUAGCAUAUCUGAGCAUCUAUUCCAGUACUUCAACUAAGGGUACAUUCACUGUCAACUGCUUCAACAUAGCCAUGAAUUUGCUAAACUUGCCAUCAUCUUCUUUUUUCUUUAAUCGUUGUGGAAACAGAGGUGGCGGCCUUGGAAUUUUAGUUAGAGCAACUUUUACCUCCUUUCUUAUGCCUUGCUCCACAUCACUAACAUGCUUCGGCUUAGUUGGUUGUUCAACUUCUGCACUCUUCUUUUUUAAACCUCCCAACUCCACAGGCACCACUGGAGAUUCAUCAACCAUCUCCUAAUCCAUUUCAACCUUAUAAGUAUAAGAGGAAGCUACCAAACCUAGACUAGAUAACAUCUUUCCGCUCCUAGUGGUAAUGGCCAUACACGAUCCAUCAGUCCUUGGAAUUUGAACUGUAUCACUUGGUAGAGUCUCAUUCUUUCUUUGGUUGAAUGCUGCAGAUAAUUGGCUCAUCUGCUGCUCCAAUUGUUUAAUAGAAACUGAGUACGAAUUUACAAGUUGACUUAUGGAAGAUAUGUCACUCUUUAUUGUAGUCACCCCAGAAUUUGCUACCUUAAUUCUCUUUAAUACUCUCUCCAUCAUGUCCUCUAUAGACAUUUUGCCUAAACUGGUGGCAACAUUAUCAUGGCUUCCAGGAGGUACAUACAGUCCACUUCUGUCACUUUUAUUCUUCCAAUCUCCUUGAUGGUUCCAACCUUGGUUUCCUUGGCCACUACCUUGGAAACCCAUCUGAUUGUUCAAGUAAUUGGCUUCUUCCUUAGGAUCGGAGUCAGCCCUUCCCUGUGAUGCUACAACUUUAAUCUUCUCUAUCUUUCCUGAUAAUAAAUACUUAUUGAGAAGGUCUAUCUAUGUUUUUAUGUAAGCCAUAUCCUGGUCAUGCUUUUCUUUUCUUCGCCUUUGUACUACAGUCAUGCCAAUAGAUACAGUAGAGCUUCCUACCUCAGAAUCCUUGGUAUGCUAAGAUCUACUCUGCUUUGUCAUAUGAUCUAACAUGUUAGAUGCCUCAAGAAAAUUAAGGUCCAUGAAUGACCCACCCGCAACAUUAUCUACCACUGUCUUAGUCACCGAAUUCAAAGCCCUAUAUAAUAUCUCCAUCAAGUGGACAUUGGUCAUCUGAUAAAUUGGGCACCGCAUUAGCUUCUUCUUGAACCUUUUGGAAGUCUCGUGGAGAGCUUUAGUUGGAAGCUGUCUGAAAUUCCUUAUCUAAUCUCUCAAUUGUGCUCUCUUGGAUGGCGGAAAGAAUCUUUCUAAGAAAGUGUCUUUCAGUUGCCUCCAAUUGGUAAUAGAGUUGGGAGUUAGCCUGUUUAACCAUAGAGUUGCCUCUCCAGAUAUAGACAAUGGAAAUAAACGCAGCUGGAUCACAUUCUGUCCAACCCCUGGAUUGUCAAACAAUUUGCAUAUUGAGAUAAAAUUAAUCAGAUGCAUAUUUGGAUCAUCACCUGCAAGUCCACCAAAUAACCCUUUGAGUUGCAGUAGCUGGAUCAUAGUGCUAGUAAUAUUGAACUUGGCUCCAAGUGCCAAGGGAGGAGGAAUAAUAGCCCCUAUGGCACCAGCCCCAUCCAAGUCAUCAUCAUCAUUCUCAAAAGUAAUUUGCAUAGCUCAGUGUUCGGGUCUCAUCCUAGCUUGACGAUCUCUGUUGACAUUUCUAUUCACUAGUGCAGCCACAUCAUCUACACGCCUUGGAUUUAAUAACUCAUCAUCACUCAGGUCCUCAUCAUAAAGAUUUGGUACCCGACCUGGGUUAUCAGCAUUCUGUUGAUUUACUUGCGCAGCUGCCAAUGCAGCUAAUCUAGCCUGCUCUUGUUGAGCAGCUAUUCUUUUAGGGUCUCGUUGCGCAUCCAUUCUGCCAAUAAGAUGUGGUUUAGGAUUUAUAGGUAAUAAUGGGGGGCCCAAUCUUCGCGUAUUUGGCAUGCAAUACACUCAACCUGAUCAAAACAAAACAACAAACAAAAAGUAAAAUUUUGGAAAUCUUUGACCAAAAGGUCGACUAACAAACACAACUUAGUCGACAACCGUAUUCCCCAACAACGGCGCCAAAAUUUGAUACGCCCAAAUUACACCUAUCUUACACCAGAGUAAGCGAUCGUUUUCAAAUAUAGAACCCAACCAGGUUGGGUGUCGAAUCCCACAGGGAAUACUGUGUUACUAAGUAUUGUAGUUGUUAUUGGACUAUUGGUCAGAGGUUCCUGAAUGGGGGGUUUUGGUUUAAAUUUGAAAUGAAAUACUUCUCUAUUAACUAUGAGUAAUAAGGAUUUAUACUUGCAUGCACUUAUAGAGAGAUGUAUUCUAAUUCUAAAUCCAAGUUUUUCUCAACCAUCAAGGAUUUAUUCACCUUAGUUCUCUCGAAUCCAAAGUGUACAACCAAUCAUACGAACUCUCCCAGUAGUUAAUCCUGCUAAGGCAUUAACGUGUAAAAUAGAGGUUGGAAACCCUAUUUUCUUGUCACUACUCUCUUUUCCAAACAAUAACUUUUCUAUUAAACAAGUUAUUGCUAUGAUGGUACAUUCCAUAUGUUUGCAACCACGAGAAUUCAAUCAUAACGAAGAGAGUAAUCAUAUAAGUGAAUUAAAACAUCAUAAAUUCAAAAACCCAUAGCAAUAGAGAGUAGACUACAAGGUUUCCAUAACCCUAACAAAUAAACUUAGCUACUCAUGAAUAAAAUGGAAUUCAAAAUAGAAAUAUUCAUCAUACCAAAACUUAGAACGAUCUUGGUGGAGAAGAUGAAUAGCAAAAAUAGGAGAGAAAAACGUUUCUCUCUCUUUCUCCUCAAGCUAAGCCACUUUCUCUUGUUUUCAAAAUAAUAUAGAAUGUGAAUCCCCAUAAAAAUUCAGCAACAAGUCUUUUAAUAGCCUUCUAUCUCAUAAUUUCCUUCUAAGUCCUCAACUUAUUAUAAAUGGCAAAUUUUCCAGGGAGAAAGUUCCCAUGCAUCACAUUUGAUCCAGAUUAUAGUUUCUAGGCGCCACAUUUGGUCCAGGUUGCUACUCUCUUUUGUGUCAUAUGCCAUCCAUAUUCCAUAGUCCCAUAAUGUCUACAUCUACCUCAUUAAUACUUGAAAUCAUGCUAAUCACAUCAGUUAGCUCAAUUACAUAAAAGUAGAGUAAAAACAUAAUAAACUAGGCACUUUGUUCUAUAAACAUAGCUAAAAAAUGGAUAAAUUAUGGUUCUUAGGCGUAUAAUUAUAACCAAUAUCAGUGGGCUUGGGGUCCAGGCGUACUGUAAGCCAAAAAUAGACUUGGGCAUGCUAGAGAGGUUGGGGAGCAUCCUAGUGUGACCUGUUUUAGUGGGUGGGGUCAUUAGGGUGGUCAAACGGGCAAAACGGAGCGAACGAGACAUUAUCUUGCCAAAUCAAAGUGCUAUUGACCAUGAUUACUGGGGUCCACCCUAGCUAUGGGCAUGUUGUGAGACGAAAAUAGACCUGAGUAUGCCAAAGAUGUAAGGGUGCACCGAGUGUGGUCUGUUUGGGUGGGCAUAGCGAUUUAAGUGGUUAAACGGGUGAAACGGUGCAAACGGGGUAUUUUUGGGAUAAAUCAGUGUGCUAUAUCCCAUGGUUCCUAGGCUGGGCUUGGGGUCCGGGCAUGCUGUGUGUCAAAAAUCAACCUGAUCGUGCAAAAAAAGUUGGUGCGCAUCCUAAUGUUUCCCAUUUGGAUGGAUGAGGACAUUUGGGAGGUCAUACAGGAAAAAUGUCACAAACAGGGCAUUUUUAGGCCAAAUUAGUGUGCUAUAGCCUACGGUUCCUAGGGUGGGCUCGGGGUUCGGGCGUGCUGUGGGCCAAAAAUUAACUCGCGCAUGGCAGGUAGGUUUGGUAGUAUCCUUGUAUUGGUCUGUUUGGGUGGGAAGGGCUAUUAGGAUUGUCAAACUGGUAAAACGGCACAAACGGGGUAUUUUUAGACCAAAUCGGUGUGCUAUCGCCAAUAGUUCCUGGGAUAGGCCUGGGGUCUGGACGUGCUGUGGUCUAAAAAUUAAACUGGGUAUGCCAGGGGUGUUGAAGAGUGUCCCAGUGUUAUCCGUUUGGGUGGGCGGGGCUAUUUGAGUGGUCAAACAAGCAAAAUGGGGCAUUCUGGUCCAAAGCAGUGUCCUAUAGCCUAUGAUUCCUGGGUUGGCCUAGUGUUCGGGCGUGCUGUCAGUCAAAAUUUGACCUAGGCAUGCCAGAGAGGUUGGGAAAUGUCUCAGUGUUGCCCAUUUCGGUAGGCGGGGCUAUUUGGGUGGUCAAACGGGCGAACCGUAGCGAACGAGAUAUUAUCGGGCCAAAUAAAAGUUUUAUUGCCCUCGGUUCCUAGGGUGGGCCUGGGGUCCGAGCAUGUAGUUGGUCGAAAAUAUACUUGGGCAUCAUCCCAAUGUAGUCCAUUUGGGUAGAUGUGCCUGGGAGGUUGGGGAUCAUCCCAUUGUGGUUCGUAUAAAUUUUUGUGGCCAUUUGGAUGGACAAAUGGAUGAAACAGAGCAAACGGGGCAUUUUUGGGCCAAAUCGAUGUGCUACAACCCAUGGUUUUAGGGGUGGGCCAAGGGUCUGAUCGUGUUGUGGGCCAAAAAUUGAUUGGGACGUGCCAAGGAGGUUGGGGAUCAUCCCAGUAUGGUACAUUUAAAUUUUCAUGGCCAUUUGGGUAGACAAACAGACAAAACGGCACAAACAGGACAUUUUUAGGAAAAAUUGGUGUGCUAUAGCCCACGUUUUUAGGGUUAGGCCUAGGGUUCAGGUGUGCUGUGGGCCAAAAAUUGACCGGGGCAUGCCAGGGAGGUUGGGGAUUGUCCUAGUGUGGUUCGUUUAAUUUUUACUGGUCAUUUGGGUGGACAAACGGGCGAAACGACACAAACGGGACAUUUUCAGGCCAAAUUGGUAUGCUAUAGCCCACGGUUUCGAGGGUGGGCUCGGGGGGUCCGUGCAUGCUGUGGGUCAAAAUCGAUUGAGGCAUGCAGGGUGGUUAAAGAUCAUCCCAGUGUGGUCUUUUUAAAUUUUCAUGGCCAUUUGGGUGGACAAAUGGGCAAAAUAGUGUGAACGGGGCAUUUUUUGGCCAAAUCAAUGUGCAAUAGCCUAACGUUUUGGGGGUGGGCCUGGGGUUCGGGCAUGCUUUGGGCCUAAAAUCUACUAGGGCAUGACCCAGAGGUUGGGGAUUGUCCUAUUGUGGUCCGUUUAAAUUUUUGUUUCCAUUUUGGUGGAAAAACGGGUGAAACGGCUCAAACGAAGAAUUUUUAGGCCAAAUCGGUGUGCUAUAGCCCACGGUUUUGGGGGUGGGCCUUAGGUCCGUGUGUAUUAUGGGCCAAAAAUUGAAUGAGGCAUGCAUGGGAGGUUUUGUAUCAUCCCAUGUGGUCUGUUUAAAUUUUCGUGGCUAUUUGGGUGGACAAACGGGCGAAACGGCAUGAACGGGACAUUCUUUGGCCAACUCGGUGUGCUACAGCCUACAAAUUUAGGGGUGGGCCUAGGGUUUGGGCAUGUUGUAGGCCAAAAAUUAACAAGGGCAUGUCAGGGAGGUUUGGGAUCAUCCCUGUAUGGUCCUUUUAAGUUUUAAUGGCCAUUUAGGAAGAAAAAUGGGAAAAACAGUGUGAACACGGAAGUUUUAGGCCAAAUUGGUGUGCUAUAGCCCACGGUUUUGGGGGUAGGCCCAAUGUUUGGGCGUGCUGUGGGCCAAAAAUCGAUCGAGGUAUGCUAGGGAGCUUGGUGAUUAUCCUAGUGUGGUCUGUUUAAAUUUUUAUGGCCCUUUGGGUAGACAAACGGGCAAAACGGCAUGAAUAAGGCAUUUUUAGGCCAAAUCGGUGUACUAUAGCCUACAAUUUUGGGGGUGGUACCGAGCAUAUUGUGGGCCAAAAAUUGAUUGGGGCAUGCCAGGGAGAUUAAAAAUCAUCCCAGUGUGGUCCGUUUAAAUUAUCGUGGCCAUUGGGUGGAUAAACGGGCAAAAUGGGGCGAACGAGGCUUUUUUAGGCUAAAUCAAUGUGCUAUAGCCCACGAUUUAGGGGGUUGGCUCGGGCUUCAGGCGUGUUGUGUGAUGAAAAUUGACCAUGCCAUGCCACGGAGGUUUGGGAUAGUCCUAGUGUGAUCUGUUUAAAUUUUGUGGCUAUUUGGGUGGACAAACGGUGAAACAGCAUGAACAAGGCAUUUUCAGGCCAAGUCGGUGUGCUAUAGCGCAUGGUAUCGGUGGUGGGAGGGCCUGGGAUCCGAGCGUGUUGUUGGCUAAAAAUGGAUCGGGACAUGCCAGGGAGGUUGGGGAUCAUCCCAGUAUGGACUUUUUAAAUUUUUGUGGCUAUUUGGGUGGAAAGACGAGCGAAACAACACAAAUGGAGAGUUUUCAGGCAAAACCAAUAUGGUAUAGCCCAUGAUUUUGGGGUUGGUCCUAGGUCCGAGAAUAUUGUAGGCCAAAAAUUAACCAAGGCAUGCCAGAAAGAUUGUGGAUCGUGUCAGUGUGCUCCAUUUAAAUUUUAGUGGUGAUUUUUGUCGAUAGACGGAUGAAACAGAGCGAAUGCGGUAUUUUUGGGCUAAAUAGAUGUUCUAUAACCCACAGUUUUAGGGGUGGGUGGACAAACAGGCGAAAGGGCAUGAACGAGGUAUUUUAGGGCAAAAUUGGUGUGCUAUUGCCAAUGAUUUUGGGGGUGUGCCCGGGAUACGGGAAUGCUGUGGGCCAAAAAUCAAUCGGGAAGUGCCAGGGAGGUUGGAGAUCAUCCUAGUAUGGUCCGUUUAUAUUUUCGUGGCUAUUUUGCUUAAUAAAUGGGAAAAAUAGUGCAAAAGAGGCAUUUUCAGGCCAAAUUAGUGUGCUAUAGCCCAUGGUUUUGGGUGUGAGCCCUAGGUAUGGACAUGCCAGGGAGGUUGGGGAUCGUCCCAAUAUGGUCUGUUUAAAUUUUGUGGCUAUUUAGGUGGACAAAUGGGAGAAACGACACGAACAGGGCCUUUUCAGGCCAAAUCAGUGUGCUAAGACCCAGUUUUUGGAGUGGUCCCGAGGUCCGGGCAUGCUGUGGGCUGAAAAUCAACCGAGGCGUGCCAGGGGAUUGGGAUCAUCUCAGUGUGGUUUAUUUAAACUUUUGUGGUCAUUUGGGUAGACAAAUAGAUGAAACGAUGCAAACGGGCAUUAUCGGGCCAAAUCAUUGUCCUUUGCCCACAAUUUUGGGGGUGGGCACGGGCAUGCUGUAGGCUAAAAAUCAUCCAAGACGUGCUAGAGAAGUUGGGGAUCAUCCUUGUAUGGUCCAUUUAAGUUUUUAUUGCCAUUUAGGAGAAAAAACGGUGUGAAUGGGGCCUUUUAGGGCUAAAUCAAUAUGCUAUAGCCCACGGUUUCGGGGGUGAGCUUGGGGUUCGGGUGUGCUGUGGUUUGAAAAUCAAUUGGGGCAUGCCAGGGAGGUUCGGGAUCAUCCCAGUAUAUUUUGUUUAAAUUUUUAUGGUUAUUUGGGUGGACAAAUGGGCGAAACGGCAUGAACGAGGCAUUUUCAGGCCAAAUCGAUGUGUUAUAGCCCACGGUUUUGGGGGUGGGUCCGUGGUCCGGGCAUGCUAUAGGCCAAAAAUCAAUCGGGGCAUGCCAGGGAAACUUGGUAUCAUUCUAGUAUGGUUCGUUUAAAUUUUUAUGGCCAUUUGGGUAGACAAAGGGGCAAAACGGGUCGAACCAGGCUUUUUUAGAACAAAUUGAUAUGCUAUAGCCCAUGAUUUUAGGGGUGGUCCUCGUUGUGGUGAGGACUAGAAAUUGAUUGAGAUGUACCAGGGAGGUUGGGGAUCAUCCUUGUGUGGUCCGUUUAAAUUUUGUGUCCAUUUAGGUUGACAAACGAGCGAAACGGCAGGAACGGGGCAUUUUCAGGCCAAAUUGGUAUGCUAUAGCCCACAAUUUCGGGGGUGAGUCUGGGGUACGGGUGUGCUGUGAGCCAAAAAUUGAUCGAGGCAUGCCAGGGAGGUUAGGGAUUGUCCCAGUGUGGUUUGUUUAAAUUUUUGUGGCCAUUAGGGUGGACAAACGGGCAAAAUAGCACGAACGGGGCAUUUUCGGGCCAAAUCGGUGUGCUAUAGGACACGGUUUAGGGUAUGGGCCAGGUUUUCGGGCAUCGUAUGGGUUUAAAAUCCACUGGCGUAUGCUAGGGAGGUUAGGGAUCAUCCCAGUAUGGUCUGAUUAAAUUUUUGUGGUAAUUUAGUUUGACAAAUGGGCGAAACAGCACGAACGGGGCAUUUUCGGGCCAAAUCAUGUGCUAUAGAUUGCGGUUUUGGGGGUGGGCCCAGAGUUUGGGAGUACUGUGAUGUGUGAGAAGAUGCUAAUGCAUUUGAGGCUUUUAACUAGGAAUAAUUGCAAAGUCUUAAGAAACUUUUGUUAGCAAUUUAUUAGAGAAGGAUGUUAUUAAAAGCCUUAUGGCUGAAUUUUUAGAGGAUUCAAUUAUUUGGUAUUAUUCAGAGAGAGGAGAAUUGCAACUUAGGAUGGCGAAGAUUGUCUUCUAGUUUUUGGUAUGAUGAAUAUGUUUAUGAUGAUUUUCGUUUUAUUCUUGAGUAGCUAAGUUUAUUAGUUAGGGUUAUGGAAACCUUGUAGCAUACAAUCUAUUACUUUGGGUUUUGAAUUCAUUAUGCAUUGACUUGUUUAUAUCAUACUCUCUUCACUUAUCUUGAAUUCUCAUGGUUGCAAACAUAGAGGAUAUGCCUUAAAACACAACUUGUUUGAAAGAAAGGUUGUUGUUCGGAAAAGAGAGUAGUGACAAGAAAAUAGGAUUACAACCCCUAUUUCAUAAGUUAAUGCCUUAGCAGGAUUAACUACUUGGACAUUUCGUAUUGUUUUUGGUAAACACUUUUGAUUCGAGAGAACUAAAGUGAAUUAGUCCUUGAUGGUUGAGAAACACUAGGAUUAUGUUACUAAAUACAAUACGUCUCUCUGUAAACACGAUGCAUGUAUGAAUUCGUAACGCCCAUCGUUAGAAAGUAUUGAAAACUAUAAGGUAGACAUAACCCUAGCUUGCUAUUUCUCUGAAUUUAAAUACUACUACACAUAUUUCAUCUUGUUAAACUGAAACCAUUAAUUUGUGAACUGAAUCAAAUCCCCCUAUUUAUUUUAUGGAAUCAAACGAUUAAAAGUCAACUAAUCUGCAUACAACUUAAUUAGCACCAUAUUCCCUGUGGGAUUCGACCCAAACCUAGUUGGGUUAUAUAUUUGACAACGACCGUUUACUCUCUCAUAAGAGCGGUGUAAUUUGGACGUAUCACUUGUUUUAGAGUUUUUAAAAGAUCUUUUUAUGGAUUUUGAUGAUAUAGAAGCUAUCAUACAAUUAACUAGGAGGGUGGCACAUAAAAUUGCUUCAUUUUUUUCAUCAGAUAUUUUUCUUGUUUUCUUUCAAAUUACUUAUCAAUUAUUGUGGGUUUUUAUCUUAUGAUUGAAUUGAAUAUGGGGGUGGGCUAGGCUCCGGGUGUGCUGUGGGCCGAAAAUAGAUCGGGGCAUGCAUGGGAGGCUGGGGAUUAUCUGUGUGAGGUCUGUUUGAAUUUUCGUCGCCGUUUGGGUGGUGAAACGAGUGAAAUAGCUCGAACAGGGAACCUUCAGGCCAAAUCGGUGUGCUAUAGCCCACAAUUUUGGGGUGGGCUUGGGGUUCGAGUAUGUUGUGGGCCAAAAUUUACCAGGGCAUGCUAGGCAGGUUGGGGAUCAUCCCAAUGUGUUCUGUUUAAAUUUUCAUGGCUAUUUGGGUUAAAAAACGGGCAAAACAGCACAAACGGGGCAUUUUCAGGCUAAAUCAGUGUGCUAUAGCCUACAGUUGCAGGGUGGACCCUGGGUCCGGAUGUGCUGUGGGUCAAAAAUCAACCAGGGAAUGACAGGGUGGUUGGAGAUCAUCCGUGUAUAGUUUUUUUUAAGUUUUGUAUCCAUUUAAGGGGACAAACAGGAGAAACGGCUCGAACGGGGCAUUUUCUGGCCAAAUCAGUGUGUUAUAGCAAACGGUUUUGGCGGUGGGCACAAGGUCCGAGUGUGCGGUGGGCCAAAAAUUGAUUGAGGCAUGCCAGGGAGGUUGGGGAUCAUCCCUGUGUGAUCUUUUUAAAUUUUUGUGGCCAUUUGUGUAGAGAAACAUGCAAAAUGGUGCGAACGGGGCAUUUUUGGGCCAAAAUAGUGUGCUAUAACCCACAAUUUCGAGGGUGGGGGCCUGGGAUCCGAGCAUGCUAUGGGCUAAAAAUCAAUCGAGGUAUGAUAGGAAGGUUGGGGAUCAUCCUAGUGUGGUCCGUUUAAAUUUUUGUCUCCAUUUGGGUGGACAAAUGGUUAAACGAUGCGAACGGGGCAUUUUUAGGCCAUAUCCGUGUGCUAUAGCCCACGGUUUGGGAGUUUGUCUAGGGGUUCGGGCAUGCUAUGGGAUAAAAAUUGAUCGAGGCAUGCCAGAGAGUUUGGGUAACAUCCCAGUGUGGUCCUUUUAAAUUUCGUGGCCAUUUAGGUGGACAAACUGGCGAAACGGUGCGAACGAGGCAUUUUUAGGCCAAAUAAGUGUGCUAUAGCCCAAGGUUUUGGGGGUGGGCCUGGGGUCUGGGUGUGCUGUGGACCAAACAUGAACAGAAUAUGUCAGGGAGAUUAGGGAUCAUCCCAGUAUGGUCCAUUUAAAUUUUGCCAUUUGGGUGGACAAACAGGCAAAACUACGUAAAUGGGGCAUUUUCGGGCCAAAUUGAUGUGCUAUAGCUCAAGGUUUUGGGGGUAGGCUCGGGGUUCGGGCGUACUGCAGGACAAAAAUGGACCGGGGAAUCACAGGGAGGUUUAGAUUCUCCCAGUGUGGUCCAUUUAAAUUUUUGUGGCUAUUUUCAUUGACAAACAGGUGAAAUUGUGUGAACGGGGCAUUUUUAGGCUAAAUCGGUGUGCUAUAUCCCACGGUUUUGUGAUGGGCCCUAGGUUCGAGCAUGCUGUGGGCCAAAAAUUGACUGGGGUGUGCCGGGGAUGUUGAUGAUCAUCCCAGUGUGGUUCAUUUAAAUUUUCAUGGCCAAUUGGGUGGAUAAACAGGCAAAAAAGUGCGAACGGGGCAUUUUCAGGAUAAAUUAGUGUGCUAUAUCCUACGGUUUUAGGGGUGGGCCAAGGGUUCAGGCAUGAUGUGGGUUAAAAAUCGAUCGGGAAAGACCAGGGAUAUUGGAAAGUAUCCCAGUGUAGCCCGUUUAAAUUUUUGUAGACAUUUGGGUGGACAUAGACGCAAAACGACGCGAACAGGGCCUUUUCAGGCCAAAUCAGUGUGCUGGCCCGUGGUUUUGGGGGUGGGCCCAAGGUUCAAGCGUGUUGUAGGCUAAAAAUCAACCAGGGCAUGCCAAGGAGGUUGGAUAUGAUCCUAAUUGGGUCUGUUUAAAUUUUUGUGGCCAUUUAGGAGGACGAAUGGGCGUAACGACGCGAACGGGGAAUUUUCAGGCCAAAUUAGUGUGCUAUAGCCCACAGUUUUAGGGUUGCGCCCAGGGUCCGAGCGUGCUAUGGGUCAAAAAUUUAUUGGGCAUUGUCAGGGAGGUUGGGGAUUGUCCCAGUGUGGUCCAUUGAAAUUUUUAUUGCUAUUUAAGUGGACAAACGGUAGAAACAGCACAAAUGAAGCAUUGUUGGGAAAAAUUGGUGUGCUAUAGCCCACAGUUUUAAGGGUAUGCCUGGUGUUCGGGCGUGCUGUGGGAUGAAAAUCAAUCGAGGCAUGACUGGGAGGUUGAGGAUCUUCCCAGUGUGGUCCAUUUAAAUAUUUGUGGCUAUUUAAAUAAAGAAACAAGCAAAACAGUGUGAACAGGGCAUUUUCUGGCCAAAUCGGUGUGAUAUAACCCACAGUUUAAGGGGUUGGCUCGAGGUUCGGGUAUGUUGUAGGCUAAAAAUCGAUCGGGGCAUGCCAGGGAGGUUGGGGAUCAUCCCAGUAUGGUUCGUUUAAAUUUUCGUGACCAUUUGGGUAGACAAAUAGGAGAAACGGUGUGAAUGGGACAUUUUCGUAUCAAAUCAGUAUGUUAUAGCCCUCGGUUUAGGGAGUGGGCUCAGGGUCGGGGCGUGCUGUGGGUUGAAAAUCAACUGAGGUAUGCUAGGGAGGUUAUGGAUCAUCCUAGUAUGAUUCUUUUAAAUUUUCUUGGCUAUUUGGGAGGAUAAACGGGUGAAACGGCAUGAACGGGGCAUUUUUGGAUAGAUCGGUAUGAUAUAGCCCACAAUUUUGGGGGUGGGCCUAGGGUUCGAGCAUGAUGUGGGCUAAAAAUUGAUCGGGCUAUGACAGGGAGAUUGGGAAUCAUCCCAGUGUGGUCUGUUUAAAUUUUCAUGGCUAUUUGGGUCAACAAAUGGGCGAAACGAUGCAAACAGGGCAUUUUUAGAAAAAAUUGGUGUCCUAUAGCCCACGAUUUUGGGGAUGGGCCCGGGGUCUGACCGUGCUGUGGGCCAAAAAUUGAUUGUAGCAUGUUAGGGAGGUUGAGAUCAUUCUAGUGAGGUCCGUUUAAAUUAUUGUGGCCAUUUGGGUGGUUAAACUGGCAAAACAGUGUGAACGGGGCAUUUUUGGGCCACAUAGAUGUGCUAUAGCCCACGGUUUUGGGAGAGGGCCCGGGUUCCUUACUUGAUGUAUGUAGAAAAUUGUUUGGGGAAUACCAGGAAGGUUAGGAAUCAUCCCGGUGUGGUCCAUUUAAAUUUUUGAGGUCAUUUGGGUGGACAAAUGGACGAAACAACGCGAUCAGAGAAUUUUUGCGCCAAUUCGGUGUCCCAUAGCCCAUGGCUUUGGGGGUGGGACCGGGUUUCAGGCAUGCUAUGGCCCAAAAAUUGACUUGGACAUUCCAAGGAUAUCAGGGAUUGUCCUAGAGUGGUCCGUUUAAAUUAUCAUAGCCAUUUGGCUAGACAAACGAGUGAAGCGGCAUGAACGAAGCAUUUUCGGGCCAAAUCGAUGUGCUAGAACCAACGAUUUGGGGGGUGGCCCCGGGGUCCGAGCGUAAUGUAUGUCAAAAGUUGAUCGAGGCGUGCCAGGGAGGUUGGGAAUUGUCCCAAUGUAGUUCGUUUAAAUUUUUAUGGCCAUUUGGAUGGACAAACGAGUGAAACGGCACGAACGGGGCAUUUUCAAUCCAAAUUCGUCUGCUAUUGCCCAUGAUUUUGGUGGAGGAUCUUCCCAGUGUGGUCCAUUUAAAUAUUUGUGGCUAUUUAAAUAAAGAAACAAGCAAAACAGUGUGAACAGGGCAUUUUCUGGCCAAAUCGGUGUGAUAUAACCCACAGUUUAAGGGGUUGGCUCGAGGUUCGGGUAUGUUGUAGGCUAAAAAUCGAUCGGGGCAUGCCAGGGAGGUUGGGGAUCAUCCCAGUAUGGUUCGUUUAAAUUUUCGUGACCAUUUGGGUAGACAAAUAGGAGAAACGGUGUGAAUGGGACAUUUUCGUAUCAAAUCAGUAUGUUAUAGCCCUCGGUUUAGGGAGUGGGCUCAGGGUCGGGGCGUGCUGUGGGUUGAAAAUCAACUGAGGUAUGCUAGGGAGGUUAUGGAUCAUCCUAGUAUGAUUCUUUUAAAUUUUCUUGGCUAUUUGGGAGGAUAAACGGGUGAAACGGCAUGAACGGGGCAUUUUUGGAUAGAUCGGUAUGAUAUAGCCCACAAUUUUGGGGGUGGGCCUAGGGUUCGAGCAUGAUGUGGGCUAAAAAUUGAUCGGGCUAUGACAGGGAGAUUGGGGAUCAUCCCAGUGUGGUCUGUUUAAAUUUUCAUGGCUAUUUGGGUCAACAAAUGGGCGAAACGAUGCAAACAGGGCAUUUUUAGAAAAAAUUGGUGUCCUAUAGCCCACGAUUUUGGGGAUGGGCCCGGGGUCUGACCGUGCUGUGGGCCAAAAAUUGAUUGUAGCAUGUUAGGGAGGUUGAGAUCAUUCUAGUGAGGUCCGUUUAAAUUAUUGUGGCCAUUUGGGUGGUUAAACUGGCAAAACAGUGUGAACGGGGCAUUUUUGGGCCACAUAGAUGUGCUAUAGCCCACGGUUUUGGGAGAGGGCCCGGGUUCCUUACUUGAUGUAUGUAGAAAAUUGUUUGGGGAAUACCAGGAAGGUUAGGAAUCAUCCCGGUGUGGUCCAUUUAAAUUUUUGAGGUCAUUUGGGUGGACAAAUGGACGAAACAACGCGAUCAGAGAAUUUUUGCGCCAAUUCGGUGUCCCAUAGCCCAUGGCUUUGGGGGUGGGACCGGGUUUCAGGCAUGCUAUGGCCCAAAAAUUGACUUGGACAUUCCAAGGAUAUCAGGGAUUGUCCUAGAGUGGUCCGUUUAAAUUAUCAUAGCCAUUUGGCUAGACAAACGAGUGAAGCGGCAUGAACGAAGCAUUUUCGGGCCAAAUCGAUGUGCUAGAACCAACGAUUUGGGGGGUGGCCCCGGGGUCCGAGCGUAAUGUAUGUCAAAAGUUGAUCGAGGCGUGCCAGGGAGGUUGGGAAUUGUCCCAAUGUAGUUCGUUUAAAUUUUUAUGGCCAUUUGGAUGGACAAACGAGUGAAACGGCACGAACGGGGCAUUUUCAAUCCAAAUUCGUCUGCUAUUGCCCAUGAUUUUGGUGGUUGGUCUAGGUUUCGAGGAUGCUAUGCCCAAAAAUUGAUUGAGGCGUGUCAGGGAAAAUAGGGAUUAUCCCAGUGUGGUUCGUUUAAAUUUCUGUGGCCAUUUGGGCGGACAAAUAGGACAAAUAACGUGAAUUGGGCAUUUUCAGGGCUAAUCGGUGUGCUAUAGCCCACGAUUUUGGGGGUAGGCUUGGGGUUUGGGCGUGUUGUGGGCUGAAAAUCUAUUGGGGUGUGCAAGGGAUGUUGGGAAUCAUCCCAUUAUGGUUUAAUUAAAUUUUUAGGUCCAUUUGGGUGGACAAACGGGCGAAACAUCGCGAACGGGGCAUUCUAAGGCCAAAUCGGUGUGCUAUAGCCCACGAUUAUGGGGGUGGGCCCAGGGGUUGGGAAUGCUGUAAGACAAAAAUCUAUCAAGGCAUGCCAAGGAUGUUGGAAAUCAUCCCACUGUGGUUCAUUUAAAUUUUCGUGGCAAUUUGGAUGGACAAAUGGGCAUAACAACUCGAAUGGGGCAUUUUCGAGCCAAAUCAAUGUGUUGUAGCCCACGGUCUCAGGGGUGGGCUCGGGUUUCGGGCGUGCUGUAGGUCAAAAUUUAUCGAGGUGUGCCAGGGAGGUUAGGUAUCAUCCCAGUGUGAUCCAUUUAAAUUUUUGUGGCCAUUUGGGUGGACAAAUGCAUGUAACGACAUGAACGAAGAAUUUUUAGGUCAAAUCGAUGUGCUAUAGUCCAUGGUUUUGGGGGUGGCCCCGAGGUCUGGGUGUGCUAUAGGCCAAAAAUUGACCGAGGCAUGCCAGGUAGGUUGGGGAUCAUUCCAUUGUGGUUCAUUUAAAUUAUCGUGGCUAUUUGGGUGGACAAACAGGAAAAACGGUGUGAACGGGGAAUUUUUUAGUCAAAUCGGUGUGCUAUAGCCCACGAUUUCGGGGGUGGGCCUGGAUCUGGAUGUAUUGUGGGCUGAAAAUUGAUUGAGGCAUGCCAAGGAGGUUGGGUAUCAUCCCAGUGUGAUCCGUUUAUAUUUUCGUGUUCAUUUGGGUGUACAAAUGGGAGAAACGAUGCAAACGGGGCAUUUUCUAGGUAAAUAAGUUUGCUAUAGCCCAUAGUUUUGGGGGUGGGAUCAGGGUCCGAGCGUGCUGUGGGCUAAAAAUUGACAUGGGCAUGCCAGGGGGUUAAGAAUCAUCCCAGUGUGGUUUGUUUAAAUUUUUGUGGUCAUUUGGGUGGACAACCGGGCGAAACGACACGAACGGGGUAUUUUGAGCAAAAUGGGUGUGCUAUAGCCCACGAUUUCGGGGGUGGGCUCAAGUUUUGAGUGAACUGUUGGAUGAAAAUCAAUCGGGGAAUGCCAGGGAGUUUAGGGAUCAUCCCAGUAUGGUCCUUUUAAAUUUUUGUCGUCAUUUGGAUGGAUAAACUAGCGAACAGCACAAACGGGGCAUGUUUAGGCCAAAUCAGUGUGCUAUAGCCCACGAUUUUGGGAUGGGACCUGGGUCCGGGCAUGAUGUGGGUCAAAAAUCGAUUGAGCUAUUUCAUAGAGGUUGAGGAUCAUCCUUGCGUGAUCCAUUUAAAUUUUUGUGGCCAUUUGGGUGGACAAAAAGGCAAAACGAUGCAAACGGGGCAUUUUUGGGCUAAAUAGGUAUACUAUAGCCCACGGUUUUGGGGUGGGCCUAGAUUCCGGGCAUGUUGUGGGACAAAAUUUGAUCAGGGUGUGCAAAGGAGGUUGGGGAUCAUCCCAAUUUGUCUGUUCAAAUUUUUGUGGCUAUUUGGGUGGACAAACGGGCGUAACAGCUCGAAUGAGGCAUUUUCGAGAAAUAUCAAUAUGCUGUAGCCCAUAGUUUUGUGGGUGAGCCUGGGGUUAGGGUGUACUGUGGGUUGAAAAUUGACCGAGGCAUUCUAUGGAGGUUGGCAAUUAUCCCAGUGUAUGCCUUUUAAAUUUUUAUGGCCAUUUGGGUGGACAAACGGGCGAUACGAUACGAUAUGAAUGGGGCGAUAUGAUACGAAGGUGGGCCUGGGGUCUGGGCAUGCUGUAGGUCAAAAAUCGACCGAGGCAUGCCAAGGAGGUUGGGGAUCAUCCCACUAUGGUCCAUUUAAAUUUUCUUGGCCAUUUGGGUAGACAAACGGGCGUAACAGCGUGAACGAGGCAUAUUCGGGCCUUAUCGGAAUGUUAUAGCCCAUGGUUUUGGGGGUGGUCCCCAGUGUGCUUGAGCUGAUAAUCGAUCGGGGCACGCCAAGGAAGUUGAGGAUCAUCCCAAUAUGGUUCAUUUAAAUUUUUGUGGCCUUUUGGGUGGACAAAUAGGUGAAACGGCACGAAUAGGACAUUUUCAGGAUAAAUCGGUGUGUUAUAACCCAUAGUUUUGGGGAUGGGCCCAGGGUCUGAGUGUGGUGUAGGUCAAAAAUAGACCGCCGUAUGCCAUAGAGGUUGGCGAUCAUCCCAGUAUGGUCUAUUUAAACUUUUGUGGACAUUUGGGUUGACAAACAGGUGAAACGGCACAAACGGGGCAUUUUUGAGACAAAUUAGUAUUCUAUAGCCAACACUUUCGGGGGUUGACCAAGGGUCCGGGUAUGCUGUAUGCGAAAAAUUUAUCGUGGUAUGCCCGAGAGGUUAAGAAUCAUCCCAGUGUGGUCCGUUUUAAUUAUGUGGCCAUUUGGGUUGGCAAACAGGUGAAACAGUGCGAACGGGGCAUUUUUUAGCCAAAUAGGUAUGCUAUAGGCCACGGUUUUGGGGGUGGGCCCAAGUUCCAGGCAUGUCAUGGGAUGAAAAUCGAUCGUGGCAUUCCAGGGAUAUUGGGGAUCAUCCCAGUGUGGUCUGUUUUAAUUUUUGUGGACAUUUGAGUGGACAAACGGGUGAAACAGCGCAAACGGGGUAUUUUUGGGCAAAAUUGGUAUGCUAUAGCCCAUGGUUUUGGGGUGGGCCUGGGGUCCCAGGCAUGCUUUGGUCCAAAAAUCGAUCGGGUCAUGCCAUGGUAGUUGGUGAUCAUCCCAGUAUGGUCCGUUUAAAUUUUUGUGGUUAUUUGGAUGGAUAAACAAACGAAAUUGCACGAAUGGGACAUUUUUGGGACAAAUCGGUCUGCUCUAGCCUACGAAUUCGAGGGUGGGCUUGGGGUCCGGGCGUGCUGUAGGCUAAAAAUUGACUGGUUCAUGCCAGGGUAGUUGGGGAUCAUCCCAGUGUGGUCUGUUUAACUUUUCGUGGCCAUUUGGGUAGACAAACAGGCAAAAUGAUGCGGACGGGGCAUUUUUGAGCCAAAUUGGUAUGCUAUAGCCCACGGUUUCGGGUGUGGUCUGGGGUCCAGGCAUGUUGGUGCUCGAAAAUCGAUCGGGGUAUGCCAAGGAGGUUUACGAUCAUCCCAGUAUGGUCUAUUUUGAUUUUUGUGGCCAUUUGGGUGGACAAACGUAAGAAACGACGUGAAUAGGGUAUUUUCGGGCUAAAUUGGUGUGCUAUAGCCCCCGGUUUUAGUGGUGGUCCGGGCAGGUUGGGGAUCAUUCCAUGGUGGUACGUUUAAAUUUUUGUGGCCAUUUAGAUGGACAAACAGGUGAAAUGGCGAGAGCGGGAUAUUUUUGGGCCAAAUCGUGUUCUAUAGCCUAAGGUUUUGCGGGUGGGCCCGGGGUCCGAGCAUGCUGUGGAAAUGAAAUCGACCGGGGCAUUCCACGAAGGAUAGGGAUCGAGCCAGUAUGGUUUGUUUAAAUUUUUGUGGCCAUUUGUGUGGACAAACGGGCAAAACGGCACGAACAGGCCAUUUUAGGGCCAAAUUAGUGUGCUAUAGCCCACGGUUUUUGGGUUGAGCCCAGGGUACAUGCGUGCUAUGGGUAAAAAUUAAUCGGUACAUUCCAGGGAAGUUGGAGCUCAUCCUAGUAUGGUCUGUUUAAAUUUUUGUGGAUAUAUGGGUAAACAAACAGGCGAAAUGGCACAAGUGAGGUAUUUUCGGGCAAAAUUGGUGUGCUAUAGCCCACGUUUUUGGGGGUGGGCCCGGGUGAUAACGCUCAAUCUACAGCUCUCGUGGGAGUGUAAAGCGGUCGUUAGCAAAUAUAGAACCCAACCUGGGUUGGGUAUCGAUCCCACAGAGAAUAGCUUGGCCAACAAGCAAGAGAAAUUACUAGACUUUUAGUGCAAGUCUCGUAGGAAAGGGGGGAUUGUAGUAUGUAACCAAAACAAGAAUGUAAGAACUGAAAAUAGCAAAAUAAAGAGAGAUUGUCACGUGUGUUGUAAACAAUGAGAAUUGAGGCGUUGGGGUUAUGUCCACCUUCUGAGGUAUACGUCUCUAUUGGCUAUGAGUGUGUAGAGUCUUGACAUGUAAUUGCUUGUAGAGAAUUGUAGUCGAUGGUAAAUCCAAGCGUCUCUCGACCUAAACAAGGACUAUUUCACUUUAACUCUCUCGAGCUUAAAGCGUGACUAACGGUACGAAUUCUCCAAGAAGUUAGUCCAGGUACGGCACUAGCUUUUUAAUAGGAAAGGGUGUCCUACUACCUUGACAUUAUCUCUUUUCCAGACAAAUAACUUUUCUCUCGAACAAGUCAGAUGUUAGACUGGCGUUGGUCUAUGCGUCUUCUUUUCUAGACAAAUAACCUUUCUCUCGAACAGGUUAGAUGUUAGAAUGGCGUGUUCUUGUGUUUGAACCGCAAAGAAUGUAGAUUUAAGAUGAAGAGAAUAAUGAUAUAAGCAAUAUACUUGUCUUGAACUCACAAACUCAUAGCUAUAGAUAGUAACUCAUUCGGCUUCCAUAACCCCAACUAAGAGAUUUAGUUACCCAUGAAUGCGAAGGAUAUCACGCUUUGCAUGGUGGAUGGCGUGAAUAGUAGGUGUUUGGCGUGUGGUUUUAGUGAUUCCGUAGCAAGUAACGAUUCUCUUGUUGUGGAAUUUAAGAGUAGAAGAAUGAAGAAUUGAGAAUGGGUUGUAGGAAGAUGUCUUAAUUGUAAGGAGAUGAAUGAAUUGUCAGAAUGUCUCCCCCCUUGAAAAUCUCUAACAUGAUAGGGUAUUUAUAAUACUCCUAUCCUACUCCUACUAAACUAAUAAAAUAAAUAACCAAAUCCUAAUAUACUAAUGAAAUCCUUGACCCAAUUGUACUAGGGUAAGGUUACAAAAUUAUAAUCCAAAUAGAAUGAUGAAACACAUAACCUAAUUGCACUAGGUUAAUGUAUUAUGGCAAAAAUCCAGCUUUGUGUCUGUAAGUCCCAAAGUCUUCAGAAAUGCUGUUUUAGCCCGGGACAGAUUUUCCAUGCAGCAGAUUUAGUCCUUUAUGCGUCCAGCUCCUUUCCAUCUCGUUUGUGAGCUUUCUUUUGCGUCAAGUAAGCCAUAAAUUGCUGUAUUUUGCAUCAUUUAUACCUGAAACUUUCCUAAUCACAUUUGUUAGCUCAUUUACAGGAAAAAGGACUAAAAGUGUACGAAAUAGAUAAUUAGUUCUCGAAACUAGGCUAAAAUAUGGGCAAAAUAUAUUGAUAUAGGCGCGUAAUUUCGCCUAUCAUCAACACCCCACACUUAGAGCUUUGUUCGUCCUCGAACAACAUAUCAUGUCCUUCUAAGCAUUGACUUAAGGUUUUUACAGAAACAACACAAAACAUUCUUCAAGACAAGCACAACAAUUAUCAACGAAGAGUAGCUUUCCGAUUAUAAGUAGAAACAAUUUAACCUCAAGCAUAGACUCGUGAUGGUGAUCAACUCGCAUGCAAACGUUUAAGGUACAUAGAAUCAUAUACAACUAUCCAAAACUCAUCAACCAUGUGUGUCUCACAAUAUAGUACCCAUAAUCACUCACAAGUAUAGCAUAUUUUUCAAACAUGGGCAGCAAAGUAUCCUUGCGCUCACUCUCACAAAGAAUUCAUAUGUAGCAGCUAAUGACCAUAGGCUUGCCCUUAAUGUAGUACUCCACUAAAUGUCGGAAUGUUAAGGUUAGGAUCAAGUAGGUCUUUUGAUGGUUGUAAUGUAGGCUAAGGGACGGGUAGGAUCAACUAUUUUGGCCAGAAAUAGUGACUAAGUUCCUAAGCACUUUAAUACAUCACAUUGUAUUAUUGACACUUUUUUGUAGCACCCUUGUUCUCCUCUUUUGUUUUUCAAUUUUAAAGCACAACUCACUUUUCAGCUUUCUUUUCCUUUUUCUUCUCACAACAUACCUCUUAUGAUAGCACUUUCUUUUUCAUAACAUAUUCAAGCACCAUUACAAUUUAAAGCAUCAUACUCAACCAAUUUCCUCUUAUGUUGUCACAUGACUUUUUCACUUUAAAGCACUUAGGAAUUUGGAUCAAAUUACGGUCUUGAAAAAAAAAUGAAUUAGGCUUACAUACAAGGUUGUCAAAGAAAUAGGCUAAAGGCUCAAAAGGGUUUAACUAGGAUGAUGUCCAUGGGUAGGUAAAACUGAAGGUAAACAAAUAUAGGUUGCCAAAGAAAUGCCUAAAUCAUAUCCUAAACUUACACUCCUUAUUUUCGCUUUGCAUACAUACCAGGCAAGUUCUAGCAUCAGCCACAUACAUAGAAUAUACUAUUAUCUCACACACACAAGGCACAUGGUCGACUUGAUUGGUAGCAAUAUAGACUCUCAACCCAACAAGUGAAGGAAUUGAAUCACACACUAUCACAUAAUGAGUCACAACUAGAGCCUAAAUGUCUCAAUAGUCACAAUUGUAAUACAUACUAUUGUUAUAAUCUCAUGCUGCCUAUUAAAAUAAUUUCAUGCGAGGCUAGAAAAAUUUUAACUACUAAAAACUAAAAAAAAAACGUCACACGAAAAAAAUCACAAAAAAAAAUCGGACUCAAAACAAAAUAAAUAAAACAAAAUAAACAAGCAAACAUACAAAUAUAGCAUGCAGAUUCUGCCGACACCCCACACUUAGACUAGACACUGCCCUCAGUGGAAAAUAAAGUCGAAGAACCUGAUUAGUCGGACUCUUCCUCAAUGUCAUACCCCCUUCGUUCGAGUCAUCGUAAGAGUCAUCGUCAGAGUUCUCCUCAGCAUCAGAAUCAGGCAAGCGUCUAUCAUCAUCAGUUGGCACGUCAUCAUCAAGAGGUUCCUCGAAAUAUACUCCCACUCCACACAUCUCCCGGGCAUGUCUGUUCAUUGGGUAGUCGUGGUCCAGCUGUUGGAGCUCUUCAGCAGUUGGAAUACGUCCACCACUCAUCAUAGUGAAUCUCGUCAUGCCAUAGAGAUGACGGAAGAAACUCUCGUCACGAGCAUGUCUCUCCGCAGUGGUAAGGUUGACUCCAUGCGUUGUUUCAGCAUCUUUGACCUUGGUGAGGUCAACCUUCUUUGGGGUAUGUGGGAGUUUGUGGUCAGCUGGUUCCUCCUCUAUAUCCUCCUUCCGCAACAUUGCUGUCAACAAAUUGCCGAAUGUGAAAUAGGACCAUUCACAUUCACAUCAGUCUGGCUUUCCUCAUGGUGGAUCGAAUGAUUGCCCCAAAGUUGAUAGGGACAUUCGUCAUUAAUGAAUAAACCAGGCACACUCUAUCUCUCGAUAUCUUUGUGUAUUGCGUCCCAGGAAUGAGGCAUGAGUUGACAAUGCGCAUCCAGAUUCUUGCUUCCCUAUUUAGUGGAGCAUAGGGGAAUGUGUUGUGACGGCCUGUUUCCUUAUGUCUGCCCCAUCUCGCCAUCGAUCUGCUUCCACAAAGCGUGUGUCUUAUAGCUCUGUAAGGAGGUCUGCUGUACAGCUCUUUGUAUGGUGCAGUGUCGACCGAAGGUAGGCCUAGAAACGAGUUGAUCCAAUCCGCUGUAAGCUGUAACACUUGGCCCCGAAUUUUGACUUCGUUGCCUGUUGUGUUUGGCGACCAGUUGGCAUAAAACUCUCUUGUCAAGUCAAGAUUGCACUCUCCCAUGUCACGGAAGAUGAAAUCCAGCUUCAAAGCCAUAAUCUUAGCCAACAUUUGCGGCUCCUUCUUUGCUAAGGUCUCCUUAUUGAUUAAGUCGACGUGCACAUAUUUCUUUUCUUUGUUGCUGCUGUACCAUGCCUUGGCUUCUUCCUCAAGAACCCAUUUGAUUCCGAACAUUCUGCGUGGUAGGUGUGCGGAAGAUGAUUCGCCUUGGUCUUUUCGGCUUCUCUUUUUGUCCUUGCGGGUUGUGGUAGCCUUCUCCUUGCCUUGCCUUGCUUUCGGUGCCAUUGUACCGCCUUUACCAUACAACGCGACCAAAUCGUCAAUUGAAAUCAAUCUCCUCGUUGCAUACUUCUUACACCUAUAUUUGCUCAAACAAAUGAAAACGAUUAGUACGAUGGGUUGCCUCCCACCAAGCGCCUUAGUUUUGGUCGUGGCACGACUCUUAUUUUUGGAUUUUCAUUUAUCAAAAAGAAAAAAUACUAAAACGACAAAACGAUAAAACAAUAAAACGAAGGGUUGCCUCCCAUCUAGCGCCUUAUUUAUUGUCGUGGCUCGACGUAGUAAUCUCGAGUACUUAGACUUCGUCGAGAUAAGUGAUGGCCAUGUCAUUUAUCGAGUCAAGAGGACCGAUAUAUGGCUUAACACGUUGGCCAUUCACCUUGAAGAUAACACCCUCAUUAUUUUCCAAUUCGACUACUCCAAACGAGUAGACGUGGGUGACUUUAAAUGGACCAGACCACUUUGAUUUUAACUUACCUGGGAAGAGCUUGAAUCUGGAGUUAAAGAGUAGCACCAUGUCACCUUUUUGGAAGUGUCGUCGAACAAUCCGCUGAUCGUGAUACUUCUUCAUCCGCUCCUUGUAUAAAUCUGAUCUUUCAUAAGCAUGGAGACGGAAUUCAUCUAGCUCGUUCAGCUGCUCCAACCUCAGGUUCUUCACAUCAUCCCAAUUCAGAUUCAAGUGCUUCAAUGCCCAUAAUGCCUUGUAUUCAAGCUCGAUGGGUAGAUGACAAGCCUUCCCAUAAACUAGCUGAUAAGGUGACAUGCCAAUGGGUGUCUUGAAUGCAGUCCUAUACGCCCAUAGUGCAUCAUCUAGCUUCCGAGACCAAUCCUUCCGAUUCGCAUUGACCGUCUUGGCAAGGAUUUGCUUGAUCUCCCGAUUGGAAACCUCUACUUGUCCACUAGUUUGGGGAUGAUAAGGCGUAGCUACCUUGUGUUGCUUGACUCCAUACUUGGCCAAUACAGAUUUGAAUAGCUUGUUGCAGAAGUGAGAUCCUCCAUCACUUAUGAUAGUACGAGGUACCCCAAAGCGAGAGAAGAUAUUCUUCUUUAAAAACGCUACAACACGCUUUCCUUCAUUAUCGGCCAAUGCUACAGCUUCAACCCAUUUCGACACAUAAUCCACAGCAACCAAGAUGUACUUCAUUCCAAACGAAUUUACGAAUGGUCCCAUGAAAUCAAUACCCCAUACAUCAAAGAGUUCUACCUCCAGGAUUGUGGACAUGGGCAUUUCAUGGUGUUUUGAAAUAACACCUUGACGUUGGCAUUGGUCACACCUUCUCACAUAGUCGUGUGCAUCUCUGAAUAUUGUAGGCCAAUAAUAACCACUUUGCAAGACUUUUCUUGCUGUUCGAUUACCCGCAUGAUGUCCUCCAACUUGCGAAGUGUGGCAUGCUUCUAAUAUAGUGGGCACUUCGUCAUGGGAUAUACAUCGUCGAAUGAUACCAUCCGCACAUCUUCGAAACAAAUAAGGCUCAUCCCAAUAAUAGUGCUGAACGUCAUGCAUAAACUUCCUCCUCUGGUGGUAAGAUAAAUUUGUAGGUAACACAUUACUCACCACGAAAUUCGCAAAGUCGGCAUACCAUGGUAAGUCUUCUAUUGUUGUCGCUAAUAUCUCCUCGUCAGGGAAUGCAUCGCCAAUCUGAUUUUCUGAUUGCGCCACAUACUCAUUCUCAAGUCUAGAUAGGUGAUCAGCCACUUGGUUCUCGCAACCUCUUCUAUCUUUGACUUCGAAAUCAAACUCUUGCAGCAGCAACACCCAUCGAAUCAGCCUUGGUUUUGCAUCCUUCUUUGUCAUUAGAUACCUAAGAGCUGCAUGGUCUGUAUGAACGAUCACUUUAGUACCUAAUAGGUAGGCGCGGAACUUCUCAAACGCAUACACAACCGCUAAUAGCUCUUGUUCAGUGACGGUGUAGUUCCUUUGGGCUUCAUUGAGGACCUUACUCGCAUAGUAGAUAGGAUGAAAUAAUUUCUCCUUUCUCUGUCCAAGAACAGCACCAACGGCUACACCACUAGCAUCACACAUGACUUCGAACGGGAGCGUCCAAUCUGGUGUUACCAUGAUAGGGGCUUCAACGAGUUUUUCUUUAAGGCAUUCAAAUGCCUUUAAGCAAUCAUCAUUAAAGUCAAACUUCGCAUCUUUCUCCAAUAGCUUGCAUAAUGGACUAGAAAUUUUGGAGAAGUCUUUGAUGAAUCUACGAUAAAACCCAGCAUGGCCAAGAAAACUACGAACUCCCUUCACCGAAAUUGGAGGUGGUAGCUUCUCAAUUACCUCUAUUUUGGCGCGAUCAACCUCUAUUCCUUUUUCGGAGAUCUUGUGCCCAAGAACAAUUCCUUCUUUUACCAUGAAGUGGCACUUCUCCCAAUUCAGCACAAGGUUGAACUCUACACAUCUUUGUAAUGCCAUGCUUAAAUUCACCAAACAUGCUUCGAAAGACUCCCCAACAACUGAAAAGUCGUCCAUAAAUACCUCCAAAGUGUCUUCUACCAUAUCAGAGAAAAUAGACAUCAUACAUCGCUGAAAGGUGGCUGGUGCAUUACAUAACCCGAAUGGCAUACGUUUGAAGGCAAACGUACCAUAUGGGCAUGUAAACGUUGUCUUCUCUUGGUCUUCUGGUGCAAUAAAAAUCUGAUUAUAACCUGAAUAACCAUCAAGAAAGCAAAACCAUCCUUUUCCCGCUAAUCGAUCUAGCAUUUGGUCCAUAAAUGGCAUGGGGAAGUGAUCCUUGAGAGUCCAAGAAUUCAGCUUGCGGUAGUCCAUGCAUACUCUCCAUCCAGUGACGGGCCUGAGUGGAAUAAGCUCAUUCUUUGCAUUCGCAACCACCGUCAUACCUCCUUUCUUGGGAACACAUUGUACUGGGCUUACCCAUGUACUAUCAGAAAUAGGAUACACAACUCCUGCGUCUAACCACUUGAUAAUCUCCUUCUUCACCACCUCUUGCAUUGGUGGGUUUAGACGUCUUUGGUGUUCGAUGGUGGGUGUGCACUUUUCUUGGAGCUGAAUUUUAUGAGUGCAAAUUCCAGGUGGAAUACCAAGGAUAUCCGCAAUGGUCCAUCCAAUAGCUCUAAUAUACUUGCGUAAAAUUGCAAUAAGAGCUGCAACUUGUUGCUCACCUAAAUCGGCUGCCACUAUGACUGGAAGAGUGUUUCCGCUUCCUAAGAAUGCAUACUUCAAAUGGCUUGGCAGCUCCUUUAAUUCUAAUGUGGGUGGUUCUUCAAUAGAUGGCUUAGCUGGUGGUGUGGGUCGAUUCUUGAGAUCAAGAUCCAGCUUCUUAGGAGGAUAGCGAUAUGCUCCUAAUCCCGAUAGAGCACAAAUAUCAUCUUCAGAAAUUUCAGCAUCAUCAUCAUCUUCUUCCAUGAGCAAAACCUCCAAAGGAUCAUCAAGAAUUUGUUCUUCAGCAAGUAACUCAUCCUCGUCAUCAACGACAACAUCAGUCACAGAAAAUACACUUAGAUCUUUGGGUUGCUUCAUUGAUUUGCAAACAUCAAAGCGCACCACUUCAUCAUUUAUUCGGAAUGAAAGUUCAUUAGCUCUCAAAUCUAUGAGCACACUUCCCGUAGCAAGGAAAGGGCGUCCCAAGAUUAUGGGAACCUCUGAAUCUGCUUCGCAAUCCAAGAUGACAAAGUCUGCUGGAAAUAUGAAUGAAGAUACCUUCACCAAGACAUCGCAUAGAAUACCAACCGGUCGUUUUACCGACCUAUCCGCCAUAACAAGCUUCAUAUUAGUUGGUGUAGGAUCUCCCAACCCCAACUUCUUGUAGAUUGAUAAUGGCAUCAAGUUGAUGCUGGCUCCUAAGUCACAUAAUGCUUUAGCAAAGUCCAAAGAUCCGACGGUGCAAGGAAUAGUGAAAGCUCCGGGGUCGGCCUUCUUCUGAACUAUGGAUCGGGUAGCUAUUGCACUACAAUGAUGCACAUCUUCUUUCAGCUCAUAGCUUGCUGCCCUCUUCUUAGUCAAAAGAUCUUUCAUAAACUUCGCAUACCCAGGCAUUUGUUCAAGUGCCUCUACCAAUGGGACAUUAAUAGUCAGCUGCUUCAAGAUGGUCAUGAACUUGCUGAACUUAGUGUCAUCGGCCGCCUUCUUCAGUCUUUGUGGAAAAGGUGGUGGUGGGUAUGGAAGUGUUCUUUCCAUGGCUUUCUUCUCCUCUUGCUUCCGUUUAUUACUUUUUUCAGGCUGCACGUCACUAGGCAACACGUCCUUGACGUUGGAAGUGGAUAUUGCGGCGUCUUCCCUAGUGGCGUCACUAGGUGUGGCGGUUGUGUCUGCUGUUCUGUCAACUAUUUGCUUGCCUUCUGCUGAAGUUUCCAGCACCUUACCACUCCUCGUAGUGAUGGCCAUGCAUGACCCAUCAGUCCUUGGAUUUUGCACCGUAUCGCUAGGCAAGGUGCCGGCUUUUCUUUGGUUGAGUGUUGCUGAAAGUUGACUGAAUUGCUGCUCUAGUUGCUUGAUAGAAGUGGAAUGAGAAUCAACUAAUUGCUUCAUGGAGGCCAAAUCGUCAAUCACCUCCUUAACUCCCGCAUUCGUCGCUUCCACUCCUUUCAAUAACUUAGCCAUCAUGUCUUCCAUAGAAUUAGAUGUGGUGGUAUCACGUCUACCAGGGGGAACGUACAAACCACUGUUUUCAUUAUUUUUCUUCCAACUACCUUGGUCUUUACCUCCAGAUUUGUCAUAAUAGUUCCGACCUUGGUUUCCUUGGGCAUUCCCACGGAAACCCCCCUGAUUGUUCAAGUAGUUGGCCUCCUCUUCUGAAUCAGAUUCGUCUCUUCCUUUUGACGCAAUAGAUUUCACUUUUUCAGUCUUCCCUAAUAGAUGCUUUGUAAGAAGAUCCAUUUGGGUUUUCAUGUGCGCCAUAUCUUGAUCACGUUCUUCUUCUCUCCUUCUUUGAUCUGCAGACAUGCCAAUAGAUAAAGUGGGGCUUGCUACCUCAGAAUCCCUGGUAUGCCAAGCUCUACUUUGUUUCGUCAUACGAUCUAGCAUGUUGCUUGCUUGACCAAAGGUGAGGUCCAUAAAAGAACCUCCAGCUGCGUUGUCCACCACUGGUUUAGUUACUGAAUUCAAGGCUCUAUAUAAGAUCUCCAUGAGGUGAACAUUAGUCAUGUGAUGGUUUGGGCAUCUCGCUAGCUUUGUCUUGAACCUCUCCCAUGUUUCGUGAAGAGCUUCAGAGGGAAGCUGACGAAAGUUGCUGAUUUCAUCUCUCAAUUGAGCCCUCUUGGAUGGCGGAAAGAAUCUUUCUAGGAAAGCGUCUCUCAAUUGCCUCCAAUUUGUAAUAGAAUCAGGAGUCAGCCCAUUCAACCAUAAUGUUGCCUCCCCAGACAGAGACAAUGGAAAUAGACGUAAUCGAAUAGCAUUCUGACCAACUCCAGGAUUGUCAAAAGACUUGCAUGUAGAAAUAAAGUUGAUGAGAUGCAUAUUCGGAUCAUCGCCUGCUAGUCCACCAAAUAAUCCCUUGAGUUGCAAUAACUGAAUCAUGGUGCUAGUGAUGUUGAACUUGGCUCCGGGCGCUAAUGGUGGUGGAAUUAUAGCUCCAGUGGCUCCGGCACCAUCAAGAUCAUCAUCAUCAUCGUCGAAAGCUGGUUGCAAAGGUUGGCGAUCAUAUCUGUACCGAGCUUGUCGACCUCGUCUGUUGGUAGGUGUUGCCAUUUCAGCGCCAUGCCUUGGGUUGAUCAACUCGUCAUCUCCUAAAUCUUCAUCGUCAGGAUUUGUUGCUCGUCCAGGAUUAUCAAUGUUUUGUUGUUGGACUUGAGCAGCGGCAAGAGCAGCUAAUCUUGCUUGCUCAUGUUGAGCAGCCAUCCUGUCGAUUUCCGCUUGUGCUUCCAUUCUUCUGAUUCGUUGUGGUUCCGGAUUGAUUGGUAAUAACGGUUGACCAGAACUUCUAGUAUGGGGCAUGCACUAAAAGAAAAACCUGCAAUAAACAAAAACAAAAACUAAACGUAAAAGUACGAGAAUCUUUGACCAAAGGGUCUAGUAAUUUUCACGAACUUGAUUGACACUCGUAUUCCCCGGCAACGGCGCCAAUUUUUGAUAACGCUCAAUCUACAGCUCUCGUGGGAGUGUAAAGCGGUCGUUAGCAAAUAUAGAACCCAACCUGGGUUGGGUAUCGAUCCCACAGAGAAUAGCUUGGCCAACAAGCAAGAAAAAUUACUAGACUUUUAGUGCAAGUCUCGUAGGAAAGGGGGGAUUGUAGUAUGUAACCAAAACAAGAAUGUAAGAACUGAAAAUAGCAAAAUAAAGAGAGAUUGUCACGUGUGUUGUAAACAAUGAGAAUUGAGGCGUUGGGGUUAUGUCCACCUUCUGAGGUAUACGUCUCUAUUGGCUAUGAGUGUGUAGAGUCUUGACAUGUAAUUGCUUAUAGAGAAUUGUAGUCGAUGGUAAAUCCAAGCGUCUCUCGACCUAAACAAGGACUAUUUCACUUUAACUCUCUCGAGCUUAAAGCGUGACUAACGGUACGAAUUCUCCAAGAAGUUAGUCCAGGUACGGCACUAGCUUUUUAAUAGGAAAGGGUGUCCUACUACCUUGACAUUAUCUCUUUUCCAGACAAAUAACUUUUCUCUCGAACAAGUCAGAUGUUAGACUGGCGUUGGUCUAUGCGUCUUCUUUUCUAGACAAAUAACCUUUCUCUCGAACAGGUUAGAUGUUAGAAUGGCGUGUUCUUGUGUUUGAACCGCAAAGAAUGUAGAUUUAAGAUGAAGAGAAUAAUGAUAUAAGCAAUAUACUUGUCUUGAACUCACAAACUCAUAGCUAUAGAUAGUAACUCAUUCGGCUUCCAUAACCCCAACUAAGAGAUUUAGUUACCCAUGAAUGCGAAGGAUAUCACGUUUUGCAUGGUGGAUGGCGUGAAUAGUAGGUGUUUGGCGUGUGGUUUUAGUGAUUCCGUAGCAAGUAACAAUUCUCUUGUUGUGGAAUUUAAGAGUAGAAGAAUGAAGAAUUGAGAAUGGGUUGUAGGAAGAUGUCUUAAUUGUAAGGAGAUGAAUGAAUUGUCAGAAUGUCUCCCUUCUUGAAAAUCUCUAACAUGAUAGGGUAUUUAUAAUACUCCUAUCCUACUCCUACUAAACUAAUAAAAUAAAUAACCAAAUCCUAAUAUACUAAUGAAAUCCUUGACCCAAUUGUACUAGGGUAAGGUUACAAAAUUAUAAUCCAAAUAGAAUGAUGAAACACAUAACCUAAUUGCACUAGGUUAAUGUAUUAUGGCAAAAAUCCAGCUUUGUGUCUGUAAGUCCCAAAGUCUUCAGAAAUGCUGUUUUAGCCCGGGACAGAUUUUCCAUGCAGCAGAUUUAGUCCUUUAUGCGUCCAGCUCCUUUCCAUCUCGUUUGUGAGCUUUCUUUUGCGUCAAGUAAGCCAUAAAUUGCUGUAUUUUGCAUCAUUUAUACCUGAAACUUUCCUAAUCACAUUUGUUAGCUCAUUUACAGGAAAAAGGACUAAAAGUGUACGAAAUAGAUAAUUAGUUCUCGAAACUAGGCUAAAAUAUGGGCAAAAUAUAUUGAUAUAGGCGCGUAAUUUCGCCUAUCAUCACCGGGGUUCGGGUGUGCUAUAGGUCAAAAAUCUGUUGGUUCAUUCCAGAAAGGUAGAGGCUCGUACCAGUUUGGUCCGUUUAAAUUUUUGUGGCUAUUUGGGUGGACAAAUGGGUGAAACAACAUUUUUGGGCCAAAUCAGUGCGCUAUAGCCCACGGUUUAGGGGAUGUGCCCAGGGUUUGGGUGUGUCGUGGGCUAAACAUCAAUUGAGGCAUGCUAGAUAGGUUGGGGAUGGUCCCAUUGUCAUCCUUUUAAAUUUAUGUGGAUAUUUGGGUGGACAAACGAGCGAAAAGGCACGAACGAGGCAUUUUUUGGCCAAAUCUAGGUGCUAUAGUCCACAAUUUUGGGGGUGGGCCUGGGGUUCGGGCGUUUUGUGGGAUGAAAAUUGAUUGGGUCUGGAAGGGAGGUUGGGGGUUGUUACAAUAUCAUCCAUUUAAAUUUUGUGGCCAUUUGAGUGGACAAAUGGGCAAAACAUCAUGAAUAGAGCUUUUUUAUGCCAAAUUGGUGUGCUAUAGCCCACAGUUUUGAGGGUGGACCUCGGGUUCGGGCUAGCUAUGGGUCAAAAAUUGAUCGGGCAGGGGGGAUGAGGGUCAUCUCUCUGAGGUUCGUUUAAAUUUUUGUGGCCAUUUGGGUGGACUAACGGGUGGAACGACAUGAACGGGGCAUUUUUGGGCAAAAUCGUUGUGCUAUAGCCCACGGUUUUGGGGGUGGGGUCGAAGUUUGGACGUUCUACUGGGGUAUGACUGAGAGGUUGAGGAUCAUCCUAGUAUGGUCUAUUUAAAUUUUCAUGGCCAUUUGGGUAGACAAUCGGGUGAAAUGGCUUGAACGAAGCAUUAUUGGGGUAAAUCAGGUUGUUAUAGCCCACAGUUUUGGGGGUGGGCCUGGGUCCGGGUGUGCAGAGCACCAAAAAUCAAUCGGGGAAUCCAAGGAGAAUGGGGAUCAUCCCAGUGUGGUCCAUUUAAAUUUUCAUGGCUAUUUUGGUUGAUAAACAGGCAAAACGACAUAAAUAGGGCAUUUUCGAGCCAAAUCGAUGUGCGAUAGCCCAUGGUUUCAGGGGUAGGCCCAGGGUACAGGCAUGUUGUGGGCCAAAAAUUGACCGAGGUAUGGCAUGGAGGUUGGGGAUCACCCCUGUGUGGUCUAUUUAAAUUUUCGUGGCCAUUGGAGUUGACAAACAGGCAAAACGAUGCGAACAGAGCAUUUUCAGUCCAAAUUGGUGUGCAAUAGCCUACGAUUUUGGGGUAGGCUCGGGGUCCAGAUGUUUUGUAGGCCAAAAAUUAAACGAGGCAUCCAAGGAUGUUAUGGAUUAUCCCAGUAUGGUCUGUUUAAAUUUUUGUAGCAGUUUGGGUGGACAAAUGUGCGUAACGACGCGAACAGGGCAUUUUAGGGCUAAAUUGGUGUUAUAUUGCCCACGAUUUUAGGGGUUGUCCCGGGAUACGGGCAUACUGUGGGACAAAAAUCGACAAGGGCAUGCCAAGGGGGGUGGGGAUCAACCCAACGUGGUCUGUUUAAAUUUUUGUAGCCAUUUGAGUAGAUAAAUGGGUGAAACUGAGUGAACUGGCAUAUUUGGGGUAAAUUGGUGUGCUAUAGCUCGAGGUUUUGGGGGUGGGCUAGGCUCCGGGGUUCUGUGGGCCAAAAAUUAAUCAGGGAUGCAUGGGAGGUUGGGGAUUUUCCCUGUGAAGUCCGUUUGAAUUUUCGUGACCGUUUGGGUAGAAAACGAGCGAAAUGGCAUGAACGGGGCAUUUUCUGGCAAAAUUGGUGUGCUAUAGCCCAUUAUUUUAGGGGUGGGCCUGCGAUCCGGACAUGCUGUUGGCUGAAAAUUGACUAGGGCAUGCUAGGGAGGUUGGGGAUUAUCCCAGUGUGGUUUGUUUAAAUUUUUGUAGUCAUUUGAGUGGACAAAUGGGCGAAACGGCGUGAAUGAGGCAUUUUUGGGCUAAAUUAAUGUGCUAUAGCCCACGAUUUUAGGUGUGACCCUAGGGUCCAAGCUUGAUGUGGGUCAAAGAUUGACCGAGGCAUGCCAUGGAGUUUAGGGAUCGUCCUCAUAUGGUCCAUUUAAAUUUUUGUGGUCAUUUGGGUGGACAAACGGGCGUAAUGACGCGAACAGGGCAUUUUCGAGCUAAAUCGGAGUGCUAUGUCCCACGAUUUUAAGGGUGGGCAUGGGGUCCGAGCAUGCUGGGGGAUGAAAAUCAAUUGAGGCAUGCCAGGGAGGUUGAAGAUCAUCCCAGUGUGAUCCAUUUAAAUUUUCUUACCAUUUGGGUGGACAAACGGAUGAAACGGUGCAAAUGAGGUAUUUUCGGGCCAAAUCGGUUUGCUAUAGCCUACGAUUUCGGGGGUGGUCUCAAGGUCCAGCGUGCUUUGGGCCGAUAAUCAACUGAGGCAUGCCAGGGAGAUUGAGGAUCAUUCCAGUGUGAUCCGUUUAAAUUUUUGUGGCCAUUUGGAUGUAUUAACGGGCGAAACAACGCAAACGAUGCAUUUUGGGGUCAUAUCAGUGUGCUAUAGAACAUGGUUUUGGGGGUAGGCUCGGGGUUCGGGCGUGUUGUGUAUCAAAAAUUGACUGGGAAAUGGUAGAAAGAUUGGGGAUCACCCCAGUAUGGUCUUUUUGAAUUUUCAUAGAGAUUUGGAUAGACAAAUGAUUGAAACAGCACGAACGGGACAUUUUCAGGACAAAUCGGUGUGCUAUAGCCCAUGAUUUUAGAGGUAGGCCUAGGGUCUGGGUGUGUUGUAUGCCAAAAAUCAUUUGGGGCGUACCAAGGUGUUGGGGAUCAUCCCAGUGUCGUACGUUUAAAUUUUUUAUGGCUAUUUGGGUGGACAAAAGGGCGAAACAGCGCGAACAGAGCAUUUUCUGGCCAAAUCGGUGUGCUAUAGCCAAUGAUUUUGGGGGUGGACAUGGGGUUCGGGUGUUCUAUAGGCCAAAAAAUGAUCGGGGUGUGCCAGGGUUAUUGGAGAUAAUCCCAGUAUGGUCGGUUUAAAUUUUUGUGGUUAUUUGGGAGGACAAAUGGGCUAAACGGAAUGAACGGGGCAUUUUCGGGCAAAAUCGGUGUUCUUUAGCCAACGGUUUCAGGUGUGGACUCGGGGUCAAGGCUUGCUGUGGGCUAAAAAUUGACCAAGGCAUGUCAAGGAGAUUAGGAUCAUCCUAGUAUGGUCCAUUUAUAUUUUCGUGGCCAUUUGGGUGGACAAACGGGCAAAACGGUGCGAACGGGGCAUUUUUGGGGCAAAUCAGUGUGCUAUAGCCCAUGGUUUUGGGGGUGAGCCCAAAGUGUAGGCAUGAUGUUGGCUAAAAAUCGACCAGAGAGUGCCAGGGAGGUUGGGGAUUAUCCCAGUGUUGUCCGCUUAAAUUUUUUUGGCCAUUGAAGUGGACUAACGGCGCGAAGGAGGCAUUUCUGGGCCAAAUCAGUGUUUUAUAGCCCACGAUUUCGGGGGUGGGAUUGGGGUCUGAGCUUUUUGUAGGCUAAAAACCCACUGAGGCAUGUCAGGGAGGUUAGGUAUUAUCAUAGUGUGGGACGUUUAAAUUUUUUAAGCCAUUUAGGUGGAAAAAUGGGUUUAACAGCGCGAAUAGGGCAUUUUCAAGCCAAAUUGGUAUGGUAUAGACCACGGAUUUUGGGGUGAGCCCGCGGUCCGGGUGUGCUGUCAGUCAAAAAUUGACCUGGGCAUGCCAGGAGGUUGAAGAUCAUCGCAGUGUGGUCCGUUUAAAUUUUCGUGGCCAUUCGGGUGGACAAACAGGCAAAGUGGUGCGAACAACGCAUUUUGGGCUAAAUCGGUGUGCUAUAACUCAUGAUUUUGUGGGGUGGUCCUAGGGUACGGGCAUGUUGUGGGCCAAAAAUUGACCGGGGCAUGUCAGGGAGGUUGGGGAUCAUCCCAGUAUAGUCUGUUUAAAUUUUCGUGGCCAUUUUGGUGGAUUAAAAGGCAAAACAGUGUGAACGGGGCAUUUUUGGGCCAAAUUGGUGUGCAGCCCACAAUUUUGGGGGUGGGCCUAGGGUUCGGGUUUGCUGUAGGGUAUAAAUUGAUCGGAGCAUGCCACGGAGGUAGGUGAUCACGCUAGUAUGGUCCAUUUAAAUUUUCAUGGCCAUUCGAGUGGAAAAACGGGCACACCGGGGUGAAUUGGGCAUUUUCGGGCCAUGUUCGUCUGCAAAAGCCCAUGGUUUCAUAGGGUGGGCCCAGGGUCCAGGUUUACUAUUGGGAAAAAAUUGAUCGGGGUGCUAGGGAGGUUGGGGAUCCUCCCUGGGUCCUCUGAUUAAAUUUUAGUGGCCAUUUGGAUGGACAAACUAGCGUAACGACGUAAACGGGGAAUUUUCGGGAAAAAUCGGUGUGCUAUAGUCAAUGAUUUUAGGGAUGGGCCCGAUGUUCAGGCGUUUGGGGGAUGAAAAUUGAAUGGGGCAUGCCAGGGAGGUUGAGGUUGAUCCCAGUAUGGUCCGUUUAAAUUUUUGUGUCCAUUUAGGUUGCCAAACGGGAGAAACUAUGUGAGUAGGGCAUCUUUGGGAAAAAUUGUUGUGAUAUAGUCCACGGUUUUGGGGUGGGCCGAGUGUCUGGGCGUUAUGUGGGCCAAAAAAUGAUCGGGCAUGCCAGAGAGGUUGGGGAUUAUCCCAGUGUUGUCCAUUUAAAUUUUCGUGGCCAUUUGGGUGGAUAAACAUGCAAAACGACGACGUGAAUGGAGCAUUUUUGAGAUAAAUCGAUCUGUUAUAGCCCAUGAUUUUGGGGGUGGGCCCGGGGUUCGAGCAUGUUGUGGUCCAAAAAUUGCCUGGGGCAUGCCAGGGAAGUUAUGGAUUUUCCCAAUGUUAUUCGUUUUAAUUUUCAUGGCCAUUUGGGUGGACAAAUGGACGAAACAGUGCAAACGGGACAUUUUUGGAUUAAGUAAGUAUGCUAUAGCCAAUGGUUUUGGGGGUGGACCCAAGGUACGAUCGUGCUGUGGGCUAAAAAUCAACCGAGGCAUGCCAGGAAGGUUGGGGAUCAUCCCAGUAUGGUCUGUUUAAAUUUUUGUGGCCAUUUGGGUGGACAAAAAGGCAAAAUGGCUCGAAUGGGGCAUUUUUGGGCCAAAUCGGUGUGCUAUAACGUACGGUUUUGGGGGUGGGAUCAAGGUACGGGGAAGCUGUGGGCUAAAAAUCAACCGAGGUUUGUCAGGGAGGUUCGAGAUCAACCCUGUUUGGUCUGUUUAAAUUUUUACGGCCAUUUGGGUAGACAAACAAGUGAAACAGCGGAAUCGGGCAUUUUUAGGCUAAAUCGGUGUGCUAUAGCCUAUGGUUUUGGGGGUGGGCUCGGGUUUUGGGCAUGUUGUGGGCCAAAUAUCGAUUGGGGAAUUCCAGGUAGGUUGGGGAUCAUCCCAGUUUUGCCUGUUUAAAUUUUUGUGGCUCUUUGGGUGGACAAACGGGCGAAACAGCGUGAACGGGGCAUUUUUAGGCUAAAUCAGUUUUCAUUAGCCCACAAUUUUGGGGGUUGGCCCGGGGUCUGAGGAUACUGUGGGGGGCCAAAAUCGAUCGAGCCAUGAUAUAGAGGUUUUUUGUUUGUUCCAGUGUGGUCUGUUUAAGUUUUGUGGCCAUAUGUGUGGACAAACGGGCACAAAUGUACAAAAGGGGCAUUUUUGGGCAAAAUCGGUGUGCUAUAGCCCACGGUUUCUAGGGUGGUCUGGGCAUGCUGUGGGCAUUAAAUUGACCGAGGAAUGCCAAGGAGGUUGGGGAUUAUCCUAGUGUGGUCUAUUUAAAUUUUCGUGGCUAUUUAGGUGGAUAAACCGAUGAAACAAUAUGAACGGGGUAUUUCGGGCCAAAUCAGUGUGCUAUAUCCCAUGGUUUCUGGGUGGGUCCAGGGUCCAGGUGUGCCGUUUGCCAAAAAUUGAUCGGAGCGUGUCAGGAAUGUUGAGGACUAUUCCAGUGUGGUCCGUUUAAAUUUUUAUGGUCAUUUGGGUGUACAAACGGGUGAAACGGCACGAACGGGGUGUUUUCGGGCUAAAUCGAUGUGUUAUAGCCCACAAUUUUGAGGGUGAGCACACGGUUUUAGGGGUUUCCCUACGGUUUCAGAGUAUUGUGGGCCAAAACUUAAUAGGGGUGUGCUAGGGAGUUUAAGGAUCGUCACAGUGUGGUCCGCUUAAAUUUUUGUGGCUAUUUGGGUGGACAAACGAGCCAAACUGGGCAAAUAGGGGAUUUUUAGGCCAAAUCGGUGUGUUAUAGCCCACAUUUUUUGAGGUGGACGCUGAGUUCGGGCGUACUGUGGGCCAUAAAUUGAUCGGUGGGUGCUAGGGUGGUUGAGGAUCAUUCCAGUAUGGUCUGUUUAAAUUUUGUGGCUAUUUGGGUGGAUAAACGGGCAAAACUGGAUGAACGGGGUGUUUUCUGGCCAAAUCAAUGUGCUAUAGCCCACGGUUUUUGGGAGUGGGCCCGGGGUUCAAGUGUGCUGUGGGCUAAAAAUCUGCCAAGGCAUGCCAAGAAGGUUAGGGAUCAUUCCAGUAUGGUCCGUUUAAAUUUUUAUGGCUAUUCAGGUAGAUAAACAAGCGAAACGGUGCGUACGGGGCAUUUUCGAGCAAAAUCGGUUUGGUAUAGCCCACAGUUUUGGGGGUAAGCUCGAGGUCCGGGUAUGUUGUGGGCCGACAAUCGACUGGGGCAUGCUAGGGAGGUUGGGGAUCAUUCCAGUGUGGUCCGUUUAAAUUUUUGUGGCCAUUUGGGUGCUCAAAUGGACGAAAUGAUGCAAACGGUCCAUUUUCGAGAAAAAUUAGUGUGAUAUAGCCUACGGUUUCAGGGGUGAGACCGUGGACCGGGCAUGCUGUGUGUCAAAAAUUGACCAGGGCAUACCAAGGAUUUUGAGGAUCAUCCCAGUGUGGUUUGUUUAAAUUUUUGUGUCCAUUUAUUUGGACAAAUAAUUGAAACAACAUGAACGGGAUAUUUUCGGGCCAAAUCGAUGUGCUAUAACUCGCGGUUUUGGAGGUAGGCUUGGGGUCCGGGCGUGUUAUAUACGAAAAAUUGACCGAGGCAUGCCAGGGAGGUUGGGGAUCAUCCCAGUGUGGUCCUUUUAAAUUUUCAUGGCUAUUUGGGUAUAUAAAGUGUGAAACAGCGUGAUCGGGGCAUUUUCUAGCCAAAUUGGUAUGCUAUAGCCAACGAUUUUGGGGGUGGGCGCAGGGUUCGAGUGUGCUGUAGGGCCAAAAUUAAUCGGGGCAUGGUAGGGUAGUUGAGGAUCAUCCCAGUGUGGUCCAUUUAAAUUUUUGUGGUUAUUUGGGUGGACAAAAGGGUGAAAUGGCAUGAACGAGGCAUUUUUGGGCUAAAUCGGUUUGCUAUAGCCCAUGAUUUCAGGUGUGGGCCUGGGAUCCAGGCUUGCUGUGGGUCAAAGAUUGACCGAGGCAUUCCAGGGAGGUUAGGGAUUCUCCCAGUGUGGUCCGUUUUAAUUUUUGUGGCCAUUUGGGUGGACAAACAGGCGUAACGACGUGAACGGAGCAUUUUCGAGCCAAAUUGGUGUGCUAUGGCCCACGGUUUUAGGGGUGGUGUGCUGGGGGAUGAAAAUUAACUGAGCCGUUCCAAGGAGGUUCUUUUAAAUUUAUGUGGUCAUUUGGGUGGACAAACGGGCGGAACAGCACGAAUAGGGCAUUUUUGGGCCAAAUCGAUGUGCUAUAGCCCACGGUUUCAGGUGUGGGCCCAGGGUCCAGGAUUGCUGUGGGCCAAAAACUGACUGAGGCUCCCAGGGAUUAUCCCACUAUGGUUCAUUUAAAUUUUCAUGUCCAUUUAGGUGGACAAACUGGCAAAACGUCGUGAACGAGGCAUUUUUAAGCUAAAUCGGUGUUCUAUAGCCAAGGGUUUCGGGGUUGGGCCAGGGGUUCGGACAUGCUGGGGGCCAAAAAUCAACUCGGGCAUACCAGGGAGGUUGGGAAUCAUCCCAGUCUUGUCUUUUUAAAUUUUUGUGGCCAUUUGAUUGGACAAACGGCGCAAACGAGGCAUUUCUAGGCUAAAUCGGUGUUCUAUAACCCGCGAUUUUAGGGGUGGGAUCGGAGUCCGAGUGUGUUGUGUGCUGAAAAUCAACUAAGGCAUCCUAGGGAGGUUGGGGUUUACCCCAGUGUAUCUCGUUUAAAUUUUUGUUGCUAUUUAGGUGGACAAACGGGCAUAACGGCGCAAACAGGGUAUUUUUAGGACAAAUCGGUGUGCUAUAGCCCACAGUUUUGGGGGUGGGCCCAAGGUUCAGGCGUGCUCGGAGCCAAAAAUUGACCAAGGAUUUCCAGGGAGGUUGAAGAAUAUCCCAGUGUGGUCCGUUUAAAUUUUCGUGGCUAUUCUGGUGGACAAACGAGCAAAAUAACAUGAACGAGAAAUUUUUAGGCUAAAUCGGUGGGCUAUAGCACACAGUUUUGGGUGUGGACCCGGGGUUCGAGCAUGCUAUAGGCCAGGGUAGUAGGGGAUCAUCCCAGUGUAGUCCUUUUAAAUUUUUGUGGCCAUUUGGGUAGAUAAACGGGAAAAACUACAUGAACGGGGCAUUUUUAGACCAAAUCGGUGUGCUAUAGCCUACAGUUUUGGGAAUGGGCCCAGGGUCCGAAUGUAGUGUGGUCCAAAAAUUGAUCGGGGCAUUCCAGGGAGGUUGGGUAUCAAUCCUGUGUGAUCCGUUCAAAUUUUCAUUGCCAUUUGGGUGGACAAACGGGUGAAACAGCACGAACGGGGCAUUCUUGGGCCAAAUCGAUGUGCUGUAUCCCACGAUUUUAGGGGUGAGCUUGAGGUUCGAGCAUGCUGUGGGCUAAAAAUUGAAUGGGGCUUGCCAGAGAGGUUGAGGAUCAUCCCAGUGUGGCCUUUUUAUAUUCUCGUAUCAAUUUGGGUGGACAAACGGAGAAAUGACCUAAAUUGGGCAUUUUUAGUCAAAUCGGUGUGCUAUAGCCCAUAGUUUUGGGGUGGGCCCAGGGUCUUGGCAUGUUGUCAGAAAAAAAUUUAUUGAGGCAUGCCAGGGUGGUUGGCGAUCUUUCCAGUAUGGUCCAUUUAAAUUUUUGUGGCUAUUUGGAUCGAUAAACCGGUAAACCUGUACGAACAGGGCAUUUUCAGACCAAAUCGGUGUGCUAUAGCCCACAGUUUUUUGAAUGGGCCAAUGGUUCGGACAUGGUAUGGGCUGAAAAUUGAUCGAAGCAUGCUAGGGAGGUUGGGGAUCGAUGUAGUGGGGUCCGUUCAAAUUUUUGUGUCUAUUUGGGUGGACAAAUAGGUGAAACGGCACGAACGGAGCAUUUUUAGCCCAAAUCAGUGUGCUAUAACCCAUAGUUUUGGGGGUGGGCCCGGGGUCCGGGUGUACCAUGGGAUGAAAAUUGAUUAGGGCAUGUCAGGGAGGUUGGGGAUCAUCCCAGUGUGGUCCUUUUAAAUAUUCAUGGCCAUUGGGUGUACAAACGGGUGAAACAGCGUGAACGAGGCAUUUUUGGGCCGAAUUGGUGUGCUAUAGCCUAUGGUUUCAGGGGUGGGGCAUUUUCGCGCCAAAUCGACAUGCUGUGGGUAAAAAAUUGACUAGGGCAUGCUAGUGAGGUUGAGGAUCAUCCCAGUGUGGUCCAUUUAAAUAUUCGCGGCCAUUUACAUGGAUAAACGGGCAAAAUGCGUGAACGGGGCAUUUUUUGGCAAAAUCGGUGUGCUAUAGCCCACGGUUUUGGGUUUGGGCCUGGGGUCUAGGUGUUCUGUAUACCAAAAAUUGAUCGGGGUGUGCUACGGAGGUUGAAGAUUAUCUUAGUAUGGUCCGUUUAAAUUUUUCUGGCAAUUUAGGUGGACAAACGAGUAAAACGGCGCAAACGGGGCAUUUUUGGGCCAAAUCGAUGUGAUAUAGCCCACAUUUUCAGGGGUGGGCUAAGAUUUUAGGCAUGUUGUGGUACGGAAAUUAACCGGGGUAUGCCAGGGAGGUUGCAAUCAUCCCAGUAAGAUCUUUUCAGAUUUUCUUGGCCAUUUAGGUGGACAAAUAGGAAAAACUGCACGAACGGGGCAUCUUCGGGCUAAAUCGGAGUGGUAUAGUCCACGAUUUUGGGAGGGGGGCGCAUGGGCUUCAAGCGUGCUUUUUGUCAAAAAUUUUCUAGGGAGGUUGGGGAUCAUUCCAUUGUCGUCCGUUUAAAUUUUCAUGGCCAUGUGGGUGGACAAACCAGCAAAACAGCACGAACGAGGAAUUUUCGAGCCAAAUAGUUGUGCUAUAGCCCACGGUUUUGAGUGUGGGCCCGGGGUCCGAUCAUGAUAUGGUCUAAAAAUUGAUUGAGGUGUACCAGGGAAGUUGGGGAUUAUCCCAGUGUGGUCUGUUUUAAUUUUCGUGGCCAUUUGGGUUGACAAAUGGGCAAAACGGCGCGAACGAGGCAUUUUUGGGCCAAAUCGGCGUUCUAUAGCCCACGGUUUUAGGGGUGGGAUGGAAAUUGACCGUGACAUGCCAAGAAGGUUGGGGAUCAUCCCAGUGUGGUUCGUUUAAAAUUUCUUGGCCAUUUAGGUAGACAAACGGACGUAACGACAGGAACAAAAUAUUUUUUAGCUAAAUCGGUGUGCUAUAGCUCAUGGUUUCUGGGGUGGUCCUGGGGUCCGAGUGUGCUGGGGACCAAAAAUUGAUCGGGACAUGCCAAAGAGUUUGAAGAUCAUCCCAGUGUGGUCCAUUUAAAUUUUUGUGGACAUUUCAGAGGACAAACGGGUGAAAUGGCGCGAACGGGGCAUUUUUAGGUCAAAUUGGUAUGCUUCAGCCCAUGGUUUUGGGGGUAGGCCCGGGGUUCAAGCAUUCUUGGGAGGUUGGGGAUCAUCCCAGUGUGGUCCGUUUAAAUUUUUGUGGCCAUUUGGGUGGACAAACAUGCAAAAUGACACGAAUGGGGCAUUUUCGGGCCAAAUCAUUGAUCUAUAGCCCACGAUUUCGGGGGUACGCAUGGGGUCCAGGUGUUAUAUGUUCAAAAAAUCGACCAGGGCAUACCUGGGAGGUUGGGGAUCAUCCCAGUGUGGUCAGUUUAAAUUUUUGUGGCUUUUUUGGCGAACAAACGGGCAAAACUACGCGAACGGGGAAUUUUUGGGCCAAAUUGAAGUGCUAUAGACAUGGUUUUGGGGGUGGGAUUGGGAUCCGGUGUUCCUGGGAGGUUGAGGAUCUUCCUAGUGUGGUUCGUUGAAAUUUUUGCGGCUAUUUCGGUGGACAAACGGGCAAAAUGAUGCAGAAAGGGUAUUUUUCAGCUAAAUUCAUGGCUAUAGUCCACGGUUUCAGGGGUGGGACCAAGGUCCUAGUGUGCUGUCUUCUAAAAAUAAACAGGGGCAUGCUAGGGAGGUUGGCUGGACAAACAGGUAAAACUGUGCAAAUAGGGCAUUUUUGGGCAAAUCGGUGUGCUCAAACCCACAGUUUCAGAAGUAGUCCUGGGGUCCGAACGUGCUGUAAGCCAAAAAUCGAUGGGGCAUGCCAAUGAGGUUGGGGAUCAUCCCAGUGUGGUCCGUUUAAAUUUUCUUGGCCAUUUGUGUAGUCAAACAGGAGAAGCGGUGUGAACGGGGCAUUUUCGUACCAAAUUGGUGUCCUAUAGCCUACGAUUUUGGGGGUAGGCCCGAGUUUUGGGCAUGUAGUGGGCCAAAAUCGACCGGGGUAGUCCAGAGAGGUUGGUAAUCAUCCCAAUGUGGUUCAUUUAAAUUUUCAUGGCCAUUUGGGUGAACAACAGGGGAAACGACACAAAUAGGGCAUUUUUUGGGCAAAUUAAUGUUCUAUAACCCACGGUUUCAAGGGUAAGCCCGGGGUUGGGGCAUGUUGUAGGACAAAAAUUAAUUGAGGCAUGAUUGGAGUUGGGGAUCAUCCCAGUGUGGUCCAUUUAAAUUUUCCUAGCCAUUUGCGUGGACAAACGGGUGAAACAACGUGAACGGGACAUUUUCAGGCUUAAUCGGUGUGCUAUAGGCCAUGGUUUUGAGGGUGGACAUGGGGUCAAAGCAUUCUGUCGGCCAAAAAUCAACCGGGGCAUUCCAUGAGGGUUAAGGAUCAUCCUAGUGUGGUCCGUUUAAAUUUUUGUGCCCAUUUGGGCGGACAAACGGGCAAAACGGCGCAAACGGGGCAUUUUUGGGCAAAAUCGGUGUUAUAUAGCCCACAGUUUUGGGGGUGGGCCUAGGGUUUGGGCGUUCUGUUUAUAAAAAAUCAAUCAAGGCUUUCCAGAGAGGUUGGGGAUCAUCUCAGUAUGGUCCGUUAAAUUUUUUGAGGCUAUUUGAGAGGACAAAUGGGCAAAACAGCGUAAAUGAGGCAUUUUUGGGCUAAAUCAGUGUGCUAUAGCCCAUGGUUUUGGGGGUGGGCCAGGGAAUGUGUAGGAGGUUGGGGAUAUUCCCAGUUUGGUUUGUUUAAAUUUUCAUAGCUAUUUGGGUGGAAAAACGUGUUAAGCAGUGCAAAUGAGGCAUUUUAAAGCAAAAUUGAUAUGCUAUAGCCCACGAUUUUGAAGGUGGGCCCAAGAUCUGGGCUUGUUAUGGACCGAAAAUCGAUCGGGGCAUGAUUGGGAGGUUGGGAUCAUCCCAUCGUUGUUUGUUUAAAUUUUCAUGGCCAUUAGGGUGGAUAAACGUGUGAAACGACACAAAUGGGGCAUUUUUCGGGCCAAAUCGGUGUGUUAUAGCCUAUGAUUUUGGGGGUUGGCCCAGGGUCUAGGUGUGCUGUGGGUCGAAAAUCAAUCAAGGUGUGCCAGGGAGGUUGGGAAUCGUCUUAGUAUGAUCCAUUUAUAUUUUUGUGACCAUUUAGUUGGACAAACGGGCGAAACAUUGUGAACGGGGCAUUUUCAGGCUAUGUCAUUUGCUAUAGCCUAUGGUUUCAGGGGUGGGCCCUGGUUCCAGGCGUGCAGUGGGAAAAAAAUUGAUAGGGGUAUGCCAGGGAGGUUGGGGAUCAUCCCAAUGUGGUCCGUUUAAGUUUUUGUGAACAUUUGGGAGGACAAACGCGCGAAAUGACAUACGGGGAAUUUUUAAGCUAAAUCAGUGUCCUAUAGCCCACGAUUUCGAGGAUGGGCUCGGGGUUCGGGCGUUUUGUGGGCCUAAAAUUUAUCGAGGCAUGUCAAGGAGUUUGGGGAUCAUCCCAGUAUGGUCCGCUUUAAUUUUCCAGGCAAUUUGGGUGGGCAAACGGGUGAAACAGCGCGAACAGCGCAUUUCGAACUAAAUUGGGGUGCUAUAGGCCAUGAUUUCAUGGGUAGGCUCGGGUUAUGGUCAUUCUGUGGGAAUAAAAUUGAUCGGUUCUUUCUAAGGAGGUUGGGGAUCAUCCCAGUGUGGUCCUUUAAAUUUUCAUCGCCAUUUGGGUGGACAAAUGGGCGAAACGGCACGAACGGGGCUUUUUUGGCCAAAUUGGUGUGCUAUAGCCCACGGUUUUGAGGGUGAACCCGGGGUCCGGGCAUGCUGUGGGCUAAAAAUCAACCAGGGUCUUCUAGGGAGGUUUGUGAUCAUCCCAGUAUAGUUCAGGGUUUUGGGGGUGGGCCUAGGGUCCGGGCAUGCUAUAGGACAAAAAUUGAUCGGGGCAUGACAAGGGGGUUGAGGAUCAUCCCAGGGUGGUUUGUUUAAAUUUUUAUGGCCAUUUGAGUGGACAAAUGGGAAAAAUAGCGCAAAUGGGCCAUUUUCAAGCCAAAUCAGUGUGAUAUAGCCCAUGGUUUUGGAGAUGGGCCUGGGGUCCGGGCGUGCUGUGUAUCGAAAAUUGAUCGAGGCUUGCCAGGGAGGUUGGGGAUCGUCCCAGUGUGGUUCAUUUAUUUUUUUGCGCCAAUUUGGGUGGAAAAACGGGCAAAACCAUGUGAAUGGGGCAUUUUCGGGCUAAAUUGGUUUUCUAUUGCCCACGAUUUUGAGGGUAGAAUGGGGGUCCGAGCGUGUUGUCGGCUAAAAAUCAAUCGGGGCAUGCCAGGGAAGUUGGGGAUAGUCCCAGUAUGGUUCUUUUAAAUUUUUGUACCCAUUUGGGUGGAAGAAUGGGCUAAACGGCACGAACUAGGCAUUUUUGGGCCAAAUUGAAAAUUAUAGCCCACGGUUUUGGGGGUGGACCAGGGAUCCGGGCAUGUUGUGGGCCAAAAAUUGACUGGGGUAUGCCAGGGAGGUUGGGGAUUGUCCUAGUGUGGUCCGUUUAAAUUUUUGUGGCCAUUUGGGUGGACAAACGUGCGAAACGAUGUAAAUGGGACAUUUUCGGACUAAAUCGGUGUGCUAUUGCCCACGUUUUUUUGGGGUGGGCCUAGGGUUCGGGCGUGCUGUGAGCUAAAAAUUGACCGGGGCGUGCCAGGGAGGUUUGGAAUUGUCUUAGUGUGGUUUGUUUAAAUUUACGUGGCAAUUCGGGUGGACAAACAAGCAAAACAAUGAGAACAGGGAAUUUCGGGCCAAAUCGGUGUACUAUAGCAAACGGUUUUUGGGUGGGCUCGGGGUUCGAGCAUGCAGAGGGUUAAAAAAUGAUUGGGGCAUGCCAGGGAGGUAGGGAAUUAUCCCAGUGUGGUUUUUUUAAAUUUUUGUGGCCAUUUGGGUGGACAAACAGGUAAAAUGGUGAGAACGGGGCAUUUUUGGGCUAUAGCAAAUUGUUUUUGGGGGUAAGCCGGGGGUCCGGGCGUGUUGUGGGUCAAAAAUUGACAUAGGCGUGCUAGGAAGGUUGGGGAUCAUCCCAAUAUAGUUUGUUUAAAUUUUUGUGGCCAUUUGGGUUGACAAACCAGGAAAAUAGCUCGAACAUGGCAUUUUCGGGCCAAAUCGGUGUGCUAUAUCCCACGGUCUUGAGGGUGGCCACGGGGUCCGAGCGUGCGUGGGGAAAAAAUUGAUCGGGACAUGCAAGGGAUAUUGGGAUCAUCCCAGUAUGGUCCAUUUAAAUUUUGGUAGCCAUUUGGGUGGACAGACGUGUGAAAUGAUAAAAAUAAGGUAUGUUCGAGUUAAAUCGGUGUGAUAUAGCCUACGGUUUUUGAGCCGGACCCGGGGUCUGGGCGUUCUGUGGUCUAACAAUCAACCGAAGCAUGAUAGGGAGGUUUAGGAUCAUCCCAGUAUGGUCGCUAUAAAUUUUUGUGGCCUUUUGGGUCAACAAAUAAGCAAAACGGCGUGAACGGGGAAUUUUCAGGCAAAAUCAGUUGUUAUAGCCCAUGGUAUCGGGGGUAGCCCGGAGGUCCAGGUGUGCUGUGGGCCAAGAAUCGAUCGGAGUAUGACAGGGAGAUUUGGGCCAAAUCGGUGUGCUAUAGCUUACGAUUUUGGGGGUUGGCCUUGGGUCCGAGCGUGCUGUGUGCCUAAAAUUGAUCGGGGCAUUCCAGGGAGGUUGGGGAUCAUCCCAGUGUCAUCCUUUUAAAUUUUCGUGGCCAUUUGGAUGGACAAACAGGCGAGAUGGCAUGAGCUGGGCAUUUUUUCAGGGCAAAUCGGUGUGCUAUAGCCCAUGGUUUUUGGGGUAAGCCAGGGGUUUGGGCGUGCUGUGGGAUAAAAAUUCGAUCGGGGUGUGAAAAGGAGGUUGAGGAUCAUCCCAGUAUGGUCCGUUUAAAUUUUUGAGGCCAUUUGGGUGGAGAAACGGGCAAAACAGUGUGAACGGAGCAUUUUUAGGCCAAAUCUAUGUGCUAUAGCCUAUAGUUUUGGCGGUGAGCCCAGGGUUUGGGCCUUUUGUGGGCCAAAAAUUGACCGGGGCAUGCCAGGGAGGUUGGGGAUUGUCCCAGUGUGGUCCGUUUAAAUUUUUGUGUCCAUUUGGGUGGACAAAUGGGAUAAUUAGCGUGAACGGGGCAUUUUCGAGCCUAAUCGGUGUGCUAUAGCCAAUGGGUUUGGGGGUGGGCUUGGGAUCCAGGAGUGAUGUGGCAUGAAAAUCAACCGGGGCAUGCCUGGAUAUUGGUGAUCGUUCUAGUGUGGUCUGUUUAAAUUUUUGUGACCAUUUGGGGGGGACAAACAGGUACAACGGCACAAAUAUGGCAUUUUUUGGCCAAAACGAUGUGCUAUAGCCCAUGGUUUCGAGGUUAGGCCCGGGGUUCGGGCACGUUGUGGGCCUAAAAUUGACUGGGGAGUGCUAGAGAGGAUGAGGAUCAUCCAAGUAUAGUCCGUUUAAAUUUUCCUGUCUAUUUGGGUGGGAAAACGGAUGAAACGGCACAAACGGUGUGUUUUCAGACCAAAUUGUGGUGCUAUAGCCUAUGGUUUCGGGAGUGGGCUCAGGGUCCGGGUGUUCUGUGGGCCGAAUAUCAAUCGGGGCGUGCCAAGGAUGUUGGGGAUCAUCCUUUUAUGGCCAAGAACACCAAGAACCUUCAACAAGAUUUGAAGAUCAAGGUUGAAGUUGAACCUCCCAAGAAAAACAACACCUCUUCCAACACAAAUCCACAACCACAAUACCAACAACACACCUUUAAACGUUCAAAUUCUGCAUCCACCACAACAACACCAACAACAAUUCGGCCCAACUUUUGAAUCCGCACAACAACAAUACAAAUAAGAGUUCAACUUAUAUCUUGACUUUAUUAGUGUUAGGGAAGAACAAACCAACACUAACAAAACUCAAGACUCAUGAAAUAUACCUAGAUCUAGACUCAAAGAACAAAUCUCAGCCAAGACAACAACAAGAAUAACAACUUUCUCGGACAAGAACACCAAACGUAAGAACACAACUCUUUUUGUGAGAUUUUUGACCUUAGACACCUCUUCUAGUGUUAGGAAACAAAGAUCUAAAACUAGAAUACACAAAACACACAAAAAUCAGAAGAAAACUAGGCUUCAAAUUUUGUCCUAAACACAAAACCGUGGACAGAUUACUAUUUUGAAUUUUUUCAAAUUUUUUUCAACACUUUUAUUUUUUAUUUUUGAGUGAACAAACCCAAGAUUGAUCUCGUGGGAACGAAAUCAAUGAUAGAUCUAAUACCAAAUGAUACCUUACAACCCCAAGAAGACACAAAACAUCCCCCAAAACGUCACAAAACACACCACAAACCGAGUGCCCAAGGAACCAAGUCUCGACCAAGAAUACCAACACAAGAAUGAAAAGGAAAUCCAAGAAUGCUUCAACAAUGGAGAGAUAAUAACGUGUAUAACUACAUCAAAACAGCAACAACACUCCAUUAAUGUGAUGAAUAAUAAUCUUACAAUAACACCAACCAACUAUUACAAGAAGAUAAGACACAACUACUACAAGAUGAAAUCAAAGGUAAAGGGAUAGAUAGUUAGACAAAAGUUGUGUGAAUCCUUGUAACCAAAGAGUACAUAAAAAUCUAAGACCCCUAACACCUCUACACAUGAUCACCUAACUCUUAUGAUGACACAAGAGAGUAUUCCACCACUCAAGCGCCAAGGUUUCUCAAAAACAAGCAAUUACAAGAUAUUCCACCCUUGAAUUGCUAUCCUAGUUACAAUUUUUGGUUUGCCUCAAGUAGAGAGAGGACUUUGGUGUUUCAAAUGUCAAUACUUACAAAAAUAAUCAACUAAAGAACUAAAGACCUAAACUAGUCUAUUUAUAGACUUAUUACAAAAGUUAGUUGAAAUGACCAAAAAGGCCCUUUAAUGAAUGGCUUCAAGUAGGCGCCCUUGGAGUGCUAUGUAUGGACGGUUUUGGUGUCCAUUUAGGUGUUCCUUUUCACUUCAUUUGCAUCCACCAAGUCUUGGGUCCAACACGCACUCUCUUAAGUUCAUAUCCCCAAUUAUUCUUGUAUCAUCCUCUCCAUCUUGAGAGGAAUUUUCCCACAAAUUCACGGCUUCACCUCACUUGAUUGGCCACUUCAAAGAAACCACUCAAAACAGCCCACAAAACAUGGAUGGCACCAAAAUAGUCCGCAAGGAACAUGAGUAACACGGGAUCUCAUUAACACAAGUCUUAGCCAGCUUCUUCAUUUUGAACCUCGGCUUUCUCUCCAUCUUAAAAGUUUUAUUCAAUCUCAUCCAUUUCAAUUCCCAUAUCUCCACUUUGUGUUGGGUUCCUUGUUGGUCCCAUAGACUAACUCUUCAUUCAUGCCCUCGGUAUCCCCUUUGAUCCCUAUGUCUUUCUCUAAACGUCUCUUCUAUCAUAUAAGCCUCAUCAUAGACUCUAUAUUCUUUAUGUUCCUCUCUUCCAUGUUCCUCUAUAUGGAUGAGUCAUUUUUGGAGAAGUAGAGCAUGGAAGGGAGGAGUUUGAUUUAGUGGAGGUUGACGCCUUUGUUUAAGUUGUUAUUGGAUGGGAGGGUUCGGUUUUAGUGGAGGAAUUUGGCUUCCAAGUCCUUCUUGUUCGACUUGAUCAAAUUGCGGGGGAGGUGGUACACUUAGGUCUCAAUUUUGAGGGUAAUUGGGAGCUUGGCUUAUGGCAUUUUGUGGUGGUCUUGGAGGAUUGAUCAUUUGAGGUAAAGUUUUGGGGGCAAUGGUGGUGGAAUUGUUUCGGUCAUGCCCACUUGAGGAAACAUGGAUUUGAGGAGUAUAAGCAUGAGAGUUCCUUUGACUCUCCAUAUGAUCCAAUAUCUCAAUAAUAGAAACCACAUCCGAGUCAGUCUUUUUAAGACCCACAUUCACCCUAGCAAUGUCUCGGGACAUAGCAUCAAGGAGGGCCAAAAUGGUUUCCGUUAUGGCCAAGGAAUUACCUUAAAGAUUCAGAUUCACAAAAUCAAUACACCAACAAUGUUCAAGUCUUUUAAUCGCAAGCAACAAUGCCACACAAACCUACAAGACAAAACACACGUUGUUGUUGAAGAAAAUUUGUUCCAAGACUUUGAUGUUCAAUACUACACCUUUGAGGAAGAUAUUUCGGCUAUGGUGUAGGUGGAAAAGAUCUUAGAAUCUCUUUUCAAGAAUCAAAAAGUCUUUUACCAACUUUUCACCAACUUGCACUCUUUCGGCAAAACAUCCUUUUGGAGUAGCCUUGUCUUUUUCCUCUUUUGUCUAUUCUUGAAAAGCAUUGUUACUCUUUUUUGGUAAGUAUGCUUUUUGAAUGUCUCUUUUUAUUUUACUACUUUGGUAUAGUCUUGGAACUUGUUUCAAGAAAAACAAGAAGACUAGACUCUUCCACUUGGUCUUAAGAUCAAACACUACUUAUUGAAGGUUCUUCGUGUCUCAAGACAUGAAGAUUGGCCAAGAACACCAAGAACCUUCAACAAGAUUUGAAGACCAAGGUUCAAGUUGAACCUCCCAACAAAACCAAAGCCUCUUCCAACAAAAAUCUACAACCAUAAUACCAACAACACACCUUUAAACAUUCAAAUUUUGAAUCCACCACAACAACACCAACAACAACUUGGCCCAACUUUUGAAUCCGCACAACAAUAAUACAAAUAAGAGUUCAACUUAUAUCUUGACUCUAUUAGUGUUAGGGAAGAACAAACCAACACUAAUAACACUUAAGACUCAUGAAAUAUACCUAAAUCUAGACUCAAAGAACAAAUCUCGGCCAAGACAACAACAAGAACAACAACUUUCUCAGACAAGAACACCAAACUCAAGAACACAACUCUUUUUGUGAGAUUUUCGACCUUAUACACCUGUUCUAGUGUUAGGAAACAAAGAUCUAACACUAGAAUACACAAAACACACAAAAAUCAUAAGAAAAUUAGGCUUCAAAUUUUGGCCUAAACACAAAAACAUGGACAAAUUACUAUUUUGAGUUUUUUCAAAUUUUUUUCAACACUUUUUUUUAUUUUUGAGCGAACAAACCCAAGAUUGAUCUCGUGGGAACGAAAUCAAUGAUGGCUCUGAUACCAAAUAAUACCUUACAACCCCAAGAAGACAGAAAACAACCCCCAAAACAUCACAAAACACACCACAAACCGAGUGCCCAAGGAACCAAGUCUCGGCCAAGAAUAACAACACAAGAAUGAAAAGAAAAUCUGAGAAUACUUCAACGAUGGAGAGAUAAUAAUGUGUAUAACCACACUAAAACAGCAACAACACAACAUUAAUAUGAUGAACAAUAAUCUUACAAUAACACCAACCAACUAUUACUAGAAGACAAGAUACAACUACUACAAGAUGAAAUCAAAGGUAAAGGGAUAGAUAGUUAGACAAAGAUGGUUUAAAUCCUAGUAAACAAAGAGUACAUAAAACUCUAAGACCCCUAACACCUCCACACAGGAUCCCCUAACUCUUACGAUGACACAAAAGAGGAUUCCACCAAAUUCAAACAUGUGGGCGCAAAAUGCUACUCAAGUUCCAAGGUUUGUAAAAAACAAGCAAUUAUAAGAGAUUCCACCCUUGAAUUUCUAUACUACUUACAAGUUUUGGUUUGCCUCAAGUAGAGAGAGGACUUUGGUGUUUAAAAUGUCAAGACUUACAACAAUAAUCAACUAAAGACCUAAACUAGUCUAUUUAUAGACUUAUUACAAAAUUUAGUUGAAAUGACCAAAAAGGCCCUUUAAUGAAUGGCUUCAAGUAGGCGCCCUUGGAGUACUAUGUAUGGACGGUUUUGGUGUCCAUUUAGGUGUUCCUUUACACUUUAUUUUCAUCCUCUAAGUCUUGGGUCCAACAACACUCUUUUAAGUUCAUAUCCGCAAAUAUUCUUGUAUCAGCAAUAACCCAUGGUUUUGGGGGUAGGCCUGGGGUCCAGGCUUACUGUAGGUCUAAAAUCGAUGGGGCCAUUCUAGGGAGGUUGAGUAUCAUCUCAGUGUGGUCCAUUUAAAUUUUCAUGGCUACUUUGAUGGACAAACCGUCAAAACAGCAUGAAUGGGGCAUUUUUAGGCCAAAUCAGUGUGCUAUAGCCUACGAUUUUGGGGGUGGGCUCGGGGUCCAGGCAUAAUGUAGGCCGAUUAUAAACAGGGGCAUGUUGAGGAGGUUGGGUAUUUUGCCAGUAUGAAUCAUUUAAAUUUUUAUGGUCAUUUGGGUGGACAAAUAUGCGAAAUGAUGCAAAUAAGGUAUUUUCGAGCCAAAUCGGUGUGAUAUAGCCCACGCUUUUGGGGGUGGUCCCAGAGUUCGUGUGUGCUGUGGGCCAAAAAUUGAUCGAGGCAUGCCAGGGAGGUUGGGGAUCUUUCAAGUGUGGUCCGUUUCAAUUUUUGUGGCCACUUGGGUUGAAAAACGAGCAAAACAUCGCAAACGGGGCAUUUUUGGGCCAAAUAAGUGUGCUAUAGCCCACGAUUUUGGGGGUGGCCCCAGGGUCUGGGUGUGCUGUGGACCAAAAAUCUAUGAGGCAUGCCAAAUAGGUUAGGGAUCAUUCUAGUGUGGUCUGUUUAAAUUUUUGUGGCCAUUUUAGUUAGACAAAUGUGCAAAACAAUGCAAACAUGGCAUUUUUGGGCCAAAUUGGUGUGCAAUAGCCCACGGUUUUGAAGUUGGGCCUGGAGUUCGGGCGUGCUGUGGGACAAAAAUCUAUCGAGCCGUAUCAGGGAGGAUGGGGAUCAUCCCAGUUUGGUCUGUUUAAAUUUUCGUGGCCAAUUGGGUGGUCAAAUCGGUGAAAUGCCACGAAUGGGGUAUUUUUGAGCCAAAAUAGUGUGUUAUGGCCCAUGGUUUUGGAGGUGGGUCUGAGCGUACUGUGGGCUAAAAAUCGAUUGGGGCAUGCCAGGGAGGUUGGGGAUCAAUCCAGUAUGGUCCACUUAAUUUUUUGUGGUAAUUUAGUUGGACAAAUGGGCAAAACAGCGCGAAUGGGGUAUUUUUAGGCCAAAUCGGUGUGCUGUGGCCCACGGUUUUGGGGGUGGGAUUGGGUUCUGGGAUUGCUUUAGGCAAAAAAUUAAACGGGGAAAGCCAAGGAGGUUGGAGAUCAUCCCAGUGUGGUCCUUUUAAAAUUUCAUGGCUAUUUGGGUGGACAAAUGACCGAAACAGCAUGAAUGGGGCAUUUUUGUACCAAAUUGGUGUGCUAUAAACCAUGGUUUUGGGGGUGGUCUCGAGGUUCGGGUGUGCUAUGGGAUGAAAAUUGACCAGGGCAUGCUAGGAGGUUAACAAUAUUCCCAGUUUGGUCUGUUGAAACUUUUGUGGCCAGUUGGAUGGAUAAAUGUGUAAAACCGUGCGAACGGGGCAUUUUUAGGUCUAAGCGGAGUGAUAUAGCCAACGGUUUCAGUCGUGUGCCUGAGUUUUGGGCAUACUGGAGGGAACAAUUUGAGCGAAGCAUGGCAGGGAGGUUGGGGAUCCUCCCAGUGUGGUCCGUUUAAAUUUUUGUAGCCAUUUGAGUAAAUAAAUAGGCGAAACCGCACAAAAGGGGCUUUUUCAAGCCAAAUCAGUGUGUUAUAGCCUACGGUUUUGGGGGUGGGUGGGGUGGGCGGGAGUUAUAUGUCCGAAAAAUUGACCGUGGCAUGCCAAGGAGGUUGGGGAUCAUCCCAGUAUGGUCCUUUUAAAUUUUUGUUGCCAUUUAUGUGGAUAAAUAGGCGAAACAGCAUAAACGGGGCAUUUUAAGCUAAAUCUGUAUGCUAUAGCCCACGAUAUUAUGGGUGGGCCCAAGGUUAAGGCAUGCCAGGGUGGUUAGGUAUCAUCCCAUUGUGGUCCAUUGAAAUUUUUAUGUCUAUUUUGGUAAACAAACAAUUGAAACAGCGCGAAUGUAGCGGUUUCAUAUAAAUUGGUGUGCUAUAGCCCACUAUUUUUGGUGGGAACGUGGUACGAGCGUGUUGUGGGCUAAAAAUCGACCGCGGUGUGCUAGGGAGGUUUGGGAUCAUCCCAGUGUGGUCCGUUUAAAUUUUCGUGGCCAUUUAGGUGGACAAACGGGCAAAAUGGCAUGAACGGGGCAUUUUUGGGCCAAAUAGAUGUGCUAUAGCCCAUGGUUUUUUGGAUGGGCCUAGGUUCUGGGUAUGCUGUUGGCCUAAAAUUGAUCGAGGAGUGAUAGAGAUGUUGAGAAUCAUCCCAGUGUGGUUGGUUUAAAUUUUUGUGGCCUUUUCGGUGGACUAACUGGCAAAAUAACGCGAAUGGGGCAUUGUCGAUCCAAAUUGGUGUACUAUAACCCACGGUAUCUAAGGUGGGCUCGAGGUUCAAGCGUGAUGUCUGUUGUUGAUAGGGGCAAGACAAGGAAGUUGAAGAUUAUCCCAGUGUCAUUCGUUUAAAUUUUCGCGGCUAUUUGGGUGGACAAACGGGUGAACAGUGCAAAUGGGGCAUUUUUGGUCCAAAUCGGUGUGCUAUAGCCCACGGUUUCAGAGGGGGUCUCGAGGUCCAAGCGUGCUGUGAGCCAAAAAUUGGUGGGGCAUGCCAAAUAGGUUGCCGAACAUUUUGGUGUGAUCCGUUUAAAUUUGUAUGGCCAUUUAGGUGGUCGAACAGGCAAAACGGGACGAAUGGGGCAUUUUCGUACCAAAUUGGUGUGCUAUAGCCUACAAUCUCAGUGUCUUUCAUUUAAAUUUUCAUGGCCAUUUGUGUGGAUAAACGGGCAAAACAACACGAACGAUGCAUUUUUGGGCCAAAUCAGUGUGCAAUAGCCCACGAUUUUAAGGGUGGGCCCAGGAUUCAGGUGUAUUGUGGGCCAAAAAUUGACUGGGUUAUGCCAAGGAGGUUAGGGAUCGUCUCAAACAAGCAAAACAGCAUGAAUUGAGAAUUUUUGGGCCAAAUUAGUGUGCUAUAGCCCACAUUUACACGGGUGGGCUCGGGUUUUCUGUGGUCCAAAAAUUGGCCGGGUAUUCCAGGGAGGUUGGGGAUCAUCCCAGUGUGUUACGUUUAAUUUUUUGUGGCCAUUUGGGUGGACAAACGGGUGAAACGGCGUGAAUGAGGCAUUUUUGGACCAAAUCAGAGUGCUAUAUGCCACAGUUUCGGGUGUGGGGUCGGGGUCUGGGCUUUUUACUAGCCAAAAAUUGAUCAACGCAUGCCAAGGAGGUUGGGGAUCAUUCCAGUAUGGUCCUUUUAAAUUUUUGUCACUAUUUGGGUAGACAAACGGGUGAAACGGUGCAAACGGGGCAUUUUCGGGCUAAAUCGAUGUGCUAUAGCCUACGGUUUUGGGGGUGGGCCCUGGAUCUGGGAGCGAUGUGGGCCAAAAAUCAGCUGAUCCAUGCAAGGGAGGUUGGGGAUCAUCCUAGUAUGAUUCAUUUAAAUUUUUGUGGCCCUUUGGGUUGACAAAUGGGAGAAACAUCAUGAACGAGGCAUUUUUGAGCCAAAUCGGUGUAAUAUUGCCUACGAUUUUGGGGGUAGGCCUAAGGUUUGGGUGUGUUGUGGGCAAAAAAUUAACCAGGGUAUGCCAGGAAGGUUGGGGAUCAUCCCACUAUGGUUUGUUUAAAUUCUCCUGGCCUUUUGGGGAGACAAAUGGGUGAAAGAGCGAGACUAGGGCAUUUUUGGGCAAAAUCGGUGUGCUAUAGCCUGCAAUUUCGGGGGUGAGUAUGUGGUUCGGGUAUUCUGUGGGCCAAAAAUUGAUCGGGGUAUGCCAAGAAUAUUGAGGAUCAUCCCAGUAUGGUCCGUUUAGAUUUUCUUGAAAAUUUGGGUUAACAAACGUGUAUUACAGUGCAAAUGGGGAAUUUUUUGGCCUAAUCUAUGUGCUAUAGUUCACGGUUUUGGGGGUGGGCGUAGGUUUCGGGCGUGUUGUAGGCUAAAAAUUGAUCGAGGUAUUCCAGGGGGUGAGGAUCAUCCCAGUGUGGUCCGUCUAAAUUUUUGUGGCUAUUUGGGUGGACAAAUGGGAAAUACAGCACAAACGGAGCAUUUUCAGGCCAAAUCAGUGAGAUAUAGCCCACGGUUUUGGGGGUGGGCCUAGAGUUUGGGCGUUCUAUUUGACGAAAAUUGAUAUAGGCUUGCCAUAGAGGUUAGGGAUAGUCCUAGUGUGUUCUGUUUAAUUUUUCUAGGCCAUUUGGGUGGACAAACUGGCAAAACGAAGCGAACGGGGCAUUUUCAGGCUAAUUUGGUGUGCUAAAGCCCACGGUUUUGGGGGUGGGCCGGGGAUUGAGUGUGUUGUGGAUGAAAAUAAGCUGGGGCAUGCCAGGCAAUUUUGGGAUAGUCCUAGUGUGGUUCGUUUAAAUUUUUAUUGCUAUUUGUGUGGAAAAACAUGCAAAACGGCACGAAUGGGGAAUUUUUGGGCCAAAUCAGUAUGCUACAACCUACGAUUUUAGGGGUGGGCCCCAGAUACAGGUAUGCUGUGGGCUAAAAAUUGAUCGAGGCAUUCCAGGGAGUUUAGGGAUCAUCCCAAUGUGGUUCGUUUAAAUUUUCAUGGGUAUUUUGGUGGACAAACAUGCGAAAUAUUGGAAACGGGGCAAUUCGGGCCAAAUCGACGUGCUUUAGCCCACGGUUUUAGGGGUGGGCCUGGGGUCCGAGCGUGCUAUGGGCCAAAAAUUGAUCGGGGCAUGCCAAGGAUUGGGAUGGUCAAACGGGUGAAACAGCAUGAAUGGGGCAUCUUCUCGAUAAAUUGAUGUGCUAUAGCCUACGGUUAUAGGGGUGGGCUCGAGGUUCGGGCAUGCUAUGGGCCUAAAAUCAAUCGGGGCAUGCCAGGGAGAUUAGGGUCAUCUCAGAGUGGUUUAUUUAAAUUUUUGUGUCCAUUUGGGUGGACAAACGAGUGUAAUGUCAUGAAUGGGGAAUUUUCAGAUCAAAUUGGUAUGCUAUAGCGCAAGAUUUCAUAGGUGGGCUCGGAGUCCAGGCGUGCAAUGUGUUGAAAAUUGAUCGGGGCUUGCUAGGUAGAUUGGGGAUCAUCUUAGUGUGGUCAGUUUAAAUUUUUGUGGCCACUAGGAUGGUGAAACGGGGGAAACAGCGUGAAUGGGGCAUUUUGGGCUAAAUUUAUGUGCUAUAGACUACAGUUUUGGGGAUGGGCUCGGGGUACGGGUAUGCUAUUUGUGAAAAAUCAUCUGGGGCAUUCCAGGGAGGUUGGGAAUCAUCCCAGUAUGGUCUUUUUAAAUUUUUGUGGCUAUUUGGGUGGACAAACAGGAGAAACGGUCCGAAUGGGGCAUUUUCGGGCUAAAUCAGUGUGCUAUAGCCCAUAAUUUCAGGGGUAAGCUAGGGGUUCGGGCAUUUUGUGGGCUAAAUAUUGUUUGAGGCGUGCCGAGGAGGUUGAGGAUAAUGUCAGUGUUGUCCGUUUAAAUUUUCAUCACCAGUUGGGUGGACAAACGGGCAAAACUACGCGAACGAGGCAUUUUCGGGCUAAAUCGAUGUGCUAUAGCCCACGGUUUUGAGGGUGGGAGUGGGGUCCUUGCGUUUUAUGCGCCAAAAAUUGACCGGGAUAUUCCAGAGAGGUUAGGGAUCAUCCCAGUGUAGUCCUUUUAAAUUUUCGUGGCUAUUUGGGUGGACAAAAAGGCUAAACAACGCUCACGGUGCAUUUUAGAGCCAAAUCGGUGUGUUAUAGCCCAUGGUUUUAGGGUCGGGCCCGGGGUCUAAGUGUGUUAUGGGUUAAAAGUCAACUGGGGCAUGCCAGUAAGGAUGAGGAUUGUCCCAAUGUGGUCCGUUUAAAUUUUUUUGGCUCUUUGGAUGGACAAACGGCCGAAACAGCACGAACGGGGCAUUUUUGGGCCAAAUUGGUAUGCUAUAACGCAUGGUUUCAGGGGUGAGCCCGGGUUCCAGGCGUGCAGUGGGCCAAAAAUUGACUGGGGCAUGCUAGGGAGGUUGAUAAUAGUCUUAGCUUAGUCUGGGGCAUUUUCUGGCCAAAUCAGUGUGCUAUAGCCCACAGUUUUGGGGGUGAGCCUGAGGUAUGGGCUUGCUGUAUCCCAAAUAUAGACCGAGGCAUGCCAUGGAGGUUGGGGAUCAUCCAAUUGUGGUUCAUUUAAAUUUUGUGGCCAUUAGGGCGAUAAAACGGGCAAAACAGUGCGAAUGGAGCAUUUUCAGGCCAAAUGGGUGUGCUAUAGCCCACGGUUUUAGGGGUGGAACCGGGGUCUGGAUGUGCUGCGGGCCAAAAAUUGACGUGGUCAUGACAGGGAGUUAGGGAUCGUCCUAGUGUGGUCCAUUUAAAUUUUUGUGGCUAUUUGGGUGGACAAACGAGCAAAACAGCGCGAACGAGAAAUUGUUGAGCCAAAUACAUUAGCUAUAGCCCAUGGUUUCAGGGGUGGGCCCGAGGUUCAGGCAUGCUGUGGGAUGAAGGGAGGUUAGACAUCAUCUCAGUGUAGUUUUUUUAAAUUUUCGUGGCUAUUUGGGUGGACAAAUGGGCAAAACAGUGCAAACGGAGCAUUUUCAAUCUAAAUUGGUAUGCUAUAGCACACAAUUUUAGGGGUGGGCUCGGGGUCCGAGCAUGCUGUGGGCUAAAAAUUGAUCGGGGUAAGCCAGAGUGGUUGGGGAUAAUCUCAGUGUGGUCCUUUUAAAUUUUUGUGGCCAUUUGGGUGGACAAACGGGCAAAAUAGUGCGAACGGGGCAUUUUUGGGCCAAAUCGGUGUGCUAUAGCCUAUGGUUUUAGGGGUGGGCCUGGGCUCUUGGCGUGCUGUGGGAUGAAAAUUAAUCGAGGUAUGCCAGGGAGGUUGGGGAUCAUUCCAUUGUGGUCCGUUUAAACUUUCGUGUCCAUUUCGGUGGAAAAAUAGGCGAAACAGCGCGAACAGGGCAUUUUUGAGCUAAAUUGGUGUGCUAUUCCCACGGUUUCAGAGGUGGGCUUGGGAUUUGGGCGUGCUAUGGGCCAAAAAUCAACCAGGCCAUGCUAGGCAGGUUAAGGAUCAUCCCAGUGUGGUCCGUUUAAACUUUUAUGGCCAUUUGGGUGGACAAGCAAUAGAAACAGCACGAACGGGGCAUUUUUGCCCCAAAUCAGUGUGCUAUAGCGCAUAGUUUUGGGGAUGGGCUGGGGCCCGGGAGUGCUGUUGUCCAAAAAUCAAUUGGGGCAUGCCAUGUAGGUUGAAAAUAAUCCCAGUAUGGUCUGUUUAAAUUUUCAUGUCCAUUUGGAUGGACAAACAAGCAAAACGAUGCAAAAUGGGCAUUUUGAGCCAAAUUGGUGUGUUAUAGAUCGCGGUUUCAGGGGUGGACCAGCGGUUCGGGUGUGCUCUAUAUCAAAAAUUGACUGAGGCAUGCCAAGGAGGUCUGGGAUCAUCCCAGUGUGGUCCGUUUAAUUUUUAUGGCCAUUUGGGUGGACAAAUAAGCGAAACGGCUUGAACGGGGCAUUUUCGGGAUAAAUUGGUGUGUUAUUUCCAAUGGUUUAGGAGGUGGGCCCGAGGUUCAGGCAUGCUAUGGUCCAAAAAUCAAGCGAGCCAUUCUAGAGGGUUGGCGAUGAUCCCAGUAUGGUCCAAUAAAAUUUUUGUGGCCAUUUGGGUGGACAAAUAGGCGAAACGGCGGGAACAGGGCAUUUUUGGGCUAAAUCGGUGUGCUAUAGCCCAUUGUUUUGGGGGUGGGCCUGGGGUCCAAGCAUGCUGUAGUUUGAAAAUCGACCGAGGCGUGCUAGGGAGGUUGGGUAUCAUCCCAAUAUGGUAUGUUUAAAUUUUUUAGGCUAUUUGGGUGGACAAACGGGCAAAACAGCACGAACGGGGCAUUUUUGGUCCAAAUUGGUGUCCUAUAAGCCCAUGGUUUUGGGGUGGUCCCGAGUUUUGGGCGUACUAUGGGUCAAAAAUCAAUUGGGACAUGCCAAGGAGGUCAGGGAUCAUCCUAGCAUGGUCCAUUUAAAUUUUCAUGGCAAUUUGGAUGGACAAAUGGGCAAAUUGGUGUGCUAUAGCCGGCAGUUUUAGGGGUGGGCCCCAGGUAUGGGGGUGCUAUGGUUCAAAAAUUGAUUGGGGCAUGCUAGGGGGGUUGAGGAUCGUCCCAGUGUGCUCUGUUUAAAUUUUUGUGGCCAUUUGGGUGGACAAACGGGCGAAACAGGGCAUUUUUAGCCAAAUCGAAAUACUAUAACCCAUGGUUUUGGGGUUGGGCCCGGGGUCCGAGUAUACUGUAAGCGAAAAAUUGAUUGAGGGAUGCCAAGGAGGUUGGGGAUCCAUCCUAGUAUGGGUUUUUUAAAUUUUUGUGGCUAUUUGGAUUAUCAAACGGGCAAAACAGUGUGAAUGGGGAAUUUUUAGGCUAAAUCAGUGUGCUAUGGCCCACGCUUUCUGGGCUGGUCUCGGUGUUUGGGCGUGUUAUGGGCUAAAAAUUGACCAAGGUAUGCCAGGGAGGUUGGGGAUCAUCCCAGUGUUUCCCGUUUUAAUUUUCGUUGCCAUUUGGGUGGACAAACAAGCGAAACGGCUCGAAUGGGGCAUUUUCGGGCCAUAUUGGUAUGCUACAGCCAUCGAUUUAGGGGGUGGGCCAGGGGUCCAGGCAUAAUAUAGGCCAAAAAUCGAUCGGGGUAUUCUAGGGAGGUUGGGGAAUAUCCCAGUAUGGUCCUUUAAAUUUUCAUUGCAUUUGGGUGGACAAAAGGGCAAAACGAUGAGAACAGGGCAUUUUAGGGCCAAAUCGAUGUGCUAUAGCCCAUGGUUUUGGGGGUAGGCUUGGGUCCGAGCAUUUUGUGGGCUAAAAAUUGACUGAGGCAUACGAGGGGGUUGAGGAUUGUCCCAGUAUCAUCCAUUUAAAUUUUCAUGGCCAUUUGGGUGGAUAAACGGGCAAAAUAGCAUAAAUGGGGCAUUUUCGACCAAAAUUGGUGUGCUAUAACCCAUAGUUUGGGGGGUGGGACUUGGGUACGGAUGUUCUGUGGUCUAAAAAUCAACUGAGGUAUUCCAUGGAGUUUGGAGAUUGUCCCAGUGUGGUACGUUUAAAUUUUUAUGGCCAUUUUGGUCGGCAAAUGAGCUAAACAACACGAAUGGGGCAUUUUCAGACCAAAUCAGUGUGCUAUAGACUAUAAUUUCGAGUGUGGGCUCGGGGUCCGGGCGUUCUCCAAGCCAAAAAUUGACCAGGACAUGCCAGGGGGUUUGAGGACCAUCCCAGUAUGGUCUAUUUAAAUUUUUGUGGCCAUUUGGAUGGACAAACGGGUAAAUUGGUGAUCUAUAGCCUAUAGUUUUAGGGGUGGGCCAGGGUCUGGGCAUACUAUAGUCCAAAAAUCAAUCGGGGUAUGCUAGGGAGGUUGGGUAUCAUUCCAGUGUGGUCCAUUUAAAUUUUUUUGGCCAUUUGGGUUGACAAACGGGCGAAACAGGCAUUUUUGGGCCAAAUCGAUAUGCUAUAGCCCAUGGUUUUGGGAGUGGGCCCGGGGUCCAGGCAUACUGUGGGCCAAAAAUCGAUCGGGGCAUGCCAGGGAGGUUUGGUAUUUCCCUUGUAUGGUCCGUUUAAAUUUUUGUAGCCAUUUGGAUGGUCAAACGGGCGAAACAGCAUGAAGGGGCAUUUUUGGGUCUAAUUAGUGUGCUAUAGCCCACUGUUUUGGUGAUGAGCUCAGAGUCCAGGCGUGUUGUGGGCUGAAAACCAACCAAGGCAUGCCAAGGAUGCUACGGAUCAUCCCAGUGUGGUCUGUUUAAAUUUUUGUGGCCAUUUGGGAAGAUAAAUGAGUAAAAUGGCGCGAGCAGAGAAUUGUUAGGCCAAAUCAGUGUGUUAUAGCCCACGGUUUCAAGGGUGGAUCUGGGGUUUGGGCGUGCUGUAGGCAAAAAAUCAACCGGGGCAUAUCAGGGAGAUUGGAGAUUAUCCUAGUGUCAUCCUUUUAAAUUUUCGUGGCUAUUUAGGUGGUCAAACGAGUGAAACAUCGCGAAUAGGGAAUUUUUAGGCCAAAUCAUUAUGCUAUAGCCCAUGGUGUUGGGGGUGGGCCAGGGGUUCGGGUAUGCUGUGGGCCAAAAAUUAACUGGGGCAUACCAGGGAGGUUAGGGAUCAUCCCAGUGUGGUCCGUUUAGAUUUUUGUGGACAAACGGGCAAAUUACCAUGAACGACACAUUUUUGGGCCAAAUUAGUGUGUUAUAGCCCACAGUUUUGGGGGUGGGCCUGGGGUCCGGGCAUGCUGUGUGCCGAAAAUCGACUGGGUUAUUCUAGGGAUGUUGGUUAUUAUCCCUGUGUGGUCUAUUUUAAUUUUUGUUAGAUUUGGUGGACAAACAAAAUAAACAGUGCGAACGGGGCAUUUUCGAGCCAAAUCAGUGUGCUAUAACCCAUGGUUUUGUGGGUGGGCUCAGGUUCCGAAUGUACUGUGGGCCAAAAAUUGACCAAGUCAUGCCAGGGAGGAUGAGGAUAAUCUUAGUGUGGUUCGUUUAAAUUUUUGUGGCCAUUUGGGUGCUGAAACGAGCGAAACGGCGCGUACGAGGUAUUUUCGAGCCAAAUCAGUGUCCUGUAGCCUACAAUUUUGGGGGUGGGCCUAGGGUCCUGACAUGCUAUGGUCCUUAAAUUGAUAGAGGAGUGCCAGGGAGGUUAAGUAUCAUUGCAGUGUGGUUUGUAUAGUUUUUUAUGGCCAUUUUGGUGGACAAACAAGCAAAACAACGGUUAUGGGUAUUUUCAGAUCAAAUCGGUGUACUAUAGCCUACGAUUUUAGGGGUUGGAUCGGGGUCCAGGCAUUUUAUUGGCCAAAAAUCGAUCUGGGUGUGCUAGGGAGGUUAGGUAUCAUAAAAGUGUUGUCCGUUUAAAUUUUUGUGGCCAUUUAGGUUGACAAACAGGUGAAACAGUGCGAUGGGGCAUUUUUGGCCCAAAUCUGGGUGCUAUAGCCCACGGUUUUGGGGGUGGGCCUGGGGUCCGGGCGUUCUGUGGUCUAAAAACCUAUCAAGGUAUGCCAUGGAGAUUGGGGAUCAUCCUAGUGUGGUCCAUUUAAAUUUUCAUGGCCAUUUGGGUGGACAAACGGGCGAAACGAUGUAAAUGGAACAUUUUGAAGCCAAAUUGGUGUUAUAUAGACCAUGAUUUUGGGGUAGGUCCGAGGUCCGGGCGUGCUAUCAGCCAAAAGUUGAUCGGGGCAUGGUAGGGAGGUUGGGAAUCAUCCUAGUGUGAUCUGUUUAAAUUUUAGUGGCCAUUUGGGUGGAUAAAUGGGUGAAACAGUGAGAACGGAGCAUUUUCAAACCAAAUUGGUGUGCUAUAGCCCAUGGUUUUAGGGAUGGACUUGGGGUCAGGGUGUGCUGUAGUUCAAAAAUUGAUCGGGGUGUGCUAGGGAGGUUGGGGAUCAUCCUAGUGUGGUACAUUUAAAUUUUCGUGGCCAUUUUGGUGGACAGACGAGCCAAACGGCACGAACGAGGCAUUUUUGGGCCAAAUCGGUGUGCUAUAGCCCAUGAUUUUGGGGAUGGGCCCAGUUUCUGGGCGUGUUGUAUGACAAAAAUCGACCAGGACAUGUCAUGGAGGUCAAGGAUCAUCCUAGUGUGAUCCAUUUAAAUUUUUGUGGCAAUUUGGAUGGACAAACGAGCAAAUCGGUGUGCUAUAGCCUGCAGUUUUGGAUGUUAAAUUUAGGAUAAUCUCGGUGUGGUCCAUUUAAAUUUUUGUGGCCAUUUGGAUAUGCAAAAUAAUUCUUACAAGAUAUUUUCGGGCCAAAUUUGUAUGUUAUAACCCAUGAUUUCAGGGGUGGGCCUAGGGUCCGGGUGUGCUGUAGGCUGAAAUUUGCCUGGGGCGUGCCAAGGAGUUUGGGGAUCGUCCCAGUGUGGUCCAUUUAAAUUUUCGUGGCCAUUUGGGAGGACAAACGGGCGAAACAGCAUGCACGGGGCAUUUUCAACAUAAAUCAGUGUGCUAUAGCCCAAGGUUUUGGGGGUGGGCCUAGGGUUCGAGCGUACUGUGGUCCAAAAAUUGAUCGGGGCAUGCCGUGGAGGUCAGAUAUCAUCCCAGUAUGGUCCGUUAAAAUUUUCAUGGCCAUGUUGGUGGACAAACGAGCGACACAGUAUGAACGGGGCAUUUUCAAGCCAAAUUGAUGUUCUAUAGACUAUGGUUUUGGGGGUGGGCCCUGGGUUCGAGCAUGCUUUGGGCUAAAAAUUGAUGGAGGCAUGCCAGAGAUAUUAGGGAUAAUCCCAGUGUGGUCCGUUAUAUUUUUGUGGCCAUUUGAGUGGACAAAUGGGCAAAACAGUGCAAACGAGACAUUUUCGGGCCAAAUUAGUGUGUUAUUGCUUAUGAUUUUGAGGAUAGGCAUGGGGUUCAGGCGUGCUGUGGGCCAAAAAUUGGUCAGGGCAUAUCAUGGAGGUUGGGGAUUAUCCCAGUUUGGUCCAUUUAUUGUGGGCAUUUGGGUGGACAAACGGGUGAAAUGAUGCUUACGGGGCAUUUUGAGGUUAAAUCGAUGUGCUAUUGCCCACGAUUUUAGGGGUGGGCCCAGGUUUCGAACGUGUUAUGGGUCGAAAGUUGAUUGGGGCAUGCUAAGGAGGUUGGGGAUCAUCCCAGUAUGGUUCAUUUAAAUUUUUGUGGUCAUUUGGGUGGACAAACGGGCGUAAUGAUACAAAUAGGAAAUUUUUGAGCAAACUCGAUGUGCUAUGGCUCGCGGUUUUGGGGGUGGGCCGGGGGUUUGGGCGUGCUGUUGGUUGAAAAUCGACCGGGGUAUUCCAGGGAAAUAUGGGAUCAUCCUAGUGUGGACUAUUUAAAUUUUUGUGGCCAUUAGGGUGGUAAAACGGGCGAAACAGUGCGAACGGGGCAUUUUUGGGCCAAAUCAGUCUACUAUUGCCAAGGUUUCAAUAGUGGGCACGGGUUUUAGGCAUGCUGUGGGCUAAAAAUAUUUCGGACGAGCCAGGGAUGCUGGGGAUCAUUGAAGUGUGGUCCAAUUAAAGUUUUAUCGCCAUUUGGGUGGACAAACAUGCAAAACGGCGUGAACGGGGCAUUUUCAAGCCAAAUCGGUGUGAUAGGGCAUUUUUCAAGCCAAAUCGGUGUGCUAUAGCCCACGAUUUUGAGGGUGGGCCCGAGAUCCAGGCGUGUUGUGGGCUAAAAAUUGAUCGACGUAUGCCAGAGAGGUUGGGGAUCAUCCCUGUGUGAUCCGUGUAAAUUUUUGUGGCAAUUUGGGUGGAUAAACGAUCAAAAUGGCAUGAAUGGGGAAUUUUUGGGUCAAAUCGGUGUGCUAUAGCAUAUGAUUUUGGGGGUGGGCCUAAGGUGCGAGCUUGUUGUGGGUAAAAAAUUGACUGGGGAUUGCUAGGUAGGUUAGGGAUCAUCCAGUGUGGUCCGUUUAAAUUUUUGUGGCCAUUUGGAUGGUCAAAAAGGUGAAGCCGUCUGAACAGGGCGUUUUUGAGACAAAUAGAUGUUCUAUAGCCCAAGUUUUCGAGGGUGGGAUCAAGGUCCGGGCGUGCUGUGGGCCAAAAAUUGAUUGGGGCAUGGCAGAGAGUUUAGGGGUCAUCCCAGUAUGGUUCGUUUAAAUUUUUGUGGCAAUUUGGGUGGGCAAACAGAUGAAACAGCGCGAAUGGGGCAUUUUCAGACCAAAUCGGUAUGCUAUAGCCCAUAAUUUUGGGGGUGGCCUCGGGGUGCAGGUGUGCUAUUGGCCAAAAAUUGAUUGGUGCAUGCCAGGAAGGUUGGGGAUCGUACCAGUGUGGUCCUUUUAAAUUUUUUUUGCCAUUUGGGUGGAUAAACGGGCCAUAUAGCAUGAAUGGGGCAUUUUCAGGUCAAAUCGGUGUGCUAUAGCCCUUGGUUUCGGGGUGGGCUUAGGGUCCAGGUGUACUGUGGGCCAAAAAUUGACUAGAGCAUGCCAGGGAGGUUGGGAUUGCAUCAGUGUGGUCCUUUUAAAAUUUUGAGGCCAUUUGGGUGGACAAACGGGUGAAACGAUACGAACAGGGCAUUUUCGAGCCAAAUUGGUGUGCUAUAGACCACAGUAUCAAGAGUGGGCUCGGGGUCCGGGCGUGUUGUGUGCUAAAAAUCAACCGAGGCAUGCCAAAGAUAUUGGGGAUCAUCCCAGUGUGAUCUAUUUUAAUUUUUGUAGCCAUUUGUGUGGACAAACGUGCAAAAUGGAGCGAAUGGGGCCUUUUCAGGCCAAAUCAAUGUGUUGUAGCCCGCGAUUAUAGGGUGGGACCACGAUCGGGUGUGGUAUGGGCAAAAAAUAUUCCGGGAUGUGGCAGGGAGAUUAGGGAUCAUCCCAGUGUGGUCCGUUUAAAUUUUAGUGGCCAUUUGGGUGGACAAACGGGCGAAACAGUGCAAACGGAGCAUUUUCGGGCCUAACUGGUUUGCUAUAGCCCACGGUUUUGGGGGUGGUCCUAGGGUAUGGGCGUGUUGUGGGCUUAAAAUUGACUGACGUAUGCCAGGGAGGUUUCAAAUCAUCCCAUUAUAGUUUGUUUAAAUUUUCGUGGCAAUUUGGGUAGAAGAACGGGCGAAACGGCGUGAAUGGGGUGAUUUCGAGCAAAAUUGGUGUGUUAUUGCCCACGGUUUUAGGGGUGGUCCUGGCGUUCAGGCGUGCUAUGGGCCAAAAAUCAAAUGGGGCAUUCUAAGGAGGUUAGGGAUCAUCCUAGUGUGGUCCGUUUAAAUCUUCAUGGCCAUUAGGGUGGACAAGCUGGGUGAAACAGUGCGAACAGGGCAUUUUUGGGCCAAAUCGGUGUGCUAUAGCCACGGCUUUGGGAGUGUGCCCGAGUUGUAAGCAUGUUGUGGACCUAAAAUCCACCGAGGUGUACAGGGGAUGUUAAGGAUCAUCCUAACAUGGUCCCUUUAAAUUUUUGUGGCCAUUUGGGUGCACAAACGGGCGAAACAGCGCGAAUGGGUUAUUUUUGGGCUAAAUUGGUGUGCUAUAGCUUAUGGUUUUGGAAAUGGGACUAGGGUCUGGUCGUGAUGUCGGCCGAAAAACAACUUGGGCAUGGUAGGGAGGUUGGGGAUUGUCCCAGCGUGGUCUGUUUAAAUUUUUGUGGAUAUUUGGGUGGACAAAUAUGCAAAACAGCACGAACGGAGCAUUUUCAGGCCAAAUCGUUGUGCUAUAGCCCACAGUUUUAGGGGUAGGCCUGGGGUUCGAGUGUGUUGUGGAUCAAAAAUUGAUCGGGGAGUGCAAGGGAGUUCAUAAUCAUCUCAGUCUAGUCCGUUUAAAUUUUUGUGGCCAUUUGGGUGGACGAACAGUCAAACGGGUCGAAUGGGGCAUUUUCAGGCCAAAUCGGUGUGCUAUAGCCCAUGUUUUUUGGGGUGGUCCCAUGGUUCAGGCGUGUUGUUGGCCUAAAAUCUGUUGGGGCAUGCCAUUAAUGCUGUGAAUCACCCUAGUGUGGUCCGUUUAAAGUUUUGUGGCUAUUUGUGUGGACAAACAGGUGAAACGGCGGAAACAGGGAAUUUUUGGGCUAAAUUGGUGUGUUAUAGCCUACGGUUUCAAGGGUGGGCCUGGGGUUCGGGCAUGCUAUGGGCCAAAAAUCGAUCGAGGCAUGCCAGCGAGGAUGAGGAUCAUCCUAGUAUGGUUUGUUGAAAUUUUCAUGUCCAUUUGUGUAGACAAACGGGUGAAACGGCGUGAAUGGGGCAUUUUGGGAUAAAUCGAUGUGCCAUAGCCCAUGAUUUCGGGGGUGGAAUCGAGGUCCGAACGUUCUAUAGGCCAAAAAUCGAUUGGGGUAUGCCAAGGAGAUUGGGGAUCAUCCCAGUAUGGUCCAUUUAAUUUUUUGUGACCAUUUGGGUGGACAAACAGGCAAAAUGGAGCAAAUGAGGCAUUUUUGGGCCAAAUCGGUGCACUAUAACCCACUGUUUUGAGAGUGGGCCCGGGGUUUAGGCGUGCUGUGGGCGAAAAAUUGACCCGCGCAUGUUAGGGAGGUUGGGGAUCGUCUGAAUAUGGUUCAUUUAAAUUUUUAUAGCCAUUUGGGUGGACAAACGGGUGAAACGGUGCAAAUGGGGCAUUUUCGGACCAAAUCGGUGUACUAUAGCCCAUGUUUUUGGUGGUAGGCUAGGAUUAAAGGCGUGUUAUGAGCCAAAAUUUGAUAGAGGCAUGCCAGGGAGGUUGGGGAUCAUUCCAGUAUAGCUCGUUUAAAUAUUUAUGGCUAUUUGGCUAGACAAACAGGUGAAACGGCGCAAACGGGGCAUCUUAUGGCCAAAUCGAUGUGCUAGAACACACGAUUUUGAGGGUGGGCUCAGGUUUCGGGCGUGCUAUGGGCUAAAAAUUGAUCGAGCCAUGUCAAGGAGACCGAGGAUCAUCCCAGUAGUGUUUUUUUAAAUCUCAUGACCAUUUGGGUGGACAUACGAGCGAAACGGCACGAACGGGGCAUUUUCAUGCCAAAUCAGUGUGCUAUACCGUACAAUUUCGGGGUUGGGCCUGGGGUCCGGACGUGCUGUUAGCUAAAUAUUGGUCAGAGCCCGGCAGGGAGGAUGUGGAUCAUCCCAGUAUGAUCCGUUUAAAUUUUUGUGCUUAUUUAGGUUGAAAUUCAUUCAAAACGGCACGAACGAGGCAUUUUCGAGCCAAAUCAAUAUGGUAUAGCCCACGGUUUCAAGGGUGGGCCCACGGUUCAGCGUGCUGUGAGCCAAAAAUAGACUGACGCAUGCCAGGGAGGUUGAGAAUCAUCUUAGUCAAGACUUUUUAAAUUUUUGUGGCUAUUUGGGUGGACAAACGGGCAAAACGGCGUGAAUGGGGCAUUUUAAGGAGAAAUAGGUGUGCUAUAGCCCACGGUUUUGGGGGUGGGCAUGGGGUCCUAGUGUGCUGUUGGUUGAAAAUUAAUCAGGGUAUUCCAGGGAGGUUGGGAUCAUCCAAGUAUGGCCUGUUUAAAUUUUCAUGCCCAUUUGGGUGAAAAAACAUGCGAAAUGGUAGGAGUGGGAUAUUUUCGAAACAAAUCGAUGUGCAGUAGCCCACGAUUUGGGGGUGGUCUCGGGAUUUGAGUGUGCUGUGGGUCAAAAUUUCACUGGGGAGUGCCAGGGAGGAUCAGGAUCAUCCCAGUAUGUUCUGUUUAAAUUUUCUUGGUCAUUUGUAUGGACAAACGGGCAAAACAGUGUGAAUGGGGCAUUUUCAGGCCAAAUAGGUGUUUUUAGCCCAUGAUUUUUAGGGUGGACCCAUGGCCUAGGCGUGUUGUUGGCCUAAAAUUGAUUGGUUCAUGCCAAAAAUAUUAUGGAUCAUCCUAGUAUGGUCCGUUUAAAUUUUUGUGGCCAUUUGGGUGGACAAAUAGGCGAAACUGAGCGAACGGGGCAUUUUUGGGCCAAAUUGGUGUGAUAUAGCCCACGAUUUUGGGGGUGAGCCCGGGGUACGGGCUUGUUGUGGACUAAAAAUUUACCAAGGCGUGCAAGGGAGGUAGGAGAUCAUCUUAGUAUGGUCCAUUUAAAUAUUCGUUGUCAUUUAGGUGGACAAACGAGCAAAAUGAUGGAAAUGGGGCAUUUUCAGGCCAAAUUGGUGUCAAUAGACCACGGUUUUGGGGGCAGGCCCAGGGUCCACUCAUUCAGUGGGCUAAAAAUUGAUUGGGGCAUGCUAGGGUAGUUGGGGAUCAUCCCAGUAUGAUCCGUUUAAAUUUUUGUGGCUAUUUGGAUGGACAAACGUGCGAAACGAUGCGAACAGGGCAUUUUUAGGCUAAAUUGGUGUGCUAUAGCCCACGAUUUUAGGGGUGAGCCCAGGGUCCAGGGGUGCUGUGGGUCAAAAAUCGAUCGAAGUAUGCCAGCGAGGUUGGGGAUCAUCCCAGUGGGUUUGUUUAAAUUUUCAUGUCCAUUUGGGUGAACAAAUAAGUGAAAUGGCAUGAAUGGGGCAUUUUGGGCCAAAUCGGUGUGCCAUAGCCCCAGGUUUCAGCGGUGGGCACGAGAUCCAAACGUGCUAUGGGCCAAAAAUAACUAGGGCAUUCCAAGGAGGUCGGGGAACAUCCCAGUAUGGUCCAUUUAAUUUUUUGUGGCCAUUUGGAUGGACAAACGUGCGAAACGGAGUAAACGGGGGAUUUUCGUGCCAAGUCGGUGUGCUAUAGCCUACGGUUUUGAGGGUGGCCCCAGGAUUCGAGCGUGCUGUGGGCUCAAAAUUGAUUGGGGCGUGUCAGGGAGGUUGGGGAUCAUUCGAGUGUGGUCCAUUUAAAUUUUUGUGGCUAUUUGGGUGGAAAAAUUGGUGAUACAGCACGAAUGGGGCAUUUACGGUCCAAAUCGGUGUAGUAUAGCCCACGAUUUUUGGGGUGGGCUUGGAGUCAGGGCAUGUUGUGAGCAAAAAAUUGAUUGAGGGAUGUCAGGGAGGUCAGGGAUCAUCCCAGUAUAGUCCGUUUAAAUAUUUGUUGCCAUUCGGCUGGACAAACGGGCGAAAUGGUGCGAACAGAGCAUUAUCUGGCCAAAUUAGUGCGCUAUAGCCUACAAAUUUGAGCGUAGGCCCGGGGUUCGGGCGUGCUAUGGACCAAAAAUUAAUUGGGGCAUGCCAGGGAGGCUGGGGAUCGUACCAUUAUGAUACAAUUAAAUUUUCAUAACUAUUUGAGUGGAUAAACGGGUAAAACGGCAUGAACGGGGCAUUUUUAGGCCAAAUCGGUGUGCUAUAGCUAUGGUUUUUGGGGUGGGCCUGGGGUCCGGGCGUGCUGUUGGUUAAAAAUUGACCGAGGCCUGCCAAGAAGGAUGGGGAUCAUCCUAGUAUGCUCCGUUUAAAUUUAUGUGGCCAUUUGGGUGGAAAUUCAUGCGAAAAGGCACGAACAGGGUAUUUUCGGGCCAAAUCUGAAUGUUAUAGCCCACGAUUUCAGGGUUCGGCCAAGGGUUCAGGCGUUUUGUGACCCCAAAAUAAAUUGGGGUGUGCCAGGGGGGUUGAGGAUCAUCCUAGUAUAGAUCAUUUAAAUUUUUGUGGCCAUUUGGGUUGAAAAACAGGCGAAACGGCAUAAACGGGACAUUUUUAGGCCAAAUCGGUGUGCUAUAGCCCACGGUUUUGGGGGUGGGCACGGGGUCCUAGUGUGCUAUGGGCUAAAAAUUAUUGGGGCAUGCCAUAGAGGUUUGGGAUCAUCCUAGUGUGGUUAAUUUAAAAUUUUGUGGCUAUUUGGGUGGAAAAACGUGCGAAACGGUUGGAACAGGGGAUUUUCAAAAUAAAUUGUUGUGCUAUAACCCACAGUUUUGUGGGUGGGCUCGAUGUCCGGGCGUGCUGUUGGUCGAAUAUCAACUGUGGCAUGCUAGGGAGGUUGGGGAUUGUCCCAGUGUGGCCUGUUUAAAAUUUUAUGGCCAUUUAGGUGGACAAAUGGGCAAAACAGAGCUAAUGGAGAAUUUUUGAGCUAAAUUGGUGUGCUAUAGCCCACCAUUUGGAGGGUGGACCCAGGUUUUGGGCAUGCUGUGGGCCAAAAAUUGAUCGUGCCAUGCUAGGGAGGUUAACGAUCAUUCCAGUGUGGUCCGUUUAAAUUUUUAUGGCCAUUUGGGUGGACAAGCAGAUGAAAUGGCAUUUUUGGGACAAAUUGGUGUGCUAUAUCCCACGGUUUUAGUGGUGGGCCUAGGGUUCAGGCGUGCUGUGGUCUGAAAAUUGACCAGGGCAUGCCAGGGUGGUUGGGAUUGUUCCAGUGUGGUCCUUUCAAACUUUUAUAGCCAUUUAGGUUGACAAACGGGCGAAACGGCGCGAAUUGGGCAUUUUUGGGCCAAAUCGAUGUGCAAUUGCCCACGGUUUUAGGGAUGGGCCUGGGGUCUGGGCUUACUGUGGGUUGAAAAUCGACUGGGGCAUAUCAAGGAGGUUGGGGAUCAUCCCAGCAUGGUUUGUUUAAAUUUUUGUGGCCAUUUGGGUGGGUAAAUGGGUGAGAUAGCACAAAUGGGGAAUUUUUGGGCUAAAUCAUUGUUCUACAGCCCACGGGUUUGGGGGUGGGCCUGGGGUCCAAGCGUGUUGUGGGAUAAAAAUUAAUUGAGGUAUGCCAGGAGGUCGGGAAUCAUACCAGUGUGGUUUGUUAUAAUUUUUGUGGCUAUUUGGGUGGACAAACGUGCGAAACAGCCCAAACAGGGCAUUGUUUGGUCCAAAUCGGUGUGCUUAGCCCAUGGUUUCUGGGGUAGGCCCAGGGUUUCGGCGUGCCUUGAGCCAAAAAUUAAUCGAGGCAUACCAAGCAGGUCGGGGAUCAUUCCAAUGUGGUCUGUUUAAAUUUUGUGUCCAUUUUGGUGGACAAAUGGAUGAAACGAUGCAAACAAGGUAUUUUUAAGCUAAAUCAGUACGCUAUAGCCAACGGUUUUGACGGUGGGCCCAAGGUAUGGUGUACUGCAGGUGAAAAAAUAAUUGAGGUAUGCUAAGGAGGUUGAGGAUCAUCCCUGUAUGGUCAGUUUAAUUUUUUGUGGCCAUUUCGGUGGACAAACGGGUAAAACAGCACGAACGAGGCAUUAUUGAGCUAAAUAAGUGUGCUAUAGCCCCCGGUUUCUAGGGUAGGCCCGAGGUCUGGGCGUGCUAUGGGCCAAAAAUCGACCAGGAAAUGCCAGGAAGGUUGGAGAUCAUCCCAGUAUGUUUCGUUUAAGUUUUUGUGGCCAUUUUAGUGGAAAAACAGGUGAAACAACGUGAAUGGGGCAUAUUCGGGCCAAAUCGGUGUGCUAUAGCCCACGAUUUCAAGGGUGGGCCCAGGGUAUAAGUGUGUGGUGUGUCAAGAGUCGACCGAGGCGUGCCAGGGGGGUUAUGGAUCAUCCCAAUAUCAUUCGUUUAUUUUUUUGUGGCCAUUUGGGAGGAGAAACAGGCAAAAUGGUGCGAACGGGGUAUUUUGGGACCAAAUCGGUGUUCUAUAGCCCACAAUUUUUGGGGUAGGCCUAAGGUCCGGGUCUACUAUGGGCCGAAAAUGCAUGGGGUCUGCCAGGGGGUUGGGGAUCAUCUCAGUAUGGUUUGUUUAACUUUUCAUGGCGAUUUAGAAGGACAAACGGGUGAAACAAUGCGAACAGGGUAUUUUUGCAGCCAAAUUGGUGCAUUAUAGCGCACAGUUUUGGAGGUAGGCCAGGGGUUCGGGCGUGUUAUAGGGAAAAAAUCAAUCGGGUGUGCCAGAGAGGUUGGGAUCAUCCUAGUAUGGUCUGUUUAUAUUCUUGUGGGCAUUUAGGUGGAGAACGGGCGAAAUGGCUCAAACGGGGCAUUUUUAGGAUAAAUUGGUGUGCUAUUGCCCACGGUUUUGGGGUGGACCUGAGGCCCAAGCCUGCUAUGGGCUGAAAAUCGAUUGGGGUAUGCCAGGGAGGUUGGGGAUUGUCCCAAUGUGGUCCUUUGAAAGUUUUGUAGCUAUUUGGGUUGAUAAACAAGAAUAACGGUGCAAACAAGGCAUUUUCGAUCCAAAUUGGUGUGCUAUAGCCUACAGUUUUGGAGCUGGGCCUGGGGUCCGGGCGUGCUGUGUUCCAAAAAUUGAUUUGGGCUUGCCAGGGAGGUUAGGGAUCAUUCAUUUUGGUCUGUUUAAAUUUUCAUGGCUAUUUAGCUGGAUAAAUGAGCGAAACUGCCGAAUGGGGCAUUUUCGAGCAAAAUCAAUGUGCUAUAUAGCUUACAAUUUUGGGGGUGGGCUCGGGGUCCGAGCGUAUUGUGGACCAAAAAUUGACUGGGGUGUGCUAGGGAGGUUGGGCAUCUUCCCAGUGUGGUCUUUUAGAGUUUUCGUGGCCAUUUGGGUGGACAAAUGGGAGAAACGACACAAAUAGGGUAUUUUUAGGCUAAAUCGGUGUGCUAUAGCCCAUGGCUUCGGGGGUGGGGCCAGAGUUAGGGGGUACUGUAGGCCAAAAAUUAACUAGGGCAUGCCAGGGGGGUUGGGGAUUAUCCCAGUGUGGUCCGUUUAAGUUUUUGUGGCCAUUUGGGUGGACAAACGAGUGAAACAGCUUGAACAAGGCAUUUUUGAGCCAAAUCAAUGUGCUAUAUCCUACGAUUUUAGGGGUAGGCUCGAGGUCCGGGCGUGCUGUGUACCUAAAAUCGAUCGGGGCUUUCUAGGGAGGUAGGGGAUCAUCCGAGUGUGGUCCAUUUAAAUUUUUGUGGUCAUUUGGGUGGACAAAUGGGCAAAAAUACGCGAACGGGGCAUUUUUGGGCCAAAUCGUUGUGCUAUAUAGCCCACAGUUUUAGGGGUGGGCCCGAGGUCCUGGCGUACUAUAGGCUGAAAAUCGAUCGGGCCAUGCAAAAGAGGUUGGGGAUCAUCACAGAGUGGUUAGUUUAAAUUUUCGUGACCAUUUGAGUGGACAAACAGGCAAAACGGCACAAAUGGGCCAUUUUCAAGCCAAAUCAGAGUGUUAUAGUCUACGGUUUUGGGGGUGGGCUGGGGUUCGGGUAUGCUGUCAGCCAAAACUCAAUUAGGGCUUGCCAGGAAGGUUGGGGAUCAUCUCAGUGUGGUUUAUUUAAAUUUUUGUGGCCAUUUGGGUGGACAAAUGGGCAAAACAGCGCAAAUGGAGCAUUUUUGAGCCAAAUCGGUGUGCUAUAUCUCACGGUUUUGGGUGUGGGCCCAUGGUCCGGGCGUGUUGUAGGAUGAAAAUUAAUUUGGGCAUGCCAAGUAGGUUAGGGAUCAUCCCAGUCUAGUUUAUUUAAAUUUUUGUGGACAUUUAGGCGGACAAACGGGCAAAACGGCCAAUACAGGGCAUUUUCAGGCCAAAUUGAUAUGCUAUAGCCUACAGUUUUGGGGGUGGGCCUAAGGUCCGGGCGUGCUAUUUCUCAAAAAUUAAUUGGAGCAUGCCAAGAAGAUUAGGGAUUAUCUCAGUGUAGUCUAUUUAAAUUUUUGUUUCCAUUUGGGUGGAGAAACGGGCGAAAUGGCACAAACGGGAUAUUUUUGGGCUAAAUCAGUGUUUGAUAGCCCACGGUUUAGGGGGUGCGCUCGAGUUUCGAGCGUGUUGUGGGCUAAAAAUUGAUUGAGGUGUGCCAGGGAGGUUGGGGAUCAUCCCAGUGUGGUCCGUUUAAAUUUUCAUGGCCAUUUGGGUGGACAAACAGGUGAAACGGCAUGAACGGGGCAUUUUUGGGUCAAAUUAUAUACAAUAGUCUAUGGUUUCGGGGGUGGGCCCGGGGUCCGAGCAUGAUGGAAGCCAAAAAUAAAUCUAGUAUGCCAAGGAGGUUAGGUAUCAUCUCAGUAUGGUUUGCUUAAAUUUUUAUGGCCAUUUAGGUGUACAAACAGCGCGAACGAGGUAUUUUCAAGCCAAAUUGGUGUGCAAUAGGCGACGAUUUUGGGGGAGGGCCUGGGGUUUGAGCGUGCUGUGGGCCAAAAAUUGACCAAGGCAUACUAAGGAGGUUAGAGAUCCUCCCAGUGUGGUUCUUUUAAUAUUUUGUGGCCAUUUGAGUGGAUAAAUGGAUGAAACAGCGCGAAUGAGGCAUUUUUUGGCCAAAUCGGUAUGCUAUAGCCCACGAUUUUGGGGAUGGGCCUGAGGUCCUAGUGUGCUAUGGGCUAAAAAUCGACUCAAACAUUACAGAAAUGUUGGGAAUCAUACCAAUGUGCCCUGUUGAAAUUUUUAUGCCCAUUUAGGUGGACAAACGGGCGAAACAGUGCGAACCGGGCUUUUUCGAGCCAAAUCGGUGUGCUAUAGCCCACAGUUUAGGGGGUUGGACUGGUGUCUGAGCUUGUUGUGGGCUGAAAAUUGACCGGGGUGUGCCAAGGAGGUCGGGGAUAGGCCCAAUGUGGUCCAUUUAAAUUUUCUUAUCCAUUAUUGUGGACAAAUGAACAAAACGGCACGAACGGGGAAUUUUUGAGCCAAAUUGGUGAGCUAUAGCCCACGGUUUUAGGGGUGGGCCUAGGGUUCGGGCGUGCUGUGUGCUAAAAAUUAACCGAGGAGUUCUAGGGAUGUUGGGAAUCAUCCCAUUAUGGUCCUUUUAAGUUUUCGUGGCUAUUUGGGUGGACAAACGGGUGAAACGAUAUGAACAGGGCCUUUUCUUGACAAAUCGGUGUGCUAUAGCACAUUGUUUCAUGGGUCGGCAUAGGGUCCAGGAGUGCUGUAGCCUGAAAAUUGAGCGGAGCAUGCCAGGGAGGUUGGGUUCAUCCCAGUGUGAUCCAUUUAAGUUAUUGUGACCUUUGAGUGGACAAACGAGCGAAACGGUGCGAACGUAGAACUUUCGGUCCAAAUAAGUGUCCUAUAUCAUAAGUUUUAGGGGUGGGCUCGAGGUCUGGGCGUGGUGUGGGCCAAAAAUUGCCUGUGGCAUGCCAGAAAAGUUGAGGACCAUCCCAGUGUGGUUCGUUUAAAUUUUCAUGGACAUUUAGGUGGACAAAUGGGCCAAACAGCGCGAACGGGGCAUUUUUGGGCUAAAUCGGUAUUCUGUAGCCUACGAUUUUGGGGUAGGCCCAGGGUUUGGGAGUGUUAUGGGCUAAACAUUGAUCGUGUCAUGUUAGGGAGGUUAGGGAUCGUCCUAGUUUGGUCCGUUUAAAUUUUUGUGGACAUUUGGGAGGACAAACGGAUGAAACGGCAUGAACGGGGCAAUUUUGGCUAAAUUGAUGUGUUAUAACCUGCAGUUUUGGGGGUGGGCUCGGGGUUCGGUCAUGAUGUGGGGAAAAAUUGAUCGGGGCAUGCUAGGGAGAUUAGGGAUCAUCCCAGUGUAGUUUGAUUAAAUUUUUGUGGAUAUUUGGGUGGAUAAAUAGGCAAAAGGGCGCGAACAGGGUAUAUUUGAGCCAAAUAAGUCUGAUAUAGCCCACGGUUUUGGGGGUAGGUUUGGGGUUAGGGCGUGCUGUGGGCAAAAAAUUGACCAGGGAGUGACAGGGAGUUUGGGUAUCGUCCUAGUGUGGUUCGUUUAAAUUUUUAUGGCAAUUUUCAUUGACAAACGGGCAUAACGAUGCGAACGGGGCAUUUUUAGGCCAAAUCAGUGGGUUAUAGCCCAUAGUUUUGGGGGUGAGCCCGGGGUCCGAGUAUACUGUGGGACAAAAUCGACCAGAGUAUGCCAGGAAUGUUGGUGAUCAUCCCAGUAUGGUCCAUUUAAAUUUUUGUGGCCAUUUGGGUAGAUAUACGGGCAAAACGGCUGGAACGAGACAUUUUUUAGCCAAAUCGGUGAGCUAUAGCCCACGAUUUUAGGGGUGGACUGAGGUCCGGGCAUACUGUAGGCUAAAAAUUGAUUGAGGUGUGCCAUGGAGGUUGGGGAUCAUCCCAGUAUGGUUCGCUUAAAUAUUUGUGGCCAUUUGGGUGGAUAAACGAGCAAAAUAGCUUGAACGUGGCCUUUUUGGGACAAAUCAGUAUGCUAUUGCCCAGGAUUUUGGGGGUGGGCCGGGGUCCAAGCGUGCUGUGGGCCAAAAAUUGACCAGGGCAUGUCAGGGAGGUUGGGUAUUAUCCUAAUGUGGUCCGUUUCAAUUUUCGUAGCCAUUUGGCUGGAUAAAUAGGCGAAAUAGCGCAAACGGGGCAUUUUUGGGCCAAAUCGGUGUGCUAUAACCCACAGUUUUAGGGGUGGACCCAUGGUCUGGGUUUGCUGUGGGUAGAAAAUCGAUUGGGGAAUGCCAGGAGGUUGGAGAUUAUCCCAGUGUUGUCCGUUUAAAUUUUCGUGGCUAUUUGGGUGGACAAACGGGCGAAACGGAGCUAAUAUGGCAUUUUCAAACUAAAUAAAUGUUCUAUUGCCCAUGGUUUUGGGGUGGCCCCGAGGUCCAGACGUGCUGUAUGCUAAAAAUUGAUCGAGGCAUGCCAGGGAGGUUGAGGAUCUUUCUAGUGUGGUUCGUUUGAAUUUUUCUGGCCAUUUGAGUGGACAAACGAGUGAAAUAGCAUGAACGGGGAGUUUUUGGGUAAAUCGAUGUGCUAAAGCUCAUGGUUUUGGGGGUGGACCAGGGGUCCAGACUUGCUGAGGGCGAAAAAUCAAUCGGGUCAAGCAAGGAAGCUGAGGAUUAUCCCAGUGUGGCUUGUUUAUGUUUUCGUGGCCAUUUUGGUGGACAAGCGGGCAAAACAGCGUGAGUGGGGCAUUUUUGGAUCAAAUCGGCAUACUAUAAUGCAUGAUUUCAGGAGUGGGCCAGGGUCAGAGCAUACUGUGUGCCAAAAAUUAAUCGGGGCAUGCUAGGGAGGUUGGGGAUCAUCCUAUUAUGGUCUGUUUAAGUUUUAGUGGCCAUUUGGGCGGACAAACGGGCGAUAUGGCGCAAACGGGGCCUUUUCGGGACAAAUCGAUGUGCUAUAGCCCAUAGUUUUGUGGGUGGGCAUAGGAUCCAAGUGUGCUGUAGGCCAAAAAUUGAUUGGCGUGUGCCUGGGAGGUUGGGGAUUAUCCCAGUAUUGUCCGUUUAAUAUUUUUAACCAUUUGGGUGGAUAAAUGAACGGAAUAGCACGAACGGGAUAAUUUUGGGCUAAAUCGGUGUGCUAUAACCCAUGGUUUUGGGGAUGGGUUCAGGCUUCGGGUGUGCUGUGGGAUAAAAAUAGAUUGGGGAAUGUUAAGGAGGUUGAGGAUCAUCAUAAUGUGGUCCUUUUAAAUUUUUGUGGAUAUUUAGGUGGACGAAUGGGCGAAACGAUGCGAAUGGGGCAUUUUCGAGCCAAAUCGGUGUGCUAUUGCCCACGAUUUUGGGGUGGGCCCAUGGGUUGAAAAUCGACCGGGUUGUGCCAGGGAUGUUGGGGAUUAUCCCAGUGUGGUCUAUCUAAAUUUUUGUGGACAUUUGGGUAGACAAACAGGCGCAAUGGCGCAAACAAGGCAUUUUUGGGUCAAAUCGAUGUGCUAUAGCCCAUAGUUUUGGGGGUGGGCUUGGGGUCCAGGCAUGUUGUGGGACAAAAAUCAAUCGGGACAUGACAGAAAGGUUGGAGAUCAUCCCAGUAUGGUCCAUUUAAUUUUUGUGGCCUUUUGGCUGGACAAACAGACAAAACAGCAUGAAUGGGGCAUUUUCAGGCUAAAUCGGUGAGCUAUAGCCCACGGUUUCGGGGGUAGGCCCAGGGAUUAGGGGUGCUAUGGGCUAAAAAUUUAUUGGGGCAUGCAGGGAAGUUGGUUAUUGUCCCAGUGUGGUCCGUUUAAAAUUUUUCGGCCAUUUGUAUGGACGAACGGGCAAAACGGCUCGAACAGAUCAUUUUCGAGCCAAAUCGAUGUGCUAUAGCCCACGGUUUUGGGGGUGGGCCUGGGUUCAUAGCAUACUGUGGGCUAAAAAUUAAUCGGCCCAUGCUAGGAAGGUUAGGGAUCAUCCUAGUAUGGUCUGUUUAAAUUUUCAUCGCUAUUUGUGAAGACAAACGAGCAAAACAACAUGAACGAAGGCAUUUUUCUAGCCAAAUAGCUGUUCUGUAGCCCAAGAUUUUGGGGUUGGCUCAGGGUUCGGGCGUGGUAUGGGCUAAAAGUCAACUCAUAGUGGAGAUCUUGUCAGUGUGGCCCAUUUAAAUUUUUGUUGUUGUUUGGGUGGACAUACGGGAGAAACGGCGUGAACGGGCCCAUUUUGGGUCAAAUUGGUGUGCUAUUGCCCCUGGUUUUAGGGGUAGGCCGGUGUCCGGGUGUGAUGUGGGGUAAAAGUUGAUGGGGGUGUGCCACGGAGGUUGGGGAUCAUCCCUGUGUUGUAGGUUUAAUUUAUUAUGGCUAUUUCGGAGGACAGACGGGUGAAACAGCGCGAAUGAGGCAUUUUUGAGCCCAAUCGGUGUGCUAUAGCCUACGGUUUUGGGGGUGGACCUGGGGUAUGAACGUGAUGUCGGAUAAAAAUCAAUUAGGGCAUGCAAAGAUAGUUGGGGAUUGUCCCAGUGUUGUCUAUUUAAAUUUUUAUGGCCAUUUGGGUGGACAAACGCGCGAAAUGGUGCAAAUGGGGCAUUUUCGAGCUUAAUCGAUGUGCUAUUGCCCAUGUUUUUGGGUGUGGGCCCAGGGUUCGGGUGUGUUGUGGGUUAUAAAUCGAUUGAGGUAUGCUGGGGAGGUUGUGGAUUUUCUUAGUGUGGUGCGUUUAAAUUUUUGUGGCCAUUUGGGUGGACACAUGGGCAAAAUGGUGUGAAUAGGGUAUUUUCAGCCCAAACCAGUGUGCUAUAGCCCACAAUUUUGGGGGUGGGUCGGGGUUUAGGUAUGCUGUGGGCCAAAUAUCGAUCGGGGCAUGCAAGGGAGGUUGGGGAUCAUCCCCCUGUGGUCCGUUCAAGUUUUUGGGGCCAUUUUGGUGGACAAAUGUGUGAAAUAGCGCAAAUGGGGCAUUUUUGGGCCAAAUCGGUGUGAUAUUGCCCACGGUUUUGAGGGUGGGAUCGGGGUCCAGGCAUGCUGUGAGACAAAAUCAACCGGUGCAUGCCAGGGAGGUUGGGGACCGUCCUAUUAAGUUCCCCUUAAGAUUUCAUGGCCAUUUGGGUUGAUAAACGGGCAAAAGAACAUGAAUGGGGUUUUUUCGAUAAAUCAGUGUGCUAUAGCCCACAGUUUCGUAGUUGGGCACAAGUUCUGGGAAUGCUGUGUGUCGAAAAUCGACCGAGGUGUGCCAGGGAGGUUAGGAAUCAUCCCAUUAUGGUCUUCUUAAGUUUUUGUGGCUAUUUGGGUGGAAAAAUGGGCGAAAUAGCGUGAACGAAGCAUUUUCGGGCAAAAUCGGUGUGCUAUAACCCAUAGCUUUGGGGGUGGACCCAGGGUCCGGGCGUUUUGUGGGCGAAAAAUCAAUUGAGGUAUACCAGGGAGGUUGAAUAUCAUCCCAUUGUGGUCCGUUUAAAUUUUUGUGGCCAUUUAAGUGGACAAACGGGAAAAACGGCGCGAAUGGGGCAUUUUUGGACCAAAUCGGUGUUCUAUUCCCCACAUUUUUAGGGUGAGCCAGAUUCUGGGAGUACUAUCAACUGAAAAUUGAUCGGGGCAUGCUAAGGAGUUUGGGGUUCAUUUGAGUGUGGUCAGUUUAAAUUUUUGUGAAUAUUUGGGUGCACAAACGGGCAAAACAGCUUGAAUGGGGCAUUUUUGGGCCAAAUCAAUGUGCUAUAGGACACGAUUUUGGGGGUGGGCCCGGGAUCUGGGGGUGUGUGUGACCAAAAAUUCAGUUGGACAUGCCAGGGAGGUUGGGGAUUGUUCCAGAAUGGUCCAUCUAAAUUUUUGGGACUAUUUGGAUGGACAAACAGCCGAAACGGUGCAAAAUGGGCAUUUUGGGGCUAAAUCGGUGUGCUUAGCCCACAAUUUUAGGGUGGCCUGGGGAUCGGGCAUGCUAUGGACUAAAAAUUAAUCGAGGCAUGAUAGGGAGGUUGGGGAUUAUCCCAGUUUGGUCCGUUUAAGGCGAAACAAUGCGAAUAAGGUAUUUUCAGGCUAAAUCGGUGUGCUAUAGCCCACGGUUUUGGGGGUGGGCACGGGGUUCGGGCAUGCUGUGGGCCAAAAAUCAACCAGGUCAUACUAGGGAGGUUAGGGAUUAUCCCAAUGAGGUCCGUUUAAGUUUUGUAUCUAUUUUGGUGGACAAACAGGCAAAACAAUGCAAACGGGGCGCUUUGGAUAUCUUCUGAGUGUGGUCUGUUUAAAUUUUUGUAGCCAUUUGGAUGGAAAAACGGGCAAAAUAGCAUGAACGGGCCUCUUUAGGCCAAAUCGGUGUGCUAGAGCCCACGAUUUCAGGAAUGGGCCAUGGGUUCGGGCAUGCUGUGUGACAAAAGUUGACUGAGGUGUGCCAAGGAGGUUAGGGAUCAUCCUAAUGUGGUCCGUUUAAGUUUUUGUGGCUAUUUUGGUGGACAAUCGGGUGAAACGGCUCAAACGAGGCAUUUUCAGGCCAAAUCAGUCAGCUAUAGCCCACGAUUUUGGGGGUGGUACCAGGGUCGGGUGUGCUGUGGGCGAAAAAUUGAUUGGGGUAUGCCACGGAGGUUGGGUAUCAUCCCAGUAUGGUCCGUUUAAAUUUUUGUGGCCAUUUGGGAGGACAAACAGGCAAAACGAUGCAAACGGGGCAUAUUCGGGGCAAAUUGGUGUGCUGUAACCCACGAUUUUGAUUGUGGGCUCGGUGUACGGCUGUGAUGUGGGCCAAAAAUCGAUUGAGAUAUGCCAGGGAGAUGUUGGAUAGUCUAAGUGUGGUAAGUUCAAGUUUUUAGGGCCAUUUUGGUGGAUAGAUGUUUGAAAUGGCGUGAAUGGGGCAUUUUCUAGCCAAAUUGGUGUGCUAUAGUCCACAUUUUUAGGGUGGGCUCGAGGUACAGGCGUGCUGUAGUUUAAAAAUUAACCGGGGUAUGUUAGGGAGGUUGAGUUUAAUCCCGUGUGGUCGCUUUAAGUUUUUGUGACCAUUUGGGUGAACAAACGGAUGAAACAGCGCAACCGGAGAAUUUUAGGGACAAAUCGGUGUUCUAUAGCCCACGAUUUCGUGGGUGGGCUCUUUUUUUUGGGCGUACUAUGGGCUGAAAAUUAAUUUGGGGUGCCAGGGAGGUUUUUUUAAGUUUUCAUGGCCAUUUGGGUGGACAAACGGGUGAAAUAGCACAAAUGGGGCAUUUUUGGACUAAAUCGGUGUGCUGUUGCCCAUAAUUUCGGUGGAAGGCUUGGGGUUCGGGAGUGCUAUUGGCCAAAAAUCGACCGGGGUAUGGCAGGGAGAUUGGGUAUCAUCCCAGUGUGGUAUUUAUAAAUUUUUAUGGAUAUUUGGUUGGACAAAUAAUCGAAACGGCACGAACAAGGAAUUUUUUAGCGAGAUCGGUGUGCUAUAGCCCCUGGUUUUGGGGGUGCGCCCGAGGUCCGGGCGUACUGUGGGUCAAAAAUUAACCGAAGCAUGCCAAGAAGGUUGGGGAUCAUCCCAGUAUGGUUCGUUUGAGUUUUCCUGGCUAUUUAGGUGGACAAAGGGGCAAAAUGGAGAAAACGAGGCAUUUUUUAUUUAAAUCGGUGUGCUAUAGCCCACAAUUUUGGGGGUAGGCUCGGGGUCCGGGCGUGCUGUGUGCCAAAAAUUGACCGGGGCAUGCCAAGGAGGUUGGGGAUCAUCCUAGUAUGGUCCAUUUAAAUUUUUAUAGCAAUUUGGGUGGACGAAAGGUUUAAACGGCGUGAACAGGGCAUUUUCGGGCCAAAUUGGUGUGCUAUAGCCUACGAUUUUGGGGGUGAGCUCGGGGUCCGGGUGUGCUUCAAGCUGAAAAUUGAUCGGGGCAUGCAGGGAGGUUGGAAAUCGUCCUAGUGUGGUCUUUUUAAAUUUUUGUGGCCAUUGGGUGGACAAAAGGGCUAAACGGCUUGAGCGGGGCAUUUUUGAGCAAAAUUGGUGUGCUCUAGCCAGCAGUUUACGGGGUGGGCCUGGCGUUCAGCAUUCUGAUGGCCAAAAAUUGAUCGGGGCAUACUUGGGAGGUUGGGGAUCAUUCGAGUAUGGUCCGUUUAAAUUUUGUUGCCAUUCGGGUGGACAAAAAAGCAAAACAAUGCGAAUGGGAUAUUUUUAGGCCAAAUCGAUGUGAUAUAGCCCACAGAUUCGGGGGUGGGCUCGGGGUCAAGCAUGCUAUAGGUUGAAAAUUGACCAGCCAUGGCAGGGAGGUUGGGGAUCAUCCCACUAUGGUCCUUUUAAAUUAUUGUGGCCACUUGGGUGGACAUACGGGCGAAACGAAGAGAAUGGGGCAUUUUCGGGUCAAAUCGGUGUGCUAUAGCCAACGAUUUUAGAGGUAAGCUUGGGGUCCGGGCAUGCUGUGUGCCAAAACUUGAAUGGGUCAUACAGGGAGGUUGGGGACCAUCCCAGUGUGAUCAAUUUGAAUUUUAAGGCUAUUUUGGUGGACAAACGGUUGAAACGGUGCGAACGGGGUAUUUUCGGGGCAAAUCGGUGUGCUAUAGCCGACGAUUUUGGGGUGGGUCCGUGGUCUGAUCGUGCUAUGUGUCAAAAAUCAAUCGAGGCAUACCAGGGAGGUUGGGGAUCGUCCUAGUGCUAUCUGUCUAAAUUUUUGUGGCCAUUUAGGUGGAUAAACCGGCAAAAUGGAACGAACGAGGCAUUUUUCAGCUAAAUUGGUAUGCUAUAGCCUACGGUUUUGAGGGUAGACCCGAGGUCCGAGGGUGCUAUGGGAUGAAAAUUGAUUUGGGCAUGCCAGAGAGGUUGGGGAUUGCCCCAGUGUGGUCCGUUCAAAUUUUCAUGGCCAUUUGGGUGGACAAAUAGGCAAAAUGGUGCAUUUUCGGGCCAAAUCGGUGUGCUAUAGCCCACGGUUUUGGGGGUGGUCCUAGGGUACGGGCGUGAUGUGGGACAAAAAUUGAUCAGGGCAUACCAGGUAGUUUGGGAUAGUUCCAGUGUGGUCCGUUUAAAUUUCGUGGCCAUUUGGGUCGACAAAUGAGUGAAACGGCGCGAACUAGUAUUUUUUGGGAAAAAUUUGUGUGCUAUUGCUCAUGCUUUUGGGGGUGGGCCUGGGUUUCGGGUGUUUUGUGGCCUAAAAAUUGAGCAGGGUGCGCCAGUGGGGUUGACGAUCAUCCCAGUAUAGUCCAUUUAAAUUUUUGUGGCCAUUUUGGUGGACAAAUGGGCAAAACAGCACGAACGGCACAUUUUUGGGCUAAAUCGAUGUUCUAUAGCCCAUGAUUUUGGGGUGGGCCCAAGGUACAGGCGUUCUAUGGGCUUAAAAUCGACCAGAGCGUGCUAAGGAGGUUGAAGAUUGUCCUAGUAUGGUCCAUUUAAAUUUUUGUGGCCAUUUGGGUAAACAAACGUGUGAAACUGCAAGAAUGGGGCAUUUUCGAGCUAAAUCGAUGUGCUAUAGCCCACAAUUUUGGGGAUAGGCCCGGGGUCUGGGCAUGCUGUGGGCCAAAAAUCAAUCGGGUAGAGCCAAGGAGGUUAGAGAUCGUCCCAGUGUGGUCCGUUUAAAUUUUUCUCGCUAUUUGGGUGGACAAACGGGCGAAACAAGAUGAACGGGACUUUAUUGAACCAAGUCAGUAUGCUAUUGCCAAUGGUUUUGGGGGUGGGACCGGGGUUCAAGCGUGCUGUGGGCUAAAAAUUGACUGGAGCGUGCCUGGGAGGUUGGGAAUCAUCCCAGUAAGGUUCGUUUAAAUUUUCAUGACCAUUUGGGUGGACAAAAGGGUGAUACAGCACGAACGGGAUGUUUUCGGGCCAAAUCAAUGUGCUAUAGCCCUCGAUUUUGGGGGUGGUCCUGGGAUUCGGGCAUACUGUGGGUUGAAAAUUAAUUGAGGUAUGCCAGGGAGGUUGGGGAUCUUCGCAGUAUGGUGCGUUUGAAUUUUUGUGGAUAUUUGGAUGGACAAAUAGGCAAAACAAUGUGAACGGGAAUUUUUUGAGCCAAAUCGGUGUGCUAUAGCCUACAUUUUUUGGGGUGGGAUAGAGGUCCGUGCGUGUUGUGGGUCAAAAAUUAAUUGGGGCAUGCCAGGGAGUUUGGGGAUCAUCCUAGUAUGGUCCGUUUAAAUUUUAGGGGCCACUUGGGUGGACAAAUAGGCAAAAUAACGAGAACGGGGUGUUUCUAUGCCAAAUCGAUGUGCUAUAGCUCUUAGUUUCGGAGGUGGUCCUGGGGUCCGGGCGUGCUGUGGGCGAAAAAUCAAUCGGGGCAUGCCAGGGAGGUUGAAGAUCCUUCCAGUGUGGUCCGUUUAAAUUUUUUUGGCCAUUUGGAUGGACAAACGGGCGAAACGGUGUGAACAAUGCAUUUUUGGGCCAAAUCAAUGUGAUAUAGCCCAUGAUAUUAGGGGUGGUCUCGGGGUCUGGGUAUUUUGAUCGCCAAAAAUCAAUCGGGGCAUGCCAAGGAGGUAGAGUACCAUCCCAGUAUGGUCCGUAUAAAUUUUCAUGGUUAUUUGGGUCGACAAACGGGCAAAACAGCGUGAACAGGGCAUUUUCGGGCCAAAUCGAUGUGCUAUAGGCCACGGUUUUAGGGAUUGGCCGAGGGUCCAGGCGUGCUGUGGGAUGUAAAUCGACCGGGGCAUGCCAGGGAUGUUGGGGAUUAUCCCAGUGUGGUCCGUUUAAAUUGUCGUGGCCAUUUGGGUGAACAAAUGGGUAAAAUGGCGCGAACAAGGCAUUUUUGGGCCAAAUCGAUGAGCUACAGCCUACAUUAUUGGGGGUCGGGCCAGGGUCAGGGCAUGCUGAGGGCUGUAAAUCGAUCGAGGCAGGCCAGGGAGUUUGGGGAUUGGCCCAGUAUGGUCCAUUCAAAUUUUCGUGUCCAUUUGGGCAGACAAUUAGGUGAAGCUACAUGAACGAGGCUUUUUCUGGAUAAAUUAGUGUGUUAUAACCCACGGUUUUUGGGGUGGGCCCGGGGUUCGGGCAUGCUAACGAUCAAAAAUCAACCGGGGUGUGCUAAGGAGGUUGGGAUUGUCCCAGUAUGGUCCUUUUUAAUUUUUGUCGCCAUUUGGGUUGACAAAAGGACGAAAUGAGAACAGGACAUUUUUAGGCCAAAUCGGUGUGCUAUAGCCUAUGGUUUCGGUGGUGGUCCUGGGGUCCGGACGUGUUACAGGCCAAAAACCUACUGGGGCAUGCCAGGGAGGUCAGGGAUCAUACCAGUGUUGUCCGUUUAAAUUUUUGUGGACAUUUGGGUGGAUAACGGGCAAAAUAGCGCGAACGGUGCAUUUUUUAGCCAAAUUGGUGUGCUUUAGCCCAUGGUUUUGGGGGUGGGCCCUGGGGUUUGGGUGUGCUGUGGGCUAAAAAUUGAUUGGGGUAUGCCAGGGAGGUUGGGGAUAAUCCUAGUAUGGUCCAUUUAAAUUUUCAUAAACAUUUGGGUGGACAAACAGGAGAAACGGAGCGAAUGGGGCAUUUUCAGGUCAAAUUGGUUGCUAUAACCCACAGUUUUGGGGGUGGGCCCCUGUUCUUGGCGUGUUGUGGGCCAAAAAUUGAUCAGGGAGUACCAGGGAGGUUGGGGAUCAUCCCAUUGUGCUCCGAUUAAAUUUUGUGGCUAUUUGGGUGGACAAACGAGCAAAACCAUGCAAACUGGGCAUUUUCGAGCCAAAUUGGUGUGCUAUAACCUUCGAUUUAGGAGAUGGGAAAGGGUUACGAGCGUGCUAUGCAUCGAAAAUUAACUAGGGUAUGCCAGGAAGGUUGAGGAUCAUCCCAAUGUGAAUCGUUUAAAUUUUCGUGGCCAUUUGGGUAGACAAACGGGCAAAACUACAUGAAUAGGGCUUUAUAGCCCAUGGUUUUGAGGGUGGCCCAGGGUCCGGGUGUACUGUGGGCCAAAAAUCGAUCGGGCAUGCCAGGGAGGUUGGGGAUCAUCCCAGUAUAGUCCAUUUAAACUUUUGUGCCCAUUUGGGUGGACAAACUGUGUGAACAAGACAUUUUUGUGCUGAAUCAGUGUGCUAUAGCCCACGGUUUCGAGGGUGGGCUCGGAUUUCAGGUGUGUUGUGGAUCGAAAAUCUACUAGGGCAUGCCAAAGAGGUUGGGGAUCGUCCCUGUAUGGUCCGAUUAAAUUUUUGUGGCUAUUUGGGUGGACAAACGGGCGAAACGAUGCAAACGAGGUAUUUUUGGCCCACAACACGCUAUGCCCCGUACCCACCCCUGAAAUCGUGCGCUAUAGCACAUCGAAUCGAUACGAAAAUGCCUCUUUCGCGCUGUUUCACUCGUUUGUCCAACCAAAUAGGACAAAAAUUUAAACGAACCAUACUUGGAUGAUCCCCAACAUCCUUGGCACUCCCCUAAUGAUUUUUGUCCCACAACAAACUUGAAACCCGGGCCCACCCCAAAAUCGUGGGAUAUAGCACACCAAUUUGGACUAAAAAUGCCCCGUUCGCGCUAUUUAGCCAAUUUGUCCACCCAAAUGGCCACAAAAAUUUAAGCGAACCAUAAUGGGAUGAUCCCAAACAUCCCUGGCAUGCCUCAGUCGACUUUUGGCCAAUUGUACGCCUGCAUCUUAUGCCCACCCCCAAAACCGUGGGGUAUAACACACUGAUUUUGCCUGCAAACUCCCCGUUUGAGUUGUUUUGCCCGUUUGUCCACCAAAUAGAACAAAAAAUUAAACGGACCACACUGGGAUGAUCCCCAACCUCCCUGGCACUCCCUGGACAUUUUUUAGCCCACAGAAUACCUGGACCCCGGGCCCACCCCAAAAAUAAUGGGCUAUAGCACACCGAUUUGGGCCAAAAUACCCCUUUAGCGUUAUUUUGCUCGUUUAUCGACCCAAAUGGCCACAAAAAUUUACCACACUGCAAUGAUCCCAACCUCCCUAGAAUUCCCCAAUCUAUUUUUGUCCCACAGCAUGCUCAGACCCUGUUCCCACCCCUAAAACUGUGGGCUAUAGCACACCGAUUUGGCCCGAUAAUGCCCCGUUCGCGUUGUUUAGCUCAUUUGUCCACCCAAAUAGCACGAAAAUUUAAACAGACCACACUGGGAUAAUCCCCAACCUCCCUGGCACGCCUAGAUCAAUUUUUGGCCUACUGCACGCCCGAACCCCAGGCCCAUCCCUAAAACCGUGGGUCAUUGCACACCGAUUUUGCCUGAAAAUAUCCCGUUCGUGCUAUUUGUCCUGUUUGUCAAGCCAAAUGGCCAUUAAAAUUUGAACAGACCACAUAGGGAUGAUUCCCGACCUCCCUGGCAUACACCUGAUCAAUUUUUGGCCUACAGCAUACCCAGACCCCUAGCCUACCCCUAAAAUCAUGGAACAUAGCAUACCGAUUUGGACCAAAAUGUCCCGCUUGCAUCAUUACGCCUGUUUGUCCACCCAAAUAGCCACAAAAAUUUAAACGGACUACACUGGGAGGAUCCCCAACCUCCCUGACUUGCCCCGAUCGAUUUUUGGCCCAUAGCAUGCCUGAACCCCUACCCACCCCCAAAACUAUCGGCUAUAACACACCUAUUUGGCCCGAAAAACCUUCUUUCGUAUCGUUUCGCCUAUUUGUCGGCCUAAAUGGCCAUGAAAAUUUAAACAGACCACAUUAGGAUAAUCCCCAACCUCCUUGGAUAUCCUCAAUCGAUUUUUUGCCCAUUGCACGCCCGGACCCUGGGCCCAUCCCCGAAAUCAUGGGCUAUAGCCAGCCUGAAAUCUGGGUCCAACCCUAAAAUCGUGGCUAUAGCAUACCAAUUUGGCCCAAAAAUGCCCCGUUCGAGCCAUUUUGUCCGUUUGUCCACCCAAAUAGCCGUAGAAAUUUAAACGAACAAUUCUGGGAUGAUCCUCAACCUCCCUGACACACCUGGGUCAAUUUUUGACCCACAAAUCACCCGAAGCCUAGGCCCACCUUCUAAAUCGUGGGCUAUAGCACACCGAUUUAGCUUGAAAAUGCCUCAUUUGCCCCGUUUCUUUUAUUUGUCGACCCAAAUGGCAGCAAAAAUUUAAACGGACCACACUGAAAUGAUCCCCAACCUCCCUGGCAUACCCCAACCAAUUUUUGCACAUGAUACGCUUGGACCAUGGGCCCACCCCCAAAAUCGUAGGCUAUUGCUCACUUAUUUGGCUCGAAAAUGACCCGUUCACACAGUUUCACCCGUUUGUCCUCCCAAAUGGCUACAAAAAUUUAAAUGGACCAUACUAGGAUGAUCCCCAACUUCCCUGGCAUGCCCACAUUAAUUUUCAGCCCACAACACGUCGGACCCUAGGCCCACCCCUAAAAUUAUGGGCAAUAGCACACCAAUUUGGCCUAAAAAUACCCCAUUCGCGCCGUUUUUCUCGUUUGUCCACCCAAAUGGACAUAAAAAUUUAAACGAACCAUGCUGGGAUGAUACCUAACAUUUGUAGCACUCCCCUAUCAAUUUUUGGCUCAUAGGAAACUCGAACCACGGACCCCCCUUCAAAAUCGUGGGCUAUAGCGCACAUAUUUGGAUCGGAUAUGCCCCGUUCGCACUAUUUUGCCUUUUUGUCCACCCAAAUGGCCACGAAAAUUUAAACAGACCACACUGGGAUGAUAUCCAACCUCCCUGGCAUGCCCUCUUCAAUUUUUGUGCCACAGCAUACCCGGACCUCGAACCUAUCCCUAAAAUCGUGGGCUACAGCACACCGAUUUAGCCUAAAAAUGCCCCAUUCACACGAUUUCACUCGUUUGUACACCCAAAUAGCCACAAAAUUUAAACGAACCACACUGAGAUAAUCCCAACCUCCUUGGCUCGCCCCGGUCGAUUUUCAGCCCAAAGCACGCCCGGACCCUGGGCCCACCCUCGUAAAUAUGGGCUAUAGCACACCCAUCUUGCUUAAAAAUGCCCCGUUCGCACCGUUUUUCCUAUUUUUUCUACCCAAAUGGCCAUAUAAAUUUAAACGAACUACACGGGGAUAAUGCCUAACCCCCUGGCAAGCCCCUAUUGAUUUAUGGCCCACAGCACACCCAAACACCAGGCCUACCCCCAAAACCAUAGGCUACUGUAAACUAAUUUGGUCUGAAAACACCCCGUUUGUGCCGUUUUACCCGUUUGUCCACCCAAAUGACCACGAUAAUUUAAAUGAACCACACUAUGAUGAUCCCAACCUUCCUGGCAUGCCUCGAUUAAUUUUUUGCCCAAAGUAUGCCCGAACCCCGGGCCAACCCUUGAAACUAUGGGCUAUAGUAAACUGAUUUGGUCCAAAAAUACCUUGUUUAUGCCGUUUCGCCCGUUUGUCCACACAAAUGGCCAUUAAAAUUUAAACGGACCAUACUAGAAUGAUCCCCAAUCUCUUUGACACAACCCUAUUUAUUUUCAGCCCACAGCAUGCCUGGAAUCCUGUCCCACCCCCAAAAUCGUGGGCUAUAGCAUACCAAUUUGGCCCAAAAAUGCCCCAUUCGAGCCAUUUCACUCGUUUGUCUACAUAAAUUUAACCGAACCAUACUGGGUCGAUCCCCAACCUCCUGGCAUACCCCAAUUGAUUUUUGGCCCACAUCAGGCCCGAACCACAGGCCCACCCCCAAAACCGUGGGCUAUAGCACACUAAUUUAGCCCAAAAAUGCCCCAUUCAUGCCGUUUCAACCAUUUUUCCACCUAAAUGGCCAUAAAAAUUUAAACGGACCACACUAGGAUGAUCCCUAACCAUCCUGGUAUGCGUCGAUCUAGUUUUAGCCCAAAGCACGCUCGGAUCCGGAUCCACUCACGAAACUAUAGUCAUUAGCACACCAAUUUGGCUUGAAAAAACCCUAUUCGCUCUAUUUUGCCAUUUUGCCCACACAAAUAGUCACAAAAAUUUAAACAGACCACACCGGGAUGAUCCCCAACCCCCCAGGGUUCGACCGUAUUGAGGACCAAAAAAUUACUAGGGCAUUGCAGAGAGGUUGGAGAUCAUCCCAGUAUUAUUUGUAUUAAUUUUUGAGGCCAUUUGGAUGGAAAAAUGGGUAAAACAACGCGAACGGGGAGUUAUAAAGCCAAAUUGAUGUGUUAUAGCUCAUAGUUUUGGGAGUAAGCCCGGUGUCUGAGUGUGCUAUGAGCUGAAAAUUGACCAGAGAAUACCAGGGAGGUUGGGGAUCAUCCAAGUAUGGUCCGUUAAAAUUUUCAUGGCUAUUUGAGUGGAUAAACUGGCGAAACGACACAAACGGGGUAUUUUCAGGCCAAAUUGGUGUGCUAUAACCUACGGUUUUGGGUGUUGGCAUGGGGUCUGAGCGUGUUUUGGGCCAAAAAUUGAUCGAGGUGUGCCAGGGAGGUUGAAGAUCAUCCUAGUUUGGUCUGUUUAAAUUUUUGUGGCCAUUUGGGUCAACUAACGGGUGUACCGACGUAAAUAAGGCAUUUUGAGCCAAAUCGGUGUGCUAUAGCCUACCUUUUUCGGGGUGGGCCUGGGAUCCGGGCGUGUUGUGGGCCAAAAAUCAACUGUGGUGUGCUAGGGAAGUUGGGGAUCAUCUCAGUGUGGUCCGUUUAAAUUUUCGUCGCUGUUUUGGUAGACAAACGGGCAAAAUAGUGUAAACAAGGCAUUUUCAGGCCAAAUCGGUGUGCUAUACCCCACGGUUUUGGGGAUUGGCUCAGGAUCCGGGCAUGUUGUGGGCUAAAAAUUGAUUGGGGUAUGCCAGGGAGGUUAGGGAUCAUCUUGGUUUGGUCUGUUUAAAUUUUUGUGGCCAUUUGGGUGGUCAAACGGGUGAAACGGCGUGAACGGGGUAUUUUCGGGCCGAAUCAAUAUGCUAUUGCCCACAGUUUAUGGGGUGGGCUCGGGGUCCAGGCUUGCUGUAUGUUGAAAAUUGACUGGGCGUGCCAGGGAGGUUGGAGAUCAUCCCAGUGUGGUUUGUUUAAAUUUUCAUGGCCAUUUGAGAGGACAAACGGGUAAAACAACGCAAAUGAGGCAUUUUUGGGCCAAAUCGAUAUGCUAUAGCCCACGAUUUUGGGGGUGAGCCAGGAUUCUGAUGGUGCUAUGGGGAAAAAAUCAAUCGGGUGGGCUCGGGGUUCAGGUGUGUUCUGGGCCAAAAAUUAAAUGAGGUAUGCCAAAGAGGUUGGGGAUAGUCCCAGCAUAUCCGUUUAAAUUUUCGUGGCCAUGUGGGUGGAUAAAUGGGCUAAACGGUGCGAAUGGGGCAUUUUCGCCCAAAUCGGUAUGCUAUAGCUAACGGUUUUGGGGGUGGGAUCGAGGUCUGGGUAUGCUGUAGGCUGAAAAUUAACCGAGGCAUAUUAGGGAGGUUGGGGAUCAUCCCAGUAUGGUUCAGUUAAAUUUUUGUGGCUAUUUGGAUGGACAAACAAGCAAAACAGUGCGAACGGGGCAUUUUGGGGCCAAAUUUGUGUGCUAUAUAGCCCAGAGUUUUAGGGGCGUGCUAUGAGCGAAAAAUCAACCGAGGCAUGCCAGGGAGGUUGGGGAUUAUCCCAAUGUGGUCUGUUUAAAAUUUUGUGGCCAUUUAGGUGGAUAAAUGGGAGAAACUGCAUGAACAACAUAUUUUUGGGCCAAAUCGGUGUGCUAUAGCCUAUGGUUUUGGGGAUGAGCCUAGGGUAAGGGCGUGCUGUGGGCCAAAAAUAGACCAGGGCAUUCCAGGGAGGUUGGGGAUCAUCCCAGUGUGGUCCGUUCAAUUUUUUGUGGUCAUUUGGAUGGACAAAUAGGAGAAACGGCGUGAAUGGGGCAUUUUUAGGCCAAAUCGGUGUGUUAUUGCCAUGAUUUUGGGGGUUGGCACAGGGUUCGAGCGUGCAGUGGGCGGAGAAUCGAUCGAGGCAUGCCAGGGAGGUUAGGGAUCAUCUUAGUGUAGUCUAUUUAAAUUUUUGUGGCCAUUUGGGUGGAAAAAAUGGGCGAAAUAACGCGAACGGGGCAAUUUAGGGACAAAUCGGUGUCUAUAGCCCACGGUUUUGGGGGUGGGCCCAAGGUUCGGGCAUGCUGUGAGCCAAAAAUCGUCAAAGGCAUGCUAAGUUGGCUGGAGAUCAUCCUAGUGUGGUUCGUUUAAUUUUUCAUGGCCAUUUGGCUGGACAAACGGGCGAAACGGCAUGAACAGGGCAUUUUAUGGCCAAAUUGGUAUGCUAUAGACCAUGGUAUUGGGGGUGGGGUCGGGGUCUGGGCGUGCUGUGGGUCAAAAAUUGACUGGGGCAUGUAAAGGAGGUUGGGGAUCGUCCCAGUGUGGUUCUUUUAAAUUUUAAUAGCCAUUUGGGUGGACAAAUGGGAUAAUGACGUGAAGGGUGCAUUUAUGGGCCAAAUCAGUGUGCUAUAACCCAAGGUUUUAAAGGUGGGCCUGGGGUCCGGGCAUGUUGUCUGCCAAAAAUCAAUUGGGGAAUGCCAGGGAGGUUGGAGAUCAUCCCAGUAUAGUUUGCUUAAUUUUUUUGGCCAUUUGAGUAGACAACGAGUGAAACGGCGCGAACGAGGCAUUUUUGGGCCAAAUCUGUGUGUUGUAUCCCACAGUUAUGGGGGUGGGCUAGGGUAUGGGCGUUCUAUGGGAUGAAAAUUGAUCUGGGCAUCUGGGAGGUUGGGGAUCAUCCCAGUGUGGUACGUUUAAAUUUUCAUGGCCAUUUGGGUGGACAAACGAGUGAAACAGCACGAACGAGGCAUUUUUAGGCGAAAUCAGUGUGCUAUAGCCCACAGUUUUGGGGGUGGCCUUGGGAUUCGAGCCUGCUAUGGGAUGAAAAUCGAUCGGGGCAUGCCAGGGUUAUUGGGGAUCAUCCCAGUUUGGUCUGUUUAAAUUUUUGUGGCCAUAUGAGUGGACAAACUGGCGAAAUGUCGUGAACGGGGCAUUUUUGGGCCAAAUCGUUGAGCUAUACCCACGUUUUUGGGGGUGGUGUUGUGUGAGAAAUCGCGAACACAUUUAAGGCCUUUAACCCAAAGUUAAUGGAAAGUCUUAUGUAAUUUUUGUUGUUUUUAAUUACUUUUACUAUUUUAAUGCAGAUACAAGUGAUCGGGGAGUAAGCCAAAGAAAAGAAGAAGAAAUCAGCUGAAAUCUGAGACAAAUGAGCUAUAGUGAAGUUGAUGCCCUUUUUGAUGCACCUUUAGAUUGAUGACAGGCUGUCAAAGUUUUCGUCAAGUUAGACAGAACCUGAGAAAUUGGGAUAAAAUGUGAUGACGUUUUGGAUGCACCAUCAACAAUGGGAUGGGCUGUCAAAGUAGCCGUCAACUGAGGUAGAUUAUGUUGAUUCCCAGUGAAGAUACGACAACAUUUUUUAAUGGGCCAUCAAAUAUUUAACACGUCGUCAUAUUUGUCAUUAGAAAAAUCAAAAGAUAGUAAUUCAUUGGAAACUUUGACGGCAUCCCGCACAUGCCAUCAUACUUAUGACGCGCCGUCAAGAGUGUCCUCACCUAUCCCACAGAAAAUCUUAAAUAUUUAUUUUAUUGCCUUAUUUAGGAUUGACAAUAAAAGACCUGGGGGAUCUGUCAUUAUCGAUUAGACAAUUAACCUAGGGAAGAGAGGCACGUAACAUUGCUCUCUUAAAUCAAUUAUUCUUCUUAUUUUUAUCAACUAUUUUUGGGUUUCUACGUUAUGAUUCAAUCAAAGAAACUACUUGUUGUUUUCCAUCUAAUCGUAAGUUAUCCUUAUCAUUAUGAAUUCAACUUGUGAUUUUGUUCAUUAAAUCAUGAGCGGCUUAUUCCAUUAUCCGGGGUUAUGGGAUCCAUGGAUUAGGGUUUGAUACGAUACUAGGUGUUUAACGGAUUCAAAGAGUAGUGGAACAUCUUGAAAUUCUGUUGUUUUAACUAAAAUCUAGUGGUUGCAAACAUUAGGUUAUGCCUUAGGUUUUAUUUGCUUCUAACGGAGAAAUAGACUAGAGGACGUGAAUAAUCAACAGAGACUCGGAAGCUACCAACCUUCUGUUUAAUGAUUAAUGCCGUAACUGGAUUAAUCUACCUGCGAUAACAUCCUAUUGAAAUAGGUAAGUUAUCUAAGUUUGAGAGAAUUAGAUAAUAAAUUGUCUGGUGAGGUCGAGAGAUAAGUCAGAUAGUAUAAUCGUCAGGGAUAUUCUGCAGUUCUAAUCAUUCUGAGAAUCUGUAGCAUUACCUAGUAUCUGUCAAUUCCCAAAACCCUUUGUUAACAUAGCUCUGGUUUCCCAUUUAUAUUGAUUACAAACAUUAAUGUUGAAGUGACAAAUUACUUGAUACUUUCAAAACCCUUAUCUUAAUUUUAUAUUUUUGUACCAUUUGUUUGAAUUGAACUUGUAGCUAUAGCUUCAAAUUAGCUUUAUUACCACUCACAUUAUUCCCUGUGGAUUCGACCCCGACUCCAAAGUUGGGUAAAUAUAUUAACGAUGACCGUCUUACACUAAUUUGAGGUGUAAGUUGAGAGUUAUCAAAAAUAGCGCCGUUACCGGGGAACAAUUUGGUGUAUUAAGAAAGUUUGGAAUUUUAACUUACUUAAGUGAAUUCAAACUUCUAAAUAUUUGUUUGUGAUUUCCUUUGUUUCUUGUGUUAGGUAGAUUUUCUUUCUUUUUGUUUAUUUCUUACUAUGGCAUCAUGAAAUGAAUGUAAGUUUGAUGGUUGGAAAUAUUAUCUGGAUGAUCUAUGUCCAUAUUGUGAUGGACCACACUUUUGGCAAGAUUGUAGAUAUACUCCCCGGAGAGAGAUGUGUGCCCCAUCUCUAUCCUAUUGGGAGUAUAAUUGUUCUUUAUGUGGUGGUCAAGAUGGACAUUAGAGUGAUUUCCCAAAUGCCCCCUCCCCCUAUUGCGUUAACCCAAGUUCUAGUUCUUCUUAUGAGUAUGACAGGUCUUAUAGUCAAGAAAAAGAAGAACGCAGCACUGGAAAGAGGGACAUUGAAGCUAUGCUUCCACUAAUAUUGGAUCAUUUAGACGGAACGAAUGAUACCAUAUGUGACAUACGUCAAGACAUUAGGGAAUUUAAUGAGGGAAAAGAAAGGAUACAAGAGAUGGAUAUCGAGGUCAAUUAUCCCAAUCUCUUAUGAAAACUCUAGCCCUAUUCAAAGUAAAAAUAUUGAGAAGAUGAAUAAAAGUGAGUGUGUAAAGGAUAGUGUAAAUUUUGAAGUAGGAUUUGUUGGGUCACACUCGAAGCAUUUUUUGACAUUAUGUUUAGAUGAUAUCUUGUUUAUGGAAUCAUCUAAAAUAGUGGAAGACUGUGAAGAUGAGGAACAAGAAUCCUAAAUUCUUUAUUUUACACUUGAUAAGCAACACAAAAACACACCUCUCUUUAAAGCUGUGUUGUUUACCAUGCAUCAUCCAUUACUCGGCUUCUUAAUAUUUGUACCACCUCCCUAUGAGAAAGGCAAGAAGAUGGACUCUAAGUUAGGGGUGAAGAUCAUAUCCUCAAGAUGGAGGAAAAAGUUGAGUUGAGUCAUGCUGCGACACUAAAUUAGGCGCAUCUUGGGAGGCAACCCAAGGUAUUUUGUUUUUUGUAUUUGUAUUGUGUGAUUAACAUUAGAUCUUCGAACCCAUGGUGCCAUAUAUAUGUUUCUAACUCUCUUGUCUUAGAUUAACACGUUGGGAACACUGCAUGAUAUUAAGUUGAGGGUGGGGCUACUUGUGGGUGUGAUAUCCUCCUGGGGUUUUUGUUGUCGUGCCUCUUUUCCCUGGUGUUUUGUUCUUAGUAGAGCCAGCAUGUUUAGGCGUAUUGUGUUUGUUUUGUGAUGUAUUAUGGUUAACUGAAGAAAAAUAAGUAUCUAGAGCAGUUGAAAUAUUUUUGUUGAUUUUUAAGACUGAUAAACACCUCUCCAUUAGUCUCUUUUAUAACUAUGUGAUAUGCAUUUAUAUGUGGCUACUAUGAAUCUUUUUAUGGCAUUAGUACUAGGGACAUGGUAAUUACUGCUAACAAUUACAUGAACCGAAUGGGUAGUCGCUUGAGAUGUACCAUUGUGCCAUGUGGGUGUCAGGUCUUACUCAAUUCCCUAUAUGUAUUGAACUAGAACUUGCCCGGUUAGUCUUACCUUGGUUGAAAGAUAGGGGUUAGGAUGGGAUCAUAGGCCGUUCUGAUUUUUAAGUCAUCUUUUUUGCCUAAAUGACCUUCCCUAUAUGCAUGAUAUCUCUUGAUCCCUAUUUUGAGCCUGAAUUGACCAUUUCUUUCUAUGACACCUAUCACCUUCCCGUUUAAAUCAUAAGGAACCUAUUUUGUCCCUGGUCCUUCUUGGACACUGUGCACCUUGAUUUAGGUAAACAACCUAAGUUGAGAGUGGCUAUCAUAGGGGUACGUGAUGUAAACUGGGUAUGAAUAAAGGUAGAAUAAAAGAAAAAGAAUAAGUGAAAAAGAAUAAAAAGUUGGGUGGUGUAGAAGAAGACUAAGAAAAGAAAAAAAAUGGAAAAGAAAAGCCACAUCCAUUCUGAAUAAUAUGUGAUCAAGAAAGGAGAAAAAAAAAAGAAAAAGGUUAAUAAGUGAACCCCAAAAGUUAAGGUAGUGCCAAGGAGGCUUAGUCACUCUAAACGCCAUUGAAUAUCAUACCAGCCUUUAGCCUACAUUACAAGCCGACGAAAAUACCUAUAGUGAUCCUAACUUACCUGUCUGGACACCUUGGUAAUGAAAAUAAGGGCAAGCAUAUGGCAUUUAACAUGCAUUAAUUAGAUUUUCUUUCUGAGAGUGAGUGUCUCUUAACCAUCCCCGCAUUGACAUUCUUGAGUUCAUAUAUGAGUGAGGAGGGACUUCUUUGUUGUAAGGGUACAUCGGUUGCAUUGCUAGCUGUUAACUUGUUUGGGUAGUGCAACUUGUACAUAUGCAUAGUUAUUGUUACUGAAUUGAUGCCAUAUCUUAAUUCCUUUGGGUCAUAUUGUUAAUCUUCAUUGAUAUGCACAAUUGCAUUUAUAAGUAAUUGAACGUGGAGAGUGUUAUGAGUUUUGAGCUAAACUUGAUAAUCAACUGUGAUAGGUAUCUUAUGUAUCUCUUCGUUAAGCAUCGUAGUAUGGUGUUAUGUAGUUUCUUGAGGACAAUAAAUUUCUUUAAGUUGAGGGUGUUGAUGUGUGUGCAAUCGCAAACACAUUUAAGGCCUUUAACCCAGAGUAAUGCGAAGUCUUAAGCAACUUUUGUUGUUUUUGAUUGCUUUUACUGUUUUAAUGCAGAUACAAGUGAUUGAGGAGGAAGCCAAAGAAAAGAAGAAAAAAUUAGCUAAAAUUUGAUGGAAAUGAGUAUAGUGAAGUUAACUCCCUUUUUGACACACCGUUAGACAGAUGACAGGUUGUCAAAGUCGCCGUCAAGUUAGACAGAACCUGAGAAAUUAGGAUAAAAUAUGACGGCAUUUUGGAUGUACCGUCAACAAUGGCAUGGGCUGUCAAAGUGGUCUUCAACUGAGGCAGAUUAUGCUAAUUCCCAGUGAAGAUGUGACGACAUUUUUUAACGGCCCAUUAAAUAUUUGAAAUGUUGUCAGAUUUGCCAUCAGAAAAAUCAAAAGAUAGUAAUUCAUUGGAAACUUUGACGGCAUCCCACACACGCCGUCAUACAUAUGACGUGCCACCAAGAAUGCCGUCACCUAUCCCAUAAAAAAUCUUAAAUAUUUAUUUUAUUUCCUUAUUUAAGAUUGACUACAAAAAGACCUGGGGGAUCUCUCAUUAUCGAUCAGACAAUUAACCUAGGGAAGAGAGGCACGUAACAUUGCUCUCUUACAUAAAUUCUUCUUCUUGUUUUUAUCAACUAUUUUUGGGUUUCUACCUUGUGAUUCAAUUGAAGAAAGUACUUGUUAUUUCCAUCUAAUCGUAAGUUAUCCUUAUCAUUUUGAAUUCAACUUGUGAUUUCGUUCAUCAAAUCAUGAGCGGCUAAUUCCAUUAUCCGGGGUUAUGGGAUCCAUGGAUUAGGGUUUGAUAUGAUACUAGGUGUUUAACGGAUUCAAAGAGUAGUGGAACAUCUUGAAAUUCUGUUGUUUUAACUGAAAUCUAGUGGUUGCAAACAUUAGGUUAUGCCUUAGGUUUUAUUUGCUUCUAACGGAGAAAUAGACUAGAGGACGUGAAUUAUCAACAGGGACUUGGAAGCUACCAACCUUCUGUUUAAUGAUUAAUGCCAUAACUGGAUUAAUAUACCUGAGAUAACAUCCUAUUGGAAAUAGAUAAGUUAUCUAAGUUCGAGAGAAUUAGAUAAUAAAUUGGCUGGUGAGGUCGAAAGAUAAGUCAGAUAUUAUAAUCGUCAGGGAGGUUGGUGAUUAUCCCAGUGUGUUCGUUUAAAUUUUCAUUGCCAUGCGGGUGGGAAAACGGGAGAAACGAUGCGACUAGGGCAUUUUUGAGACAAAUCAGUGAGCUUCAGCCAACGAUUUCAUAGGUGGGCCCAGGGUCCGGGCAUAACAGGGUGCCAGGGAGGUUGGGGAUCAUCCCAGUGUAAUCUAUUUAAAUUUUUGUGGCCACUUGGGCGGACAAGUGAGCGAAAUAGGGCAUUUUUGGGAGAAAUCAAUGUGCUAUAGCCCAUGGUUUCAGGGGUGGACCCGAGGUCCAGGCGUGUUGUGGGCUAAAAAUUGAUCGGGGUGAGCUAGGGAGAUUGGGGAUCAUCCCAGUAUGGUUCGUUUAUAUUUUUGUGGCCAUUUGGGUGGAUAAACAGGCAAAAUGGCGCGAAUGGUGCAUUUACAGGCAAAAUCGGUGUUCUAUGACCCACGAUAUCAUGGGUGGGCUCGGGGUUCGGGCAUCCUAUUAGCCAAAAAUCAAUCGAGGUAUGCCAGGGAGAUUGGGGAUCAUGCCAGUGUGGUCUAAUUAAAUUUUCGUGGCUAUUUGGGUGGACAAACGGGCAAAACAGUAUGAACAGGGCAUUUUUGGGCCAAAUCAGUGUGCUAUAGCCCACUGUUUCAGGGGGUAGGCCUGGGAUCUAGGUGUGCUGUGGGACAAAAAUCAAUCAGGGAAUGCCAAGAAGGUUGAGGUUUAUCUCAGUGUGGUCAAUUUUCAUUUUUGUGGCCAUUUGGAUGUACAAAUGGGUGAAACGAUGCGGAAAGGCAUUUUCGGGCCAAAUCAAUGUUCUAUAGCCUACAGUUUCAGGGAUGGGACUGGGGUCUGGGUUUGCUGUGGGCCAAAAAUCAAAUGGAGCAUGCCAAGGAUGUUGGGUAUCAUUCCAGUAUGAUCCUUUUAAAUUUUCAAGGCUAUUUGGGUGGACAAACGGGCAAAAUAUCAUGAACGGGGCAUUUUCGGGCCAAAUCACUGUGCUAUAGCCAUGAUUAUGGGGGUGGGCCUAAGUUUCGGGCUUGCAAUGGACUGAAAAUACAUCGGGGCAUGCUAGGGAGGUUGGGGAUCAUCCCAACAGGGUCCGUUUAGAUUUUUGUGGCCAUUUGGGUGGAUAAACGGACCAAACGAUAGGAACGAGGCAUUUUAGAGCCAAAUUGGUGUGCUAUAGCCCAUGGUUAUGGGGGUAGGCCAGAGGUCCUAGCAUUUUGUGGGCUGAAAAUCAACCAGGGUAUGCCAGGAAGGUUGGGAAUCAUGCCAAUGUGGUUUGUUUAUAUUUUUACGUGGCCAUUUGGGUGGACAAAUAGUUGAAACGGCGUGAACGGGGAAGUUUUGGGCCAAAUCGGUGUGCUACAACCCACGUUUUUGGAGGAAGGCCCUGAGUCCAGAUGUGCUAAGGGCCAAAAAUUGAUUGGGGCAUGCCAGGCAGGUUGGGGAUCAUCCCAGUGUGGUCUGUUCAAUUUUUUGUGGCCAUUUGGAUGGAUAAGCGGGCCAAAUGGCAGGAACAGGGCAUUUUCAGGGCAAAUUGGUGUGUUAUAGCCCACGAUUAUGGGGAUGGUCAGGGGUUCGGGAAUCCUAUAGGCCAAAAAAUAACCAAGGCAUGCCAGGGAGGUUGGGAUCAUUCCAGUGUGGUCCAUUUAAUUUUUUGUGGCUAUUUGGGAUGACAAAUAGGAGAAACAGCACGAACGAUGCAUUUUCAGGCCAAAUCGAUUUGCUAUAGCCUACGAUUUCGGGAUUAAGCCCGGGGUCCGUGCAAGAUGUGGACCAAAAAUCAACUGGGGUAUAUGAACGAGGUUGGGAUCAUCCCAGUAUAGUCCGAUUAAAUUUUAGGGCCAUUUGGGUGGAUAAACGGGUGAAACGGUGCGAACUAGCAUUUUCGAGCUAAAUCGGUGUGCUAUAGCCUAUGGUUUCGGGGGUAGCCUCAGGUUUUGGGCAUGCUUUAGGCUAACAAAUCUAUUGGGGUAUGCCAGGGAGGUUGGAGAUCAUCUCAGUAUGGUUUGUUUAAAAUUUUGUGGCCAUUUGGGUGGACAAAUGGGCGAAACGGCCCAAAUAAGGCAUUUUUGGGCUGAAUUGGUGUUCUAUAGCCCACAAUUUUGGGGGUGGGCCCGAGGUCUGGGCUUGCUGUGGGUAGAAAAUUUAUCGGGGCAUACCAGGAAGGUUUAGGAUCAUCCCAGUAUGGUCCGUUUAAAUUUUCAUGGCCAUUUGGAUGCACAAUCGGGCGAAAAGGGUGUGAAUGGAGCAUUCUUGGGCGAAAUCAAUGUGCUAUAGCCCAUGGUUUUAAGGGUGGACUCUGGGUUCGGGCGUGCUGUAGGACUAAACUUAAUCGGGGCAUGCCAGGAAGUUUGGGGAUCAUCCCAAUGUGGUUCGUUUGAAUUUUUGUGGACAUUCGGGUGGACAAUCAAGCAAAACGGCAUGAAUGGAGCAUUUUCGAGCCAAAUCAAUGUCCUAUAGCCCACGAUUUCGGGGGUGGGAUCGAGGUUUGAGUGUGCUAUGUGUCAAAAAAUAACCGCGCCAUAAUAGGGAGGUUGUGGAUAAUCCCAAUUUUGUACGUUUAAAGUUUUAAGGGUAUUUGGGUGGACAAACAGGCGAAAUGGCUUAAAUGGCGUAUUUUUGGGCCAAAUCAGUGACCUAUUGCCCACGAUUUUGGGGGUGGGCCUGGGGUCCAAGUGUUCUGUGGGCCAAAAAUUGACCUGGGCAUGCCAGGGAGGUUGAGGAUCAUCCCAGUAUGGUCCGUUAAAAUUUUUGGCCAUUUGGGUGGAUAAACGGGUGAAACUGCUCAAACGGGGUGUUUUUGGGCUAAAUCAAUGUGCUAUAGCCCACGGUUCUGGGGGUGGGCCCGACGUCCGAGCGUGUUGUAGGCCAAAAAUUAACCAAGGCAUGCUAGGAAGGUUGGGGAUCGUCCCAGUGUUUUCCGUUUAAAUUUUUAUGGCCAUUUGGGUGGACAAAUGGGAGAAACAAUGCGAACGGUGAAUUUUUAGGCCAAAUUGAUGUGCUAUAGCCCACGGUUUAUGGGGUGGGCCCAGGAUUCGGGCGUGCUGUGGCCCAAAAAUUAACUGGAGAAUGCCAGGGAGGUUGGGGGUCAUCCCAGUAUGGUCUGUUUAAUUUUUCAUGGCCAUUUAAGUGGACAAACGGGCAAAACAGCGCUUACGGGGCAUUUUCAGCCCAAAUUGGUGAGUUAUACCCCACGGUUUUAGGGUGGGCCCAGGGUUCGAGCAUGAUGUGGGCAAAAAAUUGACUGAGACAUGCUAGGAAGGUUGGAAAUCAUCCCAAUAUAGUCUGUUUAAUUUUUUGUGGCUAUUUUGAUGGACAAACGGGUGAAACGACACGAAUGGGGCAUUUUAAAGCAAAAUUAGUGUGCUAUAGUACACGAUUUCAGGGGUGGGCUCGGGGUCCAAGCAUGUUGUGACCCAAAAGCAGACCGGGGUGUGUCAGAGAGGAUGGGGAUCAUCCCAUUGUGGUUCGUUUAAAUUGUUGGGGCCAUUUGGGUGGAUAAAUGAACGAAAUGGCAUGAAAGGGGCAUUUUCAGGCCAAAUUAGUGUGCUAUAGCCCAUGGUUUUGGGUUGAGUCCGCAGUCCAGGUGUGCUGUGGGCCAAAAAUGAAUCGAGACGUGCCAGGAAGGUUAGGGAUUGUUCCAGUGUGAUCCGUUUAAAUUUUCUUGGCAAUUUGUGUGGAUAAAUGGGCAAAACAUUACAAAUGGGACAUUUUUAGGCCAAAUCGGUGUGCUAUAUCCCACAAUUUAGGAGGUGGGCCCAGGGUUUGAGCACGCUAUGAGAUAAAAUCGAUCGAGGCAUGCCAAGGAGAAUGGGGAUCAUCCCAAUUCCAGUGUGGUCCGUUUAAAUAUUUUUGACCAUUUGGGUAGACAAACGGGCAAAAUAGCCAGAACAGGGUAUUUUUGGGCCAAAUUGGUAUGCUAUAGUUCUCAGUUUUGGGGGUGGACCUGGGGUUCGGGCAUGCUAUGGGCCGAUAAUCAACCAGGGCAUGCCAUAGAGGUUAGACUUAUCCUAGUGUGGUCCGUUCAAAUUUUUAUGGACAUUUGGGUGGACAAACAGGCGAAAUAGUGCGAACGGGGGAUUUUUGGGCCAAAUCGAUGUGUUAUGGCCCACGAUUUCCAGGGUAGGCUACGGGUCUAAGCGUGCUGUUGGCUGAAAAUCAGCUGGGGUAUGCCAGGGAGGUUGAGGUUCAUCCCUGUGUUGUCUGUUUAAUUUUAUGUGGCUAUUUGGGUGGACAAAUGGGCCAAACGGCGAAAACGGGGAAUUUUUAGCCCAAACUAGUGUGCUAUAACACACGAUUUUAGGGGUGGGAUCAGGGUUUGAGUAUUUUUGUGGUCACUUGGAUGGACAAACAGGUAAAACGACACAAAUAGGGCAUUUUUGGGCCAAAUUGGUGUGCUAUAGAGCACGGUUUUGCGGGUGGGCUUGGGGUCCAGUCGUACUUUGGGCCAAAAAUAUAUUGGGGUAUGCCAUGGAGGAUGGGGAUCGUCCAAUUAUGGUCCGUUUAAAUUUUUUUGCCCAUAUGAGUGGAUAAAUAAGUGAAACGGCGCGAAGAAGAGUUUUUGGGCCAAAUCGGUGUGCUAUAGCCCACGAUUUUGGGGGUGGGCCAAGGCUUCGGGUGUGCUAUGGGUAAAAAAUCGAUCAGGGCAUGCAAGGGAGGUUGGGGAUUAUCCUAGUAUGGUUCGUUAAAAUUUUCGUGGCCAUCUGUGUGGACAAACGGGCAAAAUGGCGCGAACGGGGCAUGUUGAGCCAAAUUGAUAUGCUAUAUAAUUUUGGGGGUGGGCCCGGCCUUCGAGCGUGUUCUGGGAUAAAAAUUGACCGGGGUAUGACAAGGAGGUUGGGGAUCAUCUCAGUGUGGUCCGUUUAAAUUUUUGUGGCUAUUUGGGUGGGAAAACAGGCAAAACGGUGAGAACGAGACAUUUUCGGGCCAAAUUAGUAUGCUAUAGCCUUCAGUUUUGGGGGUGGACACGGGGUCUGGGCGUACUGUGGUACGAUAAUCGAUCGGGGUAUGCCAGGGAUGUUGGGAUCGUCCUAAUGUGGUCCGUUUAAAUUUUUGUGUACAUUUGGGUGGACAAAUAGGCAAAACGGUGCGAAUGGGGAAUUUUUGGGCUAAAUCAGUGUGUUAUGGCCCACGGUUUUGAGGGUAGGUCGGGGGUAUAGGCAUGAUGUGGGUCUAAAAUCUACUAGGGUGUGCCAAGGAGGUUGAGGGUCAUCCAAGUGUGGUCUGUUCAAUUUUUAUGGUCAUUUGGGUGGACAAACGGACGAAACAGCGCUAACGGGGCAUUUUCGAGCUAAAUCAGUGUGCUAUAGCCCACAAUUUUGGGGUGGGGCCUUGGAUCCAGUUGUGCUGUGCGCCAAAAAUCAACUGCAUCAUGCUAGGGAGGUUGGGGAUAAUCCCAGUAUGGUUCGUUUAAUUUUUCAUGGUCAUUUGGGUGGACAAAUGGGCGAAAUAGAACGAACAGUGCAUUUUUGGGUUAAAUAUGUGUGCCAUAGCCCACGAUUUCGAGGGUGGGCCCAGGAUCUUAACGUACUGUGGGCUGAAAAUCGAUCGGCGCAUGCCAGGGAGUUUGGGGUUAUCCUAGUGUGGUUCGUAUAAAUUUUUGAGGCUAUUUGGGUGGACAAAUGGGCAAAAUGGCUCAAAUAGGGUAUUUUCGGGCUAAAUCAAUGUGCUAUAGCUCACGGUUUUGGGGAUAGGCCCGAGGUCCGAGCGUGCUGUGGGUCAAAAAUUGAUCGGGGUAUGCUAGGGAGGUUAGGGAUCAUCCUAGUGUGGUCCAUUUAAAUUUUCCUAGCUGUUUUGGUGGACAAACGGGUGAAAUAACGCGAACGAGGCAUUUUUGGGCCAAAUCGGUGUGCUAUAGCCCAUGAUUUCAGGGAUGGGCUCGGGGUUUGGGAAUGUUGUCGACUAAAAAUCUACCAAGGCAUUCCAGGAAGGUUGGAGAUUAUUCCAGUAUGGUUCAUUUCAUCUUUUAUGGCCAUUUGGGUGGACAAACUGGCAAAACAGCGCGAACAAGGUAUUUUUGGGCCAUAUCCAUGUUCUAUAGUCCACAGUUUUGGGGUGGACCCGCGGUCCUGGUGUACUGUAGACUGAAAAUUGAUCGGGGCAUGCUGGGAGGUUGGGGAUUAUUCCAGUGUGGUCCGUUUAAAUUUUUGUGGCCAUUUGUGUGGACAAACGGGUAAAACGGCUCGAAUAGGGCAUUUUUCGGCCAUAUCGGUGUGUUAUUAAUACGAGACAAAUUGCCAUCUAUGCUUCUGAAGAUGUCAUUGGAUGCCAAUUCAUAUAGACUCAAGACUUGGUCACCUCGAGGAAACAAGAACAUGCAUGAAAGACCCAUUUUGAGCAUGACAUAAGGCAAACCCGUGUGUGGAAGAUUGCAUGGGGGCUUACAUUUGAUGCCAUCCCGAGAAUACAUGUGUUGAAGAAUUACCCAACGGUUUUGGAGCAUUGAAGAAGAACCCUUCAUUAAGGGUGUUUUGGGGAUCACACUUUGUUAGAAAGACUCUUCAUGGCCACCCCUUUCAUUAAGGGUAUUGUGGUCAUUUCUGUUAUGUAAUAAGCUAGCCUCUAUAUAGUCUUCUAUUAAGUCAUUUGCUCUUCAGUUUUUGAAGGAUAAAUAUUCGAAAGACUUUUUCUAUCUUUAAGAGUGUAACACCCUUAGUGUAGGGCUUGGAUAAGACAUUAGUGUAGGGCUUGGAAAAGCCAAUAUUGUUCUUUACUUGGAAAUGGUGGAUCUUGAUGUGAGUUGAUUCCCUUGGCGGUCACCGUAAGAACUUGAUACUUGUUAACUUGUUUUGUAGAAGUCUUAGAGUUUUGAUACACUCUUUAGUUGCUACCUAAUGGUUUCUCUUUGUGUCAAGUUAGCUAUCUUUUACUCUUUUUAAGUUUAUGUUUUCAUUUCGUAUUGUGUUGUUGUCUUGUUACUGCGGGUAAAGGCUUGUGAUUGUGGUUUGUUUACGGACUAUUUUGGUGUUGUAUAUACCGUUUGGUAUUAGCUAUAGCCUACGUUUUUGGGGUAGUUCCAUGGUCCGGAUGUAUUAUGGGCCAAAAAUCGAUUGGGGUAUGCUAAGGAGGUUCGGAUCAUCCCAGUGUGGUCCAUUUUAUUUUUCAUGGCCAUUUGGGUGGACAAACGGGCGAAACAGCAAGAGCAGGUCAUUUUCGGUUCAAAUCGGCGUGCUAUAGCUUAUGGUUUUAAGGGUGGGCCCGGGGUUCGGGUGUGCUGUGGGACAAAAAUCGACUGGGGCGUGCUAGGGAGAUUGGGGAUCAUCCCAGUGUGGUCCGUUUAAAUUUUUGUGGCCAUUUGGGUAGACAAACUGGCGAAACGACGUGAAUGGGGAGUUUUAGGGCCAAAUCUGUGAGCUAUAACCUAUGGUUUCGGGGGUAAGCCUGGGGUCCGAUUGUGCUGUGGCCUCAAAAUUGCUUGGGACAUUUCAGGGAGGCUGGGGAUCAUUCCAGUGUGGUCCGUUUAAUUUUUUGUGGCAAUUUAUGUGGACAAACAAGUGAAAAUGUUCAAACGGGGCAUUUUCGAGCCAAAUUCGUAUGCUAUAGCCCAUGGUGUUGGGGGUGGGCUCAGGGUCCGAGCGUGCUGUCGGUCGAAAAACAAUUAGGGCAUGCAGGGAGGUUAGGGAUCAUCCCCAUGUGUCCAUUUAAAUUUUUUUGGCCACGUGGGUGGACAAACGGGUGCAACGGUGCUCGGGGCAUUUUUGGCCCAAAUAGGUGUGCUAUAGCGAAUGGUUUUGAGAGUGGGCCUAGGGUUAGAGCGUGCCGUGGGCUGAAAAUCGACAGAAGCGUGCUAGAGAGGUUGGGGAUCGGCCCAGUGUAGUUCGUUUAAAUUUUUAUAGGCAUUUGGAUGGACAAAUGGGUGAAAAGGUGUAAUCGGGUGAAAAAGUGCAAACCGGGCAUUUUCAGGCUAAAUCUGUGUGAUAUAGCCCACAAUUUUAGGGGUGGGCCCGGGGUCCGGGCAUAGUGUUGGCUAAAAAUUGAUCGGGGUAUGCUAGGGAGGUUGGAGCUCAUCCCCAUGUGGUCCACUUAAUUUUUUGUGGCUAUUUGAGUAGAUAAAUGGGCAAAACAGCGCAAAUGGGGAAUUUUUGAGCAAAAAGGUGUGCUAUAGCCCAUUGUUUCGGGGGUGGGAUAGGUUUUGGGUGUGCUGUGGGCCAAAAAUCGAGCGGAGAGUGCCAGGGAGGUUGGGGAUCAUCCCAGGGUGGUCCGUUUAAAUUUUUGAGGACAUUUUUGUAGUCAAACGAUUGAUACGGUGUUCAUGGGAUGUUUUCGCGCCAUAUCAGUGUGCUAUAGCUUACGGUUUGUGUGUGGGGCCGGGGUUCGGAUGUGCUAUGGGCCAAAAACCGACCGAGGCAAGCCAGGGAGGUUGGGGAUCAUCCCAAUGUGGUCUAUUUAAAUUUUUGUGGAAAUUUGGGUGAACAAACGGGAGAAACGGCGGGAAUGGGGCAUUUUCGGGCCAAAUCGAUGUGCUAUAGCCCAUAAUUUCAGGGGUGGGCCUGAGUUUUGGGCGUUCUUUAGGAUAAAAAUUAAUCGAGGCAUGUCAUGGAGGUUGGGGAUCGACUUUUUGUGGUCCGUUUAAAUUUUAGUGGCCAUUAGGGGUGGACAAACGGGCAAAACGGGUCGAACGGGGAAUUUUCGAUCCAAAUGGGUGUGCUAUAGCCCACGAAUUUGGGGGUGGACCCAGAUUUCGGGCAUUCUGUGGCCUAAAUAUCUAUUAGGGAAUGCCAAGGAGGUUGGAGAUCAUCCAUUGUGGUCCGUUUAUUUUUUUGUGGCCAUUUGGGUGGACAAACGGGCGAAAAGGGGUGAACGGGGCAUUUUUCGGCCAAAUCAGUUGCUAUAGCCCACAAUUUUGAGGAUGGAUGAAGGUUUUGGGUGACUUGUUGGCCAAAAAUUGAUCGGGGUAUACCAGAGCGGUUGGGGAUCAUCCCGUUAUAGUUCGUUUAAAUUUACGUGGCCAAUUGAGUGGACAAACGGGCAAAACGGCGUGAACAAGGCAUUUUCAGGCCAAAUCGGUGUGCUUUAGCCAACGGUUUUAAGGGUGAGACCGGGGAAUUCUAGGGAGGUUUGGGAUCACCCCAGUGUGGUGCAUUUAAUUUUUUGGGCUAUUUGGGUAGACAAAUGAGCAAACAGCGCGAACGGGGUAUUUUCGGGCAAAAUCAGUGUGCUAUAGCAUAUGGUUUUGGGAAUGGGCCCGGGGUACGAGCGUUCUGUGGGAUAAAAACCAACCGUCGUAUGACUGGGAGGUCGAUAAUCAUAUUAGUAUGGUCCGUUUAAAUUUUUGUGGCCAUUUGGAUGGACAAACGGGCAAAAUGGCAUGAACGGGGCAUUUUCGGGAAAAAUUGGUGUGCUAUAGCCAACGGUUUUUGGGGUGGGCCUAGGGUCCGAGCGUGCUGUGGGCUAUAAAUUGAAAUCUUUGUGGCCAAUUGAGUUGACAAAUGGAGAAAACGACUCAAACAGGGCAUUUUCAGGCCAAAUCGGUGUGUUAUAGCCCACGGUUUUGGGGGUGGCCUAGGGUCCAAGCGUACUAUGUGCCGAAAAUUGACCAGUUCAUUCCAGGGAGGUUGGGGAUCAUACCAUUGUGGUAAGUUUAAAAUUUUGUGGCCAUUUGGGUGGACAAACAGGUGAAACAGCACGAAUAGGUCAUUUUCGGGCUAAAUCGGUGUUCUAUAGCCCAUAGUUUUGGGGUUGGGCUUGGGAUACAGGCGUGAUGUGGGCCAAAAAUCUAUGGGGACAUGCCAUGGGGGUUGAGCACCAUCCCAGUGUGGUCUGUUUAUUUUUCGUGGCUAUUUAGGCGGAUAAAUGGGUGAAACGGCGCGAACGGGGCAUUUUUAGGCCAAAUCGGUGUGCUAUAGCCCACGAUUUUGGGGGUGGGCCUGAGGUCCGAGCGUGCUGUGGGCUGAAAAUUGACUGGGGCAUGCCAAGGAAGUUAGGAAUCAUUUCAGUAUGGUUCAUUUAAAUUUUUAGGGCCAUUUGGCUGAACAAAUGGGCAAAACAGCAUGAACGGGGCAUUUUUAGGCCAAAUCAGUGUGCUAUAGCCCACGGUUUCAUGGGUGGGCCUGGGGUUGGAAUGUACAAUGGGCUGAAAAUUGAUCAAGGCAUGCCAGGGAGGUUGGGGAUCGUCCUAUUAUGGACCGUUUAAUUUUUCAUGGCUAUUAGGAUGGACAAAUAGGCAAAAUGGCUUCAACGGGUUAUUUUCGAGCCAAAUCGGUGUGAUAUAGCCCAUGGUUUUGGAGGUGAUCCUGGAGUCCAGGCAUGAUGUGGGCCAAAAAUUGAUCAGGGCGUUAGGGAGGUUGGGGAUCAUCCCAGCGUGAUCUGUUUAAUUUUUCGUGGCUAUUUGCAUGGAGAAAAGGGCGAAAUGGCAUGAAUGUGGCAUUUUUGGGACAAAUAGGGGUGCUAUAGCCCAUGGUUUUUGGGGUGGGCCCCUGGUUCGAGCGUGCUAUGGGCUAAAAAUCGACCGAGCCAUGCCAGGGAGGUUGGAAAUCACUCCAGUAUGGUUCGUUUUAUUUUUCAUGGCCAUUUUGAUGGAAAAACUGGAGAAACGGUGCGAAUGGGGAUUUUUCAAGCCAAAUCACUAUGCCAUAUAGCCCAUGGUUUUGCGGGUGGGCCUGGUGUUUGGGCGUGCUGUGGGCCAAAAUUUGAUUGGGGUUUUCCAGGGAGGUUGGAGAUCAUCCCAGUAUGGUCCAUUCAAAUAUUCGUGGCUAUUUCGAUGGACAAACAGGCUAAACGGGUCAUUUUCACGCUAAAUUGAUGUGCUAUUGCAUGGGAUUUCAGGAGUGGGCCCAUAGUUUGAGCGUGCUAUGGGCUAAAAAUUGACAGGGGCAUACCAGUGAAGUUGAAAAUCAUCACAAAAUGGUCCGUUUAAUUUUUUGCGACUAUUUGGGUGGAUAAAGAGGUGAAACGGCGCAAACGGAGCAUUUUUUAGCCAAAUUGGUGUGCUAUAGUCCACAGAUUAAGGGGUGGGCCAGGGGUCCGGGCGUAUUGUAGGUCAAAAACUGAUCAGGGCAUGUCAGGGAGGUUAGGGAUCAUCCUAGUGUGGUCCAUUUAAAUUGUUGUGGCCAUUUGGGUGGAUAACUAGGCAAAAUGGCAUGAAUAGGGCGUGUUCGGGCCAAAUCAGUGUGCUCUAGCCCACGAUUUUUGGGGUGGGCCUGGGGUCCGGCCAUGCUGUGGGCCAAAAUUUGACCGAGGAAUGUUAGGGAGGUUGGGGAACAUACCAGUGUGGUCCAUUUAAAUAUUCAUGGCUAUUCGGGUGGACAAACGAGCAAAACAGUGGCAAACAGGGCAUUUUCAGGCUAAAUCGAUGUGCUAUAGCCUUUGGUGUCUGGGGGUGAGCCCAGGGUCUAGGCCUGUCGCGGGAUAAAAUUCAACUGAGGUAUGCCAGGGAAGUUGGAGAUCAUCCCAGUGUGGUCUUUUUAAACUUUCGUCGCCAUUUGGGGUGGACAAACGGGCAAAACGGGUCGAACGGGGCAUUUUUGGGCCAAAUGGGUGUGCUAUAGCCCACAUUUUUGGGGGUGGGUUAGGGGUUCAAGCGUGAGAUGGGCCAAAAAUUGCUUGAGGCAUGAAAAGGAGAUUGGGGAUUAUCCCAGUAUGACCUGUUUAAUUUUUUGUGGCCAUUUGGGUGGACAAAUAGGUGAAAAGGCGCGAACGAUGCAUUUUUGAGCCAAAUCGAUGUGCUAUAGCCCACAGUUUUGUUGGUUAGGCCUAGGGUCCGAGCAUUCCAAAGAGGUUUGGGAUUAUCCAUCUAGGGUACAUUUAAAUUUAUGUGGCCAUUUGGGUGGACAAACGAGCGAAAUGGCGCGAAUGGGGCAUUCUCAGGCCAAAUCGAUGUGCUAUAGCCAACGAUUUUAGGGGUGGGACCGAGGUAAGCCAGGGGGUUGAGGAUUAUCUCAGUGUGGUCCGUUUAAUUUAUAUGGUUAUUUGGGUGGAUAAACAAGAGAUACAGCACAAACAGGGCAUUUUUGGACCAAAUCGAUGUGCUAUAGCCCACGGUUUUGAGGGUGGGCCAAGGGUUCAGAAGUGUUGUGGGUGAAAAAUCAACCAGGGCAUGCUAUGGAGGUUGGGGAUCAUCGUAAUGUGGUCCGUUUAAUUUUUAUGGCAAUUUGGGUGGACAAACAAGAGAAACGAUGCAAAUGGGGAAUUUUUGGGCCAAAUCGGUGUGCUAUAACCCAUGGUAUCGGGGGUGGGCCCGAGGUUCAGAAGUGCUGUAGGUCAAAAAUCAAUUGUGGCAUGCCAGGGAGGUUAGGAAUCAUCCCAGUGUGGUCCAUUUAAUUUUUUCUGGCUAUUUGGGUUGACAAACAAGAGAAAUGGCACAAAUUGGGCAUUUUCGAGCCAAAUCAAUGUGCUAUAGGCCACGGUUUUGGGGGUGGGCUCGGGGUUCAGAAGUUUUGUGGGUCAAAAAUCAACCAGGGCAUGCCAGGGAGGUUGUGGAUUAUCCCAGUAUGAUCCGUUUAAAUUUUUAUGGCCAUUUGGGUGGACAAAUGUUUGAAAUGGCGCAAAAGGGACAUUUUUGGGCUAUGUCGGUGAGCUAUAGCACAUAGUUUCAGGGGUGGGUCUGGGGUCCAGGCUUGCUAUGGGCCAAAAAUUGACUGGGGCAUGCCAGGGAGCUUGUGGAUUAUCCCAAUGUGGUCUUUUUAAAUUUUCAUGGCUACUUGAGUGGUCAAACUAGCGUAUCUGCACGAAUAGGGCAUUUUCCGGCCAAAUCGGUGUGCUAUAGCUCACAGUUUUGGGGGCGUACCCGAGGUCCAGGCGUGCUGUGGACAAAAACUUGAACAGGGUAUGCCAGGGAGAUUGGGGAUCAUCCUAGUGUUUUCCAUUUAAAUUUUUGACGCAAUUUGGGUGGAUAAACAAGAGAAACAUCACGAAUGGGGCAAUUUUGGUCCAAAUUAGUGUGCUAUAGCCCACUGUUUCGUAGGUAGGCCCGGGGUCCAGGUGUAUUGUGGGCUAAAAAUUGAUCGAGGCAUGCCAGGGAGGUUGAAGAUUAUCCCAGUGUGGACCUUUUAAUUUUUCAUGGCUAUUAAGGUGGACAAACAGGCAAAACGGCUCGAAUGGGUCAUUUUUGGGCCAAAUCAGUGUGAAAUUGCUCAUGGUUUUAGAGUUGAGCUCGGAGUCUAGGUGUGAUGUUGGCCAAAAAUUGAACAGGGCAUCAGGGAGGUUGGGUAUCAUCUUAUUGUGGUCCGUCUAAAUUUUUGUGGCCAUUUGGGUGGACAAACGAGCGAAAUGGCGCGAAUGGGGCAUUCUCAGGCCAAAUCGAUGUGCUAUAGCCAACGAUUUUAGGGGUGGGACCGAGGUAAGCCAGGGGGUUGAGGAUUAUCUCAGUGUGGUCCGUUUAAUUUAUAUGGUUAUUUGGGUGGAUAAACAAGAGAUACAGCACAAACAGGGCAUUUUUGGACCAAAUCGAUGUGCUAUAGCCCACGGUUUUGAGGGUGGGCCAAGGGUUCAGAAGUGUUGUGGGUGAAAAAUCAACCAGGGCAUGCUAUGGAGGUUGGGGAUCAUCGUAAUGUGGUCCGUUUAAUUUUUAUGGCAAUUUGGGUGGACAAACAAGAGAAACGAUGCAAAUGGGGAAUUUUUGGGCCAAAUCGGUGUGCUAUAACCCAUGGUAUCGGGGGUGGGCCCGAGGUUCAGAAGUGCUGUAGGUCAAAAAUCAAUUGUGGCAUGCCAGGGAGGUUAGGAAUCAUCCCAGUGUGGUCCAUUUAAUUUUUUCUGGCUAUUUGGGUUGACAAACAAGAGAAAUGGCACAAAUUGGGCAUUUUCGAGCCAAAUCAAUGUGCUAUAGGCCACGGUUUUGGGGGUGGGCUCGGGGUUCAGAAGUUUUGUGGGUCAAAAAUCAACCAGGGCAUGCCAGGGAGGUUGUGGAUUAUCCCAGUAUGAUCCGUUUAAAUUUUUAUGGCCAUUUGGGUGGACAAAUGUUUGAAAUGGCGCAAAAGGGACAUUUUUGGGCUAUGUCGGUGAGCUAUAGCACAUAGUUUCAGGGGUGGGUCUGGGGUCCAGGCUUGCUAUGGGCCAAAAAUUGACUGGGGCAUGCCAGGGAGCUUGUGGAUUAUCCCAAUGUGGUCUUUUUAAAUUUUCAUGGCUACUUGAGUGGUCAAACUAGCGUAUCUGCACGAAUAGGGCAUUUUCCGGCCAAAUCGGUGUGCUAUAGCUCACAGUUUUGGGGGCGUACCCGAGGUCCAGGCGUGCUGUGGACAAAAACUUGAACAGGGUAUGCCAGGGAGAUUGGGGAUCAUCCUAGUGUUUUCCAUUUAAAUUUUUGACGCAAUUUGGGUGGAUAAACAAGAGAAACAUCACGAAUGGGGCAAUUUUGGUCCAAAUUAGUGUGCUAUAGCCCACUGUUUCGUAGGUAGGCCCGGGGUCCAGGUGUAUUGUGGGCUAAAAAUUGAUCGAGGCAUGCCAGGGAGGUUGAAGAUUAUCCCAGUGUGGACCUUUUAAUUUUUCAUGGCUAUUAAGGUGGACAAACAGGCAAAACGGCUCGAAUGGGUCAUUUUUGGGCCAAAUCAGUGUGAAAUUGCUCAUGGUUUUAGAGUUGAGCUCGGAGUCUAGGUGUGAUGUUGGCCAAAAAUUGAACAGGGCAUCAGGGAGGUUGGGUAUCAUCUUAUUGUGGUCCGUCUAAAUUUUUGUGGCCAUUUGGGUGGACAAACGAGCGAAAUGGCGCGAAUGGGGCAUUCUCAGGCCAAAUCGAUGUGCUAUAGCCAACGAUUUUAGGGGUGGGACCGAGGUAAGCCAGGGGGUUGAGGAUUAUCUCAGUGUGGUCCGUUUAAUUUAUAUGGUUAUUUGGGUGGAUAAACAAGAGAUACAGCACAAACAGGGCAUUUUUGGACCAAAUCGAUGUGCUAUAGCCCACGGUUUUGAGGGUGGGCCAAGGGUUCAGAAGUGUUGUGGGUGAAAAAUCAACCAGGGCAUGCUAUGGAGGUUGGGGAUCAUCGUAAUGUGGUCCGUUUAAUUUUUAUGGCAAUUUGGGUGGACAAACAAGAGAAACGAUGCAAAUGGGGAAUUUUUGGGCCAAAUCGGUGUGCUAUAACCCAUGGUAUCGGGGGUGGGCCCGAGGUUCAGAAGUGCUGUAGGUCAAAAAUCAAUUGUGGCAUGCCAGGGAGGUUAGGAAUCAUCCCAGUGUGGUCCAUUUAAUUUUUUCUGGCUAUUUGGGUUGACAAACAAGAGAAAUGGCACAAAUUGGGCAUUUUCGAGCCAAAUCAAUGUGCUAUAGGCCACGGUUUUGGGGGUGGGCUCGGGGUUCAGAAGUUUUGUGGGUCAAAAAUCAACCAGGGCAUGCCAGGGAGGUUGUGGAUUAUCCCAGUAUGAUCCGUUUAAAUUUUUAUGGCCAUUUGGGUGGACAAAUGUUUGAAAUGGCGCAAAAGGGACAUUUUUGGGCUAUGUCGGUGAGCUAUAGCACAUAGUUUCAGGGGUGGGUCUGGGGUCCAGGCUUGCUAUGGGCCAAAAAUUGACUGGGGCAUGCCAGGGAGCUUGGGGAUUAUCCCAAUGUGGUCUUUUUAAAUUUUCAUGGCUACUUGAGUGGUCAAACUAGCGUAUCUGCACGAAUAGGGCAUUUUCCGGCCAAAUCGGUGUGCUAUAGCUCACAGUUUUGGGGGCGUACCCGAGGUCCAGGCGUGCUGUGGACAAAAACUUGAACAGGGUAUGCCAGGGAGAUUGGGGAUCAUCCUAGUGUUUUCCAUUUAAAUUUUUGACGCAAUUUGGGUGGAUAAACAAGAGAAACAUCACGAAUGGGGCAAUUUUGGUCCAAAUUAGUGUGCUAUAGCCCACUGUUUCGUAGGUAGGCCCGGGGUCCAGGUGUAUUGUGGGCUAAAAAUUGAUCGAGGCAUGCCAGGGAGGUUGAAGAUUAUCCCAGUGUGGACCUUUUAAUUUUUCAUGGCUAUUAAGGUGGACAAACAGGCAAAACGGCUCGAAUGGGUCAUUUUUGGGCCAAAUCAGUGUGAAAUUGCUCAUGGUUUUAGAGUUGAGCUCGGAGUCUAGGUGUGAUGUUGGCCAAAAAUUGAACAGGGCAUCAGGGAGGUUGGUUAUCAUCUUAGUGUGGUCCGUUUAAAUUUUUGUGGCUAUUUGGGUGGAAAACGGGCAAAAUGGCACGAAUGGAGCAUUUUUGGGCCAAAUCGGGGUGCUAUAGCCCACGAUUUUGAGGGUGGGCCCCUCGUUCGAGCAUGCUAUAGGAUAAAAAUAGACCGAGGCAUGCCAGGGAGGAUGGAAAUAAUCCCAGUGUGUUCUGUUUAAUUUUUUGUUGCCAUUUUGGUGGACAAACGGGAGAAACGGCGCGAACGGGGCAUUUUUGGGCCAAAUCAGUGUGCUAUAACCCACGGUUUUGGGUGUAAAUUCGACUGAGGUGUGCCAGGGGGGUUGAGGAUCAUCCCAUUGUGGUCCAUUUAAAUAUUCGUGGCCAUUUGGGUGGACAAACGGGCAAAAUAGGGCAUUUUCAGGCUAAAUCGAUGUGCUAUAGCACGCGAUUUUAGGAGUGGGCCCCUGGUUCGAGCGUACUAUUGGUAAAAAAUCAACUAGGGCAUGCCAGGAAGGUUGAAAAUCAUCCCAGUGUGGUCUGUUUAAUUUUUUGCGGCUAGGUGAAACAGUGCAAAUGGGGCAUUCUCGAGCAAAAGUGGUGUGCUAUAGUUCACAGAUUAAUGGUGGGCUCGGGGUUCAGGCGUGUUGUAGGCCAUAAAAUGACCGAGGAAUUCCAGGGAGCUUAGGGAUCAUCCCAAUGUGGUUCAUUUAAAUUUUUAUGGCCAUUUGGGUGGACAAACGAGCAAAACAGCGCGAAUGGGGCGUGUUAGGGCCAAAUUAGUGUGCAUAGCCCACGGUUUUGGGGGUGGGCCUAGGUUCCGGGCGUGCUAUGGGGAAAAAUUUUACUGGGGUAUGUAGGGAGAUUUGGGAUCAUUCCGGUGUGGUCCAUUUAAAUAUACAUGGCCAUUUGGGUGGUCAAAUGGGUAAAACGGCGGGAAUGGGGCAUUUUCGGGCCAAAUCGAUGUGCUAUAGGCUAUGGUUUUGGGGUUGGACCAGGGGUUCGGGCAAGUCGUGGGCUAAAAAUUGAUCGAGGCAUGCCAGGGAGAUUGGGGAUCAUCCCAGUGUGGUCCGUUUAAAUUUGGGGCCAUUUGGGGUGGACAAACGGCAAAAACUAGGCGAACGGGGCAUUUUUGGGCCAAAUAGGUGUGCAAUAGCCUACGGUUUUGGGGGUGGGCCAAGCGUUCAGGCGUGUCGUGGGCCAAAAAUAAAUUGAGGCAUGAUAGGGAGGUUGGGGAUCAUCCUAGUGUAGCCCGUUUAAUUUUUCGUCGCCAUUUGGGUAGACAAACGGGUGAAAAGACAUGAACAACAAAUUUUUAGGCCAAAUCAGUGUGCUAUAGCCCACGAUUUUUGGGGUGGACCCAGGAUCCGGGCGUUUUGUGGGCCAAAAAUUGAUCGUGGCAUGCCAGAGAGGUUGGGCAUCAUCCCUUUUGGUCCAUUUAAAUUUACGAGGCCAUUUAGGUGGACAAACGGGUGACAGGGUGCGAACGAGGCAUUUUAAGGCCAACUCGGUAUGCUAUAGCCAACGAUUUUAGGGGUGGGAUCGGGUCAUGAUAGGGAGGUUGGGGAUCAUCCCAGUGUGGUCCGUUUAAUAUUUUGUGGAUAUUUGGGUGGAAAAACUAGAGAAACGGUGCAAACAGGGCAUUUUCGAGCCAAAUCAGUGUGCUAUAGCCCAUGGUUUUGGGGGUAGGUCCGGGAUCCAGAAGUUCUGUGUGUUAAAAAUUAAUUGAGGUAUGCCAGGGAGGUUCGGGAUUACUCCAGUGUGGUCCAUUUAGUAUUUUGUGGCUAGUUGGGUGGAAAAACUAGAGAAACGGUGCAAACAGGGUAUUUUCGAGCCAAAUCAGUGUGCUAUAGCCCACGGUUUUGGGGGUAGGUCCGGGGUCCGAAAGUGCUGUGUGUUAAAACUUAACCGAGGUAUGCCAGGGAGGUUCGGGAUUAUUCCAAUGUGGUCCGUUUAAAUUUUUGUGGCCAUUUGGUUGGACAAAUGUUCGAAAUGGCACAAAAGGGACGUUUUCGGGCCAUAUCGAUGUGCUAUAGCCCACGGUUUCAGGGGUGGGUCCGGGGUCCGGGCUGGCUAUGGGACAAAAUUUGACUAGGGCAUGCCAGGGAGGUUGGGGAUCAUCCCAAUGUGGUCUGUUUAAAUUUUCAUGGCUAUUUGCGUGGUCAAACUGCCGAAUCAGUGCGAACGGGGCAUUUUCAGGCCAAAUCAGUGUGCUAUAGCCUACAGUUUUGGGGGCGGGCUCGAGGUCCGGGCAUGCUGUGGGAAAAAAAUUGACCAGGGCAUGCUAAGAAGAUUGGGGAUCAUCCCAGUAUGGUCCAUUUAAAUUUUUGUGGCCAUUUGGGUGGAAUAACGGGCAAAACGGCAUGAAUGGGGCAUUUUUUGGCCAAAUCAGUGUGCUAUAGCCCACGAUUUCAUGGGUAGGCCUGGGGUCCAGGUGUACUAUGGGCUGAAAAUUGAUCGGGGCAUGCCAGGGAGGCUGGAGAUUAUUCCAGUGUGGACCUUCUAAUUUUUCAUGGUUAUUAGAGUGGACAAACAGGCAAACCGGCUCGAACGGGUCAUUUUCAGGCCAAAUCAAUGUGAUAUCGCCCACAAUUUUGGAGGUGAGCCCAGAGUCCAGGCGUGAUAUGGGCCAAAAAUUGAUUAAGGCGUCAGGGAGGUUGGGGUUCCUCCCAGUGUGUUCCAUUUAAUUUUCUGUGGCUAUUUGGGUAGAGAAACGGCAUGAACGGGGCAUUUUCGGGCCAAAUUAGGGUGCUAUAGCGCACGGUUUUGGGUGUGGACCUGGUAUCCGGGUGUGCUGUGGGUGAAAAUUUAAUGGGGUUAUGCCAGGGAGGUUGGGGAUCAUCUCAUUGUGGUCCAUUUAAAUAUUCGUGGCCAUUUGGGUGGACAAACGGGCAAAAUGGGACAUUUUCAGGCUAAGUCGGUGUGCUAUAGCACACGAUUUUUGGAGUGUGCCCCUGGUUCGAGCGUGCUAUGGGCCAAAAAUUGACCGGGCCAUCCCAGGAUGGUUGAAAAUCAUCCCAGUAUGGUCCGUUUAUUUUUUUCAGCCAUUUGGGUGGACAAACAGGUGAAACGGCGCGAAUGGGGCAUUUUUGAGCUAAAUCGGUGUGCUAUAGCCCAUAGAUUAAGGGGUGGGCCCGGGGUCCGGGCAUGUUAUGGGCCGUAAAAUGAACGAGGAAUGCCAGGGAGCUUAGGGAUCAUCCCAAUGUGGUUUAUUUAAAUUUUAUUGGUAUUUAGGUGGACAAAAAAGAGAAAUGGCGCAGACGGGUAAUUUUCGGGCCAAAUCGGUGUGCUAUAACUCACGGUUUUGGGGAUGGGCCAAGGGUUUAGAAGUGUUGUGGCUCAAAAAUCAACUGGGGCAUGCCAGGGAGGUUAGGGAUCAUCCCAGUAUGGUCCGUUUAAUUUUUAUAGCUAUUUGGGUGGAUAAACAAAAAAAAUGGCGCAAACAGGGCAUUUUCGGGCCAAAUCGGUAUGCUAUAGCCCACGGUUUCGGGGGUAGGCCUGGGGUUCAGAAGUGCUGUGGGCCCAAAAUCAACCAAGCCAUGCCAGGGAGGUUGGGGAUCAUCCCAUUAUGGUCUAUUAAAAUUUUUGUGGCCAUUUGGGUAGCCAAAUGUUCGAAAUGGCCCGAAAGGGACAUUUUCGGGCCAUAUCGGUGUGCUAUAGCCCACAGUUUCAGGGGUAGGGCUGGGUUUCGGGCUAGAUAUGGGCCAAAAAUUGAUCGGGGCAUGUCAGGGAGGUUGGGGAUUAUCCCAAUGUGGUCUGUUUAAAUUUUCAUGGCCAUUUGAGUGGUCAAACUGGCGAAUCUGCACGAAUGGGGCAUUUUCAGGCCAAAUCGGUGUGCUAUAGGCCACCGUUUUGGGGGGGGAGGGGGGAGGUCCGGGCGUGCUGUGGGCAAAAAAUUGAUCAGGGUAUGCCAGGGAGAUUGGGGAUCAUUCCAGUGUUGUCCUUUUAAAUUUUUGUGGCAAUUUGGGUGGGCAAACGAGAGAAACAGCAUGAACGGGGCAUUUUUGGUCCAAAUCAGUGUGCUAUAGCCCACGGUUUUGUGGGUGGGCUCAGGGUCCAGGUGUACUGUGGGCUAAUAAUUGAUCGGAGCAUGCCAGAGAGGUUGGAUAUUAUCCUAGUGUGGACCUUUUAAUUUUUCAUGGAUAUUAGGGUGGACAAAUAGGCGAAACGGCUCGAACGGGUUAUUUUUGGGCCAAAUCAGUGUGAUAUCGCCCAUGGUUUUGGAGGUGAGCCUGGAGUCCAGGCGUGAUGUGGGAAAAAAAUUGAUCAAGGUGUCAUGGAGGUUGAGUAUCAUCUUAGUGUGGUCCGUUUAAUUUUUUGUGGCUAUUUGGGUGGAGAAACGGGCAAAAUGGCGAGAACGGGGCAUUUUUGGGCCAAAUUGGGGUGCUAUAGACCAUGAUUUUGAGGGUGGGCCCCUGUUUUGAGAGUGAUAUGAGCUAAAAAUAUAUUGGGGCAUGCCAGGGAGGUUGGAAAUCAUUCCAGUUUGGUCUGUUUAAUUUUUCAUUGCCAUUUUGGUGGACAAACAGGAGAAACAACGCGAACGGGGCAUUUUUAGGCCAAAUCAAUGUGCUAUAGCCCACGGUUUUGGGUGUGGGCUUGGUGUCUGGGUGUGCUGUGGGUCAAAAUUUAACCGGGGUAUGCCAGGGGGGUUGGGGAUCAUCCCAGUGUGGUCUAUUUAAAUAUUCAUGGCCAUUUGGGUGGACAAACGGGAGAAACAGGGCAUUUUCAGGCUAAAUCGAUCUACUAUAGAACACAAUUUUUGGAGUGGGCCCCUGGUUUGAGCGUGCUAUAGGCAAACCCUCAAUCGGGGCAUGCCAGGAAGAUAGAAAAUAAUUCUAAUGUGGUCUUUUAAAUUUUUUGUGGAUAGAUGAAACGGCACAAAUGGGGCAUUUUUGAGCCAAAUCGAUGUGCUAUAGCCCACAGAUUAAUGGGUGGGCUCAGGGUCCGGGCGUGCUGUGGGCCGUAAAAUGACCGAGGAAUGCCAGGGAGAUUAGGAAUCAUCCCAAUAUGGUUCAUUCAAAUUUUUGUGGCGAUUUGGAUGGACAAACGGGUAAAACAGCGCGAACAGGGCGUGUUAGGGCCAAAUUAGUGUGCAUAGCCCACAGUUUUAGGGGUGGGCCUAGGGUCCAGGCGUGCUAUGGGCCAAAUUUGACUGGGGCAUGCUCGAGAGAUUUGGGAUCAUUCCAUUGUGGUCCAUUUAAAUAUACAUGGCCAUUUGGGUAGCCAAAUGGGCAAAACAGUGGGAAUGGGGCAUUUUCGGGCCAAAUCGAUGUACUAUAGGCUAUGGUUUUUGUGGUGGAUCAUGGGUACGGGUGUUUCGUGGGCUAAAACUCAUACGAGGAAUGCCAGGGAGAUUGUGGAUCAUUCCAGUGUGAUCCGUUUAAAUUUAUGGCCAUUUGGGGCGGACAAAAGAGAAAAACUGGGCGAAUGGGGCAUUUUUGGGCCUAAUAGGUGUGCUAUAGCCUACGGUUUUGGGGGUGGGCCAGUAGUUUGGGCAUGUCGUGGGACAAAAAUUGACCGAGGCAUGAUAGGGAAUUUGGGGAUCAUCCCAGUAUGGCCCGUUUAAUUUUUCGUGGCCAUUUGGGUGGACAAACAGGUGAAAAGGCGCGAACGGCACAUUUUUAGGCCAAAUCAGUGUGCUAUAGCCCAUGUUUUAGGGGGUGGGCCUAGGAUCUGGGCGUCUUGUGGGGUAAAAAUUGAUCGUGGCAUACAAUAGAGGUUGGGGAUCAUCCCUUUUUGGUCCAUUUAAAUUUACGAGGCCAUUUGGGUGGACCAAUGAGUGACAUAGCGCGAACGGGGCAUUUUCAGGCCAAAUCGGUGUGCUAUAGCCAACGGUUUUAUGGGUGGGACUGAGGCAUGCUAGGGAGGUUAGGGAUCAUCCCAGUAUGGUCCGUUUAAUUUUUUGUGGCUAUUUCGGCGGAGGAACAGGCAAAACGGCACGAACGGGGCAUUUUUAGGCUAAAUUGGGGUGCUAUAGCCCACGGUUUUGAGGGUGGCCCCCUGGUUCAAGCGUGCUAUAGGCUAAAAAUUAACCGACGCAUGCCAGGGAGGUUGGAAAUCAUCCCAGUGUGGUCCUUUUAAUUUUUCGUGGUUAUUUUGGUGGACAAAUGGGAGAAACGGCGUGAACGGGGCAUUUUCGGGCCAAAUCAGUGUGCUAUAGCCCACGGUUUUGGGUGUAGGCCUGGUAUCCGGGUGUUUUGUGGGCUGAAAUUUAAUGGGGGUAUGCCAGGGAGGUUGGGGAUCCUCUUGGUGUGGUCCAUUUAAAUAUUCGUGGCAAUUUGGGUGGACAAACGGGCAAAAUGGGGCAUUUUCAAGCUAUAUCGAUGUGCUAUAGCACACUAUUUUUGGAGUGGGUCCUUGGUUCGAGCAUUCUAUGGUCCAAAAAUCAACUAGGGCAUGCCAGGAAGGUUGAAAAUCAUCAUAGUAUGGUCUGUUUAAUUUUUUGCGUCCAUCUGGACGGACAAACAAGUGAAACGGCACGAACGGGGCAUUUUAAAGCUAAAUCGGUGCUAUAGCCCAUAAAUUAAGGGGUGGGCCCAGGGUACGGGUGUGUUAUGGGCCGUAAAAUGACCGAGCAAUGUCAGGGAGCUUACGGAUCAUCCUAGUGUGUUUCUUUUAAAUUUUUUUGGCCAUUUGCGUGAACAAUUAACCAACACAGUUGGAACGAGGCGUGUUCGGGCCAAAUUAGUGUGCUAUAGCCCACAGUUUUGGGUGUGGGCCUAAGGACAGGCGUGCUAUGGGCAAAAAUUUAACUAGGGCAUACUAGGGAGAUUGGGGAUAUUUCCAGUGUGGUCCAUUUAUAUAUACAUGGCCAUUUGGGUGGACAAACGGGCAAAACGGCAGGAACGGGGCAUUUUCAGGCCAAAUUGAUGUGCUAUAGCCCACGGUUUUGGUGGUGGGCAAGGGUUCUGUGCGUCCCAUGGGCUAAAAAUUGACCGAUGUAUGCUUGGGAGGUCGGGGAUCAUCCUAAUAUGGUUCGUUUAAAUUUUUGUGACCAUUUAAGGUGGACAAAAGGAAAAUGGGGCAAACAGGGCAUUUUCGGGCCAAAUGGGUGUGUUAUAGCCUACGGUUUUGGGGGUGGACCAGGGGUUCGAGCGUGUCAUGGGCCAAAAAUUUACCGAUCCAUGACAGGGAGGUUGAGGAUCAUCCCAGUAUUGCCCGUUUAAGUUUUCAUAGACAUUUGGGUGGUCAAAGAGGAGAAAACGCACGAACGACAUAUUUUUAGGCCAAAUCGGUGUGCUAUAGCCCACGGUUUUGGGGGUGGGCCCAGGGUCUGGGCGUCUUGUGGGUUAAAACUUGAUCGAGGCAUGCCAUAGAGGUUGAGGAUCAUCCCUUUCUGGUUUGUUUAAAUUUACAUGGCCAUUUGGUUGGACAAACGGACGACAUAGCGCGAACAGGGCAUUUUCAGGCCAAAUUAGUGUGCUAUAGCCGACGGUUUUGGGGGUUGGAUCGGGGCAUCCCAGGGAGGUUGAGGAUCAUCCCAGUGAGGUCCUUUUAAUUUUUUAUGGCUAUUUGGGUGGACAAAUGAGCGAAACGGCACGAAUGGGGUAUUUUUGGGCCAAAUCGAUGUGCUAUAGCCCACGGUUUUAAGGGUGGGCCCAGGUUCAGAAGUUCUGUAGGUCAAAAAUCGAUCGGGGCAUGCCAGGGAGGUUGGAGAUUGUCCCAGUGUAGUCUGUUUAAAUUUUCAUGGCCAUUUGGGUGUACAAAUGUUUGAAAUGGCGCAAAAUGGACAUUUUCAGGCCAUAUCUGUGUGCUAUAGCCCACGAUUUUAGGGGUGGGGCCGAGGUCUGGGCUUUCUAUGGUACCAAAAUUGGCUGAGGCAUGCCAGAGAGGUUGGGAAUCAUCCCUAUAUGGUAUGUUUAAAUUUUCAUGGCUAUUUGGGCGGUCAAACUAGCGUAUCAGCGCAAACGGGGCAUUUUUAGGACAAAUCAGUGUGCUAUAGACCGCAGUUUUGGGGGUGGGCCCGAGGUCCGGGCAUGCUAUGGGAAAAAAUUGACCAGGGCAUGCCAGGGACAUUGGGGAUCAUCUCAGUGUAGUCCGUUUAAAUUUUUGUGGCCAUUUGGGUGGACAAAAUGGUUGAAACGGCACGAAUGGGGCAUUUUCGGGCUAAAUCGGUGUGCUGUAAACUGCAGUUUCGGGGGUGGGAUCGGGGUCUGGGUGUGUGGUGGUCUGAAAUUUGAAUGGGGUAUGCUAAAGAGGUUUGGCAUCAUCCCAGUGUGGUCCAUUUAAAAUAUUUAUGGCUAUAUGGGUAUACAAACGAGCAAAACAACGUGAAUAGGGAAUUUUCAGGAGAAAUCGGCGUGCUAUAUCCCACAGUUUUGGGGGUAGGCCUAGGGUCCAGUGUGCUGUGGGUAAAAAAAUUGAUCGAGGCAUGCCAGGAAAGUUGAGGAUCAUCCCAGUAUAGUCCAUUUAAAUUUGUGAGGCCAUUUGGGUGGACAAACGGGCGAAACGGGAUAAACAGAACAUUUUUGGGCCCAAUCAAUGUGCUAUAGACAAUGGUUUCGAGGGUGGGCCUGGGGUACUAGUGUUCUGUGAGCAAAAAAUGGACCAAGGCAUGUCAAGGAGGUUGGGGAUCAUCCCAGUGUGGUCUGUUUAGAGUUUCAUGGCAAUUUAGGUGUGUUAUAACCCAAGCUUUUGGGGGUGGGUUCUAGGUUCGGGCAUUCUGUGAGCUAAAAUUUUGCUGAGGCAUGCCAGGAAGGUUGGAGAUCGUCGCAGUGUGGUCCAUUUCUAUUUGCAUGGACAUUUGGAUUUAUAAACGGGCAAAAUGGGUCAAACGAGGCAUUUAUUGGCCAAAUCAAUGUGCUAUAGCCCAUGAUUUUGGGGGUGGGCCCGGGGUUCGGGUGUGAUGUGGGCCAAAAAUUAUUCAGGGCAUACUAGGGAGGUUGGGGAUCAUCCCAGUAUGGUCCGUUUAAAUUUUUGUUGCCAUGUGGGAGGAUAAAUGGGUGAAACAACGCGAACGAGGCAUUUUCAGGCCAACUCGAUGUGCUAUAGCCAACAGUUUCGGGUGCGAACCCGGGGUUCGAGCAUUCUGUAGGCCUAAAACUGAUCGAGGUGAGACAGGGAUGUUAGGUAUCAUCCCAGUGUGUUCCAUUUAAAUUUAUGUGGCCAUUUGGGGGGUCAAAUGGGUGAAACAUCACGAAUGGGGCAUUUUCGGGCCUAAUUGGUAUGCUAUAGCCCACGGUUUUGGGGGUGGGCCUAGGGUUCGAGCAUGCUGUGGGCCAAAAUUUGAUCGGGGUAUGCCAAGGAUGUUGGGGAUCGUCCUAGUGUGGUAUUUUUAAUUUUUUUUGGCCAUUUGAGUUGACAAAAGGGCAAAACGAUGCAAACGGAGAACUUUCGGGCCAUAUCAAUGUGGUAUUGCCUACGGUUUCAGGGAUGGGCCUGGGGUACGGGUGUACUGUGGGACAAAAAUCAUUUGAGGUAUGCUAGGAAGGUUGGGGAUUGUCCCAGUAUGAUUCAUUUAAAUUUUCAUGGUUAUUGGGUAUAAAAGUGGGCGAAACAAUGCAAACGGGGCAUUUUUGGGCCAAAUCGGUGUGAUAUAUCCCAUGAUAUUGGGGUGGACCUGGGCUCCGAUAUGCUGUGGGCCAUAAAUUGACCGGGGAAUGUUAGGGAAGUGGGGGAUUAUCCCAGUGUGGUUCGUUUAAAAUUUUGUGGUCAUUUGGGUUGACAAAUGGACAAAACGAAAUGGGACAAAUCGGUGUGCUAUAGCCUAUAGUUUUAGAGGUGGGACCGAGGUCCUUACGGGCUAUGGGAAAAAAAUCGAUCAAGGCAUGCUAGGGGUUGAGGAUUAUCCCAGUGUGGUCCGUUUAAAUAAAUCUGACCAUUUGGGCGAACAAACGAGCGAAAUGGCCUGAAUGGGGCAUUUUUGGUACAAAUCGGUGUGCUAUAGCCCACGAUUUCGAUGGUGGCCCAGGGUUUUGAGUGUACUGUGGGACAAAAAUCAUCCGGGACGUGCCAUGGAGGUUGGGGAUCAUCCCAGUGUUGUUCGUUUAAUUUUUUAUGGCCAUUUGGGUGGACAAUCGGCGAAGCAGCGCGAACGGGGCAUUUUCGGCCCAAAUUAGUGUGCCAUAGCCCACAGUUUUAGGGGUGGGCCUGGGGUUCAGAGGUCCUGUAGGCCAAAGAUUGAUCGAGGCAUUCCAGGGAGGUUGGGGAUCCUUCCAGUGUGGUCCAUUUAAAUUUUUGUGGCCUUUAGGGUGGACAAACAAGCACAACGGCACGAACAGAGCAUUUUUGGGCCAAAUCAGUGUGCUAUAUCCUACUAUUUUAGGGUGGGCUCGGGGUCUGGUGUGCUGUGGGCCAAAAUUGAUUGAGGUGUGCUAGGGAGGUUAGGGAUCAUCCCAGUGUGAUCCGUUCAAAUUUUUGUGGCCAUUUGGGUGGACAAAUGGGCAAAAUAGGAUGAAUAGGGUUUUUUCGGGCAAAAUCGAUGUCCUAUAGCCCACGAUUUUUAGGGUGAGCCUGGGGUCCUAGCGUGCUGUGGGCUGAAAAUCGAUGGAGGCAUGCUAGGGAGGUUGGAUAUUAUCCCGGUAUGGUCCGUUUAAUUUUUUGUAACCAUUUGGGUAGACAAAUGGGAGAAACAACGUGAAUAGGGCAUUUUUGGGCCAAAUUGGUGUGCUAUAGCGCACAGUUCCGAGGGUAGGCCCGGGGUAUGGGCGUGCUGUGUUCCAAAAAUCAAUUGAGGUAUGCCAGGGAGGUUAGGAUCAUCUCAUUAUUGUCUGUUUAAAUUUUUGUUGCCAAUUGGGUGGAUUAACGGGCGAAACGACACAAACGGGCAAUUUUUAGGCUAAAUCAGUGGGCUAUAGCCCACAGUUUUUGGGUUGGGCCAGGGGUCCAGACAUGUUGUAGGCAGAAAAUCAAUUGGGACAUGCUAGGGAGGUUUUGGAUAAUCCCAGUAUGGUCUAUUUAAAUUUUUGUGGAUAUUUGGAUGGAGAAACUGGCGAAAUGGCAUGAAAACAAAAUUUUCGGGCCAAAUUGGUAUGCUAUAGCCCACGAUUUUAGGGGUAGGCCUGGGGUUCGGGUGUGUUGUGGGCCCAAAAUCGGCCAGGGUGUGCUAGGGAGGUCAAAAAUCAUCCCAGUCUGAUCUAUUUAAAUUUUUGCGCCCAUUUGAAUGAACAUACAGGCAAAACGACUCAAAUAAGGCACUUUCGGGCAAAAUUGGUAUGCUAUAGCCCACCAUUUAGGGGGUGGGCCUAGGUUUCAGGCAUGCUGUAGGCCAAAAAUUGAUCGAGAUAUGCCAGGGAUGUCGGGGAUCAUCCCAAUGUAGUUCAUUUAAACUUUAUGUUCAUUUCGGUGAACAAAUGGGAAAAGCGGCACUUACGGGGCAUUUUCGGGCUAAAUCAGUGUGCUAUAAGCCUACGGUUUUAGGGGUGGACCCAGGGUCCAGGCAUGCUGUGGGCCAAAAAUCGACUGAGGCAUGCCAGGGAGGUUGGGGAUCAUCUCAGUGUUGUUCGUUUAAAUUUUCAUGGCCAUUUGAGUGGACAAAUGGGCAAAACGGUGCAACGGAGGCAUUUUUAGGCAAAAUCAGUAGGCUAGUAGAGCCCACGAUUUCAGGUGUGUGCCUAGGGUUCGGGCGUGUUGUUGGAUGAAAAUCGAUCGGGGCUUGCCAGAGAAGUCGAGAGUUUUCUAAGUGUGGUCCGUUUAAAUUUUUAUGGCCAUUUAGAGGACAAACAGGUAAAACGGCAUGAACGAGGAGGGCCAAAUUGGUGUACUAUAGCCCACAGUUUUAGGGGUGAGCCCGGGGUCCAAGUUUUCUAUAGGAUGAAAAUUGACCAGGAUGUACGAGGGAUGUUAGGAUUGUCCCAGUGUGUUUUGUUUAAAUUUUUGUGGCUAUUUCGGUGGAAAAAUAGCUGAAACGACAAAAAUGGGAUAUUUUCAGGCCAAAUUGGUGUGCUAUAGCCCAUGGUUUCGAGGGUGGACCCAGACUCUGGCUAUGCUAUGGGUCAAAAAUUGACCGGGGUAUGCCAGGUAGGUUGGGAAUCGUCCCAAUGUGGCCUGUUUAAAUGUUUGUGGCUAUUUGGGUGGACAAACAGGCAAAACAACACGACAUGGGCAUUUUUAGGCUAAAUCGGUGUGCUAUAGCCCGUUGUUUUGGGGGUGGGCCUGGGGUCCGAGCAUGUUGGGGGACAAAAAUAAAUCAAGACAUGCUAGAGAGGUUGAGGAUCAUCCCAGUAUGGUCCGUUUAGAUUUUUAUAUUCAUUUGGGUGGACAAAUGGGUGAAACGACGUGAAUGGGGCAUUUUCGGCCAAAUCGAUGUGCUAUAGCUCACGAUUUUGAGGGCAGGCUCAGGGUUCGGGCAUGCUGUGGGAUGAAAAUCGAUAGGGGCAGCUUAGGGAAGCCGUGGAUCAUACCAGUGUGGUCUGUUUAAAUUUUCACGGCCAUUUGGGAGGACAAACGGACAAAAAGGUGCGAAUGAGGCAUUUUUGGGGUAAAUAGGUGUGCUAUAGCCCACGGUUUCAUGGGUGGGCUCAGUGUCCGGGCGUGCUGUGCGCUAAAAAUCUUUUGGGCCAUUUUGGGAGGUGGGGGAUAGUCCUAGUGUGGUCCGCUUAAAUUUUUGUGGCUAUUUGGGUGGACAAAUAGGCGAAACGGCAUGAAUAGGGCAUUUUCUGGCCAAAUCAGUAUGCUAUAUAGCCCACGGUUUCGAGGGUGGGCCUGGUGUCUGGGAGUGCUGUGGCUUAAAAAUUAACCGAACCAUGCCAGGGAGGUUGGAGAUCAUCCUAGUGCGGUCCAUUUAAAUUGUUGUGGCCAUUUGUGUGGAUAAAUGAGUGAAACAUCGCAAACGGGGCAUUUUUCGGAUAAAUCGGUGUGCUAUAGCCUACAGUUUCAGGGAUUGGCUAGGGGUACGGGCGUGCUGUGGGCUGAAAAUCAAUCGAGGCAUGCCAGGGGGGUUGAGGAUCAUCUCAGUCUGGUCCAUUUAAAUUUUUGUGGCCAUUUGGGUGGAUAAACAGGUGAAAUGGCAUAAAUGGGCCAUUUUCGGGCUAAAUCGGUGUGCUAUAGCCCACGGUUUUGGGGGUGGGCUCGGGGUCUGGGUGUGCUGUAGGCUGAAAUUUGACCGGGGCAUACCAGGGAGGUCAGGAUCAUCUCAGUAUGGCCGGUUUAAAUUUUUGUGGCUAUUUGGGUGUACAAACAGGCGAAACGGCGCAAACGGGGCAUUGUCGGGCCAAAUCGUUGUGUUAUAGCCCUUUAUUUUGGGGGUGGGCCUGGGGUCCGAGAAUGCUGUGGCCUAAAAUUUGACGGGGCGUGCCAAGGUAGUCGGCUGAUCUUGGGCAUAUUUAUAUGCUCAAAGCACCAAUAUGCACCCAGAUUUGGACUUAGUUCAUGAACUUUUGUACGAAUUCUUAAAUAAAAUUCAGCUUUUAUUCCGUUUUGUGCCUAAUGGAUAUGACUAGUACUUUCAGGUUCAAAUUCAUAAAGAAUUGUGCAUAAUUGGAUACAACGAGGAUAUGGGUGUAUUGAAGGAAUGUAAGGAUUAAAAUUAAGCUGAAAAGGGGAAGCUGGAAAGUAGGAAUCCUCAUUUGAAGACACUCCGCGUCGAGAGGAUCAACAAAAUAGCAGUGGUCAAAUUCUAGUGAAGGUUCGCAAAAUAACGGCUUCGCGGAGAAGUUUUGUUUAUCAGAUUUGGCGACCUGAAGGGUUAGAGCAUCACGGAGGAUGAUUAUUUUGCGAUUGUCCCAAUCCAGUGGCUUACCGCGAUAGUGGCGCAUCACGGUGAGGGUGCAUUUUAAAAUUGUCAGGGAAUAUUUGAGCUUCGCAAUUUUUGAGAUUUUAAUGAAAAAUAGUAAUAAAAUUCAUGGCGCGACGCAUUGAGUGGACAAAUCGGGAAUAUUUAAGUGUUUUGUCCCAACUAUUAAAGGAAAAAUCCAAGCUAAUAUGGAGGACUUUUGUCAAGUAGAGCAGCGGCAGAAAAAGGGAAAUUUCUCUCUUUUAGGGUUCUUAAACAUUCUUUUUAAUUUCUUUAGUCCAAGGAUUGAUUUGGGUAUGAUUUUGUUACUUAUUUUGGAUGAGUAGCUAAACACCCUAUUUCUGGGGGUGAGGCUAAGAACAUGAGUACUCUUUAAUAUUCUUAUUCAUAGUUUCUUUUUGGAUUAUCAUAUGGGUUGUUCUUAAUUUCUUAAGCUUACUAUUUUAAUGAUUGGCCACCAUUAGAAUAAAUUUAUAUUUCUAUGUGAAUCCGGGAGGAGAAUCAUAGGAUAGAAUGAAGAAAUUAGGGAGCAAGGUGCUUAUCUUUUAUAAAAUAAGGGAUUUUAAUUAGUAUCUAGGAUAGGGAUAUACCUAGAAGCCUUGCUUGGUUGAAUUGCAAGAAGACAACUUCAUGAAUCUAGAAGAUUUGUUGUAACUCUGCUGGAGUUGUAGUUACAACAUUCAAUAGAUAGAAGAUUUGAGGUCGAGAGACAAAGAUUGUGGCAUAACCCUUGCGAACCAUCAACUCGAAACCAAUUAGACUGUGAAAAAAAUACAGAAUUAUAUGAUUGUUCAAAAUACCUCAACCCUAGAAUCGUCCUCAUUAUUGAUUACACGCGUUGUUUACUUUGCUUCAGUCAUCAUUAAUUAUUUCUUAUUUCGUAAUUUACAUUUUAUUUACAGAAUCAUCUUAGUCUCGAUACAAUCAAACACUUAAUACUCAAUUGUCUUGAACUAAAGUUUGAAUAAUUUUCUAGUUUAUUAAUCCUCGAGGGAAUGAUACCUGACUGUCUACGUCAUUAUAUUACUUGCACGAUCACGUACACUUUUGUGCGCGUAGAGACGCAACAAGUUUUUGGCGCCGUUUUCGGGGAUCAAAUAAAAUUAGUAAAUUGCUUUAGUUUUUGGUUUUUGAUAAUAAGUUAAAUGUUAACAACUUGAUCUUUGAGGUUGAAUUUUGUAGGUUUAGUUGAACAUUGGACUGGCUAGGGAUCAAGAGUUAGUAAAGCCCUUUACAGAACCAGAAGUGAUUUUUCAUCAGAGACGAAGAGCUUAAUACUACACUCAACAGGGACUGAUGGAAAAAAUACGUGAUCCUAUAGUUGCUGAUCUAAAUGUUAUAAAUGUUCCAGCUCCUGUGGUUCCAGUUGUUCCUGAUCAACCAGUCGCAAGACCUGUUCAAGAAGUGGCAAUCCCACUUAUGCACCUCAUGACUAAUAGUAUUCUAAAGCCUAAACUAGGCGGUUGGUGGGAAUUGAAAUAAACUAUAGUGCAAUUGUUGAGAUCUGCAGGGGAAUUUCAGGGACUCUCAUAUGAGGAUCCACAGCAACACUUACAAACCUUCCUGGAGAUAAGCGAUACAUAUAUUCCUAAAGAAGCGGAUGCUGAUUAUGUCAGAUUAACACUCUUUUCCUUUUAUCUCUUGGGGGAAGGAAAGAGAUGGUUACUUACUGAACUACACUAAUCCAUCACUACAUGGGAAGAUUAUGCUCGAAGGUUUCUCAUUUAAUUUUUUCCAUCUCAGAAAACUGCACGAUUGAGAAGUGAGAUAUUGAGUUUCAGACAGAAAGAUGGAGAAAAUCUCGACCAAGCUUGGGAGAGAUUUCAGGGCAUGCUCAGAAGUUGUCCUCAUCACUAUCAAUCGAAUGAUGUUUUGUUGCAUACAUUUAUAGAAGGCCUUGAGUCUAAUACAAAGAUUCUAUUGGAUUCAGCAGCAGGGGGUCAAGCUUUGGAUAAAACAUAUGAAGAAUUAUAUACCUUGCUGAAUAGAAUUGCACAAGGGAAUCCUGAUUGGCAUGCAGACUUAAGGAAUGCUCCCAAGAAGGUUGCAGGGGUUUUGGAGGUUGAUCAGUUCACUGCAUUACAAGCACAGAUUACAGCGAUGCAGAACCAUAUGACUAAUCAGCUCAACUUCUACUUAGGUACAACACAACUAGCAGCCAUAAUAAAUAUAGAUCUACAGGUAUAUUCAUAGUGUGAAGUUUCCAGAAGUGGUGAGCAUAAAGUAAAUGCAUGUUCUGUUAAUCCAGGUUUAGUCAACUACGUGGGGAAUGCAAAUGUCAGGGUCAACAAAAUUUUGGCAAUACGUAUAAUCCAAAUUGGAGAAACCACCAAAAUUUUUCAUGGGGUGGAAAUCAGGCACAAAAUACAAAUCAGUAUAAGGGAUCAGCGCAACUAAAUCCAUAAUUGGUUUUGAACAAUCUGGUGACUGCUUCGAAUAGUAAUAUAGAGGAUAUGCUAAAGCAGUUUAUGGCUCAACAAGCACAGUUUGCGGAGGACAUGAAGGCUCAACAAUCACAGUUUGUAGCUGAGUUGAAGAGUCAAUAAUUACUCAUAAGAUAUCUGGAAUUACAAUUAGGUCAAAUCACAGGAUCGCAAAAUACAAGGCCACAAGGAUCAUUGCCUGGCGACACUGAGGUUAAUCCUAAAUAAGUAAAUGCGGUUACAAUGAGGAGUGGACUACAAACUAAGGAGAUAGUUCAGGAGCAGAAUAAUCCCGUGGUCACUGAUAUAGUUUGCAAGAGAAUACAGAAGUGGAAGUAAAGGAAAAAUAGGCUAGUGAAGACAUUCGUGUAGAGAAGAAGACUAUUCCCUUACCCUUUCCUUAAAGGGAAAGAAAACAUCAAGAGGAAGCCAGUUUUAAGAAGUUUCUAGAUCUUUUGAAAUAAGUCUAAGUAAACCUUUCUCUUGUUGAAAUUCAGCAGAGUGUGCCAAAAUAUGCUAAAUACUGAAAGGAUAUUGUUACCAAUAAGAAUCGGUUGACUGAAUAUGCUAUAGUUGCACUUACUGAAGAGUACACAUCUAAAAUUCAAAAUAAACUGCCCAUGAAAUUGAAGGAUCUGGGGAGUUUUACCUUGCAGAUUACCCUUUGUCAAACUAUUUAUGUACGUGGAUUGUGUGACUUGGGGGCUAGCAUAAAUCUGAUGCCCACAUCAUGGUACAGAAAGAUGGGUCUUAAAAUCCCCAAACCCAUGACUAUUGUGUUGCAAUUGGUAGACAGGUCAGUUGCUAGACCAAAUGGUAUUAUUGAAGAUGUACUGGUGCAAGUGCGAUCUUUAAUCUUUCCUGUGGAUUUUGUGAUUCUUGACUUUGAGGCCGAUCCAGUUGUUCCAUUUAUUUUGGGAUGACAUUUUUUAGCAACAGGGUGGUCACUCAUUGAUGUAGCAGCUGGAAAAAUAACAAUGCGAGCACAUGAUAAAGUAGAGGUUUUUGAUGUGUAUAGAGCAUUGAAAUUGCCAACCAUAUAUGAGGAGUUAUCCUCAAUAUCGGUUAUUAAUCUUCCUUCGAAUUGGCAGUUACUUUUGUCUAAUGAUCCUUUAGAGCGAGCUUUGAUGGAUUAUGAUCUUCAUGGGGAUUUAAAAGCAUUGGAAUUGGUUUAGGUUAUGAAUUUGGCUGUAAUUAAGACAAAUAAAGUGAAGAUCGAGCCUUUGAAUAGACCAAUUGGUCAACCACCCACGCCCUUAGUUAAAAAAGAUCCUAACUUAGAGCUUAAGGUUCUUCCUUCUCACUUAUAAUAUGUUUUUCAUGGUGAUCAAGAUACUUUGCCUAUUAUUUUAUCUGCAGGAUUAUCUGAAGUACAGGUAAAAGAAGCUGUAACUAUUAUUAAAAGGAGAAAAAAAACGAUUGGCUGGCAGAUGUCUGAAAUUUUAGAAAUCAAUCCAGUAUUUUGUAUACACAAUAUUUACAUGGAAGAGGGGUAAAGACCUAGAGUAUAGCAACAAAGAAGGUUGAACCCUGUGAUGAAUGGGGUGGUACGGAAAAAAGCAAUCAGGUGGUUAGAUAGUGGUAUUGUCUACCCAAUUUUCGAUAGCAAAUGGGUAAGUCCGGUGCACUGUGUACAAAAGAAGGGAGGAAUGACAGUCGUAACAAAUGAUGAUAAUGAGUUGGUUCCCACAUGUAUAGUGACCGGUUAGAGAAUAUGUAUAGAUUACCGGAUGUUAAAUGAAGCAACUCAUAAAGAUCAUUAUCCAAUUCUCUUCAUUGAUUAAAUGCUGGAUAGAUUGGCAGGGAAAGAGUAUUAUUAUUUUUUGGAUGGGUACUCUGGAUACAAUCAGAUAAGCAUAGCUCUAAAACAUCAAGAAAAGACCACGUUUACUUAUCCAUAUGGUACAUAUGCUUUCAGAUGCAUGCCCUUCGGCUUAUGGAAUGCACCUGCUAUAUUUCAAAGGUGUAUGAUAGAGAUAUUCUCGUACAUGGUGGAAGAAUUUAUGGAGGUAUUCAUGGAUGAUUUCUCUAUGUAUGGGAAUUUAUUUGAAAAAUGUUUGCAAAAUCUCGACAAAGUUCUAGCUCGAUGUGAAGAAACAAACUUGGUGUUUAAUUUGGAAAAGUAUCAUUUUAUGGUUAAGGAAGGAAUUGUCUUAGGCCAUAAAGUUUCAUGCAAAGGGCUGGAAGUUGACAAAGCAAAGGUUGAAGUAAUUGAAACGUUGCCUCAUCCAGUUACAGUCAAAGGUGUGCAAAGUUUUUUGGGACAUGUUAGGUUCUAUAGACGAUUCAUUCAAGACUUCUCAAAGAUCACAAGUCCCAUGUGCAAAUUGUUAGAGAAAGAAGCCAAGUUUGAGUUUGGAGCUGAUUGCCAUAAAGCUUUUGAAAAGUUUAAGAAGAAGUUGACGAAAGCACCUAUUUUGAUCGCACUAGAUUGGGAGUUUUCUUUUGUGCUAAUAUGUGAUGCUAGUGAUAUUUCAGUGGGAGAAGUGUUGGGAUAGAUAAAAGAUAAGAUAUUUUGAUCGAUCUACUAUGCUAGCAAGGUACUAAAUGAUGCUCAAGUUAACUACACAGCUACAGAGAGAGAGAUUGGCUAUGGUAUAUGUAUUCAAUAAGUUUUGAUCUUACUUAAUUGGUACCAAGGUCAUUAUUCAUACAGACCAUGCUACUAUUAAGUAUCUCAUGAACAAAAAGUAUGUAAAGCCAUGACUAAUUAGGUGGAUUCUGUUACUUCAAGAAUUUGAUCCUGAGGUGUGUGAUAGAAAGGGAGCUAAAAAUCAAGUUACUGAUCACUUGUCACGGCUGGAAAAUUGAGAACGUAUUGCAUAUGACUUUCAUAGUAUCAAGGAAGACUUUCCUGAUGAGAAGUUGUUGUUACUAGAAGCAGCUGAGUUCCCAUGGUAUGCUGACAUUGUAAACCUGAUAGUUUGUGGGGUGUAUCCUUCAGAAACCACCUCGCAACAAAGGAAGAAAUUACUCCAUGAUUCUCGUACAUACAUUUGGGAUGAACCAUACCUUUUCAAACUGGGUCCAGAUAGAGUGAUUUGUAAAUGUAUUCUAGAGGCUGAAUUUUUAAAGGUGUUAUAAGAUUGCCAUUCAUCUCCAUAUGGUGGACCUCAUGGGGGUGAGAGGACAGCGAGGAAAGUAUUGCAAUUAGGUUUUUUCUGGCUGACUCUGUUUAGAGAUGCAGUGGUAUUUGUAAAGAGUUGUGAUCAAUGCCAAAGGUUGGGUACUAUAACCAGGCGUUAUGAGAUGCCCCUAAACAAUAUCUUAGAAGUAGAAGUCUUUGAUGUUUGGGUGAUUGAUUUCAUGGGCCCCUUCCCACCUUUAAAAGGUAAUUUUUACAUUCUUGUUGCAGUGGACUAUGUCUCUAAAUGGGUGGAAGCUAUGGCGAGUCCAACUAAUGAUUCAAGAGUGGUACUAAAGUUUGUGAAGAAUAACAUAUUUUCCAGAUUUGGUACGCCAAGAGCAAUAAUUAGUGAUGGAGGUACGCACUUUAUCAACAACUAGUUCAAGAAUCUUCUUACUAAAUAUGCUAUUCGGCAUAAGGUUUCCACUGCAUACAAUCCUCAAGCAAGUGUACAAGUAGAGGUAUCCAAUCGGGAGAUUAACCAAAUACUUCAGAAGAUCGUGAAUGGGCAGAGAAGCUGAAUGAUGCACUUUGGGCAUAUCAAACAGCAUACAAAAUGCCCAUUGGGACAUCUCCAUAUCUCUUAGUGUAUGGUAAGGUAUGUCAUCUUCCCGUAGAGUUGGAACACCAAGCAUAUUGGGUUGUGAAGAAGCUGAAUUUUGAGAUGACUACUGCGGGAGAAAGAAGGUUAUUGCAACUAAAUAAGCUUGAUAAGUUUCGACUCCAUGCUUAUGAAAACCUCAAGCUUUACAAGGAAAAGACCAAAAGAUGGCAUGAUAAGCAAAUUCAAGUUACGAAAUUUGAGCUCGGACAACUUAUUUUGUUUUUUAAUCACGGCUUAAGUUGUUUCUGGUUAAAUUAUGAUCAAAAUUGUCUGGACCUUUUUAGGUAGUGCGUAUGACAACCCAUGGAGCUGUUGAGUUAUGGAAUAAAAGAAGAUAGAUAAGUUCCUGGUGAAUGGACAGCGUGUAAAGUAUUAUUGGGCAUCUGGACAAGCACAAGGAAUCUAUCACGUUGGAUAAUGAGUGAUGAUGAGCUGAGUCGUGCCACGACGUAAAAUAAGGCGCUAUGUGGGAAGCAACCCAUAAAUAUAUUGUAAUAGGUAGUUUAAUUUUUGGCUUGUAAAAAACAAAAAAAAUAGAAAAAUGCAAAAAAAUAAGUCGUGCCACGACCAAAACUAAGGUGAUGAGUGGGAGGCAACCCACCUUUACAUACAAAUUUUGUUGUUCUUGUUUGAGAUUGCAGGGAAUUCCAAGGUGAAAUAGGGAGAUUACUACAUUUGAGGAAAGUAAUCAGGUUUGCAAAAUGAUUUGUGUAAGUGGGGAUUUCCUUAGUUAAGAAAAGAUUGAGAAUUACAGAAGGAAUUUGAUUUUGAAGAAUGGCGUGAUGCGAAACUAGGUAUUUUGAUAGUUGUCAAAUUUCAGUAAGGAUACGUGGUUUCCACCGCAACAAGAAAAAGUGUAAAUUAAGAAUUGUCAAAUUCCAGUGGAUUGUUGCAAUUUUCAGCUUGAUGAGAAACUUGGACAAUUGACAAUUGUCAAUUUACAGUGACCAGACGCGAAACGUAGCGCAUCGUGGUGGGCAGUUAAAUGGAAAUUGGCAUUUUACAGUAGGUCUACACGAUCUUACCGCAUCGCAGAAAUGGUUUAAAUCGGACAUAAAUAUUUCAUUAAACCUAGGCCGACCCUUUCCUCUAUAAAUACAUCCUCCCCAAAACCCUAAACAUUUUUCAACAUCAACGCCGCCCUCUAACUCCCUCUUUGAUAAACUAUUCCAAUUUUUCCCUUUCUUUCAUCCUUUUCUCACUUUUUAAGGCAUAAUAGAAUCACAAUAAAAAAAGAAAAGGAAAAGGCAGGAUCUUCUUCCCCUGUUAGGAAGAGAAGCAGACCAUCAGAAGGGCAAUUAACUAGAGUGCCUAAGGCCCCUCCACUUCAGCGGGGGCAGGUUCGAAAAUUUGGCUUCAAGGUUGUACGAAAGGAUGGGAAGAAGUGGUAUACUAAGAAUAUUAUUGCUAAGUAUAUUCCAAAGGUCUAUAUCGAUCGGGCUAGCUUGAUGAGAGCUUGUCUGUCUAUGGUACGGAAAAUCGAGGCACUCAACAUGAAUUUUAUUUUCCAUCAGCAGAUUGAAUGCAUUUUGUAUCUUGUUAGAGAAUUUUAUGCCAAUUGGGACCCCAGCCAUCAUGAAUAUUUGUUGAAGAUUCAUGGGAAAAUAAUUCGAUUCAUAGCUGCUGAUGUUACCGAGUUGUUGGGUAUCCCAAAAAUGAACCCAAAUUUCCUGCGAUAGUUUAUUGUUUCUCCUCCUUAUGCAUACAUCAAGAAUUUGUUGUGUGGCUAGAGAUCUUCAUCCCGUUGGAUGAGGCAUCGAGUUACAGGUUUGUAUUUGGGGGACAAACAGGUAAAACAAUGCAAACGGGACAUUUUUGGGCCAAAUCGGUGUGCUAUAUCCCACGGUUUAGGGGGUGGGCCCAAGGUCCGGGUAUGCAGUGGGUCAAAAAUUGAAUUGGGCAUGCUAGUGAUGUUGGGGAUCAUACCAGUGUGGUCCGUUUAAAUUUUUUUGGCCAUUUGGGUUGAUAAAUGGGCGAAACGGUACAAACGGGACAUUUUCAGACCAAAUUAGUGUGCUAUAGCCCACAGUUUUGAGGGUGGGCCCAAGGUUCAAGUAUUCUAUGGUCUAAAACUCGAUCGAGGCAUGUCAGGGUAGUUGAGGAUCAUCCCAGUGUGGUUCGUUUAAAUUUUCAUUGCCGUUUGGGACAUUUUUGCGCCAAAUUGAUGUACUAUAGCCCACAAUUUUGGGGGUAUGCCCUAGGCUCGGGUGUACUGUGCUCCAAAAAUCAUUCGGGGAGUGACAAGAAGGUUGGGGAUUGUCCCAGUGUGGUCCGUUUAAAUUUUUAUGGCCAUUUGGGUGGACAAACGUGCAAAACAGCGAGAACGGGACAUUUUUUAGCCAAAUUGGUGUGCUAUAGCCCAUAAUUUUUGGGGUUGGACUGAAGUCCGAUUGUGUUGUGGGAUUAAAAUUGACCGGUGCAUUCCAUGGAGGUCGAGGAUCAUCUCACUGUGGUCCAUUUAAACUUUUGUGUCCAUUUGGGUGGACAAAUGGGCAAAACGGACCAAAUGUGCCAUUUUCAAUCUAAAUCAAUGUGCUAUAGCCCACGAUUUUGAGAGUGGACCUGGAGUCCAAUGUGAUGUGGGAUAAAAAUUGGCCAGGCUGUGCCUGGGAGGUUGAGGAUCAUCCCAGUAUGGGUCUUUUAAAUUUUGUGGCUAUUUGGGUGGACAAAUGGGCAAAACGAUGCGAAUAGGGCAUUUUCAGGUCAAAUCAGUGUGCUAUAAACCAUAGUUUUGAGGGUGGGCCCGGGGUACGGUCUUGUUGUUGGUUGAAAAUUAUGUGAGACAUGACAGGGAGGUCGAUCAUCAUCUCAGUGUAGUCCGUUUAAAUUUUUCAGGCUAUUUCGCUAGACAAACGGGUAAAACGGCACGAGCGGGGCAUUUGUGGUCCCAAUCGGUGUUCUAUAGCCCACGAUUUCCUGGGUGGGCUUGGGGUUUGGGCGUACUGUGGGAAAAAAAUUGAUCGGGAAAUUUAGGGAGGUUGGGGAUUAUCCCAGCGUAGUCCGUUUAAAUUUUUGAGGCAAUUUGGGUGGACAAACGGGCGAAACAACUCAAACGGGGCAUUUUCGAGCCAAUUUGGUGUGCUAUAGCACACGGUUUUGGGGUGGUCCCAGGGUUCGAGCAUGAUGUGGGCCAAAAAUCGACUGGGGUAUGUCGGGGAAGUUAGGGAUCAUCCCAGAAUGGUCUGUUUAAAUUUCAUGGUAAUUUGGGUGGUCAUAUGGGCAAAAUGGCAGAAAGGGGUAUUUUCGAGCUAAAUCAGUGUGUUAUAGCCCACGUUUUUGGGAGUGGACCCUGGGUCCAGGCAUGCUGUGUGCAAAAAAUUGACUGGGGCAUACCAGGAAGGUUAGGGAUCAUCUCAGUGUGGUUCAUUUAAAUUUUGUGGACACUUGGGUGGACAAACGGGUGAAACAACAUAAAUGGGGCAUUUUAAGGCCAAAUUGGUGUGCUACAGCCGAGGAUUUUGGGUUGGGUUCAGGGUAUGGGCGAACUAUGGUCCAAAAAUUGACCGAGGCAUACCAGGGAAGUUUCGGAUCGUCCCAGUGUAUUCUGUUUAAAUUUUUGUAUCCAUUUAGGUGGAUAAAUGGGUGAAAGGUGCAAACAUGGUAUUUUUGGAUCAAAUUAGUGUGCUAUAGCCCAUAAUUUUAUGGGUGGGUCCGGGUUCAGGGCAUGCUAUUGGCCAAAAAUUGAUUGGGGCAUGCCAGGGAGUUUGGGAAUCAUCCCAAUGUGGUCCAUUUAAAUUUUCGUGGCCAUUUUAGUGGACAAACGGGCGAAACAGUGCGAACGGGGUAUUUUUGAGCAAAAUCAGUGUGUUAUAGCCUACAGUUUAGGUGGUGGGCUUGGGGUCCGAGAGUGCUGAGGGCCGAAAUUGAUCCAGACAUGCCAGGGAGAUUGGGGAUCAUCCCAGAAUGGUUCAUUUAAAGUUUUGUGGCCAUUUGGGUGGACAAACGGGCGAAAUGGUGCGAAUAGGGAAUUUUUGGGCCAAAUUGGUGUGCCAAAUAGCCCAUGGUUUUAGGGGUGGGCCCAAGGUCUAGGCAUACUGUAGGCCAAAAAUUGGUGUGCUACAGCCCAUGGUUUCGGGGUUGGGCUCAGGUUUCGAGCCUGUUGUGGGCAAAAAAUUGAUCGGAGCAUGUUGGGGAGGUUGUGGAUCGUCCUAGUAUGGUCCGUUUGAAUUUUCGUUGCUCUUUGGGUGGAAAACGGGUGAAACAACACAAAUGGGGCAUUUUUGGGCCAAAUCUGUGCUAUAGCCCAUGGUUUUUGGGGUGGGCCUGGGGCCCGGGCGUGCUGUGGGCUAAAAAUUGAUAGAUCCAUGCCAGGGAGGUUGAGGAUCAUCGCAGUAUGAUCGGUUUAAAUUUUUUAGGCUAUUUGGAUGGAGAAACGGGCGAAAGGGUAUGAAUGGGGCAUUUUUGGGCCACAUUAGUUUGCUAUAGUCCAUAGUUUUGGGGGUGGGCCUAAGGUCUGGGCGUGCUGUAGGUCAAAAAUUGACCGAGGAAUUCAAGGGAGGUUGGGGAUCAUCCUAGUGUGGUCCGUUUAAAUUUUCAUGGCCAUUUGGUUGGAAAAAUGGGUGAAACGAUGCGAAUGCGGCAUUUUUGGGCCAAAUCGGUGUGCCAAAUAGCCCAUGGUUUUAGGGGUGGGCCCAAGGUCUGGGCAUGCUGUAGGCCAAAAAUUGGUGUGCUACAGCCCAUAGUUUCGGGGUUGGGCUCGGGGUCCAGGCCUGCUGUGGGCCAAAAAAUGAUCGACGCAUGUUAGGGAGGUUGUGGAUCUUCCCAGUAUGGUCCGUUUGAAUUUUUGUUGCUCUUUGGGUGGGGAACGGGUGAAACAACGCAAAUGGGGGAUUUUUGGGCCAAAUCUGUGCUAUAGCCCAUGGUUUUUUGGGUGGGCCUGGGGCCCGAGCGUGCUGUGGGAUGAAAAUUGAUCGAGCCAUGCCAGGGAUGUUGGGGAUCAUUGCAGUAUGGUUGAUUUAAAUUUUUAGGCUAUUUGGAUGGAGAAACGGGUGAAAGGGCAUGAAUGGGACAUUUUUGGGCCACAUUAGUUUUCUAUAGUACAUAGUUUUUGGGGUGGGCCCAAGGUCUGGGCGUGCUGUAGGUCGAAAAUUGACCGAGGCAUUCAAGGGAGGUUGGGGAUCAUCCUAGUGUGGUCCAUUUAAAUUUUCAUGGCCAUUUGCUUAGACAAAUGGGUGAAACGACGGGAAUGGGGCAUUUUCGGGCUAAAUCAGUGUGGGCCCAAGGUCUGGGAAUACUAUGGGACAAAAGUCAGUUGGGGGCAUGCCAGGGAGGUUAGGGAUAGUCCUAGUGUGGUCUGUUUAAAUUUUCGUGGCCAUUUUGGGGGACAAAUGGGCGAAACAGCGUGAAUGGGGCAUUUUCGGGUAAAAUUGGUGUGCUAUAACCCAUGGUUUUGGGGGUUGGCCCGAGGUCCGGGUGUUAUGUAGGUUGAAAAUCAACUGGGGUGUUCUAGGGAGGUUGGGAUCAUCCCAGGGUUGUCUGUUUAAAUUUUUGUGGCCAUUUGGGUGAGUAAACAGGCAACAUGGCCCGAACGAGGCAUUUUUGGGAUAAAUAGUUGUGCUAUAGACCACGGUUUCAAGGGUGGGCUCAGGGUCCAGGUAUGCUGUGGUCCAAAAAUCAAUCGGGUUAUGACAGGGAAGUUGUGGAUCAUUCCAGUAUGGUCUGUUUAAAUUUUGGUCUCCAUUUGGGUGGAUAAACAGGCAAAACAGCGCGAACGGGGUAUUUUUGAGCUAAAUUAGUAUGGUAUAGCACACAAUUUCGAGGGUGGUCCUGGGUUUUGGGCAUUCUGUGGGACAAAAAAUUGAUUGGGGCAUGUCAGGGAGGUUGGGGAUCAUCCCAGUGUCGUCCGUUUAAAUUUUUGUGGCCAUUUCGGUAGCAAAACGGUCGAAACGGUAUGAACGGGGCAUUUUCAGGCCAAAUUGGUAUGCUAUAGCCCACGGUUUUUGGGGUGAGGCCAGGAUCGAGGCGUGCUGUAGACCUUAAAUCGAUCGAGGCAUGCCAAGGGGCUGAGAAUCAUCCUAGUGUGGUCAGUUUAAAUUUUCAUGGCCAUUUGGGUGGAUUAACAGGCAAAAAUGCGUGAAUGGUUUAUUUUCGGGCAAAAUUAGUGUUCUAUAGCCCACGAUUUUGGGGGUGGGACAGGGGUCUGGGCGUGCUGUAGGCCUACAAUCGACCGGGGCAUGACAAAGAGGUUGGGGAUUAUCCCAGUGUGGUCCAUUUAAAUUUUUAUUGCCAUUUGGGUGGAUAAGCGGGCGAAAUGGCUCGAAUGGGGCAUUUUUUAACUAGAUCAGUGUGCUAUAUUCCAUGAUUUCGAGCAUGCUGUGGGAUAAAAAUCAAUUGAGGUAUGCCAGGAAGGUUGGGGAUCAUCCCUGAUUGGUCCGUUUAAAUGUUUGUGGCUAUUUGGGUGGACAAAAAGGUGCAACGGCGCGAAUGGGGCAUUUUUGGACUAAAUCGGUGUGCUAUAGUCCACGGUUUUAGGGGUGGGCAUAGAGUGUGUACAUGUUGUGGGCCAAAAAUUGAUCAGGGCAUGUUUGGGAGGUUGGGGAUCAUCUAAGUAUGAUCCAUUUAUAUUUUCAUGUUGAUUUGAGUGGACUAACAGGUGAAACAGCGCACACGAGGCAUUUUUGAGUCAAAUUGGUGUGCUAUAGCCCACGAUUUUAGGGGUGGGCUCGGGAUUCGGGCGUUUUGUUUGUUGAAAAUAUACUAGGGAAUUCUAGGGAGGUCGGGGAUCAUCCUAGUAUGGUCGGUCCAAAUUUUCAUGGCCAUUUGGGUGGACAAACUGGCGAAACAAUGCAAACGAGGCUUCUUCGGGCCAAAUUCGUGUGCUUUUGCCCACGGUUUUGGGGGUAGACCUAGGGUCCGGGUGUGUUGUGGGUCAAAAAUUGAUCGGGGCAUGCCAGGGAGGUUGAGGAUCAUCAUAGUGUGGUCUGUUUAAAUUUUUGUGGCCAUUUGUGUGGACAAACGGGCGAAAAGGAACAAAUGGGGCAUUUUUGGGCCAAAUCGAUGUUCUAAAGUCCACGGUUUUGGGGGUGCGCCCGUGGUCCGGGUGUGUUGUGGGACAAAAAUCAAGCGGGGCAUUCUAGGGAUGUUAAGAAUAGCCACAGUGUGGUCCGUUUAAAUUUUUGUGGUUAUUUAGGUGGACAAAUGAGCGUAAUGGCACGAACGGGGCAUUUUUGGGCUAAAUUUCUGUGUUAUAGCCUACGGUUUUAGGGGUGGUCUUAGAGUCCCGGCGUGCUGUGGACUGAAAAUCAACUGAGGCAUUCCAGGGAGGUUGAAGAUCAUCUUUUAAAGUUUCAUUGAUAUUUGGGGGGGCAAAGGGGUAAAACGGCGUGAACGGGGCAUUUUCGAACAAAUCUAUGUGUUAUAGCACACGAUUUUGGGAGUGGGCUUAGGGUUCGGGCGUGCUGUGUACUAAAAAUUGAUCGGGGCAUGCCAGGGAGGUUGAGUAUUAUCCCAGUGUGGUCUAUUCAAAUUUUCGUUGUCAUUUGGGGGGACAAAGGGGUAAAACGGUGCAAACGGGACAUUUUUGGGCCAAAUCAGUGUACUAUAGCCCCCGUUUUUGGGGGUGGGCCAAGGUUCUGGGCGUGAUGUCGGCUAAAAUCCACCGGUCCAUGCCAAGGAGGUUGGGGAUUAUCCCUGUGUGAUCCGUUUAAAUUUUUGUGGCUAUUUGAUUGGACAAACGGGCAAAACAGUGCGAACGAGGUAUUUUCAGGCCAAAUCGGUGUGCUACAGCCCAUGGUUUCGAGGGAGGGCCUGGGGUCCGGCAUGCUGUAGGCCAAAAAUCAAAUGGGACAUGCCAGGGAGGCUGGGGAUCAUCCCAGUGUGGUCCGUUUAAAUUUUCGUGGCCAUUUGGGUGGGCAAACAUGCGAAACGGCGAGAAUGGGAUAUUUUUUGGCCAAAUAGGUGUGCUAUAGCCCACAAUUUUGGGGGGUUGGCCUGGGGUCCGGAUGUGCUAUAGGUUAAAAAUCGACUGAUGUAUGCAAGGGAGGUCGGAGAUCGUCCCAGUGUGGUCCGUUUAAAAUUUUGUGGCCAUUUGGAUGGACAAACGGGCAAAAUAGGGCAAUGGGGCAUUUUCGAGCUCAAUCAUUAUGCUAUAGCCCAUGGUUUUGAGAGUGGGCCUGGGGUCCAACGUGAUGUGGGCCAGAAAUUGAUCGGGGCAUGCUAGGGAGGUUGGGAUCAUCCCAGUGUAAUUCAUCUAAAUUUUGUGGCUAUUUGGGUGGACAAAUGGGUGAAACAACGCGAAUGGGGUAUUUUUGGGCCAAAUCGGUGUGCUAUCGACCACGAUUUUUGGGGUGGGCCCAGGGUACGAUCUUGUUGUUUGCGAAAAAUUAUUCAGGAUAUGUCAGGGAGGUCGGCGAUCAUUCUAGUAUGGUUUGUUAAAAUAAUUGGGGCUAUUUGGUUGGACAAACAAGCAAAACAGCAUGAACGGGGCAUUUUUGGGCCAAAUCAAUCUGCUAGCCCACGGUUUCCUGGGUGGGCUCGAGGUCCGAGCGUACUGUGGGUCAAAAAUUAAUUAGGGCAUUUAGGGAGGUUGGGGAUCAUCCCAAUGUGGUCUUUUUAAAUUUUUGAGACAAUUUGGUUAGACAAACAGGCAAAACAACGCGAACGGGGCAUUUUCAGGCUAAAUCGAUGUGCUAUAGCACACGAUUUCGGGGGUGGACCGAUGGUCCGGGCGCGCUGGGGGAUAAAAAUUGAUCUAGGCAUGUCGGUAAGGUUGGGUAUCAUCCCAGUGUGGUCCGUGUAAAUUUUCAUGGUGAUUUGGGUGGUCAAACGGGUGAAACGGCACGAAGGGGCAUUUUUGGGCUAAAUCGGUGUACUAUAGCCUACGGUAUUGGGGGUGGGCCCUGGGUCCGAGUGUACUGUAUGUCAAAAAUUGACUGAGGUAUGUCAGGGAGGUUGGGAAUCAUCCCAGUGUGGUCCGUUUUUAUUUUUGUAGCCACUUGGGUGGACAAAUGGGCGAAACUACGCAAACGAUGCAUUUUUGGGCCAAAUAGGUGUGCUAUUGCCCAUGAUUUUGGGGGUGGGUCUGGGGUAUGGGCGUGAUGUGGGCUAAAAAUUGACCAAGGCAUGUGAGGGAGGUUGGGUAUCAUCCCACUGUAUUCUAUUUAAAUUUUCUUGGCCAUUUGGGUGGACAAACGGGCAAAACGGCACGAAUUGGGCAUUUACAAACCAAAUCAGUGUGCUAUAUCCUACGAUUUUGGGGGUAGGCCCGGGAUCAGGGCGUGUUGUUGGCCAAAAAUUGAUCGAGUCAUGAUAAGGUGGUUGAGGAUCAUCCUUAUAUGGUCCAUUUAAAUUUUCGUGGCCAUUUGGGUGGACAAACAGGCAAAACGGCACAAAUAGGGUAUUUUUGAGCUAAAUCGGUGUGCUAGAGCCCACAGUUUUGGUUGUGGGCCCAGGGUCCAAGUGUGUUAUGCACCAAAAAUUGAUCCAGACGUGCUAUGGAGGUUGAGGAUCAUUCUAGUAUGGUCCAUUUAAAUUUUUGUGGCCAUUUGGGUGGACAAACGGGCGAAACGACACAAAUUGGGUAUUUUUGGGCCAAGUUGGUGUGCUAUAGCCCAUGGUUUCAGGGGUGGGCCCGAGGUCCGAGCGUGCUAUGGGCCAAAAAUCAACCGGCGUAUAUUGGGGAGGUUGUGGAUCUUCUCAGUGUGGUCCGUUUAAAUUUUUAUAGCUAUUUGGGUGGACAAACGGGCAAAACGAUGCUAAUAGUCCAUUUUUGGGCUAAAUUUUUGUGCUAUAGCCCAUGGUUUCGGGGUGGGCCCGAUAUCCGGGCGUGCUAUGGAAUGAAAAUUAAUCAGGGCAAGACAGGGAGGUUGGGGAUCAUCGCAGUAUGGUCCGUUUAAAUUUUUGUGUCCAUUUGGAUGGAAAAAUGGGUAAAACGGCAUGAACGGGUCAUUUUUGGGCCAAAUUGGUUUGCAACAUCCCACGGUUUGGGGGGUGGGCCCCAAGUGUGAUCAUAUUGUGGGUUAAAAAUUGACCGAGGCAUUCAAGGUAGAUUAGUGAUCGUUCCAGUGUAGUCUGUUUAAAUUUUCAUGGCCAUUUAGGUGGACAAACGGGUGAAACAACGCGAAUUGGGCAUUUUCGGGCUAAAUUGGUGUGCUUUAGCCCAUAGUUUUUGGGUAGGGCUAGGGGUAUGGUCAUGUUGUGGGUCAAAAAUCAACCGAGGCAUGCCAAAGAGGUUGGGGAUAGUCUUAUUGUGGUCCGUUUAAAUUUUUGUGCCCAUUUGGCGGACAAACGAGAAAAUCAGCACGAACGGGGCAUUUUGGGGCUAAAUUGGUGUGCUAUACCCCAUUGUUUUGGGAGUUGGCCCAUGGUCCGAGUGUUUUGUAGGCUGAAAAUUAAUAGGGGCAUGCCAGGGAGGUUGGAGAUCAUCCCAGUAUGGUUCGUUUAAAUUUUUGUGGCCAUUUGGGUAGAGAAACGGGCAAAACGGCGCGAAUGGGAUAUUUUUGGGCCAAAUAUUUGUGCUAUAGUCCACGAUUUCGGGGGUGGGCUUGGGGUCCGAACAUGCUGUGGGCUGAAAAUUAACUGGGGUGUGCCUGAGAGGUUGUGGAUUAUCCCAGUGUGGUCCAUUUAAAUUUUUGUGGCCAUUUGGGUCGACAAACGGGCGAAUCUGCAUAAAUGGGGUGUUUUCAGGCCAAAUCAGUGUGCUAUAGCACAAAAUUUUGGGGGUGGGCCUGGGGUUCGAGCAUUCUGUGGGUCGAAAAUAGAUUGGGUCAUGCCAGGGAGGUUGGGGAUCAUCCCAAUGUGGUCCGUUUAAUUUUUCAUGGCCAUUUUGGUAGAGAAAUUGUCGAAACAGUACGAACGGGGCAUUUUCAGGCCAAAUUGGUAUGCUAUAUCCCAUAUUUUGAGGGAGGGCCCAGGGUCGAGGUGUGCUGUGGAAGGUAAAUCGAUCGAGGCAUGCCAUGGAGGUUGGGGAUCAUCUUAGUGUGGUCUAUUUAAAUUUUCAUGGCCAUUUAGGUGGAUAAACGGGCAAAAAUGCACAAAUGGGACAUUUUCGGGUGAAAUUGGUGUUCUAUAGCCCACAGUUAUGGGGUGGCCGAGGCAUCUGGGCGUGCUGUAGGUGUAUGAUUGAUCGGGGCUUGACAAGGAGGUCGGGGAUCAUCCCAGUGUGGUCCAUUUAAGUUUUUAACCGAGGCAUGCUAGGAAGGUUGGGGAUCAUCCCUGUAUAGCAUGUUUCAAUUUUUGUGGCUAUUUGGAAGGACAAACGGGUUAAACGGUAUGAACGGGGCAUUUUCAGGCUAAAUCGGUGUGCUAUAGCCCACCCUUUUGGGGGUGGGAAUAGUGUCCGGGCGGGCUGCGGGCCCAAAAUUGACUGAGGCCUGUUAGGGAGGCUGGGGAUCAUCGUAGUAUGGUCCAUUUAUAUUUUACUGGCCAUUUGGGUGGACUAACGAGUGAAACAGCGCACACGAGGCAUUUUCAAUGUAAAUUGGUAUGCUAUAGCCCACGGUUUUGGGGGAGGGCUCAGGGUUCGGGCGUGCUGUUGGCGAAAAAUUGACUAGGGAAUUCUAGGGAGGUUGGGGAUCAUCCCAGUAUGGUCGGUUUAAAUUUUCGUGGCCAUUUGGGUGGAGAAACUGGCAAAAUAGGGUAAACAGGGCUUUUUCGUGCCAAAUUGGUGUGCUUUUGCCCAUGGUUUGGGGGUGGGCCUGGGGUCUGGGUGGACUGUCGAUUGAAAGUUGAUAAGCGCAUGCCGAGGAGGUUGGGGAUCAUCUUAGUAUGGUUCUUUUAAAUUUUUAUGGCUAUUUGUAUGGAUAAAAAGGCAAAAAGAUGUGAACGAGGCAUUUUCGAGCCAAAUCAAUGUUCUGUAGCCCACGGUUUUGGGGGUGGGCCCGUGGUCCGGGCGUGUUGUGGGCCAAAAAUUGAUUGGGGCAUACUAGGGAUGUUGGGAAUAGCCACAGUGUAGUCCGUUUAAAUUUUCGUUGCCAGUUGGGUUGACAAACGAGCAAAAUGGUACGAAGGGGGCAUUUUUGGGCAAAAUUUGUGUGUUAUAGUCCAUGGUUUUGGGGGUGGGCAUGGGGUCCGAGAAUUUAGUGGACUAAAAAUCGAUCUGGGCAUGACAGGAAAGUUGAGGAUCAUUACAGUAUGGUCUGUUUAAAUUUUUGUGGCUAUUUGGGAGGACAAACAAGUGAAACGGCACGAACGGGACAUUUUCGAGCUAAAUCGGUGUGCUAUAACCCACGGUUUUGGGGGUGAGCCCAGGGUCCAGGUGCUCUGUAGGCCAAAAAUCCACCGAGGCAUCCCAGGGAGGUUGAGGAUUAUCCCUGUGUGAUCCGUUUAAAUUUUUGUGUCCAUUUGGGUGGACAAACGGGAAAAGUGGUACAAACGGAGCAUUUUUAGGCUAAAUUAGUGUGCUAUAGCCUAUGGUUUUGGGGUUGGUCCCUGGGUUUAGGUGUGCUGAGGGUCAAAAAUCAACCGGGGAGUGCCAGGGAGGUUAUGGAUCAUCCCAAUAUGGUCCGUUUAAAUUUUUGUGGCCAUUUCGGUGGACAAACGGGCGAAACGGUGCGAACAGGGUGUUUUUGGGCCAAAUUGUUAUGCUAUAGCCAACGGUUUUGGGGUUAGGCCUGGGGUUCAGAUGUUCUAUGGGACAAAAAUUGAUCAAGACAUGCCAGGGAGUUUGGGGAUCAUACCAGUGUUGCCCGUUUAAAGUUUUGUGGCCAUUUGGGUGGACAAACAGGUAAAACGGCAUGAACGGGGAAUUUUUAGGCAAAUUGGUGUGCUAUAGGCCACGAUUUUGGGGGUGGGCUCGGGGUCCGGGUAUGAUGUGGGUCGAAAAUCAAUCGGGGUAUGCCAGAGAGGUUAGGGAUCAUCCCAGUAUGGUCCUUUUAAAUUUCCAUGGCAAUUUGGGUGGAUAAACGGGCGAAAAGGCAUGAACGGGGCAUUUUCAAACCAAAUCGAUGUGCUACAACCCACGAUUUUAGGGGUGGACCCUGAUUUUAGCUGUGUUGUGGGCCUAAAAUUGACCGAGGCAUGCUAGGGAGGUUAGGAAUUGUCCCAGUGUUUUCCAUUUAAAUUUUUGUGGCCAUUUGGGUGGACAAAUGGGAGAAACGACACGAACGGGGUGCUUUUAAGCCAAAUCGGUUUGUUAUAGCCCAAAGUUUUUGUGGUGGGCCCUGGAUCUGGGUGUGCCAUGGGCCAGAAAUUGACUGAGGCAUGCCAGGAAGGUUAUGGAUCAUUCGAGUGUGGUAUUUUUAAAUUUUUGUGUCCAUUUGGGUGUACAAAAAGGCAAAACGGCACGAAUGAGUUAUUUUUUGGCUAAAUUGGUGUGCUAUAGGCCACGGUUUUGGGGGUGGGCCUAGGUUCAGGGCGUGUUGUAGGCCAAAAAUCAACUUGGGCGUGUCACGGAGGUUGGGGAUUAUCCCAGUAUAGUCCAUUUAAAUUUUCGUGGCCAUUUGGUUGGACAAACAGGUGAAACAGAGCGCACAGGGCAUUUUAGGGAUAAUUUGGUGUGUUAUAGCCCACGGUUUUUGGGUUGGGCUCAGGAACCGGGUGUGUUAUGGGCCAAAAAUUUAUCAUGGAAUUCUAGGGAGCUUGGGAUCAUCCCAGUAUGGUUUAUUUAAAUUUUCGUGGCUAGUUGGGUGGACAAACAGGCAUAACGGUGCGAACGGGGCUUUUUUGGGCAAAAUUGAUGUGCUAUUUACCAUAAUUUUGGGAGUGGGCCUGAGGUCCGAGCGUGUUGUGGGCUCAAAAUUGACCGAGGCAUACCAGGUUGGUUAGGAUAAUCCCAGUGUGGUCCAUUUAAAUUUAAGUGUCCAUUUGGGUGGACAAAUAGGCUGAACAGCGCAAACGGGGCAUUUUCGAGCCUAAUCUGUGUGCUAUAGCCCACAGUUUUGUGGGUGGACUCGAGGUCCGGACAUGCUUAGGGCCAAAAAUUGACUGAUCUAUGCCAGGGAGAUUCAGAAUCAUCCCAGUAUAGUCCUUUUAAAUUAUCAUGGCCAUUUGAGUGGCCAAACAAGCAAAACGGCGCGAACGAUACGUUUUUGGGCCAAAUUGGUGUGCUAUAGACCACGGUUUCAUGGGUGGACUCGGGGUUUUGGCAUGACCAAAAAUAGACCGGGAUGUGACAGGGAGGUUAGGGAUCGUCCUUGUGUGUCCUGUAUAAAUUUUCAUGACCAUUUGGGUGGACAAAUGAGCGAAACAGCGCGAAUGGGGCAUUUUGGGCCAAAUCGUUAUGCUAUAGCCCAUUGUUUUAGGGGUGGGUCCGAGGUCCGGGCGUGCUGUGGCCCAAAAAUUGACUGAGGCAUUCUAGGGGGGUUGAGGAUCAUUGUAGUAUGGUCCAUUUAAAUUUUUGUGGCCAUUUGUAUGGACAAACGGGCGAAACAGCAUGAAUGGGGUAUUUUCAAGCCAAAUUGGUUUGCUUAGUCCAUGAUUUUGGGGUUAGGCCCAGGGUCCGGGCGUGUUGUGUCUAAAAAAUUGACUGAGGUAUUCAAGGGAGAUUGGAGAUCUUCCCAGUGUGGUCCAUUUAAAUUUUUAUGGCCAUUGGGGUAAACAAAUGGGUGAAAUAACUCAAAUGGGGCAUUUUUGGGCUAAAUCGGUGUGCUAUAUCCCACGGCUUUGGGGGUGGUCUCGGGGUCCGGGUGUGCUAUAGGUCAAAAAUUGACUGGGGCAUGCUAAGGAGGUUGGGUAUAGUCCUAGUGUAGUUUGUUUAAAUUUUCGUGGCCAUUUGGGUAGACAAACGGGCGAAACUGCGGGAAUGGGGCAUUUUAGGGCCAAAUUGGUGUACUAUAGCCCAUAGUUUUGGGGGUUGGCGUAGGUUCAGGCAUUAUGUAGGAUAAAAACCAACUGAGGCUUCCCAGGGAGGUUGGCGAUUGUCCCAGUAUGGUUUGUUUAAAUUUUUGUGGCCUUUUCGGUGGACAAACGAGCGAAACAGCGUGAAAUGGGCAUUUUUGGGCCAAAUUGGUAUGCUAUAGCCUACAGUUUCGGGGGUGAGCUCACGGUCCGGGCAUGUUGUGCGCCAAAAAUUGACUGAGGCAUGACAGGGAGGUUUUGAAUCAUCCCAAUGUGGUCCGUUUAACUUUUGUUGGCGAUUUGGAUGGACAAACAGGCGAAACAGAGCGAACGAAGUGUUUUUGAGACAAAUCGGUGUGCUAUUGUAUAUAAUUUCGUAGGUGGGCCUUGGGUUCGGGUGUUCUGUGGGCCAAAAUCUACUGGGGCAUGUCAGGGAGGUUGGAGAUCAUUUAUGUAUGGUCAGUUUAAAUUUUCGUGGACAUUUGGGAGAAAAAACUGGCGAAACAGCACGAACGGGGCAUUUUCAGGCCAAAUUGGUAUGCUAUAGCCCACUAUUUAUGGGGUGGGCCCAGGGUCGAGGUGUGCUAUGGACCAUAAAUUGAUCUAGGCAUGAAGGGAGGUUGGAGAUCAUCCCAGUAUAGUCCAUUUAAUUUUUCAUGGCUAUUUGGGUGGAUAAAUGGGUAAAAAGGAGCAAAUAGGGAAUCUUUAGGUGAAAUCGGUGUUCUAUAGCCCACGGUUUUGGGGGUGGGCCAGGGUUCUGGGGGUGCUAUAGGCCUACAAUCAACCGGUACAUGAAAGGAAGUCGGGGAUCGUCCCAGUGUGAUCCAUUUAAAUUUUCAUUGUCAUUUGGGUGGACAAACGGGCGAAACGGCACAAACGAGGCAUUUUCAGUCCAAAUCAAUGUGCUACAGCCCACGGUUUCGGGGGUGGGCUUGGGGUCCGGGCGUGUCGUGGGGAAAAAAUAGAUUGGGGCAUGCUAGGGAGGUUGUAUAUUGCCACACAGUGGUUCGUUUAAGUUUUCUAGGCAAUUUGGGUAGACAAAAGGGCGAAAUGGCGCGACCGGGGCAUUUUUAGGCCAAAUUGGUAUGCUAUAGCCCGUGGUUUCGAGGGUUGGCGCGGGUUCCAAGCAUUCUGUGGGCCAAAAAUUGAUCGGGGCAUGCUAGGGAGAUUGUGUAUAGUCCCAGUGUGUCCAUUUAAUUUUUCGUGGUUAUUUGGUUGGACAAAUUGGUGAAACAGUGCGAAUGAGGAAUUUUAGGGCAAAAUCAGUGGGCUAUAGCCCACAGUUUUGGGGGUGGGCUCGGGGUCCAGGCGUGCUUUGGGAUAAACAUCGAUCGGGGUAUGCCAGGGAGGUUAGGGAUCAUCCUAGUGUUGUGGGUUUAAAUUUUGUGGCUAUUUAGGUGGACAAACAGGUGCAACUACUCGAACGGGGCACUUUAAGGUAAAAUCAAUGUGCUAUAGCCCAUGAUUUUGAGUGUGGGUCCAAAGUCCGGAUGUGCUAUGAUCCAAAAUCUACCGGUACAUGCCAGGGAGGUUGGGGAUCAUUCCAAUGUGGUCCGUUUUAAUUUUUGUGGCCAUUUGGGCGGCCAAAUGGGUGAAACGGCAUGAACGGGCCAUUUUUGGUCAAAAUCGAUGUGCUACAACCCACGGUUUUGGGGUUGGACUCGAGGUCCGAGCGUGUUGUGGGCCAAAAAUCGAUCGGGACAUUCCAGGGAGGUUGAGGAUCAUUUUAGUUUGGUCCAUUUAAUUUUCGUGGCCAUCUAGGUGGACAAACAAGCGAAACGAUGCGAAUGGGGCAUUUUCAGGUGAAAUAGACGCGCAAUAGCCCACAGUUUCUUGGGUGGGCCUGGGGUUUGGGUGUGCUGCAUGCCAAAAAUCGAUUGGGGCGUGCCAUAAAAGUUGGGUAUAGUCCCUGUAUGGUCCAUUUAAAUUUUUGUGGCUAUUUGGGUGGAUGAACAAGUGAAAUGGCGUGAACGGGGCAUUUUCGGGCCAUAAAAGUGUGCUAUAGCCAAUUGUUUCGGGGGUGAGCCCGAGGUCCGGGUGUGUUGUGGGCUAAAAAUUGAUCGAGGCAUGCUAAGAAGGUUGGGGAUCAUCCCACUGAAGUUCAUUUACAUUUCUGUGGCUAUUUAGGUGGACAAACGGGCGAAACAAGGCGAACAGAGCAUUUUCGAGCUAAAUCGGUUGGCUUCUAGGGUGGGAUGGGGUUCGGGUGUGCUGUGGGACAAAAAUCAACCGAGGGCAUUCCAAGGAGGUUGGGGAUCAUCCAAGUGUGGUCUGUUUAAAUUUUCGUGGUCAUUUGGCUGAACAAACUGAAAAAACGGCACGAACGGGGCAUUUUUGGGUCAAAUAGGUGUGUUAUAGCCCACGGUUUUAGGUUGGGCCUGGGGUCCGGGCAUGCGGUGGUCCAAAAGUUGACCGAGGCAUGCCAGGGAGAUUGAGGAUCAUCCUAAUGUAAUUUAUUUAAUUUUUUGUGGAUAUUUGGGUUGUCAAAUGCGCAAAACGGAGCGAAUGCUAUAUUUUCGAACUAAAUUGGUGUGUUAUAGCCUAUGGUUUCGGGGGUGGACCCAUGGUUCGGGAAUAUUGUGGGCCAAAAAUCAAUCGGCGCAUACCAGGGAGGUUGGGGAUCAUCCUUGUGUGUUCCGUUUUAUUUUUCAUGGCUAUUUGGGUGGACAAAGGCACAAAACGACUCAAAUGAGGCAUUUUUGGGCAAAAUCGAUGUACUAUAGACCAUAGUUUAGGGUGGGCCCGAGGUUCGGGCGUACUAUGGACCAAAAAAUAAUCGGGGUAUGCUAGGGGGUUGAGGAUCAUCCUAGUGUGGUCCGUUUAAAUUUUUGUGGCCAUUUGGGUGGACAAACUGGCAAAAUGAUGCCAACGGGCAUUUUUGGGCUAAAUCGAUGUGCUAUAGCCCACGGUUUCGAGGGUGUGCCCAGGUUUCGAGCGUGCUUUAUGUCGAAAAUCAACUGGGGCAUGCCAGGGUGGUUGGGGAUCAUCCCAAUAUGGUCUGUUUAAAUUUUUGUGCAUAUUUAGGUGGAAAAAUAGGAAAAAUGGCACGAAUGUGGCAUUUUUGGGCCAAAUCAGGGUGCUAUUGCUCACGAUUUUAGGGGUGCGCCCAGGGUCCAGGAGUGUUGUGGGCCAAAAAUUGGUCGGGGAAUGGUAGGGAGGUUGGGGAUCAUCCCAAUGUGGUUCGAUUAAAUUUUUGUGGCUAUUUGGGUGGACAAAUGGGAGAAACGGCAUGAACGUGGCAUUUUUGGGCCAAACCGAAGUGUUAUAACCCACGGUUUUGGGGGUGGGCCCAGGGUCCAAGCCUGAUGUGAAUCAAAAAUUAAUUGAGGUAUGCCAAGGAGGUUAGGGAUCAUCCCAGUAUGGUCUGUUUAAAUUUAUGUGGCCAUUUAGGAGGACCAACGGGUGAAACAGCAUGAAUAGGGUGUUUUUGGGCCAAAUUAGUGUGCUAUAGCCCAUGGUUUCGGGUGUUGGCCAGGGGUAUGGGUGCGAUGUGGACUAAAAAUUUACCUGGGCAUGCCAGGGAGGUUGGGGAUCAUCCCAGUAUGGUUCGUUUGAAUUUUUGUGUCCUUUUGUGUGGUCAAAGGUGCAAAAUGAUGCAAGUGAGCCAUUUUUGGGCCAAAUCGGUGUGCUAUAGCCCAGAGUUUUAGGGUUGGGCUGGGGUCCGGGAGUGCAAUGGGCCAAAAAUUGACCGGGGCAUGCCAGAGAGGUUGGGAAUAAUUCCAGUGUGGUCCAUAUAAAUUUUUGUUGCAAUUUGGAUGGACAAACAGGCAAAAUAGCAUGAAUGGGCUAUUUUUGGGUCAAAUUGAUAUGCUAUAGUACACGGUAUUGGGGGUGGGCCUGGUGUUCGGGCAUAUUGUGGGCCGAAAAUCAACCUGGACAUGCCAGGGAGUUUGGGGACCGUACUAUCAUGGUCCGUUUAAAUUUUUGGGGACGAUUGGGUGAACAAACGGGCAAAACAGUGCGACUGGGGCAUUUUCAGGCUAAAUUAGUGUAUUAUAGCUCUGGUUUCGGGAGUGUACCCGGGGUUUGGGCGUUCUAUAGGACAAAAAAUGACUAGUGCAUGUCGGGGAGGUUGGGUAUCAUCCCAGUAUGGUCCAUUUAAAUUUUUGUGGCUAUUUGGGUGGGUAUUCGUGCGAAACGACAUGAGAGGGGCACUUUUGGGCCAAAUUGGUGGGCUCACAAUUGGGUGGGCCUGGGGUUCAGGCAUGUUGUUGGCCGAAAAUCAACUCGGGUAUGACAGGGAGGUUGUGUAUCAUACCAGUAUGGUACGUUUAAAUUUUUGUGGCCAUUUGGGUGGACAAACCUGAGAAACGGCAUAAACGGGGCAUUUUCGGGGCAAAUUGGUGUGCUAUAGCCCACGAUUUUAGGGAUGGGCUCGAGGUUCGGUCGUGCUGUGGACCAAAAAUAGACCGGGGUAUGCCAGGGAGGUUUGGGAUCAUCCCAAUAUUGCCUGUUUAAUUUUUCAUGGCCAUUUGGGCGGACAAACGGGUGAAACGACACGAACAGGGCAUUUUUCGGCCAAAUCGGUAUUCUAUAGCCCAUAAUUUUGGGGGUGAGCCCGGGCGUGCUAUGUGCUAAAAAUUGGCCAGGGCAUGCUAGGGAGGUUGGGGAUCAUCCCAAUUUGGUUUGUUUAAAUUUUUGUGGAUAUUUAGGUGGGUAAACAGGCGAAAUAACUCGAAUGGGGCAUUUUCGGGACAAAUCGGUGUGCUAUAGCCCACGGUUUUGGGGGUGGGCCUGAGUCUGGGUUUGCUGUAGGCCAAAAAUUGACUAGGGAAUGCUAGGGAGGUUGGGGAUCAUCACAGUGUGGUCAUUUUAAAUUUUUGAUGCCAUUUGGGUGGACAACCGGGAGAAACGGUAAGAACGGGGUUAUUUUCAGAGCAAAUUGUUGUGUUAUAGCCCCAUUUUUGGGGGUGAGCCUGGGGUACGCGCAUGCUGUUGGUUGAAAACUACUGGAGUGUGUUAGGUAGGUUAGGGACUAUCCCAUUAUGGUACGUUUAGAUUUUCUAAAGUUUUUGGGUGGACAAGAGGGAGAAACAGCGCGAAUAGGACAUUUUAAAGCCAAAUCAGUAUGCUAUAGCUUACGAUUUCGGGGGUGUGCCCAGGGUUCAGGCAUUCUGUGGUUUGAAAAUCAACCGAGGCAUACCAGAGAGUUUGGGGAUCAUCCUCGUCUGGUCCGUUUAAAUUUUCAUAGCCACUCGGACGGACAAACAUGUGAAACGACGGGAAUGGGGCAUUUUCAGGACAAAUCGGUGUACAAUAGCCCAUAUUUUCAGGGGUGGGCCCAGAUUCUGGGCGUGCUGUGGGCAAAUAAUCAACUGGGGCAUGCCAAGGAUUAUCCUAGUGUGGCCCGUUUAAUUUUUCAUGGCUAUUUGGGUAGACAAAUGAGAGAAACGGCACAAGCAAGGCAUUUUUGCGCCAAAUCGGUAUGCUAUAACCCACGAAUUUGGGGGUGGGCCCCAACUCCGACCGUAUUGUGGGUUAAAAUUAAUUAGGGCAUGCUAGGGAGGUUGGGGAUCAUUCCAGUGUUGUCCGUUUAAAUUUUCAUGGCGAUUUGAGUAGAAAAAUGGGAGAAAUGAUGUCAACGCGUCAUUUUUGGGUCAAAUCAAUGUGCUAUAGCCCACGAUUUUGGGGGUGGACACUGGGUUCGGUCGUGCUGUGGGCCACAAAUCGAUAGAGGCGGGCUAAGGAAGUUGGAGAUCGUUCCAGUGUGGUUCAUUUUAAUUUUUAUGCCUAUUUGGGUGGACAAACGGAUGAAACAAUAUGAACGGGACAUUUUUGGGCUAAAUCAGUGUGCUAUAGCCUACGGUUUUGGGGUAGGACCAGGGUCCGGGCAUACAAUAGGCUGAAAAUCGCCUGGGGCAUGCUAGGGAGGUUAGGGAUCAUCUAAUUAUGGUUCGUUUAAAUUUUCUUGACCAUUUGGGAGGACAAACAGGCAAAACGGCAUGAAUGGGGCAUUUUUAGGCCAAAUUGGUAUGUUCUAGCCCACAAUUUUAGGGGUGGGCCUGGGGUCCAGGCUUUCUGUGGGACGAAAAUCGACCAGGGCAUGCCAGGGAGGUUGGGGAUCAUCCCAGUGUGGUCCAUAUAAAUUUUCAUAGCUAUUUGGGAGGACAAACGUGCAAAAUAACAUGAAUCGAGCAUUCUCGGGCUAAAUCGGUGGGCUAUAGCCCACAGUUUUAGGGGUAAGGCCGGGGUCUAGGCGUGCUGUGAGCCAAAAAUCAAUCGCGGCAUGCCAAGGAAGUUGGGGAUCCUCCCAGUGUGGUCCUUUAAAAUUUUUGUUGCUAUAUUGGUGGACAAACGGGUGAAACAGCGUGAACGGGGCAUUUUCGAGCAAAAUCGGUAUGCUAUAGCCCAUGAUUUCGGGGUGGGACCAACGUUCGAACGUGCAGUAAGACAAAUUGACUGAGGAAUGCCAGGGAGGUUGGGCAUCAUCUCAGUGUGGUCAGUUUAUAUUUUUGAUGCCAUUUGGGUGGACAACUGGGUGAAACAGCGUGAACGGGGAAUUUUCAAGCCAAAUCGGCAUACUCUAGCCUAAGGUUUCGGGAGUGGGCCCAGGGUCCGAGCAUGCUGUGGACCAAAAAUUGAAUGGGGCUAGCUAUGGAGGUUAGGGAUCGCCUCAUUAUGGUCUGUUUAAAGUUUUUUAGCUAUUUGGGUGGACAAAUGGGUGAAACAGCUCGAAUGGGGCAUAUUCGAGCCAAAUCGGUGUGCUAUAGCCCACGAUUUUAGGGGUGUACCCAUGGUCUGGGCAUGCUGUGGGCCAAAAAUUGACUGGUGCCUUCCAGGGAGGUUGGGAUCAUCUCAGUGUUGUCCGUUUAAAUUUUUGUGGCUAUUUGGGUGGACAAAUGAGUGAAACGGCACAAACGGUCAUUUUUGAGCAACAUCGAUGAGCUAUAACCCACAGUUUUGGGGGGGGGGGGCCUGGGGUCUAGGAUAUUGUAGGCCAAAAAUUGAUUGGGUCAUGCCAGGGAGGUUGGGGAUCAUCCUAGUGUGGUCCAUUUAAUUUUUUGUGGUCAUUUGGGUGGUCAAACGGGCAAAACAACGCGGACGAGGUAUUUUUGGGCCAAAUCGGUGGGCUAUAUUUUAGGGAUGGGCCUGAGGUAAGGGCAUUUUGUUGGCCAAAAAUUUACCGGGGCGUUCCAGGGUAGUUGGGGAUCGUCCCAGUGUGGUCUGUUUAAAUUUUUGUGUCCAUUUGGGAGGACAAACAUGUGAAAUGGCGCGAAUGGGGCAAUUUUGGGCCAAAUCGGUAUGCUAUAGCCCGUAGUUUAUAGAGUGGGACUAGGGUCCGUGUAUUCUAUGGGAAGAAAAUCAAUCGAGGAGUGCUAGGGAGGUUGGGGAUCAUCCUAAUAUGGUUUGUUUAAUUUUUCAUGGCCCUUUGGGUGGACAAACAGGCGAAAUGGUGCAAACGGGGACUUUUUGCACCAAAUUGGUGUGCUAUAGCCCACAGUUUCAAGGGUGGACCCGGGUUCCUAGUGUGCUGGGGGUCGAGAACUGACCGGGGUGUACUAGGGAGUUUGAGGAUCAUCCCAGUAUGGUCCGUUUUAAUUUUUUUGGCCAUUUGGUUGGACAAACGGGUGAAACAAUCCCAAUGGGGCAUUUUUGGGCCAACUCGGUGUGCUAUACCCUACGUUUUUGGGUUGGGGAUCGUUCCAGUGUGGUCCUUUUAAAUUUUUGUGGACAUUUAGGAGGACAAAUGGGAGAAAAAAUGCAAAUCGGAAAUUUUUGGGAUAAAUAAGUGUGCUAUAGCCUACGGUUUUGAGGGUGGGCCCGAGAUCCAGACGUGUUGUGGGCAAAAAAUCGAUGGGGGCAUGCUAGGAAGGUUAGGGAUCAUCCAGCGUAGUCAUUUUAAAUUUUUGAUGCCAUUUGGUGGACAACCGGGUGAAACGACGUGAAUGGGGCAUUUUUGAGCUAAAUCGGUGUGCUAUAGCCCACGAUUUUAGGGAUGGGCCUAGGGUACGGGCAUGCUAUAGGCUAAAAAUUGAUUGGGGCAUUCUAGGGAGGUUAGGGAGCAUCCUAUUAUGUUCAUUUAAAUUUUCUUGUCAAUUUGAGUGAACAAACGGGCGAAACGACGCAAGUAGGGCAUUUUCAAGGUAAAUCGGUAUGGUAUAGCCCACGAUUUUGGGGGUGUGCAUGGGGUCUGGGCUUUGUGUGGGCCAACAAUUGAUCGGGGAGUACCAGGGAGGUUAGGAAUCAUCCCAAUGUGGUCCGUUCAAAUUUUUGUAGCCAUUCGGUGGAGAAACGUGUGAAACGGUGCGAAUAGGGCAUUUUUGGGCUAAAUUAGUGUGCUAUAACCAACAUUUUCGGGGGUGGGCCCAAGUUUUUGGCAUGGUGUGGGAAGUAAAUCGACUGGGGCAUGCCAGGGAGGUUGGGAAUUGUCCUAGUGUGGUCUGUUUAAUUUUUUGUGGCUAUUUGGGUGGACAAACAGGAGAAACGGCACGAACGGGCAUUUUUGUACCAAAUUGGUGUGUUAUAGCCCACGGUUUUAGGGGUGGGCUUGGUAUCCGGGCAUGAUUUGGGUCAAAAAUUGACUGGGGCAUGCUAGGGAGGUUGGAUUAUCCUAGUGUGGUACAUUUAAAUUUUUGUGGCUAUUUGCGUGGAAAUAUAGGCCAAAUGACGCCAACAGAUCAUUUUCAGGCUAAAUCGGUGUGCUAUAGCCCACGAUUUUAGGAGUGGGCCCAAGGUCCAGUCAUAAUAAGGGCCAAAAAUCAACCGAGGAAUGCCAGGGAGGUUGGGAUCAUUCUAGUGUGGUCUAUUUUAAUUUUCGUGGCUAUUUAGGUUUACGAACUGGCGAAACGAUACGAAUGGGAUAUUUUCAGGCCAAAUCGAUGUGCUAUACGAUUUGGGGUGGGCCUGUGGUCCAGGUAUACUAACAGGGAAAAUGGGAUGAAGAGGGUGUUUUUGAUCCAAAUCGGUGAGCUACAACCCACGAUUUUGGGGGUUGGCCCGAGGUCCGAGUGUGCUAUGGGCUAAAAAUUGAUCAGAGCGUGCAGGGAGGUUAAGGAUCAUCCCAGUAUGGUCCGUUUAAUUUUUUGCGGCCAUUUGGGUGGCCAAACGGGCGAAAAAUGUGAUGGGGCUUUUUUGGGCCAAAUUGGUGUGCUAUACCCCACGGUUUCAAAGGUGAGGCUGGGGUUCGGGCAUGCUGUGGGUCAAAAAUUGACCGAGGUAUGCCAGGGAGGUUGUAGAUCAUCCCAGUAUGGCUUGUUAAAAUUUUUGUGGCUAUUUGGGUUGACAAAUAGGAGAAACGGCGCGAACGUGGAAUUUUGGGGCCAAAUCGGUGUGUUAUAGCCCAUGGUUUCAGGGAUGGGCAUGGGGUCCGGGCAUGUUGUAGUUUAAAAAAUCAUCAGGGUCAUUCUAGGGAGGUUGGGGAUCAACUUGCAUGGAUAAACUAGCAAAACAGCAUGGCAGGGAGGCUGAGGAUUGCCCUAGUGUGGUCCGCUUAAAUUUUUAUAGCUAUUUGGGUGGACAAACGGGCGAAAUGGCGCGACCAGAGCAUUUUCGGGCCAAAUCGGUGUGCUAUAGCCCAUGGUUUUAGGGGUGGGCCCAGGGUCUGGGUGUGAUAUUCGGGAUUAUUCCACUGUGGGCUGUUUAAAAUUUCUUGGCCACUUGGGAGGAUAAACGGGUAAAACGAAGUAAAUAGGGUAUUUUCAGGACAAAUCGGUGUGCUAUAUCCCACGAUUUUUGGGGUGGAUUCGGGGUCUGGGCAUUCUGCAGGCUAAAAAUCAAUUGAGAAGUGCCAGAGAGGUUGGGGAUCGUCCCAGUAUAGUCUGUUUAAAUUUUUGUGGCCAUUUGUGUGGACAAAAGGGCGAAACGGUGCGAAUAGGGUAUAUGUGGGCCAAAUUGAUAUACUAUAGCCCACAGUUUUAGGUUUGGGAUCGGGGUACUGGCGUGCUAUAGUUUAAAAAUCAAAUAGGGCAUGCCAAGGAGGUUUAGGGAUCAUCCCAGUGUGGUCCGUUUAAAUUUUCAUGGUCAUUUGGGUGGGCAAAAGGGCGAAACAAUGCCAACGGGGCUUUUUCGGGCUAAAUUGGUGUGCUAUAGCUCAUGAUUUAGGGGGUGGGCCUAGGGUUCGGAUAUUGUUUGGGAUGAAAAUCGACCGAGGCAUGCCAGGGAGAUUGGAGAUCGUCCCAGUGUAGUAUGUUUAAAUUUUUGUGGCCAUUUGGGAGGACAAACUGCCGAAAUGACAUAAACAUGGCUUUUUUGGGCCAAAUUUGUGUGCUAUAGCACACGAUUUUGGGGGUCGGCCCAGUGUAUGUGCGUACUGAGGGCCAAAAAUUGACCAGAGCGUGCCAGAGAGGUUGGGGAUCAUCCCAGUGUGGUCCAUUUAAAUUUUGAUGGCCAUUUGGGUGGACAAAUGUGUGGAACGAUGUGAAUCGGGCAUUUUCAGACCAAAUCGGUGGGCUAUAGCCCAUGUUUAUGGGGAUGAGAUUGGGAUUCCGGGCGUGCUGUAAGACAAAAAUCGAUCGAGGCAUGCCAGUGAAGUUGGGGAUCAUCCCAGUGUGGUCCGUUUAAAUUUUCAUGGCCAUUUUAGUGGACAAAUGGGUGAAACAGCGCGAAUGGGGCAUUUUUGGGCCAAAUCGGUGCGCUAUAGCACAUAAUUUUGGGGGUGGUACCAAUGUCCGAGCGUGCUGCAGGCUAAAAAUUGAACGGGGCAUGAUAGGGAGGUUGGGGAUCAUCCCAGUGUGCUAUAGCCUACGGUUUCAGGAGUGGGCCCAGGUUCCGGGCAUGCUAUGGGCCAAAAAUUGAAUGGGGCUUUCUAGGGAGGUUAGGGAUCGUCUCAUUUUGCUCCGUUUAAAUUUUCUUUGCUAUUUAGGUGGACAAACGGGCAAAAGGAGCCAAUAGAGCAUUUUCGGGCUAAAUCGGUAUGCUAUAGCCUACGAUUUCUGGGGCUUACCCACGGUUUGGGCGUGCUGUGGGCGGAAAAUUGAUCGAGGCAUUUCUGGGAGGUUAAGGAUCAUCUCAGUGUGAUCCGUUCAAAUUUUUGUGGCUAUUUGGCUAGACAAACAAGAGAAAUGGCACAAAUAGACAUUUUUGAACCAAAUCGAUGUGCUAUAGCCCACAGUUUUGGGGGUGCGCCUGGGGUCCAGGCGUCUUGUGGGUCAAAAAUCAUUCGAUUCAUGCUAGGGAGGUUGGGGACCAUCCUAAUGUGGUCCAUUUAAAUUUUUCUGGCCAUUUGGGUGGUGACAGAGGCAAAACGGCACGGACGGGGCAUUUUUAGGCUAAAUCAAUGGGCUAUGUUUUGGGGGUGGGCCCGGGGUUAGGGCAUUCUAUGGGCCAAAAAUUUAUUGAGGUAUACCUGGGAGGUUGGGGAUCGUCCCAGUGUGGUCCGUUUAAAUUUUUGUGUCUAUUUGGGUGGACAAACAUUUGAAAUGGCGUGAAUGUGACAUUUUUGGGCCAAAUCGGUACGCUAUAGCCCGCAGUUUUGAGGGUGGGUCGGGGGUCCAAGUGUAAUAUAGGCAGAAAAUCAAUCGAGGCAUAACAGGGAGGUUGGGUAUCAUCCUAGUACGGUCCGUUUAAUUUUCCAUGGCCCUUUGGGUGGAUAUAUGGGCAAAAUGGUGUGAGCGGGCAAUUUUGGGGGCAAAUUGGUAUGCUAUAGCCCACAGUUUCGGGGGUGGUCCUGGGUUCCUGGCGUGCUGUAGCCUGAAAAUCGAUUGGGAUGUACUAGGGAGUCUGAGGAUCGUCCCGGUGUGGUCCGUUUAAAUUUUUGUGGCCAUUUGGUUGGACAAACGAGGAAAAUGAUGCCAACGGGGCAUUUUUAGGCCAACUCGGUGUGUUAUAGCCUACGAUUUUGGGUUGGGGAUCAUUCUAGGUGGUCCUUUUAUUUUUUUUUUUUUGUAUAUGCAGGUGGACAAAUGGGUGAAACAACACGAAUGGAAAAUUUUUAGGAUGAAUCGAUGUGUUAUAGCCAUGGUUUCGGGGGUGGGCCCGAGGUCCAGGUGUGCUAUGGGCGAAAAAUUGACCAGGGCAUGCCAGGGAGGUUGGGAAUCAUCCCAGUAUAGUCAGUUAAAUUUUUGAUGCCAUUUGGGUGGACAACAGGCGAAACGACGUGAAUAGGGCAUCUUUGGGCCAAAUCAAUGUGCUAUAGCCCAUGAUUUCGGGGUUGGGCCUUGGGUUUGGGCAUGCCAUAGGCUGAAAAUUGACUGGGGCAUUCUAGGGAGGUCAGGGAUCAUCCUAUUAUGUCCGUUUAAAUUUUCUUGUCCAUUUGGGUGGACAAACGGGUGAAACGACGCGAAUAGGGCAUUUUCAAGUUAAAUCGAUAUGCUAUAGCCCACGAUUUCGGGGGUGUGCCUGGGGUCCGGGCGUGCUGUGGGCCAAAAAUUUACUAGGGUGUGCCAUAGAGGUUGGGAAUCAUCCCAGUGAGGUCCAUUUAAAAUUUCGUGGCUAUUUGGGUGAACAAACGUAUGAAACAGCGGGAAUCAGGCAUUUUUGGGCUAAAUCGGUGUGCUAUAACCCACGUUUUUAGGGAUGGUCUCAAGGUUUGGGUAUGCUGUGGGGAAAAAAUCGACCAGGGCAAGACAGGGAGAUUGGGGAUCGUCCUAGUAUGGUCUAUUUAAUUUUUAUGGCCAUUUAGGUGGACAAACGGUAGAAACGGCACGAACGGGCAUUUUCGCGCCAAAUCGGUUUGCUACAGCACACUGUUUUGGGGGUGGUCCUGGGGUCUAGGCAUGCUUUGGGAGAAAAAUCAACCGGGGUGUGCUAAGGAGGUUUGGGAUCAUCCCAGUAUGGUAUGUUUAAAUUUUUUUUGGCCAUUUGGGUGGGAAAAUGGGUGAAAUGACGCCAACAGAUCAUUUUUGGGCCAAAUCGGUGAGCUAUAGCCCACGAUUUUAGGAGUGGACCUGGGGUCCGGUCAUGUUGAUGGUCGAAAAUCGAUCGAGGCAUGCCAGGGAGGUUGGGAUUGCUGCAGUGUGGUCUAUUUUCAUUUUCGUGUCCAUUUAGGGGUUCGAACGGGAGAAACGAUACGAAGGGGGCAUUUUCAAGCCAAAUCGAUGUGCUAUAGUCCAUGGUUUCAGAUGGGCCCAGUGUUCGGGCAUUAUGUGGGCCACAAAUCACCUGGGUCAUGGUAGGGAGGUUAGGGAUCAUCCCAUUAUGGUCUAUUUAAAUUUUCUUGGCCAUUUUAGUGGACAAACGGGCAAAACGGCGUGAAGGCGCAUUUUUGGGCCAAACCGGUAUGCUAUAGCCCACGAUUUCAGGGAUGAGCCCAGGGUCCGGGCAUACUAUAGGCCAAAAUUUGACCAGGGCAUGAUAGGGAGGUUAGGGAUUGCCCUAGUGUAGUCCAUUAAAAUUUUCAUGGCAAUUUGGGUGGACAAACGUGCAGGACGAUGCGAAUAGGGCAUUUUUGGGCUAAAUUGGUGGACUAUAGCCCUCAGUUUUGGGGGUGGGCUCGGUGUCCGGCCGUGCUGCAGGCCAAAAUAUGACCAGGACGUGCCAGCAAGGUUGGGUAUUAUCCCAGUGUGUUCCAUUUUAAUUUUCAUGGUCAUUUGGGGUGGACAAACGAAGAAAGGGCAUGAUGGGGUAUUUUUGCGAAAAUCGGUGUGUUAUUGCCCAUAGUUUUGGGAGAAGGCCUGGCAGGGAAGUUGAGGAUCAUCCCAGUAUGGCCCGUUUAAAUUUUCGUGGCCAUUUCGGUGGACAAACAGGCAAAACAGUGCGAAUGGGGCAUUUUUCGGCCAAAUCAAUGUGCUAAAGCCAACGAUUUUGUAGGUGGGCCAAACAUCUGGGCAUGCUACAGGCCAAAAAUCCACCGGGGCAUGCCAGGGAGGUUGGGGAUCAUCCCAAUGUGGUCAUUUUUAAUUUUUGAUGCCAUUUUGGUGGACAACUGAGCCAAACAAUGCAAACGGGGCAUUUUUGGACCAAAUCGGUGUGCUAUAGCCCACGAUUUAGGGGGUAGGCCAAGGUUCCGGGCAUGCUGUGGGCUGAAAAUUUAAUGAGGCUUAAUAGGGAUGUUCAAAAUCGUGUUAUUAUGGUCCAUUUAUAUUUACUUGGCCAUUUGGGUGGACCAACGGGAGAAACGGCACGAAUGGGGCUUUUUUGGGCCAAGUUGAUAUGCUGUAGCCCAUGAUUUUGGGGAUGUGCCCAGGGUCUAGGGUACUGUUGGUCGAAAAUUGAUAGGGUCAUGCCAGGGAGGUUGAGGAUCAUCUUAUUAUGGUCUAUUUAAAUUUUUUUCAUAAGUUGUGUGGACCAAAGAGCCAAACGGCGCGAACGGUGCAUUUUCAAACCAAAUCGAUGUGCUAUACCCCACAGUUUUGGGAGUGGGCCUGGGGUCCGGACAUGUUGUGGGACAAAACUUAAUUGGGUCAUGCCAGGGAAGUUGAAGAUCAUCUCAGUAUGGUCCGUUUAAUUAUUCGUGGCCAUUUGGGUGGACAAACAAUCAAAAUAGUGCGAACAAGGCAUUUUUUGGCUAAAUCAGUGGGCUUUAACGCACGGUUUUGGGAGUGGGACCAAGGUUCGGGUAUUUUAGGGCCCAAAAAUUUACUAGCGCAUGAUAGGGAGGUUAGGGAUCAUCCCAGUGUGGUGUUUUUAAAUCUUUGUGUCUAUUUAGGUGGACAAACGUGUGAAAAAGCACAAAUGGGGCAUUAGUGUACUAUAGCCCAUGGUUUCGAGGGUUGGCCCAGUGUCCGAGUGUUCUGUGGGAAGAAAAUUGAUUGGGAUAUUCUAGGGAGGUUGGGGAUUGUCCCAGUGUGGUCCGUUAAUUUUUUUGUGGCUAUUUAGAUGGACAAAUGGGCAAAACGGCGCAAACGGGGAAUUUUUCUACCAAAUUAGUGUGCUACAUAGCCCACAGUGUCGGGGGUUAGCCCGGGGUUCGGGCGUGUUGUGGGUCAAAAAUCGAUCGGGGUGAGCUAGGAAGGUUAGGGAUCGUACGAAGGUGGUUUGUUUGAAUUUCAUGGCCAUAUGGGUGGACAAACGGGAAAAACAACGCCAACGGGGCAUUUUUGGGCUAAAUCAGAGUGUUGUAGCCCAUGGUUUUGGGGUGGGCCUAUGGUCCGGUCGUGCUGUGGGCCAAAAAUCAAUUGGGCCAUUCCAAGGAGGUUGGGAUUGUUCCAGUGUGGUCCAUUUAAAUUUUCGUGGCCAUUUAGGUGGACAAACUAGCAAAAUGGCCUAAAGGGGGCAUUUUGGGGCCAAAUCGAUUUGCUAUAGCCCACGGUUUUGGGGGUGGGCUAGGGAUUCGGGCGUUCUAUGGGCGAAAAAUUAACCAGUCUAUGCCAGAGAGGUUAGGGAUCAUCCCAGUGUGGUCCGUUUAAUUUUUUGUGGCCAUUUUGUUGGACAAACAGGCAAAACGGUGCGUACGAAGUAUUUUUGGGCUAAAUCGAUGUGUUAUUGCCCAGGUUUCGGGGGUGGGCCUAGGGUCCAGCUGUUUUGUUGGCCAAAACUUGAUUGGGUGGUGCCAAGGAGGUUUAAGAUCAUCUGAUUAUAGUCCGUUUAAUUAUUCAUGGCCAUUUGGGUGGACAAACAAUCAAAAUGAUGUGAACAAGGCAAUUUUUGGCUAAAUUAGUAUGCUUUAAUGCACGGUUUUGGGCGUGGGCCCAAGGUUUGGGUAUUUUAUGGGCCAAAAAUUAACUAGGGUGUGCGAGAGAGGUUAGGCAUCAUCCCAGUGUUAAAUUUUUAUGUCCAUUUAGGUGGACAAACAUGUGAAAAAGCAUAAAUGGGGCAUUUCUGGGCCAAAUUGGUGUGCUAUAGCCCAUGGUUUCGAGGGUUGGCCCAGGGUCCGAGUGUGCUGUAGGAAGAAAAUUGAUUGGGAUAUGCCAGGGAGGUUGGGGAUUGUCCCAGUGUGGUCCGUUUAAUUUUUUGUGUCCAUUUGGGUGGACAAAUUGGCGAAACGGCGCGAACGUGGCAUUUUUUUGCUAAUUUGGUGUGCUACAUAGCCCACAGUGUCGGGGGUGGGUCCGGGGUUCAAGUGUUUUGUGGGCCAAAAAUUGAUCGGGGCGAGCUAGGAAGGUUGGGGAUCGUAACUGUGUGGUUCGUUUAUAUUUCAUGGUCAUUUGGGUGGACAAACUGGCAAAACGACGCCAACAGGGCAUUUUUGGGCCAAAUCAGAGUGCUAUAGCGCAUAGUUUUGGGGGUGGGCCCGUUGUCUGGUCGUGCUAUGGGCAAAAAAUCGAUUGGGGUGUGCCAGGGAGGUUGGGAUUAUUUCAGUGUGGUCCAUUUAAAUUUUUGUGGCCAUUUAGGUAGACAAAUGAGCAAAACGGCAUGAAGGGGGCAUUUUUGGGCCAAAUCGACUUGCUAUAGCCCACGGUUUUAGGGGUGGGCCAGGGAUUCGGGCGUGCUAUGGGCUAAAAAUUAACCAGGCUGUGCUAGGGAUGUUGGGGAUCAUCCUAGUAUUGUUCAUUUAAAUUUUUGGGCCAUUUGGGUGGACAAACGGGCGAAACGGCACGAAUAAGGCAUUUUUGGGCCAAAUCAGUGUCCUAUAUCCCACGGUUUUAGAGGUGGGCCCUGGGUUCGGGUAUAUUGUGGGCUAAAAAUCCAUCGGGGCAUGCCAUGUAGGUUGGGAAUCAUCUCAGUGUGGUCUGUUUAAAUUUUUGUGGCCAUUUUGGUGGACAAACGGACGAAACAGCUUGAAUGGGGCAUUUUCAAGCCAAAUCAGUGUGCUACAGUCCACGGUUUCAUUGGUGGGCCCAGGGUCUAGUCUAGCUGUAGGUUAAGCAUCAUUCCAGUGUGGUCCGUUUAAAACUUUGUGACUAUUUGAGUGGAUAAAAGGGAGAAAUGGCAUGAAUGGGGAACUUUUGAGCCAAAUUAGUUUGCUAUAGCCCACAUUUUUGGGGGUGGGCCCAGGGUCCAGGCGUACUGUGAGUCAAAAAUCGACCGAGGCAUUCCAGGGAGGUUGGGGAUCGUCUCAAUGUGAUUCAAUUAAAUUUUUGUGGCCAUUAGGGUGCAUAAACGGGCAAAAAGUGCAAACGGGGCAUUUUCAUGCCAAAUUGGUGUGCUAUGGCCCACAAUUUUGGGGGUGUACCAAGUCUCUGGGUGUGCUAUGGGUCAAAAAUCAACAGGGGCAUGCCAUAGUGGUUAGGGACCGACCCAAUAUGGUCCUCUUGAAUAUUUGUGGCUAUUUUAGUGGACAAACAGUGCAAACAGGGCAUUUUCAAGACAAAUUGAUUUGCUAUAACCCACGAUUUCAGGGGUGGGCCCGGGUUUUGAGUGUGUUUUGGGGUAAAAAUUGACCGAGGUAUGCCAGGGAGUUUGAGAAUUAUCCCAGUGUGGUCCGUUUAAAUUUUGGUGGUCAUUUCGGUUGACAAACGGGUGAAACAGUGCGAAUGGGGCAAUUUCGGACCAAAUUGGUGUGCUAUAGACCACGGUUUCGGGGGGGCCUAGGGUCCUGGCGUGGUGUAGGCCAAAAAUUGACUGAGGUAUGCCAUGGAGGUUUGGUAUCAUCCCAGUGUGGUCUGUUUAUAUUUUUAAUGUCAUUUGGCUGGAGAAUCAGGCAAAACAGCCUGAACGAGGCAUUUUAGGUCCAAAUUAGUGUGCUCUAGGUCACGAUUCAGGGAUGGGCCCAGGGUCCGGGCAUGUUGUGGGCCAAAAAUUGACUGGGGCAUGCUAUGGAGGUUAGGGAUUAUCCCAUUAUGGUUUGUUAAGUUUUCUUGGGUAUUCGGUGGAUAAACGAGAGAAAUGGAGCAAAUGGGGCAUUUUUGGGCCAAAUUGAUAUGAUAUAGCCCACGAUUUUGGGGGAGUACCCGGGCUCGAGGCAUGCUGUGGGACAAAAAUUGGCUGGGGCAUGCCAGGGAGGUUGGGGAUCAUCCCAGUGUAGUCCGUUCAAAUUUUUGUGGCCAUUUGAGUGGACAAACGGGUAAAAAGGCUUGAACCGGGCAUUUUCUAGCCAAAUCGGUGUACUAUAGCCCAUGAUUUCGGGGGCGGGAUCGGGGUCCGGGUGUGCUGUAGGCGGAAAUUUGACCGGGGCACGCCAGGGAUGUUGGAGACCAUCCUAGUGUGGUCCGUUGGGGAUCAUCGCAAGGGGUGCGAAAAUUAGGUGGCUGAUCACUUAUUUAGACUUGAAUGCGAACAAGCAAUCAAGGACAAGUUAGAUAUUGAUGAUUCCUUUCAGGAUGAGAAGAUACUAGCUGCUAAGUUUGAGAUUCCAUGGUACGCUGAUUUCGCAAACUACGUGGUAAAUGAGGUGAUGCCAGAUAAUCUUUCCUUUCAUCAAAGGAAAAGGUUGCUUCAUGAUGUUACCCUGUAUUUUUGGGAUGAGCCCUAUAUUUUUUGGUGAUAUGCAGAUGGUGUUAUUAGGCGUUGUGUACCAGAUGUGGAGAUGCUGAAUAUUUUGGAAGCAUGCCACCCUUCACCAUUUGGUGGUCACCAUGCGGGCGACCGCACUGCUCAGAAAGUACUGUAGAGUGGCUACUAUUGGCCCACACUAUUUAGAGAUGCAUAUGAGCUCGUUCGUAGAUAUGAUCAAUGUUAGAGACAAAUAUCAAUCUCCAAACGUCAUGAGAUGCCAAUGUCCAAGAUGAUAGAAGUAGAGUUAUUGGAUGUAUGGGGCAUUAAAUUCAUGGACCCAUUUGUAAGCUCGUAUGGGUUAAAAUACAUCCUAGUAGCUGUAGACUAUGUAUCAAAAUGGGUAGAAACUAUGGCGUUGGCUGACAAUGAAGGAAAAAGAGUUGUGGCAUUUCUGAAAAAGAACAUAUUCUCCCGCUUUGGAGUACCAAGAACAAUCAUAAGUGAUGGGAGAUCCCAUUUCUGCAAUAAUGUCAUCAGGGUUGUGCUGGAGAAGUACGGAGUAAAACAACACCAUGUAGCAACUCCUCACCACCCACAAACUAGUGGGUAAGUGGAGGUAUCAAAUCGCGAGAUCAAGGCCAUUCUCGCCAAAAUGGUGAAUGCCAGUAGACAAGAUUGGUCUCGAAAGCUUGAUAACGCCUUGUGGGUGUAUUGAACUGCUUUUAAGAUACCAAUUGGCAUGUCACCAUAUCAGCUAGUUUAUGGGAAGGCAUGUCAUUUGCCAAUUGAGCUGGAACAUAAGGCUUUGUGGGCUCUAAAAGGCUGAAUGUGCAUUGGAAGAAAGCAGCUAAUCUAAGAUUGGAGCAGAUUAAUGAGAUGGAUGAAUUCUGUCUCAGGGCUUAUGAAAGAGCUGACUUGUACAAAGAAAGGCUGAAGAAAUACCAUGACUAAAGGAUUACACAGAGAGAAUUUAUGAAAGGUGAUUUGGUCCUUCUUUGCAACUCCAAACUGAAGCUAUUUCCAGGUAAGUUGAAGUCUAAAUGGUCAGGCCCAUUUAAAAUUAGCAAAGUCUACUCAUCUGGAGUAGUCGCUCUUGAAAACAAAGAUGGUAGUGUCUUCAAAGUGAACGGGCAAAGAAUCAAACUUUAUAUUGGUCCAAAAGACCUAAUAAAAAGUGUUGAUGUCUUUUACCUCGAUGAAGUCUGAGUAUUUGAGAUACCUAAGUCGUGCCGAGAUGUUAAAUCUGGCGCUAGUGGGAGGCAACCUACAACAUGUUGUUGUAACCAUAAGUAGAGUCUAUUUUAUAUUUUUGGGAAAUUUUGAUGUGUUUAUGAAGUGUGCGGGACCAGAAGUGUUGUAAAGAGGAAAAUUAGGUGCAUUUGAGCUACUGGAAAGUUGUGACGAUACACUUGAUGGACCGCCAAACUACUGACGGACCGCCACGCUCAACCGUCAAAAACAGGAAGGAAAAUGCAUUCACUGGAUAGGGCAUGAUGGCAUGAGUGAUGGACCGUCAAGUAUAUGGUGGACUGUCAAAGCAGCCGUCAGAAGCGAGACUGCUGACCUGCAUUCUGGUAAGUAGUGGCGGCCAAUUCGGUGGACCAUUACAAUUAUGGUUGAUCGUCCCAUUAACCGUCACACCAAAAUAGAAACUCAUCGACUCAGCUGAGGGAUGACGUUCCCAAUGGUGGUCCGUCACACUUAUGAUGGACCAUCAAUUCGACCAUCACUUUAACCCUAAUUCUGAAUCGGGUAGGGUUAAAUCGGUACUCUUUAUAAGUACUCUAUAUUUGACCCAGAAUAAAAUUAUAAGAAUAAAAUUGAGCAGGUACAAUCAUUGUAACCAUUCCAUGACCUUUGAUUUUUUAACUUCUCCAAGAUUCAAAGAACUUGAACUGAGUUAUCUUAUCUGAGAUUCCUCCACUUAUCCAUCACUUUUCUAUUUAAGCUAGUUCAUUCUUACCCUAUCCCCAUCACAAACAAAAGAGUAACAGAAGUGAUAGAUGUUGCAAAUAGUUCAGUCUCUGAAGUCUCAAGCAAGUAAAAUACUGCAACAUCAAGGUAUGAGCAUUUACUUCUUUCCUAUUGUUCAUUUGAAGAGUAAGGGCAUGGAUUGUUUCAUGAUUUAGUCUAAUGGUGUUGAGUUUGAAUGAUUUAUGCUUAAGUUUGAUUUAGUGAAUGAAUUCUUUCUUAAAAUGUGGUUUUAAUGUUCUUUCUCAAGCUAAAAAUUGAUUUGAUCUUAAGCUGCACUGAAAAUCAAGCGAACCUAUAAAUGUGCCUGAGGAUGAAGGUUUGACGGUUAACAUGGCAGACCGUCAACUUUGUGACGGACCACCAAGUUGACCGUCACAAAGGUCAAAGACAAUGAGUUUUUGGAUUGUAUUUGACGGUCAGACUUGUGGACCAUCAAGUUUUUGACGAACCACCAAGUUGACCAUCCUAAAAGUAAAAAAAAUAAAACAUACUGGAUAAAGAUGAUGGUGGAUUAGACGGACCGUCCCACCAAUGGUAGACCAUCAAAUCUCCCAUCAAGCCUCACUAUGAACUAUUUUGCCUGUGUUUUACCUUGUACUAAUUUCUUAAUCCAUUUUUAGGUGACAUGGCUCCUACAAAUACACAAACCAAGGGAGGAAAAUCUCAGCGAGGUAGAAACACAUCUGCACUGGCUUAUAACACCAGGAAAAUGAAAAGAGAAGCCACAAUAAUCCCUCAGUCUGAGGAGGGGAGUGAAAAUAGUAUUAGUUUCACCGAUUCAAGCCCAGAUGAAGCGGCAGUUGCUUUAACUCAACGAUCACCUAUAGAAGGUGAAACUAAAUUGGCUAAUGUGGAGAACCAAGGAGACGUUCCUAAACUUGAAGCUGAAAACGUGAUCGAACGGAAGGAUCCUCAAGUACGAGAUGCUAUUAGGUGGCAAAUUGAGGGAGCACAGAAAAAUUUCUAUGAUGGGUUGCAUCUCACUGCUCGAGGGAUCCGAAGAUCAUUCUCUGAAGAACAUCAGAUUAUAGCCACGGAGCUUUAUGAAUAUCUGGAAGUGGAACGCCGAUUCAAUAAUUAUGGAUUUGCACGGAGCACGCCACCAGAGAAGUACCAACCAAACUAGGUAAGGGAAUUAUUUACAAAUUAUAUUUGUCUGGUAAAAGUUGAAUGUUCGAAGGGGACUCCGAUUUUGAAUAGACCAAAUAGGGAGUCUGUUCCAGUUUGAGGAGUUGUUGUUGAUAUCUCGGCCUGAACUAUCAACAGAAUGUUGUUUGAGCCAACAUAUGAAGCUCCACCUGUUGUCCCUUAUUUAGAAUAUAGAAUAAAAAAUGUUUCUGGCAAGAGAUGUUGGGUAGCAUCAUUGAUCACUGAUGAUGGAAAUCCAUCCUGGGCAACUAACCUCAAAGAAAGCAUUGCAAAAUUCACACUUAAUUUCAAGGCUAAGUUCUGGUGGGCUAUUGUUCAAUUGAGAUUAAUACCAACUAAAGGAGAUGGAAACCUGGAUAAUCACAGGGCCGUGACGGUAGCCAAUUUGAUUUUAGGUUUGGACAUUGAUUUUGGCCAGCUAAUUACAGAUGAGAUAUUUUUCAAGGCACAUAAGCAGACUACUUCCAUACCUUUCCCAUGUUUGAUUACUGCAUUAUGCAAACAAGCUGGUGUGCCGCUGAUUUGAGGCGUUGAUAAUGAAGUUUUAGCCACUCAUAAAUAGGUCAUUGAGAAGUUCAGAGAUGAGCCAAAGUUUGACAUUCGAGUGACCAAGCUUUUACCACAUCAGUCAUAGUCUGUACCAGUUCUCGAAGCCAUAAAAAUGCCCGAAGGUAUGCCUUUACCCAUUACCACAUAUGUGCCUCUUGAUUAUGUGCCCCAGGGUAUGCAUGUAGGAUCAGAUUCUACGCAGUUUCCUAGUGGAGCAGAUUUUGCAAAAUACAGAUUCAACCCGAUGAAUUUUGUCAAAGUUGUGAAGAAUCAAAAGAGGUUCCAGAAGCAGUUAGAAAAGUGGGCUGGAGAUUUCAAACCUUUUGUGGAUGAAAUUGUGGCCGAAGCAGUCAAGCCAUUUCAAACUAUUCAAGUGAGGAUGGAUAACAUGGAAGCUUGCAUCAACAAAAGGCUAGAUUCACUAUAUCUUCCUGAUCUUGCUAAGCUCAUGGCUAAAUUUGAGCAGAAAAAGGCUGACAUAGCUGAGUUAAAGAAGAAACAAUCACAACCGCCUGUAUUUAAUCUGACUCUAGUGGUAAGUAAUGAUGAUGAGGGUAUUUUGGAUAUGAUGGGUAGACUAGUGAAGGAUAAAGGCAAGCAGUAAAUAGACAAACAAGCAGUAAGGAAAGAAGAAAAAAGGAGAAAGAAAUAAGUAAUGUCACUUGAGGAAUUAGACCAGCACAACCUGAGGAGAGUUGUGAAUAAAUAUAAAGAGGAAGCUGAAAGGAAGCAAAGAGAACAAGAAAAUAAAAUGGAAGGAGUUUUUACUAGUGCUGCCCCGGAAAGGGGGCGAAGUGCAGGUUUAAUUCGGGAAACCAUCCCUUAAAAUGUCGAGGGUAAAGUUGUGAGUGCUCCUACCGCCAUAUGUGCCAACAUUUUGUAGGGUAAGGAUGAUGGAGACUCACCACAUUUGAUAGAUGCCUCAGAGAAGUGAGAGGCCAUAUAAAUAUCCCAAUUCUCAUGUACGGUAAUUUAUUGCUUUGAGGAUAAUGCAUAGUUUUCUGUGUGGGGUGGGGGUAUUUACACCAUGGUUGGAUGUUGUUGCCGAUAUUCUGAAUCCAAUCAUGUGCUAUUUAGUAGAAGAAGCAUGUCUAGGUUGUUUUUAUUUUUGCAUUUAAAUUUUGCAAAGCAUAAUGUAAAUACAAGUGUUUAAUGAAAAUCUAUGAAUUGGUUUUGUUUUAGUACUUAGUUUUAAAUAUGGAGAAUGAAUGAUGUUGGCAUAAGACGUUGAACAUGUGUCUGUAACUAUUUACUUUUUCAGUAAAGCAUGUGCAAAUAACCAUCAGUAAUUCUAUAUUCAGCAUUGGUCUGUAAAGAAGUGCAUGAAUCAUUUAAUGAACAUUCGGAGAAUUGUAAUGGAUGUUUAACUUUGAUGCCUGUGGGUGUGAGGAUUUACUUGUAGUUCUUUCAUAGGAUAAGACCUAGAACUUGCCCGAGCCAUGGAUACAGUCUUCUAGUGGAGUCAUUAGGAUAGGAUAAUAGGCCUCCUCGAUGUUCUAAACCUUCUAACCUAAAGAAGCAACCAGGCCUGAAAGAUUAUUCCUGUUUUAACCCAUCUUGUACCUCUAAGAAUUGGUUUAACCUCCUUCCCCUGUCAGUAACUCUCCAUAAGAAUUUAACAUUCAGCCCUGAACUUAGCCAAAUGCUAACAUUGUAUAUUUUAACUUAGAUGAAGCAUCUAAGUUGAGGGUGGCUAGUGUAAUAAAAAAAUAACUAACCUCAAUGGAGUGUGAGCUAAAAUCCAAUUAGAAAUAAUUGGUCAAUGCCCAGAUCAGCAUAAGUUGAGGGUGACUGCUUCUUCUCCUUAAAAAAAAAGACAUAUGUAGCAGAUUAAGGGUGAAAAUAUGCUAGGCAAAGAGAGUUAAGUUUCAUCAUCCCAGUAUAGUUCGUUUAAAAUUUCGUGGCCAUUUGGGAGGACAAACAAGAAAAAUGAUACAAAUGGGGCAUUUUUAGAACAAAUCAUUGUACUAUAGCCCACGGUUUCGGGGGUGGGUCUGGGGUCCGAGUAUACUGUGGGAUAAAAAUCGAUCAGGGCAUGCCAGGCAGGUUGAGGAACAUCCCAGUAUGGUCCAUUUAAAUUUUUGUGGACAUAUGGGUGGAAAAAAGGGUGAAACAAUGCGAAUGGGGCAUUUUCAGGACAAAUUGGUAUGCUAUAGCCCACGAUUUUUGAUUUGGGCCCGGGCUCCUAGUGUGUUGUAGUUCGUAAAUUAACUAAGGCAUUCCAGAGAGGUUUGGGGAUCUUCCCAGCAUGGUCUGUUUAUAUUUUCAUGGCCAUUUAGGUGAACAAACGGAUGAAACAAUACGAAUGGGGCAUUUUCAGGCUAAAUCGGUGUGCUAUAGCCCACGGUUCAGGGGGUGGACCCAGGGUUCGGAUGUACUUUGGGCUGAAAAUCGAUCAGCGCAUGCCAGGAAAGUUGGGGAUCAUCCCAGUGUGGUCCGUUUAAUGUUUUGUGGCUAUUUUGGUGGACAAAUGGGCGAAACAGUGUGAACGGGGCAUUUUUAGGCCAAAUCGGUGUGCUAUAGCCCAUCAUUUUGGGGUCGUUCUGGGGUAGGGUUUCUGUAAGCAAAAAAUUGACCAAGGCAUGCCAUAGAAGUUAGGGAUCAUCCCUGUGUGGUCCGUUUAAAUUUUUGUGGCCAUUUGGGUGGACAAACGGGCAAAACGGCGUGAAUGGGGAAAUUUUAGGCCAUAUUGGUGUGCUAUAGCCCUCGGUUUUGGGGGUGUGCCUGGGGUUCAGGCGUGCUGUAGGCCAAAAAUUGACUGGAGCAUAACAGGGAGGUUGGGGAUCUUCCCAGUAUGGUCCGCUUAAAUUUUUGUGGCCAUUUGGAUGGACUAACUGGCUAAUGGCGCAAAUGGAUCUUUUUCUGGCCAAAUCGGUGUGCUAUAGCUAACGAUUUUGGGGGUGGGCCUGCGGUUCGAGCGUACUGUGAGCCAAAAAUUGAUCGGGGUAUGCUAGGAUGGUUGGGUUCAUCCCAGUGUGGUUCGUUUAAAUUUUUUUCCCAUUAGGGUGGACAAACAACUGAAACAACUUGAAUAGGGAAUUUUGGGGCCAAAUUGGUGUGCUAUUACCCAUCAUUUUGGUGGUGGGCCUAGGGUACGGGAGUGCUAUGGGAUGAAAAUCCCCUGAGGAAUGACAUCGAGGUUGGGAAUCAUCUAAAUGUAGUCUGUUUAAAGUUUCAUGGCCAUUUGGGUGGACUAACGAGCAAAACGUCACAAAUAGGGCAUUUUCGAGCUAAAUCGGUGUGCUAUAGUCCACGGUUUUGUGGGUGAGCCUGGAUCCAGGCAAGCUGUGGGCUAAAAAUUGACCAGGGCAUGACCUAGAGGUUGAGAAUCAUUCCAGUGUGGUUCAUUUAAAUUUUGUGGCUAUUUAGACAGAUAAAAUGUUGAAACGGCGUGAACGGGUGAUUUUUGGUCAAAAUUGGUGUGCUAUAGCCUACAGUUUCAGGGGUGGGCCUAGGGUUCGAGCGUGUUAUGGGUUAAAAAUUGACCGAGAAGUGUUAAGGAGGUUUUGGAUCAUCCCAGUAUGGUUCAUUUAAAUUUUUGUUGCCAUUUGGGUUGACAAACGGGUGAAAUGGCACGAACGGAGCAUUUUCGAGCAAAAUUGGUGUGCUAUAGCUUACAAUUUCAGGGGUGCACCCGGAGUCCGAGCGUGCUGUGGGCCGAAAAUCAACUCGGGCAUGCCAGGGGGUUGGGGAUCAUACCAGUGUGAUUCAUUUGAAUCUUUAUGGUCAUUUGGGUGGACAAACAACAUGAACGAGGGAUUUUUAGGCCAAAUUGAUUAGCUAUAGACCACGAUUUUUGGGGUGGCCCCGGGGUCCGAGUUGUGGGCCAAAAAUCAACUAGGGUAUGCCAGGGAAGUUGGGGUUCAUCCCAAUGUGGUCUAUUUAAAUUUUCAUGAUUAUUUGGGUGGACAAAUGGGAAAAACAACAUGAAUAGGGCAUUUUCUAGCAAAAUCGGUGUGCUAUAGGACACGAUUUUGAGGUGGGCUCGGUGUAUAGGCGUGCUGUGGACCAAAAAUUAACCGGGGAAUGCCUGAGAUAUUGGGGAUCAUACCAGUAUGGUUUGGUUAAAUUUUUGUGGUCAUUUGGGUGGACAAACAGGGCGACUAGGGAAUUUUUAGGCCAAAUCUUAGUAUAUAGCUCACAGUUUUGGGGUGGGCCUAGGGAUCAGCCGUGAUGUAGGCCAAAAAUUGAUAUGGGCAUGACAGGGAGGUUUGAGAUCAUUCACGUAUGGUCCGUUUAAAUUUUUGUGGUUAUUUGGGUGUACAAAUGGGCAAAACAAUUUGAAUGGUACAUUUUCAGGCCAAAUGGGUGUGCUAUAGCCCAUGUUUUUUGGGGUGGUCCUGGGUUCCGAUCAUUCAGUGGGCCAAAAAUUAUCUAGGGCAUGCUAAAGAGGUUAGGAAUUAUCUCAGUGUGGUCCAUUUAAAUUUUUGUGGCCAUUUGGGUGAACAAACCUGCAAAAUAAUGCGAACGGAGCAUUUCAGGCCAAAUCAAUGUGCUAUAGCCCACGGUUUCAGGAUGGGCCCGGGGUCUGGGCGUGCUGUAGGCCAAAAAUUGAUCGGGGCAUACUAGGGAGGUUGGGGAUCAUCCCAGUUUGGUCCAUUUAUUUUUUCAUGGCUAUUUGAGUGGACAAACUGUUGAAACGCCGAGAACAGAAUAUUUUUGGGCCAAAUCAAUGUGUUAUAGCCCACGAUUUUAGGGGUGGGCCGGGGGUCCGGGCAUGCUAUGGGCAGAAAAUUGACCAGGGAAUUCUACGGAGAUUGGGUAUCAUCCCAGUAUGGUCCUUUUAAAUUUUUGUGGCCAUUUGGGUGGACAAACGGGUGAAACAGCGCAAACGAGGCAAUUUUGGGCCAAAUCUAUGUGCUAUAGCCCAUGGUUUUGGGGUCGGCUCAUGCUAUGGGUGUGUUGUGGGUCAAAAAUUAAUCGAGAAAUUAUAGGGUUGUUGGUGAUUAUCCCAGUAUGGUCCGUUUAAAGUCUCGUGUCCAUUUGUGUAGACAAACAAGCGAUACUGCAUGAAUGGGUAUUUUAUAGCCAAAGCAGUGUGCUAGAGCCCACGGUUUUGGUGUGGGCUCAGGGUAUGUGCGUACUGUGGGUCAAAAAUUCAUUGAGGCAUGCCAGGAAGGUUAGGUAUCACCCUAGUAUAGUCCAUUUAAAGUUUCGUGUCCAUUUGGGUGGAAAAAUAGGACAUACAACUCAAACGGGGUGUUUUCAAUCCAAAGCAGUGUGCUAAAGCCCAUGGUCUCGUGGGUGGUUCUGGUGUCCGAAUGUACUGUGGGUAGUAAAUCAAUCGGGGCAUACUAGGGAGAUUAGGGAUCUAUUUGGGUGGACAAAUGGGUGAAGCAGCACGAACGGGGUUUGGGCAUUCUACGGGACGAAAUGAAUCGAGGCAUGCCAGGGAGGUUGGGAAUUGUCCCAAUAUAGUUCGUUUAAAAUUUUGUGGCAUUUGGGUGGACAAACGGGUAAAACGGCGCGAACGGGGUAUUUUUGGGCAAAAUCGAUAAAGCCUACGGCUUUGAGGGUGGACACGGGGUUCGGACGUGAUGUGUGCUUAAAAUUGACGGAGCCGUGCUAGGGAGGUUAUGAAUCAUCCCAUUGUGGUCUGUUUAAAUUUUUAUGGCCAUUUGGGAGAACAAACGGGUGAAAUGGCGUAAAAGGGGCAUUAUCGAGCUAAAUCGGUGUGCUACAGCCCACGGUUUUGGGGGUGAGCUCGGUGUCCAGGCGUGCUGUGGGACGAUAUUCGACUGGGGCAUGCUAAGGAGGUUGGGUAUCAUCCUAGUUUUGUCCGUUUAAAUUCUCGUGGAUAUUUGGGUGGACAAACGGGCAAAACGAUGUAAACGGGAUAUUUUCAGGCCAAAUCGAAGUGCUAUAACCCACGGUUUCGGAGGUGGGCCAGGGUCCGGGCAUGCUAUGAUCCAAAAUAUAACCGAGGUAUGCCAGGGAGGUUGGGAAUCAUUCUAGUGUAGUACGUUUAAAUUUUCAUAGCUAUUUGUGUGCCAUUUUAGGGACAAAUUGGUGUGCUAUAGCCCAAGAAUUUAGGGGUUGGCCCGGGGCCUGGGCGUGCUGUAGGAUAAAAAUCGAUCGGGGCAUGCCAGGGAAGUUGAGGAUCGUCUCUGUAUAGUUUGCUUAAUAUUUCCUUGCCAUUUGGGUGGACAGACAGGUAAAACGGUGCAAUUGGGUCGUUCUCAGGCUAAAUCGGUGUGCCAUAGCCCACAGUUUUGGGGGUGGGCCCGCGGUUCGAGCAUUUUAUAGGCCAAAAAUUGACCUGGGCAUGCCAGGGAGGUUGGAGAUCAUCCCAGUGUAGUCCGUGUAAAUUUUGUGGCCAUUUUGGUGGACAAAUGGGCAAAAUGGCACAAACGGGGCAUUAACAACCCAAAUUGGUAUGCUAUAGACCACGGUUUCAGGGAUGGGCUCUAGGUCCGGAUGUACUGUGGGCUAAAAAUCGACCAGAUAGUGCUAAGGAGGCUAGGGAUCUUCCCAGUGUAGUCCGUUUAAAUUUUUGUGGCCAUCUGGGUGGACAAACAGGCGAAACGACACAAAUGGGGCAUUUUUAGACAAAAUCGAUGUGCUAUAGCCCACGGUUUUAGGGGUGGGCUCAGGGUCCGAGCGUGAUGUGUGCUGAAAAUUGAUCGGGGCAUACUAGGGAGGUUGGGUAUCAUACCAAUAUAUUCCGUUUUAAUUCUCAUGGCCAUUUGGGUGGACAAACAGGUGAAACGGCGUGAACGAGGCAUUUUCAGGCUAAAUCAGUGUGCCAUAGCCCACGGUUUUAGGGGUUGGCCCAGAGUUUUAGUGGAUGUGGGCCAAAUAUCAUCCAGUGCUUUCUAGGGAGAUUGGGGAUCAUCCCAGUGUGGUCCGUUUUUGGUUGAUAAAUGGGCGUAGUGGCGCGAAUGGGGAAUUUUCAGGCUAAAUAGGUGUGCUAUAGCCCACGAUUUUGGGGGUAGGCCUGGAGUCCGGGCGUGCUGUGGGCCGAAAUCAACCGGGGCAUGCCAGGGAGGUUGGGGACUAUACCUGUGUGGUUAUUUUAAAAUUUUGUGGCCAUUUGAGUGGACAAACGGACGAAAAGGGGCGAACAAGAAAUUUUCGGGCAAAAUCGAUAUUGCCUACAAUUUCGUGGGUGAGCACGGAGUUUGAACACGCUGAGGGAUGAAAAUUGACCAAGGAAUGCCAGGGAGGUUGAGGAUUUUCCCUGUGUGGUCCGUUUAAAUUUUUGUAUCCAUUUGGGAGGACAAACGGGAAUAAUAUCGUGAAUGGGGUAUUAUCAAACCAAAUUAGUGUGCUAUAGCCCACGAUUUUGGGGGUGAGCCCGGUGUCCAGGUGUGCUGUGGGAUGAAAAUAGAAUGGAGCGUGUCAGGGAGGUUGGGUAUCAUCCCAGUUUGGUCUGUUUAAAUUCUCAUAGCUAUUGGGGUGGACAAACGGGCAAAACGUUGCAAAUGGGGUAUAUUCAGACUAAAUUGGUGUGCUAUAACCCACGAUUUUUGAGGUGGGCCUAGGGUUUGGGCAUGCUGUGAUCCUAAAAUUGAUCGGGGCAUGCCAAAAAGGUCGGGGAUCAUUCAAGAGUGGUUCAUUUGAAUUUUCAUGGCUAUUUUUGUGGCAUUUUUGGGACAAAUCGAUGUGCUAUAGCCUACGGUUUUGGGGGUGGGCCUGCGAUUCGAGCAUGCUGUGGGCCAAAAAUCAACCGAGGCAUGCUAGGGAGGUUGGGGAUCAUCUUAGUGUGGUCCUUUUAAAUUUUUGUGGCUAUUUGGGUGGACAAACGGGCAAAACAGCGUGAACUGGGCAUUUUUGGGACAAAUCGAUUUGUAAUAGCCGACGAUUUUAGGAGUGGGCCCUGAAUUCGGACAUGAUGCGCACCUAAAUCGAUUGGGGAAUACCAGGGAGGUUAUAGAUCAUUUCGUUAUGGUCCACUGAAAAUUUUGUGGCCAUUUUGGUGGAAAAACAGGCCAAACGGCGGGAAAGAGGCAUUUUUGAGGCAAAUUGGUGGGCUAUAGCCUACGAUUUUUGGGGUGGGCCUAGUGUCCGGGCGUUUCAAAGGUCAAAAAUUGAUCGAGGCAUGCCAUGGAGGUUGGGGAUUAUCCCAGUGUGUUUUGUUUAAAUUUUUGUGGUCAUUUAGGUGGACAAACGGGCGAAACGGCGUGAACGGGUCAUUUUAAACCAAAUCAGUGUGCUAUAGCCCACAGUUUCGAGGGUGGGAACGGGGUUCGAACGUGCUAUGGGCCUAAAAUUGACCGAGGCAUGCCAGGGAGGUUAGGGAUUGACCUGUGUGGUUAGUUUGAAUUUUUGUUGUCAUUUGGAAGGACAAACGGGUGAAAUGGCGCGAACGGGGCAUUAUCGGGCCAAAUCGGUGUGCUAUAGCCCACUUUUUUGGGGGUGAGCCCGGUUUCCAGGCAUGCUAUCGGAAGAAAAUCGAACAAGGAUUGCCAGGGAGGUUGGGUAUCUUCCCAGUUUGCUCAAUUUAAAUUCUCGUGGCUAUUUGGGUGGACAAACGGGCAAAACGGUACAAACAGAGCAUUUUCAAGCCAAAUUGGUGUGCUAUAACCCACAGUUUUGGGGGUGGGCUUGGGCUUUGGGCAUGCUGUGAUAUAAAAAUUGAUCAGGGAAUGACAGGUAGGUUGGGGAUCAUUCCAGUGUGGUCCAUUUAAAUUGUCAAUGCUAUUUGUGUGGCAUUUUUGGAACAAAUCGGUGUGCUAUAGCCCACGAUUUUAGGGGUUGGCCUGGGGUCCGGGUGUGCUGUGGGCCAAUAAUUGUUUGGGGCAUGCCAGGGAAGUUUAGAAUCAUCCCCGUGUAGUUCAUUUAAUUUUUUUUGGCCAUUUGGAUGGACAAACGGUGUGAAGUGGGCAUUUUCUAGCCAAAUCGGUGUGCUAUUGCGCAUGAUUUUAGGGGUCGGCCCAAGGUUCGGGCAUGCUGUGGUCCAAAAAUUGACCUGGAUGUGCUAAGGAGAUUGGGGAUCUUCCCAGUAUGGUUCGUUUAAUUUUUUUGGCCAUUUUGGUGGAAAUACUGGCGAAACAACACGCAUGAGGCAUUUUUGGGCCAAAUUGGUGUGCUAUAGCCUACGAUUUUAGGAAUGGGCUCGAGUUUCGAAAUUAUUAUGGGAUGAAAAUCGAUCGGAGCAUGCUAGGGAGGUUGGGGUUCAUCCCAGUGUGGUCCGCUUAAAUUUUCUUAGCCAUUUGGGUGGACAAACGGCUGAAACAACGCGAACGGGGCAUUUUUGGGCCAAAUUGGUGUGCUACGAUUUUGGGGGUGGGCCUAGGGUCCAGGCGUACCUUGCGCGAAAAAUUAAUUGGGGCAUACCAGGUAGGUUGGGUAUCAUCCCAGUAUGGUCCGUAUAAAUUUUUGUGGCCAUUUGAGAGGACAGAUGGGCAAAAUGGCAUAAAUGGGGCAUUUUAAGACCAAAUCGGUGAGCUAUAGCCCACGAUUUUGGGGGUGGGCCUGAGGUUCGAGCAUUCUAUGGGUUAAAAAUAGACUGGAGCAUACUAGGGAGGAUGGGGAUGAUUCCAGUAUGGAACGUAAAAAUUUUCAUGUCCAUUUGGUUGCACAAACGGGAAAAACAGUACAAAUGAGGAGUUUUCAGGUCAAAUCGAUGUGCUAUAGACCACGAUUUUGGGGUCGGCCCGAGCUCUGCGCGUGCUGUGGGCAAAAAAUUGACCGAGGCAUGCUAGGGACGUUAGGGAUCAUCCCAAUUAGAACUGUUUAAAUGUUCGUGGUCAUUUGGGUGAAAAAUAGGCGAAACGGCGGAAAUGGGGCAUUUUGAGGCCAAAUCAGUGUGCUAUAGCCUACGGUUUCGAGAGUGUGCUCGGGUUUCGGGCAUACUGUGGGCCAUAAAUUGACCGGUGCAUGCCAGGUAUUUUAGGGAUCAUCCCAGUAUGGUUCGUUUAAAUUUUUGUGUCUAUUUGUGUGGACAAACGAUCAAAACGCCAUGAUUAGGGCAUUUUUGGGCCAAAUUGGUGUUCAAUAGCCCGCGGUUUUGGGUGUGGACCCAAGGACAGGGCGUGCUGUGGGACGAAAAUUAACUGGGGCAUGACAAGGAGGUUGGGGAUCAUUCCAGUGUGGUCCGUUUAAAUUUUCAUAGCGAUUUGGCUUGACAAACAGGCCAAACGGUGUGAACCAGGCGUUUUCAGGAUAAAUCGAGGUGUUAUAGCCCACGGUUUUUGGGGUGGGCCCGAGGUCCAAGUAUGCUAUGGGCCAAAAAUUGACCGAGGCAUGCCAGGGAGGUUAAGGAUAUUCCUAGUGUAGUUUAUUUAAAUUUUUGUGGCCAUUUGGGUGGACAAACGACGCGAACAACGCAUUUUCAGGCCAAAUCAAUGUUCUAUAGCCCACGAUUUUAGGGGUGGGCCUGGGGUCCGGGCGUGCUGUAGGUUGAAAAUUCACCAGGGCAUGCCAAGGAGGUUGGGUAUCAUCCUAGUAUUUUCCAAUUAAUUUUUACUAUCUAUUUGGGUAGACAAAUGGACAAAAUAGCACAAACGGAGCAUUUUUGGGACAAAUCGGUGUGCUAUAGCCCACGAUUUUGGGAGUGAGCUUAGGUUUCGGGCGUGCUGUGGAACAAAAAUUGACCAAGGAAUUCUAGGGACGUUGGGGAUCAUCCUAGUGUGGUCCGUUUAAAUUUUCAUGGCCAUUUGGAUGGACAAACGGGCGAAACGGCGCAAAUGAGCCAUUUUGGGUCCAAAUUUGUGUGCUAUCGGUUUUGGGGUAGGCUCAGGGUCUGUACGUGUUGUGGGUCAAAAAUCAAUUGGGGCAUGCCAAGUUUAUUAAGGAUCAUCCCAGUAUGGUCUGUUUAAAGUCUUGUGUCUAUUUGGGUUGACAAAUAAUGGAUACGAUGCGAAUGUGGCAUUUUUUAGCGAAAACAGUGUGCUAUAGCCCACUAUUUUGGGGUGGGCUCGGGGUCAUGGCGUGCUGUGGGUCAAAAAUCAAUUGAGGCUUGCUAGGGAGAUUGGGGAUCACCUCAAUAUUAUCCGUUUAAAGUUGUGUCCAUUGGGGUGGACAAAUAGGCGAUACGGUGCGAAUAGGAUAUUCUUGGUCAAAAGCAGUGUGCUAUAGCCCAUGGUUUCGUGCGUGGGACUGGGGUACGGACGUGCUGUGGCUUGUAAAUCAACCGAGGUAUUCUAGGAAUGUUGUGGAUCAUCCCAGUAUGGUCUAUUUAAAUUUUUGUGGCUAUUUGGCUGGACAAAUCUUUGAAACGGUAUGAACGGGCCAUUUUCACACUAAAUCGAUAUGCUAUAGCCCACGAUUUUGGGAGUGCGCUCGAGGUUUGGGCUUGAUGUGGGCCGAAAAUCGAUUGUGGUAUUCCAGGGAAGUUGGGUAUCAUCCCAGUGUGGUCCGUUUAAAUUUUUGUUGGCAUUAGAGUGGACAAGUGGGAAAAAUGGCUUAAACGAGGAAUUUUCUUGCCAAAUCAGUGUGCUAUAGCCAACGAUUUGGGGUGGUGCCCGGAGUUCGGUCAUGUUGUGGGCCAAAAUCAAUCGGUGCAUGGUAGGGAGGUUGGGGAUCAUCCUAGUAUGUUCCGUUUAAAUUUUCAUAGCCAUUUGGGGCGAUAAACGAGUGAAACGGUGUGAACAACACAUUUUUGGUCUAAAUCGAUGAGUUAUAGCCCACGGUAUUGGGGAUAGGCCUAGGGUCCAGGCGUGCUAGGGGCGAAAAAUUGAUCGGAGCGAGUCAGUGAGGUUGGGGAUCAUGCCAGUGUGGUCCAUUUAAAUUUUUGGUGCCAUUUAGGUGGACAAACGGGCAAGACGAUGCAAACGGGGCAUUUUUUGGGCCAAAUCGGUGUAUUAUAGCCAACGAUUUUGGGGGUGUGCUCGGGAUACAGAUUUGCUAUGGGAUGAAAAUCAAUCGGAGCGUGCCACGGAGGUUGAGAAUCAUCCCAGUAUGGUUAGUUUAAAUUUUCGUGGCUAUUUUGGUGGACAAACGUGUGAAACAGCAUAAACGGGGCAUUUUCGACACAAAUUAGUGUGCUAUAGCCCACGAUUUUGGGGGUGGGCCCACGUUUCCGACGUGCUGUGGGCUAAAAAUUAAUCGUGGCGUGCCAGGGUGGUUGGAUAUCAUUCCAGUGUGGUCCGUUUAAAUAUUUGUGGCUAUUUGAGUGGACAAACGGGUAAAACGGCAUAUAGGGGCAUUUUCAAGCAUAAUAGGUGUGCUAUAGCCCACGAUUUUAAGGGUGGGCCAGGGGUUCGGGUAUGCUGCGGGUAAAAAUUUGACCGGGGCAUGCUAGGGUUGUUGGGGAUCAUCCUAGAGUGGUCCAUUCAAAUUUUUGUAGCCAUUUGGGUGGACAAACAGGCGAAACGUUGCAAACGAGGCAUUUUCGGGCUAAAUCAGUGUGCUAUAGCCCACGGUUGUGAUGUUGGGCCCAGGGUCCAAGUGUGUUAUGGUCCGAAAAUUCAUCGAGGCAUGCCAGGGAAUUUUGAGGAUCAUCUUAGUAUGGUUCGUUUAAAUUUUCAAGACCAUUUGGGUGGAUAAACAGGAGAAACGGAGCUAAUGGGGCGAUGUCGGGCCAAAUCGGUGUGCUAUAGAACAUAAUUUUAGGGAUGGGCUAGGGGUCAAGGCGUGCUGUAGGUCAAAAAUUGAUCGGGGCAUGACAGGGAGGUUGGGAAUCAUCCCAGUAUGGUCCAUUUAAAUUUUUGUGGACAUUUAGGUGGACAAAAGGGCAAAACGGCACGAACGGAGCAUUUUUGGGCCAUAUCAGUGUGCUAUAUCCUACGGUUUUAUUGUUGGGCUUGUGGUUCGGGUGUAUUGUGGGACAAAAAAUGAUAAGGGCAUUCUAAGGAGGUUAGGGAUCAUCCCAGUGUAGUCCAUCUAAAUUUUUGUGGACAUUUGAGUGAACAAACGGGCGAAACAACGUGAAUGAGGUAUUUUCGGCCAAAUCAGUGUGCAAUAGCCCACGGUUUUGGGGAUAGGGCCUGGGUUCGAGCGUGCUGUAGGACAAAAGUCCACUGGGGCUUGCCAAGGAGGUUAGGGAUCAUCGCUGUAUGGUCCGCAUAAAUUUUAUUGGCCAUUUGGGUGGACAAACGGGCGAAAUGAUGCGAAUAGGGCAUUUUUAAACCAAAUCGGUGUACUAUAGCUCACAGUUUCAGGGACAGGUUCAUGGUGCGGGUGUGCUAUGGAAAAUCAACUACGUCUUGGCUGGGAGGUUGGGGAACAUCCCAGUGUGGUCCAUUUAAAUUUUUAUGGCCAUUUGGGUGUACAAAUAGAGUUAAUGGGGCAUUUUUGGGCCAAAUUGGUGUGCCAUAGCUCACGGUCUUGGGUGUGGGCCCAGGGUUCAGGCUUACUAUUGGCCGAAAAUCAAUCGGGGGUGUGCCAGAGAGGUUGGGAAUCAUCUUAGUAUGGUCCGUUUAAAUUUUCUUAGCCAUUUGGGUGGACAAAUGGGAGAAACACCACGUACGGUGCGAUGUCGGGCCAAAUCGGUGUGUUAUAGUCAAUUGUUUUAGGGGUGGGCCCGGGGUCUGGGCAUGCUAUGGGCCGAAAAUUGAUCGAUGCAUGCCAGGGAGAUUAGGGAUUGUCCUAGUAUGGACCAUUUAAAUUUUGUGGCCAUUUGGGUGGACAAACGGGUAAAACAACAUGAACGGGGCAUUUUCGAGCCAAAUCGGUGUGCUAUAGCCCAUGGUUUUGGGGGUGGGCCCAACUUUCAGGCGUGCUGUGGCCAAAACAUUGACCAGGGUGUGCCAGGGAAGUUGGGGAUCAUCCCAGUAUGGUCCAUUUAAAAUUUUGGUGCCAUUUGGAUUGACAAACGGGCAAAACAAUGCAAUUGGGGAAUUUUUUGGCCAAAUUAGUGUGCUCAGCCCACGGUUUCAGGGAUGGGCUUGGGGUCAGGGCGUACUGUGGACCAAAAAUCCAUCGGGGUGUGCAAAGGAUAUUGGGGAUCAUCCUAGUGUAGUCCUUUUAAAUUUUCAUGGCCAUUUGGGUGAACAAACUAGGGAAACGGCACGAACGGGGCAUUUUUGGCCCAAAUCAGUAUGCUAUAGUCCAUGGUUUUAGGGGUGGGCCCUGGUUCCGAGCGUGUUGUGGCCCAAAAAUCGAAUGAGGUAUGCCAAGGAUGUUGGGGAACAUCCCAGUGUGGUCCGUUUAAAUUGGUGUGCUAUAACCCACAAUUUAAGGGGUGGACCUGGGUUCUAGCUGUGUUGUUAGGCAAAAAUCGAUCGAGGCAUGCCAAGGAGGUUGGGGAUCAUCCUUGUAUGAUUCGUUUAAAUUUUUGUGGCCAUUUAGGUGGAUAAACGGCCAAAACUGUGCAAACAAGGCAUUUUCGGGCAAAAUUGGUGUGUUAUAGCCCACGAUUUUGGGGAUGGGCAUGGGGUCCGGGCAUUCGGUGGGCGAAAAAUUUACCAGGGCAUGCUAGGGAGGUUGGGGAUCUCCCAUUGUGGUUCAUUUAAAUUUUUAAGGCCCGUUGGGUGGACAAACGUGCAAAACGGCUCGAACGAGUCAUUUUUAGGAUAAAUCGGCGUGCUAUAACCCACAGUUUUGAGGGGGGCUCAGGGUCCGGGCAUACUACAGGUUGAAAAUCAAUAGAGGCAUGACAAGGAGGUUGGGGAUCAUCCUAGUUUAGACCUUUUAAAUUUUUUGUGGCAAUUUGUGUGGAGAAACGGGCAAAACAGCUUGAACGGGGCAUUUUUCGACCAAAUCGGUGUGCCAUAGCCCACAGUUAUGGGGGUGGGCCCAUGGUCUGGGCAUGCUGUGGACCAAAAAUUAUCAGGGCGUGCUAUAGAGGUUGAGGAUUAUCUCAGCGUUGUUCGUUUACAUUUUUUGUGGCCAUUGGGGUGGACAAACAGGCGAAACGACGCAAAUGGGGCAUUUUUGGGUUAAAUCUAUGUGUUAUAGCCCAUGGUUUUGGGGUAGGCUCAGGGUCUUGAUGUGCUGUGGGAUGAAAAUCGACCAGAGCAUGCCAGGGAGGUUGGAUAUCAUCCUGGUAUGGUUUGUUUAAAUUUUUGUGGCUAUUUGGUAGAUAAACAGGUUAAACGGCGCAAAUAGGGCAUUUUCGAGACAAAUCAGUGUGUUAUAGCCCACGGUUUUGGGGGUGGACCCAGGGUCCUUGAGUGCUAUGGGCGAAAAAUUGAUCGGGGCAUGCUAGGGAGGUUGGAUAUCAUCCCAGUGUGGUCGGUUUAUAUUUUUGUGGCCAUUUGAGUGGACAAACGGGCAAAACGGCAUCAAUGGGGCAUUUUCAAGACUAAUAAGUGUGCUAUAGCCCACUGUUUUUGGGGUGGGCCUAGGGUUUGGGUAUUCUGUGGGCCAAAAUUCGACCGAGGUAUGCUUGGGAGGUUGGGUAUCAUCCUAGCAUAGUCUAUUUAAAUUUUCAUGGCCAUUUGGGCAGACAAAAGGGGAAAUGGCGCUAACGAAGCAAUGUCGGGCCAAAUCAGUGUGCUAUACCCCACAGUUUUAGGGGUGGGCUAGGGUUCAAGGCAUGCUGUAGGUCAAAAAUCGACCGGGGUAUUCCAAGGAGGUUGGGGAUCAUCCCAGUGUGGUUCGUUUAUAUUUUUUGGCCAUUUAGGGUGACAAAAGGGCAAAACAACGUGAACGAAGCAUUUUCAUGCCAAAUCAGUGUGCUAUCCCACGGUUUUGUGGGUGGGACCGGUGUCCAGGCAUGCUGUGGAUCAAAAAUUGACCGAGGUAUGGUAAGACGGUUGGGGAUCAUCCUAGUAUGGUCCGCUUAAAUUUUCAUGGCUAUUUGUGUGGACAAAUAAGUGAAACAGCAUGAAUGGGGCAUUUUGGGCCAAAUUGGUGUGCUAUAGCCCACGGUUUGGGGGGUGGACUCGGGAUCCGGGCGUGCUGCUGGCAAAAAAUCCAUCGGGGCUUGCCAAGGAGGUUAAGGAGCAUCCUAGUAUGGUCCUUUUAAAUUUUCUUAGCCAUUUGGGUAGAUAAACGGGCAAAACGACGCGAACGGGGCAUUUUUAGGACAAAUCGGUGUACUAUACCCCACGGUUUUGGGGAUGGGUUCGUGUUUCGGGCGUGCUAUGGAAAAUCGACCAGGGCUUGCUAGGGAGGUUGGGAAACGUCCCAGUGUGUUCCAUUUAAAUUUUUGUGGCUAUUUAAGAGGACAAACGGUGUGAACGGGGCAUUUUCAGGCAAAAUUGGUGUGUUAUACCCCACAGUUUUGGGUGUGGCCCAGGGGUCCGGGUGUGCUGUUGGCUGAAAAUUAAUUGGGGUGUGCUAGGUAGAUUAGGAAUCAUCUUAAUGUAGUCCGUUUAAAUUUUCUUGGUCAUUUGGGUGGAGAAACAGGAGAAACGAAACGUACGGUGCGAUGUCGAGCCAAAUCAGUGUGUUAUAUUCUAGGGUUUUAGGGGUGCACCAGGGGUCUGGGCGUGCUGUGGGCCGAAAAUUAAUCAAGGCAUGCCAAGGAGGUUGGGGAUCAUCCCAGUAUGGACCACUUAAAUUUUUGUGGCCAUUUCGAUGGACAAACGGGUAAAACAACACGAACGGAGUAUUUUUGGUCCCUAUCAGUGUUCUAUAGCCCACGGUUUUGGGGGUGGGCCCAGUUUUCAGGUGUGCUGUGGCCAAAAAAUUGACCAAGGCAUGCCAGGGAGGUUGAGGAUCAUCCUAGUGUGGUCUGUUUAAAUUUUUGGCCGCAUUUCGGUAGACAAACGGGCAAAACGGUGCAAUUAGGGCAUUUUCAAGCCAAAUCGAUGUGCUAAGCCUACGAUUUUAGAGGUGGGCUUGGGUUUAGGGCGUGCUAAGGGCCAAAAAUCUGUCGGGGUAUUCUAAGAAGUUAGGGAUCAUCUUAGUAUGGUCCUUUUAAAUUAUCGUGGCUAUUUAGAUGGACAAACUAGGGAAACGACGCGAAUGAGGCAUUUUUGGGCUAAAUCGGUAUGCUAUAGUCCACGGUUUUGGGGGUGGGCCCUGGGUCUGGGCGUGCAAUGGUCCAAAACUCAACUAGGGUAUGCCAAGGAGGUUGGGGAUCUUCUCUGUGUGGUUCGUUUAAAUUUUUGUGGCUAUUUGGGAGGAAUAACUGGCGAAACUAUGUGAAAAGGGCAUUUUCUGGCCAAAUUGGUGUGCUAUAACCCACAGUUUUGGGAGUGGACCCGGGUUCUAAGCUUAUUGUGGGUUAAAAAUUGAUCGAGGCAUGCCAAGGAGGUUAAGGAUCCUCCCAGUAUGGUCCGUUUAAAUUUUUGUGGCCAUUUGGGUAGAUAAACGGGCGAAAUAGCACGAACAAGGCAUUUUGGGGCCAAAUCGGUGUUCUAUAACCCACGAUUUUGGGGAUGGGCAUGGGUUUCGGAUAUUCUGAGGGCCAAAAAUCGACCAGGGCAUGCCAAGGAGGUUGGGGAUCUCCCAGUAUGGUCCGUUUAAAUUUUUGGGGCCAUUGGGGUUGACAAAUGGGCGAACCAUCGUGAACGGGUUAUUUUCAGGCCAAAUCAGUGUGCUGUAGCCCACAGUUUUAGGGGUGGGCCUGGGGUCCGGGAGUAAUGUAGGUCAAAAAUUGAUAGAGGCAUGCCAAAGAGGUUGGGGAUCAUCCUAGUGUGGUCCAUUUAAAUUAUUUGUGGCCAAUUAGGUGGACAAACGGGCAAAACGGCGCGAACGGGGCAUUUUCGGGCCAAAUUGGUGUGCUGUACCCCAUGGUUUUGGGGGUGGGCCCAUGGUCUGGGCAUGCUAUGGGCCAAAAAUUGACUGGGGCAUGCUAGGGAGGUUAGGGAUCGUUCCAGUGUCAUUUGUUUAAAUUUUUUGUGGCCAUUUGGGUGGACAAACGAGGGAAACGACCCGUAAAAAGAAUUUUUGGGCCAAUUCAGUGUGUAAUAACCCAUAGUUUUUUGUGGGGGCUCGGGGUCUAAAUGUGCUGUGGGGUGAAAAUCGAUCGGAGCGUGCCAGGGAGGUUAGGGAUAAUCUCAGUAUGGUUCGUUUAAAUUAUUAUGGCCAUUUGGGUGGACAAAUGGGUGAAAUGGCGUGAAUGGGGCAUUUUUGAGAAAAAUCAGUGUGUUAUAACCCACGGUUUUGGGGGUGGGCCCUGGGUCCCAGCGUGCUGUUUGCAGAAAAUUGACCUGGGCAUGCCAGGGAGGUUGGAUAUCAUCCCAGUGUGGUUUGUUUAAAUUUUUGUGGUCAUUUGAGUGGACAAACGGGCAAAACAACAAAAACAGGGCAUUUUUAAGCCUAAUAAGAGUAUUAUAGCCCAUGGUUUUGGGGGUGGGCCCAUGGUUCGGGAAUGCUAUGGGCCAAAAAUUGACCGGGGCAUGCUAGGUAGGUUGGGGAUCAUCCCGAAGUGGUCCGUUUAAAUUUUUAUGGCUAUUUGGGUGGACAAACAAAUGAAACAGAGUGAACGGGGCAUUUUCGGGCUAAAUCAGUGGGCUAUAGCCUACGAUUUUGAGAAAGGGCCCAGGGUCCAGGCGUGUUGUGGUCCAAAAAUCCUUCGGAGCGUACCAGGGAGUUUUGGGGAUCAUCCUAGUGUUGUUCGUUUGAAUUUUCUUGGCUAUUUGGGUGGACAAAUUGGAGAAAUAGUGCUAACGGGGCGAUGUUGGGCCAAAUCGGUGUGUUAUAACCCACAGUUUUAAGGGUGGGCUAGGGUUUAAGGCGUGUUGUGGGUCAAAAAUUGAUCGGGGCCUACCAAGGAGGUUGGGGAUCUUUCUAGUAUGGUACGUUUAAAUUUGUAUGGCCAUUUAGAUUGACAAAAGGGAGAAACGGGGCGAACAGAGCAUUUUCGAGCUAAAUCGGUGUGCUAUAUCCCACGAUUUUGUGGGUGGGCUCGUGGUCUGGGUGUGUUGUGGGCCAAAAAUUGACCGAGGAAUGCUAGAGGGUUGGGGAUCAUCCCAGUGUGGUCUGUUUAAAUUUUUAUGGCCAUUUGAGUGGACAAACAGGCAAAACAACGGGAAUGGGGCAUUAUCGUUCCAAAUCGGUAUACUAUAGCCUACAGUUUUGGGGGUGGGCACUGGGUCCGAGGCGUGCUACAGGCUGAAAAUCAACUGGCGCAUGCCAAGGAGGUUACGGAUUAUCCCAGUGUGGUCUGUUUAAAUUUUCUUGGCCAUUUGGGAGGACAAAUGGGCAAAACGGGACGAAUGGGGCAUUUUUGGGCCAAAUCGGUGUACUAUAGCCCACAAUUUUGGGAAUAGAUCAGGGGUCUAAGCGUGCUGUGGAAAAUUGAUUGCCGUUUUCCAGGCAGGUUGGGGAAUAUCCCAGGGUGGUCCAUUUAAAUUUUCGUGGCCAUUUGGGUGGACAAACAAGCGAAAUGGUGCAAACGGGGCAUUUUUGGACCAAAUCGGUGUGCUAUUUCCCACGGUUUUGGGGGUGGGCCUGCAGUUCAGGCAUGCUGUGGGAAAAAAUUAACCGAGGCAUGCUAGGGAGGUUGGGCAUCAUCCCAUUGUGGUUCGUUGAAAUUUUUCUAGCUAUUUGGGUGCAGAAAUAGGCGAAACAGCGUGCACUGGACAUUUUUGGGACAAAUCCAUUUUCUAAGGCCAAAGAUUUUAGGGGUGGGCCCUGGGUUCGGCAUGUUGUACACUUAAAAUCGAUUGGGGUAUGACAGGGAGGUUAGGGAUCAUUCCGGUAUGGUCCACUUAAAAUUUUGUGGCCAUUUGGAUGGACAAACAGGGCAAACGACGUGAACGAGGCAUUUUCAGGGCAAAUUGGUGUGCUAUAGCCCAUGAUUUUAGGGGUGGGCCCGGGGUCCGGGCAUGCUAUGGGCUAAAAAUCGACUGAAGCAUUCCAGGGAAGUCGGGUAUCAUCUAGUGUGGUCCGUAUAAAUUUGUAUGGCCAUUUUAGAGGACAAACGGUUAAAACGGCAUAAACGGGGCAUUUUUAGGUAAAAUCACUGAGCUAUAGCCCACGAUUUUUGGAGUGGGCCUGAGGUUCGGGUACUCUAUGGGUUAAAAAUAGAUCGAAGCGUACCAGGGAGGAUAGGGAUAAUUCUAGUGAGGUACGUAUAAAUUUUCAUGGCCAUUUUGGUGGAUAAACGGGCAAAACAGCAUGAACGGGGAGUUUUCAAGCCAAAUCGAUGUGCUAUAGCCCACGAUUUUAAUGUGGGCCAGAGGUUUACGCGUGCUGUUGGCAAAAAAUUGUUUGAGGCAUGCUAGGGAGGUUAGGGUUCAUCCCAGUGAGAACCAUUUAAAUUUUCAUGGUCAUUUGGGUGGACAAAUAGGCAAAACGGCGCGAAUGGGGCAUUUUUGGGCCAAAUCAGUGUGCUAUAGCCCACGGUUUUGAAGGUGUGCCCGGGGUUCGGGUAUACUGUGGGCCAAAAAUUGACCGGUGUAUGCCCGGCAUGUUAGGAAUUAUCCCAAUAUGGUUCGUUAAAAUUUUUGUGUCUAUUUAUGUGGACAAACGGGCAAAAUAGCAUGAAUGGGGCAUUUUCGAGCAAAAUCGGUGUGCUAUAGCCCACGGUUUAUGGGGUGGGCCUAAGGUUAGGGCGUACUGAGGGACAAAAAUUGAUUGGGGCAUGGCAGGGAGGUUGGGGAUUGUCCCAGUAUAUUCCGUUUAAAUUUUCAUAGCCAUUUGGCUGGACAAAUGGGCAAAACGGUGUGAACCAGGCGUUUUCAGGUCAAAUUGAGGUGCUAUAGCCCACGACUUUGAGGGGCCCGAUGUCCAGGCAUGCUGUGGCUCAAAAAUUGACCGAGGCAAGCCAGGGAGGUUGGAAAACAUCCCAGUAUAUUAUGUUUAAAUUAUCAUGGCAAUAUGGGUGGACAAACGAGGGAAACCGUGCAAACGAGGCAUUUUUAGGCUAAAUCAGUGUGCUAUAGCUAAAGGUUUUAAGGGUGGACCCUGGCUUCGGAUGUGCUGUGGACAAAAAAUCAUCCAGUGUAUUCCAUGGAGGUUGGGGAUCAUCCCAGUGUGGUCCGUUUAAAUUUUUGUUGCCAUUUGGAUGGACAAAUAGGUGAAGCAGCACGAAUGGGGAAUUUUCGGGCUAAAUAGGUGUGCUAUAGCCCACGGUUUUGGGGGUGGGACUGGGGUUUGGGCGUUCUAUGGGCUGAAAUGAACCACGGCAUGCCAGGGAGGUUGGGAAUUUUCCCAAUGUAGUUCGUUUAAAAUUUCGUGGCCAUUUGGUUGGACAAAUGGGUGAAACGGCGCGAACGGGGCAUUUUUGGGUGAAAUUGGUAAAGCCUACGGCUUCGAGGGUGGGCACGAAAUUCGGGUGUGAUGUAUGCUUAAAGUUGACCAAGGUGUGCUAGGGAGGUUGGGAAUCAUCCUAUUGUGAUCCGUUUAAAUUUUUAUGGACAUUUGGGAGAACAAACAGGUGAAAUGGCGCGAAAGGGGCAUUAUUGAGCUAAAUCGGCGUGCUAUAGCCAACAAUUUUGGGGGUGAGCCCGGUGUGCAGGCGUGCUAUGGGACGAUAUUUGAUCGGGGCAUGCCAAGGAGGUUGGGUAUCAUCCUAGUUUUGUCCGUUUAAAUUCUCGUGACUAUUUGGGUGGACAAACUGGCAAAACGGUGUAAACGGAGCAUUUUCAGGCCAAAUCAAAGUGCUAUAACACAUGGUUUUGGAGGUGGGCCGGGGUUCGGGCAUUCUGUGAUCCUAAACAUAACUGAGGUAUGCCAGGGAGGUUGGGAAUCAUUCUAGUGUUGUACGUUUAAAUUUUUAUAGCUAUUUGUGUGCCAUUUUUGGGAUAAAUUGGUGUGCUAUAGCCCACGAUUUUAGGGGUUCGCCCGGGGUCCGGGCGUGCUGUAGGCUAAAAAUUGACCGGGGCAUGCCACGGAAGUUGAGGAUUAUCCCUGUGUGGUCCGCUUAAUUUUUCUUGGCCAUUUGGGUGGACAGACGGGUAAAAUGGUACAAUUGGGUCGUUCUCGGGCUAAAUUGAUGUGUCAUAGCCCACAAUUUUGGGGGUGAGCCCAUGGUUCGGGCACUCUAUGGGCCAAAAAUUGACCUGGGCGUGCUAGGGAGGUUGGGGAUCAUCCUAGUGUGGUCCGUGUAAAUUUUGUGGCCAUUUUGGUGAACAAAUGGACAAAAUGGCACAAACGGGGCAUUUUCGACCCAAAUGGGUAUGCUAUAGACCAUGGUUUCAGGGAUGGGCUCGACGUCCAGAUGUACUGUGGGAUAAAAAUCAACCGAAGAGUGCUAAGGAGGCUAGGGAUCUUCCCAGUGUAGUCCAUUUAAAUUUUUGUGGCCAUCUGGGUGGACAAACAGGCAAAACGGUGCAAACGAGAAUUUUCAAAUAAAAUUAAUGUGCUAUAGCCCACGGUUUUGGGGGUGGGCCCAGGGUACGAGUGUGCUGUAUGCUGAAAAUUGAUCGGGUCAUACCAAGGAGGUUGGGUAUCAUUCCAGUAUAGUCCGUUUUAAUUGUCAGGUCCAUUUGGGUGGACAAACGGGCGAAACGGCGCGAAUGAGGCAUUUUCAGGCUAAAUCAGUGUGCUAUAGCCCACGGUUUUAGGGGUUGUCCCAUAGUUUUAGUCGCUAUGGGCCAAAAAUCAUCCAGUGCAUUCUAGGGAGGUUGGGGAUAAUCCCAGUAUGGUCCGUUUUGGGUGGAAAAAUGGGCGAAGCAACGCGAAUGGGGAAUUUUUAGGCCAAAUAGGUGUGCUAUAGCCCACGGUUUUGGGGGUGGGCCCGGAGUCCGGGCGUACUGUGGGCCGAAAUCAACCGUGGCAUGCCAGGGAGGUUGGGGAUUAUGUAUGAGUGGUUUGUUUAAAAUUUUGUGGCCAUUUGUGUGGACAAACGAGCAAAAAGCCGCGAACGACAUAUUUUCGGGUAAAAUCGAUAUAGCCUACAUUUUUGUGGGUGAGCACGGGGUUUGAACAUGCUGAGGGAUGAAAAUUGAUCGAGGAGUGCCAGGGAGGUUGUGUAUCAUCCCAUUUUGGUCUGUUUAAAUUCUCAUAGCUAUUGUGGUGGACAGACAGCCAAAACGGUGCAAAUGGGGCAUAUUCAGACUAAAUUGGUAUGCUAUAACCCACGCUUUUGAAGGUGGGCCCAAGUUUUGGGCAUGUUGUGAUCCUAAAAUUGAUCGGGGAAUUCCAGAAAGAUCAGGUAUCAAUCUAGAGUAGUUUGUUUGAAUUUUUAUGGCUAUUUGUGUGGCAUUUUUAGGACAAAUCGAUGUGCUAUAGCCCACGGUUUUUGGGGUGGGCCUGCGAUUCGAGCAUGCUGUGGGCCAAAAAUCGACCGAGGCAUGCUAGGGAGGUUGGGGAUCAUCUUAGUGUGGUCCUUUUAAAUAUUUGUGGCUAUUUAGUAGGACAAACAGGCGAAACGGCGCGAAUUGGGCAUUUUUGGGACAAAUCGAUUUGUAAUAGCCGACGAUUUUAAGAGUGGACCCUGAAUUCGGACAUGAUGUGCACAUAAAUCAAUCGGGGCAUACCAGGGAGGUUGGGCAUUCCGUUAUGAUCCACUUAAAAUUUUGUGGCCAUUUGGGUGGACAAACAGGCCAAACGGCGCGAAAGAGGCAUUUUCAAGGCAAAUUAGUGGGCUAUAGCCUACGAAUUUUGGGGUGGGCCUAGUGUCCGAGCGUUUUAAGGGUUAAAAAUUGUCUGAGGCAUGCCAGGGAGGUUAGGGAUUGUCCCAGUGUGGUCUGUUUAACUUUUUGUGGCUAUUUAGGUGGACAAACGGGUGAAACGGCGUGAACGGGUCAUUUUAAGCCAAAUCAUUGUGCUAUAGCCCACAGUUUCGAGGGUGAGAACGAGGUUCGAACGUGCUAUGGGAUGAAAAUUGACUGAGGCAUGCUAGGGAGGUUGGGGAUCGACCUGUGUGGUCAGUUUGAAUUUUUGUUGUCAUUUGGAAGGACAAACGGGUGAAACGGCGCGAACGGGGCAUUAUCGGGCCAAAUCGAUGUGCUAUAGCCCACGUUUUUUGGGGGUGAGCCCGGUUUCUAGGCAUGCUGUGAGAGAAAUAUCAAACAAGGAUUGCCAGGGAGGUUGGGUAUUAUCCUAGUUUGCUCAAUUUAAAUUCUCGUGGCUAUUUGGGUUGACAAAUGGGCAAAACGAUACAAAUGGUGAAAUUUCAGGAAAAAUUGGUGUGCUAUAACCCACAGUUUUGGGGGUGGGCCUGGGGUUUGGGCAUGCUGUGAUCCAAAAAUCGAUCAAGGAAUGGCAGGGAGGUUGGGGAUCAUUCCAGUAUGGUCCGUUUAUAUUUUCAUGGCUAUUUGUGUCGCAUUUUUAGAACAAAUCAGUGUGCUAUAGCCCACGGUUUUAGGGGUUGGCCCGGGGUCCGGGUGUGCUGUGGGCCAAUAAUUGUCCGGGGCGUGCCAGAGAAGUUCAGAAUCAUCACUGAGUAGUUUAUUUAAUUUUUCAUGGCCAUUUGGAUGGACAAACGGUGCGAAGGAGACAUUUUCUGGCCAAAUCGGUGUGCUAUUGCCCACAAUUUUUGGGGUCGUCCCAGGGUUUGGGCAUGCUGUGGUCCAAAAAUUGACCUGGGCAUGCUAGGGAGAUUGGGGAUCUUCCCAGUGUGGUUCGUUUAAUUUUUUUGGCCAUUUUGGUGGAAAUACUGACGAAACAGCACGCACGGAGCAUUUUUGGGCCAAAUCGGUGUGCUAUAGCCCACGAUUUUGGGGAUGGGCUCGAGUUCCGGACGUAUUACGAGAUGAAAAUCGACCGGGGCAUGCUAGGGAGGUUGGAGUUCAUCCCAGUGUGGUCCGCUUAAAUUUUCUUGGCCAUUUGGGUGGACAAACGGCUGAAACAACGCGAACGGGGCAUUUUUGGGCCAAAUUGGUGUGCUAGGGUUUUCGGGUUGGGCCUAGGGUCUAGGCGUACUUUGCACCAAAAAUCAAUCAGGGCAUGCUAGGGAGGUUGGGUAUCAUCCCAGUGUGGUCCGUAUAAGUUUUUAUGGCCAUUUGAGAGGAUAGAUGGGCAAAACGGCAUAAAUGGGGAAUUUUAAGACAAAAUCGGUGAGCUAUUGCCCACGGUUUUGGGGGUGGGCCUGAGGUUCGGGCAUUCUAUGGGUCAAAAAUAGACUGGAGCAUACUAGGCAGGAUGGGGAUGAUUCCAGUAUGGUACGUAUAAAUUUUCAUGGCUAUUUGGUUGGACAAACGGGCAAAACGGCACAGAUGGGGAGUUUUCAGGUCAAAUCGAUGUGCUAUAGACCAUGGUUUUGGGGUGGGCUCGAGGUCUACGCAUGCUGUGGGCCAAAAAUUGACCGAGGCAUACUAGGGAGGUUAGGGAUCAUCCCAGUUAGAACCGUUUAAAUUUUUGUGGUCAUUUGGGUGAAAAAUAGGCGAAACGGCAUGAAUGGGGCAUUUUGAGGCCAAAUCUGUGUGCUAUAGCCCAUGGUUUCGAGAGUGUGCCCGGGUUUUGGGCAUACUAUGGGCCAUAAAUAGACCGGUGCAUGCCACGGAUGUUAGGGAUCAUCCCAGUAUGGUUCGUUUAAAUUUUCGUGUCUAUUUGUGUGGACAAACGGUCAAAACACCAUGAUUAGGGCAUUUUCAGGCCAAAUCGAUGUUCAAUAGCCCACGGUUUUGGGUGUGGACACAAGAACAGGGCGUGCUGUGGGCCAAAAAUUAACUGGGGCAUACCAGGGAGGUUGGAGAUCAUUCUAGUAUGGUCCGUUUAAAUUUUCAUAGCGAUUUGUCUUGACAAACGGGCAGAACAGUGUGAACCGAGCAUUUUCAAGAUAAAUCGGGGUGCUAUAGCCCACGGUUUUGGGGGUGGGCCCGAGGUCCAAGUAUGCUGUGGGCCGAAAUUUGACCGGGGAAUGCCAGGGAUGUUGGGGAUCAUCCCAGUGUAGUCUGUUUAAAUUAUCGUGGCGAAACAGUGUGAACGAGGCAUUUUCACGCUAAAUCAUAGUGCUAUAGCCCACGGUUUUAAGAGUGGAUCCAGGAUUCGGGUGUGUUGUGGACCAAAAAUCAUCCAGUCCAUUCCAAGGAGGUUGGGGAUCAUCCCAGUGUGGUCCGUUUAAAUUUUUGUGGCCAUUUGAGUAGUCAAAUUGGUGAACCAGCACAAACGGGGAAUUUUCGAGCCAAAUAGGUGUGCUAUAGCCCACGGUUUUGGGGGUAGGCCUGGGGUUCGAUUGUGUUGUGGGCUAAAAUCAACUGGGGCAUGCCAGGGAGGUUGGGGAUUAUCCCAGUGUGGUUCGUUUAAAAUUUUGUGUCCAUUUGGGUGGACAAACAGGCAAAAUGGUGCGAACGGAGCAUUUUUGGGCAAAAUCAUUAUAGCCUACAGUUUUAAGGGUGGGCACGGGGUUCGGACGUGAUGUGAUCUGAAAAUUUACCUAGUCAUGCUAGGGAGGUUGGUAAUUAUCCCAGUGUGGUCCGUUUAAAUUUUUAUGCCCAUUUGGGAUAACAAACGGGCGAAAAGGCACAAAAGGGUUAUAGCCUACGGUUUUGGGGGUAGGCUCAGUGUCCAGGCAUGCUGUGGGAUGACAAUUGACCAGGGCAUUCCAGGGAAGUUGGGUAUUAUCUCAGUUUGGUUCGUUUAAAUUCUCAUGGCUAUUUGGGUGAACAAACGGGCAAAACGGUACAAAUAGGGCAUUUUCAAGCCAAAUUGGUGUGCUAUAACCCACGGUUUUGGAGGUGGGAUAGGGUUCGGGCAUGCUGUGAUCCAAAAUUUGACCGAUUCAUGCCAUGGAAGUUGGGAAUCAUUCCAGUUAGCUACGUUUGAAUUUUCAAAGCUAUUUGUGUGCCAUUUUCGGGAUAAAUUGGUGUGCUAUAGCCCACGAUCUUAGGGAUUGGCCUAGGGUCCGGGCGUGCUGUUGGCUAAAAAUCGGCCGGGGCAUGCGAAGGAAGCUGAAGAUCAUCCCUAUUUGGUCUUUUUAAUUAUUCCUGACCAUUUGGGUGGACAGACGGGCAAAACGGCACAAAUAGGGCAUUGUCGGGCCAAAUCGGUGUGCCAUAGCCCAUGGUUUUUUGGGGUGGGCUCGGGGUUUGGGCAUUUUAUGGGCCAAAAGUUGACCUGGGCAUGCCAGGGAGAUUGGGGAUCAUCCUAGUGUGGUCCGUUUAAAUUUUUGUAGUUAUUUUGGUGGACAAACGGGUGAAUUGGCGCGAACGGGGCAUUUUCAAACAAAAUCGAUGUGUUAUAGCCUACAAUUUUGGGUGUGGGUCCAGGGUCCGAGCGUGCUGUGUGCUGAAAAUCGAUCGAAGAAUGCCAGGGAGGUUAGGUAUCAUCCCAGUGUAGUCUGUUUAGAUUGUCAGGGCCAUCUGGGUGGACAAACGGGUGAAACGGUGCAAAUGAGGCACUUUCAGGCUAAAUCAGUAUGCUAUUGCCCACGGUUUUAGGGGUGGACCCAGAGUUUGGGUGUGAUAUGGGCCAAAAAUCAUCCACUACAUUCCAGGGAGGUUGAUGAUCAUCCCAGUGUGGUUCGUUUAUAUUUUUGAGGCCAUUUGGGUUGACAAAGGGGCGAAGUGGCACAAACGGGGAAUUUUUGGGCCAAAUAGGUGUCCUAUAGCCCACGGUUUUAGGGGUGUACCUGGAGUUAGCGCGUGCUGUGUGUCGAAAUCAACUGGGGUAUGCCAGGGAGGUUGGGGAUUAUCCCUGUGUGGUUCUUUUAAUAUUUCCUGGCCAUUUGGGUGGACAAACGGGCAAAAUGGCGCGAACGAGGUAUUUUCGAACAAAAUUGAUAUAGCCUAUGAUUUUGAGGGUGGGCACGGGGUUUGAACAUGCUGAGGGAUGAAAAUCGAUCGAGGAGUGUCAGGGAGGUUGAGGAACGUCCCAGUAUGGUCCGUUUAAAUUUUUGUGUCCAUUUGGGCGGAUACCCCACGAUUUUGAGGGUGGGCCCGGUGUUCAGGUGUGCUAUGGGAUUAAAAUUGAUUGGGGCGUGUGUAACACCCCGAGAAAUUUUUUGUUGAAAUUUUGCGCGUAAAUGUGUUGGGUUCUAUCUUCUAGAAUGAAUUAUAAAUUUUUCAUGAGGAAUGUUUUAGAUUAUGACUCACCAUUGUGUAGAGUAUUGAAUAAUCUUUCCAACGAUAUAUGGAUCAUCCAAAACGGACACCUGAACGACGAGUUAUGAAUAUUCCGAUCGAACCGUGAAUAGUAGUGAACAGUAAAACGUGCAGGAAAAAGUACUGAGGCCUGGCGUAUUUUUGCUCCAACUUUAAAUGAUCAUAACUCCUUGUACAUAAUGAUGUGGCGGAUAUACUAGUAUCAACGGAAAGCUCUUCGAGUCCUCUUUCCAAAGAAAUUGGUUUCAUCCAAUUUGUCUUUCAGAACAAAAAGUUAUGGUCGAUCUACUUCAGCCUAUCAAAAGUGAAUUUUUGGGUCAAAUACAAACAAUCAUAAAUCCUCUUACACAAUGAUCUGGGUGAGAUACUAUAUAUCAACGGGAAGAUAUGAGAGUCCUCUUUCUAAUGAAAUUAGUUUCAUCAAAUUUGGAUAUCGGAGUAAAACGUUAUAGUAGAUCUACUUCAAACUAUCAAAAAAGUCCAUCAAAGGACAGAUUCGAGAAUUAUUUGAUUUUUAGGGGCAUUUUGGUCAUUCUUCCUCACCCAAAAUCCGUCCAAACCCUAUAUUAAAUCCUAUUAGAAUCAUUAUAUGUUAUAUUUCAUCAAAUUUCCUCAAAAAAUUUUUAUUUGAUUUUUAUGAAUUUGAAGCAUGAACCCAUAUCUUAUGAUGAUUAUUAUGAAAUCUUAAUAUUUAUGAUUUUGAAAGAUGAAUUUACAUAUGUGGAGAUAUAAAUCAUAAAUCUUGAAUGAUAUUUAUCAUGAUUUAUGUAGUUGGGUUGUGAAUUCCCAUUGGAAAUUCUUUUUUUUUUUGAGAAAGUGUGUGUUAUAAGCAUGUUGAUGUUGAAUAUUUGAGAUAUUUUGAAUGAUUUGACCUUUUGGUCUUAAUGGAGUUGUUUUGAACUCGAGUGUGAAAGAAAUCCACUACGUGGUUGAUUUUGAUAGAUGGAAAGCAUGAUGGCUCCCGAUGUAUAUUUAUAUAAUACAGAAAUUGUUUUAUAAUGGAUUGUCUUUGAAAUGAUCUGAGCUAAGUCCAGGAGAAAUCUUUAGCACCGAGUGGGAGGUAUAAAGCAACCUUACUUUCCUAGAACUGUAUGCCCCUAUGAGAGUAAGCCUGAGGCUGAUUUAUAUAGUGAUCACUAGUUUGUGUGGAUUUGAUAUCGAUAGUCCUACUCCGAUGGAAAGGAUAGGAUGGCUCUCCCCAACGUGGGUUGUACGUUGGACUCCAUGUAGCUUACAUGGUUUAUGUCGGUUAUAGGAUCUCCCAGUGUGUGUGUGUUUNNNNNNNNNNNNNNNNNNNNNNNNNNNNNNNNNNNNNNNNNNNNNNNNNNNNNNNNNNNNNNNNNNNNNNNNNNNNNNNNNNNNNNNNNNNNNNNNNNNNNNNNNNNNNNNNNNNNNNNNNNNNNNNNNNNNNNNNNNNNNNNNNNNNNNNNNNNNNNNNNNNNNNNNNNNNNNNNNNNNNNNNNNNNNNNNNNNNNNGCUAUGUGAGUCUUUCAUACAUCCUGCAUAUUUCUUAUAAAUAUUUAUGAUUAUGAUGUUUAUAAAACUGCAUACACCCCCAUAUACUCAGUUCCUUUCCAUGGUACUAACCCACAUCUUCGGAUGUGGGCUGCAUUUUCUUGAAAUGUAGGUUUAGGUGCUCAGUUCCAGGUUCGACAAUAAUUCUUUGGGCAUGCUAUUCUAGAUCCUCUAUCGUGGUGAGUCAUCAUGUUCCGAGGACGUGAUAUCUAAUGUUGGUUUCACGGAAUUCUUUACAUUUGAUAACUGAGUAUGAGUCAGUUAGGGCAUGUCUCAAUGGCUCGUUGGUUUUAAUGAAUUUCUUAGAGGCUUGUCAGACUAGUAUAGAUGUUGGGAGUUGACUAAUAAGUCAUAUUUUGUUAUCUUUCUGAAAUUCUUUUAUUUUUGGAUGAUGAUUACUCUGUUGAUAUUUGAGGUUAUUUAUGAAAACUCUGUUGAUUCGUGUUGAACAGAAUGAAAAUGGCUCAAAGGGUUAUCUUGGGGCUACUCGUAGCCUCAAGCAUCGUGUGACGCUCCGGAACCCAUUUUUGGAGCAUUACAAACUUGGUAUUAGAGCCUAAGGUUUUAAGGUAUCCUAAGGAGUCUGACAAGCCGCAUUAAGUAGAGUCUUGAUCAUCGGUGUGUAGCGCACCACAUCUAUGAGCAAGAGUCUAUAAGACGUUUUAGGAAAAAGUGUGAUUCUUUCUUUCAGAAGUCUAUCGUGCUUAAAGUGUCUCUCUCUGCUAUUGAUUCGUGCUCUCCUCUUUCAAAAAUAUGCCUCCGCUAGAAAGCUUAUUUCCAAGGGGUGUAUUUACCAUUUGGUUAUAGUCAAAGACACUAAGUCUGAGACUCCAACUCUCCAUUCUGUUAACGUUGUCAAUGAGUUUUCUGAUGUCUUUUCGGAUGAUCUCCCAAGGAUAUUUCCUAAUAGAGAGAUAGAGUUCGAGAUUGAUCUUCUUCCCAAUACUCAGGCCAUUUCUAUUCCUCCUUACCGUAUGGCCCCUGCAGAACUUAAGGAGUUGAAAGAGCAACUCAAAGAUCUACUAGAUAAGGGUUUCAUAAGGCCCAGUAUUUAUCCUUGGGGUGCUCUUAUGUUGUUUGUGAGAAAGAAAGAUGGCUCUUUGCGUAUGUGCAUUGAUUACCGCCAACUGAAUAAAGUCACCAUAAAAAAUAAGUAACCCCUUCUGAGAAUAGAUGAUUUGUUUGACCAAUUGCAAGGUGAAAGUUAUUUCUCAAAGAUAGACCUUCAUUCUGGCUAUCAUCAACUCAAAGUUAGGGAGUGUGACAUCCCUAUUAUCUCCGAACUGUCUAGCAAACCCAUAGAGAUCACAAGUUGUUUGCCAAUUUUAGUAAGUGUGAGUUUUGGCUAAGGUCAGUUGCUUUUCUAGGUCAUAUCAUUUCUUCCGAGGGUAUUAGAGUUGAUCCCCAAAAGAUCGAAGCUUUUAGAAAUUAGCCUAGACCUAUUUCUUCGACUGAUAUCCGAAGUUUCUUGGGUUUAGCUGGCUAUUACCGCCAUUUUGUUGAGGGUUUCUCCUCUAUACAGUCUCCUAUGACUCGGUUGACCCAAAAGAAAGUAAAGUUCUUGUGGUCCGAAUCUUGUGAGAAGAGUUUUUAGGAGUUGAAGACUCGACUCACUUCAACCCCUAUUUUGACUUUGCCUGAUGUAUUGAUGGUUUUGUGGUGUACUGUGAUGCUUCGAGUUCGGUUAGGUUGCGUAUUGAUGUAGAAGGGUAAGGUGAUAGCUUAUGCUUCUAGACAAUUGAAAUCCCAUGAGAAAAAUUACCCCACCCAUGACCUUGAGUUGGCUGCUGUUGUGUUUGCUUUGAAAAUCUGGAGACACUAUUUGUAUGGUGUCAAUGUUGAUGUUUUCAUUGAUCAUAAGAGUCUACAGUAUGUGUUUACCCAGAGAGAAUUAAAUCUUAGGUAGAGACUAUGGUUAGAAUUGUUAAAGGACUAUGAUAUAAGUGUGCUGUACCAUCCGGGCAAGGCCAAUAUUAUGGUGGAUGCCCUAAGUAGAGUGUCCAUGGGUAGUUUUUCACAUGUGGUAGAAGGUAAGAAAGAGUUGGCUCAUGAUGUACAUCAUUUGGCUAGAUUGGGGGUUAGGUUGUUUGACUUUGCUGAAGGUAGUAUAGAAGUUCAGAGUAGUUCCUAAUCCUCCUUGGUUUCAAAAGUUAAGGAAAAACAAUACUUAGAUGCUAGUUUGGCCAGACUGAAGAAGUCAGUCAAGGACCAAAAAGUAGAGGUUUUCUCCCAAGGGNNNNNNNNNNNNNNNNNNNNNNNNNNNNNNNNNNNNNNNNNNNNNNNNNNNNNNNNNNNNNNNNNNNNNNNNNNNNNNNNNNNNNNNNNNNNNNNNNNNNNNNNNNNNNNNNNNNNNNNNNNNNNNNNNNNNNNNNNNNNNNNNNNNNNNNNNNNNNNNNNNNNNNNNNNNNNNNNNNNNNNNNNNNNNNNNNNNNNNNNNNNNNNNNNNNNNNNNNNNNNNNNNNNNNNNNNNNNNNNNNNNNNNNNNNNNNNNNNNNNNNNNNNNNNNNNNNNNNNNNNNNNNNNNNNNNNNNNNNNNNNNNNNNNNNNNNNNNNNNNNNNNNNNNNNNNNNNNNNNNNNNNNNNNNNNNNNNNNNNNNNNNNNNNNNNNNNNNNNNNNNNNNNNNNNNNNNNNNNNNNNNNNNNNNNNNNNNNNNNNNNNNNNNNNNNNNNNUGUAUCGAGAUUAUAGGAAAUCUAUUGGUGGAGUGGCAUGAAGAAAGAUAUAGCAGCAUUUGUAGCUAAGUAUGCAACAUGCCAACAGGUUAAGGUUGAACACCAAAGACCUAGUGGUAUGAUGCAAGAGUUUAGUAUUCCCACCUAUUAGUGGAAAGAGAUAAAUAUGGACUUCGUGAUUGGUUAAACUCCUUCCCAACACCAUCAUGAUUCCAUUUGGGUUGUGGUUGAUAGGUUGACUGAGUCUGCUCAUUUCUUGCCUGUUCAUACUUCAUAUACUACUGAGGAUUGCGCUAGAUUGUAUAUCCGAGAGCUAGUCAGACUGCAUGGAGUUCCCUUGUCUAUCAUUUCGGAUAGGGGUACUCAACUUACUUCGCAAUUUUGGAAAGCUUUUCAGAAGGGUCUUGGUACCCAAGUGCUUUUGAGUUCUGCUUUUCAUCUGCAGACCGAUGGUCAGGCUGAGCGGACCAUCCAAACCUUAGAGGAUAUGUUGAGAGAUUUUAUACUUGACUUUAAGGGAAGUUGGGAUGAUCACUUACCUUUGAUAGAGUUUGCUUACAAUAACAGUUUCCACUCUAGUAUUGGCAUGGCUCCAUUUGAAGCCUUAUAUGGGAGGAAGUGUAGAUCACCCAUAGGUUGGUUCGAGGUGGGUGAAGCGGCUGUAAGUGGUCCUGAUUCGGUAUUUGAGGCUAUGGAAAAAGAUAAGUUGAUUAGGGAAAGGUUGAAAACUGUGCAGAGCCGUCAAAAGUGAUAUGCUGAUGUUAGAAGGAGAGACCUUGAGAUUGAAGUUGGUGACCUAGUGUAUCUGAAAAUUUCACCCAUGAGGGGGGUGAAGAGAUUCGAAAAGAAGGGGAAGCUUAGUCCCCGUUAUGUUGGUCCUUACAAAAUUCUUAGCCAUACUGGUAAGGUAGCUUAUGAGGUCGAGUUGCCUUCUGAGUUGUCCUCUGUUCAUCCAAUAUUCCAUGUGUCCAUGCUUAGAAAGCAUAUUAGCGAUGUUGUGGUAGUGGAUUCCUCUGUGAGUGCUGGCAUUCAAGAAAAUCUUUCUCUUGAUGAGAUUCCUAUUGAGAUUCUUGAUUUCAGUGUCCAAAGACUAAGGAACAAAAAAGUUCCCUUGGUCAAGGAGUUGUAGCGAAACCAAUCUGUUAAGUGUGCAACUUGGGAAGCUGAGGCGGAUAUGCGAUCCAAGUACCCGCACCUAUUUUUUGUGAACUCUGAUCAAGCCGAAGGUACCGUUCUUUCCUAAAUCAUUCACUUUUAAUAAAAGUUGCAGCAGUUCAGCUGUCAUUUAUUAUGUGUUCAGCUGUAGUUUCUUGAAUUUAUGCGUUCGAUGUUGCAUUUGGAGUGAGAAACGAUGUGGUGAUGAGCCUAACGAAUGGUUUCAGUUGUAUGCUCGAUUCCCUAUCUAAUCUUGGCAUGUCUAUCAUCAUUCGAGGAUGAAUGUUUCCAAGGGGGGAUGAUGUAAUAACCCGGGUAAUUUUUCGUUGAAAUUUUGUGCGUAAAUAUGUUGGGUUCUAUCUUCUAGAAUAAAUUAUAAUUUUUUUCGUGCGGAAUGUCAUAGAUUAUAACCCACCAUUACGUAGAGUAUCAAAUAAUAUUUCCAACAAUAUGUAGAUCAUCCAAAACGGACACCUGAGCGACGAGUUAUGAACAUUCCGAUCAAACCAUGAAUAGUAGUGAACAGUAAAACGUGCAGGAAAAAGUACUGAGCCCUGACGUAUUUUUGCUCCAACUUUAAAUGAUCAUAACUCCUUGUACAUAAUGAUGUGGUGGAUAUACUAUUAUCGACGGAAAAGCUCUGCGAUCCUCUUUCCAAAGAAAUUGGUUUCAUCCAAUUUGUCUUUCGGAGCAAAAAGUUACGGUCGAUCUACUUCAGCCUAUCAAAAGUGAAUUUUUGGGUCAAAUUUAAACGAUCAUAACACCUCGUACAAAAUUAUCUGGGUAAGAUACUAUAUAUCAACGGAGAGAUAUGAGAGUCCUCUUUCUAAUAAAAUUAGUUUCAUCUAAUUUAGAUAUCGGAGUAAAACGUUAUGGUUGAUCUACUUCAAACUAUCAAAAUAGUUCACCAAAGGACAAAUUCGAGAAUUAUUUGAUUUUUAGGGGCGUUUUGGUCAUCCCCCCUCACCCAAAAUCCGUCCAAACCCUAUAAAAAAGUCCAAACCCUAUAUUAAAGCCUAUUAGAAGCACUAUAUGUUAUAUUUCAUCAAAUUCCCUCAAAAAGAAAACCCUAAGCUCCUACAUCCAACUUCAAGAACCUCCAAAGUUCACCAUUAAUUCUGCAAAUUUAUUCAAAUUCCAAGUUCCUAAUUCAAGAACUUCAAGAACCUCCAAAUUGCACCAUUAAUUCUGCAAAUUUAUUCAAGAUUCCAAGUUCCAAGUUUAAAAACUCCAAGAACCAUCAUUCAAAGGCACGAUUAACAUCUCAAAAAUGAGUAUCAAUCUAAAGUUCAAUAUUCAAGGUAUGUGGGAUUUUUCAACAAGAACUCUCUUUCGUUCUUGUGUCCAAAAGUAAUUUUCUUUACAAAGGCAUGAUUUUUAUUUGAUUUUUAUGAAUUUGAAGCAUGAAACCAUAUCUUAUGAUGAUUAUUAAAAAUCCUGAUGUUUAUGAUUUUGAAAGAUGAAUUUACAUGCGUGGAGAUAUAAAGCAUGAAUCUUGAAUGAUAUUUAUCAUGAUUUUGAUAUUUGGAUCGUGAAUCCCUAUUGGAAGUUGUGUUUUUUGUUAAUGUGUGUGUUAUAAGCACUUUGAUGGUAAAUAUUUGAGAUAUUUUGAAUGAUUUGACCUUUUGGUCUUAAUGGAGUUGUUUUGAACUCGAGUGUGAAAGAAGUCCACAAAGGUGGUUGAUUUUGAUAGAUGGGAAGCAUGAUGGCUCCCGAUGUAUAUUUAUAUAUUACUGAAAUUUUUUUAUUAUGGAUUGUCUUUGAAAUGAUCUAAACUAACUCUGGGAGAAAUCUUUAGCACCGAGUGGGAGGUAUAAAGUGACCUUACUUACCUAUAACUAUGUGCCCCCGUAGGAGUGACCCUGGAGCUGAUUUAUAUAGUGAUCACUAGUUUGUUUGGAUUUGAUAUGGAUAGUCCAACUCUAAUGGCAAGGAUAGGACGGAUCUCUCCAACGUGGGUUGUACGUUGGACUCCAUGUAGCUCACAUGGUUUAUGUCGGUUAUGCGAUCUCCUAGUGUGUGUGUGUUUCCUUGUGUCUAUGGUGAAUGGUGAAGUGAUUUGAUAGUGGAAUUGUGAAAGUUAUUAUUUCGAAAGAUUUAAAUGAUAUUUACAUUAUGAGAAUUGAUAUUCUUGAUGAACUGAAAGUGAUCGAUAAAUUAUAUGAUGACUCACAUGUGUUAUUGUACUUAUUUUAUCCUCUCAUGAUUAUGAUGAUUUUGUUCGGGCUAUGUGAGUCUUUCAUACAUCCUGCAUAUUCCUUAUAAAUAUUUAUGAUGAUGAUGUUUAUAAAAUUGCAUACACCCCCAUAUACUCGGUUCCUUUCCAUGGUACUUUCCCACAUCUUUGGAUGUGAGCUACAUUUUCUCGAAAUAUAGGUUUAGGUGCUCAGUUCUAGGUUCGACAGUGAUUCAUUGGGCAUGCUAUUCUAGAUCCUCUGUCAUGGUGAGUCCUCAUGUUCUGAGGACGUGAUGUCUGAUGUUGGUUUCACGGAAUUAUUUAUAUAUGAUAACUGAGUGUGAGUCUGUUGGGGCAUGUCUCAAUGGCUCGCUGGUUUUAAUGAAUUUCUUAGAGGCUUGUCAGACUAGUUUAGAUUUUGGGAGUUGACUAAUAAGUCGUAUUUUGUUAUCUUUCUGAAAUUCAUAUAUUCUUGGAUGAUGGAAACCCCGUUGAUUCGUGUUGAACUGAAUGAAAAUGGCUCAAAGGGUUAUCUUGGGGCUACUCGUAGCCUCAAGCACCGUGUGACACUCCAGGCCCCAUUUCUGGGGUGUUACAGUGUGCUAAGGAGGUUGGGUAUCAUCCAAGUUUGGUCCAUUUAAAUUCUAGUAGCUAUUGUGGUGGACAAACGGGUAAAACGGUGUAAAUGGGGCAUAUUCAGACCAAAUUGGUAUGCUAUAACCCAUGAUUUUGGAGGUGGGCCUGGGGGUUGGGUAUACUGUUCUCCUAAAAUCGAUCGGGGCAUGCCAGGGAGUCGGGGAUCAUUUCAGUGUGGUUCAUUUAAAUUUUCAUGUCUAUUUGUGUGGCAUUUUUGGGACAUAUCGGUGUGUUUUAGCCAACGGUUUUAGGGGUUGGUCCGGGAUCUGGGCGUGCUGUAGGCCAAAACUUACUGGGGUGUGUGAGGGAAGUUUGGGAUCGUCCCUGUGUGGUUCAUUUAAUUUUUUGUGGCUAUUUGGGUAGACAAACGGGCAAACAGUACGAAUGGAGCAUUUUGGGCCAAAUCGGUGUGCUAUAGCCAACGAUUUCGGGGGUAGGCCUGGGGUUCAGGCAUGCUGUGGGCCAAAAAUCACCCUUGGCAUGCCAGGAAGGUUGGUAAUCAUCCUAGUGUGUUUCGUUUAUAUUUUUGUGUCUAAUUUGGUGGACAAACGGGAGAAACGGUGCAAAUUGGGCAUUUUCGUGCCAAAUCGAUGUGCUAUAGCACAUAGUUUUAGGGGUGGGCUCGGGGUCCAGAUGUACUGUUGGUUGAAAAUUGACCAAGGUAUACCAGGGAGGUUGUUUAUCAUCUCAGUGUGGUUCGUUUAAAUUUUUGUGGCCAUUUGAGUAGACAAACGGGCAAAAUGGCACAAACGGGUCAUUUUUAAAGCCAAAUAGGUGAGCUAUAGUCCACAGUUUCGGGGGUGGGCCCAGGGUCCUGGCAUUCCAUAGGUCAAAAUUUAACUGAGACAUACUAGGGAGAUUGAGGAUCAUACUCGUGUGGUACGUUUAAAUUUUCAUGGCUAUUAGGGUGGACAAACAGGCGAAACACUGCGAACGGGGAGUUUUCGGGCCAAAUUAGUGUGCUAGAGCCCACGGUUUUGGGGUGGGCCUUAGGUCCGGGUGUUCUAUGGGCUAAAAAUUGACCUAGGUGUGCUAGGGAGGUUAGGGAUCAUCCCAUUUUAAACCUUUUAAAUUUAAGAGGCUAUUUGGGUGGUCAAAUAAGCGAAACGGCGUGAAUGGGGCAUUUUCUGGCCAAAUCAAUAUGCUAUAGCCCACAUUUUUGGGGGCGGGCCUGGGGUUGGAGUAUAUUUUGGGCGACAAAUAGACCGGUGCAUGACAGGGAGGUUAUGGAUCAUCCUAGUAUGGUUUGUUUAAUUUUUCAUAUCUAUUUGGGUGGACAAACUGGCAAAAUGGCAUGAAUGGGGCAUUUUUGGGCCAAAUCGAUGUGCUAUAGCCCUCGAUUUUGGGGGUGGGCCCGAGGUAAGGGCGUGUUGUGGGAUGAAAAUCGACUGAGACAUGCUAGGGAGGUUGGGGAUCAUCCCAUUAUGCUCCAUUUUAAUUUUCAUAGCUAUUAGGUUGGAUAAACGGGCGAAACGGCGUGCACAGGGAAUUUUCGGGCCAAAUCGGUAUGCUAUAGCCCACGGUUUUGGGGGUGGGACCGAGGUCCGAGCAUGUUGUGGGCUAAAAAUUGAUCGGGGCAUGCUAGGGAGGUUGGGGAUCAUUCCAGUAUAGUCCUUUUAAAUUGUUGUGACCAUUUGGGUGGACAAAUGGGAGAAACAGCGCGAAUGAGGCAUCUUCAAGAAAAAUCAGUGUGUUAUAGCCCACGAUUUUAGGGGUGGGACCAGGGUUCAGGUGUACAAUGGGAAAAAAAUUAUCCAGUACCUUCCAGGGAGGUUAGGGAUCAUUUGGGUGGACAAAUGGGCGAAGCGGCGCAAACGGGGAAUUUUUGGGCCAAAUAGGUUUGCUACAGCCCAUGGUUUUAGGGGUGAGCCCAGGGUUCGAGCGUGUUGUAGGUGGAAAAUUGAUCGGGGCAUGCUAAAGAGGUUGGAGAUCAUCCUUGUGUGGUUCGUUUAAAUUUUUUAGGCUAUUUCUAUGGACAAACGAGCAAAACGGCAUGAUUGGAACUAUUUGAGGCAAAAUCGUUGUGCUAUAGUCCACAGUUUUGAGGGUGGGCCCGCGGUCCGGCCGUGCUGUUGGCCAAAACUCAAUAAGGCAUGCUAGAGAGGUUGACGAUCAUCCUAGUAUAAUCCGUUUAAUUUUUUGUGGCCAUUUGGGUGGACAAACAGAUUAAACUAUGUGAACAGGGAAAUUUUGGGUCAAAUCGGUGUGCUAUAGCCCACGGUUUCGGGAGUGGACCUUUGGACCGAGCGUGCCGUGGAUCGAAAAUUAAAUGGGGCAUGCUAGGGAGGUUGGAAAUUAUCCCUGUAUGGCCUGUUUAAAUCUUCGUGGCCAUUUGAGUGGACAAUCGGGCAAAACUACGCAAACGAAGCAUUUUUGGGCCAAAUUGUUUGUUAUAUAUAGCCCAAGGUUUUGGGGGUAGGCCUGGGGUUUGGGUCUACUGUGGGACAAAAAUCGGCCAGAUCAUGUCAGGAUGGUUUACAAUCAUCCCAAUGUGGUCCGUUUAAAUAUUUAUUGCCAUUUGGGUGGACAAACGUGCGAAACGGCACGAACGGGGCACUUUUAGGCCAAAUCGAUAUGCUUCAGCCCAUGGUUUUGGGGUUGAGCCCGAGGUUUAGGAUUUCUAUGGGCAAAAAAUACACUGUGAUAUGUUAGGGGGUUGAGGAUCAUCCCAGUAUAGUCCGUUUAAAUUAUUGAGGCCAUUUGGGUGGACUAUUAGGCAAAAAGCACGAAUGGGGCAUUUUCGGACCAAAUUGGUGUGCUAUAGCCCAUGGUUUCGGGAGUAUGCCCAGCGUGUGGGUGUUCUGUGGGUCAAAAAUUGACUAGGGCAUGACAGGAAGGUUGGGGAUCAUCAUAGUGUGGUCCUUUUAAAUUUUCGUGGCCACUUGGGUGGACAAAUGGGCGAAAUAGCGUGAACGGGGCAUUGUCGAACCAAAUUGAUAUGCUAUAGCCACAGUUUUGGGGGUGGGCCUUUAGUCUGAGCGAUUUGUGGGACAAAACUAGAAUGGGGCAUACCAGAGAGGUUGGGGAUCAUCCCAGUGUAGUCCUUUUAAAUUUUCAUGGCUAUUUGGAUGGACAAACAGGAAAAACGCGCGCGAACGGGGCCUUUUUGGGCCAAUUCGGUGUGCUAUAGCCUACGAUUUAGGGGUAGGCCUAGGGUUCGGGCGUACUGCAGGCCAAAUUGAUAUGCUAUAGCCCACGGUUUUAGGGGUGUGCCUGGGCUCUGAGCGUGUUAUAGGACAAAAAUUUAUUGGGGCAUGCUAGGGAGGUUGGGGAUCGUCCCAGUGUGGUUUGUUUAAAUUUUCAUGGACAUUUGAGUGGACAAACAGGAAAAACGGCGCGAACAGGGCAUUUUGUGCCAAAUCAGUGUGCUAAACCUACGAUUUUGAUGGUGGGCCCAGGUCCCGAGCGUGUUGUUUGGCAAAUAUUUACUGAGGUAUGUCAAGAAGGUUGGGGAUGGUCCUAGUGUGGUCCGUUUAAAUUUUCAUGGCUAUUGGGGUGGACAAAUGGGUAAGACGAUGCGAAUAAGGCAUUUUUGGGCCAAAUCGGUGUGCUAUAUCCCACAGUUUUGGGGUGGGCAUGGGUUUCAGGUGUGUUGUGGGUCGAAAAUUCAUCGAGGUAAGGCAGGGAGGUAGGGGAUCAUCCUAGUGUGGUCGGUUUAAAUUUUCAUGGUCAUUUGGGUGGACAAAUGGGCAAAAUAACUUAAAUGGGGUAUUUUUGGGCUAAAUCGGUGUGCUAUAACCCACGAUUUUGGGGGUGGGCCUAGGUUCUGGGCAUGCUGUGGGCCAAAAAAUGUUUGGGGCAUGCCAAGGAGGUUGAAUAUCAUCCCAGUAUUAUCUGUUUAAAUUUUUGUGGACAUUUGGGUUGAGAAAUGGGCAAAAUAGAUAGAACGGGGCAUUUUAUAGACAAAUUGAUGUGCUAUAGCCCACGGUUUCUGGGGUGGGCCCGAGGUCUGGGUGUGUUGUAUGUCAAAAAUCGUCUGGGGAAUGCCAGGGAGAUUAAGGAUCAUCCUAGUAUGAUCCGUUUAAAUUUUUGUGGUCAUUUGGGUGGACAAAUGGAAGAAAUAGCACGAUCGAGGCAUUUUCGCAAUAAAUUGGUGUGCUAUAACCUACAGUUUUUUUGGUGGGCUUGGGGUCAGGGUGUGUUGUUGACCAAAAAUUGAUCAACGCAUGCCAGGGUGGUUAGGGAUCAUCCGAGUGUGAUUCGUUUAAGUUUUAGUGGCCUUUUGGAUGGACAAACAAGAGAAACAGCUCAAAACAGGUAUUUUUUGGGCCAAAUCGGGGUGCUAUAGCUCAUGUUUUUGGGGGUGGGCCCUAGUAUGGACUUUUUGUAUGCGAAAAAUUGAUCGAAGCAUACUAGAGAGGUUGGGAAUCAUCCCAGUGUGGUACGUUUAAAUUUUUGUUGGCAUUUGGAUGGACAAACAGGCGAAAUGGCGUGAACGAGGCAUUUUCAAGCUAUAUCGGUGUACUAUAGCUCAUGGUUUUGGGGUAGGCCCGAGGUCCGGGUGUGCUAUGGAUCAAAAAUUGAUUUGGGUAUGCCAGGGAGGGUGGGCAUCUUCCCAAUUAUACUGUUUAAAUUUUUGUGGCAAUUUGGGCGGACAACCAGGCAAAACAGCGUGAACGGGACAUUAUCAAGCCAAAUCGGUCUGCUAUAGCCCACGGUUUUGGUAGUGGGCCCGGGUUCUGGAUGUGCUGGGGGAAAAAAUUGACCGCGGCAUGCCAGGGAGGAUGGGAAUCUUUCCAGUGUGGUCCAUUUAAAUUUUCGAGGCCAUUUAGGUGGACAAAUGGGUGAAAUGGCAUGAACAGGGUAUUUUUGGGUUAAAUCAGUAUGCUAUAGCCUAUGGUUUUGGUGGUGGGCCCUAGGUCAGGGAGUCUUAUAGGCUAAAAAUCAAUCGGGGCAUGCCAAGGAGGUUGCGGAUCAUCCUAGUAUGGUUCGUUUAAAUUUUUGUAUCUGUUUGGGUGGACAAACGGUCCAAUUAGUACGAAUGGUGUGUUUUCGGGCCAAAUCGGUGUGCUAUAGCCCACGAUUUCAGGGAUGGGACAGGGAUCCAGGCGUGCUGUGGGUCACAAGUCAAUCGAGGCAUGCCAGGGAGGCUGAGGAUCAUCUUAGUGUGAUCCGUUUAAAUUUUUUGGCUAUUUGGGUGGACAAACGAGCGUAAUGGUGCAAACGGGGUAUUUUUGAACCAAAUCGGUGUGCCAUAGCCCACAGUUUUGGGGGUGGGCCCAUGGUCCAGGCAUCUUUUGGGCCUAAAAUCGACCUAGGCAUGCUAGGGAGGUUGGGGAUCAUCCCAGUGUAAUCCCUUAAAAUUUUUGUUGCCAUUUUGGUGGACAGACGAUUGAAACGGUGAAAAUGAGGCAUUUUCGAACUAAAUCAUUAUGUUAUAGCCCACGAUUUUAGGGGUACGCCCGGGGUAUGGACGUGCUGUUGGACAAAAAUCAAUCGAGGCAUACCAAGGAUAUUGGAGAUCAUCCUUGUGUGUCCGUUUAAAUUUUCAUGGUCAUUUGAAUGGAAAAACGGGCGAAAUAGUGCGAACGAGGCAUUUCUAGGCUAAAUCGAUGUGCAAUAGCCAACGAUUUUGGGGUGGAACCAGGGAUCGGUCAUACUGUUGGCUGAAAAUCAACUAGGGCAUGCUAGGGGGGUUGGGGAUUAUCUCAGGGUGCUCCAUUUAAAUUUUUGUUGCCGUUUUAGUGGACAAACAUGCAAAAUGGCACGAACGGGGCAUUUUUGGAUUAAAUCAGUGUGCUAUAGCCCACGAUUUUGGGGAUGAGCCCGAGGUCCAGGUGUUCUAUGGGAAAAUAAUCAACUGGGACAUGCCAGGAGGGUUGAGGAUCAUCCCAUUAUGGUCCGUUUAAAUUUUCAUGGCUAUUUAGCUGGACAAAUGGGCCAAAUGGUGAAAAUGGGGCAUUAUCGGGCCAAAUUGGUGUGUAAUAGCCCACGAUUUCGGGGGUGGUCCUGGGGUUCGGGAGUUCUAUAAGCCAAAAUUCAACUGAGGUAUGCCAAGGACGUUGAGGAUCGUCCCAGUGCAAUUUGUUUAAAUUUUUUUGGCCUUUUGGAUGGACAAAUGGGCGAAAAGGUGCGAACGGGGAAUUUUCAGGUUAAAUCAGUGUGCUAUAGCCCCUGGUUUUGGGGGUGGGCUCGGGGUCCAAGCGUGCUAUGGGUCAAAAAUUGACCGAGGCUUUACAGGAAGGUUGGGAAUCAUCCCAGUGUGUUGAUUUUAAAUUUUUUUGGCUAUUUGGGAGGACAAAAGGGCAAAACAACGCGGAUGGGGCAUUUUCGGGAUAAAUCGGUGUGCUAUAUCCUAUGAUUUUAAGGGUGGGCCCAGCAUCCUAGUGUACUGUAGACCAAAAAUUGAUUGGGGAAUGAUAGGGAGGUUAGGUAUCACCCAAAUGUUGUCCGGUUAUAUUUUUGUGGCCAUUUGGGUGGACAAACGGGUGAAACGGCACGAACGGGGCAUUUUUGAGCCAAAUCAGAGUGUUUUAGCCCAUAUUUUUGGGGGUAGGACAGGAUUCUGGCAUGUUGUAGGACAAAAAUCGAUCAGGACGUGCCAGGGAGGUUGGGGAUCAUCCCAGUAUGGUUUGUUUAAAUUUUCGUGUCCAUUUUGCUGGACAAAUGGGCGAAACGGUAAGAACGGGGCAUCUUCUUACCAAAUCGGUGUGUUAUAGCCCAUGAUUUUAGGGGUGGGCCCAGGUUCCGGGUGUGCAGUGAGUGAAAAAUAGAUCGGGCCAUGUCAGGGAUGUUGAGGAUCAUUUCAGUAUGGUCCCUUUAAAUUUUUGUGGUUAUUUUGCUAGACAAACGGGCGAAACGGCACGAACGGGGCAUUUUCGGGCCAAAUAAGUGUGCUAUAGCCUACUAUUUUGGGGGUGGGCCUGCGUCCGGGCGUGCUGUGAGUAGAAAAUUGAUUGAGCCAUUCCAGGGAAGUUGGGGAUCAUCCCAAUGAGGUUUGGUUAAAUUUUCAUGGCUAUUUGGGUGGACAAACGGGCAAAACGGUAAGAACGAGACUUUUUGGACCAAAUCGAUAAGCUAUAGCCCACGACUUUGGGGGUGGGCUUGGGGUCCAGGUGUGUUGUGGGUCAAAAAUCGACUGAGGUAUGCCAGGGAGGUUGGGGAUCAUCCCAGUGUGGUUCGUUUAAAUUUUUGAGGCUAUUUGGGUGGGCAAACGAGCAAAACAGUAUAAACGAGUAAUUCUUGGGCCAAAUCGGUGUGUUAUAACCCACGAUUUUGGAAGUGGGCCUGGUUCCAAGCUUGCAGUUGGCCAAAAAUUGAUCGAGGCAUGCUAGGGGGAUUGGGGAUGCUCCAAUGUGUUCUGUUUAAUUUAUCGUUGCCUUUUGGUUGGACAAACGGCCAAUACAGCGUGAACUAGGAAUUUUCGAGCUAAAUCGAUGUGCUAUAGCCCACAGUUUUGGGUGUGCGCCCAGGGUCCGGGCUUGCUGUGGUCCAAAAAUUAUCGAGACGUGCCAAGGAGGCUUGGGAUCAUCACAGUAUCGUCCGUUUAAAUUUCCGUGGCCAUUUGGGUAGACAAACAGGAAAAAUGGCACAAAUAUGGCAUUUUCAGGCCAAAUCGGUGAGCUAUAACCCACGGUUUCGGGGGUGGGCUUGAAGUCCGGGCGUGCUGUAGGCCAAAAAUUUAUCGAGGCAUGGUAUAGGCCAAAAAUUUAUCGGGGUGUGCUAGGGAGGUUGGGGAUCGUCCCAAUGUGGUUCGUUUAAAUUUUUGUGGCCAUUUGGAUCGACAAACGGGUGAAACGACACAAACGGGAUAUUUUUGGGCUAAAUUGGUGUGCUAUAGCCCAUGGUUUUAAGGGUAGGUAUGGGGUUCGGGUGUAUUGGGGCCCAAAAAUUGAACGGGAUGUGCUAGGGAGGUUGGGGAUCAUCCCAGUGUGGUCCUCCAAAUUUUCAUAGCCAUUUAGGUAGACAAAUGGGUAGAACAAUGCGAACAGGGUAUUUUUGGGCCAAAAUAGUGUGUUAUAGCCUACGGUUUUGAGGGUGGGCUUAGGGUUCAAGCGUGCUGUGGGUUUAAAAUAUACUGAGCAAUGCUAGAGAGAUUGGGGAUCGUCCUAGUGUGGUACGUUUGAAUUUUUGUGGCCAUUUGGGCGGACAAACGGGCAAAAAAUCACGAACGGGGCAUUUUCGAGCUAAAUUGGUGUGCUAUAUCCCACGGUUUUGAGGGUGGCCCCGGACCCGGGCGUGCUGUGUGCUAAAUAUCGACCAGGAAAUGUCAGGAGGAUAGGGAUCAUCCCAGUAUGGUCUGUUUAAAUAUUCAUGUCCAUUUAGGGGACAAACGGGAAAAACGACACAAACGGGGUAUUUUUAGGCCAAAUCGGUGUGCUAUAGCCCAUGGUUUCGGGGGUGGACACAGCGUCCGGGAGGGAUGUGGGCCAAAAAUCGACUUGUCCAUACCAGGGAGGUUGGGGAUCAUCCCAGUGUGGUCCGUUUAAAUUUUCAAGGCCAUUUGGGAGGACAAACGAGCAAAACAGCGCAAAUGGGACAUUUUUGGGCUAAAUCAGUGUGCUAUAGCCCACGAUUUUGGGGUUGGGCCAGUGGUCCGGGCGUGCUGUGGGCCAAAAAUUUACCAAGGCAUGUAGGGGAGGUUAGAAAUCAUACCAGUAUAGUUCGUUUUAAUUUAUGCGGCCAUUUGGGUGGACAAACAGACGAUAUAGCGCGAACGAGGCAUUUUCAAGAUAAAUCGAUGUACAAUAGCCAACAAUUUUAGGGUGGACCCAGGGAUCAGCCGUACAGUUGGCUAAAAAUCAACUGGGGCGUGCUAGGGGGUUGGGUAUGAUCCCAGGGUGGUUCGUUUAAAUUUUUGUUGCCGUUUUAGAGGACAAACAUUCAAAACGGCAUGAACGGGGCAUUUUUGGAUUAAAUCAGUGUGCUAUAGCCCACGAUUUCAGGGGUGGGCUUGAGGUCUAGGUGUGCUGUAGGAAAAUAAUUGAGUGGGGCAUGCCAGGAAGGUUGAGGAUCAUCCCAUUAUGGUCCGUUUCAAUUUUCAUGGCUAUUUAGGCGGACAAAUGGGCCAAAUGGUGCGAACGGGGCAUUUUCGGGCCAAAUUGGUGUGCUAUAGCCCAUGAUUUUGGGGAUGGUCCCAGGGUCCGAGAUUUUUAUGAGUCAAAAUUCAACCUGGGCAUGCUAGUGACGGGGGUGGGCUCGGGGUCCAAGCGUGCUGUGGGUUAAAAAUUGACCGAGGCUUUACAGAAAGAUUGGAAAUCAUCCCAGUAUGGUGAUUUUAAAUUUUUGUGCCUAUUUGGGAGGAUAAAAGGCCGAAACGGUGUGGAUGGUGCAUUUUCAAGAUAAAUCAGUGCGCUAUAGCCUAUGAUUUUAGGGGUGGGCCCAGCGUCCUGGCAUGUUGUAGACUGAAAAUCAAUUGAGGCAUGACAGAGAGGUUAGGGAUCACCCCAAUGUGGUCUGGUUAAUUUUUUGUGGCCAUUUGGGUGGACAAACGGGCGAAACGGCACGAACGGGGCAUUUUAGAGCCAAAUUAGAGUGCUAUAGCCCAUGGUUUUGGGGGUGGAAUAGGAGUCUGGGCCUAUUGUGGGACAAAAAUCUAUCAGGGCAUGCUAGGGAGAUUGGGAAUCAUCCCAGUAUGGUCCAAUUAAAUUUUUGUGUCCAUUUGGCUGGACAAACAAGCGAAACAUCAAGAACGGGGCAUUUUCUGGCCAAAUCGGUGUGUUAUAGCCCAUGAUUUUGGGGUGGGCCCAGGAUCUGAGCGUGCAGUGAGUGAAAAAUAGAUCGGGGCAUGUCAGGUAGGUUAAGGAUCAUCUCAGUAUGGUCCCUUUAAAUUUUUGUGGUUAUUUUGGUAGACAAACGGGGGAACAACAUGAAUGGGACAUUUUCGGGCUAAAUCGGUGUGCUAUAGCCCACUAUUUUGGGGUGGGCCUGGGUCCGGGAGUGUUGUGAGUAGAAAAUUGAUUGUGAAAUGCCAGGGAAGUUGAGGGUCAUCCCAAUGAGGUUCAGUUAAAUUUUUGUGGCUAUUUGGAUGGACAAACGGGCAAAACGGCACGAACAAGGCUUUUUGGACUAAAUCGGUGAGCUAUAGCCCACGAUUUUGGGGGAGCUCCUGAGCUCCGGGUGUUUUGUGUGUCGAAAAUUGACUGAGGUAUGACAGGGAGGUUAGGGAUCAUCCCAGUGUGGCCCGUUUAAAUUUUUGUGGCUAUUUGGGUAGACAAACGGGCAAAACAGCAUGAACGAGGCAUUUUUGGGCCAAAUCGAUAUGUUAUAACCCACGGUUUUGGGAGUGGGCUGGGUUUCGAGUGUGCAGUUGGACAAAAUUUGAUCGAGGCAUACUAUGAUUGGGGAUGCUCCCAAUGUGUUCUAUCUAAUUUAUUGUUGCCUUUUGGAUGGACAAACGAGCCAAAUCAGUGUGCUAUAGCCUAUAGUUUUGGGGGUGCACCCGGGGUCCAGGUGUGCUGUGGUCUAAAAAUUAUCGAGACGUGCCAAGGAGACUGGAGAUCAUCACAGUAUCAUAUGUUUAAAUUUUUGUAGCCAUUUCGGCAGACAAAUGGGAAAAACGACACAAAUGUGACAUUUUUGGGCCAAAUUGGUGAGCUAUAGCCCACAAUUUUGGGGGUGGGCCUGAGGUUCGGGCGUGUUGUAGGUCAAAAAUUUAUUGGGGCAUUCCAGGGAGGUUGGGGAUUGUCCCAAUAUGGUUCGUUUAAAUUUUUGUGGCCAUAUGGAUGGAAAAAUGGGUGAAACAGCACAAAAGAAACAUUUUCAAGCUAAAUCGGUGUCCUAUAUCCCACGGUAUUGAGGGUAGGCCCGGACCCGAGCGUGAUGUGGGCUUAAUAUGAACUGGGGAAUACCAGGGAGGAUAGGGAUCAUCCCAUUAGGGUUCGUUUAACUAUUCGUGGCCAUUUAGGGGGACUAAAGGGCAGAACGACGCGAAUGGGACAUUUUUGGGCUAAAUCAGUGUGCUAUAGCCCACAAUUUUGGGGGUUGGCCUAGGGUCCGGGCAUGCUGUGGGCCAAAAAUUGACCAGGGCAUGCAAAAGAGGUUGGGAAUCAUACCAGUAUGUUCGUUUUAAUUUUUGCAGCCAUUUGGGUGGAUAAACAAGGAAAACGGCGCAAAUGGGGCAUUUUCAAGCCAAAUGGUGUGCUAUAGCCCACGGUUUUGAGGGUGGGACAGGCGGUCGGACAUGUAAGGGGACAAAAAUUAACUUGGGCAUGCCAGGGAGGUUGGGGAUCAUCCUAGUAUGGUCCGUUAAAAUUUUUGUGGCCAUUUGGGUGGACAAAUGGAUGAAACCAUAUGACUGGGGAAUUUUUUAGGCAAAUCGAUGUGUUAUAGCCCACGAUUUCAGAGGUGGGCCCGGGUUCAACAGUGUUGUAGUCUUAAAAAAUGAUUAAGGCGAUCUAGGGAGGUUGGGGGUCAUCCUAGUAUGGUUCGUUCAAAUUCCCGUGGCCAUUUAGAUGGACAAAUAGGCAAAACAGCAAGAAUGGGGUAUUUUCGAGCCUAAUCAUUCUGUUAUAGCCCAUGGUUUUGGGAGUGGGACCAUGGGUCAAGUGUGUUGUUGGCCAUAAUUCGAUUGGGGCAUGACAGGGAUAUUGGGGAUCAUCCCAGUGAGGACUCUUUAAAUUUUUGUAGCCAUUUGGGUAGACAAACGGGCGAAUAGGCUCGAUUAGAGUAUUUUCAGAACUAAUCGGUGUGCUAUAUCCCACGUCUUUGGGGGUGGACCAGGAUUUCGGGCAUUCUGUGGGCUAAAAAUUGACUAGGGCAUAGCCGGGAGAUUCGGGAUCAUCCCGGUGUGGUCUGUUUAAAUUUUUAUGGCCAUUUGAGUUGACAAAUGGGCGAAAUGGUGCAAACGUGGCAUAUUAAGGCCAAAUCAGUGUGCUUUAGGCCAAGGUUUCAGGGGUGGGCAUGGGGUUCGAGUGUGAUGUAGGCCAAAAAUCCAUCAGGGCAUGCUAGGGAGGUUGGGAUCAUCCCAGUGUGAUCUGUUUAAUUUUUUGUGAUCAUUAGGGUGGACAAACACUCAAAUUGGUGCAAACGGGGAAUUUUUGGGUCAAAUCGGUGCGCUAUAGCCCACGAUUUCAUGGGUUGUCCUGGUGUCUGGGCAUACUGUGGGCUAAAAAUUGAUUGAAGCAUACAAGUAAGGCUGGGGAUUAUCCCAUUGUAGCUCGUUUAAACUUUUGUAGCCAUUUGGGUGGACAAACAAGCAAAACGAGGUGAACGGGGAAUGUUUGGGCCAAAUCAUUGUUCUGUAGCCCACGAUUUCGAGGGUAGGCCUGGAUUCCGGGUGUCCUAUAGGCCAAAAAUUUACCAAGGCCCACAAGGGAGGUUGGGGAUUAUCCCAGAGUAGAUCGUUUAUUGUUUCACAGCCAUUUGAGUGGAUAAACGGGCAAAAUGGCACAAACGAGGCAUUUUUAGGCCAAAUCAGUGUGCUAUAGCAUAUGAUUUUAGUGGAGGACCCGUGGUCCGGGUGUACUGUAGGCCAAAAAUUGACCGGGGUAUGCUAUUUGGGUGGACAAACGGGAGAUACAGCACGAACGGGGCAUUUUUGAGCCAAAUUAGAGUGCACUAGCCCACGGGUUUGGGGGUGGGCCUAAUUUCUGGGUAUGUUGUAGGCCAAAAAUCAACCAGGGCAUACCAUAGAGGUUGGAAAUCAUCCCAAUAUGGUCUUUAUAAAUUUUUGUGGUCAUUUAGGGGGGCAAACGAUUUCGGGGGUGGGACUGGGAUUCGGGUGUGUUGUGGGUCAAAAAUCGAUCGGGGCAUGCCAAGGAGGUUGGGGACCAUCCCAGUGUGGUCCGUUUAAAUUUUUAUGGCCAUUUCGGUGGACAAACGGGCAAGAUGGUGCGAACGAGGCAUUUUUGUGCUAAAUCAGUGUGCUAUAGCCUAUGGUCUCGAGGGUGGGCCCAGGAUCUGGGUAUUUUUGGCCAAAAAUUGACAGGGGUAUACCAGGGAUCAUCCCAAUGUGGUCCUUUUAAAUUUUUGUGGCCAUUUGGGUGGACCAACAGGCAAAACAUCGCAAAUGGAGCAUUUUUGGUCCUAAUCGGUAUGCUAUUGCCCACGGAUUCUGGGGUGGGCCCGAGGUUCGGGUAUGUUGUGGGCUGAAUAUCGAUCGAGACCUCUCAGGGAGUUGGGGAUCAUCCCAGUAGGGUUCGUUUAAAUUUUUCUGGCUAUUUUGGUAGAUAAACGGGCAAAACAGAGCGAACGGGGUAUUUUUGAGUCCCAAUUGGUGUGCUAUUACCUAUGGUUUUGGGGUUGGCCGGGGGUUUAAGAGAGCUGUGGGCUAAAAAUUGAUCAAGGAAUGCUAGGGAGGUUGGUGAUCAUCCCAUUGUAUUUCAUUUACAUUUUUAUGGCCAUUUAGGUGGACAAAUAGGCAAAAUGGUGUGAACAGGGCAUUUUUGGUACAAAUCGGUGUGCUAUAAGUCCACGGUUUUGGGGGUGGGACGGGGUUCGGGCAUGCUAUAGGUCAAAAAUUGACUUGGGCAUGCCAAGAAGGAUAGGGAUCAUCCCAGUGUGGUCUGUUUAUAUUUUUGUGGCCAUUUGAGUGGACAAACGGCAAAACAGCGUGAAUGAGGCAUUUUUGGACCAAAUUGGUGUACUAUAGCCCACGGUUUUAGGGGUAGGACCAGGGUACGAGUAUGCUGUGGGCCAAAAAUCGAUCUGGGCAUGACAGGGAGGUUGGGAAUCAACCCAGUGUAGUCCUUUUAAAUUUGCGUAGCCAUUUGGGUGGAUAAACGGGCAAAACGGCGCGAACGGGGCAUUUUCAGGCCAAAUUGGUGUGCUAUAGCCUGCGGUUUUAGGUUGGGCCUGGUGUUCGGGCAUGUUGGGGGAAGAAAAUCGGCCGAGGAAUGGCAGGGAGGUUGGGGAUCAUCCCAGUAUGGUUUGUUUAAAUUUUCAUGGCCAUUUGGGUGUACAAACGGACAAAACCACGAGAAAGAGGCAUUUUUGGGCAAAAUUGGUGUGCUAUAGCCCACAAAUUUAGGGGUGAGCCAGGAGUUUGGGUGUGCUGUAGGCCGAAAAAUAUAUUGAGGCCAGCCAGAGAGGUUGAGGUUCAUCCCAGUAUUGUCCGUUUGAGUUUUUGUGGCCAUUUGGGUGGACAAAUGGGCGAAACGGCACGAACGGGAUAUUUUUAGGCCAAAUAGAUGUGCUAUAGCUCACGAUUUCAGGAGUGGGCUUAGGGUUCGAGCGUGUUGUGGGCCAAAAUUGAUCAGCGUGUGCUAGGGAGGUUGGGGAUCAUCCUAGUAGGGUCCGUUUAAAUUUUUGUAGCCAUUUGGGUGGACAAACGAACAAAACGGCGUGAAUGAGGCAUUUUCAGGCCUAAUCGGUGUGCUAUAUCCCACGGCUUAGGGGGUGGGCCUGGGGUCCGAGAGUGCUGUGGACUAAAAAUCAAUCGGGGCAUGCCAGGGAGGUUUGGGAUCAUCCCAGUGUGGUCUAUUUAAUUUUUCUUGGCCAUUUGGGUUGACAAACAGGUGAAACAACGCAAACGUGCCAUUUUCGAGCCAAAUCGGUCUGCUAUAGGCCAAGGUUUUUGGCCUGGGUCAGGGAGGUUGGGGAUCGUUCCAGUGUGGUCCGUUUAAAUUUUCAUGGCCAUUUGGGUGGACAAACAGGCGAAAUAUCGUGAACGGAGAAUUUUCGUGCCAAAUCGGUUUGCUAUAGCCCAUGGUUUUCGGGGUGGGAUCGGAGUUUGGGCGUGUUGUGUGAUGAAAAUUGAUAAGGGCAUCCUAGGGUGUUGGGGAUCAUCCCAGUGUGGUCUGCUUACAUUUUCUUGGCCAUUUAGGUGGACAAACAGUCAAAACGGGGCGAACGGGGCAUUUUUUGGCCUAAUUUGUGUACUAUAUCCCACAUUUUUGCGGAUAGGCCUACGUUCCAAGCGAGAUGUGGGCCAUAAAUCGAUUGGUUCAUGCCAUGGGGGUUAAGGAUCAUCCCAUUAUGUUCCGUUUAAGUUUUCGUGGUCAUUUGAGUGGACAAACGGGCAAAACGGCACGAACGGGACAUAUUCAGGCCCAUGGUUUCGGGGGUGGGCCCGGGGUCUGGGAAUUUUGUAGGUCAAAAAUUGACUAAUGCAUGCCAUGGAGGUUGGGGAUCAUCCCAGUGUGGUUUAUUAAAAUUUUGGUGGACAUAUGGCUGGACAAACGAGCGAAAUAACCCGAAUAGGGUAUUUUCGGGAAAAAUCGAUGUCCUAUAGCCCACAGUUUUGGGGGUGGGUCCAGGGUCCGAGCGUGCUUGAUAAUUCUUAAAUUACACUCUUGAAUGGGAGUAAGCGAUCAUUGUCAAUAUAAAACCCAACUACGUUGGGGCCGAAUCCCACAGAGAAUAUGGUGUGAACUCAAGUUGUUUGCAGUUUAAUUCAAUGAUAGUUUAACAUCUCCUGAAAUGGGGGUUUAAGUUUCAUAAAUAAUUGUUUGACACUUUUAUUUUGAAGUUUGUAACCAAGAUUUUAUGAAAUAAUCAGAAUUAUGUUCACUAGGGCUUACGGUACAUGACAGAUGCCAAAGGUGACUCAAGAUUCUCACGGUGGUUAGGAUAACAAGCUAUCUUUAUCAAUGAUAUGCUCAAAUGUCUAUCGACCUAUUUAAGCGUCUAAUUUCCUAAUCCUCUUGGACUUAGGGAAUCACUAUUACUGCCCAGAUUUUGCCUCAGGUUAAUCAACCUUGUUACAACGCUGAUUAUUAUUCAAAGUAUUUUCGAGUUCCUGUUAAUAAUUUACUUCCUACUGUUUAUGAUUUCUUUCUCAAGCAAAUCAAAGUAGGUAUGCCUACUGUUUGUAACCAACAUACAUUAAUUAAAGUCGCAAAUUAUCAAGAAAUUCUAACACCUAUUGAAUCUCGAGUACUUAACACCUUACCAUGACCUAACCCUAGAUCACAGAAUUCAAGUUAAUCAGGUUUAGCCACUCAUGAUGCAAGAAACAAGUACACAAAUUGAAUUCAUAAUUAAGAAGAUUAACUUACAAGUAUGAUGAAGAUCAAAAAUUAUAACUUGAAUUGAUUCACAAGACAAAACUCCCAAAAUAUUGGUCUAGAGAGAGAGAGAGAGAGAGAAAAAUCAUCUGUUACAAAGUAAAGAUGAGUCAAUGAUAAGUCAAUUUAUACUCAGAAAACCCUAAAACAAGGCUGUAAAUAGUUAACCCUAAAUAAGGAAACAAAAUAGAAGUUUUAGCUUUUUCUCGGAAUAAAUGACGAUGUUAGUGACGGCUUAUGAGGAGUCUGACGGCUUAUCACGGAUGUUGUCAGCUCCUCUGCAUUUUUUGCUUCUGUUGUUUAGGGCUGACGACGAUGAUAACGGCCUAUCACCAUCUUGAUGACGUGUCAUGGAUGUCGUCACAAAACUUUCUUCAACCUCCAUCUUUUGUUUAAGGAUGAUGACUUCCUUGACAGCUUAUCACCCGGCUGACGACGUGUCAUAGAUUUUGUCAGCCACACAUAGUCCUUUAUUUGCUUUAGAGUUCAGGCUUUUUGCUUCCUUUAUUAGUGAUUUCCCUUCUCUACAUGUACUGUAAAAUUAAAGUAAACUAAUCAAAAACAACUAAAGUUGCUCAACACUUUACAAUUAUUUAGAGUUAAAAGCUUCAAAUGUGUUAGCAUAGGCUCGCACAUCAACACCCUUAACUUAAACAAUUGUUUGUCCUUAAGCAACCAUACCAUAACUAAGAGUAUACAAAGUACAAUUUGGCAGAUAACUACUCAUAUUAGUUCAGACUACAUUAAGGUCAGUCAAAUUAAGAGCAACUGUGUCUAUCAUUGAAAAUAACCAUGCAACUCACAAGGAUCAAGAUAUGGCAAAAACUCAACAAUAACAACCAAGCUCAUACCCAAAUCACACUAUCUAAACAAUUCAAUGAUUAGCAACAUACCUAGUGUGCCCUCAUAACAAAGAAAUCCCUUUUUCACUCAUAUCAGAAUUCACGUGUAUAAAAAUAGGGAUAAACACAAGACUCACUCUCAGAAUAAAUUUCCAAACAUUUCAUGUAAAAUGCCAUAGGCUUUCCCUUAUAGUCAGUACCCAAGUCUUUAGACAGUUCAGUUAGGAUCAGGAUAGGGUUUUUCUUAAGCUUGUAACGUAGGCCAGGGGUUGGUAUGGUAUUCAUGGAUAUUUCAGAGUUACUAUACUUCCUUGACACUAGGCUAAACUCUCAGGGUUUCAACUCUCAACCUUCUUUUCUUCCUCUCUUUUAUUGAUCACACAUGCUAAAGAUGGAUGCAGUCUUUUCAAUUAUCAGGUUAUCUUUUUAUCAUCUUUUACACAGCUUUUAUUUUUCUUAUUCCUUUUUCACUGCACCCAACUUUUUAUUUAUUUCUCUUAUUCUUCUUCUCUUCAUACAUAUUUUGUAUCACGCACCCUUAUGAUACCCACCCUCAACUUAGAUUGUUUGCCUAAGGCAAGGUGCACAGUGUCCAAGGAGGACCAGGGCUAAAACAGGUUCAUUGUGAUGUACACGGUAAGGUGAGAGGUAUCAAAGAAGGAAAUAAGCUAAUUAGGCUCAAACAGGGAUCAAAGGAUAUUAUUCAUAUUGGGAAAGUCAUUUAGGCUGAAUUGGGAUACAAUGAAACACGGCCUAUGAUCCCUUCCUAACUUCUAUCUUAUAACCAUGGCAAGACUAACUGAGCAAGUUCUAGAUUCAAUGCAUCAACGGGAACUGAGUAAGACCUUACACACACCGGCAUACAGGUAUCGUGCAUACACUACUUAUCUGAUUCAUGUACUUGUUUAACAAUGGUUAUUCAGUUACCAGACUAAUGCUAUAAAAAGAUACACCAUGGUCACAAUGGAUGUAAUUAACACAGUAAAUAAUAUAGCAGACCAAUUGAGAGGUAUGCAAAAUCACAAAACAAGCUAACUGCCUCAAGUACUUGUACUACUCCUAAUUAUUUACAAAAUAUGCUACAACAAAAACCUACCCUAUACCCUUACUUAAAAUCAAAAUAAACUGCACUAAAGGUUAGGGUAUACCUAAAAGAAAUAAAGCAUAUAGAUCCUGGGUCUCCGACCCUGCCACUGCAUCAUCUAUUUUCUUCUCUCUAUUAGGAGCAUCUAGCUGUACAGUGGCUGGAGCCCUACUAGAUAAGGCACCUGCAGCCCUAGCUCGAAUGACUGCCUCCCAUUUCUCAGUAUCAGCCAGGGACUCCAUUCUUGCUUUCUUCAACUCCUCCUUUUCGGUCUUUCUUUUUGCCUUCUUUUUCACUCUUCUUUCUUCCUCACUAUCUGGCUCUUCCCUCUUAUAUUUUCCUUUCUUCUCACCUUUCUUCAUAUUUUCUUUAUUGAGUCUCCAGUAAGGUCAAGCAUUGGAAUUUAUUCAUUCGAUUCAUGCAUGGUCGGGCCUGUUGGCAUCAUAAACUGGUGUUGCUGCUUCACCCCCAACAUCUUUCUUUAACUUAUCUAAUGUUGCUCUGAAUUUAGCCAGAUCAGCUCCUGAUAUUUCUCCCGCCCGUGCAUCAAAUAGGUUCUCCAAAUCUGUAACCCGCUCAAGCAAAGUCACAGAAGGCUUAAGGGAAUCCUCGAUUCUCUUUUCUACAGUAGCAGUAAACUGUUUGGCAAAAGCAUGUCGAUGUGACUCACACCACUUUGCUUGUUUACCCACUUCUCUAAUAUCAAUCGGCUCAAAUAUAAAUCCUGCUAAUGCUGUAGGAACUGAGGGACUGGCUUUAGUCUCAGGCACUGAACUUGCCUAUACUGAAAAAGUUAGUUGCCCAGUCUCUGAAUCUUACACUUCCACAUGAGGUAUUGCUUCUGCAUCUAUAACUGGGGGGUCCGUUGCUACCUCUUCACCUCUAUCAAGUCUCAAUACUGGUUGAUUCUUAUCAAACUGUAUGGGGUUAUAAGUCUUUUGGGUAGGAACCUCAUCAUCAACUCCUGCAAUCUUUGACAUAUUAGCAGCUCAGCACAACUCCGUGAUAAGACAAGGAAAAGGAUAAGCAGUGUCGGUUCUCGAUAUCCUGAUCUUUAUCUCAUCAGAAAUAAUUUCCUCAAAGUUCAAGGAAAGUUGCUAUGCCAUGCUUGCUACUAAAAUAGCUCGAUCAUCACCAAGAAUGUUGUCUCCAUCAGUGGACAUCAGUCAGACAUGCAUUAUACCCCACCAAAACUUUGCCUCUUGAGUUAAAGAGGACUUACAGAUUCUCUCAUUUGGGUUUUUCACCCAUGCUGGUUCUUCAUUAGCAAUGAUAUUGGCUAACCAUGGAUGUUGUUUCCCCAGUUCUUAAUUCGAGCAUAAACUGAUGGUGCAGUGUCUUGAGGAGUGAAGUUGGGGCCAUGCAAGAAUCUAUUGAUAGUUUUGAUGGAAAUAUCAACCCUUACACCCCUCACCUGUACUCUAUCCAAUAGGGGUAGGUCUGCUACUCUUUCUUCUGGCCUGUACAUAUUUUCUAACUGAGCUUGGUAGUUCACGUAGAACUCCCAAACCAAUGCUGGACAAAAUAAUCCUCCUUCUUUUAUGGUCUGCCCCAAUCCAUACUCUUGGAACUUCUGUUCUACUUCUGGGUACCUGCUCAUCCCUUUUGUGAUAAUCAACUUUUCUUCCUAAAGUGGCCUUUUAGCUCUUCUUCUGUCAGUUCUGCAAAGUCUAGCAGUGUAGAUGCUUUCUGCUCUAGGAAUUUUCCACCUAAUAUUUUCUUAAACUUUGGGAUUCUUACAUUUGAUAAGUGUUCCCCCAGAUAGAGACUCUUCCUAUUCUUAUUGUUCAGUUGACGGGGACCGUGAUGUUGUUUCCUCAGACUCAGACUCCUCAUACUCUUCUUGCUUCUCUUCUUUAGAUUCAGCAUGUUCAAACGCAUGUUGUUCAGAACCCUUUUGCUCGGAAACUAUUAUUGUUUCAGUGUCAUCACUAUCCUCCACUUCAAUGGGUAGAGGUGGUGAAGGUUUCUUCGGACUUGGCUUCUUCUUCUGCUUCCUGAGCAAGGGUUUCUCCUCUUUGUAAUCAUAUUCCUCAUCGAUGAGCUUACGAUGUACACUUUCUUUGGUUGUUUUCUUUGGUACUGUGGGGCUCUUUCUUUUUGGUGCCAUUAUAAGAUUCCUGUAGCAGUAGAAAAACCAUUGGUUAGUCCUCAAGAGCAUAAACACAAACAUGUUAAUCAUUUCAGCUUAUUCAUGCUUCAGGUUCCAGGUGUGCCAACAAUUCUUGAUAAGCCGUCAUGACUGUGAUAGCUUAUUACAAUUGUCGUCAACCUUAGACAGAACCUUCAAAAAUUUUUACAACUUUUAAUGACAUUGUUGAUAAGCUGUCACAAUUGUGAUAGCCUAUCAUGGAUGUCGUCAGCUCUUAUUAGAACCCACUUUUGAUUUUAACUUAAUUUUUGGUCCCCAUUAUUUCUCAAAAUCCACUUAAAAUACAAUUAUGAGCUGUCUUUUUGAACCUUGGGCCUGCACAGCAAAACCUUAGUACAAUUUUAGCUCCUUUCCAAGUUGAUCUUGGUUCAAGCAUCUUGGGGACUUGGGUUAUCAUCUAUCUAACACUUACCACAAGAAGAGAAGUAUUAAAGUUAGAAUAUGCCUGAUGGGAGCUCUUAAUCUGAUUACACGCACAAGAGGAAGUAGAAAGUAGGAAGAAUUUCUUGAUUGUGGAGUUCUAACCCACACACAAGGGAACUACUUGUUUUCUUGGAGUGUUUUGAAAAGAGUAGAAAAUAAUCUUACUAAGGAAAGAAAUAACUUAAAAAAAGAAAAAUAAAACUAGCAGAAUUUGAAAAGGCUUCACAGUUGAGCUGGGUCGGAUCUGCUUUAAAAUAGGCCAAAAUUUCAAAUUUUAAGGUUAUGGGCUGACGAUGAUUUAUGAUGGCUUAUCAUAAGUGUGAUAGACUAUCACGAACGUCAUCACCCUUAACAGAGAAUUCCUCCAGCUUUACCUAUCUGACGUUAAUUGUGAUAGCUUAUCACAGUCGUGAUGACUUAUCAUAAAUGUCAUCAUGGCCUUUCAGCUGACCUCCUCAUUUUUCCACCUUCUCUGUACUAAAUCCUAACUAUAAAGAUAAAAAAACUCCUGCAUAAACAUAAAACUUUGAGUUGCCUCCCAAUAGUGCCUGAUCUACUGUCGCGGCAUGACUUGGUUGUCUUAACUACUUAGACUUCACCAAGACAACCUGUUAAUACCCCUUCACUAUCAUCAUAGAAAACGUCAACGAUUGAUAAAACACUCAUCACAUGUUGUUGAGUCCUGGAUGAGUGUAUUUUGAAGCGUGCUUCUUUGUCGUUGAACCUAAAUUUUAGCUCGUUUAACUCCAUGUCUACUAGCACUCUUCCAGUUGCAAGCAGUGGCCUACCCAAGAUGAUGGGCACUUCAAAAUCCACCUCACAAUCUAAGACCACAAAAUCAGCAGGCCAAAUAAAAUCAGCUACCUUUACCAAAACAUUGUGCAGUAUGCCCACAGGCCACUUCAUAGAUCUAUCUGCCAUUACUAACCAUAUAUUCGUUGGGGUAAGAUCCCCUAGACCUAAUUUCUUGAACACAAUCAGUGGCAUUAAAUUUAUACUAGCUCCCAGAUCACAUAGUGCUUUUGUGAACUUCAGGAGGACAAUAGUACACGGGAUGGUAAACGCUCCUAAAUCUACCUUUUUAUGCGCUAAAGACCUUGUAGAGAUAGCGCCAUAAUAGAGAAGAUUGUCCUCCAACUCAUGGCUAAUCUUCUAUUUCUUGGUUACAAGGUCUUUCAUAAACUUUGUGUAGCCUGGUAUUUGCUCAAGUACCUUUACCAAAGGCACAUUAAUUGUCAAUUUCUUGAGCAUUGUCAUGAACUUGUUGAAUUUUGCAUCAUCAAUCUUUUUGUUCAAUCAUUGAGGAAAGGGAGGUGGUAGUCUAGGGAUAGUUUUCAACACCACUUCUUAUUCCUUCUCCUUUUUCUUCUUUGAAACAUCAAUAGAACUAUCCAGCUUUUCAUACUCCACUGGAUUACUUUCUUUAGAUUCAUCAACAAUUAUCUCAUCGUCUACAGAUUUACCCAUAGAAGGGCCAGGUAAGAUCUUACCACUCCUAGUGGUAAUCGUCAUGCAUGAGCCAUCAUUCCGCAGAUUUUGAAUUGUAUCACUAGGUAAAGUACCACUUUUCUUUGGUUCAGUGUUGCGGCAAGUUGGCUCAUCUGCUGCUCCAACUGCUUGAUGGAAGUGGAGUGUGAACUAACCCACUGACUCAGGGUAGAGAAUUUACUCUUCAUGGUGGUUACCCAUGAGUUGGUAGCCUCAACUCCUUUUAAUAAUUUUUCCAUUAUGUCGUCCAUGGAAAUCUUACCAGAGCUAGUUUCAGCAGAUUCCCGAUUUCCAAGAGAAACAUAUAAACCACUCCUGUCAUUAUUAUUCCUCCAGUGUCCUUGCUCUCUGUCUUUAUAAUUAGGCUUUUCAUAAAAGUUCUGACCUUGAUUUCCUUGGAUAUUGCCUCAAAAAAACCCCUGCUUACUCACAUAGUUUUUCUCCUCAUCUAUAUUAGUAGCAACAGUGCACUGAGACUCCACAACCUUAACCUUUUUAGUCUUUCCUAACAGCAAGUGCUUGGUCAGCAAGUCUAUCUGAGUCUUUAAGUGGGCUAUGUCUUGGUCUUGCUCUUCCUCUCUUCUGUGCUGCUUCACAGUUAUACCAAUAGAAAUAGUCGGGCUAGAUACCACAGAAUCCCUGGUAUGUGGGGCCCUACUCUAUUUGGUCAUUCUAUUUAGCAUGUCUGAAGUAUCUUGAAAAGAAAGGUCAAUGAAUGAACCACCCACAGCAUUAUCAACAAUUGGCUUUCUCCUAGAGUUAAAAACUCGGUACAAAGUCACCACCAAGUGCAAGUCCAUCAUGUUGUGGUUCGGACAUUGUGCCAUCUUCUUCUUAAAUCUCUCCCAAUUUUCAUACAACGCUUCAGUUGGGAGAUGCCUGAAGUUACUGAUUUCAUCCCUCAACUAUACCUUUCUGGAAAGUGGAAAGAACUAUUCUAGGAAUGCCUCUUUCAACUGCCUCCAAUUGGUUAUAGAAUUGGGCUCCAGCAUAUUUAACCACAUUCUUGCCUCCCCAGAUAGAGACAAUGGAAACAAUCUCAUUCUAGCUUACCCUCAAAUUAUUAAAGGAUUUGUAAAUGGUGAUAAAGUUCACCAAGUGCAUGUUCGGAUCAUCACCAGGCAAGCCUUCAAAAAACCCCUUCAGAUUCAAGAGUUGGAUCAUGGUACUUGUUAUGCUGAAUUUUGCACCAGGUGCCAAUGGUGGAGGAAUGAUAGCACCCGUGAACCUACUCAGUCCAUUUCUUCAUCAUCAUCAUCAACCUCGUACUGGACAGGCCGUUGACCAUACCUUCCUCUGAUUGGACAGUUUCUAUUGAAAUUUUACUGCACUGGUGCAGCACGUUGUUCAGCUUGCCUUGGGUUUUAAGGAUUCAGAAAUCCUCAUCACCCAAGUCUUUAUCAUCAAGGUUCAAAUGACGUACUUUUUAACCUUAGAUCUGUACGUUCACCAAAGCCCUGGCCAAGGCUACUAGUCUGUCAGCCUCUUGUUGCUCAGCCAUUCUCCUGAUUAGUUGAGGUUUUGAAUUAAUUGGCAAUAAUGGUUCUCUGGAACUUCUUUUUUUUGGCACAAACAACAAACAACCUACAAUAAACAAAAACAACAAAUAAAUGUAAAUCUAGGAAACUAAACUAAUAGUCAAUUAGAGCACACAAACUUUCAGUUUACAAUUGUAUUUCCCGGCAAUGGUGCCAUUUUUGAUAACGCUUAAAUUACACUCUUGAAUGGGUGUAAGUGAUCAUUUUCAAUAUAAAACCCAACUAGGUUGGGGUUAAAACCCACAGAGAAUAUAGUGUGAACUCAAGUUGUUUGCGGUUUAAUUCACUGAUAGUUUAACAUCUCCUGAAAUGGGGAUUUAAGUUUCACAAAUAAUUGUUUGACACUUUGAUUUUUAUAUUUGUAACCAAGAUUUUAUGAAAUAACCAGAAUUAUGUAAACUAGGGAUUACGGUACAAGACAGAUGCCAAAGGUGACUCAAGAUUCUCACGGUGGUUAGGAUAACAAGCUAUCUUUAUUGAUGAUAUGCUCAAAUGUCUAUCGAUCUAUUUAAGAAUCUAAUUUCCUAAUCCUCUCAGACUUAGGGAAUCUCUAAUACUGCCCAAAUUUUACCUCAGGUUAAUCAACCUUGUUACAGUGCUGAUUAUUAAAUGAAGUAUUUGUGAGUCCCUGUUGAUAGUUCACUUGUUACUGUUUAUGUUUCUUUCUCAAGAAAAUUAAAGUAGGUAUGCCUACUAUUUGCAACCAACAGACAUUAACUAAAGUCGCAAAAUUAUCAAGAAAUGCUAACACCUAUUUAAUCUUGAGUACUUAGCACCUCAUCAUGACCUAACUAUAAUCCCAUAAUUAAGGUUAAUGAGGUUUAUCCACUCAUGAUGCAAGAAACAAGUACACAAAUUGAAUUCAUAAUUGGGAAGAUUAACUUACAACUAUGAUGAAGAUCAAAAUGUAUAACUUGAAUUGAUUUACAAGACAAAACUCUGAAAAUAUUAGUCUAGAGAGAGAGAAAAAAAAUCAUCUAUUGUAAAGUAAAGAUGAAUCAAUGAUAAGUCAAUUGGUACUCAGAAAACCCUAAAAAAAAAAGGCUUUAAAUAGUUAACCCUAAAUAAGAAAACAAAAUAGAAGUUUCAUCUUUUUCUUGGAAUAAAUGACACCGUCAGUGACGGCUUAUCAAGAGUCUGACGACUUAUCACGGAUGUCAUUAGCUCCUCUGUAUUUUUGGCUUCUGUUGUUUAGGGCUGAUGACGACGAUGAAGGCCUAUCACCAUCUUGACGAUGCAUCAUGGAUUUUGUCAAAAAAUAUUCUUUAACCUCCAUAUUCUGUUUAAGGCUGAUGGCAUCCUUGACAACUUAAAACCAGGCUGAUGACGUGUCAUAGAUAUCGUCAGCCACACUUAGUCCUUUAUUUGCUUCAGAUUUCAGGGUUUUUGCUUCCUUUAUUGGUGAUUCUCCUUCAUCUCUACAUUUACUAUAAAAUUAAAGUAAACUAAUCAAAAACAACUAAAGUUGCUCAAGACUUUGCAAUAAUUUAGAGUUAAAAGCUUUAAAUGUGCUAGCAUAGGCUCGUACAUUAGUGUUGUGGGCCAAAAAUUGACCAGGGUAUGCCAGGGAGGUUAGGAAUCAUCCUAGUGUAGUUCGUUUAAAUUUUUGCGACCAUUUGGAUGGAUAAACGGGCAAAAUAGCACGAACGAGGCAUUUUUAGGCCAAAUCAGUGUGCUAUAGCCCACGGUUUUGGGGGUAGGCCCAGGGUUCAGGCGUGUUGAGGGAUGAAAAUUGACCAGGGCAUGCCAAGGAGGUUGGAGAUCAUCCCAGUAUGGUUCAUUUAAAUUUUUAUAGCCAAAUUGGUGUGCUAUAGCCCACGAUUUUGGGGGUGGGCCGGGGUCCAGGCGUGUUGUAGGUUGAAAAAUCAAUCGAGAUGAGCCAGGGAGGUUGGGGUUCAUCCCAGUGUGGUUCAUUUAAAUUUUUUUGGCCAUUUGGGUGGACAAACGGGCGAACAGGCUUGAACGGGGCAUUUUUGGGCCAAAUCGGUGUGCUAUGCCCACAGUUUUGGGAGUGGGUACGGGGUCCGAGCGUGUUGUGUGUCGAAUAUCGACCUGGGCUUGCCAGGGAGGUUGGGGAUCAUCCCAGUAAGGUUAUUUUAAAUUUUUGUGGCUAUUUGGGAGGAUAAAUAGGCAAAAUAGCUCGAACGGGGUAUUUUUAGGCCAAAUCGAUGUGCUAUAGCCCAGGGUUUUGGGGGUGGACCCGGGGUUCGGGCAUGUUAGGGGAUAAAAAUCGAUCGAAAAAUGGCAGGGAAGUUGAGGACCAUCUUAAUAUGGUCCAUUUAAAUUUUUGUGGCUAUUUGGUCGGACAAACAGCCGAAACCAAUUGAAUGGAGCAUUUUCGGGCCAAAUUGGUGUUCUAUAACCCACGGUUGUGGGUGUAGGCCUGGGGUCCGGGCGUACUUUUAGACAAAAAUUGAUCGGGAUGUGCCAGGGAGGUUGGGGAUCAACCCAUUAUGGUUCAUUUACAUUUUGGUGGCAUUUGGGUGGACAAACAGAGGAAACGGCAUGAAAGGAGCUUUUUUGGGCCAAUUCGGUGUGUUAUAGCUUACGGUUUUCAGGUGGGUCCAGAUUCCUGGAGUUCUGUGGGCCAAAAAUUGACCGAGGCAUACCAGGGAGGUUGGGGAUAAUCCCAGUGUGCUCCAUUCAAAUUUUUCUGCCAUUUGGGUGGACAAACGGAUGAAAUGAUGCAAAUGGGGAAUUUUCAAGCUAAAUCAGUUUUCUAUGGCCCAUGAUUUUGGUGAAGGGCUCGUGGUCCGGGCGUACUGUAGGCCAAAAAUUGACCGAGGCAUAGCAAGGAGGUUGGGGAUCAUCCCAGUGUGUUCCGUUUAAAUUUUCUUGGCUAUUUGUGUAGACAAAUAGGAAAAACAACAUGAAUAGGGCAUUUUAAGGCCAAAUCAAUAUGCUAUUGCCCACGGUUUUGGGGGUGGCCUCGGGGUCUGGGAGUAAUGUGGGCCAAAAAUGGAAUGGGCCAUGCUGGGGAGGUUGUGAAUCAUUCCAGUGUGGUCCAUUUAAAUUUUCAUGUCCAUUUGGGUGGACAAAUAGACGAAACAAUGCGAAUGGGGCUUUUUCAAGCCAAAUCGUUGGCUAUAGCCCACAAUUUUGGGGGUGGGCCUGGGGUCCAAGUGUGUUGUGGGCUAAAAAUUGAUCGAAGCAUGCAAGGGGGUUGAGGAUCAUCACAGUGUGGUCUGUUAAAAUUUCUGUGUCCAUUUGGUUGGACAAACGGGCGAAAUAGUGCGAACACAAUAUUUUCUGGCCAAAUCGGUGUGCUAAAGCCUAAGGUUUUGGAGGUGGGCCCGGGGUACGAGCGUGUUGUGGGACAAAAAUCAACCGAGGCAUGGUAAAAAGGUUGGUGAUUGUCCCAAUGUGGUCCAUUUAAAUUCUUAUGUCCAUUUGGAUGGACAAACGGGUGAAACAUCGCGAAUGGGGUAUUUUCGGGCAAAAUCGAUGUGCUAUAGCCCACAGUUUUUAGGGUAGGCCUGAAUAUCGGGCGUUCUAUGGAUGAAAAUCGAUCGGGGCAUCCUAGGGUUUUGGGGCUCAUCCCAGUAUGGUAUGUUUAUAUUUUCUUGGCUAUCUAGUUGGACAAACAGCUAAAACAGAGCGAACAGGGCAUUUUGGCGCCAAAUUGGUGUGCUAUAUCCCACAAUUUUGAGGGAGGGCCAAGGUUCUGGGUGAGCGGUGGGCCCAAAAUCUAUCGAGGCAUGCCAGGGGGUUUAGGGAUCAUCCCAUUGAGUUCUGUUUAAAUUUUCAUGACUAUUUGGGUGGAUGAACGGGCAAAACUGUGCGAACGGGGCAUUUUUGUUCCAAAUCGGUGUGCUAUAGCCCAUGGUUUAAGGGUGGGCCCGGGGUCCAGGCGUUCUGUGGGUCAAAAAUUAACUAGGGUAUUCUAGGGAGGUUGGGGAUCAUCCCAGUAUGGUCUUUUUAAAUUUUUGUGGCUAUAUGGGUGGAUAAACGGGCGAAAUAGCGAGAAUAGGGCAUUUUCAAGCAAGAUUGGAGUGCUGUAGCCCACAGUUUUAGGGGUGGGCUCAGGGUUCGGGUGUGUUAUGGGCCAAAACUUGACUAGAGUAUGCUAGGGAGGUUGGGAAUCAUCCCAAUGUGGUCUGUUUGAAUUUUUACAGCCAUUUUGGGUGGAUAAAUAGGCAAAACGAUGCGAACGGGACAUUUUUUUGGCCAAAUCGGUAUGAUAUAGCCCACGAUUUUGGAGUGGGCUCAAGUUCAGGCGUGUUGUGCAAUUAAAAUUGAUCGUGGCGUGCCAGGAGUUGGGGAUCAUCCCAGCAUAAUCCGUUUAAAUUUUCAUGGCCAUUUGGGUCAACAAAUGGGCAAAAUGACCCGAACAUUGCAUUUUUGGGCCAAAUUAGUGUGCUAUAUAGCCCACAAUUUUGGGAUUGGGAUCGGGAUACGAGCAUAUUGUGGCCUAAAAAUCGAUUGAGAUAUGCCAGGGAGGUUGUGGAUUGUCCUAGUGAGGUCCGUUUAAAUUUUUGUAGCCAUUUGGGUGGACAAACGGGCAAAACAAGGUGAAUGGGGCAUUUUCAGGCCUAAUAGGUGUGUUAUAUCCCAUGACUUCUGGAGUGGACCCAGGGUUCGAGCGUGCCAGGGAGGUUUGGUAUCAUCCCAGUAUAGUCCAUAAAUAUUUUUAUAGCCAUUUGGGUUGAUAAAUGGGCAAAACAGUGCGAAUGUUGCAUUUUCAGGCCAAAUCAGUGCGCUCUAUGCAAAGGUUUCGAGGGUGGGCCUAGGGUUCGGGUGUUCUAUGGGUAGAAAAUCGACUAAUGCAUUCUAGGGAGGAUAAGUAUCAUCCCAGUAUGGUCUGUUUAAUUUUUCGUGGCUAUUAUGGGGGACAAACAAGUGAAACGGUGCUAACUGGACAUUUUCAAGCCAAAUCAGUGUGCUAUAGCUCACGAUUUUGUGGGUGGGCUUGGAGUUCGGGCAUUCUGUGGGCUAAAAAUUGACCGAGAUAUGCAAAGGAGGUUGGGAAUCACCCCAUUGUGGUUUGUUUAAAUUUUCGUGGUUAUUUGUGUUGACAAACGAGCGAUACAGCGCAAAUGGGGCAUUUUCGAGCCAAAUCAGUAUGCCAUAGCACACGAUUUUGAGGGUACGCCUUGAGCUCGAGUGUUUUAUGGGUUGAAAAUUGAUCAGCCAUGCCUGGGAGGUUGGAGAUCAUCCCAGUGUGAUCCGUUUAAUGUUUCACAGCUAUUUUAGUGGAGGGCCCUAGUCCGGGCAUGCUGUAGGCCAAAAAUUGAUCGGGGUAUGCCAAGGAGGUUGGGGAUCAUUCCAGUGUCAUCUGUUUAAGUUUUCAUGGCCAUUUGGGUGGACAAACGGGAGAAACAGCAUGAACGGGGCAUUUUCAGGCCAAAUCGGUGUGCUAUAGCCCAUGAUUUUGGGGUUGGUCCUGAGUUCUGGGCGUGCUGUGCGACGAAAAUUAACCAGAGCAUGCCAGGGAGGUUGGAAUCAUCCUAGUGUGGUUUGUUUAAACUUUUGUGGCCAUUUGGAUGGACAAACAAGUGAAACAGUGAGAACGAGGCACUUUCAGGCCAAAUCAUUGUACUAUAGCCUAGGGUUUCGGGGAUGGGCCCAGGGUUUGGGUGUGGUAUGGGCUGAAAAUUGAUCGGGGAAAGCUAGGGAGGUUGGGGAUCCUCCUAAUAUGGUCUGUUUAAAUUUUUGUGGUCUUUUGGGAGGACAAAUGAGAAAAACAUUAUGAACGGGGCAUUUUUAGGCUAAAUCGGUGUGUUAUUGCCGACGGUUUCUAGGGUGGGCCCGUGGUUCGGGCGACCUGUGGGCUGAAAAUCGAUUGAGUCCUUCCAGGGAGUUAGCGAUCAUCCCAGUAUGGUUCGUUUAAAGUUUCUUGGCCAUUUGGGUGGACAAAUGGGUGAAACAGAGCGAACGGGACAUUCUCAGGCCUGAUUGGUGUGCUAUUGCCCACGGUUUUAGGGUGGGCUCGGGGUUCGAGUGAGCUAUGGGUCAAACAUUGAUUGGGGUAUGCCAUGGAGGUUGGGGAUCAUCCCAUUAUGUUUCACUUAAAUUUUGUUGGCCAUUUGGGUGGACAAACAGGCAAAACGAUGCGAACCUGGCAUUUUUGCACUAAAUUAGUGUGUUAUAGCCCAUGGUUUUGGGGGUGGGCUUGGGUUAUAUGAGUGUUGUGAGUCGAAAAUCAACUAGGGCUUGCCAUGGAGGUUGGGGAUCUUCCUAGUAUGGUCCGUUGAAAUUUUUGUGGCCAUUUGAGUGAACAAAUGGGCAAAACAGCACGAACGGGGCAUUUUUGGGCCAAAUCAGUGUGUUAUAGCCUACGGUUUUGAGGGUGGGACUGAGGUCCGAGCAUGUUGUGGGUCAAAAAUUAAUAGAGGCAUGCCAGGGAGGUUGGGGAUCAUCCCAGUGAGGUCCGUUUAAAUUUUCGUAUCUAUUUAGGUGGACAAACGGGCGAAACAGCGCGAAUGAGACAUUUUCAGGCCUAAUCGGUGUGCUAUAUCCCAUGGCUUCGGGGGUGGUCCCAUGUUUCGGGUUUGCUUUUUCCUAACUGAGGUAUGCCAGGGAGGUUCGGUCUUAUCCUAAUAUGGUCCAUUUAAAAUUUCAUGUCUAUUUAGUUCAACAAAAUAGGCAAAAUGGUGCAAACAUGGCAUUUUUGAGCAAAAUUGGUGUGCUACGGGCCAAGGUUUUGGGGGUGGGCCUGAGUUUCGGUUGUUCUAUGGGCCAAAAAUUGAUCGGGGCAUGUUAGGGAGGUUGGGGAUCGUCCAAGUCUGGACUGUUUAAAUUUUUGUGGCCAUUUGGUUAGACAAACGGGCGAUAUGGGUGGCCAUAGGGGUGGACUAACUAGCGAACAACGCAAACGGAUCAUUUUCGAGAUAAAUUGGUGUGCUAUAGCCCACGGUUUUGGGGGUGGGCCUAUGGUUUGUGCUAAAUCCCAUGGACGGGGCAUUCUCGGGCAAAAUCGGUGGGCUAUAGCCCAUAAUUUCAAGGCUGGGCUAGGGUUCCGACGUGCUGUGGGCCAAAAAUCUACCGAGGCAUGCCAGGGAGGUUGGUGAUCAUACCAAUGUGGUCUGUUUAAAUUUUUAUGGCCAUUUGGGGGUACAAGCAAGCGAAAUGGUACAAACGGGGUAUUUUUGGGCCAAAUCGGUGUGCUAUUGCCCACGAUUUCGGGGGUGUGCCCGGGGUCCGGGCGUACUAUAGGCGAAAAAUUGAUUGGGGCAUGCAAGGGAAGCUGGUGAUCAUCCCAUUAUGGUUUGUUUAAAUUUUCGUGGCCAUUUGGGUGGACAAACGGAGGAAAUGGCAUAAACGGGGAAAUUUUAGGCUAAUUCGGUGUGCUAUAGCCUACGAUUUCGAGGGUGGGUUCGGAGUUCAGACGUGCAGGGUGCUAAAAAUGGAUCGAAGCAUGCUAGGGAGGUUGGGGAUCAUUCCAGAGUGGUCCGUUUAAAGUUUCAGUGUAAUUUAGGUGGACAAAUAGAUGAAACAACUGUAAUAGGGCAUUUUUGGGCCAAAUCGGUGGAGGGCCCGUGGUCCAGGCAUGCUGUGGGCCGAAAAUCAACCGAGGCAAGGAAGGGAGGUUGGAGAUCAUCCCACUAUGGCCCAUUUAAAUUUUCAUAGCCAUUUGGGUGUACAAACGGGCAAAACGACACGAAUUGGGCAUUUUUGAGCCAAAUCGGUGUGGUAUAGCCCACGAUUUGGGGGAGGUCCGGGGUCCAGGCGUGCUGUAGGAUGAAAAUUGAUUGGGGCAUGCCAGGAAGUUUGGGAAUCAAUUUAGUGUGGUCUAUUUUAAUUUUUGUUGCCAUUUGGGUGGACAAACGGCUGAAACAGUGCGAGUAGAGCAUUUUGGUGUGCUAUAGCCCACGGUUUUGGGGGUGAGCCCUGAGUUUGGGCAUGUUGUGGUCCAAAAAUCGACUAAGGUAUUCCAAUAAGGUUGGUGAUCAUCCCAGUGUGGUUUGUUUAAAUUUUUGUGGCCAUUUGAUUGGACAAAUGGGUGAUACGGUGUGAACGGGGCAUAUAUGGGCCAAAUCGAAGUGCAAUAGCCCAAGGUUUCGGGGGUGGACCAAGGGUCCGGGCAUACUGUAGGAUGAAAAUUGAUCGGGGCAUGCCAUGGAGGUUAAGGAUCAUUCCAGUGUAGUCUAUUUAAAUUUUUGUGGCCAUUUGGGUAGACGAAUUAGUGAAACAUCACGAAUAGGGCAUUUUCGGCCCAAAUCAGUGUGCAUAGCCCACGGUUUUUAGUGUGGGCCUGGAGUUCAGACGUGUUGUGGGCAAAAAAUUUAUCGUCGCCUCCCAGGGUGUUAGGGAUCAUCCCAGGGUGUUCCGUUUAUAUUUUCUUGGCCAUUUAGAUGUACAAACAGCCGAAAUAGAAAGAACGGGCAUUUUCGGGCCCAAUUGGUGUGCUAUUGCCCACGGUUUUGGGGGUGGGCCUGGGGUCCGGGCGUACUGUGGCCCAAAAAUUGAUCGGGGUGUGCUAGGGGGUUAGGGAUCAUCCCAUUGUGUUCCUUUUAAAUUUUUGUGGCCAUUUGGGUGGACAAACGGGUGAAACCGUACGAAUGGAGCAUUUUUGGUCCAAAUCGGUGUGCUAUAUCCCAUGGUUUUGGGAGUGGACCUAGGAUCUGGGUGUGCUAUGGGUUGAAAUUAACCGAGGCAUGCCAGGGAGGUUGGGGAUCAUCCUAAUAUGGUCAGUUUAAAUUUUCGUGGCCAUUUGGUUGGACAAAAGGGUGAAACGGCACAGACGGGGCAUUUUUGGGCCAAAUCGGUAUGCUAUUGCCCUUAGUUUUUGUGGUGGGACGGAGGUACGAGUGUUAUCUGGACCAAAAAUUUUAUCGCAGCAUGCUAGAGAGUUUGGGGAUCAUCCCAGUAUCAUCCAUUUAAAUUUUUGUGGCCAUUUGGGUGGGAAAAUAGGAAAAAUAGUGUGAAAGGGGCAUUUUCAGACCAAAUCGGUGUGUUGUAGCCCAUGAUUUUGGUGGUUGGCCUUGGUUCCAGGCGUACUAUAGGCCAAAAAUCAAUCGGGGCAUGCCAAGAAGGUUGGGGAUCAUCCCAGUAUGGUUCAUUUAAAUUUUUGUGGCCAUUUUGGGGACAAACGGGCUAGAACGAGGCAUUUUUCGACUAAAUCGGUGUUCUAUAACCCAUGUUUUUAGCUGUGAGCCAAAAAUCAAUCGGGGUAUGACAGGGAGGUUGGGAAUCAUUCCAGUAUGGUCCGUUUAAAUUUUCGUAGCCAUUUGAGUGGACAAAUGAGCAAAACGGCAUGAAUGAGGCAUUUUUGGGCCAAAUUGGUGUGCUAUACCCCAUGGUUUUGGGGGUGAACCUGGGGUCCGGGCGUGCUGUGGACUAAAAAUCAUCCCAGUUUUUCUGUUUAAAUAUUCAUGGCUAUUUGGUUGGAGAAACAGGCAAAACGGCGCGAACGGGGCAUUUUUGGUCCAAAUUGGUGUGCCACAUAGCCUACGAUUUUGGGGGUGUGCACGGUGUUCAGCCAUGCUGUAGGCUAAAAAUUGACAGAGGUGUGCCAGGGAGAUUUGGGAUCAUCUCAGAGUAGUCCGUUUAAAUUUUUGUGGCCAUUUUAGUGGACAAACAUUUGAAACGGCAUGAAAGGGGCAUUUUUGGAUAAAUCGGUGUGCUAUAGCCUAUGGUUUCGGGGGUGAGCCCGAGGUCUGGGUGUACUGUAGGCCAAAUAUAAACUGGGGCAUGUCAGGGAGGUUGGGGAUCAUCCUAGUGUGGUUUAUUUAGAUUUUCGUUGCCAUUUGGGUGGACAAACGGGCGAAACAGCGUGAACGGGGCACCUUCUGGCCAAAUCUAUGUGCUAUAUCCCACGUUUUAGGGGUGGGACUGAGGUUUGGGUAUGCUAUGGGCCGAAAAUUGAUCGGAGCAUUCCAGGGAAGUUUGGGAUCGUCCGAUUUGGUCUGUUUAAAUAUUUCGUGGCUAUUUAGUUAGACAAACGGGCCAAACGGCACGAAUAGGCCAUUUUUGGACUAAAUUGAUUUUCUAUAGCCCACGGUUUUGAGGGCGAGCCUAGGUUUCGAGCGUGCUGUGGGCCAAAAAUCAAUUGGGUCAUGAUAGGGGGGUUGAGGAUCAUCCCAUUGUGGUCUGUUUAAAUUUUUGUGGCCAUUUGGGAUGAUCAAUGGCCGAAACAGUGUGAAUGGGGCAUUUUCAGGCCAAAUCAUUUUGUUAUAUCCCACGGUUUUGGGGGUGGGCCCGGGAUCCAAGCAUAUUGUAGGCCAAAAAUCAAUCGGGGAAUGCCAAGGUGAUUAAAUAUCAUUCCAGUAUGGUCCGUUUUGAUUUUUGUGGCCAUUUGGGUGGACAACUAGGCAAAACGGUGCGAACUAGGCAUUUCGGGCUAAAUAGGUGUGCUAUAGCCCACGAUUUUGGGGAUGGGCUUAGUUUUCUGAUGUGCUGUGGGCCUGAAAAUUAACUGGCGCAUGCUAGGGAUGUUACGGAUUAUCUCAGUAUGGUCUGUUUAAAUUUUUACGGCUAUUUGGGUGGACAAACGGGCAAAAUGGCGCGAAUGGGGCAUUUUUUAGCCUAAUCAGUGUGCUAUAUCCCACAAUUUUAGGGGUAGGCCUGAGAUCUGAGCCUGGUCGAUCCCAAAAAUUGACCAAGGCGUGCCAGGGAGGUUGGAGAUCAUCCCAGUGCGGUCCGUUUAAUUUUUUUGUCACUAUUUAGGUGGAAAAACAUGAGAAACGGCGUAAACAGGGUAUUUUCGAGCUAAAUCAGUGUGAUAUAGCCAAGAGUUUUUGGGGUGGGCCCAAGGUUCAGGCAUGCCAUGGGCCAAAAAUUGACCAGGUGUGCCAGGGAGGAUGGUGACCGUCCUAGUGUGAGCCGUUUAAAUUUUCAUGGCCAUUUGGGUAGACAAAUAGGCAAAAAGGCGCGAACGAAGCAUUUUAGGGCCAAAUCGGUGUGCUAUAGCCUAUGGAUUUGGGGGUGAACCCGGGGUCCAGUUAUGCUGUGGGCCAAAAAUUGACCGAGGCGUGCUAGGGAAAUUGGGGUUCGUUCCAGUGUGGUCCGUUUAAAUUUUCGUGUCCAUUCGGAUAGACAAAUAGGCAAAAUGACGCAAAUGGGGUAUUUUUGGGCCAAAUCGGUGUGCUAUAGCCCAAGGUUUCAAGGGUGGGCCUGGGGUCCGGGCGUGGUGUAGGCCAAAAUUUUAUCGGGGCAUGCCAAGGAAGUUGGGGAUCAUCCCAGUAUGGUCUGUUUAAAUUUUCGUGGCCAUUUUGGUGAACAAACGAGCGAAACGGUGCGAACGGGGCUUUUUCGGGCUAAAUCGAUGUGAUAUAACCAAGGGUUUGGGGGGUGGGCCCGUGGUUCGAGUGUGUUGAGGGCUGAAAAUUGACCGGGGCAUGCCUGGGAUGUUGAAAAUCAUCCCAGUGUUGUCCGCUUAUCUUUUUGUGGCCAUUUAUGUGGACAAAUGUGCGAAAUUGAUCUUGGGUGUAUUUAUACGUCUAAGCACCAUAAUUUAUCCAUAUUGUAGCUAAAUUUAGAGAACAAAGUGUCUAGUUUCUUAUGUUUUUACUCUACUUCUAUUUAAUUGAGCUAACCGAUGUGAUUAGCAUGAUUUUAGGUAUUAAUGAGGUAGAUGAUGACAUAAUGGGACUAUGGAAUGCGGAUGGCAUAUGACACAAGAGAGAGUAGCAAUUUGGACCAAAUGUGGUGCCUAGAAACUAUGUCUAAGACUAAUUUAUCAUUUAUAAUUAGUUCAGGGACUUAGAAGGAAAUUAUGAGAGAAGAGAUUAUUAAAAGACUUAAUUGCUGAAUUUUUAUUGAUAAUUCAUUAUUCUGUAUUAUUCCGAGAGAGGGUAAAGGCGGCUUAGCUUGAGGAGAGAGAGAGAAACAUUUUUCUCUCUUGUUUUCAGUAUUUGGACACCAAGAUCGUCUUCUAAUUUUUGGUGUGAUGAAUAUAUUUAUGAUGCUUUUUGUUUUAUUCAUGAGUAGCUAAGUUUAUUAGUUAGGGUUAUGGAAGCCUUGUAGCAUACAAUCUAUUACUUUGGAUUUUGAAUUCAUUAUGAAUUGAUUUGUUUACAUCAUACUCUCUUCGUUUAUUUUGAAUUCUCGUGGUUGUAAACAUAGAGGAUGUGCCUUAAAACACACCUUGUUCGAGAGAAAGGUUGUUGUUCGGAAAAGAGAGUUGUGAAAAAAAAAUAGGAUUUCCAAUCCCUAUUUCAUAUGCUAAUGCCUUAGCAGGAUUAACUACUUGGAGAUUUCAAAUUGUUUUUGGUAAACGCUUUUGAUUCGAGAAAACUAAAGUGAAUUAGUCCUUGAUGGUUGAGAAACACUAGUAUUAUGUUAUUAAAUACAAUACGUUUCUCUAUAAGCACGAUGCAUGUAUGAAUUCGUAAAGCCAAUAGUUAGAAAGUAUUGAAAACUACAAGGUAGACAUAACCCUUGCUUGAUAUUUCUCUGAAUUUGAAUACUACUACACAUAUUUCAUCUUGUUAAACUGAAACCAUUAAUUUGUGAACUGAAUCAAAUCCCCCUAUUUAUUUUACGGAAAUGAACGAUUAAAAGUCAACUAAUCCGCACACAACUUAAUUAACACCAUAUUUCCUAUGGGAUUCGACCCCAACCUAGUAGGGUUAUACAUUUGACAACGACUGCUUACUCUCUCAUAAGAGAGAUGUAAUUUGAGCGUUAUCAGAAACAUCCCGAAUGGGGCAUUUUCUGGCUAAAUCAGUGUGCUAUAGCCCACAAUUUCAGGGGUGGGCUCGGGGCUCGGGCGUGCUGUGGGCCAAAAGUCUAUCGGGGUAUUCUAGGAAGUCAGGGAUUAUUCCAGUGUGGUUCAUUUAAAUUUUCAUGGCCAUUUGUGUGGACAAACGGGAGAACGGAGCAAACGGGGCAAUUUUGGGCCAAAUUGGUAUGCUAUAGCCUACAAUUUCAGGGGUGGGUCCGAGGUUUGGGAGCUAUGGGCUAAAAAUCGAUCGGGGCAUGCCAGGGAGGUUGGGGAUCACCCUAGUGUGGUCCGUUUAGAUUUUCGUGGGUAUUUAGGUUGAUAAACGGGCGAAAGGGCACGAACGGAGCAUUUUUUAGCCAAAUCGGUAUGCUAUAGACCACUGGUUUGGGGGUGGACCCAGGGUACGAGCGUGCUAUGGGCCAAAAAUUGACCGGGGCAUGCUAGGGAGAUUGGAGAUCAUUCAAGUGUGGUCCGUUUAAAUUUUUGUGUCCAUUUGGGUAGAUAAACAGGCAAAACGGAGCGAUAGGGACUUUUUUGGUCAAAAUCAGUGCGCUAUAGCCCACGGUGUCAGGGGUGCGCCAGGGGUCCAAGCAUGCUAUUGGCCGAAAAUCAAUCGGGGCAUGCCAGGGAGGUUGGGGAUCGUACCAGUAUGGUCUGUUUUAAUUUUUGUUGCCAUUUGUGUAGAUAAACAGGUGAAAUAGUGCGAAUGAGGCAUUUUCGGGCCAAUUCAAUAUGCUAUGGCCCACGGUUUUGGGGGAAAGCUCGGGGUUCGGGGGUGCUGUGGGCUAAAAAUUGACACGGGUGUGCCAAGGAGGUUGGGGAUCAUCCCAGUGUGGUCCGUUUAAAUUUUCAUGUCCAUUUGGGUGGAUAAACAGGCAAAACGGAGCGAUAGGGACGUUUUUGGUCAAAAUCAGUGCGCUAUAGCCCACGGUUUUGGGGGUGGACCCGGGGUCCAGGCGUGCUAUGGGCUGAAAAAAGAUCAAGGCAUUCCAGGGAGGUUAGGGAUCAUACCAGUGUGGUCCGUUUAAAUUUUUGUUACAAUUUGUGUGGAUAAAUGGGUGAAAUAGUGCGAAUGGGGCAUUUUCGGGCCAAAUCAAUAUGCUAUAGCCCACGGUUUUGGGGGAGAGCUCGGGGUUCGGGGGUGCUGUGGGCUAAAAAUUGACUCGGGCGUGCCAAGGAGGUUGGGCAUCAUCCUAGUGUGGUCCGUUUAAAUUUUCAUGUCCAUUUGGGUGGACAAACGGGCAAAACGGAGCGAUAGGGAUGUUUUUGGUCAAAAUCAGUGUGCUAUAGCCCACGGUUUUGGGGUGGACCCGGGGUCCAGGCGUCCUAUGGGCUGAAAAAAGAUCGGGGCGUUCCAAGGAGGUCGGCGAUCGUACCAGUGUGGCCCGUUUAAAUUUUUAUUGCAAUUUGUAUGGAUAAAUGGGUGAAACUGUUCGAAUAGGGCAUUUUCGGGCCAAAUCGAUAUUCUAUAGCCCACGGUUUUGGGGGUGAGCCCAUGGUUUGGGGGUGAUGUGGGACAAAAAUUGACUCGAGCAUGCCAGGGAGGUUGGGGAUCGUCCCAGUGUGGUCCGUUUUAAUCUAUGUGGCCAUUUCAGUGAACAAAUGAGCAAAACGGCGCGAAUAGAGAAUUUUCGGGCCAAAUCAGUGUGCUAUAGCCCACGGUUUCAUGGGUGGGCCCAGGGACCGAGGGUGUUAUGGGCGAAAAAUCAACUGGGCAUGCCAAGGAAGUUGGGGAUAGUCCCAGUAUGGUCCAUUAAAAUUUUUGUGGCCAUUGGGUGGACCAAUGGGCAAAAUAGCAUGAACGGGGGAUUUUCAGGCAAAAUUAGUAUACUACAGUCAACGGUUUUGGAGGUGGGCUUGGGGUACGGGCGUUCUAUAGGAUAAAAAUUGAUCGAGGCUUGCCAAGGAGGAUGGAGAUCAUCCCAGUGUGGUCCGUUUAAAUUUUCGUGACUAUUUGGGUGGACAAAUAGGCGAAACGGCGCAAAUGAAUAUUUUCAGGAAAAAUUGGUGUGCUAAUGCCUAGGAUUUUGGGGGUGGCCCCGGGGACCAGGCAUGCUAUAGAUCAAAAAUUUAUCGUUACUCGCCAGGGAGGUAUGGGAUUGUUCCAGUGUGGUCCAUUUAAAUUUUCUGGCUAUUUGGGUGGACAAACAUGUGAAACGGCGCGAACGGGACAUUUUUAGGCCAAAUUAGUGUGCAUUUGCCCAAGGUUUUAGCGGUGGGCACGGGCUCUGGGCGUGCUGUGGGUCAAAAAUUGACCGGGGCAUUCUAGAGAAGUUUGGGAUCGUUCGAGUGUGAUCCGUUAAAAUUGUUGCGGCCGUUUGGGUGGACAAACGAGCGAAACAUCACAAACAAAGAUUUUUCGGGCCAAAUCAGUGUGCUAUAGCCAAUGGUUUUGGGAGUGGUCCCGAGAUCCGAUAUGCUGUAGGCCAAAAACCGAUCGGGGCAUGCCUGGGAAGUUAGGAAUCAUCCCAGUAUGGUCUGUUUAAAUUUUUAUGGCCAUUUAGGUGUACAAAUGGGCAACAUGGAAUGAACGGGGCAUUCUCAGGAUAAAUUAAUGUGCUAUAACCCAUGGUUUUAGGGGUGGGCCUAAUGUUUGGGCGUGCUGUGGGCCAAAAAUCGAUCGAGGUUUGUAAGAGAGGUUGGGAUCAUUCCAGUAUGGUCCGUUUAAAUUUUUGUGGCCGUUUAGGUAAACAAACGGGUGAAACCACAUGAAUGGUGCAUUUUUAGGCCAAAUCGGUGUGCUAUUGCACACGAUUUUGGGGGUGGUCCCCGGGUCCGGGCAUACGGUGGUCCAAAAAUCAACCAGGGUGUGUCAGGGAGGUUUGCAAUCAUCCCAGUGUAGUCUGUUUAAAUUUUCGCAGCCAUUUAGGUGGAUGAACUGGCAAAACUGCGCGAAUCGGGCAUUUUCAAGAAACUUGGUGUGCUAUAGCCCAUGGUUUUGGGGAUGGGCCUGGGGUUUGGGUAUGUUGUGGGCUGAAAAUUUAUUGAGAGGUGCCAGUGAGGUUGAGGAUCAUCCCAGUAUGGUCCUUUUAAAUUUUAGUGUCCAUUUGGGUGGGUAAACGGGCGUAAUGACGCAAAUGAGACAUUUUUGGGCCAAAUCGAUCUCCUAUAGCCCACGAUUUUGCGGGUGGGCUUGGGAUUCAGGCGUGUUGUGGGAUAAAAAUUGACCAAGGCAUAUUAGAAAGGUUGGGGAUCGUCCCAGUAUGGUUUGUUUAAAUUUUUGUGGCCAUUUGGGUGAACAAGCGGGUGAAACAGCGCAAAUAGGAUAUUUUUGAGUCAAAUCGGUAAGCUAUUGCCCACGGUUUUGGGGAGGGCCAGACGUUCGGGCCUGCUGUGGGCAAAAAAUUGACUGAAGCAUGCCAGGAAGGUUAGGAGUCAUCUCGGUGUGGCCCAUUUAAAUUUUCAUGGCCAUUUGGGUGGACAAACAGGCAAAACGGAACGAAUGGGGCUUUUUUAGGACAAAUCGGUGUACUAUAGACCACGGUCUAGGGGGUGGCUCGGAGUUCGAGUGUGCUAUUGGCUGAAAAUUGAUCGGAGCCUGCUAAAGAGCUUGAGCAUCAUCCCUGUGUGGUCUGUUUAAAUUUUCGUAGCCAUUUGUAUGGAUAAAUGGGUGAAACGACGUAAAUAGGGCAUUUUCUAGCCAAAUUGGUGUAUUAUAGCCCAGGAUUUUGGGGGUGGGCCCAGGUUUGGGCAUGAUGUGGGUCAAAAAUUGACUGGAGCAUGCCAGGGAGGUUGGGCCCCAAUUUUGGGGGUAGGACAGAGGGUCGAGUGUGCUGUGGGCCAAAAAUUGACCGGGGUGUGACAGGGAGGUUGUGGAUCCUCCCAAAAUGGUCCGUUUAAAUUUUCAUGGCCAUCUAGGUGGACAUAUGUGUGAAACAGCACAAACAGGACAUUUUUCGGGCCAAAUCAGUGUGUUAUAACCAAGGGUUUUGGGGGUGCGCUUGGGGUUCGGGUAUGCUGUGGGCCAAAAAUCGACUGGAGCUUGCCAGAAAGGAGAGGGAUCAUCCCACUGUCGUCUGUUUAAAUUCUUGUGGCCAUUUGGUUGGAAAAACAGACAAAACGUCACAAACGUGGCUUUUUUGUGCACAUUCGGUGUGCUAGAGCCCACGGUUUCGGGGGUGAGCCCAGGGUUCGGGCGUACUGUGGGCGAAAAAAUUGAACGGCUCAUCCCGAGGAUUUGGGGAUCAUCACAAUGUGGUCCGUUAAAAUAUUUUAGGAUAUUUGGGUGGACAAACGGGCGAAACGGAGCGAACAGGGCAUUUUCAGGCCAAAUUGGUGUCCUAUAGCCAAUAUUUUUAGGGAUGGGCUCCGGGUUUGGGCGAGCUAUGGGCCAAAAAUUGAUCAGAGCAUGCUAGGGAGGUUGGAAAUUGUCCCAGUGUGGUUCGUUUCAAUUUUUGUGGCCAUUUGGGUGGACAAACGGCCAAAACAGUGCAAGUGGAGAAUUUUUGGGCUAAAUCGGUGUGCUAUAGCCCACAGUUUUGGGGGUUGACCCAGGGUCAGGGCGUGCCGUGGGCUGCAAAUCGACUAGGGCAUGCCAAGGAGGUUGGGGAUCAUCCCAGUGUGGUCCGUUUAAAUUUUCGUGGCCAUUUAGAUGGACAAACGAGCAAAACGGUCCGAAUGGGGCAUUUUCGGGCCAAAUCGGCGUGCAAUAGACCAAGGUUUCGGGGGUGGACCAGGGGUCCGGGCAUGCUGUGGGAUGAAAAUUGACCGGGGAAUGCCAUGGAGGUUAGAGAUCGUCCCAAUGUGGUCCGUUUAAAUUUUUGUGGCCAUUUGGGUGGAUAAACGGGCGAAACAUCGCGAAUAGGGCAUUUUCGGGCCAAAUCGGUAUACAUAGCCCACGGUUUGUGGGGUGGGCCCAGAGUUCGGGCGUGCUGUAGGCUAAAAAUUUAUCGGUGAAUCUUGGGGUGUGAGGGAUCAUCCCAGGGUAGUCCAUUUAUAUUUUCUUGGCCAUUUGGAUGGACAAACGGGCACAACGGCGUGAAUGGGGCAUUUUCUGGGCGAAACCAGUGUGUUAUAACCCAUGGUUUCGGGGGUGGGGUGCGGGCGUGCUAUGCACCAAAUAUCGAUCGACGAAUGUCAGGGAGGUUGGGGAUAGUCCUAGUAUGGUCCGUUUAAUUUUUUUAGACAAUUUUGGUGGACAAACAGGCUAAAUGGUCCGAACGGGGGAUUUUUGAGACAAAUUAGUGUACUAUAGCCCACGAUUUUGGGGGUGGGCCCGAGGUUUGGGCGUGCUGUGGGUCGAAAAUAAAUCAAACCGUGCCAAGGAGGUUGGGGAUCAUCCCAGUGUGGUCCGUUUAUAUUUUCGUGUCCAUUUGGGUGGACAAAUGGGUAAAACAGCACGAAUGGGGCCUUUUUGGGCCAAAUCAAUGUGCUAUAGCCCACGAUUUCAGGGGUGGGCCCGGGGUCCGGGCGUGCUAUGGACUAAAAAUUAAUCGGGGCGUGCCAGGCAGGUAGGGGAUCAUCCCAGAUUGGUCCGUUUAAAUUUUUGUGGCUAUUUGGACGGGCAAACAUGCAAAAUGACACGAACAGGGCAUUUUGAGGCCAAAUCGGUGUGCCAUAGCCCAUGAUUUUGGGGGUGGCCUCAGAGUACGGGCGUGCUGCGGGAAAAAAAUCAACUAGGGCUUGCCAGAGAGGUAGAGGAUCAUCCCAGUAUUGUUCGAUUAAAUUUUCAUGGCCAUUUGGGUGGACAAAUGGGCCAAACAGUGCUAAUGGGGCUAUUUUUGGGUCAAUUCGAUAUGCUAUUGUUCUAGGGAUGAUAGGGAUCGUCCUAGUAUGUCCGUUUAUAUUUUUGUGGCUAUUUGGGUAAACAAACGGGCAAAACAACUCGAACGGGGAAUUUUUGUGCCAUAUCGAUAUGCUAUAGCUCAAGGUUUUGGGGGUGGGCCCGAGGUCCGGGUGUGCUGUAGGCCAAAAAUUGACCGAGUCAUACCAGGGAGGUUGGGGAUCAUCAUAGUAUGAUCCUUUUAAAUUUUCAUGGCCAUUUAGGUGGACAAAUGGGUGAAACGUUACGAAUGCGGCAUUUUAGGGCCAAAUCAGUGGCCUAUAGCCCAGGGUUUUGGGGGUGGGCCUGGGGUCUGGGCUUGCUGUGGCCUGAAAAUUGAUCGGAGUGUGCCAGGGAGGUUCGAGAUCGUCCCAGUGUGAUUCGUUAAAAUUUUCAUGGCCAUUUGGUUGGAUAAACUAGCGUAACAGCGCAAAGGGAUUUUCAAGCAAAAUUGGUGUGUUAUAGCCAGGUUUUUGGGGCUGGACCCAGGUUUUGGGCGUGUUGUGGGAUGAAAUUGACCGGGAAAUGCUAGGGUGAUAGGUGAUCAUCUCAGUGUGGUCCGUUUAAAUUUUUGUUGCUAUUUCGUUAGACAAAUGGGAGAAACAGUGCUAGCGGAGCAUUUUUAGGCCAAAUCGGUAUGCUAUAACCAACGAUAUCAGGGGUAGGCCCGGGGUCCGGGAAUGCUAUGGGCCGAAAAUCAACUGAGGCAUGUUAGGGAGGUUGGGAAUUGUCCUAGUGUGGUCCAUUUAAAUUUUUGUGGCCAUUUGGGUCAACAAACGGGCGAAACAGCGCAAACAGAAUAUUUUCAGUCAAAAUCAGUGUGCUAUAACCAACGAUUUUAGGGGUGGACCUGGGGUCCAGGCGUGCUAUGGCCUGAAAAUAGAUCGGGGCAUGCAAGGGAGGUUACGGAUCAUACUAGUGUUGUCCGUUUAAAUUUUUUUGCCAUUUGUGUGGAUAAACGGGUUAAACAGUGCGAACAGGGCAUUUUCAGGCCAAAUCGAUAUGCUAUAGCCCACGGUUUUGGGGUGAGCCCGGGGUUUUGGGGUGCUAUGGGCCAAAAAUUGACUCAAGCGUGCCAGGGAGGUUGGGGAUCAUUCCAUUGUGGUCCGUUUAAAUCUUUCUGGCCAUUUCGAUGGACAAACAAGUAAAAUGGUGCAAAUAGGGAAUUUUUGGGCCAAAUCAGUGUGCUAUUACCCACGGUCUCGUGGGUGGGCCUAGGGUCUGAGCGUGCUAUGGGACAAAAAUCAAUUGGUCAUGCCAAGGAGGUUAGGGAUAGUCCCAGUAUGGUCCAUUAAAAUUAUUGUGGCCAAUGGGUGGACAAACGGGAAAAAUAGCUUGAACGGGGGAUUUUUAGGCCAAAUUAGUGUGCUACAGCCAACAGUUUCAGAUGUGGGCCAGGGUCCAGGCGUGCUGUGGGUUCCAAGGUGGUUGGGGAUCAUCUCAGUGUGGUCCAUUUAUAAUUUUGUGGCCAUUUGGGUGGACAAACGGGUAAAACGGCGCGAACGGGGCAUUUUUGGGCCAAAUCAAUGUGCUAUAGCCCACGAUUUCGGGGGUGGGCUUGGGGUUCGAGCAUGCUAUUGGCUGAAAAUAAAUUGGGGCAUGCUAGGCAGUUAGGGAGUUAUCUCAGAUUGGUUCGUUUAAAUUUUUGUGGCUAUUUGGGUGGGCAAAAGUGCAAAACGGCAUGAAUAGGGCAUUUUGGGGCCAAAUCGGUGUGCCAUAGCCCACAGUUUUGGGGGUGGCCUCGGAGUACGGACGUGCUAGGGCAAAAAAUCAAUCGAGGCUUUCUAGAGAGAUAGGGUAUCAUCCCUGUAUUGUUUGAUUGGGGGGACAAAUGGGUCAAGUAGUGCUAAUGGGGCCAUUUUUGGGCCAAUUCGGUGUGCUAUUGUCCAUGGUUUCGGGAGUGGUCCUGUGGGACAAAAAUUGACAAGGGCAUGCUAGGGUGGAUGAGGAUCAUCCCAGUAUGUCUGUUUAAAUUUUUGUGGCCAUUUGGGUGGACAACAGGCGAAACGACCUGAACGGGAAACUUUUGUGUCAUAUCGAUAUGCUAUUGCCCAAGGUUUUGGGGGUGGACCCAAGUUUCGAACGUGCUGUAGUCCAAAAAUUGAUCAGGGCGUGCUAGGGAGGUUAAGGAUCAUUUCAAUAUGGUCCGUUUAAAUUUUCGUGGCCAUUUGGGUGCACAAACGGGUGAAACAUUAUGAACGCAGCAUUUUCGGGCCAAAUCAGUGUGCUAUAGCCCAGGGUUUUAGGGAUGGGUCUAGGGUCCGGGCGUGUUGUGGGAAAAAAAUUGACCAGAGUGUGUCAGGGAGGUUUGAGUUCAUCCUAGUGUGAUCCGUUUAAAUUUUCAUGGCUAUUUCGUUGGCUAAAUGGGCAUAACGGUGCAAAAAUUCACCGAGCAAUGCUAAGGUGAUUGGUGAUCAUCCUAGUGUGGUUCGUUUAAAUUUUCGUAGCCAUUUAGCUGGACAAAUAGGAGAAACGGUGCAAGCAGGGCAUUUUUAGGCCAAAUCGAUGUAUUAUAUCCGACGGUAUUAGGGGUGGGCCUGGGGUCCGAGCGUGUGUGGACCAAAAAUCAAUCGGGCAUGUCAGGGAGGUUGGGGAUCAUCCCAGUGUGGUCCAUUUAAAUUUUUGUGGCCAUUUAGGUGGACAAACAGGAAAAAUAGCAUGAACGGAACAUUUUCAGUCAAAAUCAGUGCGCUAUAGCCUACGAUUUUAGGAGUGGGCCUGGGAUUCGAGCAUGAUGUGGGCCAAAAAUUGACCGGGGUCUGCCAGGGAGGUUGGGGAUCGUCCCAGUGUGGUCCAUUUAAAUUUUAGUAUCUAUUUGGGUAGAGAAAUGGGUGAAACAGCGCAAACAGGGCAUUUUCUGGCAAAAUCAAUAUGCUAUAGCCCACGAUUUUGGGGGUGGGCUCAGGGUACGGGCGUGCUGUUGGCUAAAAAUAGACCGGGGCAUGCCAGGGAGGUUGGAAAUUAUCCCAGUGUGGUCUGUUUAAAUUUUCAUGGCUAUUUGGUUGUAUAAAAGGGUUAAAUUGCGACAAUGGAACAUUUUGGGGCCAAAUCAGUGUUCUAUAGCCUGCGGUUUUUGGGGUGGGACUGGGGUACGAUCGUGUUAUCGGCCAAAAAUCGACCGGGGCGUGCCAAGGAGGUUUGGAAUCAUCUCAGUGUAGUCUGUUUAAAUUUUUGUGGCCAUUUAGGUGGACAAACGGGCUAAACGACAUGAACGGGGCAUUUUUGGGCCAAAUAGGUCUCCUAUAGCCUACGGUUUUUGGGGUGGGCCUCGGUACAGGCAUGUUAUGCACCAAAAAUUGACCGAGGCAUACCAGGGAGGUUGGAUAACGUCCCAAUGUGGUCCAUUUAAAUUAUUGGGGCCAUUUGGGUCGAAAAAUGGGCAAAACAUCACGAACGGAACAUUUUCAAGCCAAAUCAGUGUGCUAUAGCCCACGGUUUCAAGGGUGGGCCCGAGGUCCGAGAUUGCAGUGGGCUAAAAAUCCAUUAGGGCAUACCAAGGAUGUUGGGAAUCAUCCCAAUAUUGUCCGUUUAAAUUUUUGUGGCUAUUUUGGUUGAUAAAUAGGUGAAAUGGCGCGAAUGGGGCAUUUUAGGGCCAAAUCAGUGUGCUAUAGCCCAGGGUGUCAAGGGUGGGCUCGGGGUCCGGGUGUGCUAUAGGCUAAAAAUUGACUGGGGCAUGCCAGGGAGGUUAAGGAUCAUCCCAGUAUGGCCCAUUUAAAUUUUUGUGGCCAUUUGGGUGGACAAACGGGCAAAAUAUCAGAAACAGGGCUUUUUUAGGCUAAAUCGGUGUGCUAUAGCCCACGGUUUUAGGAUGUGGGCCCGAGGUCCAUGUGUCCUGUGGGACUUAAAUCGACUGAAUUAUGCCAGAGAGGUUGAAGAUUGUCCCUGUAUGGUCCAUUUAAAUUUUUGUGGCCAUUAAGGUAAACAAACGGGCGAAACAACUCGAACGGGACAUUUUUAGGUCAAAUCGAUUGAUAUGGCCGAGGGUUUUGGGGGUGGGCCAGGGUCUGAGCAUGCUGUGGCCAAAAAUUGAUCAGGGCAUGCUAGGGAGGUUGGGGUUGGUCCCAGUAUGGUCCGUUUAAAUUUUCGUGGCGAUUUGGUUGGACAAACGGGCAAAACAGCGUGAAUGGAGCAUUUUUAAGCUAAAUCGGUGUGCAAUAGACCAGGUUUUUCAGGUGGGCUCAAAGCUCGGGAGUUCUAUGGACCAAAAAUUAAUCGAGCCAUGCUAGGGAUGUUGGGGAUCAUUCCAGUGUGGUCCAUUUUAAUUUUUAUUGCGAUUUGGAUGAACAAACGGGCGAAAUGACGCAAACAAGGCAUUUUCGAGCUAAAUCGGUGUGCUAUAUCCCAUAAUUUUUGGAGUGGGCCUAGGGUCCGAGGGAGCUGUAGGCCAAAAAUUGAUCGAGGCAUGCCAGGGAGUUUACGGAUCAUCCCAGUGUGAUCCGUUUAAAUUUUUGAGGCUAUUUGGGUGUACAAACAUGCGAAACGAAGUGAACGGGGAGUUUUCAGGCCAAAUCGGGGUGCUGUUGCCCUCAGUUUUGGGGUUAGGCCUGGGAUCUUGGUGUACUGUUACCAAAUAUUGCCUGGGGCAUGCCAGGUAUGUUGAGAUUGCCCCAGUGAGGUCCGUUUAAAUUUUCGUGGACAUUUGGGUGGACGAACAGGUGAAAUGGUUUAAACGGGGCAUUUUCAGGCCAAAUCAGUGUGCUAUAGCCUACCGUUUUGGGGGUGGUCCCAGGGUCCGGGCAUGCUGUGGGCUGAAAAUCAACCAAGGCAUGACAGGGAGGUUGGAGAUCAUCCUAGUAUGGUCCGUUUAAAUUUUUAUGGCUAUUUGGUUGGACAAAUAGGCGUAACAGCGCAGACGGGGUAUUUUUGAGCUAAAUUGGUGUGUUAUAGCCCAAGGUUUCGGGGGUGGUCCCAGGGUCCGGCCAUGCUGUGGGCUGAAAAUCGACCAAGGCAUGACAGAGAGGUUGGGGAUCAUCCUAGUGUGGUCUGUUUAAAUUUUUAUGGCUAUUUGGUUGGACAAAUAGGCGUAACAGCACAAAUGGGGUAUUUUUGAGCUAAAUUGGUGUGUUAUAGCCCAAGGUUUUGGGGGUGGUCCCGGGGUUCGGGCAUUCUGUAGGCUGAAAAUCGGUCGGGCCUUGCUAGGGAGGCUAGGGAUCAUCCUAUUGUGAUCAGUUUAAAUUUUUGUGGCCAUUUGGUUGUACAAACAGGCGAAACAGCACGAAUGGGGCAUUUUUUGGCCAAAUCGGUUUGCUAUAUCUCGCUGUUUCAAGGAUGGGCCCAGGGUUUGGGCGUGCUGUGGGACAAAAAUCGAUCGGGGUAUACCAUGGAGGUUAGGGAUCAUCCUAGUGUGGUCCAUUUAAAUUUUUGUGAAAAUUUAGGUGGAUAAACAUGUGAAACGGUACAAAUAGGGAACUUUUGGUCCAAUUAAGUGUGCUAUAGCCCAUGGAUUUAGGGAGGGCCAUGGGUUCGGGCGUUCUGUGGGCCAAAAAUUAUCCAGGGUGUGCCAAGGAAGUUGGGAAUCACCCCAAUGUAGUCCGUUUAAAUUUUUCCAGCCAUUUGGGUGGAUAAACGGGCGAAAUAGCGCGAACGGGGCAUUUUCAGGCAAAUUGAGUUGCUAUUGUACAUAGUUUUGGGGUGGACACGGGGUUCGAGUGUGCUGUGAGCCAAAAGUUGACCGUGGUGUGUCAGGGUUGUUAGAAAUCAUCUCAGUGUGGUCCAUUAAAAUUUUCGUGGAUAUUUGGGAGGACAAAAGGGCGAAACGGCAUGAAUGGGGCAUUUUUUGGAUAAAUUGGUGUGCUAUAACCCACGAUUUUGGUGGUGGGCUCGGAGUAACCCACAAUUGACCGAGGCAUGCCAGGCAGGUUGGGGAUCAUCCCAGUAUGACCCAUUUGAAUUUUGUGGCUAUUUGGGUGGACAAACGGGUGAAAUGGCAUGAAUGGGGAAUUUUCGGGCAAAAUUAAUAUGCUAUAACCACGGUUUUGGGGGUGGGCCUAGGAUCCAGGCGUGCAGUGGGUAAAAAAUUAAUCGGGGUGUGUCAGGGAGGUUGGGGAUCAUCCUAGCAUGGUCCUUUUAAAUUUUAGUGACAUUUGGGUGGACAAAUAGGUGAAACGGCACAAACGGGGCAUUUUUAGGCUAAAUCAAUAUACUAUAGCCCACGGUUUUAGGGGUGGGCCCGAAGUCUGGGGUGGUUGUGGAUAAUUCCAAUGUGGUCCGUUUAAAUUUUUGUGGCUAUUUGGAUUGAUAGAUGGGUGAAACAAAGUAAACGGGGCAUUUUUAAGCCAAAUCGGUGUGCCAUAGCCCACAGUUUUAGGGGUGGGCCUUGGGUUCGGGCUUGUUGUGGGCCAAAAAUUGACUGGGCAUGCCCCGGAGGCUGGGGAUCAUCCAGUAUGGUCCUUUUAAGCUAUUGUGGCCAUUUGGGUGGACAAAUGGGAGAAACGGCACGAGCAGGGCAUUUUCGGGCCAAAUUGGUGUGCCAUAGCCCACGAUUUUGAGGGUGGGCCUAGUUUGCGGGUGUACUAGUUGUCGAAAAUCAAUCAGGACGGUCCAGGGAAGUUAUAGAUCAUCCUAAGGUGGUUGACAAACAGGAGAAAUGGUGUAAACGGGACAUUUGUGGGCCAAAUCUGUAUGUUAUAGCCCACGGUUUUGGGGGGUUUGGGGUCCGAGCACGCUGAGGACCAAAAAUCGAUUGGGGCAUACCAGUGAGGUUGGGGAUCAUCCCAGUAUCCUCCAUUUAAAUUUUCGUGGCCAUUAGGAUGGACAAAUGGGCGAAAAGCCUAAAACGGGGCAUAUUGAGCCAAAUUGGUGUGCUAUAGCCCGUAGUUUCGGGGGUGGGCUCGGGUUUUGGGUGUGCUGUGGGCCAAAAUUUGACUAAGGCAUGUGAGGGAGGUUGAGGAUCAUCCCAGUUUGGUCCAUUUAAAUUUUCAUAGCCAUUUGGGUUGACAAAAGGUCAAAACGGCAUUAACGGGGCAUAUUUGAUGCAAAUCGAUAUGCUAUAUCACACGGUUUUGGCGGUGGGCUCAGGAUUCAGGUGUGUUGUGGGAAAAAAAUUGAUCGAGGCAUUCUAGGGAGGUUGGGGAUCAUCUUAGUGUUGUCUGUGUAUAUUUUUACGGCCGUUUGGGUGGAUAAACUGGUGAAAUGGUAUGAACGGGGCAUUUUUGGGCUAAUUAAGUGUGCUAUAGCCAACUAUUUUAGGGGUGGUCCCGAGGUUUGGGCUUGCUGUGGGCCAAAAAUUAAACGGGGCAUGCCAGAGAGGUUGGGGAUCGUCCUAACAUGGUCCGUUUAAAUUUUCGUGGCUAUUUGGGUAGACAAAUGGGUGAAACGGUGCAAACAGGAUAUUUUGGGGCUAAAUCGGUGUGUUGUAACCCACAGUUUCAGAAGUGGGCCUGGGGUUCGGGCGUGCUGUGGGCCGAAAAUCAAUCAGGAUAUGCCAAGAAGGUAAGGGAUCAUCCCAGUGUGUUCCGUUUAAAUUUUUAUGGCCAUUUGGGUGGAUAAACGGGCAAAACGGCAUGAAUAGGGCAUUUUUCGGCAAAAACGGUGUGCUAUAUCCCACAGUUUCGGGGGUGGGCGCGAGGCCCAGGCGUGCUGUGGGUCAAAAAUUGAUUAGGGCAUGCCAAAAAGGUUGGGGGUCAUCCUAGUGUAGUCCUUUUAAAUUUUUGUGGCCAUUUGGGAAGAUAAACGGGUGAAACAGUGUGAACUGGGUACUUUUGGGCCAAAUCGGUGUGCUAUACCCCACAAUUUUAGGGAUAGGCUAGGGGCCCAGGCUUGAUGUGGGAUGAAAAUCGAUUGGGGCAUUCCAGGAAAGUUAAAGAUCAUCCCAGUGUGGUCCAUUUAAAUUUAUUGGCCAUUUGGGUGGAGAAACGGGCAAAACGGCACGAAUGGGGAGUUUUCAGGCCAAAUCGGUGUGCUAUAGCCCACGGUUUUAGGGGUGGGCCCGAGGUUUGGGCGUGCUGUGGGCCGAAAAUCAACCAGGGUAUGUCAGGGAGGUUGGUGAUCGUCUUAGUAUGGUCUUUUUAAAUUGUCGUGGCCUUUUGGGUGGAUUAACAGGUGUAACAGCACAAACGAGGCAUUUUUGGGACAAAUCAAUAUACUAUAGCCCAUGAUUUUAGGGGUGGACUCAGGGUCCGAGCGUGCUGUUGGCCAAAAAUAGACCGGGACAUUCUAGGGAGGUUGAGGAUCAUCCCAGUAUGGUCCGUUUAAAGUUUUGUGGCCAUUUGGGUGGACAAAUGAGCGAAACCGCCUAAUGGGGCAUUCUCGAGUCAAAUAGGUAUGCUAUAGCCUAGGGUUUUUGGGGUGGGCUCGGGGUCCAGGCUUGUUGUGGGCUAAAAAUUAACCGAGCCAAGCUAGAGGCUUGGGGAUCAUCCCAGUGUGGUCCGUUUAAAUAUUUAUGGCUAUUUGGUUUGACAAACUGGCAAAACGAUGCAAACGGGGAACUUUUGGGCCGAAUCAGUGUGCUAUAUCCCACGUUAUUGGGGGUGGCCCCGUGGUUCGGGCAUGCUGUCGGCCAAUAAUCGACCAGGGCAUGCCAGGGAGGUUGGUGAUACUCCCAGUGUGGUCUGUUUAAAUUUUUGUGGCUAUUUUGGUGGACAAACGGGUGAAACGACUCUAACGAGACAUUUUCGAGCCAAAUUGGUGUGCUAUAGACCAUUGUUUUAGGGGUGGGCUCAGGGUCCGAGCAUAUUGUGGGCCAAAAAUUGACCAAGGCAUGCCAGAGGUAUUGGGAAUCAUCCUAGUAUGGAACGUUUCAGUUUUUGCGGCUAUUUGGUUAGAUAAACGGGUAAAGCAGCAUGAACGGGGCAUUUCUGGGCUAAAUCGGUGUGUUAUAGCACACGAUUUUGGGGGUGGGCCCGAGGUUCGGGCGUGCUGUGAUCCAAAAAUCGAUCAAGGCAUGCCAGGGAGGUUGAGAAUCAUCCUAAUGUGGUCUGUUUAAAUUUUUGUCGCCUUGUGGGUGGACAAAUGGGCAAAAUGGUGUGAAUGGGGUAUUUUUGGGCCAAAUCGAUGUGCUAUAGCCCACGAUUUUGGUGGUGGACCCGGGGUCCGGGCGUGCUGUGGGACAAAAAUCGACUGAGGCACCAAGGAGCUUACAGUUCAUCCAAGAGUGGUCCAUUUAAAUUUUAGUGGCUAUUUAGGUGUAAAAACGGACAAAACGGCAUAAACGGGGCAUUUUAUGGCAAAUCAGUGUGCUUUCGCCCACAAUUUUUAGGGUAGGACUGGGGUCCGGGCAUGCUGUGGGCCAAAAAUUGAUCAAGGCAAGCCAGGGCGGUUAGGUAUCAUCCUAGUGUGGUCCAUUUAAAUUUUUGUGGCCAUUUGGGUGGAAAAAUAGGCAAAAGAGGGCAUUUUCGAGCCAAAUCAAUGUGCUAAAGCCCACGAUUUUGGGGGUGGGCCCGAGCUCAAGGCGUAAUUUGGGCAAAAAACAACCGAGGUAGACCAGGGAAGUUGGGUAUCAUUAUAGUAUGGUCCAUUUAAAUUUUCGUGUCCAUUUGGGUGGACAAACGGGAGAAAUAUCGCGAACAGAGCAUUUUCGGGCCAAAUCAGUAUGCUAUGGCCCACAAUUUCAAGGGUGGGCUUGAGGUCCGGGCGUGCUGUGGGUAGAAAACUGAUAGAGGUAUGGCAAAGAGGUUGGGAAUCAUCCCCGUGUGGUCCAUUUAAAUUUUUGUUUUCAUUUGGGUGGACAAAUGGGCAAAACUGCACGAACAGGACAUUUUCGGGCCAAAUCGAUGUGCUCUACCCAACGGUUUUGGGUGUAGGCCAAUAGUUCAGGCGUACUGCAGGCUAAAAAUAGAUCAGUGCAUGCCAGGGAGGUUGAGGAUCAUCCCUGUAUGGUCCCUUUAAGUUUUUGUAGCUAUUUGGAUGGACAAAUGGGCAAAUAGCCCACGAUUUCGAGGAUGGGUCCAGGAUUCAGGUGUCUGUAGGCUAAAAAUUGAUCGAGGUAUAUCAGGGAGGUUGAGGAUCGUCCCAGUGUGGUCCAUUUAAAUUUUUGUGGCCAUUUGGGUUGACAAACGGGUUAAACAGCGUGAACAGGGCAUUUUCACGACAAAUCUAUAUGCUAUAGCCCACGGUUUUAAGGGUUACCCCGAGGUACGAGCGUACUGUGGGUCAAAAAUCAAUCUUGGCGUGUCAUGGAAAUUUAGAAUCAUCCCAGUGUGGUCCGUUUAAACUUUUAUGUCCAUUUGGGUGGACAAAUGGGCAAAACGGUGUGAACACAGCAUUUUCGGGCCAAAUCGGUGUGCUAUAGCCCACGGUUUUGGGAGUGGGCCCAGGGUCCGGGAGUACUGUAGGUGAAAAAUCAAUUGGGGCAUGCCAAGGAGGUUGGGGACGUCCCAGUAUGGUCUAUUUAAAUUUUAUUGCCAUUUGAGUGGACAAACGGGCAAAACGGGGCAUUUUCGAGCCAAAUUAGUGUGCUAUAGCCCACUAUUUUAGGGGUGGGCCUGGGUUCGGGCAUGGAUUGGGUUAAAAACUGAUAGGGACACGCCAGGGAGGUUGGGAUCAUUCCAGCAUGGUCCGUUUAAAUAUUCAUGGCUAUUUGGGUAGACGAACGGGUGAAAUGGUGCAAACCAGGCAUUUUCGAGCCAAAUCGGUGUGCUAUAUAGCCCACGGUAUCGGGGGUGAGUCUGGGAUCCGGGCAUGCUGUGGGAUAAACAUUGACCGGGGUAUGUCAGGGAGGUUGGGGAUCAUCACAGUAUGGUCCGUUUAAAUUUUCAUGGCCAUUUGGGUGGACAAAUGGGUGAAACGACAUAAACGGGGCAUUUUUGGGACAAAUCAAUAUGCUAGGGAACUGGGGUUCAUCCCAGUGUGGUCCGUUUAAAUAUUUUUGGCAAUUUGUGUUGAUAAACGGGCAAAAGGGUGGGAAUGGAGCAUUUUCGAGCCAAAUUAAUGUUCUAUAGCCCACGGUUUAAGGGGUGGUUUCGGGGUCCGGGCGUGUUGUGGGUCAAAAAUUGAUCGGGGCGUGCCAGGUAGGUUGGGAUCUUCCCACUGUGAUACGUUUAAAUUUUCGUGGCCAAUUGCAUGAACAAACACUCAAAACAGCGUGAAUGGGGCAUUUUUGGGCCAAAUCGGUGUGUUGUAGCCCACAAUUUUAGCGGUGGGCUCGGUGUCCAGGCGUGUUGUGUACCAAAAAUCAAUUGAGGCAUUCUAGGGAGGUUGAGGAUCAUCCCAGUGUGGUCUGUUUAAAUUUUAGUGGCUAUUUGGGUGGACAAACGGGGAAAACAUUGUGAACGGGGCAUCUGUAGGCCAAAUCAACGUGCUAUAGUCAACGAUUUUGGGGGUGGGGCCAGUAUUCUCCAUUUAAAUUUUUGUGGCUAUUUAGAUGAACAAACGAGCAAAACAACGCGAAUGGGACAUUUUUGGGCUAAAUCGGUGUUCUAUCGCCCACAGUUUUGGGGGUUGGCCCAGGGUCCUGGCGUUCUGAGGGAUAAAAAUCAUCCAGGGCAUGCCAGGAAGGUUGGGAAUCAUCCCAGUAUAGUCCGUUUAAAUUUUUGUAGCAAUUUGGGUAGACAAACAGGUGAAACAACGCGAAUAGGGCAUUUUUUAACCAAAUUAGUAUGCUAUAUCCCUCGAUUUCAUUGAUGGGACCGGGGUCUGGGUGUGUUGUGGGCUAAAAUUUGAUCGGGGCGUUCCAAGGAGGUUAGGGAUCCUCCUAGUGUGGUCCGUUUAAAUUUUCAUGGCCAUUUGGGAGGACAAAUGGGCGAAACAGCGCUAACGGGGCAUUUUCAAGCCAAAUCGGUGUGCUAUAGCCCACGAUUUGAGGGUGGGCCAGGGGUCCGAGCAUGAUAUGGGCCAAAAAUCCAUCGAGACAUGCUAGGGAGAUUAGGGAUCAUCCGAAUGUUGUCUGUUUAUUUUUUGUGGCCAUUUGGGUGGACAAAUGGGAGAAACGUCACAAACGGGGCAUUUUCGGGCCAAAUCUGUGUGCUAUAGCCCACUAUUUCAGGGGUGAGCCCGAGGUCCAGGGGUGCUGUGGGCAGAAAAUUAACAGGGGUGUGCCAAGGAGGUUGAGUAUCAUUCCAGUUUGGUCCGUUUAAAUUUUUUUGGCCAUUUGUGUGGACAAACGAGCAAAACUACGAGAAUGGGGCAUUUUUGUGCCAAAUUGGUGUGCUACAUAGCCAACGGUUUUGGGGGUGGGCCCGGGGUUCAGGCAAUAUAUUGGCCAAAAAUUAAUCUAGACAUCCCAGGGAAGUUUGGGAUCAUGCCAGUGUGAUCAUUUUAAAUUUUCAUGGCUAUUUGGAUAGACAAACGGGCAAAAUGGUAUGAACGGGGCAUUUUUGAGCCAAAUCGAUGUGCUAUAGCCCAUGAUUUCUUAGGUGGGCUCGGGAUUUGGGUGUUUUGUGUGCAAAAAAUUGACCGGGGCAUGUCAGGGAGGUUGAGGAUCGUCCCAAUAUGGUCAGUUUAAAUUUUAGUGGCCAUUUGGAUUGACAUACGGUGAAACAAUGCAAACGGGGCAUUUUCGGGAUAAAUCAAUAUGCUAUAGCCCACCAAUUUGGGGGUGGACCUAGGGUCCGGAUGUGUUGUGGGCUGAAAAUCGACAUGGGCGUACCAGGGAGGUUAAGGAUCUUCCUAGAGUGAUCCAUUUAAAUUUUUGUUGCCAAUUGCGUGGACAAACAGGCGAAACGGCAUGAAUGGGACAUUUUUGGGCCAAAUCGGUGUGCUACAGCCCACGAUUUUGGGGGUGGGCUUGAGGUCCGGGAGUGCUAUGGGCCAAAAUUCUAUUGAGAUAUGCCAGGGCGGUUGGAGACAAUCCCAGUAUGGUUGGUUUAAAUUUUGUGGCCAUUUGGGUGGACAAAAGGGCAAAACAUUGCGAACGAGGUGUUUUCGGGCCAAAUUGGUGUACUAUAGACCAUGGUUUUGGGGGUGGUCCCAGGUUCUAGGUGUGCUAUGUGCCGAAAAUCAAUUGGGGUAUGCCAGGAAAGUUGGGUAUCAUCCCAGUAUAAUCCAUUUAAAUUAUUGUGGCCAUUUGUGUGGACAAACGGGAUAAACAGCGCGAACGGAGCAUUUUUAGGCAAAUCGGUGUGCUAUAGCCCACGGUUUCGGGGGUGGGCCAGGGGUCUGGGCGAUCUAUUGAUCAAAAAUCAACCGGGGCAUGCUAGGGAGGUUGGAGAUCAUCCCAGUAUAGUACAUUUAAAUUUUUAUGGUUGUUUGGGUGGACAAACAGGUGAAACGGUGCGAACGGGACAUUUUUGGACAAAAUUGGUGUAUUGUAGCCCACGAUUUUGUGGGUGGGCUCAGGGUACAGGCGUGUUAUGGGCCAAAAAUUGAUCGGGGAAUUCCAAUGAGGUUGGGGAUCCUCCAAGUGUUGUCCAUUUAUAUUUUCAUGGCCAUUUGGAUGGACAAAAGGGCAAAACGGCAUGAAUGGGGCAUUUUUGGGCCGUAUCGGUGAGCUAUAGCCCUUGAUUUUGGGAUUGAUCUCGGCUUACGGGUGCGCUGUGGGUCAAAAUUUGACUGGGGCGUGCCAGGGAAGUUAGGGAUCAUCUUAAUGUAGUCCCUCUAAAUUUUUGUAGCUAUUUAGGUGGACAAACGGGAAAAACAUCAUGAACAAGGCAUUUUUUGGGCCAAAUCAGUGUGCUAUAGCCCACGGUUUUAGUGGUGGGCCCGAGUUCAAGGCGUGUUAUGGGCCAAAAAUUGAUCGGGGCAUGCCAAGGUUGUUAUGAAACUUCCCAGUAUGGUCUGUUAAAAUUUUCGUGGCCAUUUGGGUAGACAAACGGGCAAAAAAGAGCAAAUAAGGUGUUUUCGAGCCAAAUUUGUGUGCUAUAACCCACGGGUUUUAGGGUGGGCCCGAUGUUCGGGCAUUCUGUGGGCCAAAAAUUGAUCGGGACAUGCCAAGGAGGUUGGGGAUCAUCCCAGUGUGGUCCAUUUAAAUUUUCGUGGCUAUUUGGGCAGACAAACGUGUAUAACUGGAUGAACAAGACAUUUUCUGGACAAAUCUGGGUGCAAUAGCCAACGGUUUCGGGGGUGGGCCCGGUGUCUAGGCGUGCUGUGGGUCAUAAAUUAAUCGGGGCAUGCCAGGGAGGUUGGGGAUCGUUGCAGUGUGGUCCGAUUAUAUUUUCGUGCCUAUUUGUGUGGACAAAUGGGCAAACUGGUGUGAAUUGGGCAUUUUUGAACCAAAUCGUUCUGCUAUAGCCUACGAUUUUGGGGGUGAGCCCGAGAUCUGGCCAUACCGUGGGCUGAAAAUUAACCGAGGCAUGCUAGGGAGGUUUGGGAUCAUCCUAGUAUGGUCCAUUUAAAUUUUUGUGGCAAUUUGUGUGGACAAACGGGUGAAAUGGCGCAAACGGGGCAUUUUCAGCCAAAUCAAUUUGCAAUGGCCCACAGUUUUGGGGGUGAGCCCGGUGUCUGGGAGUGAUGUGGACUAAAAAUUAACCGAGGUAAGCCAGGGAGGUUGAGGAUUAUCCCAGUGUGAUUUGUUUAAAUUUUCAUGGAAAUUUGGAUGGACAAAAGGGUGAAAGGGUGUUAAUGGGGUAUUUUUUGGCCAAAUUGAUGUGUUAUAGCCCAUGAUUUUUGGGGUAGGCUCGAGGUUCGGGUGUCCUAGUGACCAAAAAUUGAUUGGGGCAUGACAGGGAGGUUAGGGAAUAUCCCAGUGUGGUGCAUAUUAAUUUUCGUAUCCAUUUUGGAUGACAAAUGUGUGAAAUGGCACAAACGAGGCAUUUUUGGGCUAAAUCGGUGUGCUAUAGCCCAUGGUUUCUUGGAUGGGCCUGGGGUCCGAGCGUGUUGUAAGCCAAAAAUUAAAUGGGGCAUGCCAGAGAGGUUGGGGAUCAUCCUAUUAUGAUUCAUUUAAAUUUUCAUGGCCAUUUAGGUAGACAAAUGGGUGAAAUAGCGUUAACGGGACAUUUUAGGCCAAAUCGGUGUGCUAUAGCCCACGAUUUUGGGGGUGGUUCUGGGGUUUGAGAAUACUGUGGGCCAAAAAUUGAUCGAGGCAUUCCAAGUAGAUAGAGGGUCAUCCCAGUGUGGUCCGUUUAAAUUUUCGUGGCCAUUUGGGUGGAAAAAAAGGUGAAACGGUGUUAAUGGGGCAUUUUCGGGCCAAAUCGAUAUGCUAUAUCUCAUGGUUUUUUAGAUGGGCCCGGGAUCCGGGUAUGCUGUUGGCCAAAAAUUGAUUGGGGAAUGCCAGAGAGUUUGGUGUCCAAGUCUGGUCCAUUUGUAUUUUCAUAGCAAUUUGGGUAGAUAAACAGGCAAAACGGCAUGAACGGGGCAUUUUCGGGCCAAAUUGAUGUGCUAUAGCCCAUGUUUUUGAAGGUGGGCCCGGAGUUCGAUCUUACUGUGGGCCAAAAAUCAAAUGGGGCAGGCCAGAGAGGUUGGAGAUCAUUCCAGUGUGGUCCGUUUAAAUUUUUUGGGCCAAUUGGGAGGACAACAGGGUGAAAUAGCGCGAACAGGGUAUUUUUGAGCUAAAUCGGUGUGUUAUAGCCUACGGUUUUGGGGGUGGGCUUGGGGCCCGGGCGUGCUGUAGGCCAAAAAUCUACCAUGGUAUGCCUCGGAGGAAUUAGAUCAUCCCAGUGUGGUUCGGUUAAAUUUUUAUGGCUAUUUGGGUGAAAAAUAGGCGAAACAGCGCGAACGGGGCAUUUUUGGCCCAAAACGGUGUGCUAUAUCCCAUGGUUUUGGGGGUGGUCAUGGGGUCCGACGUGCUGUAGGCCAAAAAUCGAUUGGGGCAUGCCAGAGAGAUUGGGGAUUAUCCCAGUAUGGUCAGUUUAAAUUUUUUUGGCCAUUUGGGUGGACAAACGGGUGAAGUGGGGUAUUUUGGAGCCAAAUCAGUGCGCUAUAGGCCACAAUUUUUGGGUUGGGCUCGGGGUCCGGGCAUGUUGUGGGCCAAAAACUGUUCGGGGCAUGCCAGGGAGGUUGUGGAUCAUCCUAGUGUGAUCCGUUUAUAUUUUUGUGGCUAUUUCAGUGGACAAACGGAUAAAACUGCGCAAACGGGGCUUUUUAGAGCCAAAUCAAUGUGCUAUAGCCCACGGUUUUAGUGGUGGGCCUGAGGUCCGAGCAUUUUGUGGGCCAAAAAUUGAUCAAGGCAUGCCAGGGAGGUUGGGGAUCAUCCUAAUGUGGGCAAUUUAUUUUUUCGUGGCCAUUUGAGUGGACAAAUGGGCGAAACUAUGUAAACGGGUCUUUUCGAACCAAAUCGAUGUGCUAUAGCCAAUGAUUUCGGGGGGUGGCCAGGGGUUCAGGCGUGAUAUGGGCGAAAAAUUGAUUGGGCGUGCCAAGGAGGUUAGGAAUUAUCUCAGUGUUGUCCAUUUAAAUUUUUGCGGCUAUUUGGGUGAACAAACGGGUGAAACGUCAUGAACGGAGAAUUUUUGGGUCUAAUCGAUGUGCUAUAGCCCACGGUUUUAGGGAAGGGACAGGGAUCUGGGCGUGCUGUGGGCAAAAACUUGAUUGGGGCAUGACAGGGAGGUUAGGGAUCCUCCCAGUGUGGUUCGUUGAAAUUUUAGUGGCCAUUUGGGUGGACAUACGAGUGAAAAGGCAUAAACAUGGCAUUUUUAGGCCAAAUUAAUAUGCUAUAGACCACGUUUUGGGGGGUGGGCUCGGGGUUCGGGUGUUCUGUGGGUCAAAAAUCGAUCAGGGCAUGCUAGAGAGGUUGUGGAUCAUCCCAGUGAGGUUAGUUUUAAUUUUUGUGGCUAUUUUCAUGGACAAACGAGUGAAACGGCAUGAACAAGGCAUUUUUGGCCAAAUUGGUGUGCUAUAGCCUAUGGUUUCGGGGGUGGGCCGCGGGUCCGGGCAUGUUGUGUGCCAAAAAUUGAUUGGGGCAUGCCAGAGAGAUUGUGGAUUAUCCCAGUAUGGUCCGUUUAAAUUUUUUUGGCCAUUUGGGUAGAGAAAUGGGUGAAAUGGGGUAUUUUGGGUCCAAAUCAGAAUGUUAUAGGCCACGAUUUUUGGGGUGAGCCCGGGGUCUGGGCAUUUUGUGGGCCAAAAAUUGAUUGGGGCAUGCCAGGGAGGUUGGGGAUCAUCCUAAUAUGGUCAAUUUGUUUUUUCGUGGUCAUUUGAGUGGACAAAUGGGCUAAACUAAGUAAACGGAUUUUUUCGAACCAAAUCGGUGUGUUAUAGCCAACGAUUUCGGGGGGUGGCCCGAGUUUCAGGCGUGAUGUGGGCAAAAAAUUGAUCGGGCGUCCCAGGGAGGUUAGGAAUCAUCCCAGUACUACUCAUUUAAAUUUUUGUGGUUAUUUGGGUGAACAAACAGGCGAAACGGUGCAAACGGAGAAUUUUGGGCCAAAUCGAUGUGCUAUAGCCCACGGCUUUGGGGAAGGGACAGGGAUCCGAGCGUGCUGUGGGCAAAAACUUGAUUGGGGCAUGUCAGGAAGGUUGGAUAUCAUCCCAGUGUGGUUCGUUGAAAUUUUAGUGGCCAUUUGGGUGACAUACGGGUGAAACAGCAAAACGCGGCAUUUUUAGGCCAAAUUAAUAUGCUAUAGACCACGGUUUUGGGGGUGGGCCCAGGGUUCGGGUGUGCUGUGGGCCAAAAAUUGACCGGGGCAUGCUAGAGAGGUUGCGGAUCAUCCCAGUGGGGUUUGUUUUAAUUUUUGUGGCCAUUUUUAUGGACAAACGGGCAAAACGGCAUGAAUGAGGCAUUUUUGGCCAAAUUAGUGUGCUAUAUAGCUUACGGUUUCAGGGGUGGGCCGGGGGUUCGGGCGUGCUGUGUACCAAAAAUUGAUCGAGGCAUGCGAGGGAGGUUGGGGACUAUCCCAGUAUGGUCUGUUCAAAUUUUUGUGGCCAUUUGUAUGGACAUACGAGCAAAACUUUGCGAACGGAGCAUUUUUGGGUCAAAUUGGUGUACUAUAGACCACUGCUUUGGUGCUGGGCCUGUGUUUUGGGUGUGUCGUGGGCCAAAAAUCAAUCGAGGCUUGCCAGGGAGGUUGGGGAUCAUCCCAGUAUGGUCCUUUUAAUUUAUUGUGUCCAUUUGAGUGGACAAUCGGGAGAAACGGUGCGAAACGAGCAUUUUUAGGCAAAAUCAGUGUGCUGUAGCCUACAAUUUUGGAGGUGGGCCCGGGGUCCAGGCGUGCUGUUGUUCAAAAAUCAACCGGGGCAUGCCAGGGAGGUUGGAAAUGCUCCCAGUAUGGUCCGUUUAAAUUUUUGGGGCUAUUUGGGUUGACAAACGGGCAAAAUGUUGCGAACGAGGCAUUUAUGGACCAAAUCGGUGUGCUAUAGACCACGGUUUUGGUGGUGGGCCCAGGGUUCGGGUGUGUUGUGGGCCAAAAAUUGACUGGAGCAUGCCACUGAAGUUGGGGAUAAUCCCGAUGUAGUUCAUUCAAAUUUUUGUGGCCAUUUGGGAGGACAAAACGGCGAAACGGUGUGAAUAGGGCAUUUUUGGUUCAAAUCGGUGUGCUAUAGCCCACGGUUUUGGGGGUAAGCCUGGGGCCUGGGCAUGCUGUGUGCCGAAACUUGACUGAGGUAUAGCAGGGUGGUUGGGGAUAGUCCUGGUGUGGUCCGUUUAAAUUUUUGUGGCCAUUGGUUAGACAAACGGGUAAAACGGCGUUAACAGGGCAUUUUUAGGCAAAAUUAGUGUGCUAUAUCCCACAUUUUCAGGGAUGCACCCAUGGUUCGGGCAUGCUGCGGGCCAAAAAUCAACCGGGGCAUUCCAGGGAGGUUAGGGAUCAUCCCAGAGUGAUCCGUUUAAAUUUUUGUGGCCAUUUAGGUGGACAAAAGGGCGAAACGGCGCGAAUGGGACAUUUUCGGGACAAAUCAGUUUGCUAUAGCCCACGGUUUUGGGGGUGGGCCUGGGGUCCUGGCGUUUUGUGGUCUCAAAAUCAUCCAGGGGAUGCUUGGGAGGCUGAGAAUCAUUCCAGUGUGGUCUGUUUAAAUUUUUGCGACCAUUUGGGUGGAUAAACGGGCGAAAUAGCGCAAACAGGGCAUUUUUGGGUCAAAUAGGUGUGCAAUAUAGCCCACGAUUUUGGGGUGGACUCGGGGUUUAGAUGUGUUGUGGGCCUAAAAUCAACCGGGGCAUGCCAAGGAGGCUGGGAAUCAUCCCAGUGUGGUCCAGUUAAAUUUUUAUCGCUAUUUGGGUGGACAAAUGUGCCAAAUAACAUGAAUAAGGAAUUUUUAUCGGUGUGUUAUAUCCCACGAUUUCGGAGGUGGGCCAAGGAUUCGAGCGUGCGGUUUGCCAAAAAUUGACCGAGGUAAUCUACGGAGCUUAGUUCAUUCUAGUGUGGUUCAUUUAAAUUUUCUUGGUUAUUUGGGUGGACAGACGGGCAAAACGGGGCAAACGGGGCAUUUUCAGGCCAAAUCGAAGUGUCAUAGCCCACAGUUUUGUGGGUGGGAUCAGGUUCUAGGCAUUUUAUGGGCCAAAAAUCGUUCGGGCAUUUUAGGGAGGAUGGGGUUCAUCCCAGUAUGGUCCGAUUCAAUUUUUGUUGCUAUUUGGGUUGACAAACGGGAAAAACGGCGUGAACUGGCAUUUUGGGCCAAAUCGGUGUGCUAUAGCCCAUAGUUUUUGGGGUGGGCCUGGGCUCCGAGCGUGUUAUAGGCCAAAAAUAGACUGAGGCAUGCUAAUGAGAUUGGGGAUCAUCCCAAUGUUGUCCGUUUAAAUUUUUGUGGCCAUUUGGGUGGACAAACGGGAGAAACAUCAUAAAAGGGGCAUUUUUGGGCCAAAUCGGUGUGCUAUAGCCCACGAUUUUAGGGGUGGGCCCGUGGUUCGCAUGUGCUGUGGGCUAAAAAUCAACCAGGAUGUGCCAGGAAGGUAAAGAAUAAUCUCAGUAUGGUUUGCUUAAAAUUUUAUGGCCAUUUGUGUGGACAAAAGGGCGAAACGGUGCAAACAAGGCAUUUUUGGGCCAAAUCGAUGUGCUAUAGCACACGGUUUUGGGGGGUGGGCCUACGGUUCGGGCGUGUUGUAGGCCGAAUAUCGACGGAGGUUUGCCUGGGAAGUUAGGGAUCAGCCCAAUGUAGUUCAUUUAUAUUUUUGUGGCCAUUUAGGUAGACAAAUGGGCAAAACAGUGUGAAUGGGGCAUUUUCAGGCAAAAUCAGUGUGCUACUACUCGCGGUUUCGGGGGUGAGCCCAGGGUCUGGGCGUGUUGUGAGCCAAAAAUUAACCAGGGCAUUUUAGGGAGGUGAGGCAUCAUCCAAUGUGGUCCAUUUAAAUUUUUGUGGCUAUUUGGGUGGACAAAUGGGCGAAACGACGCUAACGAGGCAUUUUCAGGCUAAAUUGGUGUGCUACAGCCAAGAGUUUUGGGGGUUGGACAGGGAUCCGGGCGUGCUGUGGGCCAAAAAUCUAUUAGGGUAUGCCAAGGUGGUCGGUGAUAGUCCUAGUGUGGUUCGUUUAAUUUUUAUUGCCAUCUGGGUUGACAAACGGGUGAAACGGUGCAAACAGAGCAUUUUCGAGCCAUAUAUUUUGCUAUAGCCUAUGUUUUUAAGGGUGUACCCGGGGUCCAGGCGUGUUGUUGGCCGAAAAUCAACCAGGGCAUGCCAAGGAGGUUGGGUGUCCCAGUGUGAUCCAUUUAAAUUUUUGUGGCCAUUUGGGUUGACAAACGGGUGAAACAAGGUGAACUGAGCAUUUUUGGCCCAAAUUGGUGUGAUAUAGCCCACGAUUUUGGGGGUUGGACCAGGGUACGAGCGUUCUGUGGGCCAAAAAUUAAUAGGGUCAUGCCAGGGAGGUUGGGGAUAGUCCCAGUGUGGUCCGUCUAAAUUUUUGUGGCUAUUUGGGUUGACAAAAUGGCAAAACAGCGUAAACGGGGCCAUUUUGAGCCAAAUCGAUGUGCUACAACCCACAAUUUAGGGGGUGGGUCCGGGGUCCGGGUAUGCCAUGGGCGAAAUAUUGAUCGAGGCAUGCCAAAGAGGUUGGGAAUUAUCCUAGUAUGGUCCAUUUAAAUUUUUGUGCCUAUUUGGGUGGUCAAACAGGCAAAAUGGCUCAAACGGGGCAUUUUUAGGCAAUAUUGGGGUGCUAUAGCCCGCGAUUUCAGGGGUGGGCCUGAGGUUAGGGCAUCCUGUAAGCGAAAAAUUGACCGUGGUAUACCAGGGAGAUUGGGGAUCCUCCCAGUGUGGUCCGUUUAAAUUUUCGUUACGAUUUGGGCGGACAAACAAGCAAAAUAGCACAAUGGGGCACUUUCAGGCCAAAUCGGUGUGCUAUACCACACAGUUUUGAGGGUGGGCCCAGGGAUCUAGGCAUUUUGUGGGCGAAAAAUCAACCAGAGCGUGCCAGGGUGGUUGAGGAUCAUCCCAGUAUGGUUUGUUUAAAUUAUUAUGGCCAUUUAGGUUGACAAACGGGCAAAACAAUGUGAACAUGGAAUUUUCAGGCUAAAUCAGUGUGCUAUAGCCCAUGCUUUAAAGGGUGGGCUCGGGGUCCGGGUAUGCUGUGGGCCAUAAAUUAAUUAAGGCGUGCCAGGGAGAUUGGGGAUCGCCACAGUGUGGUCCUUUUAAAUUUUCAUUAAUAUUUGGGUGCAUAAACGUUCAAAUUGGCAUGAAUGGGGUAUUUUUGGGCCAAAUCGGUGUGCUAUAGCACACGGUUUUACACGUGGGCUCAGGAUCGGGGCAUGCUGUGUGCCAAAAAUUGAUAGGGGCAUGCCAGGGAUGUUGACGAUCGUCCCUGUUUGGUCCGUUUAAAUUUUUGUGGCCAUUUGGGUGAACAAACGAGCGAAACGGAGCGAACAGGGCAUUUUUGGGCCAAAUUGGUGUGCUAUAGCCCACGGUUUCAAGGGAAGCCCCGGAGUCCGGGCGUGCUGUGAGCCAAAAAUUAAUCAAGGCAUGCCAGGGAGGUUGGGGAUUAUCCCAGUGUGGUCCGUUUAAAUUUUUGUGGCUAUUUGGGUGGACAAAUGGGCAAAACUGCGUGAACGAGGCAUUUUUAGGCCAAAUUAGUGUGCUAUAGCCUACGGUUUUUGAGGUGGGAGGCGUGUUGUAGGCUAAAAAUCGACCAGGGUAUUCUAGGGAGGUUGGGGAUCAUCCCAGUGUGGUCCUUUUAAAUUUUUGUGGCCAUUUGGGUGACAACCGGGUGAAACAACACAAAUGGGGCAUUUUUAGGGCCAAUCGGUGUGCUAUAGCCCACAAUUUCGGGGGUGGGCCCGGGGUUCGGGUGGGCUAUGGGCCAAAAAUUGAUCGGGGCAUGCUAGGGAGGUUUUGGAUCAUCUCAGUAUGGUCCGUUUAAUUUUUGUGGCCAUUUGGGUGGAAAUACAAGCAAAUCAGCACAAAUGGGUCAUUUUUGGGCCAAAUCUAUGUGCUAUAGCCCAUGGUUCGGGGGUGGGCCUGGGGUUCGGGCGUGCUGCGAGCCAAAAAUCUACCGAGGUGUGUCAAGAAGGUUGGAGAUUAUUCCAGUGUGGUCCGUUUAAAUUUUCUUGGCCUUGUGGGUGGACAAACCUGCAAAACGACGUGAACUGGGCAUUUUCGGGCUAAAUCGGUGUGCUAAGCCCACGGUUUCUGGAGUGGACCUGGGGUCCGGGUAUGUUGUGGGACGAAAAUUGAUCGGGCUAUGCCAGGGAAGUUGGGAAUAGUCCCCAUUUAUCCCGCUUAAAUUUUGUCUCCAUUUGGGUGGACAAACGAGCGAAAAAGCAUGGACGGGGUAUUUUAGGGCCAAAUUAGUGUGCUAUAGCACACGGUUUUAGUGUUGGGCCCGGGGUCCGAGUGUGCUGUGGGUAAAACAUCGAUCGAGGUGUGUCAGGGAGGUUGGGGAUCAUACCAGUGUGGUCCGUUUAAAUUUUCAUGGCUAUUUGUGUAGACAAACGGGCAAAACAGCGCGAAUGGGGUAUUUUUGGGCCAAAUCAAUAAGCUAUAUCCCGCGGUUUUUGGUGGUGGUCUCGGGGUCUGGGCAUGAUGUGGGCCAAAAAUUGAUCGAGGCAUGCCAGGGAGGUUGGGGAUCAUUCCAGUGUUGUCCAUUUAUAUUUUCGUGGCCAUAUGGGUGGACAAACGGGAGAAACAGUGCGAACGGGGCAUUUUUGAGCUAAAUCCUUAUGCUUUAUCCCACGGUUUUGGGGGUGGACUCGGGGUUCGGGUGUGCUGUGGGCUGAAAUUCAAAUGAGGAGUGGUAGGGAGGUUAGGUAUCAUCCCAGUGUGGUCUGUUUAAAUUAUCGUGGCCAUUUGGGUGGACAAACAGGAGAAACGGCCUGAACGGGGCAUUCUCUACCAAAUUGGUAUGCUAUAGCCCAUGGUUUCGGGGGUGGUGCUUUGGGCUGAAAAUAGAUCGAGGCAUACUAGGGAAGUUGAGGAUCAUCCCAGUAUGGUAUGUUUAAACUUUUGUCACCAUUUGGAUGGCAAACGGGCAAAACAUCGCGAAUAGGGCAUUUUCAGGCAAAAUUGGUAAGGUAUAUCCCACGAUUUUUGGGAUAGGCCCGGAUUUCGGGCGUGCUAUAAGCUGAAAAUCAACUGGGGCAUGCCUGGGAGGUUGGGGAUUAUCCCGGUGUAUUCUGUUUUAUUUUUGAGGCCUAGGUCCAGGCAUUCUGUCGGCUGAUAAUUGAUAGGGACAUGCCAAGGAGGUUGGAGAUUGUCCCAGUGUGGUCCAUUUAAAUUUUUAUGGCUAUUUGGGUGGACAAACGGGUGUAGCAGCGUGAACGGCUUUGGGGGUGGGCCCGGGGUCCGAGCAUAUCAUGGGACAAAAAUAGACUAAGGUAUGCCAACGAGGUAAUGGAUCAUCCCAGUAUGGUUCUUUUAAAUUUUUGUGGCCAUUUGGGCGGACAAACAGGCAAAACGGUACAAAUGGGACAUUUUUGGGUAAAAUCGGUGCGCUAUAGCCAACGGUUUUGGGGGUUGGCCAAGGGUCCGGGCGUGCUGUAGAACAAAAAAUGAUCGGGGAAUGUCAAGGAGGUUAGGGAUCAUCCCAGUCUAGUCUGUUUAAAUUUUUCUGGCUAUUUGGGUGGACAAACAGGCAAAACGGCACGAACGGGACAUUUUCGGGCCAAAUCGGUGUGUUAUAGCCCACAGGUUUGGGGGUGGGCCUGGGUACCAGGCGUGCUGUAGGCCAAAAAUAAAAUGGGCCAUGACAUGGAGGUUGGGGAUCAUCCCAGUGUUGUCCGUUUAAAUUUUUCUAUCCAUUUGGGUGGAUAAACGUUCAAAUUGGCAUGAAUGGGGUAUUGUUGGGCCAAAUCGGUGUGCUAUAGCACACGAUUUUGCACGUGGGCUCAGGAUCCGGGUAUGCUGUGGGCUAAAAAUCAAUAAGGGCUUGCCAGGGAUGUUGGGGAUCUUCCCAGUUUGGUCCGUUCAAAUUUUUGUGGCCAUUUGGGUGAACAAACGAGCGAGACGGAGCGAACAGGGCAUUUUUGGGCUAAAUUAGUGUGCUAUAGCCCACGGUUUCAAGGGAAGCCCCAGAGUCCGGGCGUUCUGUGAGCCAAAAAUUAAUCGAGGCAUGGGGAUCAUCCCAGUGUGGUCCGUUUAAAUUUUUGUGGCUAUUUGGGUGGACAAAUGGGCAAAACUGCGUGAACGGGGCAUUUUUAGGCCAAAUUAGUGUGCUAUAGCCUAUGAUUUUUUAGGUGGGAGGUGUGUUGUAGGCCAAAAAUUAACCGGGGUGUGCUAGGGAGGUUGGCGAUCAUUCCAGUGUAGUCCUUUUAAAUUUUUGUGGCCAUUUAGGUAGACAACCGGGCGAAACGACAUGAAUGGGGCAUUUUUAGGGCCAAUCGGUGUGCUAUAGCCCACAAUUUUGGGGGUGGACCUGGGGUUCGGGCGGGCUAUGGGCCAAAAAUUGAUCAGGGCAUGCUAGGGAGGUUGUGGAUCAUUUCAUUGUGGUCCAUUUAAUUUUCGUGUCCAUUUGGGUAGACAUUCGAGCGAAUUGGCACAAAUGGGUCAUUUUCGGGCCAAAUCGAUGUGCUAUAGCCCAUGGUUUGAGGGGUGGGCCUGGGGUUCGGGUGUUCUGCGAGCCAAAAAUCUACCGAGGUGUGUCAGGGAUGUUGGGUAUUAUACCAGUGUGGUCCGUUUAAAUUUUCUUGGCCUUGUGGGUGGACAAACCUGCAAACCGACGUGAACUGGGCAUUUUCGGGCUAAAUCGGUGUGCUAUAGCCCACGGUUUCUGGGGUGGACCUGGGGUCCAGGCAUGUUGUGGGAUGAAAAUUGACUGGGGUAUGCCAGGGAGGUUGGGAACAUCCCCAUUUAGCCUGCUCAAAUUUUGUCUCCAUUUGGGUGGACAAACGAGCGAAAAAGCACAAACGGGGUAUUUUUGGGCCAAAUUGGUGUGCUAUAGCACACGGUUUCAGUGUUGGGCCCAGGGUUCGAGCGUGCUAUGGGGCAAACAUCGACCGAGAUAUGUCAGGGAGGUUGGGGAUCAUCCCAGUGUGGUCCGUUUAAAUUUUCAUGGCUAUUUGUGUAGAUAAACGUGCGAAACAGCACGAAUGGGGUAUUUUUGGGCCAAAUCGAUAAGCUAUAUCCCGUGGUUUUGGGUGUUGGUCUCGGGGUCUGGGCAUGCUGUGGGCCAAAAAUCGACCGAGUCAUGCCAGGGAGGUUGGGGAUCAUUCCAGUGUGGUCCAUUUAUAUUUUCGUGGCAAUAUGGGUGGACAAACGGGAGAAACAGUGCGAACGGGGCAUUUUUAAGCUAAAUCCUUAUGCUAUAUCCCACGGUUUCGAGGGUGGGCUUGGGGUUCGGGUGUGCUGUGGUCGAAAAUCAAAUAAGGAGUGGUAGGGAGGUUGGGGAUCAUCCCAGUGUGGCCUAUUUAAAUUAUCGUGGCCAUUUGGGUGGACAAACAGGAGAAACGUCCUGAACGGGGCAUUCUCUACCAAAUUGGUUUGCUAUAGCCCAUGGUUUCAGUGGUGGGCUCGGGGUCUGGGUAUUCUGUUGGCUAAAAAUUGAUCGAGGCAUACCAGGGAAGUUGAGGAUCAUCCCAGUAUGGUUUGUUUAAACUUUUGUCGCCAUUUGGAUGGCAAACGGGCAAAACAGUGCGAAUAGGGUAUUUUCAGGCAAAAUUGGUAAGGUAUAUCCCACGAUUUUAGGGAUAGGCCCGGAUUUCGAGUGUGUUGUAAGCUGAAAAUCAACUGGGUCAUGCCUGGGAGGUUGGGGACCAUCCUGGUGUAUUCUGUUUUAUUUUUUAGGCCAUUUGGGUAGACAAACGGGUGAAACAGCCGAACGGGGCAUUUUCGGGCCAAAUUGGUGUGCUAUAGCUCUCGAUUUCAGGGUGGGCCCGAGGUCCAGGCGUUCUUUCAGCCAAUAAGUGAUUAGGGCAUGCCAAGGAGGUUGGGGAUUGUCCCAGUAUGGUCCAUUUAAAUUUUUGUGGCUAUUUAGAUGGACAAAUGGGUGUAACAGCGUGAACGGCUUUGGGGGUAGGCCUGGGGUCCGAGCAUACCAUGGGCCAAAAUAGACUAGGGUAUGAUAAUAAGGUAAUGGAUCAUCCCAGUAUGGUUCUUUUAAAUUUUUGUGGCCAUUUGAGCAAACAAACGGGCAAAACGGCACAAACGGAGCAUUUUUGGGUAAAAUCGGCGGGCUAUAGCCAACGAUUUUUGGGGUUGGCCAGGGGUCCGAGCGUGUUGUAGGAAAAAAAAUGAUAGGGGAAUGUCAGGGAGUUAGGGAUCAUCCCAGUCUAGUCUGUUUAAAUUUUUGUGGCCAUUUGGGUGGACAAACGGGCAAAACGGCAUGAACGGGGAAUUUUCGGGCCAAAUCGGUGUGUUAUAGCCCACAGUUUUGGGGGUGGGCCUGGGUACCAGGCAUGCUGUGGGCCAAAAAUAAAAUGAGGCAUGCCAUGGAGGUUGGGGAUCAUCCCAUUGUGGUCCGUUUAAAUUUUUGUGGCCAUUUGGGUGGAUGAACAGGCAAAACGGCAUGAAAAGGGCAUUUUUACGCCAAAUUGGUGUGCUAUACCCACUGUUUUAGGGGUGGGCCAGGGGUUCAGGCAUGUUGUGGGCCGAAAAUUGAUCGAUGCAUGCCAGGGAGGUUGGGGAUCAUCUCAAUGUGGUCAAUUUAUAUUUUCGUGACCAUUUGGGAAGACAAACGGGCAACACAGUGCGAAUGGGGAAUUUUUUGUGCAAAUCAUUGUCCUAUAGCCCAUGGUUUCGGGGGUGGGUCAGGGCAUGCUGUGGGCUAAAUACUGACUAGGGUAUGCCAGGGAGGUUGGGAAUCAUCCCAGUGUGGUCCGUUUAAUUUUUCGUGGCUAUUUGGGUGGACAAACGUGUGAAUCAACACAAACAGGGCCUUUUUGGAUCAAAUCGGCAUGCUAUAGCCCACGGUUUUAGGGUUGGGCCCGGGGUUCGGGAGUGUUGUAGGCCACAAAUUGAUCGGGGCAUGACAGGGUGGUUGGGGAUAGUCCUAGUAUGGUCCGUUUAAAUUUUUGUGGCUAUUUAGGUGGACAAAAGGGCGAAACAGUGAGAAUGGGGCAUUUUAGGCCAAAUCAAUGUGUUAUAUCCCACCUUUUUUAGAGUAGGACCGGUGUUCGGGCUUGCUGUUGGCCAAAAAUUAACUAGGGCAUGCCAGGUCGGUUGGGGAUUGUCCCAAUGUGGUCCGUUUAAAUUUUUGUGGCCGUUUGGGUGGACGAACGGGCAAAACGAUGCGAACAGGGCAUUUUUAGGCCAAAUCGGUAUGCUAUAGCCCACAGUUUCGGGGGUGGGCUUGGGUUCCAAUUGUGCUGUGGGAUAAAAAUCAAUCGGGGCAUGCCAGGGUGUUUGGGGAACAUUUCAGUGUGGUCCAUUUAAAUUUUCGUGGCCAUUUGUAUGGACAAAUGGGCAAAACGGUGUGAAAGAGGCAUUUUUAGGCUAAAUCGAUAUUCUAUAGCCCACAGUUUCGGGGGUGAGCCCGAGGUCCGGGCGUGCUAUGGGUCAAAAAUCAAUUAUGGCAUGCCAGGGAGGUUGGGGAUCAUCCCAGUAUAUUUUGCUUAAGUUUUCGAUGCCAUUUGGGUGAAAAAUUGGGAGAAACGAUGCGAAUGGGGCAUUUUUGCACCAAUUCGGUGUGCUAUAACGCACGAUUUUUAGGGUGGGCCGAGGUACCACUGUGUUGUAGGACAAAAAUUGACCGGGGCAUUCUAAGAAGGUUGGGGAUCAUCCCAGUGUGGUCCUUUUAAAUUUUUGUGGCCACUUGGGUAGACAAACAGGUGAAACGGCAUGAAUGGGGUAUCAAGCCAAAUCGGUGUGCUACAACCUACAGUUUUGGGGAUGGGCCCUACGUUCGGGCGUUUUGUAGGCCAAAAUUGAAUGGGGUAUGCCUGGUAGGUAGGAGAUCGUCCCAGUGUGGUCUGUUUAAAUUUUAUGCCCAUUUGGGUGGACAAAUGGGUGAAACGGCACGAACUGGGCAUUUUUUUGCCAAAUUGGUGUGCUAUAGCCCACGGUUUUGGGGGUGAGGCCGGGUUCCAGCCGUGAUGUGGGCCAAAAAUUGACCAGGGCUUGCAAGGGAGGUUGGGGAUCAUCCCAAUGUGGUCCGUUUAAAUUUCGUGGCCACAGGGUCCAGGCGUGCUGCGGGCCAAGAAUCUACCUGAGCAUGCCAGAGAGGUUGGGGAGUAUCUUGAUAUGGUCCUUUCUGGUGAGAGAGUAUAUUUUGAUGUUCAAAUAGGCCAAACGGUGUAAACGGUGCAUUUUUAGGCAUAUCGAUGUACUGUUGCCCACGGUCCUUAGGGUGGGCUCGAUUUUGGGCGUGAUGUGGGCCAAAAAUUGACCUGGGCAUGCCAUGGAGAUUGGGGAGCAUCCCAGUGUUUUCCGUUGGGUGGGUGGGGCCAUUUGGGUAGUUAAACGGCUGAAAUGGUAUGAAUGUGGUAUUUUCAGGCCAAAUCGGUGUGAUAUAGACCACGAUUCCUAGGUUGGGCCUGGAGUCCAGGCUUGCUGUGGGCCGAAAAUCGAUUAGGGCAUGCCAGGGAGGUUGGAGAGCAUUAUAGUGUGGUUUUCUUGGGUGGAAAAGACCAUUUGGGUGGGCAAAUGGGUGAAUCGGCAAAUAUUGAGCAUUUUUAGGCUAAAUUGGUGUACUAUUGCCUAUGAUUCCUGGGGUGGGCCUGGGGUUUGAGUGUGCUGUGGGCCGAAAGUUGACCUAAGUAUUCUAAGGAAGUUGCUGAGCAUCCCAGUGUGGUCCAUUUGGGUGGGCGUGGCCAUUUGGGUGGUCAAACGGGCGAAAAGGCACGAAUAGGGCAUUUUCGAGCUAAAUCGAUAUGCUAUAGCCUACGGUUCCUAGGGUGGGCCCGGGGUUCAGGCAUACUAUUUAUCGAAAAUUGACCUAGGCAUGCCAAGAAGGUUGGGGAGCAUCCAAGUUUUUUCCGUUUGGGUGGGCGGGGCCAUUUGGGUUGUCAAACGGGCUAAACAGCGCAUUGUUGUGCAAAAUUAGUGUGUUAUAGCCCACGGUUCCUAGGGUGGCCCAGGGGUUCGUAAGUGCUGUGGGCCGAAAAUCAAUCUAGGCCUGUAAGGGAGGUUGGGGAGCAUCCCUGAGCAGUCCGUUUGGGUGUGUGUGGCUAUUUGGGUAGUCAAAUGGGAGAAACAACGCUAAUGGGGCAUUUUUGGGCCAAAUUAAUGUGCUAUAGCCCACGGUUCCUGGGUGGGCCCGAGGUCCGGGCGUGUCUGAUGUGUGAGCAGACGCUAAUAUAUUUGAGGCUUUUAACUGAUAAUAAUUGCAAAGUCUUAAGCCACUUUUAUCGUUUUUUAUUGUUUUAUGUUUGAUUUUCCAGUAAAACUAACAAGGAUGGAAAAAAAGAGUUGAAAUCUAAAGUAAAUAAAGGCAAAGUGUGGCUGACGACAUUUCUGAUAAGUCGUCAACCCUGUGAUAAUCUAUCUACUUCAUCGUCAGAGAUAGACAGAGAAUGGACCUAUGUUGAGAGUUAUGAUAACAUUUUGUGAUAGGGCGUCAAGGAGCUAAUAAAUCGUCAAGAUUGCCAUCAUCCUAAGGUAGAAUAUGAGAGCUGAGGUAAAGUGACGACAUUUGUGAUAAGUAGUCAAGGAGUUGAUAGGACGACAAAGUUUGGCAUCAGCCUAGGUAGUGAGUAUCAAAAGCAAAGAGGAGCUGACAACCUUUGUGAUAAGUCAUCAACCUCCUGAUAGGUUGUCACGAAUGUCGUCACCUAAUUCGAGAGAUUAUUAAACUCUAUAAUUUUUUUCCUUAUUUAGGAUUAACUAUUUAAAGUCUUGUUUAGGGUUUUCUUGGAGAGUUCCGAACUUGAGUUUUGAGAUACGAUAUUUUGAUAUUUCCUCUCUCUAGUUUGUAGACUUGAAAAAAUAAUUACUUUGAAGAGAUUAUCAUCAUUAUUUUGGGAUUUCCUUUGUGAUCUAAUCUGAGAAUCACUAGUUACUAUUGAUAUUAUGGUAAGUUUGUCUUUCAAAUCAUGAAUACAACUAGUUGUUUUGAUUAUUACACCAUGAGCGGCUAAAUUCCUUUAACCUAAAUUAUGUGAUCUAGGGUUAAGUCUUGAUAAGGUGCUAAGCAUUCAAGAUUUGAAAGGUAAUAGGACUCCUUGAUAAUUCUGAGGUUUAAAUUAUCUUCUAUUGGUUGCAAACGAUAGAUAAAACCUACUUUGAUUUGCCUGAGAAAGAAAUCAAUUAUAGUAGGAAGUGAAUUAUCAACAGGGACUUGGAAGCUUCCAACCUUCUAUUUAAUAAUUGACAUUGUAACAAGAUUGAUUAACCUGAGGUAAAAUUUGGCCAGUGAAUAUAAAUUCCCUAAGUCCGAGAGGAUUAGGUAAUUAAAUGCUUAAGUAGGUCGAGAGAUAUUUAAUCAUAAUAUCAAUAAAGAUAACUUGUUGUCCUAUCUACUGUGAGAAUCUUGAACCGCUAUUUGCAUCUGUCAAGUACCAAAACCCCUAGUGAACAUAAUUCUGGUUUUUCCAUAAACUCUUGAUUACGAACACUGAAACUGAAGUAACCAACAAUUACUUGUUAAACUAAAAAAGUCCAUUUCAGGAAACAUCUAACUAUCAGUUGAUUAAAUCACAAAUGACUUAAGUUUAUGCCAUAUUCCCUGUGGGAUUCGACCCCAACCUAGUUGGGUUUUAUAUUGACAACGAUCGCUUACAUUCUCAUUGAGAGGUGUAGUUUGAGCGUUAUCAGUAUCGUGGGUCAAAAAUUAACCUAGACGUGCCAGGGAGGUUGGGGAGCAUCCCAGUAUGGUCCAUUCUAUUGGGCAGGUCCAUUUGGGUGGUCAAAUGAGCAAAACGGGGCUUAUUCGAGCCAAAUCGUUGUGUGAUAGCCCACAAUUCCUAGGGUGGGCUCAGGGUUCGGGUGUGCUAGGGGUCGAAAAUCAACCUGGCAUGCUAGGGAUGUUGGGGAGAGUCCUAGUGUGUUUUGUUUGGGUAGGCAGGGUCUUUUGUAUGGUUAAAAAGAUGAAACGGAACGAACGGAACAUUAUCGGGCCUAAUCGGUGUGCUAUAGCCCAUUGUUCCUGGGGUGGCCUAGGGUCCGGGCAUGGUAUAGGCCAAAAAUUAACAUAGGUGUGUCGGGAGGUUGGAGAGUAUCUCUAUAUGGUCCAUUUAAGUGGCCAGGGCCAUUUGGGUGGUUAAAUAGGCGACAGGGUACGAACGAGCCAUUUUUGGACCAAAUCUGAGUGCUAUAGGCCACGAUUCCUGGGGUGGGCCUGGGGUUCGAUUGUGUUAUGGGCCGAAAAUCAACCUGGCGUGCUAGGGGGGUUAAGAAGCAUCCUAGUAUAGCCUGUUUGGGUGGGCGAGGCUAUUUAAGCGGUUAAACGGGUGAAACAACACAAAUGGAGCAUUUUUUAGAUGAAUCGAUGUGCUAUAUAACCCAUAUUUCCUCGGGUGGGCCCAGUUUCGGGUGUGCUAUGGGCCAAAAAUUGAUCGGAGCAUGCCAAGGGGGUUAUGAAAUGUCCUACUGUAGUCCGUUUGGGUGGGAGAGGCCAUUUCGGUGGUUAAACGGGCAAAACAGAGCAAACGAGACAUUUUUGGGUCGAAUCGGUAUGUUAUAUCCUACGGUUCUGAGGGUGGGCCACGGUUUCAAGCGUGUUAUGCAUCAAAAAUUGACCCAGGCAUGCUAGUGAGGAUGUGAGCAUCCCAGUGUAAUCUGUUUGGGUAGGCGGGGUCAUUUAGGUGGUCAAAAGUGCAAAGUGGCAUGAAUGGGGCAUUUUUGAGCCAAAUCAGUGUGCUAUAGCCUACGGUUCCUGGGGUGGGAUCGGGGUCUGAGUGUGAUGUGGGAUGAAAACUAAUCUAUGCAUACCAGGGAGGUUGGGGAGUAUGCCAGUAUGGUAUGUGUAGGUGGGCAGCACAAUUUGGAUGGUCAAAUGGCCAAAACGAUGCGAAUAAGACAUUUUUGGGGUAAAUCGGUGUGCUAUACCCACGAUUCUUGGGGUGGGCCCGCGAUUCGAGCAUGUUAUGGGCUAAAAAUUGAUUUGGGUAUGACAGGGAGGUUGGGAAUCAUCCCAGUGUGGUUCGUUUGGGUAGACGGGGCCAUUUGGGCGGUCAAACGGUCAAAACGGCGUGAGUGGGGCAUUUUUGAGUUAAAUCAGUAUGUUGUAGCCCACAGGUCCUGGGGUGGGCCCAAGGUCCGGGCAUUCUAUAGGCCAAAAUUGACCUGGGCAUGCCAGAGAGGUUGGAUAGCAUCUCAAUAUGGUCCGUUUGGGUGGGCAGGGCCAUUUGGGUGGUCAAAUGGGCAAAUGGAUCAUUUUUAGGCCAAAUUGAUGUGCUAUAGCCCACGGUUCUUAAGGUGUGCCUGGGGUUCGACCAUGUUGUAGGCCAAAAAUUGACCUGGACGUGCCAUUAUGGUUGGGGAGCGUCCCAGUAUAGUUUUUUUGAGUAGGUAAGGCCAUUUGGGUGUUCACACCGAUGAAAUGAUGCGAACGGGGCAUUUUUAGUGCGAAUUGGUGUGUUAUAGCCUAUGGUUCCUAGAGUGGGCCUAGGCGUGCUUUUGACCAAAACUCGACCUACGCAUUCCAGGGAGGUUAGGUAGCAGCCCUAUGUGGUCCGUUUGGGUGGUCGAGAUAUUUAAGUGGUCAAAUGGGUGGAACGGCACAAAUGGGGCAUUUUCAGGCCAAAUCGGUGUGCUAUAUCCCACGGUUCCUGAAAUUGGCCAAGGGUCCGGACGUACUGUGGGAUGAAAAUCUACCUGGGCAUGCCAGAGAUAUUGGGGAGCAUCCCAGUAUGGUCCGUUUUGGUGGGUAGGGCCAUUUGGGUGGUCAAAUAGGCAAAAGAGCGCAAAAGAGGAAUUUUUGAGCCAAAUAGGUGUGCUAUAACCUACGGUUCCAAUGGUGGACCUGGGGUCCGGGCUUGUUGUGGCCUAAAAAUUGAACUAGGUAUGUAGGGGUGGUUGGGUAGCAUCCUAGUAUUGUCCAUUUGGGUGGGUGGUACCAAUUGGGUGGUCAAACGGGUGAAACAAUGUGAAUGAGGCAUUUUCGGUCCAAUUUGAUUUGCUAUAAACAAUGAUUCCUAGGGUAGGCCCGGGGUCCAGGGGUGUUGUGGGCCAAAAAUUGGCCUAGGCAUGCCAAAGAGUUUGGGAGAGUUCUAAUGUAGUCCGUAUGUGUGGACGAGGUAAUUUGGGUGGUCAAACAGGAGAAACGGCACGAACGGGGCAUUUUUGGGCUGAAUCGAUGUGCUAUAGCCAACGGUUCCUGGGUGGGCUUAGGUUCCGAGUGUGUUGUAGGCUAAAAAUUGAAUUAGACGUGCCAGGGAGGUUGGGGAGUAUCCCAGUAAGGUCCGUUUGGGUGGACAAGGUCAUUUGUGCAGUCAAACUAGCAAAAUAGCACAAACGGGGCAUUUUCGAUCCAAAUUGGUAUGCUAUAGUCCACGUUUCCUGGGGUGGGUCCGGGCAUUCUAUGGGCUAAAAAGUGACCUUGAUGUUCCAUAGAGGUUGGGAAGCAUCCCAGUGUGGUCCGUUUGUGUGUAUGGAUCCAUUAGGGUGGUCAAACGGGCAAAACGGCGCGAAUAGGGCAUUUUGUGGCUAAAUUAGUGUGCUAUAGCCCACGGUUCCUAGGGUGGGCCCGAGGUUCGGGAGUGUUGUGGGCCAAAAAUCAACCUGAGUGUGCUCGGGUGGUUGGGGAGCAUCCCAGUAUGGUUCGUUUAGGUGGGAGGGCCAUUUGGUUGGUCAAACAGGCGAAACAACGUGAACGAGGCAUUUUCGAGCCAUAUCGAUAUGUUAUAGCCCACAGUUCUAGGGCUGGGCUCGGGGUUUGGGCAUGUUGACUGCUAAAAAUUAACCCGAGCAUGCUAGAAAAGAUGGGGAUCAUCCCAGUGUAGUCCGUUUAGGUAGGCGGGUCCGUUUGGGUUGUCAAACGGUGCGAACGGGGCAUUUUUAGGCCAAAUCGGUGUGCUAUUGCCCAUGGUUCCUGGGAUGGGCUUGGGUGUCCUGUGGGCCAAAAAUCAACUUGGGCACGCUAGGGAGGCUGGGUAGGUCCUAGUAUGGUCCGUUUGGGUGGUAGAGGCCACUUGGGUGGUCAGACAGGCAAAAUGGUGCGAAUGAGACAUUAUCGAGCUAAAUUGGUGUGCUACAACCCACGGUUCCUGGAGAGGGCCCAAGGACUGGGCGAGCUAUGGGACAAAAAUCAACCUAGGUAUUCCCGGGAGGUUGUGGAACAUCCCAGUGGUGGUUCGUUUGGGUGGGAGUAACCAUUUGAGUAGUCAAACGGGCAAAACAGCAUGAACGGGGUGUUUUUGGGCCAAAUUGGUGUGCUAUAUCCCAUGGUUCCUGGGGUGGGCUCGGGGUCCGGGCAUGCUGUGUGCCAAAAAUUUACCCAGGCCUGCUAGGUAUAUUAGAGAGCAUCCCAGUGUGGUUCAUUUGGGUGGGCUGGGCCAUUUUGGAGAUCGAACGGGCAAAAUGGCGCAAAUAGGGCAUUUUCAGGCCAAAUUACAACUCUCGUUAGAAAGUGCAAGCGGUCGCUGUCAAAUAUAGAACCCAACUGGGUUGGGUGUUGAAUUCCACAGGGAAUACUAUGAUCACUAAGUAUUGCGAUUAUUAUUAGACUGUUGAUCGAAGGUUCCAAGGUAAGGGGGGUUUCAGUUUAGGUGCACAAUAAUAUUAUCAGUGUAACGAUGAGAUGAUAUGUGUAAUAAUAUUUGAUCACAGAGAAGGACAAAUUAGGGUUAUGUCCACCUUGUAGCUUCUACUUCUCUAUUAACUAUGAGUAAUAAGGAUUUUAUACAUGCAUGCACUUAUAGAGAUAUGUAUUCUAAUUCUAAAUCCAAGUGUUUCUUAACCAUCAAGGAUUUAUUCACCUUAGUUCUCUCGAAUCCAAAGUGUACAACCAAUUGUACGAACUCUCCAAGAAGUUAAUCCUGCUAAGGCAUUAACCUGUAAAAUAGAGGUUGGAAACCCUAUUUUCUUGUCACACUCUCUUUUCCAAACAAUAACUUUUCUAUCGAACAAGUUAUUGCUAUAAUGGCGCAUUCCCUAUGUUUGCAACCACGAGAAUUCAAUCAAAAUGAAGAGAGUAAUGAUAUAAGUGGAUUAACACAUCAUAAAUUCAAAAACCCAUAACAAAAAAGAGUAUACUACAAGGUUUCCAUAACUCUAACAAAUAAACUUAGCUACUCAUGAAUAAAACGGAAAUCACAAUAGAAACAUUCAUCAUACCAAAACUUAGAACGAUCUUGGUGGUAAAGAUGAAUAGCGAAAAUAAGAGAGAAAAGCGUUUCUCUCUCUCUGUCCUCAAGCUAAACCGUUUUCUCUUGUUUUCAGAAAAAUACAGAAUGUGAAUAAUCACUAAAAAUUCAGCCAUAAGGCUUUUAAUAACAUCCUUCUCUAAUAAAGUGCUACUGCAUUCUUAAUUAUUUAAAAAUAUUGAGUUUGUCCGGGAAAAAGUUCUCAUACAUCACAUUCAAUCCAAAAGCUGCUUUUCUUUUUAUGUCAAGUUUCCUUUGUUGUCCACAGGUCCCCGAAGUGCUGUAAUCUUCCUCAUUAGUACCUGAAAAGCAUGCUAAUCACAUAGGUCGGCUCACUUAACUAAAAAUAGACUAAAAGUGCAAGAAUUAUGUAUUUUAUCCUCAAAACUUAGCUAAAACAUGGGUAAGUUAUGGUGCUUAGACGUAUAAAUACGCCCAACAUCAUGAGCCUCUUGCAUUGGUGGAUAUUUUUGCAUUAGCUUGGCCUCGGGUUGCCAUUUAGUGGUGGGUUGGUCUGCAAAUACCUAACUAAACUUCACAAGAGCAACACAAAAUUUUCAACAAGACAUACACUGCAAUUAUUAACAAAGAGUAGAUUUCUUGAUCAUUACUAGAAACAACUCACCCUCCAACAUAGACUCAUUAAGUUGGUUAAUUCGUAUACACAAGUUAAGCCAAAAANNNNNNNNNNNNNNNNNNNNNNNNNNNNNNNNNNNNNNNNNNNNNNNNNNNNNNNNNNNNNNNNNNNNNNNNNNNNNNNNNNNNNNNNNNNNNNNNNNNNNNNNNNNNNNNNNNNNNNNNNNNNNNNNNNNNNNNNNNNNNNNNNNNNNNNNNNNNNNNNNNNNNNNNNNNNNNNNNNNNNNNNNNNNNNNNNNNNNNNNNNNNNNNNNNNNNNNNNNNNNNNNNNNNNNNNNNNNNNNNNNNNNNNNNNNNNNNNNNNNNNNNNNNNNNNNNNNNNNNNNNNNNNNNNNNNNNNNNNNNNNNNNNNNNNNNNNNNNNNNNNNNNNNNNNNNNNNNNNNNNNNNNNNNNNNNNNNNNNNNNNNNNNNNNNNNNNNNNNNNNNNNNNNNNNNNNNNNNNNNNNNNNNNNNNNNNNNNNNNNNNNNNNNNNNNNNNNNNNNNNNNNNNNNNNNNNNNNNNNNNNNNNNNNNNNNNNNNNNNNNNNNNNNNNNNNNNNNNNNNNNNNNNNNNNNNNNNNNNNNNNNNNNNNNNNNNNNNNNNNNNNNNNNNNNNNNNNNNNNNNNNNNNNNNNNNNNNNNNNNNNNNNNNNNNNNNNNNNNNNNNNNNNNNNNNNNNNNNNNNNNAAAGAAUAUACAAUAACCUUACACACACAUGGCACAUGGUCAACUUAAUUAGGAGCAUUAUAGAUUCUUGACCCAACAGAUAAAUGAAUUAAACCACAAACAAUUAUCACAGAAUGAGUCACAACUUAGAGCCUAAAUGUUUUAAUAGUAGUGAUUCAGCACAAACUCCUGUUAUAAUGCCAUGCCGUCUAUAAGAACAAUUUCAUGCAAAAAUCUAACUAAUUACAAUUAACUAACUACGACUAAAUCAAAACAACUAUAGAAUAAAUGCGGGCAAGCAGUAGGCAAUACAGCAGACAAGGCAAUCCAGGAGUACACGUACUUAUACCCGUACCCCACACUAAGAAGGAACACACUGCCCUCGGUGUAAAUAAAUAAGCAAAAACCUGGUUAGUCAGACUCCUCCUCUACAUUCGGGGUCAUACCCCCUGCGUCAGAAUCAUCAUCAGAGUCUUCAUCAUCAGAGUUGUCCUCUAUAUCAGAGUCUAGCAGCGGUGAUCAUCGUCUGUCAGCAUAUCAUCAUCUAGAGGUUCUUCAAAAUUUACCCCCACUCCACACAUGGCCUGAUCAUGCUCAUAAAGAGGGUAGUGAUAGUCCAACUGCCGAAGCUCUGCAUCAGUCGGCACACAACACCCAUUCAUCAUAGUAAACCUAGUCAUGCCAUACAGAUGGCGAAAAAAACUCUCAUCUCGAGCAUGUCUCUCAGCAGUGGUAAGGUUGAUGCCUUGACUAGUUUCUAGAUCUUUGAUUUUCGUGAGAUCCACCUUCUUCGGGUUUGGUGGCAACUUAUGGUCUGCUGGCUCCUCCUCAAUGUGUUCUUUCCUUAAAAUUGCAGUCAACAAGUUGCCGAAACUGAAAUGGGACUUGUUGUGCACCCUUGCUUUUCGCAUCGACAUUCGUAUAACUGCACCAAUGUUGAUGGGAACAUUCGUCAUUAGAGCAUAUACCAAGUAAACUCGAUCACACGUGUCCUUAGUGUAUUAUGUCCCAGGAAUAAAGCAGGAAUUGACUAUUCUUAACCAUAUGCGAGCUUCUCUGUUCAAACAAGCAUAUGGGUAAGUAUUGUGACGACCAUUAUCUUUAUGAUGAGUCCACCAGGUCAUGGACCUUGAUCCACACAAUGUAUGUCUGAUGGCUCUGUAAGGAGGUCUGUUUUAGAGCUCCUUGAGUGGUGAUUGAUCCACACUUGGAGUAACCAGGAAAGAGUUGAAGAAAUCAGCGUUCAAUUGCAAGACUUGCCCCCUAAUAUUUACUUCAUUUCCCGUAGUCCUUGGGGACCAGUUGGCAUAAAACUCUCGAGUCAAAUCAAGAUUACAUUCGCCCAUGUCUCGAAAGAUAAAGUCAAGUUUUAGUGCCAUAAUCUUUGCCAAAAUGCGAGGGCAGUUCUUUGCUAAACUUCUUUCUGCAUCGACUCAACAUGUACAUAUUUCUUCACUUUAUUGUUUCUAUACCAUUCCCUCCCUUCCUCCUCCAGAACCCAUUUGAUCCCAAAAGUGCGUUGAGGCACUUGAAGAGAGGAGGAAUCAACCUAGUCCUUUCUUGCCCUUUUUUGACCUUUUUGUGAGGUGGAUUCUUUCUUCUUUCCCUGUCAUCCUUUUGGAGCCAUGUUACCUGAGAUCAUAAUAGGGUCAUAUUAGUCUCAUUUCGUAAAAUUCACUAUAAUCGAAAAAGAAAAUAGUGAUGGCACCACCCCACACUUAAUUUGUUUGCACAAACUAAUUGAGUGAGUGUUGUCGAGUACUCAGACUUCAUCGACAUACAUUUAGAUGGUAUGUGCCAACAACAUUAUUAGUGCAGUCACACUUUCAACCCUUCACUUUACAUAAUAAUUUCUCGGUUUGAUAUACAGAAGUAGCACACAAUAGUCCUGUAAUCUUGACUAUCAUUUCCAACUUUAUUUCANNNNNNNNNNNNNNNNNNNNNNNNNNNNNNNNNNNNNNNNNNNNNNNNNNNNNNNNNNNNNNNNNNNNNNNNNNNNNNNNNNNNNNNNNNNNNNNNNNNNNNNNNNNNNNNNNNNNNNNNNNNNNNNNNNNNNNNNNNNNNNNNNNNNNNNNNNNNNNNNNNNNNNNNNNNNNNNNNNNNNNNNNNNNNNNNNNNNNNNNNNNNNNNNNNNNNNNNNCAAUACAUGCUGGAGUAAAAUCAAGAUUACCCACGAGAAUCCUUUCACUCAAUGAGAUGUAUUUUUCCAAAAUCAUAACAAACUAACCAUACUCUUAUCACCAAGCACUACUACAAAAUCCAAUUAACCAUUAUAAGCAUAGCAAUGAAACAACUACGGAACAUGAAAUAAUAACUUACUUGGUGAUAAAUUCGUGACGAAUCGUGAGGUGAGCCUGCAAGAUUAGAUGAGAAAAGAGAAGGGCUUGGAGAGGGAAAGGUUAUUUGGGUGGUGCUUAGGUUUAAGAAAAAUUAAGUGGGGUUUAAGGGUAGAGGAUAUAUUUAAAAGAUGAGACAUGGGUCGGGUUGAUCCAUUCAAAAACGGGUUAUUAGCCAAAACUUACGUUGAUAGGCGGCGCCCAUGGAAUCGCCUAAGCAUAAGUUGGCGGCGCCUAACCUAUCGCCUAUGUUGACAUAGGCGGCGCCUAACCUAUCGCCUAUGUUACCAUAGGCAGCGCCUAACCUAUCGCCUAUGUGAGGCAGUGAGCAUAGGCAAUGGCAUAGGCAGCGCCUAACCUAUCGCCUAUGUUGACAUAGGCGGCGCCUAACCUAUCGCCUAUGUUACCAUAGGCAGCGCCUAACCUAUCGCCUAUGUGAGGCAGUGAGCAUAGGCAAUGGCAUAGGCAGCGCCUAACCUAUCGCCUAUGUUGACAUAGGCGGCCCCUAACCUAUCGCCUAAGUGUGGCAGUGAGCAUAGGCGAUUGGAAAUACGGCGCACUCUUGAUCGAAAAGGCCCGAUCCCUACGCUACCACCACAGACCUCAUUGAAAAUCACAAAAUAAAGUCGCACCACGAAACUUUUUGGGUCGAAUCUACAUAAUUUAAGGCGCGACUAUAAUGCAAAUCAUACUUGAGCCUUACACAUUUGACCACUCCCACUUACCUGUAUUGUUCCAUCACUCCUAAACUUACCACCAUUGACAUGGCUCACUUCCAAAUCAAAAUUGGGACUAAUCUCCUCCUUUGUACUUCAUGCACCCACACUUAAUCAAAAACAACAAAAAUGAUUAGAAGAAUGGGUUGCCUCCCACCAAGCGCCUCAGUUUUGGUCGUGGCUCGACUCUUCUUUUUGAAUUUUCAUGUACCAAAAACAAAAUCCUAGUAAAAUAAUGGGUUUCCUCCGAUGUAGCGCUUGAUUUAUUGUCGCGACACAACAUAGUUAUCUCGAUUACUCAGACUUCAUCAAGAUAUAUGGUGGCUAUACAUUUUAUCGAGUCGGUUGGACCGAUAUAUAGCUUCACUCUUUGUCCAUUCACCUUAAAGACACUACCAUCAUCAUUUUCUAACUCCACUACUCCAAAUAAGUAAACUUGGCUAAUUCUGAAUGGACCAGACCAUUUAGACUUCAACUUACCUAGAAACAGCUUUAGUCUGGAGUUGAAAAGGAGUACCAAAUCGCCUUUCUAAAAGUUUCGUUGGAUAAUCCUCCGAUCAUGGUACUUUUUCAUCCUUUUCUUGUAAAGAUCUACUCUUUCAUAUGUAUUUAGACGGAAUUUAUCCAUCUCGUUCAGCUGUCCCAAUCUCAUAUUUAUAGCAUCAUCCCAGUUCAGGUUAAGUUAUUUCAAUGCCCACUUUGCUUUAUGUUCUUGCUCAAUUUACAAGUGACAAGCCUUUCCAUAAACUAGUUGGUAUGGUGAUAUGCCAAUUGGUGUCUUAAAUGCGAUCCUAUAUGCCCAUAAGGCAUCAUCCAGCUUCCUGGACCAAUCUUUCCUGUUGGCAUUCAUAGUCUUAGCAAGGAUCAGCUUGAUUCCCCGAUUUGAAACCUCUACCUGCCAACUAGUUUGUGGGUGGUACGGUGUAGCUACCUUAUGUUGCUUAACCCCAUACUUUGCUAAUACGGCUCUGAAUAGCUUGUUGCAGUAAUGUGAUCCUCCAUCGCUUAUAAUGGUACGGGGUACCCUAAAACGAGAGAAGAUAUUUCUCUUUAAGAACGCCACAACACUCUUACCUUCAUUAUCAGCUAGAGCGACUGCUUCGACCCAUUUGGAUAUGUAAUCCACAGCAACUAAGAUAUAUUUCAUCCCAAAUAAGCUCACAAANNNNNNNNNNNNNNNNNNNNNNNNNNNNNNNNNNNNNNNNNNNNNNNNNNNNNNNNNNNNNNNNNNNNNNNNNNNNNNNNNNNNNNNNNNNNNNNNNNNNNNNNNNNNNNNNNNNNNNNNNNNNNNNNNNNNNNNNNNNNNNNNNNNNNNNNNNNNNNNNNNNNNNNNNNNNNNNNNNNNNNNNNNNNNNNNNNNNNNNNNNNNNNNNNNNNNNNNNNNNNNNNNNNNNNNNNNNNNNNNNNNNNNNNNNNNNNNNNNNNNNNNNNNNNNNNNNNNNNNNNNNNNNNNNNNNNNNNNNNNNNNNNNNNNNNNNNNNNNNNNNNNNNNNNNNNNNNNNNNNNNNNNNNNNNNNNNNNNNNNNNNNNNNNNNNNNNNNNNNNNNNNNNNNNNNNNNNNNNNNNNNNNNNNNNNNNNNNNNNNNNNNNNNNNNNNNNNNNNNNNNNNNNNNNNNNNNNNNNNNNNNNNNNNNNNNNNNNNNNNNNNNNNNNNNNNNNNNNNNNNNNNNNNNNNNNNNNNNNNNNNNNNNNNNNNNNNNNNNNNNNNNNNNNNNNNNNNNNNNNNNNNNNNNNNNNNNNNNNNNNNNNNNNNNNNNNNNNNNNNNNNNNNNNNNNNNNNNNNNNNNNNNNNNNNNNNNNNNNNNNNNNNNNNNNNNNNNNNNNNNNNNNNNNNNNNNNNNNNNNNNNNNNNNNNNNNNNNNNNNNNNNNNNNNNNNNNNNNNNNNNNNNNNNNNNNNNNNNNNNNNNNNNNNNNNNNNNNNNNNNNNNNNNNNNNNNNNNNNNNNNNNNNNNNNNNNNNNNNNNNNNNNNNNNNNNNNNNNNNNNNNNNNNNNNNNNNNNNNNNNNNNNNAAAAGUUUGCAUAAUGGGUUUGCAAUCUUGAAGAAGUCUUUAAUAAACCUCCGAUAAAAACCAGCAUGACCGAGAAAACUACGAACCCCCUUCACAGAAAUUGGAGGUGGUAGUCUCUCGAUAACUUCAAUCUUGGCUCAAUCAACUUCAAUUCCCUUUUUAGAGAUUUUAUGCCCGAGAACAAUGGGUUCCUUAACCAUAAAAUAGCAUUUCUCCCAAUCUAGCACCAGAUUGAAUUCCAUACAUCACUGCAAAGCCAUACUCAGAUUUGCCAAGCAUGACUCAAAUGACUUACCUACAACCGAAAAGUCACCCAUAAACACCUCCAAGGUGUCUUCAACCAUAUCAGAGAAAAUGGAUAUCAUACACCGCUGAAAAAUGGCAGGUGCAUUACAUAGCCCAAAUGGUAUUUGUUUGAAUGCAAAAGUACCAUAUGGGCAUGUAAAAAUAGUUUUCUCCUCAUCUUCAGGAGCAAUGCAAAUCUGGUUAUAUCCGUAAUAACCAUCCAAGAAAUAAAACCAUCCCUUUCCUGCCAAUCGAUCAAGCAUUUGAUCCAUGAAUGGCAUGGGGAAGUGGUCCUUUAAUGCCCACGAGUUUAGCUUUCGAUAAUGAAUAUACACCCUCUACCCUACGACAGGCCUGAGUGGAAUUAGCUUAUUCUUCUCGUUCGCUACUACUGUUAUGCCCCCCUUUUUGGGCACACAUUGUAUAAGACUCACUUAUUUACUGUCUGAGAUUGGGUACACCACCCCUGCAUCUAGCCAUUUGAUGAUUUCUUUCUUCACCACCUCUUGCAUAGGUGGAUUCAGACGACAUUGAUGCUCAAUAGUGGGUACAAAAUCUUUCUUUAGCUGAAUUUUGUGCAUACAUAUGCCAGGAGGGAUACCAAUGAUAUCAGCAAUAGUCCAACCAAUAGCUCUCUUGUACCUCUUCAUAACAGAGAUGAGAGCCUCUACCUGUUGUUCACCUAAAUCAGCAGCAAUAAUAACCGGCAGUUUAUUUCCACUACCUAAGAACACAUACCUUAGAUAAUUGGGUAGCUCUUUCAAUUCUAACACCGGUGGCUCUUCAAUGGAUGGCUUCACCUGUGGUGAAGGUCGAUUCUUAAGGUCAAGGUCUAGCUUCUUGGGGGCAUAAGAAUACGACCCCAUUCCUAUCAAAGCACAGAUAGUUUUUUCGUACUCCUUACAUCCUCAAGAUCAAAGUUCAAAAGCACAGCAGCCAAUGGCUCAACAGUAAGCUGCUUCUCUAAAGAUAAUUCCUUGUCAUCCUCAUAAUAAACCUCAACUAUAGAGAACAUAUUCAUAUCCUUGGGCUGCUUCAUUGAUUUGCAUACAUCAAAAUGUACCACUUCAUCAUUUAUCCAAAAUAAAAGCUCAUUUGCUCGCAAAUCAAUAAGCACACUUUCUGUUGUGAGAAAAGAUCGACCCAAGAUUAUGGGCACCUCAAAAUCCACCUCAUAAUCCAAAAUAACAAAGUCUGCAGGAAAAAUGAAGGUAGAAACCUUUACUAAUACAUCAUAAAAGAUACCAAUAGGUCAUUUUACCGAUCUUUCUGCCAUUACAAGCUGCAUGUUGGUUGGUGUAGGAUCCCCCAACCCCAACUGUCUAUAAAUGGCUAGCGGCAUCAAAUUAAUGCUAGCCCCUAAAUCACAUAAAGCCUUAGAAAAAUAUAAAGAUCUAAUCGUGCAACGAAUAGUGAAAGCACCCGGAUCUGCCUUCUUCUGUACCAAAGACCUCGUGGCAAUCACACUGCAAUGAUGAAAAUUAUCUGCCAGUUCAUAGCUCCCUGCCCUUUUCUUUGUCAAAAGGUCCUUCAUGAAUUUGGCGUCCUUGGAAUUUGCUUCAGUGCCUCCACCAAAGGCACAUUUAUAGUCAGCUGCUUCAGCAUGGUCAUGAAUUUAUUGAACCUGGUGUCAUCAGCCUUCUUCUUCAGUCUCUGAGGAAAAGGUGGUGGUGGAUUUGGAAGAGUUUUCUCCACCACUUCUUUUUCAUUGUGCUUCCCAUUAUCAAUCUUUUCAGACUGCUGACAUCUAGGUGUAGUAUCAUGAAUGUUCUCUUUUUGAUUUUCAACUUCUAUAGAAAUAUCACAAUCUGCUUCAACAGUAUUCUCCUCCAUACUAUCAAUCACAGGUUUGCCCUUAGAUGGAUUUUCCAACACCUUACCACUCCUAGUUGUAAUAGCCAAACAUGAUCCAUCUUUCCUUGGAUUUUGGACAGUGUCACUUGGUAAACUUCCAGCUUUUCUUUGAUUGAAUGCCACCGAUAGUUGACUCAUUUGUUGUUUCAGCUUUUUAUUGAAGUGAAAUGCGAGUCAACCAAUUGAUUCAUUGAGGACAAAUCAUUUUUUACCUCAGCUACUCCCAUGUUAGUUGCUUCCACUCCUUUCAAUAGCUUACCCAUCAUGUCCUCCAUGGACAUCUUCCCAGAGCUAGGUGUAACAGCUUCACAAUUUCUAGGAGGGACAUACAAGCCGCUCUUUUUGUUCUUAUUCUUCUAAUUCCCUUGGUCUCGAUCCUUGUAUCCGAAUUUUUCAUAAUAGUUCCUACCUUGGUUUCCUUGGACAUUGCCUCAGAAACCCUUCUGAUUAUUCAAGUAAUUUGCUUUUUCCUCUGAAUCAGAGUCAUCUCUUCCUUGCGAUACAAUAGCUUUGACCUUUUCUGUCUUCCCUGAUAAUAAAUGCUUAGUAAGAAGAUCCAUCUAGUUUUUAUGUGAGCCAUAUCCUGGUCACGUUCCUCUUCUCUUCGUCUCUAUUCUCCCGUCAUGCCAAUAGAUACAGUAGAGCUUGCUACCUCAGAAUCCCUAGUAUGCCAAGCUCUACUCUACUUUUUCAUAUGAUCCAGCAUCUCAUAUGCCUCAAUAAAAGUAAGGUCCAUGAAUGACCCACCCGCAGCAUUAUCUACCACUGGCUUAGUCACCGAGUUCAAAGCCCUAUAUAAUAUUUCUAUCAGGUGGACAUUGGUCAUCUGAUGAUUUAGGCACCGCAUAAGCUUAUUCUUGAACCUCUCCCAAGUCUUGCGGAGAGCUUCAGUUAGAAGCUGUCUGAAAUUGCUUAUCUCAUCUCUUAAUUGUGCUCUCUUGGAUGGCGGAAAGAAUCUUUCUAGGAAAGCUUCUUUCAGUUGCCUCCAAUUAGUAAUAGAGUCAGGAGUUAGCCCAUUUAACCAUAGAGUUGCCUCUCCAGAUAGAGACAAUAGAAAUAAGCGCAUCUGGAUAGCAUUCUGCCCAACCCCUGGAUUGUCAAAUGAUUUACAUGUUGACAUAAAAUUAAUUAGAUACAUAUUCAGAUCGUCGCCUGCAAGUCUACCAAAUAACCCUUUGAGUUGCAAUAGCUGGAUCAUGGUACUAUUGAUAUUAAACUUGGCUCUGAGUACCAAGGGCAGAGAAAUAAUAGCCCCUGUGGCACCAGCCCCAUCCAAGUCAUCAUCAUCAUCAUCAAAAGCAACUUGCACAGCUCGGCGUUUGGGUCUCAUCCUAGCUUGAUAAUCUCUGUUGACAUUCCUAUUCACUGGGGCAGCCACAUCAUCUAUACGCCUUGGAUUUAAUAACUCAUCAUCACCCAGGUCCUCAUCAUCAAGAUUUGGUACUCGACCUGGGUUAUCAGCAUUCUGUUGAUUUACUUACGCAGCUGCCAAUGCAGCUAAUCUAGCCUGCUCCUGUUGAGUAGCUAUCCUUUCAAGGUCUCGUUGCGCAUCCAUUCUUCCAAUGAGAUAUGGUUCAAGAUUUAUAGGUAAUAAUGGCUGACCCGAUCUCCGUGUAUUUGGCAUCCAAUCCGCUAAACCUGAACAAAAUAAAAACAACAAACAAAAAGAAAAAUUUGAGAAUCUUUGACCAAAGGGUCUAUUAACUAUCACAAACUUAGUUGACAACCGUAUUCCCCGGCAACGGCGCCAAAAUUUGAUACGCCCAAAUUACAACUCUCGUUAGAAAGUGCAAGCGGUCGCUGUCAAAUAUAGAACCCAACUGGGUUGGGUGUCGAAUCCCACAGGGAAUACUAUGAUCACUAAGUAUUGCGAUUAUUAUUAGACUGUUGAUCGAAGGUUCCAAGGUAAGGGGGUUUUAGUUUAGGUGCACAAUAAUAUUUUCAGUGUAAUAAUGAGAUGAUAUAUGUAAUAAUAUUUGAUCACAGAGAAGGACAAAUUAGGGUUAUGUCCACCUUGUAGCUUCUACUUCUCUAUUAACUAUGAGUAAUAAGGAUUUUAUACAUGCACGCACUUAUAGAGAGAUGUAUUCUAAUUCUAAAUCCAAGUGUUUCUCAACCAUCAAGGAUUUAUUCACCUUAGUUCUCUCGAAUCCAAAGUGUACAACCAAUCNNNNNNNNNNNNNNNNNNNNNNNNNNNNNNNNNNNNNNNNNNNNNNNNNNNNNNNNNNNNNNNNNNNNNNNNNNNNNNNNNNNNNNNNNNNNNNNNNNNNNNNNNNNNNNNNNNNNNNNNNNNNNNNNNNNNNNNNNCAUUCCCUAUGUUUGCAACCACAAGAAUUCAAUCAAAAUGAAAAGAGUAGUGAUAUAAGUGGAUUAACACAUCAUAAAUUCAAAAACCCAUAGCAAUAGAGAGUAUACUACAAGGUUUCCAUAACCAUAACAAAUAUACUUAGCUACUCAUGAAUAAAACAGAAAUCACAAUAGAAAUAUUCAUCAUACGAAAACUUAGAACGAUCUUGGUGGUAAAGAUGAAUAGCUAAAAUAAGAGAGAAAAGUGUUUCUCUCUCUCCGUCCUCAAGCUAAGCCGCUUUCUCUUAUUUUCAAAAAAAUACAGAAUGUGAAUAAUCCCAAAAAAUUCAGCCAUAAGGCUUUUAAUAACAUCCUUCUCUAAUAAAUUGCUACUGCAUCCUUAACUAUUUAAAAAUAUUGAGUUUGCCCGGGAAAAAGUUCCCAUACAUCACAUUCAGUCCAAAAGUUGCUUUCCUUUUUAUGUGAAGUUUCCUUUGCUGUCCACAGGUCCCCAAAGUGCUGUAAUCUUCCUCAUUAGUACCUGAAAAGCAUGCUAAUCACAUAGGUCAGCUCACUUAACUAAAAAUAGACUAAAAGUGCAAGAAUUAUGUAUUUUAUCCUCAAAACUUAGCUAAAACAUGGGUAAGUUAUGGUGCUUAGACGUAUAAAUACGCCCAACAUCAUCCAAGAAUGAUGUGUGGUAAAAAUAAACUUGGGAGUGCCAGGGAGGUUGGGGAGCAUCCCCGUAUGGCCCGUUUUGGUCAGCGGCACCUUUUGGGUUAUCAAACCUGUGAAACAACACGAAUAGGGCAUUUUUAGACCAAAUCGGUGUGCUAUAAUCCACAGUUCCUGGGUUGGGACUGGGGUCCGGGCAUGCUGUAGGCCAAAAAUUGACCUGGGCAUUCUAGGGAGGUUGGGCAGCAUCCCAGUGUGGUUCAUUAGGGUGGUCGGGGCCAUUUGGGUGAUCAAACGGGCAAAACAGUGCGAACAGGGCUUUUUCGAGUCAAAUCGGUGUACUGCCCACGGUUCCUGGGCGGGCCCAGGGUCCGAGCGUGAUAUGGGCUAAAAAUCAAUUUGGGCAUGUCAAGAGGUUGGGGAGCAUCUCAGUGUGGUCCAUUUUGGGGGGCGGGGCCAUUUGGAUGGUCAAACAUGUAAAACAGUGUGAACGGAGCAUUUUUGGGCUAAAUCGGUGUGCUAUAGCCCAUGGUUCCUAGGGUGGACCCAUGGUUCGAGCGUGUAGUGGGCCAAAAAUCAACUUGGGUAUGCAAGGGAGGUUGGGGAGCAUCCCAUUAUAGUCUGUUUGGUUGGGUGGGUCUAGUUGGGUGGUCAAAUGGGUAAACCAGCAUGAAUGGAGCAUUUUCGAGCCAAAUCAGUGUGAUAUACCCCAUUGUUCCUUCGGUGGGCCCGAGGUUCGAGCGUGUUGUGGACCAAAAAUUGACCUGGUUAUGCCAGGGAGGUUGAGGAAAGUCCUAGUGUGGCCCAUUUGGGUAGACGGGGCCAUUUGGGUUGUCAAAAGGGACAAACGGCAUGAACAGGGCAUUUUCAGGCUAAAUCGAUAUACUAUAGCCCAUGGUUCCUGAGGUAGGCCCGGGGUCCGGGCAUGCUGUGCAUCAAAAACUGACCUAGGCUUGCCAGAGGGGUUGAGGAGAAUUGCAGUGUGGUAUGUUUGUGUGGGCGGGGCCAUUUAGGUGGUCAAACGGGUGAAACAGCGCGAACGAGGCAUUUUUGGGCCAAAUCGGUGUGCUAUAGCCCACGGUUCCUGGGGUGGGCCCAGGUUUAGGGCGUGUUGUGGGCCAAAAAUUGACCUGGAAAUUCCAUGGAGGUUGGGGAGAAUCCCAGUGUGGUACAUUUGGGUGGGUGAGGAUAUUUGGGUGGUCAAACGGGCAAAACGACAUGAACGUGCAUUUUUAGGCCAAAUCGGUGUGAUAUAGCCCACAGUUCUUGAGGUGGGCAUGGGGUUCGGGCAUUUUGUGGGCCAAAAAUUGACCUGGGUGUGCCAGGGAUAUUGGAGAGCAUCCCAGUAUGGUCCGUUUGAGUGGGUGGAGCUAUUUGAGUGGUCAAACGGUUGAAACACCGUAAAUGGGGCAUUUAAGGGCUAAAUCGAUGUGCUAUAGCCAACAAUUCCUGAGGCCAGGGGUCCUAGCGUACUGUGGGCCAAAAAUCAACCUAGGCAUGCCAAGGAGGUUGGGUAGUUUUCCAUUAUAAUCCGUUUAGGUGGCUAGGGCCAUUUGUAUAGUCAAACAGAUGAAAUAAUGUAAACGGGGCAUUUUCAGGACAAAUCAGUAAGCUAUAGCCCCCGAUUCCUAGGAUGGGCCCAGGGUCCGGGCGUGUUGUGGGUCAAAAAUCGACCUGAGCAUGCUAAGGUGGUUGGGGAGCAUCCUAAAGUAGGCCUCUUGGGUGCACAGGGCCAUUUGGGUAAUCAAACGGGCGAAACAGCGUAAAUGGGAUAUUUUCGGGCUAAAUCGGUCUGCAAUAGCCCACGGUUCCUAGGGUGGGCCUAGGGUCCGGGUAUGCUGUGUGCUGAAAAUCAACCUCGGCGUGCCAGGGAGGUUGGGGAGCACCCUAAUGUGAUCUAUUUGGUUGGGAAGGUCCAUUUGGAUAGUCAAACGGGUGAAACAGCAUAAACGGGCAUUUUUGGGUCAAAUUGGUAUGUUAUAGCCCACGAUUCCUGGGGUGAGCCCGGGGUUCAAGUUUUCUGUGGGCUGAAAAUUGACCUGAGCAUGCCAGGGAGUUUGGAGAGCAUUCCAAUGUUGUUCAUUUUGAUGGGCGGGGCCAUUUGGGUGGUUAAACGGGUGAAACGGUGCGAACAAAGAAUUUUUGGGCCAAAUCGGUGUGCUAUCGCCCACGGUUCUUAGGGUGGGCCUAGGGUACGGGCGAGCUGUGGGCCAAAAAUUGACUUGGUCAUGGCAAGAAGGCUGGGAAGUGUCCCAGUAUGGUCCAUUUGGGUAGGCGGCCUAUUUGGGUGGUCAAACGAGCGAAUGGGGUGUUUUUAGAAAAAAUAGGUGUAAUAUAGCCCACAGUUUUAGGGGUGAGCCUGGGGUUCAGGUAUGUUGUUGGAUUAAAAUUGACCUGGGCCUGCCACAAAGGUCGGGGAGCAUUCCAGUAUGGUCCGUUUGGGUGGGCGAAAUAUUUGAGGAGGUCAAACGGUAUAAAUAGCAUGAACGAGGCAUUUUUAGGGCAAACCGAUGUGCAAUAGCCCAUAGUUCUGGGAUGGGAUCGAGGUCCGGGCAUACUGUGGGCCAAAAAUAAAUCGAACGUGCUAGGGAGGUUAUGGAGCAUCCUAGCGUAAUCCAUUUGGGUGAACAGGGCUAUUUGGAUAUUUAAACAGAUAAAACCGCGUGAAUUGGGUAUUUUCAAGCUAAAUCGGUGUGCUAUAGCCCACGGUUUUAGGGGUGGGCCCGAGGUUGAGCGUGUUGCAGAUUAAAAAUUGACUUGGGAUUGCCAAGGUGGUUGGGGAGCAUCCCAAUGUGGUUCUUUUGGGUUGGCGAGGCUAUUUUGGUGGUCAAAUAGGCAAAACAGUAUGAACGGGAUAUUUAGGGCCAAAUCAGUGUGCUAUAGCCCAUGAUUCUGGGGUGGGCCUGGGGUCCAGGUAUGUUGUGGGUCGAAAAUUGACCUGAGUAUGCCAGAGAGGUUGUGGAGCAUCCCAGUGUGGUUCGUUUAGGUGGGCAGGUCCAUUUGGACGGUCAAAUGGUCGAAACAGAGCAAAUGGACCAUUUUUAGGACAAAUCAGUGUGUUAUAACCUACGGUUCUGGGGGUGGGCAUGGUUUUCGGGUGUGCUGUAGGCUGAAAAUUGACCUGCAUGUGCCUGGGAGAUUGGGGAGUGUCUUAGUUUGGUCUGUUUGGGUGGACGGGGCCAUUUGGGUGGUCAAACGGGCGAAAUAGAGCAUUUUUGGGCUAAAUCGGUAUGUUAUAGCCCACGAUUCUAGGGGUGGGCCAGGGGUACGGGUGUGCUGUUGGCUGAAAAAUGACCUGGAAAUGCCAGGGAGGUUAGGUAGCAUCCCAAUGUGGUCCGUUUAGGUAUUCGGGGCAAUUUGUGUUGUCAAAUGGGCAAAAAGGCAUAAAGGGGGCAUUUUCGAGCCAAAUCAAUUUACUAUAGCCCACUGUACCAGGGUGGGCCCAGGGUCUGGGCGUGCUGUAAGCUAAAAAUCUACCUGAGCAUGCUAGGGAGGUUAGGGAGUGUCUCAGUAUUGUCUGUUUGGGUAGAGGAGGCCAUUUGAGUGGUCAAACGUGUUAAACGACAUUAUCGGGGCAUUUUUAGGCUAAAUCGGUGUGUUAUAGCCAAAGGUUUUGGGGAUGUACCCGAGGUUCGGGCAUGUUAUGUGUCAAAAAUUGACUUAGGUAUGCCAGUGAGAUUUGGGAGCAUCCCGGUGUGGUCCACCUUUGACUUGGGCUUGCCAGGAAGGUUUGGGAGCGUCCCGGUAUGGUCCGUUUGGGUGGAAGGGGACCUUGGGUGGUCAAACAGGAGAAACGAUACGAACGAGGUAUUUUUAGGCAAAAUUGGUGUGCUAUAGCCGAUGAUUCAACGGUGGGCCCAGGGUUCGGCCGUGCUGCGGGCCAAAAAUUUCCCUAGGCGUGCUAAGAAGGUAGAGAGCUUUCUAGUAUGGUAUUUUUGGGUGGGCGAGACCAUUUAGGUGGUCAAAUGAACAAAACGACAUGAACGGGGCAUUUUUGGUCCAAAUCGGUGUGAUAUAGCCCACGGUUCUGGGGGUAGCCCCGGGGUCCGGGCGUGCUGUGGGCCAAAAAUAGACCUGGACGUGCCAGAGAGGUUGGGAAGCAUUCCAGUGUGGUUCAUAUGGGUGGGCGGGGCCAUUUGGGUGGUCAAACAUAGGAAACGGUGCAAACGAGGCAUUUUUCAGCCAAAUCGGUGUGCUAUAACCUACGGUUCUGGGGGUGAUCCCGAGGUCCGGGACUGUUGUUGGUUGAAAAUUAUCCUGGGCAUGACAGGGAGGUUGGAAAGUAUCCCAAUGUGUUCUGUUUGGGUGGGUAGGGCCAUUUGGGUUGUCAAAUGGGUGAAAAGGCGCGAAUGGGGUAUUUUUGAGCAAAAUUGGUGUGCUAUAGCCCACGAUUCCUGGGGUAGUCUCGGGGUUCGAUGUGCUAUCAGCCAAAAAUUGAUCUGGGUAUGUCAGGGAGCUUGGGGAGCAUCCCAGUGUGGUCCGUUUGGGUAGGCGGGGUAAUUUGGGUGGUUAAACGAGCAAAAUAAUGCGAACGUGGCAUUUUCGGGCCAAAUUGAUGUGUUAUAGCCCACGGUUCUGGGGUGGGUCCGGGGUCUGGGUGUGCCAGGAAGGUUAGGGAGAAUCUCGGUGUGGUCCAUUUAGGUGAGUGGGGAUAUUUUGGUAGUCAAAUAGGAAAAACAGCACGAACGGGGCAUUUUUGGGCUAAAUCGGUGUGUUAUAGUCGACGAUUUUUGGGGUAGGCCCGGGAUCCUGGAGUUUUGUUGUCUAAAAAUUGACCUGGGAGUGUCGGGGAGGUUGGGGAGCUUCCCGGUGUGGUCUAUUUAGGUGGGCAGGGCCAUUUGGAUGAUCAAACGGGUGAAACAAUGCGAAUGGGGCUUUUUCAGGCCAAAUCGGUGUAUUAUAGCCUAUGAUUCUAGAGGUUGGCUCGGGUUCAGGCGUGCUGUGGGCCAAAAUUUAACCUGGGCAUGCCAAGGUGGUUGGUGAGCAUCUCAUUAUGGUCCAUCUGGGUGGGCAGGGCCAUUUGGAUGGUCAAACAGGCAAAAUGGCGCGAACGUAGCUUUUUCGGGCAAAAUCGGUGCCCUAUAGCCCAAGGUUCCAGGGGUGGGCCUGAGGUUCGGGCAUGAUAUGGGUCAAAAAUCAACCUGGGCAUGCCAGGGAGGUUGGGAAGCAUUUCAGUAUGGUCCGCCUAAGUAAGCGGGGCCAUUUGGGUAGUCAAACGGGAGAAACAGCGCGAAUGCGAUAUUUUUGGGCUAAAUUGGUGUGCUAUAGCCCACGGCUCCAAGGGUUUGCCCGAGGUCCGAAUGUGUUGCGGGCCAAAAGUCGACCUGUACAUUCCAGGGAGGUUGGAGAGCAUUUUUAUGUGGUCCGUCUAGGUGAGCGGGGUUAUUUGGGUGGUCAAAUAGGCAAAACAGCACGAACAUACCAUUUUUGGGCUAAAUCGGUGUGCUAUUACCUACGGUUCUGGUGAUGGGUCUGGGGUUCGAGCGUGCUGUGGGCCGAAAAUCGACUUACGCGUGCCAUGAAGGUUGAGGAGCGUCCCAGUGUGGUCCAUCUGGGUGGACGGGGCCAUUUGGUAGUCAAACGGUGAAACGACGCGAACACAGUAUUUUCGGGCCAAAUUGGUGUGCUAUAGCCCACGGUUUUAGGGGUGAACUCGGGAUUCGAGCAUAUUGCGGGCCAAAAAUCAACUUGGGCGUACUAGGGAGAUUGGGGAACGUCCCAAUGUGGUCCGUCUGGGUGGGUGGGUCCAUUUUGGUGCUCAAACGAGCGAAACGGCGUAUACACAAUGUUUUCGGGCUAAAUCGAUGUGCUAUUGGCCAUGGUUCCAGGGGUGGGCUCGGGGUCCGUGCGUGAUGUGGGCCAAAAAUUGACCUGUGUAUGCCAGAGAGGUUAGAAACAUCCCAGUAUGGUCCGUUUGUGUGGGUGGGGCUAUUUGGGUAGUCAAACGGGCGAAACAGCGCGAAUGGGGCAUUUUCAAGCUAGAUCAGUGUGCUAUAUAACCCACGGUUCCGGGGUGAACCCGGGGUCCGGAAGUGUUGUGGGUCUAAAAUCAACUUGGGCGUGCCAAGGAGGUUGGGGAGGUCCCAAUGUGGUAUAUUUGGGUGGGCGGGGCCAUUUGGGUGGUCAAACGGGCGAAACAAUGCGAACGGAAAUUUUUCGGGCCAAAUCAAUUUUCUAUUGUCCAAGGUUCCGGGAAUGGGCCCAAAGUUCGAGAGUGUUGUGGGAAGAAAAUCGACCUGGGUGCGAACGGACAGUUUUGGGUCAAAUUGGCGUGCUAUAGCCCACGGUUUCAGGGGUGGACCUAGGCCUCGACGUCGUUUUUAGCCAAAAAUCAACUGGCGGCCACCCAGCUGGCUGGGGAGUAGGUGAGUAAUUAAUUUUAGAAUGAGUUUAUGUCAUGUUUGAUUGAAAUUAAAUGGUGAGAUAACUUAUUCCAAUAUUUAAUUAUUUUGAUAUUGUAGUAUUAUUUGUAUCCCAUAUGAAUGAUAGAAUAACAAUCUCAUAAUUUAUUCCUCUUAUUUUCUGGAAAAAUUACAUACUAUAGACAAAAUACUAUAUUAAUUACAUGAUAUGGUUCAUGUUUUAAAAAAUUACAAUUCAUAGUCAUUUGGUAGUUAAAAGUUAGAUUUUUUCUGUGGGCCCUUUAUACAAAUAUAUUAAGAUGUGUAUAUAUCAAUUUUCUCUCUCAUAUAUUUAUUUUUGGUAUUUUUUUUCUAUUCUCUUUCUAUCCUAUUGACUCAAAAAAAAAAGAAGGCAACAAUGGAAUAUAAAAAGAAAAGAUUUUUGAUGAUAUCUUCUUCAACUAUUUUUUCCUUAAUUUUCUCUCAAAAUCACUCUAAUAUCCUUGAUUUUAAAUUAAAGAAACGAAAACAUUGGCAACAUCAUAAUACAUGAUUAUUCAAGACAUCUUCUUCAACUUUUUUCUCCCUAUUUUUCUCUCAAAGUCACUCUAAUAUCACAAAAUAUAAUCCUUGAUUUCUCUGUGAUAAAUUAUUUUUGCAGAUUUUUCAGCACAGAAAAUCAGUUUAGGAUAUUUAUUGACAUUAGAUUUAAUUUUUUUAAAAUUUUUAUAUAUUAUGUCAGUUAGUCGUUAAAUUUCUUCGUUGUUCAUAUAUUUUACAAAGAAAAAUAGAAAAGGGGGAGCACUCCCCCGUUUUUAUAAUUUUUUUGUUUUUGCGAAUUUUUAUUUUAUAAUAUUAAUUUUUAUAUAUUAUGUACUUCACUUCCCCUUUUUCUUAUGGAUGAUUUAUCAAAAAAAAAAAAAAAGGAAAGAAUUUUGCAUCUUCUAGCAAGGCGGAAAGGAAAAAAUAUUUUAAGGUAUCUAAAUCUAAAUGGGGAGCAAUGAAGUUGACAAUGAUUAUGACGUCUUUUUGUACAUAUUCUCAUGAAACAGAAUUGUUAGUCAAUAUACAUUUUUGUUUCAAUAUAUGUAGAUACGUAUACUUGAUUUUUGUAGAAUAAUGCAUGCAUAUAUAUAUAUAUACAAAAUUAGAGUGUAUAUAUGUAUAUACACUUUCUAUUUUUUAUAUAUGUAUAUACAAUUUACAUAUAUGUAUGUAGAGUUAACUUUCACAUAUACAUUUUGAAAAAUAAUGCAUAUGUAGAUAUAUACAGUUUUAGAGUGCAUAUAUGCAUAUACAUUCAAAUUUGUUAUUAUGUAAAACAUUAAAAUUUGUAUAUACAAAUAUACAAACAACAUAUAUACAAAUGAUAAACAUAUAUGUAUAUGUUUAUUUCAUUUGCAUAUAUGUAUAUACAGAUAUACAAACAACAGAUAAAUAAAUAUGUAUAUUUCAUUUGCAUGUAUAUUUCGUUUACAAACAACAUUCAAAUUUGUAUAUACAAAUAUACAAACAACAGAUAUACAAAUAAUAAACAACAGUUUUGAUUUGAAUAUAUGUAUACUUCAUUUGCAUAUAUGUAUAUAUAGAUAUACAAACAACAGAUACACAAAUAUCAAAUUUAUGUAAACUAAUAUACAGAUAUACAAACAAUAGAUAUACAAAUAAUAAAAACAAUCUUUGUAACCUUUAAAAUAGAUAUACAAAUACAUUUAUACACUUAUGUUAACAGAUAUACAAAAAUUCAAAUAUACUAUUAGUAGAUAUACAUAAAAAAAAUAUUAAAAGACUGUCAAUUGUAUAUUAUGAAAUAUGCAGUAGAGUAAUGAAGGAACAUAUCACACAAAUUGCUAUUACAAAUGGAAUUUAGAAACAAAAAAAAAAAAACUAACACAAACAAGGAUUAUAACCUUUUAACAACUUCCGUGAAAAAAAAAUUAAAAUUACGAAAAUAAAAAUUGAAUACGAAAAUUGAAACAGAAAAUUACAAUUGAAUUUAUUGUAUACAAAAAUAAUAGUACUUACAAAAUUGACAAUUUGAAAGUUUUUGAAGUUUAUAUUGUGCAUUCAAUUUUGAAAAUCUAAUUUAAACCAAUAAUAAAAUCGAUUUUCAUUAUGUUGAAACUGGAUCAAUUUUUAUUGCGUAUUAGAUUCAAAAAAAGAUUUCAGUACAUAAAUUCAAGUAAAACAAUAAUUUGCAUAAAUCGUAUAUACUAUAAUUUUGUAUGCACGAAUUACCAACUUUCUCCUGUAGAUCACAAUUUAAAAAAAAUUAUCAACUUUUGAGGGAGUAAUUAACGCAUAAAUUCAUAUUUAUUGAUCUGUUAUAUCAGAGAAAUAAAUAAAUAAUUGGAGAAGAUUAAGGGCAUUUAUUACAUUAAAAUUUCGUUUUUUAUCUCUUUUUGUUGUUAUGAAUUUUUCCUUCUUUUUUGUGUAUAUAUACAUAAAACUGUCAUUUAUUUUAUCUAUGAAUUGUAAAUAUGAAAUUUAAACUAGAAAGUUAGUUAUAGAUACUCUAAGGAGACUAUAUGUGAAAUUUUACCUAUUUUUUUUAGUUAAAUGAUUUUUUCUCCUUUUUAUUAGUUUAGUGAAUGACAAAAAGUUUGAAUCAUUUCUUUAAAAAUUUUCGCACUUUUAAUAUAUUAUAGAUGUAGAUAUUAAUUGAUAUAAAAUUUUUCGCACUUAAUAUAUUAUAAAAUUCGCCUUGUGUUUAAUUUUACACGAUCAUAUUUGACUAGGCACAAAAUUUAAUCCAAGCUGAGAACACCCAUCAAAAUGUAUAUAUAUAUUUAGAUAAUACAUAAAUAUAAUCCUAAACUUGACACCAAAUUAUAACUUUGACCUUAAACUUUGAUAGUGCACAAAUAUGACCUUUAACUAUUCAAAACUGCACAAAUAUGACCUCCGAUCCUACGUGGCAAAACGCGUGUUCAACAUGCAAAACUGAGCGCGUCCAGCUUAAAAUCUAAGGGCAUAAUACAUAAAUAUGACCCUAAACUUUGACAGUGCACAAAUAUAACCUUUAACUAUUCAAAACUGCACAAAUAGGACCUUUAAAUGACUUUUCACUAUUAUUUUUUCAUUAUUUUCGGCUCAAAGAUGAAAAUGGCAUCUAGUUUCUUUUGUCAUUGCGGAAAAAGAGCAAUAUUGAAGAUUUAUUAAUUAGGUAGGUCAGCCUCAUACGAAAAAUCGCGCGGGUAUAUCUAUAUAUUAUAAAGCAGAGGUCGAAUUUAAGUUAUAUAAUAUAUCUAAAUAUUAAAUUAAAGAUGAAACUAUACUAAUAAUAAGAAAAUUAUAGUUUUAAUAAAACGUUAUUAAAUUAAUGUUAUUAAGGAUAGUAGUAGUAAUAUAUUAAAUUAACGUUAUCAAAUUAAUGUAAUUAAAAUGUUAUUAAAUUCACGUUAUUAAAUUAACGCAGGGGGGCCUACGUGGUUGCAUGGGGUUCACCCGAACCCCCUCAGUAAAAACAUUACGUUGUACACAUAUAAGUUAGAAAAUGUAUAUUUAUGUAUGUAUAUUAAUGUUGAACCACAUGAAACAAGACAUUUAGAUAGUUCGGUAGUGUUAUUUGCUCUUAUUGGGCGCUUCCUUCAGCCUACUGCGUGGGUUCGAUCCCUGCUAGUGGCUGUUUUUUUUUUUAAUUUAAAAAAAGUUAGGUGCUGCUGCUAUAGAAAUAAAAAAAUAAUAAUAAUAAUAAUAAUAACAAUAACAACAACAACAACAACAAUAAUAAUAAUAAUAAUAAUAAAAACGUUGUCUUUUUAACACAAAAAGCAAAACUUUGACAGUGCACAAAUAUGACCUUUAACUAUUCAAAACUGCACAAAUAUGACCUCUCUCCAAGUCAGCCCUUUUAACGACAUGGCACCGUGUGAUUGGAUUGGCUUUCCACGUAGGCGUGAGUGAGACUCACACAUGGGGUUGCAAAAUCAGAGGUCAUAUUUGUGCACUAUCAAAGUUUAAGGUCAAAGUUAUAAUUUAGUGUCAAAUUUAGGGUCAUAGUUAUGUAUUAUCUCUUCUUUGUUUUUUCAACCAUCAAAAUGUAUAUAUGACAUGUACUCUUUGAACAGUUCAAAGGAGUAAUAAGGAAUUAACACACAACAUACACAUACAUUAAAUUAAAACAUAAUAUAAGUACACACUCAGUACACAUGUGAUGAUGUGAUAUAUAUGGAUCAUGAAGAUCAAUAUACACCAAUCUGCCUUAUUUAGGAUAUCUACUAUUGAUAUCCAUUACAUUUAUCUAUUCAAAGCGAUAAAUUAAAAUAUAUAGUACAUACGAGUAGUCACUUAUUUUAGCUUAUAAUAAAAGUGAGACAAAUAUUACGAAUAUAUAAGACCUUAAAAUGACGGGAUAAUUCAGUGCACUAAAAUGAUCGCUACAUACUAGCUAGUGCAACCCAUCCUUCCCUUAAGCGGCCUGUAGGCGCAAGUGUUACACAUAAAUCCAUUGCAAUCAUCAUUACUUUCACAACGAGAGCCACACCCUCCCAACCGGUUAAGAUUUGGGGGUAAAAUCUGCGCAAACACAUUGAAUUCAUCAGGUAGAUCUCGCACAGCCAUCACUUCGAUGUUCGAUGUAUGAACUGCAAGGACAAAAUUAGUGCGCAAAGCAUUAUGAAAAGGGACACAUAUAUAACAUGAUCACUAGUCAAAUUAUUGAAAAUAAGUAUAAUAUAUUUAAGCAAAUAUAAAAAUCAUUACUAAAAAAGAGAAAUUUAAUAUGGACAAAUGCAUAAAGCAUUAUGAAAAGGGUCACAUAUGUUAAUAUAACAUUAUCACUAGUCAAAAUAUUGAAAAUAAAUAUAAUAUAAUUAAGCAAAUAUAGAAAUCACUUCCAAAAAAAAGAGAAAUUUAGGAUGGACAAAUUCUGUAGAUAAAUAACAAAAUUAGUCACGAAGUUAUUAAAAGAAUGUGCAAUAAAUUAGUGACGAAAUUCAAAGCUAAUUCUAUUAUAUAACUAAAUUAAGGAUGAUGAAUUAGC